rnacentral:lncRNA from 1 species
GUUUCCAAGACAAACUAGAUAAGAUGCAGAUUGGAUCAGGCGAAGAUGUGAAUGACCUCAACUAUGAUUAUGACAAUGAACAGUGCGUAGCAGGUGGUGGAAAUUAAUAGAUGGGAUGGUGGACAGCGGAAGGGAUAAUGAUGCAGCGGCGGCGUGACUAAUGUAAACAGAACUCGAAACUCUAAAGGAACUAGACGCUAAGACCAGCAACUGACACGACGAUGCAACCGAUAAUUCAACUAUGCAAGCAAUGAAUAGAAAAUUGCAAAGGCUCAGACUGGCUUGGAUAAAGGAUGAACAGAUCUAACUUUUUUUUGUGUGGCUUUUUCUUGGACAAUAGGUAAGAAAAUAAAUCUAAUCUAGGAAAACUGGAAAUUCUCACCGAGCAACCUGAAAACUGAUACCACUUGAUAGAGGAUAGGUGUCCCGAUCUUUCGAUGAGAUGAUAACUAUCGAUUUGGUGGAGACGACUUUGACGAUCCAACUACAAACGUGCACGACGUUGCGCCUUAGCAAUCGCUAAACCAAUCUCCUGAGGUUAUUGACCACGCCGGAAGCACGAUCAACCUGACCACGAAGGUCUAUUCCUGCAAGCAAUCGAAGAACAAGCAAGAAUAUGACAAAAGCAAUCUGAAUAUUGCGAGUAUAUAUGAAGUUUUGAUAAAGAUGGGGAUCCGUAAGCGGUCUUGGUCUGGUCGUUGGACACAAACGAAGUACACGAAGUUGCAAUGGCUAACUUUUAACUAAACAAAUCCCAAGGAAAAGCUACUAGAUGGAUCUACUUAUAUAGGAGCAAGGGGUGGCGGCCAAGGAGGUGGGAGGACGUCCCAAGGCAGCCUAAAACUAAAUCUAGGUCGUACAAGGCCAAUGGGCCCAAGUGGAGUUGAUGUAACACCUUUGGACUUGUAGUUUGACUCGGAUUCUGCUGCAGCAUCAGAUUGUUUCGUCCACAACUCAACACUCCGGACGAAUUUGAAGGUGAUUCUAAUUGGGUUGGAAAGUGCACGAAAUCUAGUUUCCAACAAAAAAAGAAUCACCCAAUUCGGAGUCCGUAUGAAAAACUUGUGUGCGUUUUGAGUCAGGUAUGUCUGUGCAGUCCGAAUCUGAAUCCAGAACGUGUGAGACUUGGACUCUAUCUUCUCUUGGGCCAAAAGUGACGUGAGAGAACUUUUUGGACAGCAAAUAAACAUCUCUUUCUUCCUUAUCUUCAUAUGUGGAUUGUACAAAUGUCCCAUACAUCUGCAAUUAGACAAAACACAAAAGUGUGUGAAGUAUUUUUGUUCUGGAUAACAUAAAUAGAUUAUUGAAUAGUUUGCACUAGAAAUCACCUGACAAAUAUGCAUAUAUGCAAUAUUUUUGGUCAUAUCCAAGGUAGUCAUGUCCUCAUCAACAUAUCUACCCUCAAAUGGUGGAAUAUUGAAUUUCAGUUUAGGAAUAUGGACAUCAUCGCGUACCUGAGGUGGUGGUGCAGGCCUACCAUUACGAAUAUAUACCUGAGGUCGACCUGCUAGUGGUGGUGCUGGUGGCUGCUCGUAGAUCUGAUUUUGAUCAACCUCAUCCUCAUAAUCGCCCGCAUACUCAUCCUCCUCCUGGGUACCAGCAGGAGCAGUAGCAGGAGCCAAAGAAGCACCAACAGCAGUAGCAGCGGCACCAGAAUUUGGUCCUGGCUCAAUAGGAACAUGCUGUGCUCGUCCAUACUGAUUCGGAAGGGGGCGUAGUUGUUGUUGUUGCAGAGGUGCGACAGGUGCAGUCGGUGGUGGAAGACGCGCAAGCAGUUCAUUAAAUCUGUUAUCGAGCUUUGUUUCGAACGUCUUCUCAAGGCCAGUGAUCUUCUCCAUGGCCUCUUCAAAAUUGUUCAGCACAUCUUGUACCUGUUCAGUCAUCAUUUGCUGAAACUUAUCAUGAAGCUCCUUGUUCGAUAAGUUCUCCCAGUCAAUCUCGUCGGCUUGUGAUCCUGGCAUGGUUAGCAGCAAUAGAAACACACAAGAAUAUGAUCCUACAGACUACUAAGAAGUGGUGGUGGUGUAUCACAAAUCCGUCAAGCAAAUCUCAAAUUCUUACCAGUUCUUACCCAGCAGCAGGCGGUGAUCGGCAACCGUUGUAGUCAAAAACUCUCAAAGCUUGGAUAGAGCGAUUACCAGGGAGAGUCAAACACACGACGUAGAUGUAUGUGGAGCUGGGAAGACUUAUAGUAUGGUAGCAAAAAGGGUCAGCAAUAAUCAAUUCAGAGAUGCAAAGUUGAAUAAACGGUCAACGACGGUACUGUGCUGGUCCUAAGCUAGACUGUGCUAGAGACGCGAGCCUAGAACACCAACAAAAUCACGGCGCGGCACGUAAACAAGGGAAAAGCACACUCUGAAUUUUUUUUCGCUUUUUUUUUGCGAAAAAUCUCUAUAAUGGCGAGUGUCUCAAAACUCUUCCUAGCUCAAACUGACAGGAUGGGCACGAAAUUUUUUCGACCAAUUUUUUUUUUUUGCGACUGCCCGGACCAAAAAACUGGAAACGGGUCAAAAAAACUUCCUAUAAUGGCACCUGUCUCAAAACACUCAGAAACACCUAAAAAUAGGAUAGCCAGAAUUUUUUUCGAAAAAUGCGUUUUCGAAAAAUUUUGGGCCUAAACGGAGCGUGGCUACCCGACUCGGAAUUUUUUUUUUCCGAAACCUACUCCGGCAAGGAAACACGAAUCGGAAACUAGAUGGAUCUCGAAAACAAACCUAAUAAGCAAGGAAAUCGGAUUGGUGGUGGAUAUAUGGUGGUGGUAUAUGGCAGCGGUGGUAGUAUAUGGAUAUGGAUCGGUGGUGGUAUAUGGACACGGAUUGGUGGUGGUAUAUGGAUACGGAUUCGGAGCGGUGGUGGUAGAUGGCAGGGGCGAUGAUGAUGGUGCGGCGGCGGCGUGACAACUUAUGACCAGAACUCGAAACUCUAAAAGACUAGACUCUAAGACCAGCAACUAGAAACGACGAUGCAACCGCAAAUUCAACAAAGCAAAACCCUAAAAAGAUUAUGCAAAGGCUCAGAUUGGUUCGGAUAUGAUGAACUAACCCUAAUUUUUUUUGUGGCUUUUUCGUGGACUAUAGGUAUGAAGACAGACUCGAUCUAAACUACGAAAAACUGCAAAAUCUCACCGAGCAACCUGGAAAUCUGAUACCACUUGAUAGAGGCAAAGGUGUCCCGUCUUUCGAUGAGAUGAUGGAUAUCGCUUUGGUGGAAGUCGACUUUGACGAUCCGACUACGAACGUGCCAGGACGUCGCGCCUUAGCAAUCGCUAAACCAACUCCGAGAGGUUAUUGACCACGCCGGAGCACGAUCAACCUGACCACGAGGGUCUAUUUCCUGCGAGCAAACGAAGAACAAGCAAGAAACUAAGAUUGCAAUCUGGAUAUUGCGAAUAUAAGAUGAAAGCUUUAUUGACCAAGGUGGGGUUCUGUGACGCCUUUGUCUGGUCAUUGAACACAAACGAAGUACGCGAAGUUGCAGCUAUGGCGAACUUUUAAUCCAAACAAAACCCAAAGUCUAAACGAUGCCCUAAGGGCUGUAUAUAUGGAGGAAGAGGGGGGAAUUUCGUGGCCCUUGGUGGAGGGGUCCGAAAUCAACCAUAUCUCUUGUUUCCCCACACAUACUGACUCUAAAAAUAGCCUACACUUAUGUAUUUCGAAAUUACAUGGGCCUGGCCCAAUAAUAAGGUGACGCAGCACCUAAAAUAGCCUCGGGACGAAAUUUAUGAAGUGGCAUCUUGUAUAUUUCGUCCAAGGCUUCAUGCACCCAUUAUGGUGGCUUCAAAGUCCUGAAAUCAUCACUUGUAACUCUGUUCUUGUUUCCCUUGCGCAUGCCAUCAUCUCCAUGCUUGUUCUUGCUCCAAUGUUCAUCCUUCUCCAAGCUAGGCCCUUCAUUUGUAAGCAAAACAAAUGUAUCCAAUUUAGGCAGCAUCAUAUUCUCAUGAACAUUAGAAUCAUUACCAAGAAACGAAAGUACCUGGUAAUUUAGUUGGCGUGCACGAGCUCUAGUAAUUGGUCCAGUAUGUAUAGCAGCAGGGGCUGUGGGUGUAACAAUUGUAUUGAUGUCCUCAUCAGGCUAGAUCCUCGAAUACAUAGAACGAUACAAGAAUCCACGGACAACUAGGGACGAUACACGGUAACCGGUUCUUCUCCGUGAGGAGGUCUUGAAUCCACAAGGGGAUCUUUCCGUAAUGGGGUCUUGAAUCCAAGGUGGAUCUUCUCCGAAGAGGGGCCGCGGUCUCUCUCGUGGAGUAGAUCCGAUAUGGAUGAGCAAUGCUCUAUCUCUCAAAUGAUCUAAACCAAUGCUAACCCUAGCUAGGAUGAAUGGGGGGUCUAUUUAUAGUCUAAGUGCAAAUGGGGGCGAAGUGAACGGGUACAUGGGCCUCGGGCCCGAACACUGUGCGCAAACAGGUACCGGACGUCCGCUGGGGACCGGUCGUCCGGUGUCUCAGGAGCUGUCGGACGUUCGGUGCCCUCCGGUCGUCCGCUGGUUCCGCUCUGUGAUGGGGGUGCCGGACGUCCGGAAACGUUGGUCUCCCGCUGACUUCGGUUCGGGUGCAGGUGUGUCGGUCGUCCGGUCCGGACCGGACGUCCGCUCGUUUGCUUCGGGUGUCGGGGCACCGGUCGUCCGGUCUGGACCGGACGUCUGCUGGCUGGGACUCGGUUGAUGCUUCAGGCACCGGACGUCCGGUCCCGGCCGGUAGUCCGGUGGCUGGGACUUUUCCGGCAGCCCUUCUUCUUCUUCGUCUUCUCGUCCAUCUUCCUCUUCUUCUUGUCCUUGCUCCUUAGCUUCUCCAUUGUACCUGAGUAUGCACAAAGUAUCCAUAUGAGGUAGUAGCCAUGCUUCAUGUGCAUCGAAGUGGAAUGGUGAGAGGAGAGAUGUCACCUCGGUUUCAAGGGCUCUUGCACGUGAUCGAGUCAUGGGUCCGGUAGGCACUUGGUGAGACGAUGGUAGGUCCAUGGGGAUGACCUUGGGAUGCUCCGCAUCAUCUCCCCUCCCUUGGGGAAGAUCCGUCCUCGGAUCAAAAUCUUCAUCACCAUGGAAGGGAGAGAGAUCUUUGACGUUGAAGAUGUCACUCACGUUGUACUUGUCGCGCAGGAGGUCGAUCUUGUAAGCGUUGUCGUUGUAGCGUGCAAGCACAUUGAAGGGUCCAUCCGCUCGUGGUCGAAGCUUGGAUUUGCGUUCUUGUGGGAAGCGGUCCUUGCGAAGGUGUAGCCACACUCGAUCACCAAUGUUGAAGACCAUAGGUUGCUUGUUGAAGUUGAGCUUGGUCGCAAGGCGUUGAAUGUGGCGCUCGAUGGUGUUUCUUGUAUCUUCAUGCAUAUUCUUGAGAUGUGUCACACGCGCACUUGCGUCCAAAUUGAUGCGCUCUUGGAGUGGUAGAGGAAGAAUGUCCAAUGGUGACAAUGGGUUGAAUCCGUAAACGACCUUGAAAGGCGACUUGCCGGUUGUUGAGUGUCUUGCUCGGUUGUAGGCGAACUCGGCGAUAGGUAGGCACUCCUCCCACACCUUGAUGUUCUUCUUGAUGAGUACUCGAAGUAGAGCGGAGAGUGUGCGGUUUUUCACCUCUGUUUGGCCGUCGAUUUGAGGAUGGUACACCGUGGAGAAGAGUAGCUUGACUCUGAGCUUGGCCAAUAGGGUCUUCCAAAAGUAGCUAAGUAACUUGACGUUGCGGUCCGAGACAAUUGUCUUUGGCACACCAUGGAUACGCAAUAUUUCCCUACAAAAGAGAUUAGCAACAUGUGAAGCAUCGUCUAUCUUGUGACAAGGAAUAAAAUGUGCCAUUUUGGAGAAACGGUCCACAACGACAAAUAUAGAAUCUUUCCCAUUGCGAGUUUUUGGCAAACCAAGUACAAAGUCCAUGCUUGUGUCCUCCCAAGGUUGGUAUGGAAUUGGUAAAGUCAUAUGGAGACCAUGAGAUUGAGCUUUGCACUUAGCUUUGCGCCAUGUAGAACACCGGUUGGUGAAACGAUUGACGUCCCGAAACAUCUUUGGCCAAAAGUAGCUCUUCGAGAGCAUGGCGAACGUCUUAUCGCGUCCAAAGUGUCCCAUUAAUCCUCCUCCAUGCGAUUCCUGCAAAAGCAAUAAACGAAGGGACGACUUGGGGAUGCAAAGUUUGUUAGCUCUCAUAAGGUAGCCGUCUUUGAUGUAAUAGCGCUCCCACGGUGUAUGCGACAAGCACUUGGCAUAAGGAGUGGCAAAAGUUUCAUCAUGCGCAUACAAUUCUUUGAUAUGCUCAAAGCCAAUGACAUCUAACUCAAGUUGCGUGACUAGCAUGCAUAUGCGGGAAAGAGCAUCCGCUAGGAUGUUUUCUUUACCCUUGAUGUACUUGAUGACAUAGGGAAAGACUCAAUGAAUUCACUCCAUUUAGCAUGACGCUUGUUCAACUUAGUUUGACCAUUGAGAUACUUGAGAGUCUCAUGAUCGGUAUGAAUGAUAAACUCAUGGGGACGAAGGUAAUGUUCCCAUUCAUGUAAAACGCGGACUAAAGCAUAUAGCUCUUUGUCAUAGAUGGGAUAGUUGAGUUGCGCUAUGGAAAGUUUCUCACGAAAGUAAGCUAUGGGGCGCUUCUCUUGCGUUAACACACCUCCUAUGCCAUUACCGCUAGCGUCGCAAUGAAUCUCAAAAGGCUUGUCGAAGUUGGGUAAAGCAAGCAUGGGAGCGUGAGUAAGCAAAUUCUUAAGCUCAUUGAAUGCGGUAUCUUGGGAUGGUCCCCAAAUAAACGGCGCAUUCUUCUUGCUCAAAGCAUGCAAAGGCGAAGCAAUGGUGCUAAAAUCCUUCACAAAGCAACGAUAAAAACCCGCAAGACCAAGAAAACUACGCACUUGAUGCAAGUUGGUUGGUUGCGGCCAAGUCUUUAUAGCAUUGAUCUUGGACUCAUCUACAUGAACACCCUUAGAAGAGACCACAAAACCCAAGAAAAUGAGCUUAUCAACACCAAAAAGGCAUUUCUCCAUAUUAGCAUAGAGACGCACUUUCCUAAGAGUUUGCAAAAUGGUGCGGACAUGGGUGACAUGCUCUUGGAUAGAUUUGCUAAACACAAGAAUGUCAUCGAAGUAAACCACAACAAAUAUACCAAUGUAAGGGCGAAAGACAUGAUUCAUGAGGCACAUAAAAGUGCCCGGUGCUUCCGAGAGACCCAUAGGCAUGACUAACCACUCAUACAAACCAAACUUGGUUUUGAAUGCGGUUUUCCAUUCAUCACCCUCUUGUAUGCGGAUUUGAUAGUAACCACUCUUAAGAUCAAUUUUGGAAAAUAUAGUGGCACCACUAAGCUCAUCUAGCAUAUCAUCUAGGCGUGGAAUGGGGUACCUAUAACGAACGGUGAUAACAUUGAUAGGUCUACAAUCGGAGCACAUGCGAAAACUACCGUCACGUUUUGGCACAAGAAUGACCGAUACGGCACAAGGGCUCAAACUUUCACGCACAUGUCCAGGGUCUAUGAGAUGCUUUACUUGCCUUUGGAUUUCUUUGGUUUCUUCAGGGUUGACGCGGUAGGGAGCUUUGUUCGGAAGCGGUGCUCCUGGGAUGAGGUCGAUGCGGUGCUCAAUGCCUCGUAGUGGAGGUAGUCCCGGAGGUAGCUCAUCGGGGAAAACAUCUUGAAAUUCCUGCAAAAGAGGAGACAACACUAGAGGAAGAGUGUGAGAAGUGUUAGUUUGUGGUGCAUUGUCCUUGCACACGAGGACGUAGUGUAGGACACUAGAUGGGUUCUCACACACUUCUCUCAUCUGACGUUUGGUGGCAAAUAGAACGAGGUUCUUGUUUUCGCUCAUCGUGGAGGCACUCAAUUUGGGCUUGUGGCGCUCACUCUCUUUUUGCUGGCUCACUCUCUCACCAUUCUCUCCACGAUGGGUGGCUUGCUUAUCGGCGAUCAAUUGGCUUGGAGACAUAGGUCGUAACACAAACUCCUUUCCUUGCAUCUUGAAGCUAUAGUGGUUGGGACGCCCAUUGUGGACGACUCCUUUAUCGAAUUGCCAUGGCCGUCCAAGGAGAAGAUGGCAAACGGUCAUUGGGAUGACGUCGCACUCCAAGGUGUCUUCAUAGGCGCCGAUUUUGAAGGAGACUUGUACUCGGUGCUCGACUUGGAUAGUGCCGGAGUCACUAAGCCAUUGCACUUUGUAUGGAUGUGGAUGCUUCGUUUUGGGCAAUUGGAGCUUGGAGCAAAGUUCUUCACUUGCAAGAUUGUGACAACUCCCUCCAUCGAUGAUGACCUUGACGGAUCGUCCAUUGAUGCCGGCCUUGGUGUGGAAUAUGGUGCAUCUUUGGUCUUCUUCUUGGUGAUGUUGGAGAGUCAAUACUUUGGAGACAACAAGUGCGGGACUUGAGUCUUCAUCACAAAAGACUUGUUCUUCUUCAUUAUUCACUUGGCGGUGCAUGGCGACUUGCUCAAGGGCUUCCAUUUCUCCUUCGCUCAUGGAAUCAUAAGUGCCAUCAUCGUUGAAGAUCAUGGUGCGCUAGUUGGUGCACUCAUAGGACUUGUGGCCUUGGCCUCCGCAAGUGAAACACUUGAGGGAACUCGUCUUGACGGUCUCAUCGGUAGGGGUUGAUGAUGAUGAAGCUCUCGGCUUGAAGGUGCUCGUAUUACAAUUGAUUGUAGUUGGCGAAGCUUUCUUGGAAGUCAACUUAUCGUUGUUGGAAGUAGAAGGUCUUGUAGUCAGUGUUGGAGUCAUUGAAGCUUGGUUAUUGGAGAAGCCGUAGGACUUGGAUGAGAACUUGGCAUACUUGAAGUCAUCUUGCACUUGGCGUUCCACUUUGGUAGCUUGGUGCACGAGCUCGAUGAGAUUUGAGUAUGGUUGGAAGUCGGCGAUCUUCUUGAUAGGAUGAUUGAGUCCAUUCAAGAAACGUGCCAUAGUUUUCUCAUCAUCUUCCGUCACAUUGGCUCUUAUCAUUGCAAUCUCCAUCUCCUUGUAGUAUUCUUCAACGCUCUUGGUUCCUUGCUUGAGUUGUUGGAGUUUCUUGAAGAGGUCACGGUUGUAGUAGGUAGGCACGAAGCGUGCUCUCAUGACAUCCUUCAUUUGUGCCCAAGUAGUGAUGGGUGGAUCACCUCUUCCCUCGCGGCGUUCAAUGACUUGUUCCCACCAAAUGAGGACAUAGUCUUGGAACUCAAGGGAUGCCAUCGCGAUCUUCUUCUCUUCUUCAUAAUUGUGCAAAUGGAAGAUCUUGUCAACUUUCAAUGCCCAUGAAAGGUAUUCUUCGGGGUCAUUGCUUCCGUUGAACUUGGGCAUGGUGAACUUGAGCUUGCCGUAGCAUUGCUCUUCAUUGUGUUGGGGUCGGGGAUGAUGACGCCCAUGUUGUAGAUGAUUGUCUAACUCAUGGUGCUCUUGACGCGGAGGGUUGUCAACCUCGUGUUGAUCUUGUCGCGUAGGAUUCCCAUUGUUUUCAUGCUCUUGAUGAACUUGAUGGUCUUGGCGAGCUUUUGGAGGAACGUGUCGAGCUUGAGGGGGAACUAGACGAUGCAGGCGAGCUUGAAAUCGUUGUUCAUGAAGUUCUUCGCGAAGUGCUUCCUCUUGUUCGCGUGCUUGUCGGCCUCGGUCGGCAACGGCUCGACUCGCAUCACGUAGAGCUUGUUGUGCCUCAAGUGCCUGAGCGUCAUGGAGUUGUUGUUCUUGACAUUGAGCCUCGGCAUUUUGUGCAUUUUGGUGUAGACGCGCGCGUUCUUCCUCUUCAUGUUGGCGUUGUUGUUGUCGUUCUCGAGCUAGCGCAAAGGCUUCUUCAGCUUGACAUCGUCGGCGCUCUUGAGAGGCGGUGUCCCGAAGUGGAUUGAGGUUUGCUUGAAGGUCGGUGCGCGCGGCUCGACGAAGAGUGUUCGAUGUCGGUGUACUUGAGCUGGAGAGGGUAAAGUCGGAAUGGCGACUUGAACGGCUCCUUCUUGAAGUGGAAGAAGAGCAAUUGAGCAACAAAGCGCGAAUCUCGUCCAUCCUUGCGUCAUUCUCUUGCUUGCGAUCGUCGAGCUUGUGGUCGAAGUAGUCCCUUGUACGUUGCUCGGAAAGUCGCAAGUCGACGGCAAGGUUGUUGAUGCGUUCACUCAUAGCUUAUUGCUCUUGAUGCAAAGCACGUUUUGCACCAAAGAGGUGACUCUUGGUGACGAAGGAGUUCAUGUCGUCGUCUUGCUCCAUGAAGAGUGGGUUGGUAGAAGUACUUGGCCUAUCCAUCAUCCCAAGACAAGUGCGAGUUGUAGAAAGAGAAGAACGAAUACCAAAUGUACCUUGACCGAAGUUGAAAGUGAAUCGAUGAUCACUCCAAUGUAGGACAAGGAAAUAGCCCAAUUGGUACGAAUUCUUGUCGGUUUCUCACACCUACACAAGUAAAAGCUUAUGGUGGAGCUUGGUUAGGAUGGUGGCACAAUUUUUUAAUGUGAAUGUAAGCAAGAUUCAAUAAUGUUGGAGAAGAUUCGCAAGAUGCAAUGUAACAAGUAGACCAAGCAUAUACGGUACACGGAAACACACGCGCAAAAAAGAUAAGUGGGGUUGUGCAACCAAGGAUGAGCCAAAAUGUGGUAUCCACAAAAAUGCUCUUGUUGCACAACACUAGAGAGACGCUAGCACGAUUGCACGAUAAGCGGAUACAAGAACUUGUGCACAACCUACUUAGCAAAAAUGCAAUGAUUUCUAUCCCAAAUAUGGUUUAUGCAAGGUGUUGCUAUGAUAUGAUCCAAGAUGAUCGAGUAUGACAAUCUUAAUGUUGUAUGAUGCUAUGGUUCUUGCUUAAAAGCUCUUUGCUUAUCUUUUCUCUUUGCUUAAAAGCUUGUUUGGCUCUUUGAUGUUUGAGUUGUUUUCUCAUGCAAUGCUUGACGAACCGAUAUAGCAAGUGAGUAUGCGAUGACAACUUUGUGACACAAGAGACGAUACCAAUAUAUGCAACAAUGAUAUGUGGAUGAUAUGAGAAGUAUGAUCACUAAUGUGCACAAGUCUCAUUGCCGGCAAUACUCAAUGGCUAGUCUCGAUGGGUAAGGAACGCAAAGGAGUAAGGCUAUAAUGGCUAUCAAUGUAAUGGCAAGAGCGAUAUGUCCAAUACCAAGAUGAGGUUACCGGUCUUGCUUCCGAUAUGGUGUCAAAAUGGUGGCACGAAUACCAAGGUGUAGUCGAGGUUGUCAUUGUUGAUGAUGAUGUAGGACGGUGGUGAUGAUGUAGGACACGUCUGUGGCAAAGAUGGGCGGCGGUGAUGUCGAAGUUGAACCGUACCUAGAUAGCCGAAGCACAAAAGGAUAUGGUACAACACUCAAAUUCUCAAACCUCGAAGUAGCAAAUGUGUCGGAGAGCGAAACGGUCCAAAAAUGGUUGGGUUAUGCGGAAGUAUAUACGGUAUAUGGUGGGCACCGGAAACAAAAUUUGGUGAAAAAUGGACGGAAAACAGGGCGGUGGAUGGAGAUGUUGCUGCCAGGGGUCGGAUGUCCGGGUGGAAGGCCGGAUGUCCCGGGCUUGAUAGGCCGGAUGUCCGGGCUCUGGAUCCGGGGACGAACGGGAUGAACACUGCGUGGAGAGGUCAAAUCCGGGCGAAAUUCGGAGGAAUUGGUGGAUGGAAAUUGGGGGAACAAGGAUGGGAAGCUAGAUCCACUGAAAACAAAGCAAAUCCACGGAUCCAAACCAACAAAAUUAUCAACACACCAACAAAUCACAAAAAAAAUUGGGGCUAUUUUUGGUGGGGAAUUUUCGAAUUAGGACGAAAAACAACAAAACAAGGCUAGAAACACAACGAGGAGGCUCCGAAAUCGUGAUCAACGUAGCUCAUGAUACCAAGAUGAUGUAGGGUAGAACCCUAAUCGCCCGAUCUUUCACGAAAGGAGCGGAUCCCGCGAAGAACACGAGGAACACGAGGGGAAAACGAGGGAAAUCACGAUGGGAAACAUGAGAGAAUCACUCAACCAACAAGAAAUAGUCACACAUGUGCUAGAUCCUUGAGUACAUAAAGUAAGAUACACGAUCCACAAUCAACUAGGGACGAUACACGGUAACCGGUCUUUUCUGUGAGGAGGUCUUGAAGUUCUUCUCCAAAAGGAAGUCUUGAAUCCAAAGGGAUCUUCUCCGAAGAGGCCGCUAUCUCUCUCGUGGAGUAGAUCCGAUGUGGAUGAGCAAUUCUAAAAUGAGCUAAACCAAUGCUAACCCUAGAAAGUUGUACGGGGUGGAGUAUAAAUAGUCUAGGGGGGAGAAGGGAUACACGGGCCUCGGCCCUUCACUGUGCGCAAAUAGGGGAGGCCGGACGUUCGGGCUGGUCGGGCCGGAUGUCCGGGCUUUCAGGCGACGCCGGAUGUCCGGGCUGGGGGCGGAUGUCCGGGCUAGAGUGGUGGCAUUUGUUGCUCUCGGGUUCGGAGGGGCCGGAUUUCUGGGCCAGUGGCCGGAUAUCCGGGGGCUCGGGAGAGGCUGGAUGUCCGGGUUGUCGGGGCCGGAUGUCCGGGGCCUGUAUGAUGCGGAUCAUCCCAAGGUCAUCCCCAUGUACCUACCAUCAUCUCACCAAGUGCCUACCGGACCCAUGAGUCGAUCACGUGCAAGAGCCCUUGAAACCGAGGUGACAUCUCUCCUCUCACCAUUCCACUUCGAUGCACAUGAAGCAUGGCUACUACCUCAUAUGGAUACUUUGUGCAUACUCAGGUACAAUGGAGAAGCUAAGGAGCAAGGACAAGAAGAAGAGGAAGAUGGACGAGAAGACGGAGAAGAAGAAGGGCUGCCGGAAAAGUCCUAGCCACCGAACGACCGGCCAGGACCGGACGUCCGGCGCCUGAAUCAUCAGUCGAGUCGCAGCCAGCGAAUGUCCGGUUCAGACCGAACGACCAGUGCCCCGACACCCGAAGCAAAGGAGCGGACGUCCGGUCCGGACCGGAUGACCGGCGCACCUGCACCCGAACCGAAGUCAGCGGAAGACCGACGUUUCCGGACGUCCGGCACCCCCAUCAUAGAGCGGAACCAGCGGACGACCGGAGGGCACCGGACGUCCGGCAGCUCCUGAGACACCGGACGACCGGUCCCCAGCGGACGUCCGGUACCUGUCUGCGCACAGUGUUCGGGCCCGAGGCCCUUGUACCCCUUCACUUCGCCCCCAUUUGCACUUAGACUAUAAACAGACCCCCCAUUCAUCCUAGCUAGGGUUAGCAUUGGUUUAGCUCAUUUGAGAGAUAGAGCAUUGCUCAUCCAUAUCGGAUCUACUCCACGAGAGAGACCGCGGCCCCUCUUCGGAGAAGAACCACCUUGGAUUCAAGACCCCGUUACGGGAAGACCCCUUUGUGGAUUCAAGACUUCCUCACGGAGAAGAACCGAUUACCGUGUAUCGUCCCUAGUUGUCCGUGGAUUCGUGUAUCGUUCUAUGUACUCGAGGAUCUAGCCCAUGUGUGACUUAUUCAUGUCGGUUUAGUGAUUUCCUCUUGUGUUUUCCUUCCGUUCAUCCUCGUGUUCUUCGUGUUUUCCCCGGGAUCCACUCCUUUCAUGAAAGAUCGGGCGAUUAGGGUCUCCACCCUACAUCAUCUUGGUAUCAUGAGCAAGGUUGAUCACGAUUUUGGAGCCCCCCUCUUCGUUUUUCUAGCUUGAUUUUGUUGUUUUUCGUCCCAAUCCGAAAAUCCCCACAAAAAUAGCCCAAUUUUUUGUGAUUUGUUUGUUUGAUGAUGUUUUGUUGGAUUUGAUCCGUGAAUUUGUUGUGUUGCAAGUGGAUCUCGCCUUCCCCCACCAUUUCCACCUCGAAAUGCCUCCCCAAAUCCCCAAAAUCAACUUCCGGAUCUGAAAUUUCACGUUGACCCCGACCACCGGACGAUCGUUACUUCACCAGACGUCCGGCGACCCAGGAAGCACCGAACGUCCGACCUUACCGGACGACCGGCGACCGGACAUCUGUCCACUUCCGGACGACCACUACUUCCACCAUUUCAUCCGCUACACCACCACCGACUUUCCGCAAACCGUUCCAAUAUCCCAACAAGCGAACCAUGGUCUUCAACGAUGAUGGCACUUAUGAGUCCAUGAGUGCAGGCGAAAUGGAAGCCCUUGAGCAAGUCAACAUGCACCGCCAAGUGAACAAUGAAGAAGAACAAGUCUUUUGCGAUGAAGACUCAAGUCCCGCACUUGUUGUCUCCAAAGUCUUGACUCUCCAACAUCACCAGGAAGAAGACCAAAGAUGCCACAUAUUCCACACCAAGGCCGGCAUCAAAGGACGAUCCGGCAAGGUCAUCAUCGAUGGCGGAAGUUGUCAUAAUCUCGCAAGUGAAGAACUUUGCUCCAAGCUCCAAUUUCCCAAGACGAAGCAUCCACGUCCAUACAAAGUGCAAUGGCUUAGUGACUCCAGCACCAUCCAAGUCGAGCACCGAGUACAAGUCUCCUUUAAAAUCGGUGCCUACGAAGACACCUUGGAGUGCGACGUCGUUCCAAUGACCGUUUGUCAUCUUCUCCUUGGACGGCCAUGGCAAUUUGAUAGAGGAGUCGUCCACAACGGCCGUACGAACCACUACAUCUUCAAGAUGAAGGGCAAGGAGUACAUCCUCCGUCCAAUGUCGCCAAGUCAAGUGAUCGCCGACAAGCAAGCCACCCAUCGUGGAGAUCAUAGUGAGAGAGUGAGCCACCAAAAAGAGAGUGAGCGCCACAAGCCCAAAUCGAGCGUGGAGGAGCCGGGCAUGGCGGAACCAGACGCGUACGACAAGAACUUGGCGAUGGCGGCUUCCUCCUUGCAGUUCCUGCACGGACAUACCUGGGAGAAGGAGAGAGCAAUGUUGAGCGAGAGGGACAGAGAGACAACAGGAGGAGGAGAACGAAGGGAGGGAGAGGGACGAGGCCGGUCCUGGUGGCUUCUGUGGUGGACGACGGAAUCCAGGGGAGGCACCGGUUGGGAAGGUUCGAAGGCGACUGGCCGGGGCUGGAAUCAAGGAGGGAUGGGUGGAAGGAUCAGACAGAUCCCAAGGAAGGGGGAGACCAGAAGGAAAAAUCAAUGGGUGGCGGCGCUAGGAGGAUUGGACGGGCUAGGGCUAGGGUUAGGGGUUGAUCUACUUAAAUAGGUAGGGGGUAGAUCUUGGACCCUCCGAUCGUAAUCGGACAGUCAGGAAAAAAUAGGCUAGGGAGUCCAAAUGAGAAAACAGAGACGUUUUGUAGACGUUUGGGGAUGAUCCGGACACAACGAUGACGACGGUCCGGGUCGGGACAACUUACGGACGCGCGCGAGGGGGGGCUGUGGGAUGACGAGAGAGAGGUUAGGUUGGACCUGGCGGUAGGUAGUGGGCUGUGUAGACGGUCUCGAGCUGGGAGAAGAGAAGAGAGGGAGACCCGACGACUGUUUCCGGAGACCGAAAACGUCCGACGUUUGACCGACUAUAUUGUCGCUAUAGUUAAUCGUUGGGGCGUCAAACGAACUCCGAAUGCGAUGAAACUUGACAGGCGGUCUGUCUACACUAUAAUAAGACCACACGCCAACUUCCAUCCCAUUCCGAGAACAUUUUCCGGCCACUUAUAAAAUAAUAUUUCGGACAUGCCGCGGGCGCGUGCAAGUGUGUCUGGGCUGAGAACGGACAACAGAAGGAACUGGGAAAACCCGGACGAAUGCAGGUUUUGAAAACAUGAUGAUGCAAUGCACAUGAUGACAUGGCAAGAUGCAACACGCAAGCAAAUGACAUGGAAACAACAGCGAAAAACAGGAAGACACCUGGCACAUCGGUCUCGGGGCGUUACAUCCACGAUGAGGGAAAACAAGAACCUAGUUCUAUUUGCAAGAGAAGUGUGUGAGAACCCAUCUAGUGUCCUACACUACGUCCUCAUGUGCAAGGACAAUGCACCACAAACUAACACUUCUCACACUCUUCCUCUCGUGUUGUCUUCUCUUUUGCAGGAAUUUCAAGAUGUUUUCCCCGAUGAGCUACCUCUGGGUCUACCUCAUCUAUGAGGCAUUGAGCACCGAAUCGACCUCAUCCCCGGAGCACCUCUUUCGAACAGAGCUCCAUACCGCAUCAACCCCGAAGAAACCAAAGAAAUAGAAAGGCAAGUAAAACAUCUCAUCGACCAUGGACAUGUGCGUGAAAGUUUGAGCCCUUGUGCCGUCCCGGUCAUUCUUGUGCCAAAACGUGACGGUAGCUUUCGCAUGUGCUCCGAUUGUAGACCUAUCAAUGCUAUCACCGUUCGCUAUAGGUAUCCCAUUCCACGCCUAGAUGAUGUGCUUGAUGAGCUUAGCGGUGCCACUAUAUUUUCCAAAAUUGAUCUUAAGAGUGUUACUAUCAAAUCCGCAUACAAGAGGGUGAUGAAUGGAAAACCGCCUUCAAAACCAAGUUUGGUUUGUAUGAGUGGUUAGUCAUGCCUAUGGGUCUUUCGGAAGCACCGGGCACUUUUGUGCGCCUUAUGAAUCAUGUCUUUCGCCCUUACAUUGGUAUAUUUGUUGUGGUUUACUUCGAUGACAUUCUUGUGUUUAGCAAAUCUAUCAAAGAACAUGUCACCCAUGUCCGCACCAUUUUGCAAACUCUUAGAAAAGAGCGGCUCUAUGCUAAUAUGGAGAAAUACCUUUUUGGUGUUGAUAAGCUCAUUUUCUUGGGUUUUGUUGUUUCUUCUAAGGGUGUUCAUGUUGAUGAGUCCAAGAUCAAUGCUAUUCAGACUUGGCCGCAACCAACCAACUUGCAUCAAGUGCAUAUUUUUCUUGGCCUUGCGGGUUUCUAUCAUCUCUUUGUGAAGGAUUUUUGCACCAUUGCUUCGCCUUUGAAUGCUUUGAGCAAGAAGAAUGCACCUUUUGUUUGGGGACCAUCCCAACAUACCGCAUUCAAUGAGCUUAAGAAUUUGCUUACUCAUGCUCCCGUACUUGCUUUACCCAACUUCAACAAGCCUUUUGAGAUUCAUUACGAUGCUAGUGGUGAUGGCAUAGGAGGUGUGUUAACGCAAGAGAAGCGCCCCAUAGCUUACUUUAGUGAGAAACUUUCCGGAGCGCAACACAAUUAUCCCAUCUAUGACAAAGAGCUAUAUGCCUUAGUCCGCGUUUUGCAUGAAUGGGAACAUUACCUUCGUCCCCAUGAGUUUAUCAUUCAUACCGAUCAUGAGACUCUCAAGUAUCUUAAGGGACAAACCAAGUUGAACAAGCGUCAUGCUAAAUGGAGUGAAUUUAUUGAGUCUUUUCCUUAUGCCAUCAAGUACAUCAAGGGUAAAGAAAACAUUGUAGCGGAUGCUCUUUCCCGCAUAUGCAUGCUUGUUACACAACUUGAGUUAGAUGUCAUUGGCUUCAAGCAUAUCAAAGACUUGUAUGAGCAUGAUGCAACUUUUGCUACUCCUUAUGCCAAGUGUUUGUCGAAUACAUCUUGAGAACGCUAUUACAUCAAAGAUGGAUAUCUUAUGAGAGCUAACAAACUAUGCAUCCCCGAGUCCUCUCUUCGUUUGUUGCUUUUGUAGGAAUCUCAUGGAGGAGGCUUAAUGGGACUUUUCGGACACGACAAGACGUUCGCCACGCUCUCGAAGAACUACUUUUGGCCAAAGAUGUUUCGGGACAUCAAUCAUUUCACCAACCGAUGCUCUAUAUGUCGCAAAGCUAAGUCCAACGCUCAAUCUCAUGGCCUCCAUAUGCCUUUACCCAUUCCAUACCAACCAUGGGAAGACAUUAGCAUGGACUUUGUACUUUGUUUGCCUAGGACUCGAAAUGGGAAAGAUUCCAUAUUUGUCAUUGUGGACCGUUUCUCAAAAAUGGCACAUUUUAUUCCUUGCAACAAGAUAGACGAUGCUUGACAUGUUGCCAAUCUCUUUUGUAGGGAAAUAUUGCGUCUCCAUGGUGUGCCAAAGACUAUCAUCUCGGACCGCGACGUCAAGUUCCUUAGCCACUUUUGGAAGACCCUAUGCGCCAAGCUUGGAGUCAAGCUACUUUUCUCCACGGCUUACCAUCCUCGAACCGACGGCCAAAUGGAGGUGACCAACCGCACACUCUUCGCUCUACUUAGAGUGCUCAUCAAGAAGAACAUCAAGGAGUGGGAAGAGUGCCUAUCUAUCGUCGAGUUCGCCUACAACCGAGCAAGACAUUCAACAACCGACAAGUCCCCCUUCGAGGUCGUCUAUGGAUUCAACCCAUUGUCACCAUUGGACAUUCUUCCUCUACCACUCCAAGAGCGCAUCAAUUUGGACGCAAGUUGUCGGUGUCAAAACCGGGGAUCUCGGGUAGGGGGUAUCGACUGUGCGUAUAAGGCGGAUGGUAACAGGAGGCAGGGGACACGAUGUUUUACCCAGGUUUGGGCCCUCUUGAUGGAGGUAAAACCCUACGUCCUUCUUGAUUAUUCUUGAUAAUAUGAGUAGUACAAGAGUUGAUCUACCACGAGAUCAGAGAGGCUAAACCCUAGAAGCUAGCCUAUGGUAUGAUUGUAUGUUGUCCUACGGACUAAAACCCUCCGGUUUAUAUAGACACCGGAGGGGGCUAGGGUUACACAGAGUCGGUUACAAGGAAGGAGAUCUACAUAUCCGUAUUGCCAACCUUGCUUUCCACGCCAAGGAGAGUCCCAUCCGGACACGGGACGAAGUCUUCAAUCUUGUACUUUCAUAGUCCAACAAUCUGGCCAAAGGAUAUAAUCCGGCUGUCUGGAUACCCCCUAAUCCAGGACUCCCUCAGUAGCCCCCGAACCAGGCUUCAAUGACGUCAAGUCCGACACGCAGUAUUGUCUUCGGCAUUGUAAGGCGGGUUCUUCUCCAAAUUUUGAAUGUUUGUUAAGCAGUGUCCGGCCCCAUAAAUGUUGGACCUCUUGGCUUCUGCGCCCAAUAAGGGCUAUCUCCCACGCGUCGAAUGAAUAUGAGGAGCCAGGGCAUUUUACAUUCACCCCCCUAGCUAGAUAAAGAAAUUGUCUAUUAAAGGGACGUGGAUUCUUAGAUCCUAUCCAUAUCAUCCUCCCCCAGCGUGAAUCCAUCAGAGCGCGCUUCAGAAAAAUACACUCCAGCAUGGCUGACCUCCGCAGCUCCUCCUCCUGCUCCCGUAGCCCUAAGCCCGGUGAUUGGGAGAGGUGUUCUAUCCCACACUGUCGAUUAGUCAAACUGCAGACUAAGGGAUUUCUUCCUCCAGUGUAUAUGGUUCUCAUCCGAGCCAGGCUCGCCACCUACAAUGACGGGGAGCAAGCGGAGAGCUUCCCCAGCCCCUCUACGGGGGAGCGGGUAUGCCUUGUUCCUUACUUAUUAAGGGGACUCGGAUUUCUAAUUCAUCCGUUCCUCCGCGGGCUCCUGGAGUUUUAUGGCCUCCAACUGCAUAAUUUCACCCCUGCUUCCAUAUUACACAUCGCCGGCUAUGUUGCCCUCUGCGAGUUAUUCCUAGGCUGCGAGGCUCAUUUCGAGCUGUGGAAAAGGUUAUUUUGCCUCGUCCCCCGCACAAAGAGGGGUCACUUUAUCAAGUGGGCAGAGCCGAAAUAUGGCGCAUCGCCGAAACCGGAUACCUGUCCGGUACUCUGAAGAAGACGUCCGAGGGCUGGCCUUCGGAAUGGUUUUAUAUGGAGGACGUCCCCCUUCCGGACCCUGUUUGGCAGGGUCUUCCUGAGUUCAACAAUGCUCCUCUGAAGAAACGCCGAAGCUGGCACCCACGGAGCCCCCAGGAGGAAGACAAUGGAGAAGUCCUUUACCUAAUGAAUCGGAUUAAAGCGCUGGCUCAAUCAGGAUUGACAGUAAUCGAGGUUAUGUCAAUAUGCAUAAUGCGAGGAGUGCAGCCACUUCAAUAUCGAGGGAACCCCCUGUGGUGUUUUAACGGGGAAGACGAUGCCACCUGUUGCGGGCGUAAGGGUCCGGACAACGCUGCUGCUUUAGCCAAAAUCCUGUCCGAGCUAUUCAAGGGAGAGGAAGAGGAGUUCAUCCGCAUCAAGCCACGAGAUGGAUUCUCCAUGUACAACCCUCCAAGAUGGGUGAGUUAUAUCCCCUUACUCCCAUUCUUUCCACAUUCUUUGUCGUAGGUACUCACCUUGCCAUUUUACGGCAGGAACUACGAAAAGCCAUAAGGGAGGUCAACAGCCCAUCCCCACAACCAGAGGACCCCGACCGGGCCCUCGGUCCCGGACUCAAAGAAGAUCCGGACAUAUUCGUGGAGCUGAUAGACCGGCAGUUCUAUCAAUUGAGUUGUGAUGACGCCAUGGUGGCCAUUACGGCCGACUAUCCCGGACUGCUCCCUGUGUCGCUCGUAAGAAAAAACAAAAUCCCAACUCCAAAAACUAGGAUCCCCUUUUGAUACUUCACCUACCAUAUACAUAUGGUGUUUUACAGGGAAGGCAUUCGGGACGCCGUGCCGAACCCGCAGCAACUCGCCAACAAGAGGCACCAAGGCCGAGUAGGCCAAAAAGGAAGGUGGUCAGGACGGAGACGCCGACGCAGAGGUAUGACAAAAACCCCGCUCCGUGGUUGUCGUCUUUCUCAAAAUGUAAUGACGUCCAUGUUUCUUCAACAGAAAAAACGCUCGCCAGAAUAUGUCCGGUGAGGCUGCCUAUCAUGCUUCCACCAGUCGGGCUCCAGGACCGGACAUAGAGGCGAAAGCCGACAUGGGGCGGUCGCCGGAUACUCCCCCUACAGAGGAUGCGGAUAGACUAUCUGCUACAAAUUCAGAAGUGCAGAGCGCCAUGAAUCAUAGGCGUCGCCGGGCCGUACUCCGUGACGCUUGCUUCUCACUAGAGGCAUUUGAUGCCUUCAAUUCUGGAGACGCGUACCUUCGUGCUGCUCAAAAUGGUCUAGCCAGAGCCACGGACCAGUAUGUAAGGGAUGUACGGGUAAGAAAAUCUGACGAUUAUAUGUAUCAGUAGCCCCUGAGACUUGAAACAGUUAGCAGAACUGAUUUAAGGAUCAUCUAUUGAUGAGGACAUCAAUACAAUUGUUACACCCACAGCCCCUGCUGCUAUACAUACUGGACCAAUUACUAGAGCUCGUGCACGCCAACUAAAUUACCAGGUACUUUCGUUUCUUGGUAAUGAUUCUAAUGUUCAUGAGAAUAUGAUGCUGCCUAAAUUGGAUACAUUUGUUUUGCUUACAAAUGAAGGGCCUAGCUUGGAGAAGGAUGAACAUUGGAGCAAGAACAAGCAUGGAGAUGAUGGCAUGCGCAAGGGGAACAAGAACGGAGUUACAAGUGAUGAUUUCAGGACUUUGAAGCCACCAUAAUGGGUGCAUGAAGCCUUGGACGAAAUAUACAAGAUGCCACUUCAUAAAUUUCGUCCCGAGGCUAUUUUAGGUGCUGCGUCACCUUAUUAUUGGGCCAGGCCCAUGUAAUUUCGAAAUACAUAAGUAUAGGCUAUUUUUAGAGUCCGUAUGUGUGGGGAAACAAGAGAUAGGGUUGAUGUCGGACCCCUCCACCAAGGGCCACGAAAUUCCCCCCUCUUCCUCCAUAUAUACAGCCCUUAGGGCAUCGUUUAGACUUUGGGUUUUGUUUAGAUUAAAAGUUCGCCAUAGCUGCAACUUCGCGUACUUCGUUUGUGUUCAACGACCAGACAAAGGCGUCACAGAACCCCACCUUGAUCAAUAAAGCUUUCAUCUUAUAUUCGCAAUAUCCAGAUUGCAAUCUUAGUUUCUUGCUUGUUCUUCAUUUGCUCGCAGGAAACAGACCCUCGUGGUCAGGUUGAUCGUGCUCCGGCGUGGUCAAUAACCUCUCGGAGUUGGUUUAGCGAUUGCUAAGGCGCGACGUCCUCGCACGUUCGUAGUCGGAUCGUCAAAGUCGACUUCCACCAAAGCGAUAUCCAUCAUCUCAUCGAAAGACGGGACACCUUUGCCUCUAUCAAGUGGUAUCAGAUUUCCAGGUUGCUCGGUGAGAUUUUACAGUUUUUUUUAGUAGUUUAGAUCGAGUCUGUUCUUCAUACCUAUAGUCCACGAAAAAGCCACACAAAAAAAAUUAGGGUUAGUUCAUCAUAUCCGAACCAAUCUGAGCCUUGCAUAAUCUUUUUAGGGUUUUGCUUUGUUGAAUUUGCGGUUGCAUCGUCGUGUCUAGUUGCUGGUCUUAAAGUCUAGUCUUUUAGAGUUUCGAGUUCUGGUCAUAAGUUGUCACGCCGCCGCCGCACCAUCAUCAUCGCCCCUGCCAUCUACCACCACCGCACCGAAUCCGUAUCCAUAUACCACCACCAAUCCGUGUCCAUAUACCACCACCGAUCCAUAUCCAUAUACUACCACCGCUACCACCACCGCUGCCAUAUACCACCACCAUAUAUCCACCACCAAUCCGAGUUCUUUGCUUAUUAGGUUUGUUUUUGGGAUCCAUCUAGAUUCCGAUUCGUGUUUCCUUGCCGGAGUAGGUUUCAGAAAAAAAGAAAAAAAAUAGAGUCGGGUAGCCACGCUCCGUUUAGGCCCAAAAUUUUUCGAAAACGCAUUUUUCGAAAAAAAUUCUGGCUAUCCUAUUUUUAGGUGUUUCUGAGUGUUUUGAGACAGGUGCCAUUAUAGGAAGUUUUUUUUGACCCGUUUCCAAUUUUUGGGUCCGGGCAGUCGAAAAAAAAAAAUUGGUCGAAAAAAUUUCGUGCCCAUCCUGUCAGUUUGAGCUAGGAAGAGUUUUGAGACACUCGCCAUUAUAGUGAUUUUUCGCAAAAAAAAAGCAGCGCAAAAAAAAAGAGCGCAAAAAAAAGAAAAAGAAAAAAGAAAAAAGAGCGAAAAAAAAAUUCAGAGUGUGCUUUUCCCUUGUUUACGUGCCGCGCCGUGAUUUUGUUAGUGUUCUAGGCUCGCGUCUCUAGCACAGUCUAGCCUAGGACCAGCACAGUACCGUCGUUGAGCGUUUAUUCAACUUUGCAUCUCUGAAUUGAUUAUUGCUGACCCUUUUUGCUACCAUAUUAUAAGCCUUCCCAGCUCCACAUACAUCUACGUCGUGCGUUUGACUCUCCCUGGUAAUCGCUCUAUCCAAGCUUUGAGAGUUUUUGACUACAACGGUUGCCGAUCACCGCCUGCUGCUGGGUAAGAACUGGUAAGAAUUUGAGAUUUGCCUGACGGAUUUGUGACAACCACCACCACCACUUGUUGAUGAGGACAUCAAUACAAUUGUUACACCCACAGCCCCUGCUGCUAUACAUACUGGACCAAUUACUAGAGCUCGUGCACGCCAACUAAAUUACCAGGUACUUUCGUUUCUUGGUAAUGAUUCUAAUGUUCAUGAGAAUAUGAUGCUGCCUAAAUUGGAUACAUUUGUUUUGCUUACAAAUGAAGGGUCUAGCUUGGAGAAGGAUGAACAUUGGAGCAAGAACAAGCAUGGAGAUGAUGGCAUGCGCAAGGGGAACAAGAACGGAGUUACAAGUGAUGAUUUCAGGACUUUGAAGCCACCAUAAUGGGUGCAUGAAGCCUUGGACGAAAUAUACAAGAUGCCACUUCAUAAAUUUCGUCCCGAGGCUAUUUUAGGUGCUGCGUCACCUUAUUAUUGGGCCAGGCCCAUGUAAUUUCGAAAUACAUAAGUAUAGGCUAUUUUUAGAGUCCGUAUGUGUGGGGAAACAAGAGAUAGGGUUGAUUUCGGACUCCUCCACCAAGGGCCACGAAAUUCCCCCCCUCUUCCUCCAUAUAUACAGCCCUUAGGGCAUCGUUUAGACUUUGGGAUUUGUUUAGUUAAAAGUUAGCCAUUGCAACUUCGUGUACUUCGUUUGUGUCCAACGACCAGACCAAGACCGCUUCCGGAUCCCCACCAUUAUCAAUACUUCAUAUAUAUUUGCAAUAUUCAGAUUGCUUUAUCAUAUUCUUGCUCGUUCUUCGAUUGCUUGCAGGAAUAGACCUUCGUGGUCAGGCUGACCGUGCUUCCAGCAUCGUCAGUAACCUCAGGAGAUCGGUUUAGCGAUUGCUAAGGUGCAACGUCGUGCACAUUUGUAGUCGGAUCGUGAAAGUCGUCUCCAUCAAAUCGAUAGUUAUCAUCUCAUCGAAAGAUCGGGACCCUCGUCUCUAUCAAGUAGUACUUGACGCAUAAUCUCCUUCGUCUCCUCUGGAUUGGUACGGUAUGGUGCACGGUUUGGCAGUGAAGCACCGGGAAUUAAGUCAAUUUGAUGCUCAAUCCCUCGAAUAGGCGGUAAUCCCGGUGGCACGUCUUGUGGAAAGACGUCAGCGAACUCCUGCAAAAUGUUAGUGACAGCAGGAGGCAAAGAGGAAGGCACGUCCUCGAAUGAAAAUAAUGCCUCUUUGCACACAAAAGCAUAGCAAACAGAUUUGCUGAAAUCUAGCUCAUCAAUAUCAGAUUUGGUGGCAAAUAAACAUGCACUUUUCAAUUUAAUUUCAGAAGCAACACUAGAUGGUUUAUUAUUAGGCUUCAUUUGUUGCUCAAAUUCUUUUGCCACAAUCUGAUUUUCACUCUUAUUCGUCUCCUGUUUUGUUUUAUUAGCUCUAUUAAUAUCAUCUUUCAAAAUGGAAUCAGGAGUCAUAGGAAGCAAAGUAAUAUUUUUAUCCUUAUGAACAAGAGUAUAGUGAUUGUUUCUACCAUGGUGUACAGAAUUUUUAUCAAAUUGCCAUGGUCUACCAAGUAAUAAGGAACAUGCUUGCAUAGGUACCACAUCACAAUCAACAUAAUCAGCAUAUGUAGAGAUACUAAAAUGCACACGAACAGUACGUGUUACCUUAACCUUGCCACUGUUGUUGAACCAUUGGAUGUAGUAAGGAUGUGGAUGUGGUCUUGUGGUGAGAGAAAGCUUCUCCACCAUCUCCAUGCUAGCCAAGUUGUUGCAGCUCCCUCCGUCUAUGAUGAAGCGCACAGAACGUUCCUUCACAACUCCCUUGGUAUGGAACAAAUUGUGCCUCUGAUUUUGCUCAGCUUGUGUGACCUGCACACUCAAAACACGUUGAGCAACUAAACAUUCAUACCUGUCAGCGCCUUCAGGAGCCAUGUAUUGCGUCUCAUGAUCAGAAUCAUCUCCACCAUGUUCUUCACGUGUAAUAAGAGCCAAAGUCUCCUCAUCAUAGUCACUAGCGGACUCAUAUCCACCAUCCGCGGUAGCAAUCAUCACACGCGGAGAUUUGCAUUCUCUCGCAUAAUGACCUCCUCCCUUACAACGACGACAAAUAAUAUCACUUGUGUGCCCUGUUGAUGCCAUGGAAGAAGAAGAACGCUGUGCAGGCCCCGCAGGUGCGCUCUUGGCAGAUAAUGGUGGUUGUGCCUGUUUUCUUGUAUCACGGCUGUAGGUGGCACCGGAUGGAGGUGCUGGUGCAGUUGAAGUAGAAGAUGCACGUGGUGUCCAUGAUGAAGGUCGGCCUGCAGAAAAGUUAGUUCGCCCCAAUGCUUGUCGAUCCUGCACUUCACGUUCAGCUUUACAAGCAAGAUGGAAUAAACGAGUGAUAUUAGUAUACUCCUUAUAGUCUAGAAUGGUCUGAAUCUCUCUAUUUAAUCCACCCAGAAAACGUGCAAGCAUAGCUUCAUUCUCCCCAACAAUACCACAUCUAAUCAUGCCAGUUUGUAAUUCCUGAUAAUAUUCUUCUACAGAAUUUUUCCCUUGUCUUAAACGCUGCAAUUUUUGAAGCAAUUCACGUUGAUAAUAUGGUGGAACCCAACGCGUACGCAUAGCAGUUUUCAAAGCAGCCCAAGUAGUUGGAAUAGGAUAUAAUCUACAAUGUUCAGACCACCAUACACAUGCAAAACUAGUGAAAGCACAAACGGCAGCAGCAACUCGUCUCUCCUCAGGAUAUUGUAAACAUGUAAAUCGUUGUUCAGUUUCUAACUCCCAAGUAAGAUAUAUAUCAGGAACAUAUCUACCCUCAAAUGGUGGAAUAUUCAAUUUCAGUUUAGGAAUAUGGACAUCAUCUCGUACCUGAGGUGGUGGUGCAGGCCUACCAUUACGAAUAUAUACCUGAGGUCGACCUGCUGGUGGUGGUACAGGUGGCUGCAUGUAGUGUUGAUUUUGAUCAACCUCAUCAUCAUAAUCUCCAACAUAAUCAUCCUCCUCCGCAUCAGCAGCAGGAGCCACAGAAGUAUCAACAGCAGCACCAACAGUUUGGCCAAACGCAAGAGGAACACGGCUUGCUCGGCGGAGGUCUGCUUCGCGACGUGGAGGUAGUCGUUGGUGUUGUUGUUGGAGAGGUGCGUUAGGUGCAGCGGGUGGUGGUGGUGGAAGACGCGCGAGCAAUUCAUUAAACUUGUUAUCGAGCUUUGUUUCGAACGUCUUCUCAAGGCCAGUGAUCUUCUCCAUGGCCUCUUCAAAAUUGUUCAGCACAUCUUGCACCUGUUCAGUCAUCAUUUGCUGAAACUUAUCAUGAAGCUCCUUGUUCGAUAAAUUCUCCCAGUCAAUCUCGUCGGCUUGUGAUCCUGGCAUGGUUAGCAGCAAUAGAAACACACAAGAAUAUGAUCCUACAGACUACUAAGAAGUGGUGGUGGUGUAUCACAAAUCCGUCAAGCAAAUCUCAAAUUCUUACCAGUUCUUACCCAGCAGCAGGCGAUGAUCGGCAACCGUUGUAGUCAAAAACUCUCAAAGCUUGGAUAGAGCGAUUACCAGGGAGAGUCAAACACACGACGUAGAUGUAUGUGGAGCUGGGAAGGCUUAUAGUAUGGUAGCAAAAAGGGUCAGCAAUAAUCAAUUCAGAGAUGCAAAGUUGAAUAAAUGCUCAACGACGGUACUGUGCUGGUCCUAGGCUAGACUGUGCUAGAGACGCGAGCCUAGAACACCAACAAAAUCACGGCGCGGCACGUAAACAAGGGAAAAACACACUCUGAAUUUUUUUUUCGCUCUUUUUUUUUGCGCUGCUUUUUUUUGCGCUGCUUUUUUUUUGCGAAAAAUCACUAUAAUGGCGAGUGUCUCAAAACUCUUCUUAGAUCAAACUGACAGGAUGGGCACGAAAUUUUUUCGACCAAUUUUUUUUUUGACUGCCCGGACCCAAAAACUGGAAACGGGUCAAAAAAACUUCCUAUAAUGGCACCUGUCUCAAAACACUCAGAAACACCUAAAAAUAGGAUAGCCAGAAUUUUUUUCGAAAAAUGCGUUUUCGAAAAAUUUUGGGCCUAAACGGAGCGUGGCUACCCGACUUUUUUUCCCGAAACCUACUCCGGCAAGGAAACACGAAUCGGAAACUAGAUGGAUCUCGAAAACAACCCUAAUAAGCAAGGAACUCGGAUUGGUGGUGGAUAUAUGGUGGUGGUAUAUGGCAGCGGUGGUGGUAGCGGUGGUAGUAUAUGGAUAUGGAUCGGUGGUGGUAUAUGGACACGGAUUGGUGGUGGUAUAUGGAUACGGAUUCGGAGCGGUGGUGGUAGAUGGCAGGGGCGAUGAUGAUGGUGCGGCGGCGGCGUGACAACUUAUGACCAGAACUCGAAACUCUAAAAGACUAGACUCUAAGACCAGCAACUAGACACGACGAUGCAACCGCAAAUUCAACAAAGCAAAACCCUAAAAAGAUUAUGCAAAGGUGUCCCGUCUUUCGAUGAGAUGAUGGAUAUCGCUUUGGUGGCAGUCGACUUUGACGAUCCGACUACGAACGUGCGUGGACGUCGCGCCUUAGCAAUCGCUAAACCAACUCCGAGAGGUUAUUGACCACGCCAGAGCACGAUCAACCUGACCACGAGGGUCUGUUUCCUGCGAGCAAACGAAGAACAAGCAAGAAACUAAGAUUGCAAUCUGGAUAUUGCGAAUAUAUGAUGAAAGCUUUAUUGAUCAAGGUGGGGUUCUGUGACGCCUUUGUCUGGUCGUUGAACACAAACGAAGUACGCGAAGUUGCAGCUAUGGCGAACUUUUAAUCUAAACAAAACCCAAAGUCUAAACGAUGCCCUAAGGGCUGUAUAUAUGGAGGAAGAGGGGGGGAAUUUCGUGGCCCUUGGUGGAGGGGUCCGAAAUCAACCCUAUCUCUUGUUUCCCCACACAUACGGACUCUAAAAAUAGCCUAUACUUAUGUAUUUCGAAAUUACAUGGGCCUGGCCCAAUAAUAAGGUGACGCAGCACCUAAAAUAGCCUCGGGACGAAAUUUAUGAAGUGGCAUCUUGUAUAUUUCGUCCAAGGCUUCAUGCACCCAUUAUGGUGGCUUCAAAGUCCUGAAAUCAUCACUUGUAACUCCGUUCUUGUUUCCCUUGCGCAUGCCAUCAUCUCCAUGUUUGUUCUUGCUCCAAUGUUCAUCCUUCUCCAAGCUAGGCCCUUCAUUUGUAAGCAAAACAAAUGUAUCCAAUUUAGGCAGCAUCAUAUUCUCAUGAACAUUAGAAUCAUUACCAAGAAACGAAAGUACCUGGUAAUUUAGUUGGCGUGCACGAGCUCUAGUAAUUGGUCAAGUAUGUAUAGCAGCAGGGGCUGUGGGUGUAACAAUUGUAUUAAUGUCCUCAUCAUCCUCCCCUUCUUGAAAUGAAGUCAUCCUCGACGGAAGUUCAUCUUCCUCACCCAAAUAAGGCUUCAAAUCUGCAAUGUUAAAAGUGGGACUAACCCCAAAAUCUGCAGGCAGCUCAAGUUUAUAUGCAUUAUCAUUUAUUUUCUCUAACACCUUAAAGGGACCAUCAGCACGUGGCAUUAACUUUGAUUUGCGCAAAUCAGGAAAUCUAUCCUUACGCAAAUGUAACCAAACAAGAUCUCCAGGUGCAAACACAACAUGUUUUCUGCCCUUAUCUCCAGCAAGUUUAUAUUUAGCAUUCAUGCGCUCAAUGUUUUCCUUAGUUAACUCAUGCAUUUUUAAAAUCAAUUCAGCACGUUGUUUAGCAUCAAAAUUAACCUUCUCCGAAGAUGGAAGAGGCAACAAAUCAAUAGGUGCACGAGGUAGGAAACCAUACACAACUUCAAAAGGGCACAUCUUAGUAGUAGAAUGCAAUGAACGAUUAUAAGCAAAUUCAAUAUGAGGCAAGCAUUCCUCCCACAUUUUCUUAUUAUUCUUCAAAACAGCCCUAAGCAUAGUAGACAACGUUCUAUUGACUACUUCAGUUUGUCCAUCAGUUUGGGGGUGACAAGUAGUACUAAAAAGCAGUUUAGUCCCCAACUUAGCCCAUAAACAUCUCCAAAAGUGGCUAAGAAAUUUAGUACCACGAUCUGAAACAAUAGUAUUUGGCACACCAUGCAAGCGAAUAAUUUCACGAAAGAACAAAUCAGCAACAUUAACAGCAUCAUCGCUUUUAUGACAUGGUAUAAUGAUAGGGGAAAAGGUGUCCCGUCUUUCGAUGAGAUGGUGGAUUUCGCUUUGGUGGAAGUCGACUUUGACGAUCCGACUACGAACGUGCGAGGACGUCGCGCCUUAGCAAUCGCUAAACCAACUCCGAGAGGUUAUUGACCACGCCGGAGCACGAUCAACCUGACCACGAGGGUCUGUUUCCUGCGAGCAAACGAAGAACAAGCAAGAAACUAAGAUUGCAAUCUGGAUAUUGCGAAUAUAAGAUGAAAGCUUUAUUGAUCAAGGUGGGGUUCUGUGACGCCUUUGUCUAGUCGUUGAACACAAACGAAGUACGCGAAGUUGCAGCUAUGGCGAACUUUUAAUCUAUACAAAACCCAAAGUCUAAACGAUGCCCUAAGGGCUGUAUAUAUGGAGGAAGAGGGGGAGAAUUUCGUGGCCCUUGGUGGAGGGGUCCGAAAUCAACCCUAUCUCUUGUUUCCCCACACAUACGGACUCUAAAAAUAGCCUAUACUUAUGUAUUUCGAAAUUACAUGGGCCUGGCCCAAUAAUAAGGUGUCGCAGCACCUAAAAUAGCCUCGGGACGAAAUUUAUGAAGUGGCGUCUUGUAUAUUUCGUCCAAGGCUUCAUGCACCCAUUAUGGUGGCUUCAAAGUCCUGAAAUCAUCACUUGUAACUCCGUUCUUGUUUCCCUUGCGCAUGCCAUCAUCUCCAUGCUUGUUCUUGCUCCAAUGUUCAUCCUUCUCCAAGCUAGGCCCUUCAUUUGUAAGCAAAACAAAUGUAUCCAAUUUAGGCAGCAUCAUAUUCUCAUGAACAUUAGAAUCAUUACCAAGAAACGAAAGUACCUGGUAAUUUAGUUGGCGUGCACGAGCUCUAGUAAUUGGUCCAGUAUGUAUAGCAGCAGGGGCUGUGGGUGUAACAAUUGUAUUGAUGUCCUCAUCAAUACUAUAAGCCUUCCCAGCUCCACAUACAUCUACGUCGUGUGUUUGACUCUCCCUGGUAAUCGCUCUAUCCAAGCUUUGAGAGUUUUUGACUACAACGGUUGCCGAUCACCGCCUGCUGCUGGGUAAGAACUGGUAAGAAUUUGAGAUUUGCUUGACGGAUUUGUGAUACACCACCACCACUUCUUAGUAGUCUGUAGGAUCAUAUUCUUGUGUGUUUCUAUUGCUGCUAACCAUGCCAGGAUCACAAGCCGACGAGAUUGACUGGGAGAAUUUAUCGAACAAGGAGCUUCAUGAUAAGUUUCAGCAAAUGAUGACUGAACAGGUGCAAGAUGUGCUGAACAAUUUUGAAGAGGCCAUGGAGAAGAUCACUGGCCUUGAGAAGACGUUCGAAACAAAGCUCGAUAACAAGUUUAAUGAAUUGCUCGCGCGUCUUCCACCACCACCACCCGCUGCACCUAACGCACCUCUCCAACAACAACACCAACGACUACCUCCACGUCGCGAAGCAGACCUCCGCCGAGCAAGCCGUGUUCCUCUUGCGUUUGGCCAAACUGUUGGUGCUGCUGUUGAUACUUCUGUGGCUCCUGCUGCUGAUGCGGAGGAGGAUGAUUAUGUUGGAGAUUAUGAUGAUGAGGUUGAUCAAAAUCAACACUACAUGCAGCCACCUGUACCACCACCAGCAGGUCGACCUCAGGUAUAUAUUCGUAAUGGUAGGCCUGCACCACCACCUCAGGUACGAGAUGAUGUCCAUAUUCCUAAACUGAAAUUGAAUAUUCCACCAUUUGAGGGUAGAUAUGUUCCUGAUAUAUAUCUUACUUGGGAGUUAGAAACUGAACAACGAUUUACAUGUUUACAAUAUCCUGAGGAGAGACGAGUUGCUGCUGCCGUUUGUGCUUUCACUAGUUUUGCAUGUGUAUGGUGGUCUGAACAUUGUAGAUUAUAUCCUAUUCCAACUACUUGGGCUGCUUUGAAAACUGCUAUGCGUACGCGUUGGGUUCCACCAUAUUAUCAACGUGAAUUGCUUCAAAAAUUGCAGCGUUUAAGACAAGGGAAAAAUUCUGUAGAAGAAUAUUAUCAGGAAUUACAAACUGGCAUGAUUAGAUGUGGUAUUGUUGAGGAGAAUGAAGCUAUGCUUGCACGUUUUCUGGGUGGAUUAAAUAGAGAGGUUCAGACCAUUCUAGACUAUAAGGAGUAUACUAAUAUCACUCGUUUAUUCCAUCUUGCUUGUAAAGCUGAACGUGAAGUGCAGGAUCGACAAGCAUUGGGGCGAACUAACUUUUCUGCAGGCCGACCUUCAUCAUGGACACCACGUGCAUCUUCUACUUCAACUGCACCAGCACCUCCAUCCGGUGCCACCUCCAGCCGUGAUACAAGAAAACAGGCACAACCACCAUUAUCUGCCAAGAGCGCACCUGCGGGGCCUGCACAGCGUUCUUCUUCUUCCAUGGCAUCAACAGGGCACACAAGUGAUAUUAUUUGUCGUCGUUGUAAGGGAGGAGGUCAUUAUGCGAGAGAAUGCAAAUCUCCGCGUGUGAUGAUUGCUACCGCGGAUGGUGGAUAUGAGUCUGCUAGUGACUAUGAUGAGGAGACUUUGGCUCUUAUUACACGUGAAGAACAUGGUGGAGAUGAUUCUGAUCAUGAGACGCAAGACAUGGCUCCUGAAGACGCUGACAGGUAUGAAUGUUUAGUUUCUCAACGUGUUUUGAGUGUGCAGGUCACACAAGCUGAGCAAAAUCAGAGGCACAAUUUGUUCCAUACCAAGGGAGUUGUGAAGGAACGUUCUGUGCGCGUUAUCAUAGACGGAGGGAGCUGCAACAACUUGGCUAGCAUGGAGAUGGUGGAGAAGCUUUCUCUCACCACAAGACCACAUCCACAUCCUUACUACAUCCAAUGGUUCAACAACAGCGGCAAGGUUAAGGUAACACGUACUAUUCGUGUGCAUUUUAGUAUCUCUACAUAUGCUGAUUAUGUUGAUUGUGAUGUGGUACCUAUGCAAGCAUGUUCCUUAUUACUUGGUAGACCAUGGCAAUUUGAUAAAAAUUCUGUACACCAUGGUAGAAACAAUCACUAUACUCUUGUUCAUAAGGAUAAAAAUAUUACUUUGCUUCCUAUGACUCCUGAUUCCAUUUUGAAAGAUGAUAUUAAUAGAGCUAAUAAAGCACAACAGGAGAAGAAUAAGAGUGAAAAUCAGAUUGUGGCAAAAGAAUUUGAGCAACAAAUGAAGCCUAAUAAUAAGCCAUCUAGUGUUGCUUCUGAAAUUAAAUUGAAAAGUGCAUGUUUAUUUGCCACCAAAUCUGAUAUUGAUGAGCUAGAUUUCAGCAAAUCUGUUUGCUAUGCUUUUGUGUGCAAAGAGGCAUUAUUUUCAUUCGAGGACGUGCCUUCCUCUUUGCCUCCUGCUGUCACUAACAUUUUGCAGGAGUUCGCUGACGUUUUUCCACAAGACGUGCCACCGGGAUUACCGCCUAUUCGAGGGAUUGAGCAUCAGAUUGACUUAAUUCCCGGUGCUUCACUGCCAAACCGUUCACCGUACCGUACCAAUCCAGAGGAGACGAAGGAGAUUAUGCGUCAAGUACAAGAGCUUCUCGACAAAGGUUAUAUACGCGAAUCCCUUAGUCCUUGUGCUGUUCCUAUUAUUCUAGUGCCGAAAAAGGAUGGUACAUCACGUAUGUGUGUUGAUUGUAGAGGCAUUAAUAAUAUUACUAUUCGUUAUCAUCAUCCUAUUCCUAGGCUAGAUGAUAUGCUUGAUGAAUUGAGUGGCUCUUCAAUAUUCUCCAAAGUUGAUUUGCGUAGUGGCUACCAUCAAAUUCGUAUGAAAUUGGGAGAUGAAUGGAAAACAGCAUUUAAAACUAAGUUUGGAUUAUGUGAGUGGUUAGUCAUGCCUUUUGGGUUAACUAAUGCACCUAGUACUUUCAUGAGAUUAAUGAACGAAGUUUUACGUGCUUUCAUUGGACGAUUUGUGGUAACUUUGAUGACAUAUUGAUUUAUAGCAGAUCUUUGGAGGAACAUUUGGAACAUUUACGUGCUGUUUUUAUUGCUCUACGUGAUGCACGUUUGUUUGGUAACCUUGGGAAGUGCACCUUUUGCACCGACCGAGUAUCUUUUCUUGGCUAUGUUGUUAUUCCACAGGGAAUUGAAGUUGAUAAAGCCAAGAUUGAAGCUAUUGAGAGUUGGCCGCAGCCCAAAACGGUCACACAAGUGAGGAGUUUUCUUGGCCUCGCUGGAUUCUAUAGGCGUUUUGUGAGAGAUUUCAGCACCAUUGCUGCACCUCUCAAUGAGCUUACAAAGAAAGAUGUGCCUUUUCUUUGGGGUACCGCACAGGAAGAAGCCUUCACGGUAUUGAAAGAUAAGUUGACACAUGCUCCUUUACUCCAACUUCCUGAUUUUAAUAAGACUUUUGAGCUUGAAUGUGAUGCUAGUGGAAUUGGAUUAGGAGGUGUGUUAUUACAAGAUGGCAAACCUGUUGCUUACUUUUCUGAAAAAUUGAGUGGGCCUAGUCUGAAUUAUUCUACUUAUGAUAAAGAAUUAUAUGCUCUUGUUCGGACUUUAGAAAGAUGGCAACAUUAUUUAUGGCCCAAAGAAUUUGUUACACAUUCUGAUCAUGAAUCUUUGAAACAUAUUAAAAGUCAAGCUAAAGUGAAUCGUAGACAUGCUAAAUGGGUGGAAUUCAUUGAGACUUUCCCUUAUGUAAUUAAACACAAGAAGGGAAAAGAAAAUGUUAUUGCCGAUGCAUUGUCUCGUCGCUAUACUAUGCUUUCACAACUUGACUUCAAAAUAUUUGGUUUGGAUACCAUCAAAGAUCAAUAUGUGCAUGAUGCUGAUUUUAAAGAUGUAAUGCAGAAUUGUAAAGAAGGAAGAAUGUGGAACAAGUUUGUUGUUAACGAUGGAUUUGUGUUUCGUGCUAACAAGCUAUGCAUUCCAGCUAGCUCCAUUCGUCUUUUGUUGUUGCAGGAGGCGCAUGGAGGAGGAUUAAUGGGACACUUUGGCGUGAAGAAGACGGAGGACGUACUUGCUACACAUUUCUUUUGGCCAAAGAUGAGACGGGAUGUUGAGCGUUUUAUUGCUCGCUGCACUACAUGUCAAAAAGCUAAGUCACGACUCAAUCCUCAUGGUUUAUAUAUGCCUUUGCAUGUACCUAGUGUUCCUUGGGAGGAUAUAUCUAUGGACUUUGUUUUAGGUUUACCUCGAACAAAGAAGGGGAGGGAUAGCAUAUUUGUUGUCGUGGAUAGAUUCUCGAAAAUGGCACACUUUAUACCAUGUCAUAAAAGCGAUGAUGCUGUUAAUGUUGCUGAUUUGUUCUUUCGUGAAAUUAUUCGCUUGCAUGGUGUGCCAAAUACUAUUGUUUCAGAUCGUGAUAGUAAAUUUCUUAGCCACUUUUGGGGAUGUUUAUGGGCUAAGUUGGGGACUAAACUGCUUUUUAGUACUACUUGUCACCCCCAAACUGAUGGACAAACUGAAGUAGUCAAUAGAACGUUGUCUACUAUGCUUAGGGCUGUUUUGAAGAAUAAUAAGAAAAUGUGGGAGGAAUGCUUGCCUCAUAUUGAAUUUGCUUAUAAUCGUUCAUUGCAUUCUACUACUAAGAUGUGCCCUUUUGAAGUUGUGUAUGGUUUCCUACCUCGUGCACCUAUUGAUUUGUUGCCUCUUCCAUCUUCGGAGAAGGUUAAUUUUGAUGCUAAACAACGUGCUGAAUUGAUUUUAAAAAUGCAUGAGUUAACUAAGGAAAACAUUGAGCGCAUGAAUGCUAAAUAUAAACUUGCUGGAGAUAAGGGUAGAAAACAUGUUGUGUUUGCACCUGGAGAUCUUUGGUUACAUUUGCGUAAGGAUAGAUUUCCUGAUUUGCGCAAAUCAAAGCUAAUGCCACGUGCUGAUGGUCCCUUUAAGGUGUUAGAGAAAAUAAAUGAUAAUGCAUAUAAACUUGAGCUGCCUGCAGAUUUUGGGGUUAGUCCCACUUUUAACAUUGCAGAUUUGAAGCCUUAUUUGGGUGAGGAAGAUGAACUUCCGUCGAGGACGACUUCAUUUCAAGAAGGGGAGGAUGAUGAGGACAUCAAUACAAUUGUUACACCCACAGCCCCUGCUGCUAUACAUACUGGACCAAUUACUAGAGCUCGUGCACGCCAACUAAAUUACCAGGUACUUUCGUUUCUUGGUAAUGAUUCUAAUGUUCAUGAGAAUAUGAUGCUGCCUAAAUUGGAUACAUUUGUUUUGCUUACAAAUGAAGGGCCUAGCUUGGAGAAGGAUGAACAUUGGAGCAAGAACAAGCAUGGAGAUGAUGGCAUGCGCAAGGGGAACAAGAACGGAGUUACAAGUGAUGAUUUCAGGACUUUGAAGCCACCAUAAUGGGUGCAUGAAGCCUUGGACGAAAUAUACAAGAUGCCACUUCAUAUAUUUCGUCCCGAGGCUAUUUUAGGUGCUGCGUCACCUUAUUAUUGGGCCAGGCCCAUGUAAUUUCGAAAUACAUAAGUAUAGGCUAUUUUUAGAGUCCGUAUGUGUGGGGAAACAAGAGAUAGGGUUGAUUUCGGACUCCUCCACCAAGGGCCACGAAAUUACCCCCUCUUCCUCCAUAUAUACAGCCCUUAGGGCAUCGUUUAGACUUUGGGUUUUGUUUAGAUUAAAAGUUCGCCAUAGCUGCAACUUCGCGUACUUCGUUUGUGUUCAACGACCAGACAAAGGCGUCACAGAACCCCACCUUGAUCAAUAAAGCUUUCAUCUUAUAUUCGCAAUAUCCAGAUUGCAAUCUUAGUUUCUUGCUUGUUCUUCGUUUGCUCGCAGGAAACAGACCCUCGUGGUCAGGUUGAUCGUGCUCCGGCGUGGUCAAUAACCUCUCGGAGUUGGUUUAGCGAUUGCUAAGGCGCGACGUCCUCGCACGUUCGUAGUCGGAUCGUCAAAGUCGACUUCCACCAAAGCGAAAUCCACCAUCUCAUCGAAAGACGGGACACCUUUGCCUCUAUCACUACAUGUCAAAAAGCUAAGUCACGACUCAAUCCUCAUGGUUUAUAUAUGCCUUUGCCUGUACCUAGUGUUCCUUGGGAGGAUAUAUCUAUGGACUUUGUUUUAGGUUUACCUCGAACAAAGAAGGGGAGGGAUAGCAUAUUUGUUGUCGUGGAUAGAUUCUCGAAAAUGGCACACUUUAUACCAUGUCAUAAAAGCGAUGAUGCUGUUAAUGUUGCUGAUUUGUUCUUUCGUGAAAUUAUUCGCUUGCAUGGUGUGCCAAAUACUAUUGUUUCAUAUCGUGAUACUAAAUUUCUUAGCCACUUUUGGAGAUGUUUAUGGGCUAAGUUGGGGACUAAACUGCUUUUUAGUACUACUUGUCACCCCCAAACUGAUGGACAAACUGAAGUAGUCAAUAGAACAUUGUCUACUAUGCUUAGGGCUGUUUUGAAGAAUAAUAAGAAAAUGUGGGAGGAAUGCUUGCCUCAUAUUGAAUUUGCUUAUAAUCGUUCAUUGCAUUCUACUACUAAGAUGUGCCCUUUUGAAGUUGUGUAUGGUUUCCUACCUCAUGCACCUAUUGAUUUGUUGCCUCUUCCAUCUUCGGAGAAGGUUAAUUUUGAUGCUAAACAACGUGCUGAAUUGAUUUUAAAAAUGCAUGAGUUAACUAAGGAAAACAUUGAGCGGAUGAAUGCUAAAUAUAAACUUGCUGGAGAUAAGGGUAGAAAACAUGUUGUGUUUGCACCUGGAGAUCUUGUUUGGUUACAUUUGCGUAAGGAUAGAUUUCCCGAUUUGCGCAAGUCAAAGCUAAUGCCACGUGCUGAUGGUCCCUUUAAGGUGUUAGAGAAAAUAAAUGAUAAUGCAUAUAAACUUGAGCUGCCUGUAGAUUUUGGGGUUAGUCCCACUUUUAACAUUGCAGAUUUGAAGCCUUAUUUGGGUGAGGAAGAUGAACUUCCGUCGAGGACGACUUCAUUUCAAGAAGGGGAGGAUGAUGAGGACAUCAAUACAAUUGUUACACCCACAGCCCCUGCUGCUAUACAUACUGGACCAAUUACUAUAGCUCGUGCACGCCAACUAAAUUACCAGGUACUUUCGUUUCUUGGUGAUGAUUCUAAUGUUCAUGAGAAUAUGAUGCUGCCUAAAUUGGAUACAUUUGUUUUGCUUACAAAUGAAGGGUCUAGCUUGGAGAAGGAUGAACAUUGGAGCAAGAACAAGCAUGAAGAUGAUGGCAUGCGCAAGGGGAACAAGAACGGAGUUACAAGUGAUGAUUUCAGGACUUUGAAGCCACCAUAAUGGGUGCAUGAAGCCUUGGACGAAAUAUACAAGAUGCCACUUCAUAAAUUUCGUCCCGAGGCUAUUUUAGGUGCUGUGUCACCUUAUUAUUGGGCCAGGCCCAUGUAAUUUCGAAAUACAUAAGUAUAGGCUAUUUUUAGAGUCCGUAUGUGUGGGGAAACAAGAGAUAGGGUUGAUUUCGGACCCCUCCACCAAGGGCCACGAAAUUCCCCCCUCUUCCUCCAUAUAUACAGCCCUUAGGGCAUCGUUUAGACUUUGGGUUUUGUUUAGAUUAAAAGUUCGUCAUAGCUGCAACUUCGCGUACUUCGUUUGUGUUCAACGACCAGACAAAGGCGUCACAGAACCCCACCUUGAUCAAUAAAGCUUUCAUCUUAUAUUCGCAAUAUCCAGAUUGCAAUCUUAGUUUCUUGCUUGUUCUUCGUUUGCUCGCAGGAAACAGACCCUCGUGGUCAGGUUGAUCGUGCCCCGGCGUGGUCAAUAACCUCUCGGAGUUGGUUUAGCGAUUGCUAAGGCGCGACGUCCUCGCACGUUCGUAGUCGGAUCGUCAAAGUCGACUUCCACCAAAGCGAAAUCCACCAUCUCAUCGAAAGACGGGACACCUUUGCCUCUAUCACUUGUUCGUAGUCUGUAGGAUCAUAUUCUUGUGUGUUUCUAUUGCUGCUAACCAUGCCAGGAUCACAAGCCGACGAGAUUGACUGGGAGAAUUUAUCGAACAAGGAGCUUCAUGAUAAGUUUCAGCAAAUGAUGACUGAACAGGUGCAAGAUGUGCUGAACAAUUUUGAAGAGGCCAUGGAGAAGAUCACUGGCCUUGAGAAGACGUUCGAAACAAAGCUCGAUAACAAGUUUAAUGAAUUGCUCGUGCGUCUUCCACCACCACCACCCGCUGCACCUAACGCACCUCUCCAACAACAACAACAACGACUACCUCCACAUCGCGAAGCAGACCUCCGCCGAGCAAGCCGUGUUCCUCUUGCGUUUGGCCAAACUGUUGGUGCUGCUGUCGAUACUUCUGUGGCUCCUGCUGCUGAUGCGGAGGAGGAUGAUUAUGUGGGAGAUUAUGAGGAUGAGGUUGAUCAAAAUCAACACUACGUGCAGCCACCUGUACCACCACCAGCAGGUCGACCUCAGGUAUAUAUUCGUAAUGGUAGGCCUGCACCACCACCUGGUACGAGAUGAUGUCCAUAUUCCUAAACUGAAAUUGAAUAUUCCACCAUUUGAGGGUAGAUAUGUUCCUGAUAUAUAUCUUACUUGGGAGUUAGAAACUGCACAACGAUUUACAUGUUUACAAUAUCCUGAGGAGAGACGAGUUGCUGCUGCCGUUUGUGCUUUCACUAGUUUUGCAUGUGUAUGGUGGUCUGAACAUUGUAGAUUAUAUCCUAUUCCAACUACUUGGGCUGCUUUGAAAACUGCUAUGCGUACGCGUUGGGUUCCACCAUAUUAUCAACGUGAAUUGCUUCAAAAAUUGCAGCGUUUAAGACAAGGGAAAAAUUCUGUAGAAGAAUAUUAUCAGGAAUUACAAACUGGCAUGAUUAGAUGUGGUAUUGUUGAGGAGAAUGAAGCUAUGCUUGCACGUUUUCUGGGUGGAUUAAAUAGAGAGAUUCAGACCAUUCUAGACUAUAAGGAGUAUACUAAUAUCACUCGUUUAUUCCAUCUUGCUUGUAAAGCUGAACGUGAAGUGCAGGAUCGACAAGCAUUGGGGCGAACUAACUUUUCUGCAGGCCGACCUUCAUCAUGGACACCACGUGCAUCUUCUACUUCAACUGCACCAGCACCGCCAUCCGGUGCCACCUCCAGCCGUGAUACAAGAAAACAGGCACAACCACCAUUAUCUGCCAAGAGCGCACCUGCGGGGCCUGCACAGCGUUCUUCUUCUUCCAUGGCAUCAACAGGGCACACAAGUGAUAUUAUUUGUCGUCGUUGUAAGGGAGGAGGUCAUUAUGCGAGGGAAUGCAAAUCUCCGCGUGUGAUGAUUGCUACCGCGGAUGGUGGAUAUGAGUCCGCUAGUGACUAUGAUGAGGAGACUUUGGCUCUUAUUACACGUGAAGAACAUGGUGGAGAUGAUUCUGAUCAUGAGACGCAAUACAUGGCUCCUGAAGACGCUGACAGGUAUGAAUGUUUAGUUGCUCAACGUGUUUUGAGUGUGCAGGUCACACAAGAUGAGCAAAAUCAUAGGCACAAUUUGUUCCAUACCAAGGGAGUUGUGAAGGAACGUUCUGUGCGCGUCAUAAUAGACGGAGGGAGCUGCAACAACUUGGCUAGCAUGGAGAUGGUGGAGAAGCUUUCUCUCACCACAAGACCACAUCCACAUCCUUACUACAUCCAAUGGUUCAACAACAGCGGCAAGGUUAAGGUAACACGUACUGUUCGUGUGCAUUUUAGUAUCUCUACAUAUGCUGAUUAUGUUGAUUGUGAUGUGGUACCUAUGCAAGCAUGUUCCUUAUUACUUGGUAGACCAUGGCAAUGUGAUAAAAAUUCUGUACACCAUGGUAGAAACAAUCACUAUACUCUUGUUCAUAAGGAUAAAAAUAUUACUUUGCUUCCUAUGACUCCUGAUUCCAUUUUGAAAGAUGAUAUUAAUAGAGCUAAUAAAGCAAAACAGGAGACGAAUAAGAGUGAAAAUCAGAUUGUGGCAAAAGAAUUUGAGCAACAAAUGAAGCCUAAUAAUAAACCAUCUAGUGUUCCUUCUGAAAUUAAAUUGAAAAGUGCAUGUUUAUUUGCCACCAAAUCUGAUAUUGAUGAGCUAGAUUUCAGCAAAUCUGUUUGCUAUGCUUUUGUGUGCAAAGAGGCAUUAUUUUCGUUCGAGGACGUGCCUUCCUCUUUGCCUCCUGCUGUCACUAACAUUUUGCAGGAGUUCGCUGACGUCUUUCCACAAGACGUGCCACCGGGAUUACCGCCUAUUCGAGGGAUUGAGCAUCAAAUUGACUUAAUUCCCGGUGCUUCACUGCCAAACCGUGCACCAUACCGUACCAAUCCAGAGGAGACGAAGGAGAUUAUGCGUCAAGUACAAUAGCUUCUCGACAAAGGUUAUAUACGCGAAUCCCUUAGUCCUUGUGCUGUUCCUAUUAUUCUAGUGCCGAAAAAGGAUGGUACAUCACGUAUGUGUGUUGAUUGUAGAGGCAUUAAUAAUAUUACUAUUCGUUAUCGUCAUCCUAUUCCUAGGCUAGAUGAUAUGCUUGAUGAAUUGAGUGGCUCUACAAUAUUCUCCAAAGUUGAUUUGCGUAGUGGAUACCAUCAAAUUCGUAUGAAAUUGGGAGAUGAAUGGAAAACAGCAUUUAAAACUAAGUUUGGAUUAUAUGAGUGGUUAGUCAUGCCUUUUGGGUUAACUAAUGCGCCUAGUACUUUCAUGAGACUAAUGAACGAAGUUUUACGUGCUUUCAUUGGACGAUUUGUGGUAGUCUAUUUUGAUGAUAUACUGAUUUAUAGCAGAUCUUUAGAAGAACAUUUGGAACAUUUACGUGCUGUUUUUAUUGCUCUACGUGAUGCACGUUUGUUUGGUAACCUUGGGAAGUGCACCUUUUGCACCGACCGAGUAUCUUUUCUUGGCUAUGUUGUUACUCCACAGGGAAUUGAAGUUGACAAAGCCAAGAUUGAAGCUAUUGAGAGUUGGCCGCAGCCCAAAACGGUCACACAAGUGAGGAGUUUUCUUGGCCUCGCUGGAUUCUAUAGGCGUUUUGUGAGAGAUUUCAGCACCAUUGCUGCACCUCUCAACGAGCUUACAAAGAAGGAUGUGCCUUUUGUUUGGGGUACCGCACAGGAAGAAGCCUUCACGGUAUUGAAAGAUAAGUUGACACAUGCUCCUUUACUCCAACUUCCUGAUUUUAAUAAGACUUUUGAGCUUGAAUGUGAUGCUAGUGGAAUUGGAUUAGGACGUGUGUUAUUACAAGAUGGCAAACCUGUUGCAUACUUUUCUGAAAAAUUGAGUGGGCCUAGUCUGAAUUAUUCUACUUAUGAUAAAGAAUUAUAUGCUCUUGUUCGGACUUUAGAAACAUGGCAACAUUAUUUAUGGCCCAAAGAAUUUGUUAUACAUUCUGAUCAUGAAUCUUUGAAACAUAUUAAAAGUCAAGCUAAACUGAACCGUAGACAUGCUAAAUGGGUUGAAUUCAUUGAGACUUUUCCUUAUGUCAUUAAACACAAGAAGGGAAAAGAAAAUGUUAUUGCUGAUGCAUUGUCUCGCCGCUAUACUAUGCUUUCACAACUUGACUUCAAAAUAUUUGGUUUGGAAACCAUCAAAGAUCAAUAUGUGAAUGUUGCUGAUUUGUUCUUUCGUGAAAUUAUUCGCUUGCAUGGUGUGCCAAAUACUAUUGUUUCAGAUCGUGAUACUAAAUUUCUUAGCCACUUUUGGAGAUGUUUAUGGGCUAAGUUGGGGACUAAACUGCUUUUUAGUACUACUUGUCACCCCCAAACUGAUGGACAAACUGAAGUAGUCAAUAGAACAUUGUCUACUAUGCUUAGGGCUGUUUUGAAGAAUAAUAAGAAAAUGUGGGAGGAAUGCUUGCCUCAUAUUGAAUUUGCUUAUAAUCGUUCAUUGCAUUCUACUACUAAGAUGUGCCCUUUUGAAGUUGUGUAUGGUUUCCUACCUCAUGCACCUAUUGAUUUGUUGCCUCUUCCAUCUUCGGAGAAGGUUAAUUUUGAUGCUAAACAACGUGCUGAAUUGAUUUUAAAAAUGCAUGAGUUAACUAAGGAAAACAUUGAGCGGAUGAAUGCUAAAUAUAAACUUGCUGGAGAUAAGGGUAGAAAACAUGUUGUGUUUGCACCUGGAGAUCUUGUUUGGUUACAUUUGCGUAAGGAUAGAUUUCCCGAUUUGCGCAAGUCAAAGCUAAUGCCACGUGCUGAUGGUCCCUUUAAGGUGUUAGAGAAAAUAAAUGAUAAUGCAUAUAAACUUGAGCUGCCUGUAGAUUUUGGGGUUAGUCCCACUUUUAACAUUGCAGAUUUGAAGGCUUAUUUGGGUGAGGAAGAUGAACUUCCGUCGAGGACGACUUCAUUUCAAGAAGGGGAGGAUGAUGAGGACAUCAAUACAAUUGUUACACCCACAGCCCCUGCUGCUAUACAUACUGGACCAAUUACUAGAGCUCGUGCACGCCAACUAAAUUACCAGGUACUUUCAUUUCUUGGUAAUGAUUCUAAUGUUCAUGAGAAUAUGAUGCUGCCUAAAUUGGAUACAUUUGUUUUGCUUACAAAUGAAGGGUCUAGCUUGGAGAAGGAUGAACAUUGGAGCAAGAACAAGCAUGGAGAUGAUGGCAUGCGCAAGGGGAACAAGAACGGAGUUACAAGUGAUGAUUUCAGGACUUUGAAGCCACCAUAAUGGGUGCAUGAAGCCUUGGACGAAAUAUACAAGAUGCCACUUCAUAAAUUUCGUCCCGAGGCUAUUUUAGGUGCUGCGUCACCUUAUUAUUGGGCCAGGCCUAUGUAAUUUCGAAAUACAUAAGUAUAGGCUAUUUUUAGAGUCCGUAUGUGUGGGGAAACAAGAGAUAGGGUUGAUUUCGGACCCCUCCACCAAGGGCCACGAAAUUCCCCCCUCUUCCUCCAUAUAUACAGCCCUUAGGGCAUCGUUUAGACUUUGGGUUUUGUUUAGAUUAAAAGUUCGCCAUAGCUGCAACUUCGCGUACUUCGUUUGUGUUCAACGACCAGACAAAGGCGUCACAGAACCCCACCUUGAUCAAUAAAGCUUUCAUCUUAUAUUCGCAAUAUCCAGAUUGCAAUCUCAGUUUCUUGCUUGUUCUUCGUUUGCUCGCAGGAAACAGACCCUCGUGGUCAGGUUGAUCGUGCUCCGGCGUGGUCAAUAACCUCUCGGAGUUGGUUUAGCGAUUGCUAAGGCGCGACGUCCUCGCACGUUCGUAGUCGGAUCGUCAAAGUCGACUUCCACCAAAGCGAAAUCCACUAUCUCAUCGAAAGACGGGACACCUUUGCCUCUAUCAAGAAGCUUUCUCUCACCACAAGACCACAUCCACAUCCUUACUACAUCCAAUGGUUCAACAACAGCGGCAAGGUUAAGGUAACACGUACUGUUCGUGUGCAUUUUAGUAUCUCUACAUAUGCUGAUUAUGUUGAUUGUGAUGUGGUACCUAUGCAAGCAUGUUCCUUAUUACUUGGUAGACCAUGGCAAUUUGAUAAAAAUUCUGUACACCAUGGUAGAAACAAUCACUAUACUCUUGUUCAUAAGGAUAAAAAUAUUACUUUGCUUCCUAUGACUCCUGAUUCCAUUUUGAAAGAUGAUAUUAAUAGAGCUAAUAAAGCAAAAUAGGAGACGAAUAAGAGUGAAAAUCAGAUUGUGGCAAAAGAAUUUGAGCAACAAAUGAAGCCUAAUAAUAAACCAUCUAGUGUUGCCUCUGAAAUUAAAUUGAAAAGUGCAUGUUUAUUUGCCACCAAAUCUGAUAUUGAUGAGCUAGAUUUCAGCAAAUCUGUUUGCUAUGCUUUUGUGUGCAAAGAGGCAUUAUUUUCAUUCGAGGACGUGCCUUCCUCUUUGCCUCCUGCUGUCACUAACAUUUUGCAGGAGUUCGCUGACGUCUUUCCACAAGACGUGCCACCGGGAUUACCGCCUAUUCGAGGGAUUGAGCAUCAGAUUGACUUAAUUCCCGGUGCUUCACUGCCAAACCGUGCACCAUACCGUACCAAUCCAGAGGAGACGAAGGAGAUUAUGCGUCAAGUACAAUAGCUUCUCGACAAAGGUUAUAUACGCGAAUCCCUUAGUCCUUGUGCUGUUCCUAUUAUUCUAGUGCCGAAAAAGGAUGGUACAUCACGUAUGUGUGUUGAUUGUAGAGGCAUUAAUAAUAUUACUAUUCGUUAUCGUCAUCCUAUUCCUAGGCUAGAUGAUAUGCUUGAUGAAUUGAGUGGCUCUACAAUAUUCUCCAAAGUUGAUUUGCGUAGUGGAUACCAUCAAAUUCGUAUGAAAUUGGGAGAUGAAUGGAAAACAGCAUUUAAAACUAAGUUUGGAUUAUAUGAGUGGUUAGUCAUGCCUUUUGGGUUAACUAAUGCGCCUAGUACUUUCAUGAGACUAAUGAACGAAGUUUUACGUGUUUUCAUUGGACGAUUUGUGGUAGUCUAUUUUGAUGAUAUACUGAUUUAUAGCAGAUCUUUGGAAGAACAUUUGGAACAUUUACGUGUUGUUUUUAUUGCUCUACGUGAUGCACGUUUGUUUGGUAACCUUGGGAAGUGCACCUUUUGCACCGACCGAGUAUCUUUUCUUGGCUAUGUUGUUACUCCACAGGGAAUUGAAGUUGACAAAGCCAAGAUUGAAGCUAUUGAGAGUUGGCCAUAGCCCAAAACGGUCACACAGGUGAGGAGUUUUCUUGGCCUCGCUGGAUUCUAUAGGCGUUUUGUGAGAGAUUUCAGCACCAUUGCUGCACCUCUCAAUGAGCUUACAAAGAAAGAUGUGCCUUUUCUUUGGGGUACCGCACAGGAAGAAGCCUUCACGGUAUUGAAAGAUAAGUUGACACAUGCUCCUUUACUCCAACUUCCUGAUUUUAAUAAGACUUUUGAGCUUGAAUGUGAUGCUAGUGGAAUUGGAUUAGGAGGUGUGUUAUUACAAGAUGGCAAACCUGUUGCUUACUUUUCUGAAAAAUUGAGUGGGCCUAGUCUGAAUUAUUCUACUUAUGAUAAAGAAUUAUAUGCUCUUGUUCGGACUUUAGAAACAUGGCAACAUUAUUUAUGGCCCAAAGAAUUUGUUAUACAUUCUGAUCAUGAAUCUUUGAAACAUAUUAAAAGUCAAGCUAAACUGAAUCGUAGACAUGCUAAAUGGGUGGAAUUCAUUGAGACUUUCCCUUAUGUCAUUAAACACAAGAAGGGAAAAGAAAAUGUUAUUGCUGAUGCAUUGUCUCGUCGCUAUACUAUGCUUUCACAACUUGACUUCAAAAUAUUUGGUUUGGAGACCAUCAAAGAUCAAUAUGUGCAUGAUGAUGAUUUUAAAGAUGUAAUGCAUAAUUGUAAAGAAGGAAGAAUGUGGAACAAGUUUGUUGUUAACGAUGGAUUUGUGUUUCGUGCUAACAAGCUAUGCAUUCCAGCUAGCUCCGUUCGUCUUUUGUUGUUGCAGGAGGCGCAUGGAGGAGGAUUAAUGGGACACUUUGGCGUGAAGAAGACGGAGGACGUACUUGCUACACAUUUCUUUUGGCCAAAGAUGAGACGGGAUGUUGAGCGUUUUAUUGCUCGCUGCACUACAUGUCAAAAAGCUAAGUCACGCCUCAAUCCUCAUGGUUUAUAUAUGCCUUUGCCUGUACCUAGUGUUCCUUGGGAGGAUAUAUCUAUGGACUUUGUUUUAGGUUUACCUCGAACAAAGAAGGGGAGGGAUAGCAUAUUUGUUGUCAUGGAUAGAUUCUCGAAAAUGGCACACUUUAUACCAUGUCAUAAAAGCGAUGAUGCUGUUAAUGUUGCUGAUUUGUUCUUUCGUGAAAUUAUUCGCUUGCAUGGUGUGCCAAAUACUAUUGUUUCAGAUCGUGAUACUAAAUUUCUUAGCCACUUUUGGAGAUGUUUAUGGGCUAAGUUGGGGACUAAACUGCUUUUUAGUACUACUUGUCACCCCCAAACUAAUGGACAAACUGAAGUAGUCAAUAGAACGUUGUCUACUAUGCUUAGGGCUGUUUUGAAGAAUAAUAAGAAAAUGUGGGAGGAAUGCUUGCCUCAUAUUGAAUUUGCUUAUAAUCGUUCAUUGCAUUCUACUACUAAGAUGUGCCCUUUUGAAGUUGUGUAUGGUUUCCUACCUCAUGCACCUAUUGAUUUGUUGCCUCUUCCAUCUUCGGAGAAGGUUAAUUUUGAUGCUAAACAACGUGCUGAAUUGAUUUUAAAAAUGCAUGAGUUAACUAAGGAAAACAUUGAGCGGAUGAAUGCUAAAUAUAAACUUGCUGGAGAUAAGGGUAGAAAACAUGUUGUGUUUGCACCUGGAGAUCUUGUUUGGUUACAUUUGCGUAAGGAUAGAUUUCCCGAUUUGCGCAAGUCAAAGCUAAUGCCACGUGCUGAUGGUCCCUUUAAGGUGUUAGAGAAAAUAAAUGAUAAUGCAUAUAAACUUGAGCUGCCUGUAGAUUUUGGGGUUAGUCCCACUUUUAACAUUGCAGAUUUGAAGCCUUAUUUGGGUGAGGAAGAUGAACUUCCGUCGAGGACGACUUCAUUUCAAGAAGGGGAGGAUGAUGAGGACAUCAAUACAAUUGUUACACCCACAGCCCCUGCUGCUAUACAUACUGGACCAAUUACUAGAGCUCGUGCACGCCAACUAAAUUACCAGGUACUUUCGUUUCUUGGUAAUGAUUCUAAUGUUCAUGAGAAUAUGAUGCUGCCUAAAUUGGAUACAUUUGUUUUGCUUACAAAUGAAGGGCCUAGCUUGGAGAAGGAUGAACAUUGGAGCAAGAACAAGCAUGGAGAUGAUGGCAUGCGCAAGGGGAACAAGAACGGAGUUACAAGUGAUGAUUUCAGGACUUUGAAGCCACCAUAAUGGGUGCAUGAAGCCUUGGACGAAAUAUACAAGAUGCCACUUCAUAAAUUUCGCCCCGAGGCUAUUUUAGGUGCUGCGUCACCUUAUUAUUUGGCCAAGCCCAUGUAAUUUCGAAAUACAUAAGUAUAGGCUAUUUUUAGAGUCCGUAUGUGUGGGGAAACAAGAGAUAGGGUUGAUUUCGGACCCCUCCACCAAGGGCCACGAAAUUCCCCCCUCUUCCUCCAUAUAUACAACCCUUAGGGCAUCGUUUAGACUUUGGGUUUUGUUUAGAUUAAAAGUUCGCCAUAGCUGCAACUUCGCGUACUUCGUUUGUGUUCAACGACCAGACAAAGGCGUCACAGAACCCCACCUUGAUCAAUAAAGCUUUCAUCUUAUAUUCGCAAUAUCCAGAUUGCAAUCUUAGUUUCUUGCUUGUUCUUCGUUUGCUCGCAGGAAACAGACCCUCGUGGUCAGGUUGAUCGUGCUCCGGCGUGGUCAAUAACCUCUCGGAGUUGGUUUAGCGAUUGCUAAGGCGCGACGUCCUCGCACGUUCGUAGUCGGAUCGUCAAAGUCGACUUCCACCAAAGCGAAAUCCACCAUCUCAUCGAAAGACGGGACACCUUUGCCUCUAUCACUACAUGUCAAAAAGCUAAGUCACGACUCAAUCCUCAUGGUUUAUAUAUGCCUUUGCCUGUACCUAGUGUUCCUUGGGAGGAUAUAUCUAUGGACUUUGUUUUAGGUUUACCUCGAACAAAGAAGGGGAGGGAUAGCAUAUUUGUUGUCGUGGAUAGAUUCUCGAAAAUGGCACACUUUAUACCAUGUCAUAAAAGCGAUGAUGCUGUUAAUGUUGCUGAUUUGUUCUUUCGUGAAAUUAUUCGCUUGCAUGGUGUGCCACAUACUAUUGUUUCAGAUCGUGAUACUAAAUUUCUUAGCCACUUUUGGAGAUGUUUAUGGGCUAAGUUGGGGACUAAACUGCUUUUUAGUACUACUUGUCACCCCCAAACUGAUGGACAAACUGAAGUAGUCAAUAGAACGUUGUCUACUAUGCUUAGGGCUGUUUUGAAGAAUAAUAAGAAAAUGUGGGAGGAAUGCUUGCCUCAUAUUGAAUUUGCUUAUAAUCGUUCAUUGCAUUCUACUACUAAGGUGUGCCCUUUUGAAGUUGUGUAUGGUUUCCUACCUCGUGCACCUAUUGAUUUGUUGCCUCUUCCAUCUUCGGAGAAGGUUAAUUUUGAUGCUAAACAACGUGCUGAAUUGAUUUUAAAAAUGCAUGAGUUAACUAAGGAAAACAUUGAGCGUAUGAAUGCUAAAUAUAAACUUGCUGGAGAUAAGGGUAGAAAACAUGUUGUGUUUGCACCUGGAGAUCUUGUUUGGUUACAUUUGCGUAAGGAUAGAUUUCCUGAUUUGCGCAAAUCAAAGCUAAUGCCACGUGAUGAUGGUCCCUUUAAGGUGUUAGAGAAAAUAAAUGAUAAUGCAUAUAAACUUGAGCUGCCUGCAGAUUUUGGGGUUAGUCCCACUUUUAACAUUGCAGAUUUGAAGCCUUAUUUGGGUGAGGAAGAUGAACUUCCGUCGAGGACGACUUCAUUUCAAGAAGGGGAGGAUGAUGAGGACAUCAAUACAAUUGUUACACCCACAGACCCUGCUGCUAUACAUACUGGACCAAUUACUAGAGUUCGUGCACGCCAACUAAAUUACCAGGUACUUUCGUUUCUUGGUAAUGAUUCUAAUGUUCAUGAGAAUAUGAUGCUGCCUAAAUUGGAUACAUUUGUUUUGCUUACAAAUGAAGGGCCUAGCUUGGAGAAGGAUGAACAUUGGAGCAAGAACAAGCAUGGAGAUGAUGGCAUGCACAAGGGAAACAAGAACGGAGUUACAAGUGAUGAUUUCAGGACUUUGAAGCCACCAUAAUGGGUGCAUGAAGCCUUGGACGAAAUAUACAAGAUGUCACUUCAUAAAUUUCGUCCCGAGGCUAUUUUAGGUGCUGCGUCACCUUAUUAUUGGGCCAGGCCCAUGUAAUUUCGAAAUACAUAAUUAUAGGCUAUUUUUAGAGUCCGUAUGUGUGGGGAAACAAGAGAUAGGGUUGAUUUCGGACCCCUCCUCCAAGGGCCACGAAAUUCCCCCCUCUUCCUCCAUAUAUACAGCCCUUAGGGCAUCGUUUAGACUUUGGGUUUUGUUUAGAUUAAAAGUUCGCCAUAGCUGCAACUUCGCGUACUUCGUUUGUGUUCAACGACCAGACAAAGGCGUCACAGAACCCCACCUUGAUCAAUAAAGCUUUUAUCUUAUAUUCGCAAUAUCCAGAUCGCAAUCUUAUUUUCUUGCUUGUUCUUCGUUUGCUCGCAGGAAACAGACCCUCGUGGUCAGGUUGGUCGUGCUCCGGCGUGGUCAAUAACCUCUCGGAGUUGGUUUAGCGAUUGCUAAGGCGCGACGUCCUCGCACGUUCGUAGUCGGAUCGUCAAAGUCGACUUCCACCAAAGCGAUAUCCAUCAUCUCAUCGAAAGACGGGACACCUUUGCCUGAGGAACACGGCUUGCUCGGCGGAGGUCUGUUUCGCGACGUGGAGGUAGUCGAUGUUGUUGCUGUUGGAGAGGUGCGUUAGGUGCAGCGGGUGGUGGUUGUGGAAGACGCGCGAGCAAUUCAUUAAACUUGUUAUCGAGCUUUGUUUCGAACGUCUUCUCAAGGCCAGUGAUCUUCUCCAUGGCCUCUUCAAAAUUGUUCAGCACAUCUUGCACCUGUUCAGUCAUCAUUUGCUGAAACUUAUCAUGAAGCUCCUUGUUCGACAAAUUCUCCCAGUCAAUCUCGUCGGCUUGUGAUCCUGGCAUGGUUAGCAGCAAUAGAAACACACAAGAAUAUGAUCCUACAGACUACAAACAAGUGGUGGUGGUGGGUGUCACAAAUCCGUCAAGCAAAACUCAAAUUCUUACCAGUUCUUACCCAGUAACAGGCGGUGAGCGGCAACCGUUGUAGUCAAAAGUCUCAAAGCUUGGAGAGUCAAACGCACGACGUAGAUGUAUGUGGAGCUGGGAAGGCUUAUAAUAUGGUAGCAAAAAGGGUCAGCAAUAAUCAAUUCGGAGAUGCAAAGUUGAAUAAACGCUCAACGACGGUACUGUGCUGGUCCUAGGCUAGACUGUGCUAGAGACGCGAGCCUAGAAAUUGAGUGAACACAGCUUGUUCCAAUUUUUCAGGCCAGUUUUAGAAUUCUUUGACUCCUCAUAUCAACUCGGAAUUGAGUGAUUCUUUUUGCAUUGGAAAGCUUGAGUUAGUAGCAUUCUUUGAAAGAAUUUAUCAGAAAAUUGUCUCAAACUUUUCAAGAGGAAAGUUGGAGAGAGAGUUGUUGUAUAUCCUGCUUGGCAGUUAUUUUUCAUCAUUAUCUUCACUGCCGUUGUGAUCUUCACUUAUAUCUUGCUGUCAAGAGCUACUUAGUAUCCUUCAUUGAUGCUAGUUGUGCUACGCCAUGACCUUAUUAGUGUUCUAGGCUCGCGUCUCUAGUCCGGUCUAGCCUAGGACCAGCACAGUACCGUCGUUGAGCGUUUAUUCAACAUUGCAUCUUUGAAUUGAUUAUUGCUAAUCUUUUGCUACCAUAUAUAGCCAACCCAGCUCCACAUAUUUCUACACCGUGUAUAUGUACGCUCACCUGGCAAUCGCUUUACUCAAUAUUCGGAGUUACUUGACACCGCUGGUUGCCGAUCACCGCCUGCUGCAUGGUAAGAACUUGUAAGACAUUGAUAUUUGCUUUACUGUGAGCGUUUUACCACCACAUCCUAGUAGUUAUAGGAACAUUAUUUUUGGGUUUUGUUUCUUGUUCUACUAAUCAUGACAGGAUCCAGAGUCAAUUCAUGGGCUUUGUCGAUCGCGGGAGACGUGCCACCACCUGUGCAAAUACCACAACCGUCACGAGAGGUGCACAAACAUCCAAAUGCACAUGAUCAGGUUAAUGUAUCUAUACCACCAUUUAAUGGCCGUUUUAAACCUGCUUUAUAUAUUGAAUGGGAGUUCGACAUAAAAAAUAUAUUUGCUUCCCAUAAUUUCGAUGAACAUAAAAAGGUUAAGGUUGCGGUUGGUUCUUUCACUGGUUAUGCUUUGGUUUGGUGGAGUGAAUAUUGUCGGUUACACCCUGAUUAUUUGGCCCAAGAGAAGAUAGAGUCCAAGUCUCUCACGUUCUGGAUUCAGAUUCGGACUGCACAGACACACCAGACUCAAAACGCACACACGUUUUUCAUACGGACUCCGAAUUGGGUGAUUCUUUUUUUGUUGGAAACUAGAUUUCGUGCACUUUCCAACCCAAUUGGAAUCACUUUCAAAUUCAUCCGGAGCGUUGAGUUGUGGACGAAACAAUCUGAUGCUGCAGCAGAAUCCGAGUCAAACUACAAGUCCAAAGGUGUUACAUCACCUCCACUUGGGCCCAUUGGCCUUGUACGACCUAGAUUUAGUUUUAGGCUGCCUUGGGACGUCCUCCCACCUCCUUGGCCGCCACCCCUUGCUCCUAUAUAAGUAGAUCCAUCUAGUAGCUUUUCCUUGGGAUUUGUUUAGUUAAAAGUUAGCCAACGCAACUUCGUGUACUUCGUUUAUGUCCAACGACCAGACCAAGACCGCUUUCGGAUCCCCACCUUUAUCAAUACUUCAUACAUAUUUGCAAUAUUCAGAUUGCUUUUAUCAUAUUCUUGCUCGUUCUUCGAUUGUUUGCAGGAAUAGACCUUCGUGGUCAGGUUGAUCGUGCACCGGCGUGGUCAAUAACCUCUGGAGAUUGGUUUAGCGAUUGCUAAGGCGCAACGUUGUUGCACGUUUGUAGUCGGAUCGUCAAAGUCGUCUCCACCAAAUCGAUAGUUGUCAUCUCAUCGAAAGAUCGGGACACCCCCGCCUCAAUCAAGUGGUAUCAGUUUUCAGGUUGCUCGGUGAGAAUUUCCAGUUUUUCCUAGAUUAAAUUUAUUUUCUUACCUAUUGUCCAAGAAAAAGCCACAAAACAAAAGUUAGAUCUAUUCAUCCUUUGUCCUAGCCAGACUGAGCCUUUGCAAUUUUCUUUUCAUUGUUUGCAUUAUUGAAUUAUCGGUUGCAUCGCCGUGUCGAGUUGCUGGUCUUAGUGUCUAGUUCCUUUAGAGUUUCGAGUUCUGUUCACAUUAGUCACGCAGCCGCUGCAUCAUUAUCCCAUCUGCUGUCCACCAUCCCAUCCACCAAUUUCCACCAUGUGCUACGCACUGUUUAUUGUCAUAAUCAUAGUUGAGGUCACUCACAUCUUCGCCUGAUCGAAUCUGCAUCUUAUCUAGUUUGUCUUGGAAAGAGGGAGAAAAAGAAUAUAAAGAAAGAAAAGAGAGAAAAAAGGAAAGAAAAAAAAAGAAAAAGAGGGAGAAGAAAGAAAAAAAAAGUGUGAGAAAAAAAAGAGAGAAGAAAAAAAAUUGGAUCUAUCUAGAAUCAAUCUCGUACCUGAAUUCGGAUUGGAAUCUGUUUUGCGCACUGUUCAGUAAAACAGGUGUAUCUUCCUCAUACGAAGUCCGUUUUGGCUCCGUGAGUACUCAAAUUGAAGAUAGCGACGAGCCGCAUCUAAAUAGUUGCAGAAGCUUGUUCAAUAUUUGACACCUCAAAAUCGGCCCCUAAAUAGGUCUUUUUGCCCUCCGAAGUUCGUGAACACAGCUUGUUCCAAUUUUUCAGGCCAGUUUUAGAAUUCUUUGACUCCUCAUAUCAACUCGGAAUUGGGUGAUUCUUUUUGCAUUGGAAAGCUUGAGUUAGUAGCAUUCUUCGAAAGAAUUUAUCAGAAAAUUGUCUCAAACUUUUCAAGAGGAAAGUUGGAGAGAGAGUUGUUGUAUAUCCUGCUUGGCAGUUGUUUUUCAUCAUUAUCUUCACUGCCGUUGUGAUCUUCACUUAUAUCUUGCUGUCAAGAGCUACUUAGUAUCCUUCAUUGAUGCUAGUUGUGCUACGCCGUGACCUUAUUAGUGUUCUAGGCUCGCGUCUCUAGUCCGGUCUAGCCUAGGACCAGCACAGUACCGUCGUUGAGCGUUUAUUCAACAUUGCAUCUUUGAAUUGAUUAUUGCUAAUCUUUUGCUACCAUAUAUAGCCAACCCAGCUCCACAUAUUUCUACACCGUGUAUACGUACGCUCCCCUGGCAAUCGCUUUACUCAAUAUUCGGAGUUACUUGACACCGUUGGUUGCCGAUCACCGCCUGCUGCAUGGUAAGAACUUGUAAGACAUUGAUAUUUGCUUUACUGUGAGCGUUUUACCACCACAUCCUAGUAGUUAUAGGAACAUUAUUUUUGGGUUUUGUUUCUUGUUCUACUAAUCAUGACAGGAUCCAGAGUCAAUUCAUGGGCUUUGUCGAUCACGGGAGACGUGCCACCACCUUUGCAAAUACCACAACCGUCACGAGAGGUGCACAAACAUCCAAAUGCACAUGAUCAGGUUAAUGUAUCUAUACCACCAUUUAAUGGCCGUUUUAAACCUGCUUUAUAUAUUGAAUGGGAGUUCGACAUAAAAAAUAUAUUUGCUUCCCAUAAUUUCGAUGAACAUAAAAAGGUUAAGGUUGCGGUUGGUUCUUUCACUGGUUAUGCUUUGGUUUGGUGGAGUGAAUAUUGUCGGUUACACCCUGAUUAUAUACCUACUACUUGGGAUGAUUUGAAACUUGCCAUGCGACAUACUUUCGUCCCUGCUUAUUAUACUCGUGACAUGAUUAAGAAGUUGCAACACUUAAAACAAGGUAGUGAAACUGUGACAAAAUAUUAUGAUGAUUUACAAACUACCUUGUUGCAUUCCUCUUUAGAAGAAAGUGAAGAUGAUUUUAUGGAUAGAUUUUGGGGAGGAUUAAACCGUGAUAUUCAAGAGAUACUAAUUCAUGAAGAGUGUUAUCCUAUGGACCAUUUGUUUCAUCUUGCUUGCAAAGCUGAACAGGAAAUAAAACGACGUGUUGGCCACGAGGAGAACAAGCGCACGGUGCACAUUCCAAGAGUUGAUAUGAUUGUUCCUUCAACUACUAGGCAUACUAUGACAACCACAUCCGUUGUUGUCAGGACUACAUCAACUCCACCAUGUGACACAUCGCCCCCGAGAGUGGCUACAUCAUCUGAGUUGAUCAUAAGAGGUAAUGACAAAGGUACUGAUCUUCCAUCUCUACAUGAGAAUGAUGAAUGCCUUGUCAAUUUGAAUGCACCAUCUGAUGAGCUACCCACUACUUUGAUCACACCACCUAUUUUAGAGGACUACGUUGAUAAUUUGACUUUGCCAUGUGAUCAAACAACUGAAAUACCAACAAUUUUGAGUGCACCCAUUGAAUUAACUAUUGAUGCAAAAGAACCAAUGUUUAAUCAUUUUGAUAUGACCUCUAAUCUUGGUGAUGAUUCUGUGUUGAAUGACUUAUUGCAUGUUUGCUUAUUUAAUCAUGUUGUAGCAUGUAAAUUUGAUGCAAGUAAGGUUUAUUCACCAAUGUUGGGAUGGUUUAAUGAUGAACAUUGUCAAUCUUUUGAAAUGAAUAAGAGCUUCACUUAUAUGUGCAAACUGAGAUGCAAUAUUUUCAUGCCUUCUACUUCUUGUGCUAAUUUUUUGGCUUUAGAUUUUAUGAACUAUGCAAGUUACUCAUCUAUUCAUGUGUCAUAUAUGCAAAAAUCAAGGGAAGUAAAAAUGGAUGACAUAUACAUAUACAACAUGUACACCUUGUCUCUUUUGUUAGCCACAUUUCAGAUUAAGCAACGCCGAGGACGGCUUUAUUUUCAAGAAGGGGAGGAUGAUGAGGACAUGACUACCUUGGAUAUGACCAAAAAUAUUGCAUAUAUGCAUAUUUGUCAGGUGAUUUCUAGUGCAAACUAUUCAAUAAUCUAUUUAUGUUAUCCAGAACAAAAAUACUUCACACACUUUUGUGUUUUGUCUAAUUGCAGGUGUAUGGGACAUUUGUACAAUCCACAUAUGAAGAUAAGGAACAAAGAGAUGUUUAUUUGCUGUCCAAAAAGUUCUCUCACGUCACUUUUGGCCCAAGAGAAGAUAGAGUCCAAGUGAUAGAGGCAAAGGUGUCCCGUCUUUCGAUGAGAUGGUGGAUUUCGCUUUGGUGGAAGUCGACUUUGACGAUCCGACUACGAACGUGCGAGGACGUCGCGCCUUAGCAAUCGCUAAACCAACUCCGAGAGGUUAUUGACCACGCCGGAGCACGAUCAACCUGACCACGAGGGUCUGUUUCCUGCGAGCAAACGAAGAACAAGCAAGAAACUAAGAUUGCAAUCUGGAUAUUGCGAAUAUAAGAUGAAAGCUUUAUUGAUCAAGGUGGGGUUCUGUGACGCCUUUGUCUGGUCGUUGAACACAAACGAAGUACGCGAAGUUGCAGCUAUGGCGAACUUUUAAUCUAAACAAAACCCAAAGUCUAAACGAUGCCCUAAGGGCUGUAUAUAUGGAGGAAGAGGGGGGAAUUUCGUGGCCCUCGGUGGAGGGGUCCGAAAUCAACCCUAUCUCUUGUUUCCCCACACAUACGGACUCUAAAAAUAGCCUAUACUUAUGUAUUUCGAAAUUACAUGGGCCUGGCCCAAUAAUAAGGUGACGCAGCACCUAAAAUAGCCUCGGGACGAAAUUUAUGAAGUGGCAUCUUGUAUAUUUCGUCCAAGGCUUCAUGCACCCAUUAUGGUGGCUUCAAAGUCCUGGAAUCAUCACUUGUAACUCCGUUCUUGUUCCCCUUGCGCAUGCCAUCAUCUCCAUGCUUGUUCUUGCUCCAAUGUUCAUCCUUCUCCAAGGUAGGCCCUUCAUUUGUAAGCAAAACAAAUGUAUCCAAUUUAGGCAGCAUCAUAUUCUCAUGAACAUUAGAAUCAUUACCAAGAAACGAAAGUACCUGGUAAUUUAGUUGGCGUGCACGAGCUCUAGUAAUUGGUCCAGUAUGUAUAGCAGCAGGGGCUGUGGGUGUAACAAUUGUAUUGAUGUCCUCAUCAGAAUUGAUUAUUGCUAAUCUUUUGCUACCAUAUAUAGCCAACCCAGCUCCACAUAUUUCUACACCGUGUAUACGUACGCUCCCCUGGCAAUCGCUUUACUCAAUAUUCGGAGUUACUUGACACCGCUGGUUGCCGAUCACCGCCUGCUGCAUGGUAAGAACUUGUAAGACAUUGAUAUUUGCUUUACUGUGAGCGUUUUACCACCACAUCCUAGUAGUUAUAGGAACAUUAUUUUUGGGUUUUGUUUCUUGUUCUACUAAUCAUGACAGGAUCCAGAGUCAAUUCAUGGGCUUUGUCGAUCGCGGGAGACGUGCCACCACCUUUGCAAAUACCACAACCGUCACGAGAGGUGCACAAACAUCCAAAUGCACAUGAUCAGGUUAAUGUAUCUAUACCACCAUUUAAUGGCCGUUUUAAACCUGCUUUAUAUAUUGAAUGGGAGUUCGACAUAAAAAAUAUAUUUGCUUCCCAUAAUUUCGAUGAACAUAAAAAGGUUAAGGUUGCAGUUGGUUCUUUCACUGGUUAUGCUUUGGUUUGGUGGAGUGAAUAUUGUCGGUUACACCCUGAUUAUAUACGUACUACUUGGGAUGAUUUGAAACUUGCCAUGCGACAUACUUUCGUCCCUGCUUAUUAUACUCGUGACAUGAUUAAGAAGUUGCAACACUUAAAACAAGGUAGUGAAACUGUAACAAAAUAUUAUGAUGAUUUACAAACUACCUUGUUGCAUUCCUCUUUAGAAGAAAGUGAAGAUGAUUUUAUGGAUAGAUUUUGGGGAGGAUUAAACCGUGAUAUUCAAGAGAUACUAAUUCAUGAAGAGUGUUAUCCUAUGGACCAUUUGUUUCAUCUUGCUUGCAAAGCUGAACAGGAAAUAAAACGACGUGUUGGCCACGAGGAGAACAAGCGCACGGUGCACAUUCCAAGAGUUGAUAUGAUUGUUCCUUCAACUACUAGGCAUACUAUGACAACCACAUCCGUUGUUGUCAGGACUACAUCACCUCCACCAUGUGACACAUCGCCCCCGAGAGUGGCUACAUCAUCUGAGUUGAUCAUAAGAGGUAAUGACAAAGGUGCUGAUCUUCCAUCUCUACAUGAGAAUGAUGAAUGCCUUGUCAAUUUGAAUGCACCAUCUGAUGAGCUACCCACUACUUUGAUCACACCACCUAUUUUAGAGGACCACGUUGAUAAUUUGACUUUGCCAUGUGAUCAAACAACUGAAAUACCAACAAUUUUGAGUGCACCCAUUGAAUUAACUAUUGAUGCAAAAGAACCAAUGUUUAAUCAUUUUGAUAUGACCUCUAAUCUUGGUGAUGAUUCUGUGUUGAAUGACUUAUUGCAUGUUUGCUUAUUUAAGCAUGUUGUAGCAUCUAAAUUUGAUGCAAGUAAGGUUUAUUCACCAAUAUUGGGAUGGUUUAAUGAUGAACAUUGUCAAUCUUUUGAAAUGAAUAAGAGCUUCACUUAUAUGUGCAAACUGAGUUGCAAUAUUUUCAUGCCUUCUACUUCUUGUGCUAAUUUUUUGGCUUUAGAUUUUAUGAACUAUGCAAGUUACUCAUCUAUUCAUGUGUCAUAUAUGCAAAAAUCAAGGGAAGUAAAAAUGGAUGACAUAUACAUAUACAACAUGUACACCUUGUCUCUUUUGUUAGCCACAUUUCAGAUUAAGCAACGCCGAGGACGGCUUUAUUUUCAAGAAGGGGAGGAUGAUGAGGACAUGACUACCUUGGAUAUGACAAAAAAUAUUGCAUAUAUGCAUAUUUGUCAGGUGAUUUCUAGUGCAAACUAUUCAAUAAUCUAUUUAUGUUAUCCAGAACAAAAAUACUUCACACAUUUUUGUGUUUUGUCUAAUUGCAGGUGUAUGGGACAUUUGUACAAUCCACAUAUGAAGAUAAGGAAGAAAGAGAUGUUUAUUUGCUGUCCAAAAAAUUCUCUCACGUCACUUUUGGCCCAAGAGAAGAUAGAGUCCAAGUCUCUCACGUUCUGGAUUCAGAUUCGGACUGCACAGACACACCUGACUCAAAACGCACACAAGUUUUUCAUACGGACUCCGAAUUGGGUGAUUCUUUUUUUGUUGGAAACUAGAUUUCGUGCACUUUCCAACCCAAUUGGAAUCACCUUCAAAUUCGUCCGGAGCGUUGAGUUGUGGACGAAACAAUCUGAUGCUGCAGCAGAAUCCGAGUCAAACUACAAGUCCAAAGGUGUUACAUCACCUCCACUUGGGCCCAUUGGCCUUGUACGACCUAGAUUUAGUUUUAGGCUGCCUUGGGACAUCCUCCCACCUCCUUGGCCUCCACCCCUUGCUCCUAUAUAAGUAGAUCCAUCUAGUAGCUUUUCCUUGGGAUUUGUUUAGUUAAAAGUUAGCCAUUGCAACUUCGUGUACUUCGUUUGUGUCCAACGACCAGACCAAGACCGCUUACGGAUCCCCACCUUUAUCAAUACUUCAUAUAUACUCGCAAUAUUCAGAUUGCUUUUAUCAUAUUCUUGCUUGUUCUUCGAUUGCUUGCAGGAAUAGACCUUUGUGGUCAGGUUGAUUGUGCUCCAGCGUGGUCAAUAACCUUUCGGAGUUGGUUUAGCGAUUGCUAAGGCGCAACGUCGUGCACGUUUGUAGUCGGAUCGUCAAAGUCAUCUUCACCAAAUCGAUAGUUAUCAUCUCAUCGAAAGAUCGGGACACCCCCGCCUCUAUCAAGUGGUAUCAGUUUUCAGGUUGCUCGGUGAGAAUUUCCAGUUUUCCUAGAUUAGAUUUAUUUUCUUACCUAUUGUCCAAGAAAAAGCCACACAAAAAAAGUUAGAUCUGUUCAUCCUUUAUCCAAGCCAGUCUGAGCCUUUGCAAUUUUCUAUUCAUUGCUUGCAUAGUUGAAUUAUCGGUUGCAUCGUCGUGUCAAUUGCUGGUCUUAGUGUCUAGUUCCUUUAGAGUUUCGAGUUCUGUUCACAUUAGUCACGCCGCCGCUGCAUCAUUAUCCCUUCCGCUGUCCACCAUCCCAUCUAUUAAUUUCCACCAUGUGCUACGCACUGUUCAUUGUUAUAAUCAUAGUUGAGGUCAUUCACAUCUUCGCCUGAUCCAAUCUGCAUCUUAUCUAGUUUGUCUUGGAAAGAAAAAAAAGAUAAAGAAAAAAAAAGAGAAAAAAGGAAAGAAAAAAAAAAGAAAAAGAGAGAGAAGAAAAAUAAAAAAAAGGGUGAGAAAAAAAAGAGAGAAGAAAAAAAAUUGGAUCUAUCUAGAAUCAAUCGCGUACCUGAAUUCGGAUUGGAAUCUGUUUUGCGCACUGUUCAGUAAAACAGGUGUAUCUUCCUCAUACGAAGUCCGUUUUGACUCCGUGAGUACUCAAAUUGAAGCUAGCAACGAGCCGCAUCUAAAUAGUUGCAGAAACAAGUUCAAUAUUUGACACCUCAAAAUCGUCUUCUAAAUAGGUCUUUUUGCCCUCCGAAGUUCGUGAACACAGCUUGUUCCAAUUUUUCAGGCCAGUUUUAGAAUUCUUUGACUCCUCAUAUCAACUCGGAAUUGAGUGAUUCUUUUUGCAUUGGAAAGCUUGAGUUAGUAGCAUUCUUUGAAAGAAUUUAUCAGAAAAUUGUCUCAAACUUUUCAAGAGGAAAGUUGGAGAGAGAGUUGUUGUAUAUCCUGCUUGGCAGUUGUUUUUCAUCAUUAUUUUCACUGCCGUUGUGAUCUUCACUUAUAUCUUGCUGUCAAGAGCUACUUAGUAUCCUUCAUUGAUGCUAGUUGUGCUACGCCGUGACCUCAUUAGUGUUCUAGGCUCGCGUCUCUAGUCCGGUCUAGCCUAGGACCAGCACAGUACCGUCAUUGAGCGUUUAUUCAACAUUGCAUCUUUGAAUUGAUUAUUGCUAAUCUUUUGCUACCAUAUAUAGCCAACCCAGCUCCACAUAUUUCUACACCGUUUUUACGUACGCUCCCCUGGCAAUCGCUUUACUCAAUAUUCGGAGUUAGUUGACACCGCUGGUUGCCGAUCACCGCCUGCUGCAUGGUAAGAACUUGUAAGACAUUGAUAUUUGCUUUACUUUGAGCGUUUUACCACCACAUCCUAGUAGUUAUAGGAACAUUAUUUUUGGGUUUUGUUUCUUGUUCUACUAAUCAUGACAGGAUCCAGAGUCAAUUCAUGGGCUUUGUCGAUCGCGGGAGACGUGCCACCACCUUUGCAAAUACCACAACCGUCACGAGAGGUGCACAAACAUCCAAAUGCACAUGAUCAGGUUAAUGUAUCUAUACCACCAUUUAAUGGCCGUUUUAAACCUGCUUUAUAUAUUGAAUGGGAGUUCGACAUAAAAAAUAUAUUUGCUUCCCAUAAUUUCUAUGAACAUAAAAAGGUUAAGGUUGCGGUUGGUUCUUUCACUGGUUAUGCUUUGGUUUGGUGGAGUGAAUAUUGUCGGUUACACCCUGAUUAUAUACCUACUACUUGGGAUGAUUUGAAACUUGCCAUGCGACAUACUUUCGUCCCUGCUUAUUAUACUCGUGACAUGAUUAAGAAGUUGCAACACUUAAAACAAGGUAGUGAAACUGUAACAAAAUAUUAUGAUGAUUUACAAACUACCUUGUUGCAUUCCUCUUUAGAAGAAAGUGAAGAUGAUUUUAUGGAUAGAUUGUGGGGAGGAUUAAACCGUGAUAUUCAAGAGAUACUAAUUCAUGAAGAGUGUUAUCCUAUGGACCAUUUGUUUCAUCUUGCUUGCAAAGCUGAACAGGAAAUAAAACGACGUGUUGGCCACGAGGAGAACAAGCGCACGGUGCACAUUCCAAGAGUUGAUAUGAUUGUUCCUUCAACUACUAGGCAUACUAUGACAACCACAUCCGUUGUUGUCAGGACUACAUCAACUCCACCAUGUGACACAUCGCCCCCGAGAGUGGCUACAUCAUCUGAGUUGAUCAUAAGAGGUAAUGACAAAGGUACUGAUCUUCCAUCUCUACAUGAGAAUGAUGAAUGCCUUGUCAAUUUGAAUGCACCAUCUGAUGAGCUACCCACUACUUUGAUCACACCACCUAUUUUAGAGGACUACGUUGAUAAUUUGACUUUGCCAUGUGAUCAAACAACUGAAAUACCAACAAUUUUGAGUGCACCCAUUGAAUUAACUAUUGAUGCAAAAGAACCAAUGUUUAAUCAUUUUGAUAUGACCUCUAAUCUUGGUGAUGAUUCUGUGUUGAAUGACUUAUUGCAUGUUUGCUUAUUUAAGCAUGUUGUAGCAUCUAAAUUUGAUGCAAGUAAGGUUUAUUCACCAAUAUUGGGAUGGUUUAAUGAUGAACAUUGUCAAUCUUUUGAAAUGAAUAAGAGCUUUACUUAUAUGUGCAAACUGAGUUGCAAUAUUUUCAUGCCUUCUACUUCUUGUGCUAAUUUUUUGGCUUUAGAUUUUAUGAACUAUGCAAGUUACUCAUCUAUUCAUGUGUCAUAUAUGCAAAAAUCAAGGGAAGUAAAAAUGGAUGACAUAUACAUAUACAACAUGUACACCUUGUCUCUUUUGUUAGCCACAUUUCAGAUUAAGCAACGCCGAGGACGGCUUUAUUUUCAAGAAGGGGAGGAUGAUGAGGACAUGACUACCUUGGAUAUGACCAAAAAUAUUGCAUAUAUGCAUAUUUGUCAGGUGAUUUGUAGUGCAAACUAUUCAAUAAUCUAUUUAUGUUAUCCAGAACAAAAAUACUUCACACACUUUUGUGUUUUGUCUAAUUGCAGGUGUAUGGGACAUUUGUACAAUCCACAUAUGAAGAUAAGGAAGAAAGAGAUGUUUAUUUGCUGUCCAAAAAGUUCUCUCACGUCACUUUUGGCCCAAGAGAAGAUAGAGUCCAAGUCUCUCACGUUCUGGAUUCAGAUUCGGACUGCACAGACACACCUGACUCAAAACGCACACACGUUUUUCAUACGGACUCCGAAUUGGGUGAUUCUUUUUUUUGUUGGAAACUAGAUUUCGUGCACUUUCCAACCCAAUUGGAAUCACCUUCAAAUUCGUCCGGAGCGUUGAGUUGUGGACGAAACAAUCUGAUGCUGCAGCAGAAUCCGAGUCAAACUACAAGUCCAAAGGUGUUACAUCACCUCCACUUGGGCCCAUUGGCCUUGUACGACCUAGAUUUAGUUUUAGGCUGUCUUGGGACGUCCUCCCACCUCCUUGGCCGCCACCCCUUGCUCCUAUAUAAGUAGAUCCAUCUAGUAGCUUUUCCUUGGGAUUUGUUUAGUUAAAAGUUAGCCAACGCAACUUCGUGUACUUCGUUUAUGUCCAAUGACCAGACCAAGACCGCUUUCGGAUCCCCACCUUUAUCAAUACUUCAUACAUAUUUGCAAUAUUCAGAUUGCUUUUAUCAUAUUCUUGCUCGUUCUUCGAUUGCUUGCAGGAAUAGACCUUCGUGGUCAGGUUGAUCGUGCACCGGCGUGGUCAAUAACCUCUGGAGAUUGGUUUAGCGAUUGCUAAGGCGCAACGUUGUUGCACGUUUGUAGUCGGAUCGUCAAAGUCGUCUCCACCAAAUCGAUAGUUGUCAUCUCAUCGAAAGAUCGGGACACCCCCGCCUCUAUCACCCAUGUUCUCGCCUCUGCUCUCAUUUAUUGCAUUAAGACAACAACGUUUCAAACUGUUGUGUGCUACGGUAGUUGAACCCUUAUCCUCUUCAUGACCUGUCAUUGCCACAGUAAUUAGGUUAAACCCACUAGCAUGUGUAGGAGUUGAUUGAGCAAUGUAUGUGUUUCCUACCUUGCUAUGCCUGCUAUACUUAGAGUUGUGUCAGGUCUGGUUCAUCUGGGUGAUGGGCUAGAGUGAAAUGAUUAUGUCGGUAAUGUGAGGGUUGUGCUGAACAUGUUUUGGUAAAGGUAUCGAUGAGAGGCCAUGUAGGAGUACAUGGUGGGUUGUUUCAUUGAGGCCGUCCAUAAGAACCGAGAUCUGUAUGCGUGAUUUAAGAUUCAGCUACUACCACACAUUGGGCCCUGAAAGAUGACCCCGCUCGACUUACUGACCCCUCUUGUCCUCUGUCCAGGAGUUGCAACUAGUUUCUGGUGUUUGUAGGUUAUGUGUUGGCGGCCGUGCGUAGCACUGACCCUAGGGGUGGGCUAUGAUGCGGUAGAUACAUCGUGGCACGGUGUACCGAGUCGCCCGUUUGGUGUCUCGGGAACCCUGCACACAUCGUUUGGGGCCAUUGAGGACACCCCGGCCGGAUUUCCUUGCGGAUGGAACCUGAAUAGGCGAUAAACCUGGACUAGAGACUGGUGCGGUUAGUCAGGUCGUGGUCUACACCCACGUCGGUUUUCGCUCGAAGUCUGCCGAGCACAUGUCGUGUGCAGACGCUAAGUGGUGGAAACAUGUGUGAUGAAGUACAUCCCUGCAGGGUAUAAAACUAUUCGAAUAGCCGUGUCCGCGGUAAAGGACUACUUGGUUGCCUAUACAGUUCAUAGACAACUUAAUGGAUACUACCAAAAGACUCAAGAUAAGUGUGAGUACCGAGGAUGGCCCUCUCGUAGGAUGACGAGGGAGGAUCCCCGGUGGAGUAUUGUGUUGGUGAGUAGUGGACUCGUGUGGGAAAACUAUUUUACUAGUGGAGUCUCGUAGGAUAGCUUAGCCAAGAGUCAAAGCUGGCUUGCUGCAAUAACUCCACCACCUUCUUGAGAAUGAGCAUGUAUAGUAGGUUCUGAGGUAAGACUUGUUGAGUACCUUUGUACUCAUGUUUGCUUAAUUACUGUGUUCAGACGACAACACCGCCCCCUCCGCUGGGUUUUAUGUAGAUCUCGACGUCGAUGAGUUACUUGCCACCCAGGUGGUGAUCCUGGCCAUGGAGGGUCCUAUGUAGAUAGACAGGCUUCGAGAGGCCUUCUUUCUUUCUAGUGUCUGUACUCAGACUAUUUGCUUCCGCAUGUGCUUGUAUGCUUGUAUGACUUGAGUGUCGGGUCAUGUGACCCCUACCUGUAUGAACAUGUUAUGUAUGGCUCUUUGGAGCCUUUAAAUAAAGUACUUGAGUUGUAGAGUUUUGUUGUGAUGCCAUGUUGUAUUUGCACAUAUCGAGCAUAUUGUGUGUAUGAUUGAAAUGCUUGGUAUGUGUGGGAUCCGACAAUCUAGUUGUUUAUCCUUGGCAGCCUUUCUUAUGGGGAAAUGUAGUCUAGUGCUCCUCGAGCCAUAGUAGUCCGCUACAGCCCGGUUCACCGGAGUCCUGCUAGCCCAGCACUACUGCUUAGGACACUUGACUGGCCGGCAUGUGUUUCACUUCGUUCCUAUGUCUGUCCCUUCGGGGAAAUGUCACGCGGUGACUUCCGGAGUCCUUCCUAGCCUGCUACAGCCCGAGUUCCCCGGAGUCCUGUUAGCCCAGUGCUACAGCCCGGAUUCACACGCUGAUGACCGACAUGCUCGAUGUCAUUCACAUAUGCCUGUCUCCAUAGGUCUGUGCCGCUUUGGGUUCACGACUAGCCAUGUCGGCCCGGGUUCUCUGUCAUAUGGAUGCUAGCAACACUAUCAUAUACGUGAGCCAAAAGGCGCAAAUUGACCCGGGCCAUGGUAAGGCGACACCCGUGGGGAUACCAUGCGUGAGGCCGCAAUGUGAUAUGAGGUGUUACCGGCUAGAUCGAUGUGACUUGGAAUCGGGGUCCUAACAGCGUUGGCAUCAAAGUCGGAUUGCCUGUAGGUUCGUUGAGCCAAACUGGUCGAUGUCGAGUCUAGAAAUGAUUUAGUUAUAUGUAGGGGAAUUGAUUGUGGAAGGGAACGUAAGGCUCUUUUACUCCUUUACCUUAUGCCCUCUGAUCUGAGUCAUUCUCUUCUCAUUCAACGUGGGUUAAGGACUAGGCUCUCUUCUUCUAUCAGGUUCACGUGUUACUAAUCCGUAGUAGCUUAUAGGAUUGUUGUUACAAGCCUUAGUACAGUUUCUACUACUUUUAGUAUGUUGCCAGUUGAAUCAGAACCUUGAUAUGAUGUUGUUGAGUGGUAUUGCAAACUGUUGUGGAUGUCUCAAAUCUUUUUCUGAGCAUUUACAGCCAUUAUGUUGUCCAUUUUCCCCUAGAAAAUUCUAAUGCCUUUGCAUUAUUCUGUGCUUUCAGAUGGCCACCCGCUCGCAGAACCAAGUGGUUCGUCUGACCCGGUGCCUUGAUGUGCCCGGCCACACGGCCAUGUUGGUUCGAGUGAUGGUUGAGUCAGGCUAUCGGUGGUAUCCGGAAUAUACCGUCGAGGAGCAGUUCAGAGACUUCAACCAGAGCUAGUACCUCUGUAGCGUCAGGAUAUAUCCCUAUCCUGGAGCCACUGAGCCCCUUCACUGUUCCUAUGAACUUGGGGUCACUAUUGAGAUGUCUGUGCAGGAUGCAGCCUAUUCAAUGAUGACUAUCAUUCGAGCCAGGACUACCUUGCUACAGAACACCGACUUCCGUUUCAUGCCAGCCUCACUUCCCGGAGCACAAGGGUACUAUCAGGCCUUGUACUAUGACUCUACACAUGAGGAGUCACUACUCCGCACCACUGCCGAGAUGCUCGAGGAUAAGGACCGCGAAAAUCGGGCCUUGCGUAUGGAGCUUUUCAACUCUCGUGCUGAUCACUGGGCCACUUUGACUCGGUUUGCACCUGCGGUACAGGCAGGAUACAUGGAUUUGAGGGAUCUGUACCCUAUACGGUCUGGAUUGCCAGAUUGUAUGGAGUGGCGUGAUGUAGGAGGCAUCACCCUUCCUCGUGGUCCCCGUCUGCCACCACCUGUGGGACCAAGGCCACGUCCGAGUCCCUAUGGUCCGUAGGCUCCGCAGGACCGUCCGUUCCCAGAUGAUCAUGUUACACUUCCAGGUUUUGGUGGCGACUUCUAUGAGGAUUACUACGGAGCCGUCUGAGCUAGUAGUAGUUUCACUAGUAUUGUAGUAGUUGUAUUCUCCACAGUCCUGCGUGACCGUGGGAUACAACUUGGUGUGUAUCACGCUCCGGAGGUGUAGGAAAAUAAUGUAUAGGAGCUUGGAAUGCCUUCGAUGAGAUGUUAUGUCUUUCACCGUAGUUCUACUCUAGCCUGGGCUUGUACUAAACUAUGUACGGUGUGUAUGACCAAUGGUAUAUAUAUGGCAGUUUCUAUAUUACCAUGUCGUGCAAUGAACAUCUUAGCAUUCCAUGUUAUCCAUUACAUUCUGCACUUCCUUGCUAAGUUUGUGCCAUCCUUAUCUAAACCGUUGUCUUGUUUUUCUCCUAGGAUGGUCAACACCCGCAACAACCCUAUUGCCCCGGAGCAGGGGGAAGCCAGUGCAGCUAGGGGUGGAAAUCUGCCUCACCUGCCUUCUCUGGCCGAAGUGAUGCUGGAGGCGGAAAGAAACAAGCGUGAGACUAACCGCUUGCUGGAGCGGAUUGAGAAGAACACUGCACGCCAUCAGUGAAAUGACUUGGUGUCAAUCAAUGACUUCAUCAAGUUGUACCCACCAAAGUUUAACCAUUCCAUCGAGCCCCUCGACGCGGAUGACUGGCUUCGCAUCAUCACCCACAAGCUACGUUCUGCCAACGUAGCCGAAGCUGAUAAGGUUACUUAUGCUGCCUAUCACCUCGAAGGCCCUGCUAGCCUUUGGUGGGAAAAUUUUGAAGCUAUGCGCCCGGUCGGCCAAAUCACUACUUGGGCUGAAUUCAGGCUUUCCGUGAGCAUCACAUCCCGGAAGGUCUCAUAGAUCACAAGAGGGAAGAUUUCUGCAAUUUCACCCAAGGAAGACUGACUGUGGAUGCAUAUAGUCGUGAAUUUGGGAAUCUAGCAUGAUGUGCUCUUGAAGAGGUAUCCACCGACGCUAAGAAGCAGGCAAGGUUCCCCAAGGGACUUAGCCCUGAGAUUCGCCAUGAUCUUCGUCUGCACGAGUGCACCUCCUUCCAGAAGUUGGUCAAUAAAGCCAUCAGUGCUGAGACAGGCCAGUCUGACUAUGACGCUUCACACAAGCACUCUCGUGAUUUUGGAUCUUCAUCCGGCUCUGGAUCUCAGAAGCGCCGGGUGUGGAUUCCAAGCACGGCACUGCCACCCUGGUUCAUUCCGAGGCCAUCCUUUGAGGCGCCUCGCCCCAACCAGCAGUUUGCACCGUCCAAGCCCUAUGGUGGCCCCGCUGCUAAUGCUGCUCCACGCCCCAAUGUUGUGACAUGUUUCAAGUGUGGAGAGCCGGGUCACUAUAGUCGAGAGUGUCCCCAGAACAACAACCCCAAUCAGUCUGGAAAGUCCGUUGGCCGUGGUAAGCCAGCGGGAAAGACAUUCUACGCCAAGCCGGUCACCACCGCUCCAUGCACCGAGGAGGCUCAUGAGGAUCCUAACGUCGUCCUUGGUACGCUCCUUCUUAAUUGCCAUCUGACAUCUGUUCUUUUCGAUACUGGAGCAUCUCAUUCAUUCAUAUCCGAGAACUAUGCUCGAUUGCAUAACACGACAUUCUGUGACAUGCCCACUUCCAUGGUAAUUCAAACUCCGGGUUCCAAAUGGCAAACUUCUAGAGUAAGCCAUGGGAACAAAAUUCUUGUCGAUAGACUUGUCUUCCUUGCACCUUUAAUAGCUCUCAAGUCCUCGGACAUAAACAUCAUCUUGGGUAUGGACUGGAUGUCAGCUCAUUACGCUAAGAUUGAUUGUGCCACUAGAACCGUUCAACUUACUCACCCAUCGGGCAAGACAGUCAAUGUCUUAACUCGAGUGGCCAAGCGCCAGCUUUACAUCCUAAAUGCCAACCCCCUUCCAGACCUUGAAGAUAUUCCGGUAGUCCGGGACUUUCUGGAUGUCUUUCCAGAAGAACUGCCAGGUGUUCCACCUGGCAGGGAUGUCGAGUUUGUGAUAGACCUUGUUCCAGGAACCGUUCCAAUUUCUAGAAGACCCUAUAAGAUGGCACCCUUAGAACUAGCCGAGCUUAAGAACCAACUCGAUGAGUCCUUGAAAAAGGGUUUCAUCCGUCCUAGUUCCUCUCCUUGGGUUUGCCCCAUCCUCUUCGUCAAGAAGAAGGAUGGAACGGAUCGGAUGGUUGUAGAUUACCGACCUGUCAACUUGGUCACUAUCAAGAACAAGUAUCCGCUUCCUAGGAUCAACGAUCUAUAUGACCAGCUCGCUGGAUCCUCAGUCUUUUCCAAGAUGGAUUUGAGGUUAGGAUACCAUCAAAUCAAAAUCAGAAACGGGGACAUUCCCAAAACGGCCUUUGUUACUCGUUAUGGCCAAUACGAGUACACCGUUAUGUCCUUUGGUUUAACCAAUGCCCCAACCACCUUCUCUCGGUUAAUGAACUCGGUCUUCAUGGAGUAUUUGGAUAAAUUCGUCGUAGUAUACCUCGAUGACAUACUCAUUUACUCCAAGAAUGAAGAGGAACAUGCCGAACAUCUAAGGCUGGUAUUGACGAAACUUCGAGAGCAUCGCCUUUAUGCCAAAUUCUCCAAGUGUGAAUUUUGGUUGCCAUAAGUGACCUAUCUAGGCCAUGUAAUCUCUGGUAAGGGUAUUGCCAUCAAUCCCGAGCGAGUUCAAGCCGUCCUUGAUUGGACUCCACCUAAGACGGUCAAGCAAGUUCGGAGCUUCCUUGGCUUAGCGAGCUACUACCACCGCUUCGUCGAGAAUUUAUCCAAGGUUGCUAAACCUCUAACUGAACUCCUCAAGAAAGAUAAAAAGUUCAAGUGGACCCCAUAGUGCGAGUUCAGCUUUCAGGAACUGAAAAGACGCAUGACAUCUGCUCCCGUACUGGUACCACCAGAUUUCUCCAAGGACUUUAUUAUCUAUUGCGACGCCUCGGGACAAGGACUAGGUUGCAUACUCAUGCAAGAUCGUCAGGUAAUUGCCUAUGCCUCACGGCAAUUACACCCACAUGAGGAAAACUAUCCCACACAUGAUCUAGAGCUUGCAGCUAUAGUCCAUGCACUCAAAACUUGGCGACAUUACCUCCUCGGUAAUCGUUGUGAGAUCUUCACCGAUCACCAAAGUUUGAAAUAUAUCUUCACCCAAUCGGAUUUGAAUCUCAGGCAAAGACGUUGGGUCGAGUUGAUCUCGGAUUACGACUUAGGAAUAACUUACACCCCGGGCAAAGCCAAUGUCAUGGCUGAUGCACUAAGUCGUAAGUCCUAUUGUAACAACCUGAUGUUACAACAAAGUCAACCACUUCUCCAUGAGGAAUUUCGUAAGCUUAAUCUUCACAUUGUUCCUCGAGGAUUUCUAUCCACCCUGGUGGCGAAGCCUAAUCUUACGGAUCAAAUCAUAGUUGCCCAGAAGCGUGAUAAGGGCAUAUUCUGGAUUAAGGAAAACAUUGCUAGCGGAGUUGCUAAAUGUUUUUCCAUGGGUGAGCGAGGUGUUGUCUUCUUCGAGAACCGCUUGGUGGUUCCCAAGAAACAACAUCUACGCCAGUUGAUUCUUAAGGAAGCUCAUGAAUCCCCUCUCACCAUUCAUCCCGGUAGUACUAAAAUGUAUCAAGACCUACGCCAGAGGUUUUGGUGGACUAGGAUGAAGAGAGAAAUUGCUCAAUACAUUGCUAGUUGCGACGUCUGUCGUCGUGUUAAAGCAGAGCACCAACGGCCUGCUGGCACCCUUCAACCUUUGGCUAUUCCUGAGUGGAAAUACGAUAAAAUCAGUACGGGUUUCAUUACUGGGUUUCCCAGGACCAAUAGAGGGAAUAAUUCCAUCUUCGUCGUGAUCGACCGUCUUUCCAAAGUAGCCCAUUUCCUACAUGUUCGUGAGAGUAUCACCGCUAGCCAGCUAGCUGACUUAUACAUCUCCCGAAUAGUGUCUCUUCAUGGUGUCCCAUUGGAAAUCAACUUAGACUGUGGGAGUCUCUUCACCUCUGAUUUUGGGUAAGUUUCCAAAAUGCUAUGGGAACUCGUCUCUCUUUUAGCACCGCCUUCCAUCCUCAAUCAAGUGGUCAAGUAGAGAGAGUGAUAGAGGCGAGGGUCCCGAUCUUUCGAUGAGAUGAUAACUAUCGAUUUGGUGGAGACGACUUUCACGAUCCGACUACAAACGUGCACGACGUUGCGCCUUAGCAAUCGCUAAACCAACUCCGAGAGGUUAUUGACCACGCUAGAGCACAAUCAACCUGACCACGAAGGUCUAUUCCUGCAAGCAAUCGAAGAACAAGCAAGAAUAUGAUAAAAGCAAUCUAAAUAUUGCGAGUAUAUAUGAAGAAUUGAUAAAGGUGGGGAUCCGUAAGCGGUAUUGGUCUGGUCGUUGGACACAAACGAAGUACACGAAGUUGCAAUGGCUAACUUUUAACUAAACAAAUCCCCAGGAAAAGCUACUAGAUGGAUCUACUUAUAUAGGAGCAAGGGGUGGCGGCCAAGGAGGUGGGAGGACGUCCCAAGGCAGCCUAAAACUAAAUCUAGGUCGUACAAGGCCAAUGGGCCCAAGUGGAGGUGAUGUAACACCUUUGGACUUGUAGUUUGACUCGGAUUCUGCUGCAGCAUCAGAUUGUUUCGUCCACAACUCAACGCUCCGGACGAAUUUGAAGGUGAUUCCAAUUGGGUUGGAAAGUGCACGAAAUCUAGUUUCCAACAAAAAAAGAAUCACCCAAUUCGGAGUCCGUAUGAAAAACUUGUGUGCGUUUUGAUUCAGGUGUGUCUGUGCAGUCCGAAUCUGAAUCGAGAACGUGAGAGACUUGGACUCUAUCUUCUCUUGGGCCAAAAGCGACGUGAGAGAACUUUUUGGACAGCAAAUAAACAUCUCUUUCUUCCUUAUCUUCAUAUGUGGAUUGUACAAAUGUCCCAUACACCUACAAUUAGACAAAACACAAAAGUGUGUGAAGUAUUUUUGUUCUGGAUAACAUAAAUAGAUUAUUGAAUAGUUUGCACUAGAAAUCACCUGACAAAUAUGCAUAUAUGCAAUAUUUUUGGUCAUAUCCAAGGUAGUCAUGUCCUCAUCAUCCUCCCCUUCUUGAAAAUAAAGCCGUCAUCGGCGUUGCUUAAUCUGAAAUGUGGCUAACAAAAGAGACAAGGUGUACAUGUUGUAUAUGUAUAUGUCAUCCAUUUUUACUUCCCUUGAUUUUUGCAUAUAUGACAGAUGAAUAGAUGAGUAACUUGCAUAGUUCAUAAAAUCUAAAGCCAAAAAAUUAGCACAAGAAGUAGAAGGCAUGAAAAUAUUGCAACUCAGGUGCACAUAUAAGUGAAGCUCUUAUUCAUUUCAAAAGAUUGACAAUGUUCAUCAUUAAACCAUCCCAACAUUGGUGAAUAAACCUUACUUGCAUCAAAUUUACAUGCUACAACAUGCUUAAAUAAGCAAACAUGCAAUAAGUCAUUCAAACAGAAUCAUCACCAAGAUUAGAGGUCAUAUCAAAAUGAUUAAACAUUGGUUCUUUUGCAUCAAUAGUUAAUUCAAUGGGUGCACAUAAAAUUAUCAUGAAUUAGUAUCUCUUGAAUAUCACGGUUUAAUCCUCCCCAAAAUCUAUCCAUAAAAUCAUCUUCACUUUCUUCUAAAGAGGAAUGCAACAAGGUAGUUUGUAAGUCAUCAUAAUAUUUUGUUACAGUUUCACUGCCUUGUUUUAAGUGUUGCAACUUCUUAAUCAUGUCACGAGUAUAAUAAGCAGGGACGAAAGUAUGUCGCAUGGCAAGUUUCAAAUCAUCCCAAGUAGUAGGUAUAUAAUCAGGGUGUAACCGACAAUACUCACUCCACCAAACCAAAGCAUAACCAGUGAAAGAACCAACCGCAACCUGAACCUUUUUAUGUUCAUCGAAAUUAUGGGAAGCAAAUAUAUUUUUUAUGUCGAACUCCCAUUCAAUAUAUAAAGCAGGUCUAAAACGGCCAUUAAAUGGUGGUAUAGAUACAUUAACCUGAUCAUGUGCAUUUGGAUGUUUGUGCACCUCUCGUGAUGGUUGUGGUAUUUGCAUAGGUGGUGGCAUGUCUCCUGCGAUCGACGAAGCCCAUGAAUUGACUCUGGAUCCUGUCAUGAUUAGUAGAACAAGAAACAAAAUCCAAAAAUAAUAUUCCUAUAACUACUAGGAUGUGGUGGUAAAACGCUCACAGUAAAGCAAAUAUCAAUGUCUUACAAGUUCUUACCAUGCAGCAGGCGAUGAUCGGCAACCAGCGGUGUCAAGUAACUCCGAAUAUUGAGUGAAGCGAUUGCCAGGGGAGCGUACGUAUACACGGUGUAGAAAUAUGUGGAGCUAGGUUGUCUAUAUAUGGUAGCAAAAGAUUAGCAAUAAUCAAUUCAAAGAUGCAAUGUUGAAUAAACGCUCAACGACGGUACUGUGCUGGUCCUAGGCUAGACCGGACUAGAGACGCGAGCCUAGAACACUAAUGAGGUCACGGCGUAGCACAACUAGCAUCAGUGAAGGAUACUAAGUAGCUCUAGACAGCAAGAUACAAGUGAAGAUCACAACGGCAGUAAAGAUAAUGAUGAAAAACAACUGCCAAACAGGAUAUACAACAACUCUCUCUCCAACUUUCCUCUUGAAAAGUUUGAGCCAAUUUUCUGAUAAAUUCUUUCAAAGAAUGCUACUAACUCAAGCUUUCCAAUGCAAAAAGAAUCACUCAAUUCCGAGUUGAUAUGAGGAGUCAAAGAAUUCUAAACCUGGCCUGAAAAAUUGGAACAAGCUGUGUUCACGAACUUCGGAGGGCAAAAAGACCUAUUUAGAAUCCGAUUUUGAGGUGUCAAAUAUUGAACUAACUUCUGCAACUAUUUAGAUGCGGCUCGUCGCUAGCUUCAAUUUGAGUACUCACGGAGCCAAAACGAACUUCGUAUGAGGAAGAUACACCUGUUUUACUGAACAGUGCACAAAACAGAUUCCAAUCCGAAUUCAGGUACGAGAUUGAUUCUAGAUAGAUCCAAUUUUUUUUCUUCUCUCUUUUUUUUUCACGCUUUUUUUUCUUUUUCUUCUGUCUCUUUUUUUUUUCCUUUUUUCUCUUUUUUUCUCUAUCUUUUUUUUUCAAGACAAACUAGAUAAGAUGCAGAUUGGAUCAGGCGAAGAUGUGAAUGACCUCAACUAUGAUUAUGACAAUGAACAGUGCGUAGCACGUGGUGGAAAUUAAUAGAUGGGAUGGUGGACAGCGGAAGGGAUAAUGAUGCAGCGGCGGCGUGACUAAUGUGAACAGAACUCGAAACUCUAAAGGAACUAGACGCUAAGACCAGCAACUUACACGACGAUGCAACCGAUAAUUCAACUAUGCAAGCAAUGAAUAGAAAAUUGCAAAGGCUCAGACUGGCUUGGAUAAAGGAUGAACACAUCUAACUUUUUUUUGUGUGGCUUUUUCUUGGACAAUAGGUAAGAAAAUAAAUCUAAUCUAGGAAAACUGGAAAUUCUCACCGAGCAACCUGAAAACUGAUACCACUUGAUAGAGGCGAGGGUCCCGAUCUUUCGAUGAGAUGAUAACUAUCGAUUUGGUGGAGACGACUUUCACGAUCCGACUACAAACGUGCACGACGUUGCGCCUUAGCAAUCGCUAAACCAACUCCGAGAGGUUAUUGACCACGCUAGAGCACAAUCAACCUGACCACGAAGGUCUAUUCCUGCAAGCAAUCGAAGAACAAGCAAGAAUAUGGUAAAAGCAAUCUGAAUAUUGCGAGUAUAUAUGAAGUAUUGAUAAAGGUGGGGAUCCGUAAGCGGUCUUGGUCUGGUCGUUGGACACAAACAAAGUACACGAAGUUGCAAUGGCUAACUUUUAACUAAACAAAUCCCCAGGAAAAGCUACUAGAUGGAUCUACUUAUAUAGGAGCAAGGGGUGGCGGCCAAGGAGGUGGGAGGACGUCCCAAGGCAGCCUAAAACUAAAUCUAGGUCGUACAAGGCCAAUGGGCCCAAGUGGAGGUGAUGUAACACCUUUGGACUUGUAGUUUGACUCGGAUUCUGCUGCAGCAUCAGAUUGUUUCGUCCACAACUCAACGCUCCGGACGAAUUUGAAGGUGAUUCCAAUUGGAUUGGAAAGUGCACGAAAUCUAGUUUCCAACAAAAAAAAGAAUCACCCAAUUCGGAGUCUGUAUGAAAAACUUGUGUGCGUUUUGAGUCAGGUGUGUCUGUGCAGUCUGAAUCUGAAUCGAGAACGUGAGAGACUUGGACUCUAUCUUCUCUUGGGCCAAAAGCGACGUGAGAGAACUUUUUGGACAGCAAAUAAAUAUCUCUUUCUUCCUUAUCUUCAUAUGUGGAUUGUACAAAUGUCCCAUACACCUACAAUUAGACAAAACACAAAAGUGUGUGAAGUAUUUUUGUUCUGGAUAACAUAAAUAGAUUAUUGAAUAGUUUGCACUAGAAAUCACCUGACAUAUAUGCAUAUAUGCAAUAUUUUUAGUCAUAUCCAAGGUAGUCAUGUCCUCAUCAGAGAGUCAAUCAAAUUCUGGAAGAUAUGCUCCGAGCUUCUGUCAUCUCAUUCGGAAUGGGUUGGGAGAAAUGCCUUCCAUUCACGGAGUUUGCCUAUAACAAUAGUUAUCAAGCUAGCUUGGGCAAAGCUCCUUCCGAAGUUCUCUAUGGACAAAAAUGUUGAACGCCUCUUAACUGGUCAAAAACUGAGGAAAGACAACUCUUUGGCCCGGAUAUGAUUCAGGAAGCAGAAGAGCAGGUUCGCGUUAUUCGUGAGAAAUUGAAAACAGCCCAAUCUCGUCAAAAGAGCCAAUAUGAUCGUAAACAUAAGCUCAUGACUUAUGAAGUCGGCAAGAAAGCUUACCUUCGGGCUACUCCGUUAAAGGGAACCCAUCGUUUCGGUAUCAAAGGCAAAUUGGCUCCUCGUUACAUUGGACCCUUUCGCAUUCUUGCCAAACGAGGAGAAGUUGCCUACCAAUUGGAACUACCUUCGCAUCUUUCAGUGUUCACGAUGUCUUCCAUGUUUCUCAACUCAGGCAUUGCUUCGCGGAUCCUAUCCGUGGAGUAGCCCACGAAACGCUUGAUCUACAGGAUAACCUCUCAUAUCGGGAAUAUCCCGUUCGUAUCCUUGAUCAAGCCGAGCGUACCACUCGACGCCAUAAUAUCAAGUUUCUCAAGGUUUAAUGGUCGCACCAUUCCGAGAAAGAAGCCACUUGGGAAAGGGAGGAUCGUCUUCGACUCGAGUACCCCACCUUCUUCCCGGAGGAUCCUAAAUCUCGGGACGAGAUUCUUUUGAGUGGGGGUGAGUUGUCACAUCCCUGCUUUUAGUCAUGCAUUAGGAUUGGAUGAACAUGUGCAUCAUGUUUAAAUUUCUUUUAAACUUGAAAUGGGGCCUAAUCAACCCCAACACCCCCCCUGAAAAUGCUAAUUUCCAACAAUUGGAAUUUCAAUGAACCCAAAAUGCCCUUCAUAAAAGCCCACCAUUUUUGGUCUUGACUAAAACCUCUGCCAAAAAUGGUCUUGCAAUUUAUGAAGCCAUUCUGGAUUUUUGAACAAGCCAUAAGUAUUUGAAUUUGGGCAUUUUAAAUGCUAUAAAUAUUUUAAAGUGCUCAAAUAAUCUUGGAAGCAUUUUUAGGCAGUUGAGAAUAUUCCCAAAUGUGCCUCUGAAUAUUUCCAGAGUUUUUGGAAAUGAAAUAGUAUUUAUUCUAUUUCAAUACACAUAGUAGGAAAUAAAUAAAAGCAAAACAGAAAAGAGAGAGAGAGAGAGAGAGAGUUAGAGCUUACCUGUCACCCUGGCCUGGCCCAGCUCGGCCCAGCCCACUGGCCACCGCCAGUCAUACCCCUCCUCUCACCAGGAGGACGAGAGGCGCGUGACCGGCGCCCGCAGCCACACGCCGGCCACCUCCUGCUUCUGCCGACACCCAGGACGCCGUCUAAGAGUGCCACGCACUCUCCCUCGUCCCCCUCUCACUUUCCCCACUCUUCCCGUGCCGUCUCCCUCCUCUGGCUCUCUCCCCAUCCCCUCCCGAGAGGAGCUCGUCGCCACCGUCGCCGUCCACCACGGCCAUCGACCCUCUCUCGUCUCUUCGACGUGUCCCUGAGCACCGCUGAUGUCUUCCUCUUCCUCACGGGCGAGCCAUGAUGCCUCGGACGCACUGCAACGCCACUAGCACCGUCUUCUUCCACCUCGGUCUGCCGAGAUCGCCGGCGACCGUACGCUGCCCCUGAUGCCUCCCCGAGCUCGCUGAGGCCACCGCUACACUCCCCGUGAGCUCCUUCUCCGUUCCCCUCUCUUUCCUUGCCAUUUUCUCCCUCUAACCGCGGGCUCCGUUGAGCCCGAGAGCUUGGCUUCGCCGGCCAUGUCGCCGCCGUGGCCACAGGCGCGUAAGCUCGAUUCCGAGCGCGUCACCACACUCACCACGUUUCCAGGAGCCUAACGCACCACUCCCCGCGCCUCGCCGUGCCCCGUAGCUUCGGGUUUAUCCUCGCCCGAACUUCGGCGACCACCAAGGUCAUUGCCGGCGUCGUUUCCGGCCUCCCCGAGCUCCACUUCCACCACCAAACGCCGCAGCUUGCCCCCAGCUAUGCGUAGUGAUAAGGACAUCAAUACAAUUGUUACACCCACAGCCCCUGCUGCUAUACAUACUGGACCAAUUACUAGAGCUCGUGCACGCCAACUAAAUUACCAGGUACUUUCGUUUCUUGGUAAUGAUUCUAAUGUUCAUGAGAAUAUGAUGCUGCCUAAAUUGGAUACAUUUGUUUUGCUUACAAAUGAAGGGCCUAGCUUGGAGAAGGAUGAACAUUGGAGCAAGAACAAGCAUGGAGAUGAUGGCAUGCGCAAGGGGAACAAGAACGGAGUUACAAGUGAUGAUUUCAGGACUUUGAAGCCACCAUAAUGGGUGCAUGAAGCCUUGGACGAAAUAUACAAGAUGCCACUUCACAAAUUCCGUCCCGAGGCUAUUUUAGGUGCUGCGUCACCUUAUUAUUGGGCCAGGCCCAUGUAAUUUCGAAAUACAUAAGUAUAGGCUAUUUUUAGAGUCCGUAUGUGUGGGUAAACAAGAGAUAGGGUUGAUUUCGGACCCCUCCACCAAGGGCCACGAAAUUCCCCCCCUCUUCCUCCAUAUAUACAGCCCUUAGGGCAUCGUUUAGACUUUGGGUUUUGUUUAGAUUAAAAGUUCGCCAUAGCUGCAACUUCACGUACUUCGUUUGUGUUCAACGACCAGACAAAGGCGUCACAGAACCCCACCUUGAUCAAUAAAGCUUUCAUCUUAUAUUUGCAAUAUCCAGAUUGCAAUCUCAGUUUCUUGCUUGUUCUUCGUUUGCUCGCAGGAAACAGACCCUCGUGGUCAGGUUGAUCGUGCUCCGGCGUGGUCAAUAACCUCUCGGAGUUGGUUUAGCGAUUGCUAAGGCGCGACGUCCUCGCACGUUCGUAGUCGGAUCGUCAAAGUCGACUUCCACCAAAGCGAAAUCCAUCAUCUCAUCGAAAGACGGGACACCUCCGCCUCUAUCAAGUGGUAUCAGUUUUCAGGUUGCUCGGUGAGAAUUUCUAGUUUUCCUAGAUUAGAAUUAUUUUCUUACCUAUUGUCCAAGAAAAAUCCACAAAAAAGAGUUAGAUCUAUUCAUCCUUUGUCCAAGCCAGUCUGAGCCUUUGCAAUUUUCUUUUCAUUGCUUGCAUAGUUGAAUUAUCGGUUGCAUCGUCGUGUCGAGUUGCUGGUCUUAGUGUCUAGGUCGUUUAGAGUUUCGAGUUCUGUUCACAUUAGUCACGUCGCCGCUGCACCAUUAUCCCUUCCGCUGUCCACCACCCAUCCAUCAAUUUCCUCCACGUGCUACCCACCGUUCAUUGUCAUAAUCAUAGUUGAGAUCGUUCCCAUCUUCGCUUGAUCCAAUCUACAUCUUAUCUAGUUUGUUUUGGAAAGAGGGAGAGAGAAAAAAAAGAUAGAGAAAAAAAACGAGAGAAAAAAAAGUAAAAAAAAAGUCAGAGAAAAAAAAGAAAGGAAAAGAAAAAAAAGUGUGAGAAAAAAAAGAGAGGAGAAAAAAAAACAAAAUUUGGAUCUAUCUAGACUCAAUCUCGUAGUUGAAUUCGGAUUGGAAUCUGUUUUGUGCACUGUUCAGUAAAACAGGCAUAACUUCUUCAUAUGAAGUCUGUUUUGGCUCCGCGAGUACUCAUAUGAAAGCUAGCAACGAGCCGCAUCUAAAUAGUUGUAGAAGCUAGUUCAGUAUUUGGCACCUCAACAUCAGCUUCUAAAUAGGUCUACUGCUAUUGUGAUCUUCACUUAUAUCUUGCUGUCCAGAGCUACUUCAUAUCCUUUAUUGAUGCUAGUUGUGCUACGACGUGACCUCAUUAGUGUUCUAGGCUCGCGUCUCUAGUUUGGUCUAGCCUAGGACCAGCACAGUACCGUCGUUGAGCGUUUAUUCAACAUUGCAUCUCUGAAUUGAUUAUUGCUAAUCUUUUGCUACCAUAUAUAGCCAACCCAGCUCCACAUAUUUCUACACCGUGUAUACGUACGCUCCCCUGGCAAUCGUUUUACUCAAUAUUCGGAGUUACUUGACACCGCAGGUUGCCGAUCACCGCCUGAUAGAGGCGAGGGUCCCGAUCUUUCGAUGAGAUGAUAACUAUCGAUUUGGUGGAGACGACUUUGACAAUCCGACUACAAACGUGCACGACGUUGCGCCUUAGCAAUCGCUAAACCAAUCUCCUGAGGUUACUGACGACGCCGGAAGCACGGUCAGCCUGACCACGAAGGUCUAUUCCUGCAAGCAAUCGAAGAACGAGCAAGAAUAUGAUAAAGCAAUCUGAAUAUUGCAAAUAUAUAUGAGGUAUUGAUAAUGGGGGGGAUCCGGAAGCGGUCUUGGUCUGGUCGUUGGACACAAACGAAGUACACGAAGUUGCAAUGGCUAACUUUUAACUAAACAAAUCCCAAGGAAAAGCUACUAGAUGGAUCUACUUAUAUAGGAGCAAGGGGUGGCGGCCAAGGAGGUGGGAGGACGUCCCAAGGCAGCCUAAAAGUAAAUCUAGGUCGUACAAGGCCAAUGGGCCCAAGUGGAGGUGAUGUAACACCUUUGGACUUGUAGUUUGACUCGGAUUCUACUACAGCAUCAGAUUGUUUCGUCCACAACUCAAUGCGCCGGACGAAUUUGAAGGUGAUUCCAAUUGGGUUGUAAAGUGCACGAAAUCUAGUUUCCAACAAAAAAAGAAUCACCCAAUUCGGAGUCCGUAUGAAAAACUUGUGUGCGUUUUGAGUCAGGUGUGUUUGUGCAGUCCGAAUCUGAAUCCAGAACGUGAGAGACUUGGACUCUAUCUUCUCUUGGUCCAAAAGUGACGUGAGAGAACUUUUUGGACAGCAAAUAAACAUCUCUUUUCUUCCUUAUCUUCAUAUGUGGAUUGUACAAAUGUCCCAUACACCUGCAAUUAGACAAAACACAAAAGUGUGUGAAGUAUUUUUGUUCUGGAUAACAUAAAUAGAUUAUUGAAUAGUUUGCACUAGAAAUCACCUGACAAAUAUGCAUAUAUGCAAUAUUUUUGGUCAUAUCCAAGGUAGUCAUGUCCUCAUCAUCCUCCCCUUCUUGAAAAUAAAGCCGUCCUCGGCGUUGCUUAAUAUGAAAUGUGGCUAACAAAAGAGACAAGGUGUACAUGUUGUAUAUGUAUAUGUCAUCCAUUUUUACUUCCCUUGAUUUUUGCAUAUAUGACACAUUAAUAGAUCAGUAACUUGCAUAGUUCAUAAAAUCUAAAGCCAAAAAAUUAGCACAAGAAGUAGAAGGCAUGAAAAUAUUGCAACUCAGUAUGCACAUAUAAGUGAAUCUCUUAUUCAUUUCAAAAGAUUGACAAUGUUCAUCAUUAAACCAUCCCAACAUUGGUGAAUAAACCUUACUUGCAUCAAAUUUACAUGCUACAACAUGCUUAAAUAAGCAAACAUGCAAUAAGUCAUUCAACACAGAAUCAUCACCAAGAUUAGAGGCGAGGGUCCCGAUCAUAUCAACUCUUGGAAUGUGCAGCGUGCGCUUGUUCUCCUCGUGGCCAACACGUCGUUUUAUUUCCUGUUUAGCUUUGCAAGCAAGAUGAAACAAAUGGUCCAUAGGAUAACACUCUUCAUGAAUUAGUAUCUCUUGAAUAUCACGGUUUAAUCCUCCCCAAAAUCUAUCCAUCAAAUCAUCUUCACUUUCUUCUAAAGAGGAAUGCAACAAGGUAGUUUGUAAAUCAUCAUAAUAUUUUGUUACAGUUUCACUACCUUGUUUUAAGUGUUGCAACUUCUUAGUCAUGUCACGAGUAUAAUAAGCAGGGACGAAAGUAUGUCGCAUGGCAAGUUUCAAAUCAUCCCAAGUAGUAGGUAUAUAAUCAGGGUGUAACCGACAAUAUUCACUCCACCAAACCAAAGCAUAACCAGUGAAAGAACCAACCGCAACCUUAACCUUUUUAUGUUCAUCGAAAUUAUGGGAAGCAAAUAUAUUUUUUAUGUCGAACUCCCAUUCAAUAUAUAAAGCAGGUUUAAAACGGCCAUUAAAUGGUGGUAUAGAUACAUUAACCUGAUCAUGUGCAUUUGGAUGUUUGUGCACCUCUCGUGACGGUUGUGGUAUUUGCAAAGGUGGUGGCACGUCUCCCGCGAUCGACAAAGCCCAUGAAUUGACUCUGGAUCCUAUCAUGAUUAGUAGAACAAGAAACAAAACCCAAAAAUAAUAUUCCUAUAGCUACUAGGAUGUGGUGGUAAAACGCUCACAGUAAAGCAAAUAUCAAUGUCUUAUAAGUUCUUACCAUGCAGCAGGCGGUGAUCGGCAACCAGCGGUGUCAAGUAACUCCGAAUAUUAAGUAAAGCGAUUGCCAGGGGAGCGUACGUAUACACGGUGUAGAAAUAUGUGGAGCUGGGUUGGCUAUAUAUGGUAGCAAAAGAUUAGCAAUAAUCAAUUCAAAGAUGCAAUGUUGAAUAAACGCUCAAGGACGGUACUGUGCUGGUCCUAGGCUAGACCAGACUAGAGACGCGAGCCUAGAACACUAAUAAGGUCAUGGCGUAGCACAACUAGCAUCAAUGAAGGAUACUAAGUAGCUCUUGAUAGCAAGAUAUAAGUGAAGAUCACAACGGCAGUGAAGAUAAUGAUGAAAAACAACUGCCAAGCAGGAUAUACAACAACUCUCUCUCCAACUUUCCUCUUGAAAAGUUUGAGACAAUUUUCUGAUAAAUUCUUUCAAAGAAUGCUACUAACUCAAGCUUUCCAAUGCAAAAAGAAUCACUCAAUUGCGAGUUGAUAUGAGGAGUCAAAGAAUUCUAAAACUGGCCUGAAAAAUUGGAACAAGUUGUGUUCACGAACUUCGAAGGGCAAAAAGACCUAUUUAGAAGCCGAUUUUGAGGUGUCAAAUAUUGAACUAGCUUCUGCAACUAUUUAGAUGCAGCUCGUCGCUAUCCUCAAUUUGAGUACUCACGGAGCCAAAACUGACUUCGUAUGAAGAAGUUAUGCCUGUUUUACUGAACAGUCCACAAAACAGAUUCCAAUCCGAAUUCAACUACGGGAUUGAGUCUAGAUAGAUCCAAAUUUUGUUUUUUUUCUCCUCUUUUUUUUCUUUAUCUUCUUUUUCUCCCUCUUUCCAAGACAAACUAGAUAAGAUGCAGAUUCGAUCAGGCGAAGAUGUGAGUGACCUCAACUAUGAUUAUGACAAUAAACAGUGCGUAGCACAUGGUGGAAAUUGGUGGAUGGGAUGGUGGACAGCGGAUGGGAUAAUGAUGCAGCGGCUGCGUGACUAAUGUGAAUAGAACUCGAAACUCUAAAGGAACUAGACACUAAGACCAGCAACUCGACACGGCGAUGCAACCGAUAAUUCAAUAAUGCAAACAAUGAAAAGAAAAUUGCAAAGGCUUAGUCUGGCUAGGACAAAGGAUGAAUAGAUAUAACUUUUGUUUUGUGGCUUUUUCUUGGACAAUAGGUAAGAAAAUAAAUCUAAUCUAGGAAAAACUGGAAAUUCUCACCGAGCAACCUGAAAACUGAUACCACUUGAUAGAGGCGAGGGUGUCCCGUCUUUCGAUGAGAUGCUGGAUAUCGCUUUGGUGGAAGUCGACUUUGAUGAUCCGACUACGAACGUGCAAGGACGUCGCGCCUUAGCAAUCGCUAAACCAACUCCGAGAGGUUAUUGACCACGCCGGAGCACGAUCAACCUGACCACGAGGGUCUUUUUUUGCAAGCAAUCGAAGAACGAGCAAGAAUAUGAUAAAGCAAUCUGAAUAUUGCAAAUAUAUAUGAGGUAUUGAUAAUGGUGGGGAUCCGGAAGCGGUCUUGGUCUGGUCGUUGGACACAAACAAAGUACACGAAGUUGCAAUGGCUAACUUUUAACUAAACAAAUCCCAAGGAAAAGCUACUAGAUGUAUCUACUUAUAUAGGAGCAAGGGGUGGCGGCCAAGGAGGUGGGAGGACGUCCCAAGGCAGCCUAAAACUAAAUCUAGGUCGUACAAGGCCAAUGGGCCCAAGUGGAGGUGAUGUAACACCUUUGGACUUGUAGUUUGACUCGGAUUCUGCUGCAGCAUCAGAUUGUUUCGUCCACAACUCAACGCUCCGGACGAAUUUGAAGGUGAUUCCAGUUGGGUUGGAAAGUGCACGAAAUCUAGUUUCCAACAAAAAAAGAAUCACCCAAUUCGGAGUCCGUAUGAAAAACUUGUGUGCGUUUUGAGUCAGGUGUGUCUGUGCAGUCCGAAUCUGAAUCCAGAACGUGAGAGACUUGGACUCUAUCUUCUCUUGGUCCAAAAGUGACGUGAGAGAACUUUUUGGACAGCAAAUAAACAUCUCUUUCUUCCUUAUCUUCAUAUGUGGAUUGUACAAAUGUCCCAUACACCUGCAAUUAGACAAAACACAAAAGUGUGUGAAGUAUUUUUGUUCUGGAUAACAUAAAUAGAUUAUUGAAUAGUUUGCACUAGAAAUCACCUGACAAAUAUGCAUAUAUGCAAUAUUUUUGGUCAUAUCCAAGGUAGUCAUGUCCUCAUCACCGCCUGCUGCAUGGUAAGAACUUGUAAGACAUUGAUAUUUGCUUUACUGUGAGCAUUUUCCCACCACAUCCUAGUAGUUAUAGGAACAUUAUUUUUGGGUUUUGUUUCUUGUUCUACUAAUCAUGACAGGAUCCAGAGUCAAUUCAUGGGCUUUGUCGAUCGCGGGAGACGUGCCACCACCUUUGCAAAUACCACAACCAUCACGAGAGGUGCACAAACAUCCAAAUGCACAUGAUUAGGUUAAUAUAUCUAUACCACCAUUUAAUGGCCGUUUUAAACCUGCUUUAUAUAUUGAAUGGGAGUUCGACAUAAAAAAUAUAUUUGCUUCCCAUAAUUUCAAUGAACAUAAAAAGGUUAAGGUUGCGGUUGGUUCUUUCACUGGUUAUGCUUUGGUUUGGUGGAGUGAAUAUUGUCGGUUACACCCUGAUUAUAUACCUACUACUUGGGAUGAUUUGAAACUUGCCACGCGACAUACUUUCGUCCCUGCUUAUUAUACUCGUGACAUGAUUAAGAAGUUGCAACACUUAAAACAAGGUAGUGAAACUGUAACAAAAUAUUAUGAUGAUUUACAAACUACCUUGUUGCAUUCCUCUUUAGAAGAAAGUGAAGAUGAUUUUAUGGAUAGAUUUUGGAAAGGAUUAAACCAUGAUAUUCAAGAGAUACUAAUUCAUGAAGAGUGUUAUCCUAUGGACCAUUUGUUUCAUCUUGCUUGCAAAGCUGAACAGGAAAUAAAACGACGUGUUGGCCACGAGGAGAACAAGCGCACGGUGCACAUUCCAAGAGUUGAUAUGAUUGUUCCUUCAACUACUAGGCAUACUAUGACAACCACAUCCGUUGUUGUCAGGACUACAUCACCUCCACCAUGUGACACAUUGCCCCCGAGAGUGGCUACAUCAUCUGAGUUGAUCAUAAGAGGUAAUGACAAAGGUACUGAUCUUCCAUCUCUACAUGAGAAUGAUGAAUGCCUUGUCAAUUUGAAUGCACCAUCUGAUGAGCUACCCACUACUUUGAUCACACCACCUAUUUUAGAGGACUACGUUGAUAAUUUGACUUUGCCAUGUGAUCAAACAACUGAAAUACCAACAAUUUUGAGUGCACCCACUGAAUUAACUAUUGAUGCAAAAGAACCAAUAUUUAAUCAUUUUGAUAUGACCUCUAAUCUUGGUGAUGAUUCUGUGUUGAAUGACUUAUUGCAUGUUUGCUUAUUUAAGCAUGUUGUAGCAUGUAAAUUUGAUGCAAGUAAGGUUUAUUUAUCAAUGUUGGGAUGGUUUAAUGAUGAACAUUGUCAAUCUUUUGAAAUGAAUAAGAGCUUCACUUAUAUGUGCAAACUGAGUUGCAAUAUUUUCAUGCCUUCUACUUCUUGUGCUAAUUUUUUGGCUUUAGAUUUUAUGAACUAUGCAGGUUACUCAUCUAUUCAUGUGUCAUAUAUGCAAAAAUCAAGGGAAGUAAAAAUGGAUGAUAUAUACAUAUACAACAUGUACACCUUGUCUCUUUUGUUAGCCACAUUUCAGAUUAAGCAACGCCGAGAACGGCUUUAUUUUCAAGAAGGGGAGGAUGAUGAGGACAUGACUACCUUGGAUAUGACCAAAAAUAUUGCAUAUAUGCAUAUUUGUUAGGUGAUUUCUAGUGCAAACUAUUCAAUAAUCUAUUUAUGUUAUCCAGAACAAAAAUACUUCACACACUUUUGUGUUUUGUCUAAUUGCAGGUGUAUGGGACAUUUGUACAAUCCACAUAUGAAGAUAAGGAAGAAAGAGAUGUUUAUUUGUUGUCCAAAAAGUUCUCUCACGUCACUUUUGGCCCAAGAGAAGAUAGAGUCCAAGUCUCUCACGUUCUGGAUUCAGAUUCGGACUGCACAGAUACACCUGAAUCAAAACGCACAUAAGUUUUUCAUACGGACUCCGAAUUGGGUGAUUCUUUUUUUGUUGGAAACUAGAUUCCGUGCACUUUCCAACCCAAUUGGAAUCACCUUCAAAUUCGUCCGGAGCGUUGAGUUGUGGACGAAACAAUCUGAUGCUGCAGCAGAAUCCGAGUCAAACUACAAGUCCAAAGGUGUUACAUCACCUCCACUUGGGCCCAUUGGCCUUGUACGACCUAGAUUUAGUUUUAGGCUGCCUUGGGACGUCCUCCCACCUCCUUGGCCGCCACCCCUUGCUCCUAUAUAAGUAGAUCCAUCUAGUAGCUUUUCCUUGGGAUUUGUUUAGUUAAAAGUUAGCCAUUGCAACUUCGUAUACUUCGUUUGUGUCCAACGACCAGACCAAGACCGCUUCCGGAUCCCCACUAUUAUCAAUACUUCAUAUAUAUUUGCAAUAUUCAGAUUGCUUUAUCAUAUUCUUGCUCGUUCUUCGAUUGCUUGCAGGAAUAGACCUUCGUGGUCAGGCUAACCGUGCUUCUAGCAUCGUCAGUAACCUCAGGAGAUUGGUUUAGCGAUUGCUAAGGCGCAACGUCGUGCACGUUUGUAGUCGGAUCAUCAAAGUCGUCUCCACCAAAUCGAUAGUUAUCAUCUCAUCGAAAGAUCGGGACACCCUCGCCUCUAUCAAGUGGUAUCAGAGCCGACGAGAUUGACUAGGAGAACUUAUCGAACAAGGAGCUUCAUGAUAAGUUUCAGCAAAUGAUGACUGAACAGGUGCAAGAUGUGUUGUACAAUUUUGAAGAGGCCAUGGAGAAGAUUACUGGCCUUGAGAAGACGUUCGAAACAAAGCUCGAUAACAGAUUUAAUGAACUGCUUGCGCGUCUUCCACCACCGGCUGCACCUGUCGCACCUCUGCAACAACAACAACUACGCCCCCUUCCGAAUCAGUAUGGACGAGCACAGCGUGUUCCUAUUGAGCUAGGACAACAUUCUGGUGCCGCUGCUACUGCUGUUGGUGCUUCUUUGGCUCCUGCUACUGCUGCUGCUGGUACCCAGGAGGAUGAUGAUUAUGUGGGAGAUUAUGAGGAUGAGGUUGAUCAAAAUCCGAACUACGUGCAGCCACCAGCACCACCACCACCAGGUCGACCUCAGGUAUAUAUUCGUAAUGGUAGGCCCGCACCACCACCUCAGGUACGAGAUGAUGUCCAUAUUCCUAAACUGAAAUUGAAUAUUCCACCAUUUGAGGGUAGAUAUGUUCCUGAUAUAUAUCUUACUUGGGAGUUAGAAACUGAACAACAAUUUACAUGUUUACAAUAUCCUAAGGAGAGACGAGUUGCUGCUGCUGUUUGUGCUUUCACUAGUUUUGCAUGUGUAUGGUGGUCUGAACAUUGUAGAUUAUAUCCUAUUCCAACUACUUGGGCUGCUUUGAAAACUGCUAUGCGUACGCGUUGGGUUCCACCAUAUUAUCAACGUGAAUUGCUUCAAAAAUUGCAGCGUUUAAGACAAGGGAAAAAUUCUGUAGAAGAAUAUUAUCAGGAAUUACAAACUGGCAUGAUUAGAUGUGGUAUUGUUGAGGAGAAUGAAGCUAUGCUUGCACGUUUUCUGGGUGGAUUAAAUAGAGAGAUUCAGACCAUUUUAGACUAUAAGGAGUAUACUAAUAUCACUCGUUUAUUCCAUCUUGCUUGUAAAGCUGAACGUGAAGUGCAGGAUCGACAAGCAUUGGGGCGAACUAACUUUUCUGCAGGCCGACCUUCAUCAUGGACACCACGUGCAUCUCCUACUUCAACUGCACCAGCACCUCCAUCCGGUGCCACCUCCAGCCGUGAUACAAGAAAACAGGCACAACCACCAUUAUCUGCCAAGAGCGCACCUGCGGGGCCUGCACAGCGUUCUUCUUCUUCCAUGGCAUCAAUAGGGCACACAAGUGAUAUUAUUUGUCGUCGUUGUAAGGGAGGAGGUCAUUAUGCGAGGGAAUGCAAAUCUCCGCGUGUGAUGAUUGCUACCGCGGAUGGUGGAUAUGAGUCCGCUAGUGACUAUGAUGAGGAGACAUUGGCUCUUAUUACACGUGAAGAACAUGGUGGAGAUGAUUCUGAUCAUGAGACGCAAUACAUGGCUCCUGAAGACGCUGACAGGUAUGAAUGUUUAGUUGCUCAACGUGUUUUGAGUGUGCAGGUCACACAAGCUGAGCAAAAUCAGAGGCACAAUUUGUUCCAUACCAAGGGAGCUGUGAAGGAACGUUCUGUGCGCGUCAUAAUAGACGGAGGGAGCUGCAACAACUUGGCUAGCAUGGAGAUGGUGGAGAAGCUUUCUCUCACCACAAGACCACAUCCACAUCCUUACUACAUCCAAUGGUUCAACAACAGCGGCAAGGUUAAGGUAACACGUACUGUUCGUGUGCAUUUUAGUAUCUCUACAUAUGCUGAUUAUGUUGAUUGUGAUGUGGUACCUAUGCAAGCAUGUUCCUUAUUACUUGGUAGACCAUGGCAAUUUGAUAAAAAUUCUGUACACCAUGGUAGAAACAAUCACUAUACUCUUGUUCAUAAGGAUAAAAAUAUUACUUUGCUUCCUAUGACUCCUGAUUCCAUUUUGAAAGAUGAUAUUAAUAGAGCUAAUAAAGCACAACAGGAGAAGAAUAAGAGUGAAAAUCAGAUUGUGGCAAAAGAAUUUGAGCAACAAAUGAAGCCUAAUAAUAAGCCAUCUAGUGUUGCUUCUGAAAUUAAAUUGAAAAGUGCAUGUUUAUUCGCCACCAAAUCUGAUAUUGAUGAGCUAGAUUUCAGCAAAUCUGUUUGCUAUGCUUUUGUGUGCAAAGAGGCAUUAUUUUCAUUCGAGGACGUGCCUUCCUCUUUGCCUCCUGCUGUCACUAACAUUUAAUUCCCGGUGCUUCACUGCCAAACCGUGCACCAUACCGUACCAAUCCAGAGGAGACGAAGGAGAUUAUGCGUCAAGUACAAGAGCUUCUCGACAAAGGUUAUAUACGCGAAUCCCUUAGUCCUUGUGCUGUUCCUAUUAUUCUAGUGCCGAAAAAGGAUGGUACAUCACGUAUGUGUGUUGAUUGUAGAGGCAUUAAUAAUAUUACUAUUCGUUAUCGUCAUCCUAUUCCUAGGCUAGAUGAUAUGCUUGAUGAAUUGAGUGGCUCUACAAUAUUCUCCAAAGUUGAUUUGCGUAGUGGCUACCAUCAAAUUCGUAUGAAAUUGGGAGAUGAAUGGAAAACAGCAUUUAAAACUAAGUUUGGAUUAUAUGAGUGGUUAGUCAUGCCUUUUGGGUUAACUAAUGCACCUAGUACUUUCAUGAGAUUAAUGAACGAAGUUUUACGUGCUUUCAUUGGACGAUUUGUGGUAGUUUACUUUGAUGACAUAUUGAUUUAUAGCAGAUCUUUGGAGGAACAUUUGGAACAUUUACGUGCUGUUUUUAUUGCUCUACGUGAUGCACGUUUGUUUGGUAACCUUGGGAAGUGCACCUUUUGCACCGACCGAGUAUCUUUUCUUGGCUAUGUUGUUACUCCACAGGGAAUUGAAGUUGAUAAAGCCAAGAUUGAAGCUAUUCAGAGUUGGCCGCAACCCAAAAGGGUCACACAAGUGAGGAGUUUUCUUGGCCUCGCUGGAUUCUAUAGGCGUUUUGUGAGAGAUGAUGAGGACAUCAAUACAAUUGUUACACCCACAGCCCCUGCUGCUAUACAUACUGGACCAAUUACUAGAGCUCGUGCACGCCAACUAAAUUACCAGGUACUUUCGUUUCUUGGUAAUGAUUCUAAUGUUCAUGAGAAUAUGAUGCUGCCUAAAUUGGAUACAUUUGUUUUGCUUACAAAUGAAGGGCCUAGCUUGGAGAAGGAUGAACAUUGGAGCAAGAACAAGCAUGGAGAUGAUGGCAUGCGCAAGGGAAACAAGAACGGAGUUACAAGUGAUGAUUUCAGGACUUUGAAGCCACCAUAAUGGGUGCAUGAAGCCUUGGACGAAAUAUACAAGACGCCACUUCAUAAAUUUCGUCCCGAGGCUAUUUUAGGUGCUGCGUCACCUUAUUAUUGGGCCAGGCCCAUGUAAUUUCGAAAUACAUAAGUAUAGGCUAUUUUUAGAGUCCGUAUGUGUGGGGAAACAAAGAGAUAGGGUUGAUUUCGGACCCCUCCACCAAGGGCCACGAAAUUCCCCCCCUCUUCCUCCAUAUAUACAGCCCUUAGGGCAUCGUUUAGACUUUGGGUUUUGUUUAGAUUAAAAGUUCGCCAUAGCUGCAACUUCGCGUACUUCGUUUGUGUUCAACGACCAGACAAAGGCGUCACAGAACCCCACCUUGAUCAAUAAAGCUUUCAUCUUAUAUUCGCAAUAUCCAGAUUGCAAUCUUAGUUUCUUGCUUGUUCUUCGUUUGCUCGCAGGAAACAGACCUUCGUGGUCAGGUUGAUCGUGCUCCGGCGUGGUCAAUAACCUCUCGGAGUUGGUUUAGCGAUUGCUAAGGCGCGACGUCCUCGCACGUUCGUAGUCGGAUCGUCAAAGUCGACUUCCACCAAAGCGAAAUCCACCAUCUCAUCGAAAGACGGGACACCUUUGCCUCUAUCACUGAUGCGGAGGAGGAUGAUUAUGUGGGAGACUAUGAGGAUGAGGUUGAUCAAAAUCAACACUACGUGCAGCCACCUGUACCACCACCAGCGGGUCGACCUCAGGUAUAUAUUCGUAAUGGUAGGCCUGCACCACCACCUCAGGUACGCGAUGAUGUCCAUAUUCCUAAACUGAAAUUGAAUAUUCCACCAUUUGAGGGUAGAUAUGUUCCUGAUAUAUAUCUUACUUGGGAGUUAGAAACUGAACAACGAUUUACAUGUUUACAAUAUCCUGAGGAGAGACGAGUUGCUGCUGCUGUUUGUGCUUUCACUAGUUUUGCAUGUGUAUGGUGGUCUGAACAUUGUAGAUUAUAUCCUAUUCCAACUACUUGGGCUGCUUUGAAAACUGCUAUGCGUACGCGUUGGGUUCCACCAUAUUAUCAACGUGAAUUGCUUCAAAAAUUGCAGCGUUUAAGACAAGGAAAAAAAUCUGUAGAAGAAUAUUAUCAGGAAUUACAAACUGGCAUGAUUAGAUGUGGUAUUGUUGAGGAGAAUGAAGCUAUGCUUGCACGUUUUCUGGGUGGAUUAAAUAGAGAGAUUCAGACCAUUCUAGACUAUAAGGAGUAUACUAAUAUCACUCGUUCAUUCCAUCUUGCUUGUAAAGCUGAACGUGAAGUGCAUGAUCGACAAGCAUUGGGGCGAACUAACUUUUCUGCAGGCCGACCUUCAUCAUGGACACCACGUGCAUCUUCUACUUCAACUGCACCAGCACCUUCAUCUGCUGCCACCUCCAGCCGUGAUACAAGAAAACAGGCACAACCACCAUUAUCUGCCAAGAGCGCACCUGCGGGGCCUGCACAGCGUUCUUCUUCUUCCAUGGCAUCAACAGGGCACACAAGUGAUAUUAUUUGUCGUCGUUGUAAGGGAGGAGGUCAUUAUGCGAGGGAAUGCAAAUCUCCGUGUGUGAUGAUUGCUACCGCGGAUGGUGGAUAUGAGUCCGCUAGUGACUAUGAUGAGGAGACAUUGGCUCUUAUUACACGUGAAGAACAUGGUGGAGAUGAUUCUGAUCAUGAGACGCAAUACAUGGCUCCUGAAGACGCUGACAGGUAUGAAUGUUUAGUUGCUCAACGUGUUUUGAGUGUGCAGGUCACACAAGCUGAGCAAAAUCAGAGGCACAAUUUGUUCCAUACCAAGGGAGUUGUGAAGGAACGUUCUGUGCGCGUCAUAAUAGACGGAGGGAGCUGCAACAACUUGGCUAGCAUGGAGAUGGUGGAGAAGCUUUCUCUCACCACAAGACCUGAUAGAGGCGGGGUGUCCCAAUCUUUCGAUGAGAUAAUAACUAUCGAUUUGGUGAAGAUGACUUUGACGAUCCGACUACAAACGUGCACGACGUUGUGCCUUAGCAAUCGCUAAACCAACUUCGAGAGGUUAUUGACCACGCCGGAGCACAAUCAACCUGACCACGAAGGUCUAUUCCUGCAAGCAAUCGAAGAACAAGCAAGAAUAUGAUAAAAGCAAUCUAAAUAUUGCGAGUAUAUAUGAAGUAUUGAUAGAUAAAGGUGGGGAUCCGUAAGCGGUAUUGGUCUGGUCGUUGGACACAAACGAAGUACACGAAGUUGCAAUGGCUAACUUUUAACUAAACAAAUCCCAAGGAAAAGCUACUAGAUGGAUCUACUUAUAUAGGAGCAAGGGGUGGCGGCCAAGGAGGUGGGAGGACGUCCCAAGGCAGCCUAAAACUAAAUCUAGGUCGUACAAGGCCAAUGGGCCCAAGUGGAGGUGAUGUAACACCUUUGGACUUGUAGUUUGACUCAGAUUCUGCUGCAGCAUCAGAUUGUUUCGUCCACAACUCAACGCUCCGGACGAAUUUGAAGGUGAUUCCAAUUAGGUUGGAAAGGGCACGAAAUCUAGCUUGCAACAAAAAAAGAAUCACCCAAUUCGGAGUCCGUAUGAAAAACUUGUGUGCGUUUUGAGUCAGGUAUGUCUGUGCAGUCCGAAUCUGAAUCCAGAACGUGAGAGACUUGGACUCUAUCUUCUCUUGGGCCAAAAGUGACGUGAGAGAACUUUUUGGACAGCAAAUAAACAUCUCUUUCUUCCUUAUCUUCAUAUGUGGAUUGUACAAAUGUUCCAUACACCUGCAAUUAGACAAAACACAAAAGUGUGUGAAGUAUUUUUGUUCUGGAUAACAUAAAUAGAUUAUUGAAUAGUUUGCACUAGAAAUCACCUGACAAAUAUGCAUAUAUGCAAUAUUUUUGGUCAUAUCCAAGGUAGUCAUGUCCUCAUCAUCCUCCCCUUCUUGAAAAUAAAGCCGUCCUCGGCGUUGCUUAAUCUGAAAUGUGGCUAACAAAAGAGACAAGGUGUACAUGUUGUAUAUGUAUAUGUCAUCCAUUUUUACUUCCCUUGAUUUUUGCAUAUAUGACACAUGAAUAGAUGAGUAACUUGCAUAGUUCAUAAAAUCUAAAUCCAAAAUAUUAGCACAAGAAGUAGAAGGCAUGAAAAUAUUGCAACUCAGUUUGCACAUAUAAGUGAAGCUCUUAUUCAUUUCAAAAGAUUGACAAUGUUCAUCAUUAAACCAUCCCAACAUUGGUGAAUACACCUUACUUGCAUCAAAUUUACAUGCUACAACAUGCUUAAAUAAGCAAACAUGCAAUAAGUCAUUCAACACAAAAUCAUCACCAAGAUUAGAGGUCAUAUCAAAAUGAUUAAACAUUGGUUCUUUUGCAUCAAUAGUUAAUUCAAUGGGUGCACUCAAAAUUGUUGGUAUUUCAGUUGUUUGAUCACAUGGCAAAGUCAAAUUAUCAAUGUAGUCCUCUAAAAUAGGUGGUGUGAUCAAAGUAGUGGGUAGCUCAUCAGAUGGUGCAUUCAAAUUGACAAGGCAUUCAUCAUUCUCAUGUAGAGAUGGAAGAUCAGUACCUUUGUCAUUACCUCUUAUGAUCAACUCAGAUGAUGUAGCCACUCUCGGGGGCGAUGUGUCACAUGGUGGAGGUGAUGUAGUCCUGACAACAACAGAUGUGGUUGUCAUAGUAUGCCUAGUAGUUGAAGGAACAAUCAUAUCAACUCUUGGAAUGUGCACCGUGCGCUUGUUCUCCUCGUGGCCAACACGUCGUUUUAUUUCCUGUUCAGCUUUGCAAGCAAGAUGAAACAAAUGGUCCAUAGGAUAACACUCUUCAUGAAUUAGUAUCUCUUGAAUAUCACGGUUUAAUCCUCCCCAAAAUCUAUCAAUAAAAUCAUCUUCACUUUCUUCUAAAGAGGAAUGCAACAAGGUAGUUUGUAAAUCAUCAUAAUAUUUUGUUACAGUUUCACUACCUUGUUUUAAGUGUUGCAACUUCUUAAUCAUGUCACGAGUAUAAUAAGCAGGGACGAAAGUAUGUCGCAUGGCAAGUUUCAAAUCAUCCCAAGUAGUAGGUAUAUAAUCAGGGUGUAACCGACAAUAUUCACUCCACCAAACCAAAGCAUAACCAAUGAAAGAACCAACCGCAACCUUAACCUUUUUAUGUUCAUCGAAAUUAUGGGAAGCAAAUAUAUUUUUUAUGUCGAACUCCCAUUCAAUAUAUAAAGCAGGUUUAAAACGGCCAUUAAAUGGUGGUAUAGAUACAUUAACCUGAUCAUGUGCAUUUGGAUGUUUGUGCACCUCUCGUGACGGUUGUGGUAUUUGCGAAGGUGGUGGCACGUCUCCCGCGAUCGACAAAGCCCAUGAAUUGACUCUGGAUCCUGUCAUGAUUAGUAGAACAAGAAACAAAACCCAAAAAUAAUGUUCCUAUAACUACUAGGAUGUGGUGGUAAAACGCUCACAGUAAAGCAAAUAUCAAUGUCUUACAAGUUCUUACCAUGCAGCAGGCGGUGAUCGGCAACCAGCGGUGUCAAGUAACUCCGAAUAUUGAGUAAAGCGAUUGCCAGGGGAGCGUACGUGUACACGGUGUAGAAAUAUGUGGAGCUGGGUUGGCUAUAUAUGGUAGCAAAAGAUUAGCAAUAAUCAAUUCAAAGAUGCAAUGUUGAAUAAACGCUCAACGACGGUACUGUGCUGGUCCUAGGCUAGACCGGACUAGAGACGCGAGCCUAGAAAACUAAUAAGGUCACGGCGUAGCACAACUAGCAUCAAUGAAGGAUACUAAGUAGCUCUUGACAGCAAGAUAUAAGUGAAGAUCACAACGGUAGUGAAGAUAAUGAUGAAAAACAACUGCCAAGCAGGAUAUACAACAACUCUCUCUCCAACUUUCCUCUUGAAAAGUUUGAGGCAAUUUUCUGAUAAAUUCUUUCAAAGAAUGCUACUAACUCAAGCUUUCCAAUGCAAAAAGAAUCACUCAAUUCCGAGUUGAUAUGAGGAGUCAAAGAAUUCUAAAACUGGCCUGAAAAAUUGGAACAAGUUGUGUUCAUGAACUUCGGAGGGCAAAAAGACCUAUUUAGCAGCCGAUUUUGAGGUGUCAAAUAUUGAACUAGCUUCUACAACUAUUUAGAUGCGACUCAUCGCUAUCUUCAAUUUGAGUACUCACGGAGCCAAAACGGACUUCGUAUGAGGAAGAUACACCUGUUUUACUGAACAGUGCGCAAAAGAGAUUCCAAUCCGAAUUCAGGUACGAGAUUGAUUCUAGAUAGAUCCAAUUUUUUUUUCUUCUCUCUUUUUUUCUCACGCUUUUUUUUCUUUUUCUCUCCCUCUUUUUCUUUUUUUUUCUUUCCUUUUUUCUCUCUUUUUUUUCUUUAUAUUCUUUUUCUCCCUCUUUCCAAGACAAACUAGAUAAGAUGCAGAUUCGAUCAGGCGAAGAUGUGAGUGACCUCAACUAUGAUUAUGACAAUAAACAGUGCGUAGCACAUGGUGGAAAUUGGUGGAUGGGAUGGUGGACAGCGGAUGGGAUAAUGAUGCAGCGGCUGCGUGACUAAUGUGAACAGAACUCGAAACUCUAAAGGAACUAGACACUAAGACCAGCAAUUCGACACGGCGAUGCAACCAAUAAUUCAAUAAUGCAAACAAUGAAAAGAAAAUUGCAAAGGCUCAGACUGGCUUGGACCAAGGAUGAAUAGAUCUAACUCUUUUUUGUGGCUUUUUCUUGGACAAUAGGUAAAAAAAUAAAUCUAAUCUAGGAAAACUGGAAAUCCUCACCGAGCAACCUGAAAACUGAUACCACUUGAUAGAGGCGGGGUGUCCCAAUCUUUCGAUGAGAUAAUAACUAUCGAUUUGGUGAAGAUGACUUUGACGAUCCGACUACAAAUGUGCACGACGUUGCGCCUUAGCAAUCGCUAAACCAACUUCGAGAGGUUAUUGACCACGCCGGAGCACAAUCAACCUGACCACGAAGGUCUAUUCCUGCAAGCAAUCGAAGAACAAGCAAGAAUAUGAUAAAAGCAAUCUAAAUAUUGCGAGUAUAUAUGAAGUAUUGAUAGAUAAAGGUGGGGAUCCGUAAGCGGUAUUGGUCUGGUCGUUGGACACAAACGAAGUACACGAAGUUGCAAUGGCUAACUUUUAACUAAACAAAUCCCAAGGAAAAGCUACUAGAUGGAUCUACUUAUAUAGGAGCAAGGGGUGGCGGCCAAGGAGGUGGGAGGACGUCCCAAGGCAGCCUAAAACUAAAUCUAGGUCGUACAAGGCCAAUGGGCCCAAGUGGAGGUGAUGUAACACCUUUGGACUUGUAGUUUGACUCGGAUUCUGCUGCAACAUCAGAUUGUUUCGUCCACAACUCAACGCUCCGGACGAAUUUGAAGGUGAUUCCAAUUGGGUUGGAAAGGGCACGAAAUCUAGCUUCCAACAAAAAAAAGAAUCACCCAAUUCGGAGUCCGUAUGAAAAACUUGUGUGCGUUUUGAGUCAGGUAUGUCUGUGCAGUCUGAAUCUGAAUCCAGAACGUGAGAGACUUGGACUCUAUCUUCUCUUGGGCCAAAAGUGACGUGAGAGAACUUUUUGGACAGCAAAUAAACAUCUCUUUCUUCCUUAUCUUCAUAUGUGGAUUGUGCAAAUGUCCCAUACACCUGCAAUUAGACAAAACACAAAAGUGUGUGAAGUAUUUUUGUUCUGGAUAACAUAAAUAGAUUAUUGAAUAGUUUGCACUAGAAAUCACUUGACAAAUAUGCAUAUAUGCAAUAUUUUUGGUCAUAUCCAAGGUAGUCAUGUCCUCAUCAAGACCACAUUCACAUCCUUACUACAUCCAAUGGUUCAACAACAGCGGCAAGGUUAAGGUAACACGUACUGUUCGUGUGCAUUUUAGUAUCUCUACAUAUGCUGAUUAUGUUGAUUGUGAUGUGGUACCUAUGCAAGCAUGUUCCUUAUUACUUGGUAGACCAUGGCAAUUUGAUAAAAAUUCUGUACACCAUGGUAGAAACAAUCACUAUACUCUUGUUCAUAAGGAUAAAAAUAUUACUUUGCUUCCUAUGACUCCUGAUUCCAUUUUGAAAGAUGAUAUUAAUAGAGCUAAUAAAGCACAACAGGAGAAGAAUAAGAGUGAAAAUCAGAUUGUGGCAAAAGAAUUUGAGCAACAAAUGAAGCCUAAUAAUAAACCAUCUAAUGUUGCUUCUGAAAUUAAAUUGAAAAGUGCAUGUUUAUUUGCCACCAAAUCUGAUAUUGAUGAGCUAGAUUUCAGCAAAUCUGUUUGCUAUGUUUUUGUGUGCAAAGAGGCAUUAUUUUCAUUCGAGGACAUGCCUUCCUCUUUGCCUCCUGCUGUCACUAACAUUUUGCAGGAGUUCGCUGACAUUUUUCCACAAGACGUGCCACCGGGAUUACUGCCUAUUCGAGGGAUUGAGCAUCAGAUUGACUUAAUUCCCGGUGCUUCACUGCCAAACCGUGAACCAUACCGUACCAAUCCAGAGGAGACAAAGGAGAUUAUGCGUCAAGUACAAGAGCUUCUCGACAAAGGUUAUAUACGCGAAUCCCUUAGUCCUUGUGCUGUUCCUAUUAUUCUAGUGCCGAAAAAGGAUAGUACAUCACGUAUGUGUGUUGAUUGUAGAGGCAUUAAUAAUAUUACUAUUCGUUAUCGUCAUCCUAUUCCUAGGCUAGAUGAUAUGCUUGAUGAAUUGAGUGGCUCUACAAUAUUCUCCAAAGUUGAUUUGCGUAGUGGCUACCAUCAAAUUCGUAUGAAAUUGGGAGAUGAAUGGAAAACAACAUUUAAAACUAAGUUUGGAUUAUAUGAGUGGUUAGUCAUGCCUUUUGGGUUAACUAAUGCACCUAGUACUUUCAUGAGAUUAAUGAACGAAGUUUUACGUGCUUUCAUUGGACGAUUUGUGGUAGUUUACUUUGAUGACAUAUUGAUUUAUAGCAGAUCUUUGGAAGAACAUUUGGAACAUUUACGUGCUGUUUUUAUUGCUCUACGUGAUGCACGUUUGUUUGGUAACCUUGGGAAGUGCACCUUUUGCACCGACCGAGUAUCUUUUCUUGGCUAUGUGAUAGAGGCGGAGGUGUCCCGUCUUUCGAUGAGAUGAUGGAUAUCGCUUUGGUGGAAGUCGACUUUGUCGAUCCGACUACGAACGUGCGAGGACGUCGCGCCUUAGCAAUCGCUAAACCAACUCCGAGAGGUUAUUGACCACGCCGGAGCACGAUCAACCUGACCACGAGGGUCUGUUUCCUGCGAGCAAACGAAGAACAAGCAAGAAACUAAGAUUGCAAUCUGGAUAUUGCGAAUAUAAGAUGAAAGCUUUAUUGAUCAAGGUGGGGUUCUGUGACGCCUUUGUCUGGUCGUUGAACACAAACGAAGUACGCGAAGUUGUAGCUAUGGCGAACUUUUAAUCUAAACAAAACUCAAAGUCUAAACGAUGCCCUAAGGGCUGUAUAUAUGGAGGAAGAGGGGGGAAUUUCGUGGCCCUUGGUGGAGGGGUCCGAAAUCAACCCUAUCUCUUGUUUCCCCGCACAUACGGACUCUAAAAAUAGCCUAUACUUAUGUAUUUCGAAAUUACAUGGGCCUGGCUCAAUAAUAAGGUGACGCAGCACCUAAAAUAGUCUCGGGAUGAAAUUUAUGAAGUGGCAUCUUGUAUAUUUCGUCCAAGGCUUCAUGCACCCAUUAUGGUGGCUUCAAAGUCCUGAAAUCAUCACUUGUAACUCCGUUCUUGUUCCCCUUGCGCAUGCCAUCAUCUUCAUGCUUGUUCUUGCUCCAAUGUUCAUCCUUCUCCAAGCUAGGCCCUUCAUUUGUAAGCAAAACAAAUGUAUCCAAUUUAGGCAGCAUCAUAUUCUCAUGAACAUUAGAAUCAUUACCAAGAAACGAAAGUACCUGGUAAUUUAGUUGGCGUGCACGAGCUCUAGUAAUUGGUCCAGUAUGUAUAGCAGCAGGGGCUGUGGGUGUAACAAUUGUAUUGAUGUCCUCAUCACUACGCAUAGCUGGGGGCAAGCCGCGGCGUUUGGUGGUGGAAGUGGAGCUCGGGGAGGCCUGAAACGACGCCGGCAAUGACUGCCACCAAGGUCAUUGCCGGCGUGGUCAAUAACCUCUCGGAGUUGGUUUAGCGAUUGCUAAGGCGCGACGUCCUCGCACGUUCGUAGUCGGAUCGUCAAAGUCGACUUCCACCAAAGCAAAAUCCAUCAUCUCAUCGAAAGACGGGACACCUCCGCCUCUAUCACGUAGGACCAAACCGCAGUCGAUUUGGUCGACUGUGGGCGAAACACGAGCCCCUCCGCCGUAUCUGUCGUCACCGGCGUCAAGCCGCCGGCGAGUUGACCACGUUUUGACCCGUGGACUGACGUGUGGGCCCAGGUUGACUUCCCCCCUUAGCCUAUGAUAGGUGGGGCCAGCCUGUUAAUUAGUUUAGGAUUAAUGCCAACUAAUUAUAAUUAGUUUAGGUCACUGACAUGUGGGCCCAGGCCCCACUGACAGUUAGUUAGUAUUAACUUAAUCCUGUUAGUUAGCUGAGUCACUGACAGACAGGGCCCACCAGUCAGGUUUGACUGGCCCUGGCGCCUUUGACUCGCUGAUGUCACAGUGACGCAGUGCUGACGCAAUUAUUCUUUUUCUGGAUUUAUUUUUAUAUAGGAAAUUUCAGAAAAUAGCCAAAACUUCUAAAAAUCAUAGAAAAUCAACCAUAGCUCCAAAUCAAAUAAACUAUAUAUGAAAAAUGAUCAGAAAAAUUCAAUCUAUCCAUCUGUAAUGGUUUCAUGCAUGAAAAACCACUUUAGCCUUGCUGUUUAGGUGAAACAAGCUAAUACACUUUUUAUGCAUAAGAACUUUAACCUUCAUUUGAAUCUUUGAUUCAAAUGGACCCAUUUCAACUUGUUUCACGUUGCAUUAGGCAGGACACAUCAUUUUGCCAUGUCAUAGCAUGCAUCAUAUUAUUGCAUAUUGUCAUGUGUUGAUUAUGUGAUGUGUGUCCUUCGUGGUAGGUUCUGCCUCCGAGGAUAUCUCCGAGUAUCCAACUGAAGGGCAGUACCCUACUACCACUCCAUCAGGUAAGCAGCCCCAUUGAUCAUACAAUCCCAUGUUCUCGCCUCUGCUCUCAUUUACUGCAUUAAGACAACAACGUUUCAAACUACUGUGUGCUACGGUAGUUGAACCCUUAUCCUUUUCAUGACCUGUCAUUGCCACAGUAAUUAGAUGAAACCCACUAGCAUGUGUAGGAGUUGAUUGAGCCACGUAUGUGUUUCCUACAUUGCUAUGCCUGCUAUGCUUAGAGUUGUGUCAGGUCUGGUUCAUCUGGGUGAUGGGCUAGAGUGAAAUGAUUAUGUCGGUAAUGUGAGGGUUGUGCUGAACAUGUUUUGGUAAAGGUAUCGAUGAGAGGCCAUGUAGGAGUACAUGGUGGGUUGUUUCAUUGAGGCAUUCCAUAAGAACUGAGAUCUGUAUGCGUGAUUUAAGAUUUAGCUACUACCACAGAUUGGGCCCUGAAAUAUGAUCCUGCUCGACUUACUGACCCCUCUCGUCCUCUGUCCAGGAGUUGCAACUAGUUUCUGGUGUUUGUAGGUUAUGUGUUGGCGGGCGUGCAUAGCGCUGACCCUAGGGGUGGGCUAUGAUGCGGUAGAUACACCGUGGCACGGUGUACCGAGUCGCCCGUUUGGUGUCUCGGGAACCCUACACACAUCGUUUGGGGCCAUUGAGGACACCCCGGUCGGAUUUCCUUGCGGAUGGAACCUGAAUAGGCGAUAAACCUGGACUAGAGACUUGUGCGGUUAGUCAGGUCGUGGUCUACAUCCAUGUCGGUUUUCGCUUGAAGUCUGCCGAGCACAUGUCAUGUGCAGACGCUAAGUGGUGGAAACAUGUGUGAUGAAGUACACCCCUGCAGGGUAUAGAACUAUUCGAAUAGCCGCGUCCUCGGUAAAGGACUACUUGGUUGCCUAUACAGUUCAUAGACAAGUUAAUGGAUACUACUAAAAGACUCAAGAUAAGUGUGAGUACCGAGGAUGGCCCUCUCGUAGGAUGACGAGGGAGGAUCCCCGGUGGAGUAUUGUGUUGGUGAGUAGUGGACUCGUGUGCGAAAACUAUUUUACUAGUGGAGUCUCGUAGGAUAGCUUAGCCAAGAGUCAAAGCUGGCUUGCUGCAAUAACUCCACCACCUUCUUGAGAAUGAGCAUCUAUAGUAGGUUCUGAUGUAAGACUUGCUGAGUACCUUUGUACUCAUGUUUGCUUAAUUACUAUUUUCAGACGACAACACCACCCCCUCCGAUGGGUUUUAUGUAGAUCUCGACGUCGAUGAGUGACUUGCCACCCAGGUGGUGAUCCUAGCCAUGGAGGACCCUAUGUAGAUAGACAUGCUUCGAGAGGCCUUCUUUCUUUCUAGUGUCUGUACUCAGACUAUUUGCUUCCGCAUGUGCUUGUAUGCUUGUAUGACUUGAGUGUCGGGUCAUGUGACCCCUACCUGUAUGAACAUGUUAUGUAUGGCUCUUUGGCCUUUAAAUGAAGUACUUGAGUUGUAGAGUUUUGUUGUGAUGUCAUGUUGUAUUUGCACAUAUCGAGCAUAUUGUGUGUAUGAUUGAAAUGCUUGGUAUGUGUGGGAUCCGACAAUCUAGUUGUUUAUCCUUGGCAGCCUUUCUUAUGGGGAAAUGUAGUCUAGUGCUCCUCGAGCCAUAGUAGUCCGCUAUAGCCCGGUUCACCGGAGUCUUGCUAGCCCAGCACUACUGCUCAGGACACUUGACUGGCCGGCAUGUGUUUCACUUCGUUCCUAUGUCUGUCCCUUCGGGGAAAUGUCACGCGGUGACUUCCGGAGUCCUGCCUAGUCUGCUACGGCCCGGGUUCCCCGGAGUCCUGUUAGCCCAGUGCUACAGCCCGAAUUCACACACUGAUGACCGACAUGCUCGAUGUGAUUCACGUAUGCCUGUCUCCAUAGGUCUGUGCCGCUUUGGGUUCAGGACUAGCCAUGUCGGCCUGGAUUCUUUGUCAUAUGGAUGCUAGCGGCACUAUCAUAUACGUGAGCCAAAAGGUGCAAACGGUCCUGGGCCAUGGUAAGGCGACACCCGUGGGGAUACCGUGCGUGAGGCCGCAAUGUGAUAUGAGGUGUUACCGGCUAGAUCGAUGUGACUUGGAAUCGGGGUCCUGACAUCACCUACACCUCCAACGACACCACUUGGACCAUUGAAACGAGCCCGAGCCAAGGCUAUCGAAGAUAAGGUGAACUCACUCCUCUCCGAACUCCCACUUUCUAUGCAUGAGACAUGGCUACUACCUAAGUCUGAGGUGUUGUGCAUGAUUAGGCACCAAGAGGGCCCUCCCGAAGAUGGGCAUGAAGAUGUACAAGUCCCCAAGUCCACAGAUGAGGAGAACCAACGAAAGGAGCCAAGGACAUCUCCUAGGCCCCGGACAUCCGCCCCCUGGAGCGUCAUCCACUUAAGCCCCGGACAUCCGGCCCCGACAGCCCGGGCAUCCGGCCUCUCCUGAGCCCCCGGACAUCCAGCCACUGGCCUAGAAAUCCGGCCCCUCUGAACCCGAGAGCGACAAAUGCCACCACUCCAGCCCGGACAUCCGGCCCCCCCAGCCCGGACAUCCGGUGUUGCCUAAAAGCCCGGACAUCCGGCCCGACCAGCUCGGACGUCCGGCCUCCCCUGUCUGUGCACAGUGAAGGGCCGAGGCCCAUGUAUCCCUUCUCCCGCCUAGACUAUUUAUACUCCACCCCGUACAACUUUCUAGGGUUAGCAUUGGUUUAGCUCAUUUUAGAGAUAGAGCAUUGCUCAUCCACAUCAGAUCUACUCCACGAGAGAGACCGCGGCCUCUUCGGAGAAGAUCCCUUUGGAUUCAAGACCUCCUUUUGGAGAAGAACUUCAAGACCUCCUCACGUAGAAGACCAGUUACCGUGUAUCGUCCCUAGUUGAUUGUGGAUCAUGUAUCUUACUUUAUGUACUCAAGGAUCUAGCACAUGUGUGACUAUUUCUUGUUGGUUGAGUGAUUCUCUCGUGUUUCCCCUCGUGAUUUCCCUCGUUUCCCCCUCAUGUUCCUCGUGUUCUUCGCGGGAUCUGCUCCUUUCGUGAAAGAUCGGGUGAUUAGGGUUCUACCCUACAUCACAUACCUAGUGCAUCGGGUCCAAUGAAAAUCUUUUGUGACAAUACUGGUGCAAUUGCCUUGGCAAGGAAUCCAGAUUUCACAAAAGAACCAAGCACAUCAAGAGACACAUCAAUUCCAUCCGGGAUCAAGUCCAGGUGGGAGACAUAGAGAUUUGCAAGAUACAUACGGGUCUGAAUGUUGCAGACCCGUUGACUAAGCCUCUUCCACGAGCAAAACAUGAUCAGCACCAAGACUCCAUGGGUUUUAGAAUCAUUACUGUGUAGUCUAGAUUAUUGACUCUAGUGCAAGUGGGAGACUGAAGGAAAUAUGCCCUAGAGGCAAUAAUAUAGUUAUUAUUUAUUUCCUCAUAUCAUGAUAAAUGUUUAUUAUUCAUGCUAGAAUUGUAUUAACCAGAAACAUAAUACAUGUGUGAAUACAUAGAAAAACAUGGUGUCACUAGUAUGCCUCCACUUGACUAGCUCAUUGAUCAAAGAUGGUUGAGUUUCCUAGCCAUAGACAUGAGUUGUUCUUUGAAAAAUGGGAUCACAUCAUUAGUAGAAUAUUCUGAUUGACAUGACCCAUUCCGUUAGCUUAGCACUUGAUCGUUUAGUUUAUUGCUAUUGCUUUCUUCAUGACUUAUACAUGUUCCUAUGACUAUGAGAUUAUGCAACUCCCGAUUACCAGAAGAACACUUUGUGUGCUACCAAACAUCACAAAGUAACUGGGUGAUUAUAAAGGUGCUCUACAGGUGUCUCCGAUGGUGUUCGUUGAGUUGGCAUAGAUCGAGAAUAGGAUUUGUCACUCCGAUUGUCGGAGAGGUAUUUCUGGGCCCUCUCGGUAAUGCACAUCACUAUGAGCCUUGCAAGUAAUGUGACUAAUGAGUUAGUUACGGGAUGAUGCAUUACUGAUGAGGACAUGACUACCUUGGAUAUGACCAAAAAUAUUGCAUAUAUGCAUAUUUGUCAGGUGAUUUCUAGUGCAAACUAUUCAAUAAUCUAUUUGUGUUAUCCAGAACAAAAAUACUUCACAAACUUUUGUGUUUUGUCUAAUUGCAGGUGUAUGGGACAUUUGUACAAUCCAUAUAUGAAGAUAAGGAAGAAAGAGAUGUUUAUUUGCUGUCCAAAAAGUUCUCUCACGUCACUUUUGGCCCAAGAGAAGAUAGAGUCCAAGUCUCUCACGUUCUGGAUUCAGAUUCGGACUGCACAGACAUACCUGACUCAAAACGCCCACAAGUUUUUCAUACGGACUCCGAAUUGGGUGAUUCUUUUUUUGUUGGAAACUAGAUUUCGUGCACUUUCCAACCCAAGUGGAAUAACCUUCAAAUUCGUCCGGAGCGUUGAGUUGUGGACGAAACAAUCUGAUGCUGCAGCAGAAUCCGAGUCAAACUACAAGUCCAAAGGUGUUACAUCACCUCCACUUGGGCCCAUUGGCCUUGUACGACCUAGAUUUACUUUUAGGCUGCCUUGGGACGUCCUCCCACCUCCUUGGCCGCCACCCCUUGCUCCUAUAUAAGUAGAUCCAUCUAGUAGCUUUUCCUUGGGAUUUGUUUAGUUAAAAGUUAGCCAUUGCAACUUCGUGUACUUCGUUUGUGUCCAACGACCAGACCAAGACCGCUUACGGAUCCCCACCAUUAUCAAUACCUCAUAUAUAUUUGCAAUAUUCAGAUUUCUUUAUCAUAUUCUUGCUCGUUCUUCGAUUGCUUGCAGGAAUAGACCUUCGUGGUCAGGCUGACUGUGCUUCCGGCAUCGUCAGUAACCUCAGGAGAUUGGUUUAACGAUUGCUAAGGCGCAACGUCGUGCACGUUUGUAGUCGGAUCGUCAAAGUCGUCUCCACCAAAUCGAUAGUUAUCAUCUCAUCGAAAGAUCGGGACACCCUCGCCUCUAUCAAGUGGUAUCAAGUGGUAUCAAGUGGUAUCAGUUUUCAGGUUGCUCGGUGAGAAUUUCCAGUUUUCCUAGAUUAGAUUUAUUUUCUUACCUAUUGUCCAAGAAAAAGCCACAAAAAAGAGUUAGAUCUAUUCAUCCUUGGUCCAAGCCAGUCUGAGCCUUUGCAAUUUUCUUUUCAUUGCUUGCAUAGUUGAAUAAUCGGUUGCAUCGUCGUGUCGAGUUGCUGGUCUUAGUGUCUAGUUCGUUUAGAGUUUCGAGUUCUGUUCACAUUAGUCACACCACCGCUGCAUCAUUAUCUCUUCCGCUGUCCACCACCCAUCCAUCAAUUUCCACCACGUGCUACCCACCAUUCAUUGUCAUAAUAAUAGUUGAGAUCGUUCACAUCUUCACUUGAUCCAAUCUGCAUCUUAUCUAGUUUGUUUUGGAAAGAGGGAGAAAAAAAAGAGAGAAAAAAACGAGAGAAAAAAAAGAGAAAAAAAAGUCAGAGAAAAAAAAGGAGAGAAAAAAAAAAGUGUGAGGAAAAAAAAGAGAAAAAAAACAAAAUUCGGAUCUUUUUAGACUCAAUCUCGUAGUUGAAUUCGGAUUGGAAUCUGUUUUGUGCACUGUUCAGUAAAACAGCUUGGCUGUUGUUUCACAUCAUUAUCUUUACUGCCGUUGUGAUCUUCACUUAUAUCUUGUUGUCCAGAGCUACUUAGUAUCCUUCAUUGAUGCUGGUUGUGCUACGACGUGACCUCAUUAGUGUUCUAGGCUCGCGUCUCUAGUUCGGUCUAGCCUAGGACCAGCACAGUACCGUUGUUGAGCGUUUAUUCAACAUUGCAUCUCUGAAUUGAUUAUUGCUAAUCUUUUGCUACCAUAUAUAGCCAACCCAGCUCCACAUAUUUCUACACCGUGUAUACGCACGUUCCCCUGGCAAUCGCUUUACACAAUCUUCAGAGUUAUUUGACAUCGCUGGUUGCCUGUCACCACCUGCCGCAUGGUAAGAACUUGUAAGAUAUUGAUAUUUGCUUUACUGUGAGCACUUUACAACCACAUCCUAGUAGUUCAUAGGAACAUUAUUCUCGAAUUUUGGUUCUUGUUUCUACUAAUCAUGACAGGUUCCAGAGAUGGAAGUUCUUGGACGACGGACACAUCUUCACCAUCACAAGAGUUGGGACAACACACACAAGCAUAUGGUCAGGUUAUCUCUUUACCAUCAUUUGAGGGUAGAUUUAAUCCUGCUAUUUAUCUAGCUUGGGAGCUUGAAGUAGAACAAGUUUUUAGUCACCAUGAUUUUUCUGAACUUGAGAGAGUACGAGCUACCAUUAGAGCAUUUACUGGUUUUGCUUCUGUUUGGUGGAGUGUACAUUGUAAGAAAAACAUUGAUAACCAACCCACAACUUGGAAAGUUUUGAAAGCUGUAAUGAGACAACAAUUUUUUCCUCCUUACUACCAUCGUGAAUUGCGUUGCAAAUUGGAGCAAUUAAAACAAGGCAGUAACACUGUUCAUGCUUACUACCAAGAGUUCAAAUCUUAUAUGCAUCAUUGUGACAUAGAAGAAUCUGAGGAUGAUACAAUGAAUAGAUUUUUGGUGGUUUGAACCAUGAUAUUCAGGCAAGAUUUCGGUAUAUUCCUCGUUGCAUUACUGGUAUGUAUGUCCGUGCUUGUACCUUUGAGAGACAGAUACAGGAGGAUGCAUUGGGUGACUACAACAACUACUAUUCCAGUUCAUGCUCACCAUCGCCGGUUGGUUACUCCACUAUUGCACCUACUAGAGCAGCCCCACCUCGGAUUGUGAGCGCAACAUCAUCUCAAGGGUAUGGUACAUUGUCAACGUCCGUACCUACAUCAGCUACAUCUUUGCCACAAGGUAGCAGUAAAGGUAUUGAUGAUAUAACUUCACAUGAGAAUGAUGCAUGCCUAGUUAACUUGAAUGCGUCAUGUAUUGAGUUACCUAUUGAUUUGAGCACACCACCUAUUUUAGAGAAUCUUGUUACUGUCAUGAAUGCGUCAUGUGAUCAAACAACUGAAAUAUCAAUAAUUUUGAGUGCACCCAUUGAAUUAACUGUUGAUGCAAAAGAACUAAUGUUUAAUCAUUUUGAUAUGGCCUCCAAUCUUGGUGAUGAUUCUGUGUCCAAUGACUUAUUGCAUGUUUGCUUAUUUAAGCAUGUUGUAGCAUGUAAAUUUGAUGCAAGUAAGGUUUAUUCACCAAAGUUGGGAUGGUUUACUGAUGAACAUUGCGAAUCUUUUGAAAUGAAUAAGAGCUUCACUUAUAUGUGCAAACUGAGUUCUAAUAUUUUCAUGCCUUCUACUUCUUGUGAUAAUUUUUUGGCUUUAGUUUUUAUGAACUAUGAAAGUUACUCAUGUAUACAUGUGUCAUACGUGCAAAAAUCAAGGGAAGUAAAAAUGGAUGACAUAUACAUAUACAACAUGUACACCUUGUCUCUUUUGUUAGCCACAUUUCAGAUUAAGCAACGCCGAGGACGGCUUUAUUUUCAAGAAGGGGACGAUGAUGAGGACAUGACUACCUUGGAUAUGACCAAAAAUAUUGCAUAUAUGCAUAUUUGUCAGGUGAUUUCUAGUGCAAACUAUUCAAUAAUCUAUUUGUGUUAUCCAGAACAAAAAUACUUCACACACUUUUGUGUUUUGUCUAAUUGCAGGUGUAUGGGACAUUUGUACAAUCCACAUAUGAAGAUAAGGAAGAAAGAGAUGUUUAUUUGCUGUCCAAAAAGUUCUCUCAUGUCACUUUUGGCCCAAGAGAAGAUAGAGUCCAAGUCUCUCACGUUCUGGAUUCAGAUUCGGACUGCACAGACAUACCUGACUCAAAACGCCCACAAGUUUUUCAUACGGACUCCGAAUUGGGUGAUUCUUUUUUUGUUGGAAACUACAUUUCGUGCACUUUCCAACCCAAGUGGAAUCACCUUCAAAUUCGUCCGGAGCGUUGAGUUGUGGACGAAACAAUCUGAUGCUGCAGCAGAAUCCAAGUCAAACUACAAGUCCAAAGGUGUUACAUCACCUCCACUGGGGCCCAUUGGCCUUGUACGACCUAGAUUUAGUUUUAGGCUGCCUUGGGACGUCCUCCCACCUCCUUGGCCGCCACCCCUUGCUCCUAUAUAAGUAGAUCCAUCUAGUAGCUUUUCCUUGGGAUUUGUUUAGUUAAAAGUUAGCCAUUGCAACUUCGUGUACUUCGUUUGUGUCCAACGACCAGAUCAAGACCGCUUACGGAUCCCCACCAUUAUCAAUACCUCAUAUAUAUUUGCAAUAUUCAGAUUGCUUUAUCAUAUUCUUGCUCGUUCUUCGAUUGCUUGCAGGAAUAGACCUUCGUGGUCAGGCUGACUGUGCUUCCGGCAUCGUCAGUAACCUCAGGAGAUUGGUUUAACGAUUGCUAAGGCGCAACGUCGUGCACGUUUGUAGUCGGAUCGUCAAAGUCGUCUCCACCAAAUCGAUAGUUAUCAUCUCAUCGAAAGAUCGGGACACUCUCGCCUCUAUCAAUUACGGAACGAGUAAAGAGACUUGCCAGUAACGAGAUUGAACUAGGUAUUGAGAUACCGACGAUCAAAUCUCGGGCAAGUAACAUACCGAUGACAAAGGGAACAACAUAUGUUGUUAUGCGGUUUGACUGAUAAAGAUCUUUGUAGAAUAUGUAUGAACCAAUAUGAGCAUCCAGGUUCAGCUAUUGGUUAUUGACCGGAGAUGGGUCUCGGUCAUGUCUACAUAGUUCUUGAACCCGUAGGGUCCGCACGCUUAAAGUUCUAUGACGAUCGGUAUUAUGAGUUUUUUUGUGUUUUGAUGUAUCGAAGGUAGUUCAGAGUCUCGGAUAUAUUGGACGACUAUGUCGGACACCAGAAGUGUUUCGGGAGGUGUCGGACAUAUACCGGAGUACCCUGAGGUUACCAGAACCCCCCUGGGAGUAUAUUGGGCAAUGGGAGAAGAGGAGCACCGGCCAGGGCAGCCGCGCGCCCCCUCCCCCUCUAGUCCGAAUUGGACAAGGAGGGGGGCGGCGCCCCCCUUUCCUUCUUUUCUUCUCUCCCUUCCUCUCCUACUCCUACUCCUACUUGGAAGGGUGGGAGUAGGACUCCUCAUGUGGCGCGCCAUAGGAGGCCGGCCCCCUCCCCCUCCUCCACUCCUUUAUAUACGGGGAGGGGGGCACCCCUUGGAGACACAACAAUUGAUCAUAGAUCUUUUAGCCGUGUGCGGUGCCCCCCUCCACCAUAAUCCACCUCUGUCAUAUCGUAGCGGUGCUUAGGCGAAGCCCUGCGUCGGUAGCUUCAUCAACACCGUCACCACGCCGUCAUGCUGAUGAAGCUCUUCCUAGAAGCUCUACUGGAUCGUGAGUUCACGGGACGUCACCGAGCUGAACGUCUGCUGAACGCGAAGGUGCCGUAUGUUCGGUACUGAGGAUCGGUCGAUCGUGAAGACAUACGACUACAUCAACCGUGUUGUCAUAACGCUUCCGCUUACGGUCUACGAGGGUACGUAGAUGACACCCUCCCCUCUCGUUGCAAUGCAUCACCAUGAUCUUGCGUGUGCGUAGGAAUUUUUUUGAAAUUACUACGUUCCCCAACAUCUUGGACGAAGAAGGGGCAUCUUCUUUCUUCUUCGCCACCACAACCUUCACCGCCUUCCCCGCCGCCGCGGCUCUCAUCUAGUGCAUGGGCGCCUCCAGAGUAGACAAUGUUCUAUUGACUAAUUCAGUUUGUCCAUCAGUUUGGGGGUGACAAGUAGUACUAAAAAGCAGUUUAGUCCGCAACUUAGCCCAUAAACAUCUCCAAAAGUGGCUAAGAAAUUUAGUAUCACGAUCUAAAACAAUAGUAUUUGGCACACCAUGCAAGCGAAUAAUUUCACGACAGAACAAAUCAGCAACAUUAACAACAUCAUCGUUUUUAUGACAAGGUAUAAAGUGUGCCAUUUUCGAGAAUCUAUCCACGACAACAAAUAUGCUAUCCCUCCCCUUCUUUGUUCGAGGUAAACCUAAAACAAAGUCCCUAGAUAUAUCCUCCCAAGGAACACUAGGUACAGGCAAAGGCACAUAUAAACCAUGAGGAUUGAGUCAUGACUUAGCUUUUUGACAUGUAGUGCAGCGAGCAACAAAACGCUCAACAUCCCGUCUCAUCUUUGGCCAAAAGAAAUGUGUAGCAAGUAUAUCCUCCGUCUUCUUGACGCCAAAGUGUCCCAUUAAUCCUCCUCCAUGCGCCUCCUGCAACAACAAAAGACGAACGGAGCUUGCUGGAAUGCAUAGCUUGUUAGCACGAAACACAAAUCCAUCGUUAAGAACAAACUUGUUCCAAGUUCUCCCUUCCAUACAAUUCUGCAAUACAUCUUUAAAUUCAGCAUCAUGUACAUAUUGAUCUUUGAUGGUCUCCAAACCAAAUAUUGUAAAGUCAAGUUGUGAAAGCAUAGCAUAACAAUGAGACAAUGCAUCAGCAAUAACAUUUUCUUUACCCUUCUUGUGUUUAAUGACAUAAGGGAAAGUCUCAAUGAAUUCAACCCAUUUAGCAUGUCUACGGUUCAGUUUUGCUUGACUUUUAAUGUGUUUCAAAGAUUCAUGAUCAGAAUGUAUAACAAAUUCUUUGGGCCACAAAUAAUGUUGCCAUGUUUCUAAGGUCCGAACAAGAGCAUAUAAUUCUUUAUCAUAAGUAGAAUAGUUUAGACUAGGCCCAGUCAUUUUUUUAGAAAAGUAUGCAACAGGUUUGCCAACUUGUAAUAACAUACCUCCUAAUCCAAUUCCACUAGCAUCACAUUCAAUCUCAAAAGUCUUAUUAUAAUCAGGAAGUUGGAGUAAAGGAGCAUGUGUCAACUUAUCUUGGAAUACCAUGAAGGCUUCUUCAUGUGCGGUACCCCAAACAAAGGCACAUCCUUCUUUGUAAGCUCAUUGAGAGGUGCAGCAAUGGUGCUGAAAUCUCUCACAAAACGCCUAUAGAAACCAGCGAGGCCAAAGAAACUCCUCACUUGUGUGACCGUUUUGGGUUGCGGCCAACUCUCAAUAGCUUCAAUCUUGGCUUUAUCAACUUCAAUUCCCUAUGGAGUAACAACAUAGCCAAGAAAAGAUACUCGGUCGGUGCAAAAGGUGCACUUUCCAAGGUUACCAAACAAACGUGCAUCACGUAGAGCAAUAAAAAUAGCACGUAAAUGUUCCAAAUGUUCCUCCAAAGAUUUGCUAUAAAUCAAUAUGUCAUCAAAGUAAACUACCACAAAUCGUCCAAUGAAAGCACGUAAAACUUCGUUCAUUAAUCUCAUGAAAGUACUAGGUGCAUUAGUUAACCCAAAAGGCAUGACUAACCACUCAGAUAAUCCAAACUUAGUUUUAAAUGUUGUUUUCCAUUCAUCUCCCAAUUUCAUACGAAUUUGAUGGUAUCCACUACGCAAAUCAACUUUGGAAAAUAUUGUAGAGCCACUCAAUUCAUCAAGCAUAUCAUCUAGCCUAGGAAUAGGAUGAUGAUAAUGAAUAGUAAUAUUAUUAAUGCCUCUACAAUCAACGCACAUACGCGACGUACCAUCCUUUUUCGGCACUAAAAUGAUAGAAACAACACAAGUACUAAGGGAUUCGCGUAUAUAACCUUUGUCGAGUAGUUCUUAUACUUGACGCAUAAUCUCCUUCGUCUCCUCUGGAUUGGUACGGUAUGGUGCACGGUUGGUAAUGAUGCACCGGGAAUGGAGUCAAUAUGAUGCUCAAUCCCUCGAAUAGGUGGUAAUCCCGGUGGCACGUCUUGUGGAAAGACGUCAGCGAACUCCUGCAAAAUGUUAGUGACAGCAAGAGGCAAAGAGGAAGGCACGUCCUCGAAUGAAAAUGAUGCCUCUUUGCACACAAACGCAUAGCAAACAGAUUUGCUAAAAUCUAGAUCAUCAAUAUCAGGUUUGGUGGCAAGUAAACAUGCACUUUUCAAUUUAAUUUCCAAAGCAACACCUGAUGGUUUAUUAUUAGGCUUCAUUUGUUGCUCAAUUUUUUUUGCCACAAUCUGAUUUUCACUCUUAUUUUAAUCCUGCUUUGCUUUAUUAGCUCUAUUAAUAUCAUCUUUCAAAAUGGAAUCAGGAGUCAUAGGAAGCAAAGUAAUAUUUUUAUCCUUAUAAACAAGAGUAUACUGAUUGUUUCUACCAUGGUGUACAUAAUUUUUAUCAAAUUUCCAUGGUCUACCAAGUAAUAAGGAACAUGCUUGCAUAGGUACCACAUCACAAUCAACAUAAUCAGCAUAUGUAGAGAUACUAAGAUGCACACAAAUAGUACGUGUUACCUUAACCUUGUCGCUGUUGUUGAACCAUUGGAUGUAGUAAGGAUGUGGAUGCGGUCUUGUGGUGAGAGAUAGCUUCUCUGCCAUCUCCAUGCUAGCCAAGUUAUUGCAGCUCCCUCCAUCUAUGAUGACGCGAAUAGAACGUUCCUUCACAACUCCAUUUGUAUGUGAUAGAGGCGAGGGUCCUGAUCUUUCGAUGAGAUGAUAACUAUCGAUUUGGUGGAGUAGACUUUCACUAUCUGACUACAAACGUGCACGAUGUUGCGCCUUAGCAAUCGCUAAACCAAUCUCCCGAGGUUACUGACGAUGCUGGAAGCACGAUCAGCCUAACCACGAAGGUCUAUUCCUGCACGCAAUCGAAGAAGAAGCAAGAAUAUGAUAAUGCAAUCUGAAUAUUGCGAAUAUAGAUGAAGUAUUGAUAAAGAUGGGGAUCCGAAAGCGGUCUUGGUCUGGUCGUUGGACACAAAUGAAGUACACGAAGUUGCAAUGGCUAACUUUUAACUAAACAAAUCCCAAGUCUAAACGAUGCCUUAAGGGCUAUAUUUAUAGGGAAAAGAGAGGGGAUUUUGUCCACCCUUGGCAAGGUGGGACUAAAACACCUCCUAAGUCCUUUCCCCUACAAUAUGGACUCUAAAAAUAGAAUACAUGGGCCUGGCCCAAAAUAAGGUCGCGCCACACCAAUAAUAAGCUAUGGACGAAAUUUAUGAAAGGUCAUCUUGUAUAUUUCGUCCAUCUUCUUGUAUGUCAUCAUGGUGGCUUGAAAGUCCGGAAAUCUCCACCUGAACCUCCGUUAUUGUUCUCUUCGCACGCACCUUCUUCUUUGUGCUUGACCAUGCUCCAAUGUUCAACCUUCUUGUCCGUGCUAGGCCCUUCAAUUGCAAGCAACACAAACGUAUCUAAGUUAGGUAGCAUCAUAUUCUCAUGAACACUAGAAACAUUACCAAGAAACGAAAGUACCUGAUAAUUUAAUUGGCAUAUCUGAGCUCUAGCAACUGUUCUAAGAGGUAAAAAGCAGGGGAUAUGGGUGUAACUGUGGUGGCCAUGUCCUCAUCAGUAUGGAACAAAUUAUGCCACUAAUUUUUCUCAGCUUGUGUAACCUGCACACUCAAAACACGUUGAGCAACUAAACAUUCAUACCUGUCAGCAUAUUCAGCAACCAUGUAUUGCGUCUCAUGAUCAGAAUCAUCUCCACCGUGUUCUUCAUGUGUAGUAAGAGCCAAAGUCUCCUCAUCAUAGUUACUAGCGGACUCAUACCCACCAUCCUCAGUAGCAAUCAUCACACGCUGAGAUUUGCAUUCUCUCGUAAAAUGUCCUCUUCCCUUUCAACGACGACAAAUAAUAUCAUUUGUGUGCCCUAUUGAUGCCAUGGGAGGAAGAGCUCUAUGCAGGCCCGGCAGGUGUGCUCUUGGCAGAUAGUGGUGGUUGUGUUUGCUUUCUUGUAUCACGGUUGGAGGUGGCACCUGAUGGAGCUGUUGGUGCAGUGGAAAUAAAGGAUGCACGUGGUGUCCAUGAUGAAGAGCGACCUGCAGAAAAGUUAGUUCGCACCAAUGCCUGUCGAUCAUGCACUUCACGUUCAGCUUUACAAGCAAGAUGGAAUAAACGAGUGAUAUUAGUAUACUCCUUAUACUCUAGAAUGGUCUGAAUCUCUCUAUUUAAUCCACCCAUAAAAGGUGCAAGCAUAGCUUCAUGCUCCUCAACAAUACCACAUCUAAUCAUGCUAGUUUGUAAUUCCUGAUAAUAUUCUUCUACAGAUUUUUUUCCUUGUCUUAAACGCUGCAAUUUUUGAAGUAAUUCACGUUGAUAAUAUGGUGGAACCCAACGAGUACGCGUAUCAGUUUUCAAAGCAGCCCAAGUAGCUGGAAUAGGAUAUAAUCUACAAUGUUCAAACCACCAAACACAUGCACAGCUAGUGAAAGCACAAACAGUAGCAGGAACACGUCUCUCCUCAGGAUAUUGUAAACAUGUAAAUCGAUGUUCAGUUUCUAACUCCCAAGUAAGAUAUAUAUCAAGAACAUAUCUACCCUCAAAUGGUGGAAUAUUCAAUUUCAGUUUAGGGAGAUGGUCAUGAUCUCGUACCUGAGGGGGAGCCCUACCAUUGCCAUUAUUUGCAUGUGGACGACCUGGUGGUUGUGGUGCUGGUGGUUGCACGUAGUUCUGAUUUUGAUCAACCUCAUCCUCGUAAUCUCCCACAUAAUCAUCCUCCUCUGCCUCAGCAGCAGGAGCCACAGAAGAAUCAACAGCAGCACCACCAGUUUGACCAGGCGCAAGAGGGACACGGCUCGCUCGGUGGAGGGCUAUUUCGCGACCUUGAGGUAGUCGUUGUUGUUGUUGUUGUUGUUGUUGCUGUUGUUGUUGUUGUUGUUGUAGAGGUGCGUUAGGUGCAGCCGAUGGUGGUGGUGGAAGAUGCGCGAGCAAUUCAUUGAACUUGUUAUCGAGCUUUGUUUCGAACGCCUUCUCCAUGCCAUCUAUCUUCUCCAUGGCCUCUUCAAAUCUGUUUAGCACAUCUUGCACCUGUCCACUCAUCAUUUGCUGAAAUUUAUCACGCAACUCUUUAUUCGUCAUGUUCUCCCAAUCAGUCUCAUCGGCUUGUGAUCCUGCCAUGGUUAGCAGCAAUAGAAACACACAAGAAUAUGAUCCUCCAGACUACUAACAAGAGGUGGUGGUGGGUGUCACAAAUCCGGCAAGCAAAUCUCAAAUUCUUACCAGUUCUUACCCAGCAGCAGGCAGUGAUCAGCAACCGUCGUAGUCAAAACUCUCAAAGCUUGGAUAGAGUGAUUACCAGGAAGAGUCAAACGCAUGACGUAGAUGUAUGUGGAGCUGGGAAGGCUUAUAAUAUGGUAGCAAAAAGGGUCAACAAUAAUCAAUUCAGAGAUGCAAAGUUGAAUAAACGCUCAACGACGGUACUGUGCUGGUCCAAGGCUAGACCGUGCUAGAGACGCGAGCCUAGAACACUAACAAAAUCACAGCGCUGCACGUAAACAAGGGAGGAGCACGCUCUGAAUUUUUUUCUUUUUUUCACUUUUUUGCACUUUUCCCCUCUCUUUUUUUGCUCCGCAACAAUUUUUUUCGAAGAAGUCUACAAAUGGUCUAAAAACUACCUAGCCAGAAUUUUCCAGACUUAGUUUUUUUAGUUUGGAACUAUUUUUUCUACUGCGGAUGUCACGGAAUCUCGAGAGUCCUACUCGGUCAUGACUUGAAGUAUCGCGUGAUCUGGAACUCGAAAGCAAGGCAACAAAUACUGGACUCAGACUAGGAUUGGUGGCGGAGAUGAAUCUGGUGGAACUCUGACUAGUGGCGAAUAUAUGUAGGGUGGUGGAACACUGGCUGGUGGCGAAUCGGUGAUGGAGGUGGACUCGGAUUAUCGUGAUGGCAGUGAAUAUGUGGUAUAUGGCAGCGACGAUGAUGAUGGUGGUAUAUGGCAGCGGUGAUGACGAUGGUGGUGUCUGGCAGCGGUGAUGACGAUGGUGGUAUAUGGCAGCGGUGAUGAUGAUGAUGAUGCGACGGCGGCGUGACUACUUGUGAACAGAACUCAAAACUCUAAAGGACUAGACACUAAGACCAACAACUAGACACGACGAUGCAACCGCAAACUCAACAAUGCAAAACCCUAAAAUGAUUAUGCAAAGGCUCAGAUUGGUUCGGAUAUGAUGAACUAACCCUAAUUUUUUUGUGGCUUUUUCGUGGACUGUAGGUAUGAAGAACAAACUCGAUCUAAACUACGAAAAACUGUAAAAUCUCACUUGAUAGAAGCAAAGGUGUCCCGUCUUUCGAUGAAAUGGUGCCUAUCGUUUUCUAUGGGAGUUGACUUUGACGAUCCGACUAUGAACGUGUGAAGACGUCGCGCCUUAGCAAUCGCUAAACCAACUUCCGAGUGUUAUUGACCACGCGAGAGCAUGAUCAACCAGACCACGAGGGUCUAUUUCCUGCGAGCAAACGAAGAACAAGCAAGAAACUGAGAUUGCAAUCUGGAUAUUGCGAAUUAAAGAGGAAAGCUUUAUUAAUAAAGGUGGGGUUCUGUGACGUCUUGGUCUGGUCGUUGGACACAAACGAAGUACGCGAAGUUGCAGCUAUGGCGAAAUUUUAAUCUAAACAAAACCCAAAGUCUAAACGACGCCCUAAGGGCUGUAUAUAUGGAGGAAGAGGGGGGAAUUUCGUGGCCCUUGGAGGAGGGGUCCGAAACCAACCCUAACUCUUGUUUCCCCACACAUACAGACUUUAAAAACAGUCUACAUUUAAGUAUUUCGAAAAUACAUGGGCCUGGCCCAAUAAUAAGGUGACGCGGCACCUAGAAUAGCCUCUGGACGAAAUUUAUGAAGUGACAUCUUGUAUAUUUCGUCCAAGGCUUCAUGCCCUCCUUAUGGUGGCUUCAAAGUCCCGAAAUCAUCACUUGUAACUCCAUUCUUGAUCCCCUUGCGUAUGCCAUCAUCUCCAUGCUUGGUCUUGCUCCAGUGUUCAUCCCUCUUAUCCAUGCCAGGCCCUUAAUUUGUAAGCAAAACAAAUGUAUCCAAUUUAGGCAGCAUCAUAUUCUCAUGAACAUUAGAAUCAUUACCAAGAAAUGAAAGUACCUGAUAAUUUAAUUGGCGUGCGCGAGCUCUAGUAAUUGGUCUAGUAUGUAUAGUAGCAGGGGCUUUGGGUGUAACAAUGGCAUUGAUGUCCUCAUCAUCGGCGAACUAGGGGACGCUUGAUGCGGGCUAUGGGAUCGAAAGAUGGGGGAAGGGGCUGGAGUAGGCCGAGCAGCGAAGGUUCUGGUGUGAAUAGUGGUUCCGGUGACGACCGGUCAAUCGGUUUUGACUGUACAUCGCUCUUGUCGCGUUCGCGUUGCAGCUCGGCAUGCUAGACCCUCCACAUCGCUCACCGAGUGGAACACGCUUUGUCUUGCGUUUUCGCUCGCUUGUGGAACCGCAGUUGAGAGCAAACUGACGUCCCUCCCCAUCCCCCGCCCGCGUCAUUUUAUGCAGAGUAAAUAAAAACAGAGGGAGUAUACUAUGGAUGAGGAUCCCCUGGCGUGGCCGAACCCAUUGAGUAACUGACAUGCGGGGCCUAGCAAGCAUGGGGUCUGCCAGUAAGUGACCGAAAGGGAGGGUAAGGUAGGGAUACGUUUGUGAAAGGAGCUUCCAAUGAUAUAAUUUUCACAUUAUACAUCUCAUGUACUAUUAAUCUUGUCAAUAGUCAAAUGUGGUUUUGAAAAACGCAUUAGAGCAUGGUUAAUAAUAUAGCCAGUCGAUGGCUAUAAGGAACUGCCAUGUCAUCUAUAGCCAUCAUCUAUUAUAUGCACUCAUACACCCGCAAAAAAAUUAUAAGGUUGCCUAUUGUAUUAGUACUUUUUUCCAUCUCCUCCCCAUCUCUUUCUUCAUAUUUAUUGUACAUAUUUAACUAGGAAUGCGUAUAUAGCUAGGCUCUUGCAUGAGAGCUCACUCCCCUUACUUUUUCACAUCUCUCUCCUCCACAUAGUCCCUAUAUAAAUGGAAGGAGUGAUGAGGACAUCAAUACCAUUGUUACACCCACAACUCCUACUGUUACAUAUACUGGACCAAUUACUAGAGCUCGCACACGCCAAUUAAAUUACCAGGUACUUUCGUUUCUUGGUAAUGAUUCUAAUGUUCAUGAGAUUAUGAUGCUGCCUAAAUUGGAUACAUUUGUUUUGCUUACAAAUGAAGGGCCUAGCUUGGAGAAGGAUGAACAUUGGAGCAAGAACACGCAUGGAGUUGAUGGCAUGCGCAAGGGGAUCAAGAACGGAGUUACAAGUGACGAUUUCAGGACUUUGAAGCUGCCAUAAGGAGUGCAUGAAGCCUUGGACGAAAUAUACAAGAUGCCACUUCAUAAUAUUCGUCCAUAGGCUAUUCUAGGUGCUGUGUCACCUUAUUAAUGGGCCAGGCCCAUGUAAUUUCGAAAUACUUAAGUAUAGGCUAUUUUUAGAGUCCGUAUGUGUGGGGAAACAAGAGUUAGGGUUGGUUUCGGACCCCACCCUCAAGGGCCACGAAAUUCCCCCCUCUUCCUCCAUAUAUACAGCCCUUAGGGUGUCGUUUAGACUUCGGGUUUUGUUUAGAUUAAAAGUUCGCCAUAGCUGCAACUUCGCGUACUUCGUUUGUGUCCAACGACCAGACCAAGACGUCACAGAACCCCACCUUGAUCAAUAAAGCUUUCAUCUUAUAUUCGCAAUAUCCCGAUUGCAAUCUCAGUUUCUUGCUUGUUCUUCGUUUGCUCGCAGGAAACAGACCCUUGUGGUCAGGUUGAUCGUGCUCCGGCGUGGUCAAUAACCCUCGGAAGUUGGUUUAGCGAUUGCUAAGGCGCGACGUCUCGCACGUUCGUAGUCGGAUCGUCAAGGUCGACUCCCACAGAAAACGAUAGCCACCAGCUCAUCGAAACAUCGGGACACCUUAGCCUCUAUCAAGUGGUAUCAGAUUUCCAGGUUGCUCGGUGAGAUUUUACAGUUUUUUGUAGAUUAGAUCGAGUCUGUUCUUCAUACCUACAGUCCACGACAAAGCCAGAAAAAAAAAUUAGGGUUAGUCCAUCAUAUCCGAACCAAUCUGAGCCUUUGCAUAAUCUUUUUAGGGUUUUUGCUUUGUUGAAUUUGCGGUUGCAUCGUCGUGUCAAGUUGCUGGUCUUAGAGCCUAGUCUUUUAGAGUUUCGAGUUCUGGUCAUAAGUUGUCACGCCGCCGCCGCACCAUCAUCAUCGCCCAUCUACCACUUUUGCUUAUCCGCCACCGCUCUGAAUCCAUAUCCAUAUACCACCACCAAUCCGUAUCCAUAUACCACCACCAAUCUGUAUCCAUAUACCACCACCGCUACCAUAUACCACCACCGCUGCCAUAUACCACAACCAUAUAUCCACCACCAAUCCGAGUUCUUCUCAUAUUAGGUUUGUUCUUGAGAUCAAUCUAAAUUCUGAUUCGUGUUUCCUUGCCUGCGUAGGUCUUGAAAAAAAAAAGAGUCUGGAGACCCCUGGACAGUUUUUAGGCCAAAAUUUUCACGGGCAAAUUUUUUUUUCCCUAUCCUAUUUUAGGCUUUUCUGAGUCUUUUGAGCCACGUGCCAUCAUUGUGAUUUUUUGUCGCACUUUUUCGUCGUCGCUGCCCUGAUUUCCGAAAAAAAAAGUGAAAAAAAAAUUUCGUGCCCAUCCUAUCAGGUUGACGAGGGAAGAGUUUUGAGACACUCGCCAUUAUAGUGAUUUUUCGCAAAAAAAGAGGAGCGCAAAAAAAAAAGAGCGAAAAAAAAAGUUCCAGAGUGUGCUUUUCCCUUAUUUACGUGCAGCGCCGUGAUUUUGUUAGUGUUUGAUAGAGGCAAAGGUGUCCCGUCUUUCGAUGAGAUGAUGGAUAUCGCUUUGGUGGAAGUCGACUUUCACGAUCCGACUACGAACGUGCGAGGACGUCGUGCCUUAGCAAUCGCUAAACCAACUCCGAGAGGUUAUUGACCACGCCGGAGCACGAUCAACCUGACCACGAGGGUCUGUUUCCUGCGAGCAAACGAAGAACAAGCAAGAAACUAAGAUUGCAAUCUGGAUAUUGCGAAUAUAAGAUGAAAGCUUUAUUGAUCAAGGUGGGGUUCUGUGACGCCUUUGUCUGGUCGUUGAACACAAACGAAGUACGCGAAGUUGCAGCUAUGGCGAACUUUUAAUCUAAACAAAACCCAAAGUCUAAACGGUGCCCUAAGGGCUGUAUAUAUGGAGGAAGAGAGGGGGAAUUUCGUGGCCCUUGGUGGAGGGGUCCGAAAUCAACCCUAUCUCUUGUUUCCCCACACAUACGGACUCUAAAAAUAGCCUAUACUUAUGUAUUUCGAAAUUACAUGGGCCUGGCCCAAUAAAAAGGUGACGCAGCACCUAUAAUAGCCUCGGGACGAAAUUUAUGAAGUGGCAUCUUGUAUAUUUCGUCCAUGGCUUCAUGCACCCAUUAUGGUGGCUUCAAAGUCCUGAAAUCAUCACUUGUAACUCCGUUAUUGUUCCCCUUGCGCAUGGCAUCAUCUCCAUGCUUGUUCUUGCUACAAUGUUCAUCCUCCCCUUCUUGAAAUGAAGUCGUCCUCGACAGAAACUCAUCUUCCUCACCCAAAUAAGGCUUCAAAUCUGCAAUGUUAAAAGUGGGACUAACCCCAAAAUAUGCAGGCAGCUCAAGUUUAUAUGCAUUAUCAUUUAUUUUCUCUAACACCUUAAAGGGACCAUCAGCACGUGGCAUUAGCUUUGAUUUGCGCAAAUCAGGAAAUCGAUCCUUACGCAAAUGUAACCAAACAAGAUCUCCAGGUGCAAACACAACAUGUUUUCUACCCUUAUCUCCAGCAAGUUUAUAUUUAGCAUUCAUACGCUCAAUGUUUUCCUUAGUUAACUCAUGCAUUUUUAAAAUCAAUUCAGCAUGUUGUUUAGCAUCAAAAUUAACCUUCUCCGAAGAUGGAAGAGGCAACAAAUCAAUAGGUGCACGAGGUAGGAAACCAUACACAACUUCAAAAGGGCACAUCUUAGUAGUAGAAUGCAAUGAACGAUUAUAAGCAAAUUCAAUAUGAGGCAAGCAUUCCUCCCACAUUUUCUUAUUAUUCUUCAAAACAGCCCUAAGCAUAGUAGACAACGUUCUAUUGACUACUUCAGUUUGUCCAUCAGUUUGGGGGUGACAAGUAGUACUAAAAAGCAGUUUAGUCCCCAACUUAGCCCAUAAACAUCUCCAAAAGUGGCUAAGAAAUUUAGUAUCACGAUCUGAAACAAUAGUAUUUGGCACACCAUGCAAGCGAAUAAUUUCACGAAAGAACAAAUCAGCAACAUUAACAGCAUCAUCGCUUUAAUGACAUGGUAUAAAGUGUGCCAUUUUCGAGAAUCUAUCCACGACAACAAAUAUGCUAUCCCUCCCCUUCUUUGUUCGAGGUAAACCUAAAACAAAGUCCAUAGAUAUAUCCUCCCAAGGAACACUAGGUACAGGCAAAGGCAUAUAUAAACCAUGAGGAUUGAGUCGUGACUUAGCUUUUUGACAUGUAGUGCAUCGAGCAAUAAAACGCUCAACAUCCCGUCUCAUCUUUGGCCAAAAGAAAUGUGUAGCAAGUACGUCCUCCGUCUUCUUCACGCCAAAGUGUCCCAUUAAUCCUCCUCCAUGCGCCUCCUGCAACAACAAAAGACGAACGGAGCUAGCUGGAAUGCAUAGCUUGUUAGCACGAAACACAAAUCCAUCGUUAACGACAAACUUGUUCCACAUUCUUCCUUCUUUACAAUUCUGCAUUACAUCUUUAAAAUCAGCAUCAUGCACAUAUUGAUCUUUGAUGGUCUCCAAACCAAAUAUUUUGAAGUCAAGUUGCGAAAGCAUAGUAUAGCGACGAGACAAUGCAUCAGCAAUAACAUUUUCUUUUCCCUUCUUGUGUUUAAUGACAUAAGGGAAAGUCUCAAUGAAUUCAACCCAUUUAGCAUGUCUACGAUUCAGUUUAGCUUGACUUUUAAUAUGUUUCAAAGAUUCAUGAUCAGAAUGUAUAACAAAUUCUUUGGGCCAUAAAUAAUGUUGCCAUGUUUCUAAAGUCCGAACAAGAGCAUAUAAUUCUUUAUCAUAAGUAGAAUAAUUCAGACUAGGCCCACUCAAUUUUUCAGAAAAGUACGCAACAGGUUUGCCAUCUUGUAAUAACACACCUCCUAAUCCAAUUCCACUAGCAUCACAUUCAAGCUCAAAAGUCUUAUUAAAAUCAGGAAGUUGGAGUAAAGGAGCAUGUGUCAACUUAUCUUUCAAUACCGCGAAGGCUUCUUCCUGUGCGGUACCCCAAACAAAAGGCACAUCCUUCUUUGUAAGCUCGUUGAGAGGUGCAGCAAUGGUGCUGAAAUCUCUCACAAAACGCCUAUAGAAUCCAGCGAGGCCAAGAAAACUCCUCACUUGUGUGACCGUUUUGGGCUGCGGCCAACUCUCAAUAGCUUCAAUCUUGGCUUUGUCAACUUCAAUUCCCUGUGGAGUAACAACAUAGCCAAGAAAAGAUACUCGGUCGGUGCAAAAGGUGCACUUCCCAAGGUUACCAAACAAACGUGCAUCACGUAGAGCAAUAAAAACAGCACGUAAAUGUUCCAAAUGUUCUUUCAAAGAUCUGCUAUAAAUCAGUAUGUCAUCAAAGUAAACUACCACAAAUCGUCCAAUGAAAGCACGUAAAACUUCGUUCAUUAAUCUCAUGAAAGUACUAGGUGCAUUAGUUAACCCAAAAGGCAUGACUAACCACUCAUAUAAUCCAAACUUAGUUUUAAAUGCUGUUUUCCAUUCAUCUCCCAAUUUCAUACGAAUUUGAUGGUAGCCACUACGCAAAUCAACUUUGGAGAAUAUUGUAGAGCCACUCAAUUCAUCAAGCAUAUCAUCUAGCCUAGGAAUAGGAUGACGAUAACGAAUAUUAAUAUUAUUAAUGCCUCUACAAUCAACACACAUACGUGAUGUACCAUCCUUUUUCGGCACUAGAAUAAUAGGAACAGCACAAGGACUAAGGGAUUCGCGUAUAUAACCUUUGUCGAGAAGCUCUUGUACUUGGCGCAUAAUCUCCUUCGUCUCCUCUGGAUUGGUACGGUAUGGUGCACGGUUUGGCAGUGAAGCACCGGGAAUUAAGUCAAUCUGAUGCUCAAUCCCUCGAAUAGGCGGUAAUCCCGGUGGCACGUCUUGUGGAAAGACGUCAGCGAACUCCUGCAAAAUGUUAGUGACAGCAGGCAAAUGUAACCAAACAAGAUCUCCAGGUGCAAACACAACAUGUUUUCUACCCUUAUCUCCAGCAAGUUUAUAUUUAGCAUUCAUGCGCUCAAUGUUUUCCUUAGUUAACUCAUGCAUUUUUAAAAUCAAUUCAGCACGUUGUUUAGCAUCAAAAUUAACCUUCUCCGAAGAUGGAAGAGGCAACAAAUCAAUAGGUGCACGAGGUAGGAAACCAUACACAACUUCAAAAGGGCACAUCUUAGUAGUAGAAUGCAAUGAACGAUUAUAAGCAAAUUCAAUAUGAGGCAAGCAUUCCUCCCACAUUUUCUUAUUAUUCUUCAAAACAGCCCUAAGCAUAGUAGACAACGUUCUAUUGACUACUUCAGUUUGUCCAUCAGUUUGGGGGUGACAAGUAGUACUAAAAAGCAGUUUAGUCCCCAACUUAGCCCAUAAACAUCUCCAAAAGUGGCUAAGGAAUUUAGUAUCACGAUCUGAAACAAUAGUAUUUGGCACACCAUGCAAGCGAAUAAUUUCACGAAAGAACAAAUCAGCAACAUUAACAGCAUCAUCGCUUUUAUGACAUGGUAUAAAGUGUGCCAUUUUCGAGAAUCUAUCCACGACAACAAAUAUGCUAUCCCUCCCCUUCUUUGUUCGAGGUAAACCUAAAACAAAGUCCAUAGAUAUAUCCUCCCAAGGAACACUAGGUACAGGCAAAGGCAUAUAUAAACCAUGAGGAUUGAGUCGUGACUUAGCUUUUUGACAUGUAGUGCAUCGACCAAUAAAACGCUCAACAUCCCGUCUCAUCUUUGGCCAAAAGAAAUGUGUAGCAAGUACGUCCUCCGUCUUCUUCACGCCAAAGUGUCCCAUUAAUCCUCCUCCAUGCGCCUCCUGCAACAACAAAAGACGAACGGAGCUAGCUGGAAUGCAUAGCUUGUUAGCACGAAACACAAAUCCAUCGUUAACGACGAACUUGUUCCACAUUCUUCCUUCUUUACAAUUCUGCAUUACAUCUUUAAAAUCAGCAUCAUGCACAUAUUGAUCUUUGAUGGUCUCCAAACCAAAUAUUUUGAAGUCAAGUUGUGAAAGCAUAGUAUAGCGGCGAGACAAUGCAUCAGCAAUAACAUUUUCUUUUCCCUUCUUGUGUUUAAUGACAUAAGGAAAAGUCUCAAUGAAUUCAACCCAUUUAGCAUGUCUACGAUUCAGUUUAGCUUGUCUUUUAAUAUGUUUCAAAGAUUCAUGAUCAGAAUGUAUAACAAAUUCUUUGGGCCAUAAAUAAUGUUGCCAUGUUUCUAAAGUCCGAACAAGAGCAUAUAAUUCUUUAUCAUAAGUAGAAUAAUUCAGACUAGGCCCACUCAAUUUUUCAGAAAAGUAUGCAACAGGUUUGCCAUCUUGUAAUAACACACCGCCUAAUCCAAUUCCACUAGCAUCACAUUCAAGCUCAAAAGUCUUAUUAAAAUCAGGAAGUUGGAGUAAAGGAGCAUGUGUCAACUUAUCUUUCAAUACCGAGAAGGCUUCUUCCUGUGCGGUACCCCAAAGAAAACUCACGUCUUUCUUUGUAAGCUCAUUGAGAGGUGCAGCAAUGGUGCUGAAAUCUCUCACAAAACGCCUAUAGAAUCCAGCGAGGCCAAGAAAACUCCUCACUUGUGUGACCGUUUUGGGUUGCGGCCAACUCUCAAUAGCUUCAAUCUUGGCUUUAUCAACUUCAAUUCCCUGUGGAGUAACAACAUAGCCAAGAAAAGAUACUCGGUCGGUGCAAAAGGUCCACUUCCCAAGGUUACCAAACAAACGUGCAUCACGUAGAGCAAUAAAAACAGCACGUAAAUGUUCCAAAUGUUCUUCCAAAGAUCUGCUAUAAAUCAAUAUGUCAUCAAAGUAAACUACCACAAAUCGUCCAAUGAAAGCACGUAAAACUUCGUUCAUUAAUCUCAUGAAAGUACUAGGUGCAUUAGUUAACCCAAAAGGCAUGACUAACCACUACAAUAAUCCAAACUUAGUUUUGAAUGCUGUUUUCCAUUCAUCUCCUAAUUUCAUACGAAUUUGAUGGUAUCCACUACGCAAAUCAACUUUGGAGAAUAUUGUAGAGCCACUCAAUUCAUCAAGCAUAUCAUCUAGCCUUGGAAUAGGAUGACGAUAACGAAUAGUAAUAUUAUUAAUGCCUCUACAAUCAACACACAUACGUGAUGUACCAUCCUUUUUCGGCACUAGAAUAAUAGGAACAGCACAAGGACAAAGGGAUUCGCGUAUAUAACCUUUGUCGAGAAGCUCUUGUACUUGACGCAUAAUCUCCUUCGUCUCCUCUGGAUUGGUACGGUAUGGUGCACGGUUUGGCAGUGAAGCACCGGGAAUUAAGUCAAUCUGAUGCUCAAUCCCUCGAAUAGGCGGUAAUCCCGGUGGCACGUCUUGUGGAAAGACGUCAGCGAACUCCUGCAAAAUGUUAGUGACAGCAGGAGGCAAAGAGGAAGGCACGUCCUCGAAUGAAAAUAAUGCCUCUUUGCACACAAAAGCAUAGCAAACAGAUUUGCUGAAAUCUAGCUCAUCAAUAUCAGAUUUGGUGGCAAAUAAACAUGCACUUUUCAAUUUAAUUUCAGAAGCAACACUAGAUGGUUUAUUAUUAGGCUUCAUUUGUUGCUCAAAUUCUUUUGCCACAAUCUGAUUUUCACUCUUAUUCGUCUCCUGUUUUGCUUUAUUAGCUCUAUUAAUAUCAUCUUUGAAAAUGGAAUCAGGAGUCAUAGGAAGCAAAGUAAUAUUUUUAUCCUUAUGAACAAGAGUAUAGUGAUUGUUUCAACCAUGGUGUACAGAAUUUUUAUCAAAUUGCCAUGGUCUACCAAGUAAUAAGGAACAUGCUUGCAUAGGUACCACAUCACAAUCAACAUAAUCAGCAUAUGUAGAGAUACUAAAAUGCAUACGAACAGUACGUGUUACCUUAACCUUGCCGCUGUUGUUGAACCAUUGGAUGUAGUAAGGAUGUGGAUGUGGUCUUGUGGUGAGAGAAAGCUUCUCCACCAUCUCCAUGCUAGCCAAGUUGUUGCAGCUCCCUCCGUCUAUGAUGACGCGCACAGAACGUUCUUUCACAACUCCCUUGGUAUGGAACAAAUUGUGCCUCUGAUUUUGCUCAGCUUGUGUGACCUGCACACUCAAAACACGUUGAGCAACUAAACGUUCAUACCUGUCAGCGUCUUCAGGAGCCAUGUAUUGCGUCUCAUGAUCAGAAUCAUCUCCACCAUGUUGUUCACGUGUAAUAAGAGCCAAAGUCUCCUCAUCAUAGUCACUAGCAGACUCAUAUCCACCAUUCGCGGUAGCAAUCAUCACACGCGGAGAUUUGCAUUCUCUCGCAUAAUGACCUCCUCCCUUACAACGACGACAAAUAAUAUCACUUGUGUGCCCUGUUGAUGCCCUGGAAGAAGAAGAACUCUGUGCAGGCCCGGCAGGUGCGCUCUUGGCAGAUAAUGGUGGUUGUUCCUGUUUUCUUGUAUCACGGCUGUAGGAGGCACCUGAUUGAGGUGCUCGUGCAGUUGAAGUAGAAGAUGCACGCGGUGUCCAUGAUGAAGGUCGGCCUGCAGAAAAGUUAGUUCGCGCCAAUGCUUGUCGAUCCUGCACUUCACGUUCAGCUUUACAAGCAAGAUGGAAUAAACGAGUGAUAUUAGUAUACUCCUUAUAGUCUAGAAUGGUCUGAAUCUCUCUAUUUAAUCCACCCAGAAAACGUGCAAGCAUAGCUUCAUUCUCCUCAACAAUACCACAUCUAAUCAUGCUAGUUUGUAAUUCCUGAUAAUAUUCUUCUACAAAAUUUUUCCCUUGUCUUAAACGCUGCAAUUUUUGAAGCAAUUCACGUUGAUAAUAUGGUGGAACCCAACGCGCACGCAUAGCAGUUUUCAAAGCAGCCCAAGUAGUUGGAAUAGGAUAUAAUCUACAAUGUUCAGACCACCAUACACAUGCAAAACUAGUGAAAGCACAAACAGCAGCAGCAACUCGUCUCUCCUCAGGAUAUUGUAAACAUGUAAAUCGUUGUUCAGUUUCUAACUCCCAAGUAAGAUAUAUAUCAGGAACAUAUCUACCCUCAAAUGGUGGAAUAUUCAAUUUCAGUUUAGGAAUAUGGACAUCAUCUCGUACCUGAGGUGGUGGUGCAGGCCUACCACUACGAAUAUAUACCUGAGGUCGACCUGCUGGUGGUGGUACAGGUGGCUGCACGUAGUGCUGAUUUUGAUCAACCUCAUCCUCAUAAUCUCCCACAUAAUCAUCCUCCUCCGCAUCAGCAGCAGGAGCCACAGAAGUAUCAACAGCAGCACCAACAGUUUGGCCAAACGCAAGAGGAACACGGCUUGCUCGGCGGAGGUCUGUUUCGCGACGUGGAGGUAGUCGUUGUUGUUGUUGUUGUUGGAGAGGUGCGUUAGGUGCAGCGGGUGGUGGUGGUGGAAGACGCGCGAGCAAUUCAUUAAACUUGUUAUCGAGCUUUGUUUCGAACGUCUUCUCAAGGCCAGUGAUCUUCUCCAUGGCCUCUUCAAAAUUGUUCAGCACAUCUUGCACCUGUUCAGUCAUCAUUUGCUGAAACUUAUCAUGAAGCUCCUUGUUUGAUAAAUUCUCCCAGUCAAUCUCGUCGGCUUGUGAUCCUGGCAUGGUUAGCAGCAAUAGAAACACACAAGAAUAUGAUCCUACAGACUACGAACAAGUGGUGGUGGUGGGUGUCACAAAUCCGUCAAGCAAAACUCAAAUUCUUACCAGUUCUUACCCAGCAACAGGCGGUGAUCGGCAACCGUUGUAGUCAAAACUCUCAAAGCUUGGAUAGAGCGAUUACCAGGGAGAGUCAAACGCACGACGUAGAUGUAUGUGGAGCUGGGAAGGCUUAUAAUAUGGUAGCAAAAAGGGUCAGCAAUAAUCAAUUCAGAGAUGCAAAGUUGAAUAAACGCUCAACGACGGUACUGUGCUGGUCCUAGGCUAGAAUGUGCUAGAGACGCGAGCCUAGAACACCAACAAAAUCACGGCGCGGCACGUAAACAAGGGAGGAGCACACUCUGAAUUUUUUUUCUCUUUUUUUUGCACUUUUUUUCCUCUUUUUUUUUGCGCCGCAACAAAUUUUUUUCGAAAAAGUCUACAAAUGGUCUAAAAACUGCCUAGCCAGAAUUUUCCAGACUUACUUUUUUUUUUGAAAUUCGAACAAUUUUUCUUCUGUGGAUGGCUCGGAAGUUGGGGAGUCCUUCUCUGUCACGACUCGGAGUGUCACGUGAUCUGGAAAUCGAGAACAAUGCAACAAUUACUGGACUCGGACUAGGACUGGUAGCGGAGAUGAAUCUGGUGGAACUCGGACUGGUGGCGGAGAUGAAUCUGGUGGAACACGGACAGGUGGCGGAUAUAUGUUGCAGGUGAACUCGGAUUGGCGUGAUGGCGGCGGAUAUGUGGUGGCGUAUAUGGAUUCGGAUUGGCGGUGAAUAUGUGGUGGUGGUAUAUGGCAACAACGACGAUGAUGAUGCGGUGGUGAUAUAUGGCAGCGGCGACGUGACAACCUGUGAACAGAACUCGAAACUCUAAAAGACUAGACGCUAAGACCAGCAACUGGACACGACGAUGCAACCGCAAAUUCAACAAAGCAAAUACAGAAAAGAUUAUGCAAGGCUCAGAUUGGUUCGGAUGGGAUGAACUAACCCUAAUUUUUUUUGGCUUUUUCGUGGACUAUAGGUAUGAAGAACAGACUCGAUCUAAACUAUGAAAAACUGUAAAAUCUCACCGAGCAAUCUGGAAAUCUGAUACCACUUGAUAGAGGCAAAGGUGUCCCGUCUUUCGAUGAGAUGAUGGAUAUCGCUUUGGUGGAAGUCGACUUUCACGAUCCGACUACGAACGUGCGAGGACGUCGCGCCUUAGCAAUCGCUAAACCAACUCCGAGAGGUUAUUGACCACGCCGGAGCACGAUCAACCUGACCACGAGGGUCUGUUUCCUGCGAGCAAACGAAGAACAAGCAAGAAACUAAGAUUGCAAUAUGGAUAUUGCGAAUAUAAGAUGAAAGCUUUAUUGAUCAAGGUGGGGUUCUGUGACGCCUUUGUCUGGUCGUUGAACACAAACGAAGUACGCGAAGUUGCAGCUAUGGCGAACUUUUAAUCUAAACAAAACCCAAAGUCUAAACGAUGCCCUAAGGGCUGUAUAUAUGGAGGAAGAGAGGGGGAAUUUCGUGGCCCUUGGUGGAGGGGUCCGAAAUCAACCCUAUCUCUUGUUUCCCCACACAUACGGACUCUAAAAAUAGCCUAUACUUAUGUACCUCGAAAUUACAUGGGCCUGGCCCAAUAAAAAGGUGACGCAGCACCUAUAAUAGCCUCGGGACGAAAUUUAUGAAGUGGCAUCUUGUAUAUUUCGUCCAUGGCUUCAUGCACCCAUUAUGGUGGCUUCAAAGUCCUGAAAUCAUCACUUGUAACUCCGUUCUUGUUCCCCUUGCGCAUGGCAUCAUCUCCAUGCUUGUUCUUGCUCCAAUGUUCAUCCUUCUCCAAGCUAGGCCCUUCAUUUGUAAGCAAAACAAAUGUAUCCAAUUUAGGCAGCAUCAUAUUCUCAUGAACAUUAGAAUCAUUACCAAGAAACGGAAGUACCUGAUAAUUUAAUUAGCAUGCGCGAGCUCUAGUAAUUGGUCCCGUAUAUGUAGCAGUAGGGGCUGUGGGUGUAACAAUGGUAUUGAUGUCCUCAUCAGUGUUCUAGGCUCGCGUCUCUAGCACGGUCUAGCCUAGGACCAGCACAGUACCGUCGUUGAGCGUUUAUUCAACUUUGCAUCUCUGAAUUGAUUAUUGCUAACCCUUUUUGCUACCAUACUAUAAGCCUUCCCAGCUCCACAUACAUCUACGUCAUGCGUUUGACUCUCCCUGGCAAUCGCUCUAUCCAAGCUUUUGAGAGUUUUGACUACAACGGUUGCCGAUCACCGCCUGCUGCUGGGUAAGAACUGGUAAGAAUUUGAGAUUUGCUGACGGAUUUGUGACACCCGCCACCACCACCACUUUUUAGUAGUCUGCAGGAUCAUAUUCUUGUGUGUUUCUAUUGCUGCUAACCAUGCCAGGAUCACAAGUCGACGAGACUGACUGGGAGAACUUGACGAACAAGGAGCUUCAUGAUACGUUUCAGCAAAUGAUGAGUGGACAGGUGCAAGAUGUGAUAAACAGAUUUGAAGAGGCCAUGGAGAAGAUAGAUGGCAUGGAGAAGACGUUUGAAACAAAGCUCGAUAACAAGUUUGCUGAAUUGCUUUCGCGUCUUCCACCACCACCACCGGCUGCUCCUGCCACACCUCUGCAACAACAGCAACAACAUCGACUACCUCCACGUCGGGAAACAGCCCUCCGCCGAGCGAGCCGUGUCCCUCUUCAGUCGGGCCAAACUGCUGGUGCUGCUGUUGAUACUUCUGUGGCUCCUACUGCUGAUGUGGAGGAGGAUGAUUAUGUGGGAGAUUAUGAGGAUGAGGUUGAUCACAAUCAGAACUACGUGCCACCACUAGCACAGCAACCACCAGGUCGUCCACAUGCAAAUAAUGGCAAUGGUAGGGCUCACCCUCAGGUACGAGAUCAUGACCAUCUCCCUAAACUAAAAUUGAAUAUUCCACCAUUUGAGGGUAGAUAUGUUCCUGAUAUAUAUCUUACUUGGGAGUUAGAAACUGAACAACGAUUUACAUGUUUACAAUAUCCCGAGGAGAGACGUGUUCCUGCUGCUGUUUGUGCAUUCACUAGUUUUGCAUGUGUUUGGUGGUCUGAGCAUUGUAGAUUAUAUCCUAUUCCGGCUACUUGGGCUUCUUUGAAAACUGCUAUGCGUACUCGUUGGGUUCCGCCAUAUUAUCAACAUGAAUUACUUCAAAAAUUGCAGCGCUUAAGACAGGGAAAAAAUUCUGUAGAAGAAUAUUAUCAGGAAUUACAAACUGGCAUGAUUAGAUGUGGUAUUGUUGAGGAGAAUGAAGCUAUGCUUGCACGUUUUAUGGGUGGAUUAAAUAGAGAGAUUCAGACGAUUCUAGAGUAUAAGGAGUAUACUAGUAUCACUCGUUUAUUCCAUCUUGCUUGUAAAGCUGAACGUGAAGUGCAGGAUCGACAGGCAUUGGCGCGGACUAACUUUUCUGCAGGUCGACCUUCAUCAAGGACACCACAUGCAUCAUCUACUUCCACAUGUUCUGCUACAUCGGCGCCUCCGUCGGCUGCCACCUCCAACCAUGAUACAAUAAAGCAGGCACAAUCACCACUAUCUGCCAAGAGCACACCUUUUGGGCCUGCAAAGAGCUCUUCUUCAUCCAUGGCAUCAACAGGGCGAACACAUGAUAUUAUUUGUCGACGUUGCAAGGGUGGAGGUCAUUAUGCGAGAGAAUGCCCAUCUAAGCGUGUGAUGAUUGUUACUGAGGAUGGUGGGUAUGAGUCCGCUAGUGACUAUGAUGAGGAGACCUUGGCUCUUAUUACACGUGAAGAACAUGGUGGCGACGAUUCUGAUCAUGAGACGCAAUACAUGGCUCCUGAAUAUGCUGACACGUAUGAAUGUUUAGUUGCUCAACGUGUUUUGAGUGUGCAGGUUACACAAGCUGAGCAAAAUCAGAGGCAUAAUUUGUUCCAUACAAAGGGAGUUGUGAAGGAACGUUCUGUUCGCGUGAUCAUAGAUGGAGGGAGCUGCAAUAACUUGGCUAGCAUGGAGAUGGUGGAGAAGCUAUCUCUCACCACAAGACCACAUCCACAUCCUUACUACAUCCAAUGGUUCAACAAAAGCGGCAAGGUUAAGGUAACACGUACUGUUCGUGUGCAUUUUAGUAUCUCUACAUAUGCUGAUUAUGUUGAUUGUGAUGUGGUACUGAUAGAGGCAAAGGUGUCCCGUCUUUCGAUGAGAUGAUGGAUAUCGCUUUGGUGGCAGUCGACUUUGACGAUCCGACUACGAACGUGCGAGGACGUCGCGCCUUAGCAAUCGCUAAACCAACUCCGAGAGGUUAUUGACCACGCCGGAGCACGAUCAACCUGACCACGAGGGUCUGUUUCCUGCGAGCAAACGAAGAACAAGCAAGAAACUGAGAUUGCAAUCUGGAUAUUGCGAAUAUAAGAUGAAAGCUUUAUUGAUCAAGGUGGGGUUCUGUGACGCCUUUGUCUGGUCGUUAAACACAAACGAAGUACGCGAAGUUGCAGCUAUGGCGAACUUUUAAUCUAAACAAAACCCAAAGUCUAAACGAUGCCCUAAGGGCUGUAUAUAUGGAGGAAGAGGGGGGAAUUUCGUGACCCUUGGUGGAGGGGUCCGAAAUCAACCCUAUCUCUUGUUUCCCCACACAUACGGACUCUAAAAAUAGCCUAUACUUAUGUAUUUCGAAAUUACAUGGGCCUGGCCCAAUAAUAAGGUGACGCAGCACCUAUAAUAGCCUCGGGACGAAAUUUAUGAAGUGGCAUCUUGUAUAUUUCGUCCAAGGCUUCAUGCACCCAUUAUGGUGGCUUCAAAGUCCUGAAAUCAUCACUUGUAACUCCGUUCUUGUUCCCCUUGCGCAUGCCAUCAUCUCCAUGCUUGUUCUUAAUCGAAUGUUCAUCCUUCUCCAAGCUAGGCCCUUCAUUUGUAAGCAAAACAAAUGUAUCCAAUUUAGGCAGCAUCAUAUUCUCAUGAACAUUAGAAUCAUUACCAAGAAACGAAAGUACCUGGUAAUUUAGUUGGCGUGCGCGAGCUCUAGUAAUUGGUCCCAUAUAUGUAGCAGUAGGGGAUGUGGGUGUAACAAUGGUAUUGAUGUCCUCAUCAUCCUCCCCUUCUUGAAAUGAAGUCGUCCUCGACGGAAACUCAUCUUCCUCACCCAAAUAAGGCUUCAAAUCUGCAAUGUUAAAAGUGGGACUAACCCCAAAAUCUGCAGGCAGCUCAAGUUUAUAUGCAUUAUCAUUUAUUUUCUCUAACACCUUAAAGGGACCAUCAGCACGUGGCAUUAGCUUUGAUUUGCGCAAAUCAGGAAAUCUAUCCUUACGCAAAUGUACCAAACAAGAUCUCCAGGUGCAAACACAACAUGUUUUCUACCCUUAUCUCCAGCAAGUUUAUAUUUAGCAUUCAUACGCUCAAUGUUUUCCUUAGUUAACUCAUGCAUUUUUAAAAUCAAUUCAGCAUGUUGUUUAGCAUCAAAAUUAACCUUCUCCGAAGAUGGAAGAGGCAACAAAUCAAUAGGUGCACGAGGUAGGAAACCAUACACAACUUCAAAAGGGCACAUCUUAGUAGUAGAAUGCAAUGAACGAUUAUAAGCAAAUUCAAUAUGAGGCAAGCAUUCCUCCCACAUUUUCUUAUUAUUCUUCAAAACAGCCCUAAGCAUAGUAGACAACGUUCUAUUGACUACUUCAGUUUGUCCAUCAGUUUGGGGUGAUAAGUAGUACUAAAAAGCAGUUUAGUCCCCAACUUAGCCCAUAAACAUCUCCAAAAGUGGCUAAGAAAUUUAGUAUCACGAUCUGAAACAAUAGUAUUUGGCACACCAUGCAAGCGAAUAAUUUCACGAAAGAACAAAUCAGCAACAUUAACAGCAUCAUCGCUUUUAUGACAUGGUAUAAAGUGUGCCAUUUUCGAGAAUCUAUCCACGACAACAAAUAUGCUAUCCCUCCCCUUCUUUGUUCGAGGUAAACCUAAAACAAAGUCCAUAGAUAUAUCCUCCCAAGGAACACUAGGUACAGGCAAAGGCAUAUAUAAACCAUGAGGAUUGAGUCGUGACUUAGCUUUUUGACAUGUAGUGCAUCGAGCAAUAAAACGCUCAACAUCCCGUCUCAUCUUUGGCCAAAAGAAAUGUGUAGCAAGUACGUCCUCCGUCUUUUUCACGCCAAAGUGUCCCAUUAAUCCUCCUCCAUGCGCCUCCUGCAACAACAAAAGACGAACGGAGCUAGCUGGAAUGCAUAGCUUGUUAGCACGAAACACUAAUCCAUCGUUAAUGACAAACUUGUUCCACAUUCUACCUUCUUUACAAUUCUGCAUUACAUCUUUAAAAUCAGCAUCAUGCACAUAUUGAUCUUUGAUGGUCUCCAAACCAAAUAUUUUGAAGUCAAGUUGUGAAAGCAUAGUAUAGCGACGAGACAAUGCAUCAGCAAUAACAUUUUCUUUUCCCUUCUUGUGUUUAAUGACAUAAGGAAAAGUCUCAAUGAAUUCAACCCAUUUAGCAUGUCUACGAUUCAGUUUCGCUUGACUUUUAAUAUGUUUCAAAGAUUCAUGAUCAAAAUGUAUAACAAAUUCUUUGGGCCAUAAAUAAUGUUGCCAUGUUUCUAAAGUCCGAACAAGAGCAUAUAAUUCUUUAUCAUAAGUAGAAUAAUUCAGACUAGGCCCACUCAAUUUUUCAGAAAAGUAUGCAACAGGUUUGCCAUCUUGUAAUAACACACCUCCUAAUCCAAUUCCACUAGCAUCACAUUCAAGCUCAAAAGUCUUAUUAAAAUCAGGAAGUUGGAGUAAAGGAGCAUGUGUCAACUUAUCUUUCAAUAUCGAGAAGGCUUCUUCCUGUGCGGUACCCCAAAGAAAAGACACAUCUUUCUUUGUAAGCUCAUUGAGAGGUGCAGCAAUGGUGCUGAAAUCUCUCACAAAACGCCUAUAUAAUCCAGCGAGGCCAAGAAAACUCCUCACUUGUGUGACCGUUUUGGGCUGCGGCCAACUCUCAAUAGCUUCAAUCUUGGCUUUAUCAACUUCAAUUCCCUGUGGAGUAACAACAUAGCCAAGAAAAGAUACUCGGUCGGUGCAAAAGGUGCACUUCCCAAGAUUACCAAACAAACGUGCAUCACCUAGAGCAAUAAAAACAGCACGUAAAUGUUCCAAAUGUUCUUCCAAAGAUCUGCUAUAAAUCAAUAUGUCAUCAAAGUAAACUACCACAAAUCGUCCAAUGAAAGCACGUAAAACUUUGUUCAUUAAUCUCAUGAAAGUACUAGGUGCAUUAGUUAACCCAAAAGGCAUGACUAACCACUCAUAUAAUCCAAACUUAGUUGUAAAUGCCGUUUUCCAUUCAUCUUCCAAUUUCAUACGAAUUUGAUGGUAUCCACUACGCAAAUCAACUUUGGAGAAUAUUGUAGAGCCACUCAAUUCAUCAAGCAUAUCAUCUAGCCUAGGAAUAGGAUGACGAUAACGAAUAGUAAUAUUAUUAAUGCCUCUACAAUCAACACACAUACGUGAUGUACCAUCCUUUUUCGGCACUAGAAUAAUAGGAACAGCACAAGGACUAAGGGAUUCGCAUAUAUAACCUUUGUCGAGAAGCUCUUGUACUUGACGCAUAAUCUCCUUCGUCUCCUCUGGAUUGGUACGGUAUGGUGCACGGUUUGGCAGUGAAGCACCGGGAAUUAAGUCAAUCUGAUGCUCAAUCCCUCGAAUAGGCGGUAAUCCCGGUGGCAUGUCUUGUGGAAAGACGUCAGCGAACUCCUGCAAAAUGUUAGUGACAGCAGGAGGCAAAGAGGAAGGCAUGUCCUGGAAUGAAAAUAAUGCCUCUUUGCACACAAAAGCAUAGCAAACAGAUUUGCUGAAAUCUAGCUCAUCAAUAUCAGAUUUGGUGGCAAAUAAACAUGCACUUUUCAAUUUAAUUUCAGAAGCAACACUAGAUGGUUUAUUAUUAGGCUUCAUUUGUUGCUCAAAUUCUUUUGCCACAAUCUGAUUUUCACUCUUAUUCUUCUCCUGUUUUGCUUUAUUAGCUCUAUUAAUAUCAUCUUUCAAAAUGGAAUCAGGAGUCAUAGGAAGCAAAGUAAUAUUUUUAUCCUUAUGAACAAGAGUAUAGUGAUUGUUUCUACCAUGAUGUACAGAAUUUUUAUCAAAUUGCCAUGGUCUACCAAGUAAUAAGGAACAUGCUUGCAUAGGUACCACAUCACAAUCAACAUAAUCAGCAUAUGUAGAGAUACUAAAAUGCACACGAACAAUACGUGUUACCUUAACCUUGCCGCUGUUGUUGAACCAUUGGAUGUAGUAAGGAUGUGGAUGUGGUCUUGUGGUGAGAGAAAGCUUCUCCACCAUCUCCAUGCUAGCCAAGUUGUUGCAGCUCCCUCCAUCUAUGAUGACGCGCACAGAACGUUCUUUCACAACUCCCUUGGUAUGGAACAAAUUGUGCCUCUGAUUUUGCUCAGCUUGUGUGACCUGCACACUCAAAACACGUUGAGCAACUAAACAUUCAUACCUGUCAGCGUCUUCAGGAGCCAUGUAUUGCGUCUCAUGAUCAGAAUCAUCUCCACCAUGUUCUUCACGUGUAAUAAGAGCCAAAGUCCCCUCAUCAUAGUCACUAGCGGACUCAUAUCCACCAUUCGCGGUAGCAAUCAUCACACACGGAGAUUUGCAUUCUCUCGCAUAAUGACCUCCUCCCUUACAACGACGACAAAUAAUAUCACUUGUGUGCCCUGUUGAUGCCCUGGAAGAAGAAGAAAUCUGUGCAGGCCCGGCAGGUGCGCUCUUGGCAGAUAAUGGUGGUUGUUCCUGUUUUCUUAUAUCACGGCUGUAGGAGGCACCUGAUUGAGGUGCUCGUGCAGUUGAAGUAGAAGAUGCACGCGGUGUCCAUGAUGAAGGUCGGCCUGCAGAAAAGUUAGUUCGCGCCAAUGCUUGUCGAUCCUGCACUUCACGUUCAGCUUUACAAGCAAGAUGGAAUAAACGAGUGAUAUUAGUAUACUCCUUAUAGUCUAGAAUGGUCUGAAUCUCUCUAUUUAAUCCACCUAGAAAACGUGCAAGCAUAGCUUCAUUCUCCUCAACAAUACCACAUCUAAUCAUGCCAGUUUGUAAUUCCUGAUAAUAUUCUUCUACAGAAUUUUUUCCUUGUCUUAAGCGCUGUAAUUUUUGAAGCAAUUCACGUUGAUAAUAUGGUGGAACCCAACGAGUACGCAUAGCAGUUUUCAAAGCAGCCCAAGUAGUUGGAAUAGGAUAUAAUCUAUAAUGUUCAGACCACCAUACACAUGCAAAACUAGUGAAAACACAAACAGCAGCAGCAACUCGUCUCUCCUCAGGAUAUUGUAAACAUGUAAAUCGUUGUUCAGUUUCUAACUCCCAAGUAAGAUAUAUAUCAGGAACAUAUCUACCCUCAAAUGGUGGAAUAUUCAAUUUCAGUUUAGGAAUAUGGACAUCAUCUCGUACCUGAGGUGGUGGUGCAGGCCUACCAUUACGAAUAUAUACCUGAGGUCGACCUGCUGGUGGUGGUGCAGGUGGCUGCACGUAGUGCUGAUUUUGAUCAACCUCAUCCUCAUAAUCGCCCGCAUACUCAUCAUCCUCCUGGGUACCAGCAGCAGCAGUAGCCGGAGCCAAAGAAGCACCAACAGCAGUAGCAGCGGCACCAGAAUUUUGUCCUGGCUCAAUAGGAACACGAUGUGCUCGUCCAUACUGAUUCGGAAGGGGGCGUAGUUGUUGUUGUUGCAGAGGUGCGACAGGUGCAGCCGAUGGUGGAAGACGCGCAAGUAGUUCAUUAAAUCUGUUAUCGAGCUUUGUUUCGAACGUCUUCUCAAGGCCAGUGAUCUUCUCCAUGGCCUCUUCAAAAUUGUUCAGCACAUCUUGUACCUGUUCAGUCAUCAUUUGCUGAAACUUAUCAUGAAGCUCCUUGUUCGAUAAGUUCUCCCAGUCAAUCUCGUCGGCUUGUGAUCCUGGCAUGGUUAGCAUCAAUAGAAACACACAAGAAUAUGAUCCUACAGACUACUAAGAAGUGGUGGUGGUGUAUCACAAAUCCGUCAAGCAAAUCUCAAAUUCUUACCAGUUCUUACCCAGCAGCAGGCGGUGAUCGGCAACCGUUGUAGUCAAAAACUCUCAAAGCUUGGAUAGAGCGAUUACCAGGGAGAGUCAAACACACGACGUAGAUGUAUGUGGAGCUGGGAAGGCUUAUAGUAUGGUAGCAAAAAGGGUCAGCAAUAAUCAAUUCAGAGAUGCAAAGUUGAAUAAACGCUCAACGACGGUACUGUGCUGGUCCUAGGCUAGACUGUGCUAGAGACGCGAGCCUAGAACACUAAAAGCACACUCUGAAGAAAAAAAAUUCGCUCUUUUUUUUGCGCUCUUUUUUUUGCGCUGCUUUUUUUUGCGAAAAAUCACUGUUAUGGCGAGUGUCUCAAAACUCUUCCUAGGUCAAACUGACAGGUGGGCACGAAAUUUUUUUUCGACCAAAUUUUUUUUUUCGACUGCCCGGACCCAAAAACUGGAAACGGGUCAAAAAAACUUCCUAUAAUGGCACCUGUCUCAAAACACUCAGAAACACCUAAAAAUAGGAUAGCCAGAAAUUUUUUCGAAAAAUGCGUUUUCGAAAAAUUUUGGGUCUAAACGGAGCGUGGUUUCCCGACUCUUUUUUUUUUCUGAAACCUACUCCGGCAAGGAAACACGAACCGGAAACUAGAUGUAUCUCGAAAACAAACCUAAUAAGCAAGGAACUCGGAUUGGUGGUGGAUAUAUGGUGGUGGUAUAUGGCAGCAGUGGUGGUAGCGGUGGUAGUAUAUGGAUAUGGAUCGGUGGUGGUAUAUGGACACGGAUUGGUGGUGGUAUAUGGAUACGGAUUCGGAGCGGUGGUGGUAGAUGCCAGGGGCGAUGAUGAUGGUGCGGCGGCGGCGUGACAACUUAUGACCAGAACUCAAAACUCUAAAAGACUAGACUCUAAGACCAGCAACUGGACACGACGAUGCAACCGCAAAUUCAAGCAAGCAAAUACAGAAAAGAUUAUGCAAGGCUCAGAUUGGUUCGGAUGGGAUGAACUAACCCUAAUUUUUUUUGGCUUUUUCGUGGACUAUAGGUAUGAAGAACAGACUCGAUCUAAACUACGAAAAACUGUAAAAUCUCACCGAGCAACCUGGAAAUCUGAUACCACUUGAUAGAGGCAAAGGUGUCCCGUCUUUCGAUGAGAUGAUGGAUAUCGCUUUGGUGGCAGUCGACUUUGACGAUCCGACUACGAACGUGCGAGGACGUCGCGCCUUAGCAAUCGCUAAACCAACUCCGAGAGGUUAUUGACCACGCCGGAGCACGAUCAACCUGACCACGAGGGUCUGUUUCCUGCGAGCAAACGAAGAACAAGCAAGAAACUGAGAUUGCAAUCUGGAUAUUGCGAAUAUAAGAUGAAAGCUUUAUUGAUCAAGGUGGGGUUCUGUGACGCCUUUGUCUGGUCAUUGAACACAAACGAAGUACGCGAAGUUGCAGCUAUGGCGAACUUUUAAUCUAAACAAAACCCAAAGUCUAAACGAUGCCCUAAGGGCUAUAUAUAUGGAGGAAGAGGGGGGAAUUUCGUGACCCUUGGUGGAGGGGUCCGAAAUCAACCCUAUCUCUUGUUUCCCCACACAUACGGACUCUAAAAAUAGCCUAUACUUAUGUAUUUCGAAAUUACAUGGGCCUGGCCCAAUAAUAAGGUGACGCGGCACCUAUAAUAGCCUCGGGACGAAAUUUAUGAAGUGGCAUCUUGUAUAUUUCGUCCAAGGCUUCAUGCACCCAUUAUGGUGGCUUCAAAGUCCUGAAAUCAUCACUUGUAACUCCGUUCUUGUUCCCCUUGUGCAUGCCAUCAUCUCCAUGCUUGUUCUUAAUCCAAUGUUCAUCCUUCUCCAAGCUAGGCCCUUCAUUUGUAAGCAAAACAAAUGUAUCCAAUUUAGGCAGCAUCAUAUUCUCAUGAACAUUAGAAUCAUUACCAAGAAACGAAAGUACCUGGUAAUUUAGUUGGCGUGCGCGAGUUCUAGUAAUUGGUCCCAUAUAUGUAGCAGUAGGGGCUGUGGGUGUAACAAUGGUAUUGAUGUCCUCAUCAGGUACCUAUGCAAGCAUGUUCCUUAUUACUUGGUAGACCAUGGCAAUUUGAUAAAAAUUCUGUACACCAUGGUAGAAACAAUCGGUAUACUCUUGUUCAUAACGAUAAGAAUAUUACUUUGCUUCCUAUGACUCCUGAUUCCAUUUUGAAAGAUGAUAUUAAUAGAGCUAAUAAAGCAAAACAGGAGACAAAUAAGAGUGAAAAUCAGAUUGUGGCAAAAGAAUUUGAGCACCAAAUGAAGCCUAAUAAUAAACCAUCUACUGUUGUUUCUGAAAUUAAAUUGAAAAGUGCAUGUUUACUUGCCACCAAAUCUGAUAUUGAUGAGCUAGAUUUUAGCAAAUCUGUUUGCUAUGCUUUUGUGUGCAAAGAGGCACUAUUUUCAUUCGAGGACGUGCCUUCCUCUUUGCCCCCUGCUGUCACUAACAUUUUGCAGGAGUUCGCUGACGUCUUUCCACAAGACGUGCCACCGGGAUUACCACCUAUUCGAGGGAUUGAGCAUCAAAUUGACUUAAUUCCCGGUGCUUCGCUACCCAACCGUGCACCAUACCGUACCAAUCCAGAGGAGACGAAGGAGAUUAUGCGUCAAGUACAAGAACUGCUCGACAAAGGUUAUAUACGCGAAUCCCUUAGUCCUUUUGUUGUUCCUAUCAUUUUAGUGCCGAAAAAGGAUGGUACGUCGCGUAUGUGCGUUGAUUGUAUAGGCAUUAAUAAUAUUACUAUUCGUUAUCGUCAUCCUAUUCCUAGGCUAGAUGAUAUGCUUGAUGAAUUGAGUGGCUCUACAAUAUUCUCCAAAGUUGAUUUGCGUAGUGGAUACCAUCAAAUUCGUAUGAAAUUUGGUGAUGAAUGGAAAACAGCAUUUAAAACUAAGUUUGGAUUACAUGAGUGGUUAGUCAUGCCUUUUGGGUUAACUAAUGCACCUAGUACUUUCAUGAGGUUAAUGAACGAAGUUUUACGUGCUUUCAUUGGACGAUUUGUGGUAGUUUACUUUGAUGACAUAUUGAUUUAUAGCAAAUCUUUGGAGGAACAUUUGGAACAUUUACGUGCUGUUUUUAUUGCUCUGCGUGAUGCACGUUUGUUUGGAAACCUUGGAAAGUGCACCUUUUGCACCGACCGAGUAUCUUUUCUUGGCUAUGUUGUUACUCCACAGGGAAUUGAAGUUGAUAAAGCCAAGAUUGAAGCUAUUGAGAGUUGGCCGCAGCCCAAAACGGUCACACAAGUGAGGAGUUUCCUUGGCCUCGCUGGUUUCUAUAGGCGUUUUGUGAGAGAUUUCGGCACCAUUGCUGCACCUCUCAACGAGCUUACAAAGAAGGAUGUGCCUUUUGUUUGGGGUACCGCACAGGAAGAAGCCUUCACGGUAUGGAAAGAUAAGUUGACACAUGCUCCUUUACUCCAACUUCCUAAUUUCAAUAAGAAUUUUGAGCUUGAAUGUGAUGCUAGUGGAAUUGGAUUAGGAGGUGUGUUAUUACAAGAUGGAAAACCUGUUGCAUACUUUUCUGAAAAAUUGAGUGGGCCUAGUCUGAACUAUUCAACUUAUGAUAAAGAAUUAUAUGCUCUUGUUCGGACCUUAGAAACAUGGCAACAUUAUUUAUGGCCAAAGGAAUUUGUUAUACAUUCUGAUCAUGAAUCUUUGCAACACAUUAAAAGUCUAGCAAAACUGAACCGUAGACAUGCUAAAUGGGUUGAAUUCAUUGAGACUUUCCCUUAUGUCAUUAAACACAAGAAGGGUAAAGAAAAUGUUAUUGCUGAUGCCUUGUCUCGUCGGUAUACUAUGCUUUCACAACUUGACUUUAAAAUAUUUGGUUUGGAGACCAUCAAAGAUCAAUAUGUUCAUGAUGCUGAAUUUAAAGAUGUAUUGCAAAAUUGUAAGGAAGGGAGAACUUGGAACAAGUUUGUUCUUAACGAUGGAUUUGUGUUUCGUGCUAACAAGCUAUGCAUUCCAGCUAGCUCCGUUCGUCUUUUGUUGUUGCAGGAGGCGCAUGGAGGAGGAUUAAUGGGACACUUUGGCGUCAAGAAGACGGAGGAUAUACUUGCCACACAUUUCUUUUGGCCAAAGAUGAGACGAAAUGUUGAGCGUUUUGUUGCUCGCUGCACUACAUGUCAAAGAGCUAAGUCACGACUCAAUCCUCAUGGUUUAUAUAUGCCUUUGCCUGUACCUAGUGUUCCUUGGGAGGAUAUAUCUAUGGACUUUGUUUUAGGUUUACCUUGAACAAAGAAGGGGAGGGAUAGCAUAUUUGUUGUCGUGGAUAGGCUCUCGAAAAUGGCACACUUUAUACCAUGUCAUAAAAGCGAUGAUGCUGUUAAUGUUGCUGAUUUGUUCUUUCGUGAAAUUAUUCGCUUACAUGGUGUGCCAAAUACUAUUGUUUCAGAUCGUGAUACUAAAUUUCUUAGCCUCUUUUGGAGAUAUUUAUGGGCUAAGUUGGGGACUAAGCUGCUUUUUAGUACUACUUGUCACCCCCAAACUGAUGGACAAACUGAAGUAGUCAAUAGAACAUUGUCUACUAUGCUUAGGGCUGUUUUGAAGAAUAACAAGAAAAUGUGGGAAGAAUGCUUGCCUCAUAUUGAAUUUGCUUAUAAUCGUUCAUUGCAUUCUACUACUAAGAUGUGCCCUUUUGAAAUUGUGUAUGGUUUCCUACCUCGUGCACCUAUUGAUUUGUUGCCUCUUCCAUCUUCAGAGAAGGUUAAUUUUGAUGCUAAAGAACGUUCUGAAUUGAUUGUAAAAAGGCAUGAGUUAACUAAGGAAAACAUUGAGCGUUACAUGUUGUGUUUGCGCCUGGAGAUAAGGGUAGGAAAAGACUCGGCCGCGCCGUUUUAGUCGGGAUUACCGGAUUACCAGUAGUAGUAUCGAUGGAUCGCGCGAAGCAACAAGUUUUUUUUAGGGGGCGAAGCACCUAGUUUAAAAGGAAAAAAGGCGGUACACUAACAGCACCCCUGUCGCAGUCGCAUUGCACCCCACACACGUUCGGUCCUGCACACGGCUUACGCAAACGAAACACGCUUGGGCUUGCCUCUUCACUGACACGUGGGACUACACUUGGAGAAACCGACCAUGCGCCAAACUCCCCCCGCCCACCGCGCGAAAGUCCUCCCCCCCACCCAAAAUUUCCCCCCAAAUCCUAGAUUCAACCGCGCUUCGGCCAACUAGCCAAUAUAUUCCCCAAACCCCCUCCCCCCCACCCCCCCGUCCCCCUCCACUCCAUUCGCUCCGCCAAAGACGCCCUCCCCGCCACGCCGAUACAUCGGCGCCGUGGUUCGUCGAGGGGACGCACGGCGAUCCUCUUGCUCCCACGGUAUGCCCUCAUAGACUGCCGUCCCCUAGCCGCGCCGCCACCGCUGGCGACGUUCUUGUGGAGGCACACGACGGUCAGUGCCUCCACCGUUGGCGACAUUCAUGUGGAGACACACGGCGGUCAGCUUCUCCCACGGUACGUGCAUUCUAGACUGAGGCCCUGUGCAUGUUGGUGUAGCACUGAAUGUUAGCUAAUAGACGCUGUAAAUCUCACUGUUUGCCGAAGUAGUUUACAAUCAAUAUGCUCUGCUUAAGAAGCUUCCUUGCCCUGUUCUGCACUCAAUCUGCUUAGCUGAGAUGGCAUGCCAAGGCCGAUUAGUUGCUAAAAUAUCCUGCCAUAUAUUUAUUGUGACGUAGAUUGCCAUGGUCUAGUAACCAAUCUAUUAGGUGAAAUAGCUCUAUACCAUUUUAUACUCGAUCUUUGUUGCUGCGAUGGCCUUCGAUAGUUAGAUGGUUGUGUGCUCGGCCUCAUUGACUGCUGAAACAGCCUGCCAUAAUUUAGCACUCAAAUCUGUUUACUGAGUUAGCUUUACAUAUAUUUCGUUACUUAGAUCUGCUCGUCCAAAUAUCUUGCCAUAGCUUUAGACAUCGACCUGGGUAUUUUCUUCUGGACUUCAUAAAAAAGCAUAUAUGUUUUUCCUGUAAUAUCUAGUAGAAGAACUAAUUUGUAUGUCUAACAGAUGGACAGGACUUGGAUAACUUCUGCUCGAAGAUUCUCCGCUGCAUAUGUCAAGGGGGUUGAAAACUUCAUGAACUUUAUCAGAGCUGAGUAUGGUGGUCCGAAAUCAAAUGUGCUCUGCCCGUGUAGUAGUUGUAUUAAUUCAGUUACAAGACCCCAGUCAACUGUGCAAAAAAUCAUCUACACUUGUAUGGGAUGUCAGUCACAUAUACUAGGUGGGUUCAUCAUGGUGAAGCUGUGAAUGUCAAUGUUAUUAACUACGUGGAAGCAGCAGAUCACCAUCUUGAUUUGCCUGAUGCUCAGGUGGAAGAGGAGGAGGAGGAGGUGGUGGCGGAGCCAGUGAGUUUGACUAACAUUGAAACAAUGCUACAAAAUGCUCGUGCAUUCCGUGAACUUUAACCCGCAGAAGAAAAACAGUGGGCCCGCAUGUUGGAACAAUGCAACGUGGCUAUCACCCCAGGAAAUAAGUUGUCGGUAUUCUCAGCUAUGGUGACCUUUCUUCAGGUGAAGACAUCUGAGUGGAUGACCAACAAAUCAUUCGAUGCGAUGUUGGCUGCUUUCCGCAAAGCUUUCCCAGAUGCGUCUGAGCUGCCACACACCUAAAGUAAAAUGAAGAAUUUCCUUCGUGUAGUUGGAAUUGGAUAUGAUAUGAUCCAUGUUUGUAAGAAUAAUUGUGUUCUGUUCCGGAAGGAUUAUGCCAACUUAAGUGAAUACCCAAAAUGCAAAUCAUCAAGAUGGAAAGAUGGCGAUGCUGUGAAGAGGAUUCCUCAUAAUGUUCUGAGACAUUUUCCAAUUACACCAAGAUUGCAGAGGUUGUUUCAUGAUGCAGAAACAAGAGAGGAUGUAUUGUGGCAUUCUAGGAACCAGGAGUACAGAGAUCAGAAUGUAAUGAGCCAUCCAUCACAUGGUAGUGAGUGGAAAAGCUUCAAUCAGACGCAUGAAAAGUUUGUUGCUGAACCGAGAAACAAUAGACUUGGCUUAGCUUCAGAUGGAUUUAACCCAUUUGGCCACCAGAGCUUGUUAUCCCUUACAACAUGCCUCCAAAUGUCUGCACCAAAGAAUCAAACUACAUGAUAGCCUUGCUCAUCCCAGGUCCAAAAAGUCUUGGAAAGGAUUUUGAUUUGUUCAUGGAGCCUCUUGUGGAGGAACUUCAACAGCUAUGGAGGGGUGUUCUCACUCGAGACCUACAUAGCAGCCCACUAGCUGAUUUCUUUCCGCGUGCUAUUAUAAUUUGGUGCAUCCAUGAUUAUCCGGCUUUGGGCACUAUGUCAGGGCGAAUGACACAUGGUUACAAUGCAUGUGUUCGCUGUGACAGGAAUCCGCUGUCAUACGCAAUACUUAGCAAGAUCUGUUACAUUGGACACCGUCGUUUCCUUGCCAAGGACAAGCCGCAUCCUAGAAAAUACCGAAGACAUGUGUUCAAUGCAAAGCAUGAAAACCAUGAUGCGCCAAAGAGGCUCACCGCCGAUGAGUUGCAAGUGGAAUUAGAGAAGGUCAUGCAUAUUACACUAGGAAACCAUCCUGAUAGUGGUAGCGGGAAAAGGAAGUGUGGCAGGGCAGAAGAGAGAUUAUUGUUUACCCGCUUGUCCACUUUGUGGGACUUGGAGUAUUGGAAAUAUUUGGAUCUGUGGCAUAAUCUUGAUGUGAUGCACAUCGAGAAAAAUAUAUGUGCCAGCAUUAUCGGCACACUUCUUAAUAUUGAAGGCAAGACGAAAGAUACCUUAAAAUCUAGGAUUGAUUUGACACGCCUGGGUAUUAGACAGGAUUUGCAGGUGCAAGAUGAAGGUAAACCAUGGGAUAUGGCACCAGCUGUGUACAUCUUGGACAAGGUAAAAAAGAAAAGAAUUCUGCAAGGUCCUGUCAUGUGUGAGAUUCCCACGUGGAUUUGCUUCCAACCCUGAAAGGAGAGUCAGUGCAGCUGGAGACAAGGUACAAGGUUUGAAAACUCAUGACUGCCACGUCCUACUUUAAAGGGUUUUACCUGGUAUCCUUAUAGGAUUGGGCCACCCUGACUUAUACAGAGCAGUUGCAAAGUUGGGACAAUUCUUCAGGGAACUCUACAGUAGAAAUAUCAUGAUAGAUGCUUUGGAGCGUCUUAGAGACAAGAUACCAACUAUCCUAUGCGACCUUGAGAAGAUAUAUCCUCCAGCCUUCUUUGAUGUGAUGGUGCAUUUGGCUGUUCAUCUACCUGAUGAGGCACUACUUAGAGGUCUAGUACAGUAUGGCUGGAUGUACCCUAUUGAAAGGCGGCUAGGCACUUUCAAGGGCUAUGUUAGGAGCAGAGCAAGACCCGAGGGUUCCAUUGCAGAGGCCUACAUUGUUACAGAAGCGUUGACAUUCUGCUCAAAAUACAUUGAAACAGUUGAUCAGCUUAGCAAAGACAUGGAUGAAGACAAUCCCGGGCUCAAUGUUUUCGAUUAUUCUGUUCGAGUUCAGGGAAGAGUCGACAAGAGGACAAACCUAAAGAUUUGGACAAAAUGGUUUGGUAUGUGUUGAAUAACUGUCCUGAGAUACUACCUUAUAUCAAGUAAGUGCUAAGUACUGCAGCUUAUACAUCGUAAUCUACUAAACUUGCAGCACAUUCUUAUAUAUUUAGAUAUUUGACGCAAUCACUAUGUUGUGCAGCAUCUAACAAAAGGAGUUACUGCCGCAAAAUCCAAGAAACAUUGACAAACUGGUUAUGGCAGGAUUUGCGAAAUGGUUCAAGAGCCAUGUAAGCUUUUGAAUUGCACUGUCAGUUUUUUAAUAUAUUGAGUACAUAAGAUGAUCAGCUUGUCUAUUUUCUAACCAUAGGUUAAGAAGAUGCGGGAGGAUAGGCAGGCAGUUGAUGAUGCCCUUUACUCACUAUCAAUGGGUCCUGAUACUCGGGUAAGACAUUAUGAAUCUUGCAUUGUUGGAGAUGUGCGCUACAACACCCUUGCACGAGAUGAAGGCAGGAAGACACAAAACAGUGCCGUCAUGAGCACGGAUACGUAUGGCAAAGAGACAACUGAAAUGUAUGCUAACAUAACAGACAUUGUUCAGUUGUAGUAUAUCUCCAGUUUCGAGGAUCAUCGGUGUGUGGUUCUGUUGUGCUGUCGUUGGUAUAACUUGUUUUCCAGGAUCACAAAACCCAGAGCUAAUGAUUAUUUCAAAUCCAUCAAUGUCAAGGCGGCGUACCAGACCAAUGAGCCUUUUAUUUUGGCAAAUCAAGCAACACAGAUAUUUUUCUUGGAGGACACAUUUGCACGUAGCGAUGACAGGAGAGUAGUGCAAAGGUUUGAGCAGAGGAAUUCAUUUAAUGAAGUUGCACAACAAGAUGAUGCUUACACUGCUCCUGAUGUACAAGAUAACACAAAUGUUCCUAAUAUCUUUGAGAACCAUCACGUCAAUGACGCCGGCGAAAAGAUUGCCUGUCGUGUUGUGGACAUACAAGAGUUGAUUAAGAAGAAGCAAACGUUCGAGGACGUUGAGGACGAAGAAGAAGAUGACACUGUGGGGAAUUAUGAUUCAGAUUGAUACACAUGGCAAAGAUGUUGACGCUGCUGCUGCGGAUGAUGAUUACAUUGCUUUUGUCGUAUUUGCCUGUCAGAAGACAUUUUUUUUAUCUACUAUGUGAAAUUGUGAUAGAGGCAAAGGUGUCCCGUCUUUCGAUGAGAUGGUGGAUUUCGCUUUGGUGGAAGUCGACUUUGACGAUCCGACUACGAACAUGCGAGGUCGUCGCGCCUUAGCAAUCGCUAAACCAACUCCGAGAGGUUAUUGACCACGCCGGAGCACGAUCAACCUGACCACGAGGGUCUGUUUCCUGCGAGCAAACGAAGAACAAGCAAGAAACUAAGAUUGCAAUCUGGAUAUUGCGAAUAUAAGAUGAAAGCUUUAUUGAUCAAGGUGGGGUUCUGUGACGCCUUUGUCUGGUCGUUGAACACAAACGAAGUACGCGAAGUUGCAGCUAUGGCGAACUUUUAAUCUAAACAAAACCCAAAGUCUAAACGGUGCCCUAAGGGCUGUAUAUAUGGAGGAAGAGAGGGGGAAUUUCGUGGCCCUUGGUGGAGGGGUCCGAAAUCAACCCUAUCUCUUGUUUCCCCACACAUACGGACUCUAAAAAUAGCCUAUACUUAUGUAUUUCGAAAUUACAUGGGCCUGGCCCAAUAAUAAGGUGACGCAGCACCUAAAAUAGCCUCGGGACGAAAUUUAUGAAGUGACAUCUUGUAUAUUUCGUCCAAGGCUUCAUGCACCCAUUAUGGUGGCUUCAAAGUCCUGAAAUCAUCACUUGUAACUCCGUUCUUGUUCCCCUUGCGCAUGCCAUCAUCUCCAUGCUUGUUCUUGCUCCAAUGUUCAUCCUUCUCCAAGCUAGGCCCUUCAUUUGUAAGCAAAACAAAUGUAUCCAAUUUAGGCAGCAUCAUAUUCUCAUGAACAUUAGAAUCAUUACCAAUAAACGAAAGUACCUGGUAAUUUAGUUGGCGUGCACGAGCUCUAGUAAUUGGUCCAGUAUGUAUAGCAGCAGGGGCUGUGGGUGUAACAAUUGUAUUGAUGUCCUCAUCAUCCUCCCCUUCUUGAAAUGAAGUCGUCCUCGACGGAAGUUCAUCUUCCUCACCCAAAUAAGGCUUCAAAUCUGCAAUGUUAAAAGUGGGACUAACCCCAAAAUCUGCAGGCAGCUCAAGUUUAUAUGCAUUAUCAUUUAUUUUCUCUAACACCUUAAAGGGACCAUCAGCACGUGGCAUUAACUUUGAUUUGCGCAAAUCAGGAAAUCUAUCCUUACGCAAAUGUAACCAAACAAGAUCUCCAGGUGCAAACACAACAUGUUUUCUACCCUUAUCUCCAGCAAGUUUAUAUUUAGCAUUCAUACGCUCAAUGUUUUUGAUGAGGACAUCAAUACAAUUGUUACACCCACAGCCCCUGCUGCUAUACAUACUGGACCAAUUACUAGAGCUCGUGCACGCCAACUAAAUUACCAGGUACUUUCGUUUCUUGGUAAUGAUUCUAAUGUUCAUGAGAAUAUGAUGCUGCCUAAAUUGGAUACAUUUGUUUUGCUUACAAAUGAAGGGCCUAGCUUGGAGAAGGAUGAACAUUGGAGCAAGAACAAGCAUGGAGAUGAUGGCAUGCGCAAGGGGAACAAGAACGGAGUUACAAGAGAUGAUUUCAGGACUUUGAAGCCACCAUAAUGGGUGCAUGAAGCCUUGGACGAAAUAUACAAGAUGCCACUUCAUAAAUUUCGUCCCGAGGCUAUUUUAGGUGCUGCGUCACCUUAUUAUUGGGCCAGGCCCAUGUAAUUUCGAAAUACAUAAGUAUAGGCUAUUUUUAGAGUCCGUAUGUGUGGGGAAACAAGAGAUAGGGUUGAUUUCGGACCCCUCCACCAAGGGACACGAAAUUCCCCCCUCUUCCUCCAUAUAUACAGCCCUUAGGGCAUCGUUUAGACUUUGGGUUUUGUUUAGAUUAAAAGUUCGCCAUAGCUGCAACUUCGCGUACUUCGUUUGUGUUCAACGACCAGACAAAGGCGUCACAGAACCCCACCUUGAUCAAUAAAGCUUUCAUCUUAUAUUCGCAAUAUCCAGAUUGCAAUCUUAGUUUCUUGCUUGUUCUUCGUUUGCUCGCAGGAAACAGACCCUCGUGGUCAGGUUGAUCGUGCUCCGGCGUGGUCAAUAACCUCUCGGAGUUGGUUUAGCGAUUGCUAAGGCGCGACGUCCUCGCACGUUCGUAGUCGGAUCGUCAAAGUCGACUUCCACCAAAGCGAAAUCCACCAUCUCAUCGAAAGACGGGACACCUUUGCCUCUAUCAGACACAGGUACUGAUCUUCCAUCUCUACAUGAGAAUGAUGAAUGCCUUAUCAAUUUGAAUGCACCAUCUGAUGAGCUACCCACUACUUUGAUCACACCACCUAUUUUAGAGGACUACGUUGAUAAUUUGACUUUGCCAUGUGAUCAAACAACUGAAAUACCAACAAUUUUGAGUGCACCCAUUGAAUUAACUAUUGAUGCAAAAGAACCAAUGUUUAAUCAUUUUGAUAUGACCUCUAAUCUUGGUGAUAGAGGCAAAGGUGUCCCGUCUUUCGAUGAGAUGAUGGAUAUCGCUUUGGUGGAAGUCGACUUUGACGAUCCGACUACGAACGUGCGAGGACGUCGCGCCUUAGCAAUCGCUAAACCAACUCCGAGAGGUUAUUGACCACGCCGAAGCACGAUCAACCUGACCACGAGGGUCUGUUUCCUGCGAGCAAACGAAGAACAAGCAAGAAACUAAGAUUGCAAUCUGGAUAUUGCGAAUAUAAGAUGAAAGCUUUACUGAUCAAGGUGGGGUUCUGUGACGCCUUUGUCUGGUCGUUGAACACAAACAAAGUACACGAAGUUGCAGCUAUGGCGAACUUUUAAUCUAAACAAAACCCAAAGUCUAAACGAUGCCCUAAGGGCUGUAUAUAUGGAGGAAGAGGGGGGAAUUUCGUGGCCCUUGGUGGAGGGGUCCGAAAUCAACCCUAUCUCUUGUUUCCCCACACAUACGGACUCUAAAAAUAGCCUAUACUUAUGUAUUUCGAAAUUACAUGGGCCUGGCCCAAUAAUAAGGUGACGCAGCACCUAAAAUAGCCUCGGGACGAAAUUUAUGAAGUGGCAUCUUGUAUAUUUCGUCCAAGGCUUCAUGCACCCAUUAUGGUGGCUUCAAAGUCCUGAAAUCAUCACUUGUAACUCCGUUCUUGUUCCCCUUGCGCAUGCCAUCAUCUCCAUGCUUGUUCUUGCUCCAAUGUUCAUCCUUCUCCAAGCUAGGCCCUUCAUUUGUAAGCAAAACAAAUGUAUCCAAUUUAGGCAGCAUCAUAUUCUCAUGAACAUUAGAAUCAUUACCAAGAAACGAAAGUACCUGGUAAUUUAGUUGGCGUGCACGAGCUCUAGUAAUUGGUCCAGUAUGUAUAGCAGCAGGGGCUGUGGGUGUAACAAUUGUAUUGAUGUCCUCAUCAAAUUGUGUUUGCUAUGACAACUGAAACCUGAUGAACAUGUUGUUUAGUAUUUUCCUGUGAGAACAUCACUUGUUAUGUAUGCUGAUUUAUGUUUGGUGAUUGUAUGACAACUAAAACAUGAUGACAUUGUUGUUUAGUUGUACUCAUAUUUGGCUGUGAAACUUGAAUUUGAUGACAUAGUUUGCUGUUGGACUGCAUUUGCUCGACAUCUUCGAAUGAGAACAAAGCUGGCCCGACAGGUCCACUGCUAAUUUAUUUAUUUAUUACCAAAAGGGCCUCUGGUAUUUAUUUAUUUAUGUGACGCCCCGAGACCGAUGCUCGAGAAGACUUCCUUAUAUUCCUGGUUUCGCCGUGUGUUUCAUUUGUGCUUGCCCUUUUAUUUUUGCAUUGCAUCAUGUCAUCAUGCCAUCAUAUCAUAAAUCUUUUGCAUCUCACCUAAAUAAAUUGUAUGGAUCUUCGAUCCAUUUAAGUCGAGGGAAGGAUGACUUCUCUUUAUAAUAUAUCCUCCCGAUAUUAGUGGAGCUAUUAUAAAAUAAUCCAUUCUUAUGGAAUCACCUAAAACACACUUGCAAAUUUCCCCAUGCCUUUGUAAUCUCGCUGCUUGACCUCGAACCUUGUCCGUAAAUUCUUUCGUCAUUUUUCGGAGCUCCACCAAAAAUCCGAAUAUUUUUGGACUCUUCAUUACCUUGAAAUUAUUCAAACCAUUUGAAUUAAAUUCAAAUGGAUUUGAAUUUAGAUCUUUCAAUUUUGGCAUUCUCUAUUUUUCACGGAACAAACACAUUUUUUUGCGAGUCCAGGAAAUUUAUCCCCAUGCCUAAUCCUUUCUCCGCCCUUCCUUUCCUUUUUUAUCUUUCUUUCCUUUGCUGUUUUUUCUGGGGUUUAGAAGAGAGGGAGGGAGAGAGAGCCUGCAGCACAGCCGGCCUCUAAGCCCGCAACCCAGUUGCAUCGAGGAUAAGGCCCAGCGCUGGUGCCAGUUAACCCUAGCCGAUCCCCACUCGCUACCCUCUCCCGAUCCCACUCCUUGUUUCCUCGCACCGCCAGGGAACCGCUGCCCGAUCCCAUCCUCCUCCCACGAUCCCAUCUCCUUCCCUCCAGUGUCGCGCUCGACCCCGCUCUCCUUCUCGAUCCCCAUCUUCCUCCUCCCGAUGGCGCCGGACUGGCCUCCCGCGCACGCGUAGAGGGACGGCACUCUUGCCUCGUCCCCAGCCGCCUCUCCCCUGCUCCUUCCGCGUGCCUGCCGCCGCUGCCUUCUUCCAGCCGCCCUCGGCCUCUCCUCGAGCACCCGCGCCUGUAGUCGUCGUCCUCUGCACCCGCAGACGUCGCCCGUCGCUGGUGCCCCAAGUCCGCGUCGCCGAGUCCCUCGUCCUGCAGGAGCUGCUCCUCCCGCCGCCCAAGUACCUCCCCGCCUCCGGCCAUGGUGCCCGCACCAGGACCGCCCUCCACCACCGACUCUAUCUCCGGCGAGCGCCGCGCCGUCUCCCUGCCUCGUCUGCGGUGUCGGCGUCAACAAUAGCAGUGGAUCGGAGCCCCUACCUUGCUCCACCACGUCGCCGACCUCCUGCCGUGGCCUCCUCCUCGCUUCAAGUCCUUGCUAUCAAGCAUCAUGUCGCCGCCCUGCUACGUUCGUCACCGGAGAUCACCAGAUCCGGUCGCGUUGGGUCGGAUCCUCCCGUCCCUGCCUUGCUGCUGGCCACCAGAGGCCUUCCGUCUCGCGUGUGUUUUGGAUCAACAAGGAUGAGACACCAAGAACCGUACCCGGACCGUCAAGCACCUUCUCCAAGGAUUUUGCCAAGUACCAUGACAUGAACGACCCUUGAACACGUCAAGUACCACUACCAUCAAGUACCUCUUCGCAAGACCAAGUUCCUGUACGAUACAUGUACGACUACACGACGAACCGCCAAGACCCAAGUACCAUGACGCCAAGUACCUCUUCGGAUCGUCAAGGUGGAUCUCGAACGUUGACGAGGUUCCGAUAAGACCCUCGACGUGUACGGCUACAAUGUGAACGUGUACCCGACGACCCCGGAGACCUAUGUUACACCAAGUACCAUGACGACCUUCGACGUGUACCCCUACAUCGCACUGAAACGCCGAGUUCCUCGCCGAGACCCCGAACUUUUAUGGAACCUUGUGCGACUAUGGAUGUGAACGACCACCGUCGAACCCAAGUUACUCGGAUUCGUCAAGUCCCUCUACGAAAAUGUUGUACGACUACUUCCGUGGUCGAAGGCCCGUGUACAACUACCGUCGCCAUGAACGACUACUUCCUCUACUUCCUCUACGAACCCAAACCGCUCCGAGAAUGCACCUGGAAGGUAGAACCGCCGAGACGAUGACCCGUGGACGAAAGCAUGUGUUGUAUGAGAUGCAUGUUUAGUUGUUUUUUUGCCCGUGAACAUUAGUCGCUCCUCCUCGGUUGCCAUGCCGUCGACCCAUGGGAAACCCGGUAUCCAGGAUCAUCCCACCAUCCUUGCAUGAUCCGUUCAUCCACAUUUUCUCUUGCACCGACAUCUGAACGAAUUGUCGGAUCACCCGGAAUGUUGCCGUGGCACCAUUUCCGUUGUAGUUGCCGUGACACCCCUUUUGUUCCGCCAUGGCGACCAAAUGCUUCUUAAUAUAAUCUUGUCAACUUUUCUUAAAAUUGCAUAAAACUUGAGCAUGUCAUCCGCAUCAUGUUAACAACAUUAAGAUGGCUUAAAUUGUUGUUGCAUCAAAUUACUAAUGCAUGUGGGGAUUUACCGGAUUCGUUGUUUGUUAUAUCCGGCCCCAUUUAAAUUUCUUAGAUUGUGUAGUUUACUCAUGUUUCACCUCUUGCCAUGUUAACCAACAUUUAAUAGUGUUGAGUGCCUAAUCGAGAGUGAACUAAAUAAUUGAUGUGGUGUUCUGUCAAUAUGCAAUGGAGUUGCAUAUUGAGAUCCACUUAACUUGUAGUUUUGUUUGUGCCCUUUGCCAUGCCAUGCAUAUUUGAACCGGGCAUGCAUCAUACUUGUUUGCGCAUCAUGCCAUGUUCAUGUGUUGGUUGUUUACUAUGUUGUGUGCUUCUUUCCGGUGUUGCUUCUUCGGAUUGGUUCCGAUAACGUCGCGUUUGUGAGGACCUGUUCGACUACGUCCGUUUGUCUUCUUCAUGGACUCGUUCUUCUUCCUUGCGGGAUCUCAGGCAAGAUGACCAUACCCUCGAAAUCACUUCUAUCUUUGCUUGUUAGAUGCUCGCUCUUUUGCUAUGCCUAUGCUGCGAUACCUACCACUUGCUUAUCAUGCCUCCCAUAUUGUUAAGCCAAGCCUCUAACCCACCUUAUCCUAGCAAACCGUUUUUUGGCUAUGUUACCGCUUUGCUUAGCCCCUCUUAUAGCGUUGUUAGUUGCAGGUGAAGAUUGGAGCUUGUUCCAUGUUUGGAACAUGGAUAUUUUGUUGGGAUAUCACAAUAUCUCUUAUUUAAUUAAUGCAUCUAUAUACUUGGUAAAGGGUGGAAGGCUCGGCCUUAUGCCUGGUGUUUUGUUCCACUCUUGCCGCCCUAGUUUCCGUCAUAUCGGUGUUAUGUUCCCGGAUUUUGCGUUCCUUACGCGGUUGGGUUAUAAUGGGAACCCCUUGAUAGUUCGCCUUGAAUAAGACUCCUCCAGCAUGGCCCAACAUUGGUUUUACCAUUCACCAUCUAGCCUUUUCAUUCUCUUGGGUUCUGCAGACUCAAGGGUCAUCUUUAUUUUAAACCCCCGGGCCAGUGCUCCUCUGAGUGUUGGUCCAAACUGAGUGAUGUCCAGAGCUACCAGGGGCAAUUCUGGGCUGGCCCACUCGACGUCUGGCUCAUCUGGUGUGCCCUGAGAACGAGAUAUGUGCAGCUCCUAUCGGGAUUUGUCGACACAUCUGGGUGGCUUUGCUGGUCUUGUUUUACCAUUGUCGAAAUGUCUUGUAACCGGGAUUCCGAGUCUGAUCGGGUCUUCCCGCUAGAAGGAAUAUCCUUCGUUGACCGUGUAGAAAACCUGAAGUUGACCUUAAUUAAAAUACAUCAACCGCGUGUGUAACCGUGAUGGUCUCUUCUCGGCGGAGUCCGGGAAGUGAACACGGUGUUGGAGUAAUGCUUGACGUAGGUUGUUCUAGGAUCACUUCUUGAUCAUAGUUUCUCGGCCAUGCUUUUGCCUUCUCUUCUCGCUCUCAUUUGCGUAUGUUUAGCCACCGUAUAUGCUAGUCGCUUGCUGUAGUUCCACAUCAUACCUUUUACCUUACCCAUAAGCUUAAAUAGUCUUGAUCGCGAGGAUGUGAGAUUGCCGAGUCCCCGUGACUCACAGAUACUUCCAAAACCUGUUUGCAGGUGCCGAUGUUACUGUGCAGGUGACGCAACCAAGCUCAAGGAGGAGCUCUAUGAAGAUCGUGUUCUUUAUGUUGUUCCAUUUUCCAGUUGAUCAGUAGUGGAGCCCAGUUGGGACGAUCGGGGAUCUGUGUAGCAUUGGGGUAGUCUUCUUUUAUUUUGGCUCCAUAGUCGGGCCUUGAUUGCAUUUGGAUGAUGUAAUGCUUUAUUCAUGUAAUUGUGUGAAGUGGCGAGUGUAAGCCAACUAUGUAUCUCUUUCCCUUAUGUAUUACAUGGGUUGUGUGAAGAUUACCUCACUUGCGACAUUGCUUUCAAUGCGGUUAUGCCUCUAAGUCAUGCUUCGACACAUGGGAGAUAUAGCCGCAUCGAGGGCGUUACAAGUUGGUAAUCAGAGCCAUCCCCGACCUAAGGAGCCCCCUGCUUGAUCAAUUCGCUGGCGUUUUUGAGUCUAGAAAUGUGUUGAGUCAUUUAGGAAUUAUAUAUAUCGGAGAGUUAGGACUUCUUUUUACUCCUCAGUCCCUUCGUCGCUCUGGUGAGGCAUCCUGACAUAGAGUUUUGACUCUUCUCUUCUCAAAUUUCAGUACAAAAAUUUAGGAUCACGUGGGUAUCUUGGAAUCGUUCCAAUGAUUUUGUGACGAGAACAUUGUUCUUGGUGCCUCCUGUCAUUUAGGGGUUGUGGCAGUGUCCCAGGGAGUUGAGCUCUGAGGUGUUGUCGUCACAAUUUUAUCGUUGCAGUUCUGGAAUACCUGAGAUUAGUUUCGCCGACAUCGAAAAUCUCUUUUAUGCAGUUGUUGGUGAGAUAAUCUCGACGCCACCCAGUACUGGGCGGGAGUUCGGGAUUAUUGCCAUAACUCAUAUAACAGAUGCUUUUCGAAGGUUGAGGUAAACGAUUUCCGAAGGUUUCUUGGUUAUGUGUUCAAGGAUGGAUACAGCUGGAUGUAGGAUUUGUUAGUUUUGGGUGAGAUAUUAUGCUUCCCAUGUAUCCCCAACACCUGAUUGCAUAACCGGAAAAUUUCGGGAGUUUAUAAGUGGGAAAUCAAGUAGCUCUUAGGAUAUCUUUCCGACAGAUGUAUGAUAUGAAAUUGGGGUUCGACGUCUAGUGGUCCGCCUAUCCACGGUUGGUUUUACAGUGGUCUCGUUGUGUCUUAAAGAGUCCAUGGCUAUGCCGACUCGGGGACGCUUCGUAUGUCAUGUGCACUGCCUUGUACAUGAUGGUGAUGUAUGAUCGAGCCCGUGUAGGCCCCACCACGAAAACUUCGGACGAAAUCUCUAUCAUAUGUUUGUUCCGGCUUAUUUUGCAAGCCAAUCCUUUGUUUUGCUUUUGAGUUGUGGUAUUGAUGAGGACAUCAAUACAAUUGUUACACCCACAGCCCCUGCUGCUAUACAUACUGGACCAAUUACUAGAGCCCGUGCACGCCAACUAAAUUACCAGGUACUUUCAUUUCUUGGUAAUGAUUCUAAUGUUCAUGAGAAUAUGAUGCUGCCUAAAUUGGAUACAUUUGUUUUGCUUACAAAUGAAGGGCCUAGCUUGGAGAAGGAUGAACAUUGGAGCAAGAACAAGCAUGGAGAUGAUGGCAUGCGCAAGGGGAACAAGAACGGAGUUACAAGUGAUGAUUUCAGGACUUUGAAGCCACCAUAAUGGGUGCAUGAAGCCUUGGACGAAAUAUACAAGAUGCCACUUCAUAAAUUUCGUCCCGAGGCUAUUUUAGGUGCUGCGUCACCUUAUUAUUGGGCCAGGCCCAUGUAAUUUCGAAAUACAUAAGUAUAGGCUAUUUUUAGAGUCCGUAUGUGUGGGGAAACAAGAGAUCGGGUUGAUUUCGGACCCCUCCACCAAGGGCCACGAAAUUCCCCCCUCUUCCUCCAUAUAUACAGCCCUUAGGGCAUCGUUUAGACUUUGGGUUUUGUUUAGAUUAAAAGUUCGCCAUAGCUGCGACUUCGCGUACUUCGUUUGUGUUCAACGACCAGACAAAGGCGUCACAGAACCCCACCUUGAUCAAUAAAGCUUUCAUCUUAUAUUCGCAAUAUCCAGAUUGCAAUCUCAGUUUCUUGCUUGUUCUUCGUUUGCUCGCAGGAAACAGACCCUCGUGGUCAGGUUGAUCGUGCUCCGGCGUGGUCAAUAACCUCUCGGAGUUGGUUUAGCGAUUGCUAAGGCGCGACGUCCUCGCACGUUCGUAGUCGGAUCGUCAAAGUCGACUUCCACCAAAGCGAAAUCCACUAUCUCAUCGAAAGACGGGACACCUUUGCCUCUAUCAAGAAGCUUUCUCUCACCACAAGACCACAUCCACAUCCUUACUACAUCCAAUGGUUCAACAACAGCGGCAAGGUUAAGGUAACACGUACUGUUCGUGUGCAUUUUAGUAUCUCUACAUAUGCUGAUUAUGUUGAUUGUGAUGUGGUACCUAUGCAAGCAUGUUCCUUAUUACUUGGUAGACCAUGGCAAUUUGAUAAAAAUUCUGUACACCAUGGUAGAAACAAUCACUAUACUCUUGUUCAUAAGGAUAAAAAUAUUACUUUGCUUCCUAUGACUCCUGAUUCCAUUUUGAAAGAUGAUAUUAAUAGAGCUAAUAAAGCACAACAGGGGAAGAAUAAGAGUGAAAAUCAGAUUGUGGCAAAAGAAUUUGAGCAACAAAUGAAGCCUAAUAAUAAACCAUCUAGUGUUGCUUCUGAAAUUAAAUUGAAAAGUGCAUGUUUAUUUGCCACCAAAUCUGAUAUUGAUGAGCUAGAUUUCAGCAAAUCUGUUUGCUAUGCUUUUGUGUGCAAAGAGGCAUUAUUUUCAUUCGAGGACGUGCCUUCCUCUUUGCCUCCUGCUGUCACUAACAUUUUGCAGGAGUUCGCUGACGUUUUUCCACAAGACGUGCCACCGGGAUUACCGCCUAUUCGAGGGAUUGAGCAUCAGAUUGACUUAAUUCCCGGUGCUUCACUGCCAAACCGUGCACCAUACCGUACCAAUCCAGAGGAGACGAAGGAGAUUAUGCGUCAAGUACAAGAGCUUCUCGACAAAGGUUAUAUACGCGAAUCCCUUAUUCCUUGUGCUGUUCCUAUUAUUCUAGUGCCGAAAAAGGAUGGUACAUCACGUAUGUGUGUUGAUUGUAGAGGCAUUAAUAAUAUUACUAUUCGUUAUCGUCAUCCUAUUCCUAGGCUAGAUGAUAUGCUUGAUGAAUUGAGUGGCUCUACAAUAUUCUCCAAAGUUGAUUUGCGUAGUGGCUACCAUCAAAUUCGUAUGAAAUUGGGAGAUGAAUGGAAAACAGCAUUUAAAACUAAGUUUGGAUUAUAUGAGUGGUUAGUCAUGCCUUUUGGGUUAACUAAUGCACCUAGUACUUUCAUGAGAUUAAUGAACGAAGUUUUACGUGCUUUCAUUGGACGAUUUGUGGUAGUUUACUUUGAUAACAUAUUGAUUUAUAGCAGAUCUUUGGAAGAACAUUUGGAACAUUUACGUGCUGUUUUUAUUGCUCUACGUGAUGCACGUUUGUUUGGUAACCUUGGGAAGUGCACCUUUUGCACCGACCGAGUAUCUUUUCUUGGCUAUGUUGUUACUCCACAGGGAAUUGAAGUUGAUAAAGCCAAGAUUGAAGCUAUUGAGAGUUGGCCGCAACCCAAAACGGUCACACAAGUGAGGAGUUUUCUUGGCCUCGCUGGAUUCUAUAGGCGUUUUGUGAGAGAUUUCAGCACCAUUGCUGCACCUCUCAAUGAGCUUACAAAGAAAGAUGUGCCUUUUCUUUGGGGUACCGCACAGGAAGAAGCCUUCACGGUAUUGAAAGAUAAGUUGACACAUGCUGAUGAGGACAUCAAUACAAUUGUUACACCCACAGCCCCUGCUGCUAUACAUACUGGACCAAUUACUAGAGCUCGUGCACGCCAACUAAAUUACCAGGUACUUUCGUUUCUUGGUAAUGAUUCUAAUGUUCAUGAGAAUAUGAUGCUGCCUAAAUUGGAUACAUUUGUUUUGCUUACAAAUGAAGGGCCUAGCUUGGAGAAGGAUGAACAUUGGAGCAAGAACAAGCAUGGAGAUGAUGGCAUGCGCAAGGGGAACAAGAACGGAGUUACAAGUGAUGAUUUCCGGACUUUGACGCCACCAUAAUGGGUGCAUGAAGCCUUGGACGAAAUAUACAAGAUGCCACUUCAUAAAUUUCGUCCCGAGGCUAUUUUAGGUGCUGCGUCACCUUAUUAUUGGGCCAGGCCCAUGUAAUUUCGAAAUACAUAAGUAUAGGCUAUUUUUAGAGUCCGUAUGUGUGGGGAAACAAGAGAUAGGGUUGAUUUCGGACCCCUCCACCAAGGGCCACGAAAUUCCCCCCUCUUCCUCCAUAUAUAAAGCCCUUAGGGCAUCGUUUAGACUUUGGGUUUUGUUUAGAUUAAAAGUUCGCCAUAGCUGCAACUUCGCGUACUUCGUUUGUGUUCAACGACCAGACAAAGGCGUCACAGAACCCCACCUUGAUCAAUAAAGCUUUCAUCUUAUAUUCGCAAUAUCCAGAUUGCAAUCUUAGUUUCUUGCUUGUUCUUCGUUUGCUCGCAGGAAACAGACCCUCGUGGUCAGGUUGAUCGUGCUCCGGCGUGGUCAAUAACAUCUCGGAGUUGGUUUAGCGAUUGCUAAGGCGCGACGUCCUCACACGUUCGUAGUCGGAUCGUCAAAGUCGACUUCCACCAAAGCGAAAUCCACCAUCUCAUCGAAAGUGAUGAGGACAUCAAUACAAUUGUUACACCCACAGCCCCUGCUGCUAUACAUACUGGACCAAUUACUAGAGCUCGUGCACGCCAACUAAAUUACCAGGUACUUUCGUUUCUUGGUAAUGAUUCUAAUGUUCAUGAGAAUAUGAUGCUGCCUAAAUUGGAUACAUUUGUUUUGCUUACAAAUGAAGGGCCUAGCUUGGAGAAGGAUGAACAUUGGAGCAAGAACAAGCAUGGAGAUGAUGGCAUGCGCAAGGGAAACAAGAGCGGAGUUACAAGUGAUGAUUUCAGGACUUUGAAGCCACCAUAAUGGGUGCAUGAAGCCUUGGACGAAAUAUACAAGAUGCCACUUCAUAAAUUUCGUCCCGAGGCUAUUUUAGGUGCUGCGUCACCUUAUUAUUGGGCCAGGCCCAUGUAAUUUCGAAAUACAUAAGUAUAGGCUAUUUUUAGAGUCCGUAUGUGUGGGGAAACAAGAGAUAGGGUUGAUUUCGGACCCCUCCACCAAGGGCCACGAAAUUCCCCCCUCUUCCUCCAUAUAUACAGCCCUUAGGGCAUCGUUUAGACUUUGGGUUUGGUUUAGAUUAAAAGUUCGCCAUAGCUGCAACUUCGCGUACUUCGUUUGUGUUCAACGACCAGACAAAGGCGUCACAGAACCCCACCUUGAUCAAUAAAGCUUUCAUCUUAUAUUCGCAAUAUCCAGAUUGCAAUCUCAGUUUCUUGCUUGUUCUUCGUUUGCUCGCAGGAAACAGACCCUCGUGGUCAGGUUGAUCGUGCUCCGGCGUGGUCAAUAACCUCUCGGAGUUGGUUUAGCGAUUGCUAAGGCGCGACGUCCUCGCACGUUCGUAGUCGGAUCGUCAAAGUCGACUUCCACCAAAGCGAUAUCCAUCAUCUCAUCGAAAGACGGGACACCCUCGCCUCUAUUAAGUGGUAUCAGAUUUCCAGGUUGCUCGGUGAGAUUUUACAGUUUUUCGUAGUUUAGAUCGAGUCUGUUCUUAAUACCUACAGUCCAAGAAAAAGCCAAAAAAAAUUAGGGUUAGUUCAUCAUAUCCGAACCAAUCUGAGCCUUUGCAUAAUCUUUUUAGGGUUUUGCUUUGUUGAAUUUGCGGUUGCAUCGUCGGUCUAGUUGCUGGUCUUAGAGUCUAGUCUUUUAGAGUUUCGAGUUCUAUUCACAAGUUGUCACGCCGCCGCCGCACCAUCAUCAUCGCCCCUGCCAUCUACCACCACCGCUCCGAAUCCGUAUCCAUAUACCACCACCAAUCCGUGUCCAUAUACCACCACCGAUCCAUAUCCAUAUACUACCACCGCUACCACCACCGCUGCCAUAUAUCACCACCAUAUAUCCACCACCAAUCCGAGUUCCUUGCUUAUUAGGGUUAUUUUCGACAUCCAUCUAGUUUCCGAUUCGUGUUUCCUUGCUGGAGUAGGUUUCGGAAAAAAAAAAGAGUCGGGUAGCCACGCUCCGUUUAGGCCCAAAAUUUUUCGAAAACGCAUUUUUCGAAAAAAUUUCUGGCUAUCCUAUUUUUAGGUGUUUCUGAGUGUUUUGAGACAGGUGCCAUUAUAGAAAUGUCCGGGCAGUCAAAAAAAAAUUUUGGUUGAAAAAAUUUCGUGCCCAUCCUGUCAGUUUGAGCUAAGAAGAGUUUUGAGACACUCGCCAUUAUAGUGAUUUUUCGCAAAAAAAAAGCAGCGCAAAAAAAAGAGCGCAAAAAAAAAGAGCGAUUUUUUUUUUCCAGAGUGUGCUUUUCCCUUGUUUACGUGCCGCGCCGUGAUUUUGUUAGUGUUCUAGGCUCGCGUCUCUAGCACAGUCUAGCCUAGGACCAGCAUAGUACCGUCGUUGAGCAUUUAUUCAACUUUGCAUCUCUGAAUUGAUUAUUGCUGACCCUUUUUUGCUACCAUAUUAUAAGCCUUCCCAGCUCCACAUACAUCUACGUCGUGCGUUUGACUCUCCCUGGUAAUCGCUCUAUCCAAGCUUUGAGAGUUUUUGACUACAACGGUUGCCGAUCACCGCCUGCUGCUGGGUAAGAACUGGUAAGAAUUUGAGAUUUGCUUGACGGAUUUGUGACACCCACCACCACCACUUGUUCGUAGUCUGUAGGAUCAUAUUCUUGUGUGUUUCUAUUGCUGCUAACCAUGCCAGGAUCACAAGCCGACGAGAUUGACUGGGAGAAUUUAUCGAACAAGGAGCUUCAUGAUAAGUUUCAGCAAAUGAUGACUGAACAGGUGCAAGAUGUGCUGAACAAUUUUGAAGAGGCCAUGGAGAAGAUCACUGGCUUUGAGAAGACGUUCGAAACAAAGCUCGAUAACAAGUUUAAUGAAUUGCUCGCGCGUCUUCCACCACCACCACCCGCUGCACCUAACGCACCUCUCCAACAACAACAACAACGACUACCUCCACGUCGCGAAGCAGACCUCCGCCGAGCAAGCCGUGUUCCUCUUGCGUUUGGCCAAACUGUUGGUGCUGCUGUUGAUACUUCUGUGGCUCCUGCUGCUGAUGUGGAGGAGGAUGAUUAUGUGGGAGAUUAUGAGGAUGAGGUUGAUCAAAAUCAACAUUAUGUGCAGCCACCUGUACCACCACCAGCAGGUCGACCUCAGGUAUAUAUUCGUAAUGGUAGGCCUGCACCACCACCUCAGGUACGAGAUGAUGUCCAUAUUCCUAAACUGAAAUUGAAUAUUCCACCAUUUGAGGGUAGAUAUGUUCCUGAUAUAUAUCUUACUUGGGAGUUAGAAACUGAACAACGAUUUACAUGUUUACAAUAUCCUGAGGAGAGACGAGUUGCUGCUGCUGUUUGUGCUUUCACUAGUUUUGCAUGUGUAUGGUGGUCUGAACAUUGUAGAUUAUAUCCUAUUCCAACUUCUUGGGCUGCUUUGAAAACUGCUAUGCGUACGCGUUGGGUUCCACCAUAUUAUCAACGUGAAUUGCUUCAAAAAUUGCAGCGUUUAAGACAAGGGAAAAAUUCCGUAGAAGAAUAUUAUCAGGAAUUACAAACUGGCAUGAUUAGAUGUGGUAUUGUUGAGGAGAAUGAAGCUAUGCUUGCACGUUUUCUGGGUGGAUUAAAUAGAGAGAUUCAGACCAUUCUAGACUAUAAGGAGUAUACUAAUAUCACUCGUUUAUUCCAUCUUGCUUGUAAAGCUGAACGUGAAGUGCAGGAUCGACAAGCAUUGGCGCGAACUAACUUUUCUGCAGGCCGACCUUCAUCAUGGACACCACGUGCAUCUUCUACUUCAACUGCACUAGCACCUCCAUCCGGUGCCACCUCCAGCCGUGAUACAAGAAAACAGGCACAACCACCAUUAUCUGCCAAGAGCGCACCUGCGGGGCCUGCACAUCGUUCUUCUUCUUCCAUGGCAUCAACAGGGCACACAAGUGAUAUUAUUUGUCGUCGUUGUAAGGGAGGAGGUCAUUAUGCGAGAGAAUGCAAAUCUCCGCGUGUGAUGAUUGCUACCGCGGAUGGUGGAUAUGAGUCCGCUAGUGACUAUGAUGAGGAGACUUUGGCUCUUAUUACACGUGAAGAACAUGGUGGAGAUGAUUCUGAUCAUGAGACGCAAUACAUGGCUCCUGAAGACGCUGACAGGUAUGAAUGUUUAGUUGCUCAACGUGUUUUGAGUGUGCAGGUCACACAAGCUGAGCAAAAUCAGAGGCACAAUUUGUUCCAUACCAAGGGAGUUGUGAAGGAACAUUCUGUGCGCGUCAUAAUAGACGGAGGGAGCUGCAACAAUUUGGCUAGCAUGGAGAUGGUGGAGAAGCUUUCUCUCACCACAAGACCACAUCCACAUCCUUACUACAUCCAAUGGUUCAACAACAGCGGCAAGGUUAAGGUAACACGUACUGUUCGUGUGCAUUUUAGUAUCUCUACAUAUGCUGAUUAUGUUGAUUGUGAUGUGGUACCUAUGCAAGCAUGUUCCUUAUUACUUGGUAGACCAUGGCAAUUUGAUAAAAAUUCUGUACACCAUGGUAGAAACAAUCACUAUACUCUUGUUCAUAAGGAUAAAAAUAUUACUUUGCUUCCUAUGACUCCUGAUUCCAUUUUGAAAGAUGAUAUUAAUAGAGCUAAUAAAGCACAACAGGAGAAGAAUAAGAGUGAAAAUCAGAUUGUGGCAAAAGAAUUUGAGCAACAAAUGAAGCCUAAUAAUAAAUCAUCUAGUGUUGCUUCUGAAAUUAAAUUGAAAAGUGCAUGUUUAUUUGCCACCAAAUCUGAUAUUGAUGAGCUAGAUUUCAGCAAAUCUGUUUGCUAUGCUUUUGUGUGCAAAGAGGCAUUAUUUUCAUUCGAGGACGUGCCUUCCUCUUUGCCUCCUGCUGUCACUAACAUUUUGCAGGAGUUCGCUGACGUUUUUCCACAAGACGUGCCACCGGGAUUACCGCCUAUUCGAGGGAUUGAGCAUCAGAUUGACUUAAUUCCCGGUGCUUCAUUGCCAAACUGUGCACCAUACCGUACCAAUCCAGAGGAGACGAAGGAGAUUAUGCGUCAAGUACAAGAGCUUCUCGACAAAGGUUAUAUACGCGAAUCCCUUAGUCCUUGUGCUGUUCCUAUUAUUCUAGUGCCGAAAAAGGAUGGUACAUCACGUAUGUGUGUUGAUUGUAGAGGCAUUAAUAAUAUUACUAUUUGUUAUCGUCAUCCUAUUCCUAGGCUAGAUGAUAUGCUUGAUGAAUUGAGUGGCUCUACAAUAUUCUCCAAAGUUGAUUUGCGUAGUGGCUACCAUCAAAUUCGUAUGAAAUUGGGAGAUGAAUGGAAAACAGCAUUUAAAACUAAGUUUGGAUUAUAUGAGUGGUUAGUCAUGCCUUUUGGGUUAACUAAUGCACCUAGUACUUUCAUGAGAUUAAUGAACGAAGUUUUACGUGCUUUCAUUGGACGAUUUGUGGUAGUUUAUUUUGAUGACAUAUUGAUUUAUAGCAGAUCUUUGGAAGAACAUUUGGAACAUUUACGUGCUGUUUUUAUUGCUCUACGUGAUGCACGUUUGUUUGGUAACCUUGGGAAGUGCACCUUUUGCACCGACCGAGUAUCUUUUCUUGGCUAUGUUGUUACUCCACAGGGAAUUGAAGUUGACAAAGCCAAGAUUGAAGCUAUUGAGAGUUGGCCGCAGCCCAAAACGGUCACACAAGUGAGGAGUUUUCUUGGCCUCGCUGGAUUCUAUAGGCGUUUUGUGAGAGAUUUCAGCACCAUUGCUGCACCUCUCAACGAGCUUACAAAGAAGGAUGUGCCUUUUGUUUGGGUACCGCACAGGAAGAAGCCUUCACGGUAUUGAAAGAUAAGUUGACACAUGCUCCUUUACUCCAACUUCCUGAUUUUAAUAAGACUUUUGAGCUUGAAUGUGAUGCUAGUGGAAUUGGAUUAGGAGGUGUGUUAUUACAAGAUGGCAAACCUGUUGCAUACUUUUCUGAAAAAUUGAGUGGGCCUAGUCUGAAUUAUUCUACCUAUGAUAAAGAAUUAUAUGCUCUUGUUCGGACUUUAGAAACAUGGCAACAUUAUUUAUGGCCCAAAGAAUUUGUUAUACAUUCUGAUCAUGAAUCUUUGAAACAUAUUAAAAGUCAAGCUAAACUGAAUCAUAGACAUGCUAAAUGGGUUGAAUUCAUUGAGACUUUCCCUUAUGUCAUUAAACACAAGAAGGGAAAAGAAAAUGUUAUUGCUGAUGCAUUGUCUCGUCGCUAUACUAUGCUUUCACAACUUGACUUCAAAAUAUUUGGUUUAGAGACCAUCAAAGAUCAAUAUGUGCAUGAUGCUGAUUUUAAAGAUGUAAUGCAGAAUUGUAAAGAAGGAAGAAUGUGGAACAAGUUUGUCGUUAACGAUGGAUUUGUGUUUCGUGCUAACAAGCUAUGCAUUCCAGCUAGCUCCAUUCGUCUUUUGUUGUUGCAGGAGGCGCAUGGAGGAGGAUUAAUGGGACACUUUGGCAUGAAGAAGACGGAGGACGUACUUGCUACACAUUUCUUUUGGCCAAGGAUGAGACGGGAUGUCGAGCGUUUUAUUGCUCGAUGCACUACAUGUCAAAAAGCUAAGUCACGACUCAAUCCUCAUGGUUUAUAUAUGCCUUUGCCUGUACCUAGUGUUCCUUGGGAGGAUAUAUCUAUGGACUUUGUUUUAGGUUUACCUCGAACAAAGAAGGGGAGGGAUAGCAUAUUUGUCGUCGUGGAUAGAUUCUCGAAAAUGGCACACUUUAUACCAUGUCAUAAAAGCGAUGAUGCUGUUAAUAUUGCUGAUUUGUUCUUUCGUGAAAUUAUUCGCUUGCAUGGUGUGCCAAAUACUAUUGUUUCAGAUCGUGAUACUAAAUUUCUUAGCCACUUUUGGAGAUGUUUAUGGGCUAAGUUGGGGACUAAACUGCUUUUUAGUACUACUUGUCACCCCCAAACUGAUGGACAAACUGAAGUAGUCAAUAGAACGUUGUCUACUAUGCUUAGGGCUGUUUUGAAGAAUAAUAAGAAAAUGUGGGAGGAAUGCUUGCCUCAUAUUGAAUUUGCUUAUAAUCGUUCAUUGCAUUCUACUACUAAGAUGUGCCCUUUUGAAGUUGUGUAUGGUUUCCUACCUCGUGCACCUAUUGAUUUGUUGCCUCUUCCAUCUUCAGAGAAGGUUAAUUUUGAUGCUAAACAACGUGCUGAAUUGAUUUUAAAAAUGCAUGAGUUAACUAAGGAAAACAUUGAGCGUAUGAAUGCUAAAUAUAAACUUGCUGGAGAUAAGGGUAGAAAACAUGUUGUGUUUGCACCUGGAGAUCUUGUUUGGUUACAUUUGCGUAAGGAUAGAUUUCCUGAUUUGCGCAAAUCAAAGCUAAUGCCACGUGCUGAUGGUCCCUUUAAGGUGUUAGAGAAAAUAAAUGAUAAUGCAUAUAAACUUGAGCUGCCUGCAGAUUUUGGGGUUAGUCCCACUUUUAACAUUGCAGAUUUGAAGCCUUAUUUGGGUGAGGUAGAUGAACUUCCGUCGAGUACGACUUCAUUUCAAGAAGGGGAGGAUGAUGAGGACAUCAAUACAAUUGUUACACCCACAGCCCCUGCUGCUAUACAUACUGGACCAAUUACUAGAGCUCGUGCACGCCAACUAAAUUACCAGGUACUUUCGUUUCUUGGUAAUGAUUCUAAUGUUCAUGAGAAUAUGAUGCUGCCUAAAUUGGAUACAUUUGUUUUGCUUACAAAUGAAGGGCCUAGCUUGGAGAAGGAUGAACAUUGGAGCAAGAACAAGCAUGGAGAUGAUGGCAUGCGCAAGGGGAACAAGAACGGAGUUACAAGUGAUGAUUUCAGGACUUUGAAGCCACCAUAAUGGGUGCAUGAAGCCUUGGACGAAAUAUACAAGAUGCCACUUCAUAUAUUUCGUCCCGAGGCUAUUUUAGGUGCUGCGUCACCUUAUUAUUGGGCCAGGCCCAUGUAAUUUCGAAAUACAUAAGUAUAGGCUAUUUUUAGAGUCCGUAUGUGUGGGGAAACAAGAGAUAGGGUUGAUUUCGGACUCCUCCACCAAGGGCCACGAAAUUACCCCCUCUUCCUCCAUAUAUACAGCCCUUAGGGCAUCGUUUAGACUUUGGGUUUUGUUUAGAUUAAAAGUUCGCCAUAGCUGCAACUUCGCGUACUUCGUUUGUGUUCAACGACCAGACAAAGGCGUCACAGAACCCCACCUUGAUCAAUAAAGCUUUCAUCUUAUAUUCGCAAUAUCCAGAUUGCAAUCUUAGUUUCUUGCUUGUUCUUCGUUUGCUCGCAGGAAACAGACCCUCGUGGUCAGGUUGAUCGUGCUCCGGCGUGGUCAAUAACCUCUCGGAGUUGGUUUAGCGAUUGCUAAGGCGCGACGUCCUCGCACGUUCGUAGUCGGAUCGUCAAAGUCGACUUCCACCAAAGCGAAAUCCACCAUCUCAUCGAAAGACGGGACACCUUUGCCUCUAUCACCGCUAGUAACUAUGAUGAGGAGACUUUGGCUCUUAUUACACGUGAAGAACAUGGUGGAGAUGAUUCUGAUCAUGAGACGCAAUACAUGGCUCUUGAAGACGCUGACAGGUAUGAAUGUUUAGUUGCUCAACGUGUUUUGAGUGUGCAGGUCACACAAGCUGAGCAAAAUCAGAGGCACAAUUUGUUCCAUACCAAGGGAGUUGUGAAGGAACGUUCUGUGCGCGUCAUCAUAGACGGAGGGAGCUGCAACAACUUGGCUAGCAUGGAGAUGGUGGAGAAGCUUUCUCUCACCACAAGACCACAUCCACAUCCUUACUACAUCCAAUGGUUCAACAACAGCGGCAAGGUUAAGGUAACACGUACUGUUCGUGUGCAUUUUAGUAUCUCUACAUAUGCUGAUUAUGUUGAUUUUGAUGUGGUACCUAUGCAAGCAUGUUCCUUAUUACUUGGUAGACCAUGGCAAUUUGAUAAAAAUUCUGUACACCAUGGUAGAAACAAUCACUAUACUCUUGUUCAUAAGGAUAAAAAUAUUACUUUGCUUCCUAUGACUCCUGAUUCCAUUUUGAAAGAUGAUAUUAAUAGAGCUAAUAAAGCACAACAGGAGAAGAAUAAGAGUGAAAAUCAGAUUGUGGCAAAAGAAUUUGAGCAACAAAUGAAGCCUAAUAAUAAAUCAUCUAGUGUUGCUUCUGAAAUUAAAUUGAAAAGUGCAUGUUUAUUUGCCACCAAAUCUGAUAUUGAUGAGCUAGAUUUCAGCAAAUCUGUUUGCUAUGCUUUUGUGUGCAAAGAGGCAUUAUUUUCAUUCGAGGACGUGCCUUCCUCUUUGCCUCCUGCUGUCACUAACAUUUUGCAGGAGUUCGCUGACGUUUUUCCACAAGACGUGCCACCGGGAUUACCGCCUAUUCGAGGGAUUGAGCAUCAGAUUGACUUAAUUCCCGGUGCUUCAUUGCCAAACUGUGCACCAUACCGUACCAAUCCAGAGGAGACGAAGGAGAUUAUGCGUCAAGUACAAGAGCUUCUCGACAAAGGUUAUAUACGCGAAUCCCUUAGUCCUUGUGCUGUUCCUAUUAUUCUAGUGCCGAAAAAGGAUGGUACAUCACGUAUGUGUGUUGAUUGUAGAGGCAUUAAUAAUAUUACUAUUUGUUAUCGUCAUCCUAUUCCUAGGCUAGAUGAUAUGCUUGAUGAAUUGAGUGGCUCUACAAUAUUCUCCAAAGUUGAUUUGCGUAGUGGCUACCAUCAAAUUCGUAUGAAAUUGGGAGAUGAAUGGAAAACAGCAUUUAAAACUAAGUUUGGAUUAUAUGAGUGGUUAGUCAUGCCUUUUGGGUUAACUAAUGCACCUAGUACUUUCAUGAGAUUAAUGAACGAAGUUUUACGUGCUUUCAUUGGACGAUUUGUGGUAGUUUACUUUGAUGACAUAUUGAUUUAUAGCAGAUCUUUGGAAGAACAUUUGGAACAUUUACGUGCUGUUUUUAUUGCUCUACGUGAUGCACGUUUGUUUGGUAACCUUGGGAAAUGCACCUUUUGCACCGACCGAGUAUCUUUUCUUGGCUAUGUUGUUACUCCACAGGGAAUUGAAGUUGAUAAAGCCAAGAUUGAAGCUAUUGAGAGUUGGCCGCAACCCAAAACGGUCACACAAGUGAGGAGUUUUCUUGGCCUCGCUGGAUUCUAUAGGCGUUUUGUGAGAGAUUUCAGCACCAUUGCUGCACCUCUCAAUGAGCUUACAAAGAAAGAUGUGCCUUUUCUUUGGGGUACCGCACAGGAAGAAGCCUUCACGGUAUUGAAAGAUAAGUUGACACAUGCUGAUGAGGACAUCAAUACAAUUGUUACACCCACAGCCCCUGCUGCUAUACAUACUGGACCAAUUACUAGAGCUCGUGCACGCCAACUAAAUUACCAGGUACUUUCGUUUCUUGGUAAUGAUUCUAAUGUUCAUGAGAAUAUGAUGCUGCCUAAAUUGGAUACAUUUGUUUUGCUUACAAAUGAAGGGCCUAGCUUGGAGAAGGAUGAACAUUGGAGCAAGAACAAGCAUGGAGAUGAUGGCAUGCGCAAGGGGAACAAGAACGGAGUUACAAGUGAUGAUUUCCGGACUUUGACGCCACCAUAAUGGGUGCAUGAAGCCUUGGACGAAAUAUACAAGAUGCCACUUCAUAAAUUUCGUCCCGAGGCUAUUUUAGGUGCUGCGUCACCUUAUUAUUGGGCCAGGCCCAUGUAAUUUCGAAAUACAUAAGUAUAGGCUAUUUUUAGAGUCCGUAUGUGUGGGGAAACAAGAGAUAGGGUUGAUUUCGGACCCCUCCACCAAGGGCCACGAAAUUCCCCCCUCUUCCUCCAUAUAUACAGCCCUUAGGGCAUCGUUUAGACUUUGGGUUUUGUUUAGAUUAAAAGUUCCCCAUAGCUGCAACUUCGCGUACUUCGUUUGUGUUCAACGACCAGACAAAGGCGUCACAGAACCCCACCUUGAUCAAUAAAGCUUUCAUCUUAUAUUCGCAAUAUCCAUAUUGCAAUCUCAGUUUCUUGCUUGUUCUUCGUUUGCUCGCAGGAAACAGACCCUCGUGGUCAGGUUGAUCGUGCUCCGGCGUGGUCAAUAACCUCUCGGAGUUGGUUUAGCGAUUGCUAAGGCGCGACGUCCUCGCACGUUCGUAGUCGGAUCGUCAAAGUCGACUUCCACCAAAGCGAUAUCCAUCAUCUCAUCGAAAGACGGGACACCCUCGCCUCUAUUAGGUAUUUGAGUUGCUUCAAUGUCAAGUGUUGAUUCCAUACCUUUCCUAAGUUGUGUUCUCAUAUUUCUAUGUGAAUACCAAUCCCUCAUGAUCAUCGAGAUUACCAUGUUAAUUCUUUUUCAACCGGCUUGUUUCUCUUCAAGUGGAUCCGACCAUUUCCACAUCAGCGAGAUCAAUUCUCAGUUCUUCUCAACGGUGUUUGUUUCAUCCGUCUCCAAGUUGCCUUUGUUUUUCCCUCCCUCCCUCCCUUGUUUUCUCCGAGGACUCAGAAUUUUUACUCAAGUAUCCUUUUAUUGAUGGGAAGUCUCUCCAUUCCUUUCCGUCAAUGUUCUUACCCGGUGAUGCUCAUGAAGAUUCUAACGGAGCCUCAAGUUAUCAUUCUUUGUUCUUUUAUCUUCCCCGGUGUGUUCAAUGCAAUCUUUCAAUGGUGAUCACAUCCUUUUCCUCGUUUCAAAUGUGUUCUUAUGCCGGUGCACCUCAUAAUCAUUCCCCGCUUGCUAUUCAAUUGUUCCGGAGUGCUGAAGAAAUCUCAGAAGGCUCGUUUUGUCAUUCAAGAUCCGUUCAACUUAUUUCAAGGAUGUUAUCUCAUUCAAGUCUUUUAAUUCAGCCGGUGCAACCUCUCUUUUAAAUCAUUUCAACGGUGUUUCUUUUUAGUAGGCCCUAACCCACAGGUCUUUUCCCAGGAUCUUACCUAACUCUUCUUAUUUUCCCGGAGCUAUCCUCAAAUUUCUUUUCGAAGCUUGACGUAAGAAUGAAUUAUCAUCAGUCUUAUGUUUUUCUCCAAGAUCUGUCGAAUUCUUUUCAUCGUUGGCUCAACCUCUUCGUUUUGAUUCUUCCGGAGUGCCUAAACGAUUCAUAGUGUUGUGUCUCGUCGUCAUUCUUAGAUUUUGAAGACCGAAGAAGAGUUUUACCUCCAUAUCUUAUCCGUUCUCUCAAAGAUUCAUGAUUCUAGUUGGAGCCCAUCCUCUCAUAAUUGCUUUCGAUUGUCAGAAUUCUUUUCACCUAUCCGGAGCAAUUCAAGAUUCUGUUCAGUUUGAUUAUUCGGAGCCGAUCAUCGAAGAUUUAUUUAUUCUCAGCUUUCAGCUCUCUUUCUCUAAAUCUUACCGGUGCAUCGAUCAAAUAUCCUCUAAUCAGUUCUUGAUCUCUUCGUUCUCUUGUAUCUAAACUCUCUCAUGUAUCUUCAUUUAUUUACUAAUGCUUACCGGUAAUUCAUCCCUUUACUCCGUUCAUUUUCAAUUCUUACGGUGGUUCGUUCUAGAUCUCUCUUCCCUGGUUAUCAUAUCAAUUCAUUCGUUUUUUCCAAUCCUACCGGUGCUUCGUUGAAGACCUUCUCAAGUUUGCGCUACGAGAAUAAGUAGUAUGACAAAUCCAUUGCUUGUCAUCAAUUUUAAUUGAUGAGGGAUAAGCAUAAUGUAAUUAUUAAUAUUGUUUCAUCGAGUAAAUUCAAUUCCUGCUUUCUGGAGUGGUUCAUUAUAUCACAUUCUCGAUUCGAGAUGAUUCAUCUUUUCUUUUCGGAGUUCCAAGUUUUCCGUUCUAUCUCGUCGCGAAGCUCCUUCUAAAUCUUUACAAGGUUUCACUUUGUGUUUUCAACUUCUCUUUCUUUUCGUUGUCCUUUUAGUUACCGGAGUUCUUCAUGGAGGCUUUACAUGAUGGCUCAUCAAAGAUUUAAUUCCUUCUCGAAGUGUUCAUUGAGAUUCUUUUCAGAGGAGCUCAAGUAUUCUUUAUCUUGCAUUUCAAAGUGCAAUUCUUACAGCCGUAUCAUUCGAGGUGGUAUUAUGUCAUUCUUGAUAAUUUGAGUUCAUGUCUCAUGAUUCACAUGUUGUUAAGAAUGAGGUGUUUUAAAUCCAUCAAUCUCGUCAUUGGAGUUAUCUGGGGUUAUAUUUCACCUAAAGCUUUCCCUAAGGAUUAAUGCUAUUCAUGGUCAUAAUAUAUGAUCCAAGUUCUCCAUCUACCCUCCCGGUGAAAUAUUUUCUCGUCUCCUUGUUCAUAUCAAUCCAAUCAAAUCUUUUCCGUGAGUGGCAAGUUGUCACCUCAUAAUUUUGAGAUGUCUUCUAUAAGUCCAUAUCAAGCUUAUCCUUUUCGUUGUUGUUUUUCCAACAACUCCGUUCGACCCUUCUCCUAAGGAUGCCUUUUUCAAGAUCAUUCGAGAUAGAAGAUAUUGUUCUCUCCUCCGUUCAUUCCAUUCCAUUCUCUCUUUUCUUCCGGAAGCAUUGUGAUGUUACUCCCUUCAACCCUUCUUCUUAUUUUUGUCAGGAUCAAGUUCUUUUCUUGGUUUAUCCAUUUAACCGGAGUGUUGCGCCCUUUUGCUCAAGUUCUUUUCGCCUUAUCAAGCCUUGCAUCUCUUUUCAACCGGAGUGCUGUCUGAGACUUUUCUUACCCCUUGCUCCAUUCAUUCAAUUGUUCUGGAGGCAGUGUGUUGUCAUUCCAUCAAGCAUCUUCUCACCUUACCAAGUUCUUAUUCAAUUCCUUUUCUUUUCAAUCGAAGUGUUUUCAACUUUGUCAUCUCCAUUGUAUUCUUUUCUCGAAAUGGCUUAACCUUUUCAAGGUUCUUUGGUCUCACUCGUUUGUCAAAGAAGCAACUUAGCUUUAGCUCUCCUCUUUCUCUUCCGUUGUCCCUCCGGUGCCAUUCUAGAUCUCGGGACGAGAUCCUCUCGUAGUGGUGAAGUGUUGUGAUGCCCCGAGACCAAUGCUCGAGAAGACUAUUUAUAUUCCGAGUUUCGCCGUGUGUUUCAUUUCUGCUUGCCCUUUUAUUUUUGCAUUGCAUCAUGUGAUGAGGACAUCAAUACCAUUGUUACACCCACAGCCCCUACUGCUACAUAUACGGGACCAAUUACUAGAGCUCGCGCACGCCAAUUAAAUUAUCAGGUACUUUCGUUUCUUGGUAAUGAUUCUAAUGUUCAUGAGAAUAAGAUGCUGCCUAAAUUGGAUACAUUUGUUUUGCUUACAAAUGAAGGGCCUAGCUUGGAGAAGGAUGAACAUUGGAGCAAGAACAAGCAUGGAGAUGAUGCCAUGCGCAAGGGGAACAAGAACGGAGUUACAAGUGAUGAUUUCAGGACUUUGAAGCCACCAUAAUGGGUGCAUGAAGCCUUGGACGAAAUAUACAAGAUGCCACUUCAUAAAUUUCGUCCCGAGGCUAUCUUAGGUGCCGCGUCACCUUAUUAUUGGGCCAGGCCCAUGUAAUUUCGAAAUACAUAAGUAUAGGCUAUUUUUAGAGUCCGUAUGUGUGGGGAAACAAGAGAUAGGGUUGAUUUCGGACCCCUCCACCAAGGGCCACGAAAUUCCCCCCUCUUCCUCCAUAUAUACAGCCCUUAGGGCAUCGUUUAGACUUUGGAUUUUGUUUAGAUUAAAAGUUCGCCAUAGUUGCAACUUCGCGUACUUCGUUUGUGUUCAACGACCAGACAAAGGCGUCACAGAACCCCACCUUGAUCAAUAAAGCUUUCAUCUUGUAUUCGCAAUAUCCAGAUUGCAAUCUCAGUUUCUUGCUUGUUCUUCGUUUGCUCGCAGGAAACAUGCCCUCGUGGUCAGGUUGAUCGUGCUCCGGCGUGGUCAAUAACCUCUCGGAGUUGGUUUAGCGAUUGCUAAGGCGCGACGUCCUCGCACGUUCGUAGUCGGAUCGUCAAAGUCGACUUCCACCAAAGCGAUAUCCAUCAUCUCAUCGAAAGACGGGACACCUUUGCCUCUAUCAAGUGGUAUCAGAUUUCCAGGUUGCUCGGUGAGAUUUUACAGUUUUUCGUAGUUUAGAUCGAGUCUGUUCUUCAUACCUACAGUCCACGAAAAAGCCACAAAAAAAAUUUAGGGUUAGUUCAUCAUAUCCGAACCAAUCUGAGCCUUUGCAUAAUUUUUUUAGGGUUUUGCUUUGUUGGAUUUGCGGUUGCAUCGUCGGUCUAGUUGCUGGUCUUAGAGUCUAGUCUUUUAGAGUUUCGAGUUCUGGUCAUAAGUUGUCACGCCGCCGCCGCACCAUCAUCAUCGCUCCUGCCAUCUACCACCACCGCUCCGAAUCCGUAUUCAUAUACCACCACCAAUCCGUGUCCAUAUACCACCACCGAUCCAUAUCCAUAUACUACCACCGCUACCACCACCGCUGCCAUAUACCACCACCAUAUAUCCACCACCAAUCCGAGUUCCUUGCUUAUUAGGUUUGUUUUCGAGAUCCAUCUAGUUUCCGAUUUGUGUUUCCUUGUCGGAGUAGGUUUCGGAAAAAAAAAUUCGAAAACGCAUUUUUCCUUGUCGGAGUCGGGAAACCACGCUCCAUUUAGGCCCAAAAAUUUUCGAAAACGCAUUUUUCGAAAAUUUUUCUGGCUAUCCUAUUUUUAGAUGUUUCUGGGUGUUUUGAGACAGGUGCCAUUAUAGGAAGUUUUUUUUGACCCGUUUCCAGUUUUUGGGUCCGGGCAGUCGAAAAAAAAAAUUUGGUCGAAAAAAAAAAUUUCGUGCCCAUCCUGUCAGUUUGACCUAGGAAGAGUUUUGAGACACUCGCCAUUAUAGUGAUUUUUCGCAAAAGAAAAGCAGCGCAAAAAAAAAAGAGCGCAAAAAAAAAGAGCGAAAAAAAAAUUCAGAGUGUGCUUUUCCCUUGUUUACGUGUCGCGCCGUGAUUUUGUUGGUGUUCUAGGCUCGCGUCUCUAGCACAGUCUAGCCUAGGACCAGCACAGUACCGUCGUUGAGCGUUUAUUCAACUUUGCAUCUCUGAAUUGAUUAUUGCUGACCCAUUUUGCUACCAUACUAUAAGCCUUCCCAGCUCCACAUACAUCUACGUCGUGUGUUUGACUCUCCCUGGUAAUCGCUCUAUCCAAGCUUUGAGAGUUUUUUUGACUACAACGGUUGCCGAUCACCGCCUGCUGCUGGGUAAGAACUGGUAAGAAUUUGAGAUUUGCUUGACGGAUUUGUGAUGCACCACCACCACUUCUUAGUAGUCUGUAGGAUCAUAUUCUUGUGAGUUUCUAUUGCUGCUAACCAUGCCAGGAUCACAAGCCGACGAGAUUGACUGGGAGAACUUAUCGAACAAGGAGCUUCAUGAUAAGUUUCAGCAAAUGAUGACUGAACAGGUACAAGAUGUGCUGAACAAUUUUGAAGAGGCCAUGGAGAAGAUCACUGGCCUUGAGAAGACGUUCGAAACAAAGCUCGAUAACAGAUUUAAUGAACUGCUUGCGCGUCUUCCACCACCGGCUGCACCUGUCGCACCUCUGCAACAACAACAACUACGCCCCCUUCCGAAUCAGUAUGGACGAGCACAGCGUGUUCCUAUUGAGCCAGGACAAAAUUCUGGUGCCGCUGCUACUGCUGUUGGUGCUUCUUUGGCUCCUGCUACUGCUGCUGCUGGUACCCAGGAGGAUGAUGAUUAUGUGGGAGAUUAUGAGGAUGAGGUUGAUCAAAAUCCGAACUACGUGCAGCCACCAGCACCACCACCAGCAGGUCGACCUCAGGUAUAUAUUCGUAAUGGUAGGCCUGCACCACCACCUCAGGUACGAGAUGAUGUCCAUAUUCCUAAACUGAAAUUGAAUAUUCCACCAUUUGAGGGUAGAUAUGUUCCUGAUAUAUAUCUUACUUGGGAGUUAGAAACUGAACAACGAUUUACAUGUUUACAAUAUCCUGAGGAGAGACGAGUUGCUGCUGCUGUUUGUGCUUUCACUAGUUUUGCAUGUGUAUGGUGGUCUGAACAUUGUAGAUUAUAUCCUAUUCCAACUACUUGGGCUGCUUUGAAAACUGCUAUGCGUACGCGUUGGGUUCCACCAAGGAAAAAAUUCUGUAGAAGAAUAUUAUCAGGAAUUACAAACUGGCAUGAUUAGAUGUGGUAUUGUUGAGGAGAAUGAAGCUAUGCUUGCACGUUUUCUGGGUGGAUUAAAUAGAGAGAUUCAGACCAUUCUAGACUAUAAGGAGUAUACUAAUAUCACUCGUUUAUUCCAUCUUGCUUGUAAAGCUGAACGUGAAGUGCAGGAUCGACAAGCAUUGCCGCGAACUAACUUUUCUGCAGGCCGACCUUCAUCAUGGACACCGCGUGCAUCUUCUACUUCAACUGCACGAGCACCUCAAUCAGGUGCCUCCUACAGCCGUGAUACAAGAAAACAGGAACAACCACCAUUAUCUGCCAAGAGCGCACCUGCGGGGCCUGCACAGCGUUCUUCUUCUUCCGUGGCAUCAACAGGGCACACAAGUGAUAUUAUUUGUCGUCGUUGUAAGGGAGGAGGUCAUUAUGCGAGGGAAUGCAAAUCUCCGCGUGUGAUGAUUGCUACCGCGGAUGGUGGAUAUGAGUCCGCUAGUGACUAUGAUGAGGAGACAUUGGCUCUUAUUACACGUGAAGAACAUGGUGGAGAUGAUUCUGAUCUUGAGACGCAAUACAUGGCUCCUGAAGACGCUGACAGGUAUGAAUGUUUAGUUGCUCAACGUGUUUUGAGUGUGCAGGUCACACAAGCUGAGCAAAAUCAGAGGCACAAUUUGUUCCAUACCAAGGGAGUUGUGAAGGAACGUUCUGUGCGAGUCAUAAUAGACGGAGGGAGCUGCAACAACUUGGCUAGCAUGGAGAUGGUGGAGAAGCUUUCUCUCACCACAAGACCACAUCCACAUCCUUACUACAUCCAAUGGUUCAACAACAGCGGCGAGGUUAAGGUAACACGUACUGUUCGUGUGCAUUUUAGUAUCUCUACAUAUGCUGAUUAUGUUGAUUGUGAUGUGGUACCUAUGCAAGCAUGUUCCUUAUUACUUGGUAGACCAUGGUAAUUUGAUAAAAAUUCUGUACACCAUGGUAGAAACAAUCACUAUACUCUUGUUCAUAAGGAUAAAAAUAUUACUUUGCUUCCUAUGACUCCUGAUUCCAUUUUGAAAGAUGAUAUUAAUAGAGCUAAUAAAGCACAACAGGAGAAGAAUAAGAGUGAAAAUCAGAUUGUGGCAAAAGAAUUUGAGCAACAAAUGAAGCCUAAUAAUAAACCAUCUAGUGUUGCUUCUGAAAUUAAAUUGAAAAGUGCAUGUUUAUUUGCCACCAAAUCUGAUAUUGAUGAGCUAGAUUUCAGCAAAUCUGUUUGCUAUGCUUUUGUGUGCAAAGAGGCAUUAUUUUCAUUCGAGGACGUGCCUUCCUCUUUGCCUCCUGCUGUCACUAACAUUUUGCAGGAGUUCGCUGACGUUUUUCCACAAGACGUGCCACCGGGAUUACCGCCUAUUCGAGGGAUUGAGCAUCAGAUUGACUUAAUUCCCAGUGCUUCACUGCCAAACCGUGCACCAUACCGUACUAAUCCAGAGGAGACGAAGGAGAUUAUGCGUCAAGUACAAGAGCUUCUCGACAAAGGUUAUAUACGCGAAUCCCUUAGUCCUUGUGCCGUUCCUAUCAUUCUAGUGCCGAAAAAGGAUGGUACAUCACGUAUGUGUGUUGAUUGUAGAGGCAUUAAUAAUAUUACUAUUCGUUAUCGUCAUCCUAUUCCUAGGCUAGAUGAUAUGCUUGAUGAAUUGAGUGGCUCUACAAUAUUCUCCAAAGUUGAUUUGCGUAGUGGCUACCAUCAAAUUCGUAUGAAAUUGGGAGAUGAAUGGAAAACAGCAUUUAAAACUAAGUUUGGAUUAUAUGAGUGGUUAGUCAUGCCUUUUGGGUUAACUAAUGCACCUAGUACUUUCAUGAGAUUAAUGAACGAAGUUUUACGUGCUUUCAUUGGACGAUUUGUGGUAGUUUACUUUGAUGACAUAUUGAUUUAUAGCAGAUCUUUGGAAGAACAUUUGGAACAUUUACGUGCUGUUUUUAUUGCUCUACGUGAUGCACGUUUGUUUGGUAACCUUGGGAAGUGCACCUUUUGCACCGACCGAGUAUCUUUUCUUGGCUAUGUUGUUACUCCACAGGGAAUUGAAGUUGAUAAAGCCAAGAUUGAAGCUAUUGAGAGUUGGCCGCAGCCCAAAACUGAUAGAGGCGAGGGUCCCGAUCUUUCGAUGAGAUGAUGGAUAUCGCUUUGGUGGAAGUCGACUUUGACGAUCCGACUACGAACGUGCGAGGACGUCGCGCCUUAGCAAUCGCUAAACCAACUCCGAGAGGUUAUUGACCACGCCGGAGCACGAUCAACCUGACCACGAGGGUCUGUUUCCUGCGAGCAAACGAAGAACAAGCAAGAAACUAAGAUUGCAAUCUGGAUAUUGCGAAUAUAAGAUGAAAGCUUUAUUGAUCAAGGUGGGGUUCUGUGACGCCUUUGUCUGGUCGUUGAACACAAACGAAGUACGCGAAGUUGCAGCUAUGGCGAACUUUUAAUCUAAACAAAACCCAAAUUCUAAACGAUGCCCUAAGGGCUGUAUAUAUGGAGGAAGAGGGGGGGAAUUUCGUGGCCCUUGGUGGAGGGGUCCGAAAUCAACCCUAUCUCUUGUUUCCCCACACAUACGGACUCUAAAAAUAGCCUAUAAUUAUGUAUUUCGAAAUUACAUGGGCCUGGCCCAAUAAUAAGGUGACGCAGCACCUAAAAUAGCCUCGGGACGAAAUUUAUGAAGUGGCAUCUUGUAUAUUUCGUCCAAGGCUUCAUGCACCCAUUAUGGUGGCUUCAAAGUCCUGAAAUCAUCACUUGUAACUCCAUUCUUGUUCUUGCUCCAAUGUUCAUCCUUCUCCAUGCUAGGCCCUUCAUUUGUAAGCAAAACAAAUGUAUCCAAUUUAGGCAGCAUCAUAUUCUCAUGAACAUUAGAAUCAUUACCAAGAAACGAAAGUACCUGGUAAUUUAGUUGGCGUGCACGAGCUCUAGUAAUUGGUCCAGUAUGUAUAGCAGCAGGGGCUGUGGGUGUAACAAUUGUAUUGAUGUCCUCAUCAUCCUCCCCUUCUUGAAAUGAAGUCGUCCUCGACGGAAGUUCAUCUUCCUCACCCAAAUAAGGCUUCAAAUCUGCAAUGUUAAAAGUGGGACUAACCCCAAAAUCUGCAGGCAGCUCAAGUUUAUAUGCAUUAUCAUUUAUUUUCUCUAACACCUUAAAGGGACCAUCAGCACGUGGCAUUAACUUUGAUUUGCGCAAAUCAGGAAAUCUAUCCUUACGCAAAUGUAACCAAACAAGAUCUCUAGGUGCAAACACAACAUGUUUUCUACCCUUAUCUCCAGCAAGUUUAUAUUUAGCAUUCAUGCGCUCAAUGUUUUCCUUAGUUAACUCAUGCAUUUUUAAAAUCAAUUCAGCAUGUUGUUUAGCAUCAAAAUUAACCUUCUCCGAAGAUGGAAGAGGCAACAAAUCAAUAGGUGCACGAGGUAGGAAACCAUACACAACUUCAAAAGGGCACAUCUUAGUAGUAGAAUGCAAUGAACGAUUAUAAGCAAAUUCAAUAUGAGGCAAGCAUUCCUCCCACAUUUUCUUAUUAUUCUUCAAAACAGCCCUAAGCAUAGUAGACAACGUUCUAUUGACUACUUCAGUUUGUCCAUCAGUUUGGGGGUGACAAGUAGUACUAAAAAGCAGUUUAGUCCCCAACUUAGCCCAUAAACAUCUCCAAAAGUGGCUAAGAAAUUUAGUAUCACUAUCUGAAACAAUAGUAUUUGGCACACCAUGCAAGCGAAUAAUUUCACGAAAGAACAAAUCAGCAACAUUAACAGCAUCAUCGCUUUUAUGACAUGGUAUAAAGUGUGCCAUUUUCGAGAAUCUAUCCACGACAACAAAUAUGCUAUCCCUCCCCUUCUUUGUUCGAGGUAAACCUAAAACAAAGUCCAUAGAUAUAUCCUCCCAAGGAACACUAGGUACAGGCAAAGGCAUAUAUAAACCAUGAGGAUUGAGUCGUGACUUAGCUUUUUGACAUGUAGUGAUAGAGGCAAAGGUGUCCCGUCUUUCGAUGAGAUGGUGGAUUUCGCUUUGGUGGAAGUCGACUUUGACGAUCCGACUACGAACGUGCGAGGACGUCGCGCCUUAGCAAUCGCUAAACCAACUCCGAGAGGUUAUUGACCACGCCGGAGCACGAUCAACCUGACCACGAGGGUCUGUUUCCUGCGAGCAAACGAAGAACAAGCAAGAAACUAAGAUUGCAAUCUGGAUAUUGCGAAUAUAAGAUGAAAGCUUUAUUGAUCAAGGUGGGGUUCUGUGACGCCUUUGUCUGGUCGUUGAACACAAACGAAGUACGCGAAGUUGCAGCUAUGGUGAACUUUUAAUCUAAACAAAACCCAAAGUCUAAACGAUGCCCUAAGGGCUGUAUAUAUGGAGGAAGAGGGGGAGAAUUUCGUGGCCCUUGGUGGAGGGGUCCGAAAUCAACCCUAUCUCUUGUUUCCCCACACAUACGGACUCUAAAAAUAGCCUAUACUUAUGUAUUUCGAAAUUACAUGGGCCUGGCCCAAUAAUAAGGUGACGCAGCACCUAAAAUAGCCUCGGGACGAAAUUUAUGAAGUGGCGUCUUGUAUAUUUCGUCCAAGGCUUCAUGCACCCAUUAUGGUGGCUUCAAAGUCCUGAAAUCAUCACUUGUAACUCCGUUCUUGUUUCCCUUGCGCAUGCCAUCAUCUCCAUGCUUGUUCUUGCUCCAAUGUUCAUCCUUCUCCAAGCUAGGCCCUUCAUUUGUAAGCAAAACAAAUGUAUCCAAUUUAGGCAGCAUCAUAUUCUCAUGAACAUUAGAAUCAUUACCAAGAAACGAAAGUACCUGGUAAUUUAGUUGGCGUGCACGAGCUCUAGUAAUUGGUCCAGUAUGUAUAGCAGCAGGGGCUGUGGGUGUAACAAUUGUAUUGAUGUCCUCAUCACGUCAAGUACAAGAGCUUCUCGACAAAGGUUAUAUACGCGAAUCCCUUAGUCCUUGUGCUGUUCCUAUUAUUCUAGUGCCGAAAAAGGAUGGUACAUCACGUAUGUGUGUUGAUUGUAGAGGCAUUAAUAAUAUUACUAUUCGUUAUCGUCAUCCUAUUCCUAGGCUAGAUGAUAUGCUUGAUGAAUUGAGUGGCUCUACAAUAUUCUCCAAAGUUGAUUUGCGUAGUGGCUACCAUCAAAUUCGUAUGAAAUUGGGAGAUGAAUGGAAAACAACAUUUAAAACUAAGUUUGGAUUAUAUGAGUGGUUAGUCAUGCCUUUUGGGUUAACUAAUGCACCUAGUACUUUCAUGAGAUUAAUGAACGAAGUUUUACGUGCUUUCAUUGGACGAUUUGUGGUAGUUUACUUUGAUGACAUAUUGAUUUAUAGUAGAUCUUUGGAAGAACAUUUGGAACAUUUACGUGCUGUUUUUAUUGCUCUACGUGAUGCACGUUUGUUUGGUAACCUUGGGAAGUGCACCUUUUGCACCGACCGAGUAUCUUUUCUUGGCUAUGUUGUUACUCCACAGGGAAUUGAAGUUGAUAAAGCCAAGAUUGAAGCUAUUGAGAGUUGGCCGCAGCCCAAAACGGUCACACAAGUGAGGAGUUUUCUUGGCCUCGCUAGAUUCUAUAGGCGUUUUGUGAGAGAUUUCAGCACCAUUGCUGCACCUCUCAAUGAGCUUACAAAGAAAGAUGUGCCUUUUCUUUGGGGUACCGCACAGGAAGAAGCCUUCACGGUAUUGAAAGAUAAGUUGACACAUGCUCCUUUACUCCAACUUCCUGAUUUUAAUAAGACUUUUGAGCUUGAAUGUGAUGCUAGUGGAAUUGGAUUAGGAGGUGUGUUAUUACAAGAUGGCAAACCUGUUGCAUACUUUUCUGAAAAAUUGAGUGGGCCUAGUCUGAAUUAUUCUACUUAUGAUAAAGAAUUAUAUGCUCUUGUUCGGACUUUAGAAACAUGGCAACAUUAUUUAUGGCCCAAAGAAAUUGUUAUACAUUCUGAUCAUGAAUCAUUGAAACAUAUUAAAAGUCAAGCUAAACUGAAUCGUAGACAUGCUAAAUGGGUUGAAUUCAUUGAGAGUUUCCCUUAUGUCAUUAAACACAAGAAGGGAAAAGAAAAUGUUAUUGCUGAUGCUUUGUCUCAUCGCUAUACUAUGCUUUCACAACUUGACUUCAAAAUAUUUGGUUUGGAGACCAUCAAAGAUCAAUAUGUGCAUGAUGCUGAUUUUAAAGAUGUAAUGCAUAAUUGUAAAGAAGGAAGAAUGUGGAACAAGUUUGUUGUUAACGAUGGAUUUGUGUUUCGUGCUAACAAGCUAUGCAUUCCAGCUAGCUCCGUUCGUCUUUUGUUGUUGCAGGAGGCGCAUGGAGGAGGAUUAAUGGGACACUUUGGCGUGAAGAAGACGGAGGACGUACUUGCUACACAUUUCUUUUGGCCAAAGAUGAGACGGGAUGUUGAGCGUUUUAUUGCUCGCUGCACUACAUGUCAAAAAGCUAAGUCACGCCUCAAUCCUGAUGGUUUAUAUAUGCCUUUGCCUGUACCUAAUGUUCCUUGGGAGGAUAUAUCUAUGGACUUUGUUUUAGGUUUACCUCGAACAAAGAAGGGGAGGGAUAGCAUAUUUGUUGUCGUGGAUAGAUUCUCGAAAAUGGCACACUUUAUACCAUGUCAUAAAAGCGAUGAUGCUGUUAAUGUUGCUGAUCUGUUCUUUCGUGAAAUUAUUCGCUUGCAUGGUGUGCCAAAUACUAUUGUUUCAGAUCGUGAUACUAAAUUUCUUAGCCACUUUUGGAGAUGUUUAUGGGCUAAGUUGGGGACUAAACUGCUUUUUAGUACUACUUGUCACCCCCAAACUGAUGGACAAACUGAAGUAGUCAAUAGAACGUUGUCUACUAUGCUUAGGGCUGUUUUGAAGAAUAAUAAGAAAAUGUGGGAGGAAUGCUUGCCUCAUAUUGAAUUUGCUUAUAAUCGUUCAUUGCAUUCUACUACUAAGAUGUGCCCUUUUGAAGUUGUGUAUGGUUUCCUACCUCGUGCACCUAUUGAUUUGUUGCCUCUUCCAUCUUCGGAGAAGGUUAAUUUUGAUGCUAAACAACAUGCUGAAUUGAUUUUAAAAAUGCAUGAGUUAACUAAGGAAAACAUUGAGCGCAUGAAUGCUAAAUAUAAACUUGCUGGAGAUAAGGGUAGAAAACAUGUUGUGUUUGCACCUAGAGAUCUUGUUUGGUUACAUUUGCGUAAGGAUAGAUUUCCUGAUUUGCGCAAAUCAAAGUUAAUGCCACGUGCUGAUGGUCCCUUUAAGGUGUUAGAGAAAAUAAAUGAUAAUGCAUAUAAACUUGAGCUGCCUGCAGAUUUUGGGGUUAGUCCCACUUUUAACAUUGCAGAUUUGAAGCCUUAUUUGGGUGAGGAAGAUGAACUUCCGUCGAGGACGACUUCAUUUCAAGAAGGGGAGGAUGAUGAGGACAUCAAUACAAUUGUUACACCCACAGCCCCUGCUGCUAUACAUACUGGACCAAUUACUAGAGCUCGUGCACGCCAACUAAAUUACCAGGUACUUUCGUUUCUUGGUAAUGAUUCUAGUGUUCAUGAGAAUAUGAUGCUGCCUAAAUUGGAUACAUUUGUUUUGCUUACAAAUGAAGGGCCUAGCUUGGAGAAGGAUGAACAUUGGAGCAAGAACAAGCAUGGAGAUGAUGGCAUGCGCAAGGGAAACAAGAACGGAGUUACAAGUGAUGAUUUCAGGACUUUGAAGCCACCAUAAUGGGUGCAUGAAGCCUUGGGCGAAAUAUACAAGAUGCCACUUCAUAAAUUUCGUCCCGAGGCUAUUUUAGGUGCUGCGUCACCUUAUUAUUGGGCCAGGCCCAUCUAAUUUCGAAAUACAUAAGUAUAGGCUAUUUUUAGAGUCCGUAUGUGUGGGGAAACAAGAGAUAGGGUUGAUUUCGGACCCCUCCACCAAGGGCCACGAAAUUCCCCCCUCUUCCUCCAUAUAUACAGCCCUUAGGGCAUCGUUUAGACUUUGGGUUUUGUUUAGAUUAAAAGUUCACCAUAGCUGCAACUUCGCGUACUUCGUUUGUGUUCAACGACCAGACAAAGGCGUCACAGAACCCCACCUUGAUCAAUAAAGCUUUCAUCUUAUAUUCGCAAUAUCUAGAUUGCAAUCUUAGUUUCUUGCUUGUUCUUUGUUUGCUCGCAGGAAACAGACCCUCGUUGAUGAGGACAUGACUACCUUGGAUAUGACCAAAAAUAUUGCAUAUAUGCAUAUUUGUCAGGUGAUUUCUAGUGCAAACUAUUCAAUAAUCUAUUUAUGUUAUCCGGAACAAAAAUACUCCACACACUUUUGUGUUUUGUCUAAUUGCAGGUGUAUGGGACAUUUGUACAAUCCACAUAUGAAGAUAAGGAAGAAAGAGAUGUUUAUUUGCUGUCCAAAAAGUUCUCUCACGUCACUUUUGGCCCAAGAGAAGAUAGAGUCCAAGUCUCUCACGUUCUGGAUUCAGAUUCGGACUGCACAAACAUACCUGACUCAAAACGCACACAAGUUUUUCAUACGGACUCCGAAUUGGGUGAUUCUUUUUUUGUCGGAAACUAGACUUCGUGCACUUUCCAACCCAAUUAGAAUCACCUUCAAAUUCAUCCGGAGCGUUGAGUUGUGGACGAAACAAUCUGAUGCUGCAGCAGAAUCCGAGUCAAACUACAAGUCCAAAGGUGUUACAUCACCUCCACUUGGGCCCAUUGGCCUUGUACGACCUAGAUUUGGUUUUAGGCUGCCUUGGGACGUCCUCCCACCUCCUUGGCCGCCACCCCUUGCUCCUAUAUAAGUAGAUCCAUCUAGUAGCUUUUCCUUGGGUUUUGUUUAGAUUAAAAGUUCGCCAUAGCUGCAACUUCGCGUACUUCGUUUGUGUUCAACGACCAGACAAAGGCGUCACAGAACCCCACCUUGAUCAAUAAAGCUUUCAUCUUAUAUUCGCAAUAUCCAGAUUGCAAUCUUAGUUUCUUGCUUGUUCUUUGUUUGCUCGCAGGAAACAAACCCUCGUGGUCAGGUUGAUCGUGCUCCGGCGUGGUCAAUAACCUCUCGGAGUUGGUUUAGCGAUUGCUAAGGCGCGACGUCCUCGCACGUUCGUAGUCGGAUCGUCAAAGUCGACUUCCACCAAAGCAAAAUCGACCAUCUCAUCGAAAGACGGGACACCUCCGCCUCUAUCAAGUGGUAUCAGUUUUCAGGUUGCUCGGUGAGAAUUUCCAGUUUUUCCUAGAUUAGAUUUAUUUUCUUACCUAUUGUCCAAGAAAAAGCCACAAAACAAAAGUUAGAUCUAUUCAUCCUUUGUCCUAGCCAGACUGAGCCUUUGCAAUUUUCUUUUCAUUGUUUGCAUUAUUGAAUUAUCGGUUGCAUCGCCGUGUCGAGUUGCUGGUCUCAGUGUCUAGUUUCCUUUAGAGUUUCGAGUUCUGUUCACAUUAGUCACGCAGCCGCUGCAUCAUUAUCCCAUCCGCUGUCCACCAUCCCAUCCACCAAUUUCCACCACGUGCUACGCACUGUUUAUUGUCAUAAUCAUAGUUGAGGUCACUCGCAUCUUAUCUAGUUUGUCUUGGAAAGAGGAAGAAAAAGAAUAUAAAGAAAAAAAAGAGAGAAAAAAGGAAAGAAAAAAAAAGAAAAAGAGGGAGAAGAAAAAAAAAGUGUGAGAAAAAAAAGAGGAGAAAAAAAACAAAAAUCGGAUCUAUCUAGAAUCAAUCUCGUACCUGAAUUCGGAUUGGAAUCUGUUUUGCGCACUGUUCAGUAAAACAGGUGUAUCUUUCUCAUACGAAGUCCAUUUUGGCUCCGUGAGUACUCAAAUUGAAGCUAGCGACGAGCCGCAUCUAAAUAGUUGCAGAAGCUUGUUCAAUAUUUGACACCUCAAAAUCGGCUUCUAAAUAGGUCUUUUUUCCCUCUGAAGUUCGUGAACACAGCUUGUUCCAAUUUUUUAGGCCAGUUUUAGAAUUCUUUGACUCCUCAUAUCAACUCGGAAUUGAGUGAUUCUUUUUGCAUUGGAAAGCUUGAGUUAGUAGCAUUCUUUGAAAGAAUUUAUCAGAAAAUUGUCUCAAACUUUUCCAGAGGAAAGUUGGAGAGAGAGUUGUUGUAUAUCCUGCUUGGCAGUUGUUUUUCAUCAUUAUCUUCACUGCCGUUGUGAUAUUCACUUAUAUCUUGCUGUCAAGAGCUACUUAGUAUCCUUCAUUGAUGCUAGUUGUGCUACGCCGUGACCUCAUUAGUGUUCUAGGCUCGCGUCUCUAGUCCGGUCUAGCCUAGGACCAGCACAGUACCGUCGUUGAGCGUUUAUUCAACAUUGCAUCUUUGAAUUGAUUAUUGCUAAUCUUUUGCUACCAUAUAUAGCCAACCCAGCUCCACAUAUUUCUACACCGUGUAUACGUACGCUCCCGUGGCAAUCGCUUUACUCAAUAUUCGGAGUUACUUGACACCGCUGGUUGCCGAUCACCGCCUGCUGCAUGGUAAGAACUUGUAAGACAUUGAUAUUUGCUUUACUGUGAGCGUUUUACCACCACAUCCUAGUAGUUAUAGGAACAUUAUUUUUGGGUUUUGUUUCUUGUUCUACUAAUCAUGACAGGAUCCAGAGUCAAUUCAUGGGCUUUAUCGAUCGCGGGAGACGUGCCACCACCUUUGCAAAUACCACAACCGUCACGAGAGGUGCACAAACAUCCAAAUGCACAUGAUCAGGUUAAUGUAUCUAUACCACCAUUAAAUGGCCGUUUUAAACCUGCUUUAUAUAUUGAAUGGGAGUUCGACAUAAAAAAUAUAUUUGCUUCCCAUAAUUUCGAUGAACAUAAAAAGGUUAAGGUUGCGGUUGGUUCUUUCACUGGUUAUGCUUUGGUUUGGUGGAGUGAAUAUUGUCGGUUACACCCUGAUUAUAUACCUACUACUUGGGAUGAUUUGAAACUUGCCAUGCGACAUACUUUCGUCCCUGCUUAUUAUACUCGUGACAUGAUUAAGAAGUUGCAACACUUAAAACAAGGUUGUGAAACUGUAACAAAAUAUUAUGAUGAUUUACAAACUACCUUGUUGCAUUCCUCUUUAGAAGAAAGUGAAGAUGAUUUUAUGGAUAGAUUUUGGGGAGGAUUAAACCGUGAUACUCAAGAGAUACUAAUUCAUGAAGAGUGUUAUCCUAUGGACCAUUUGUUUCAUCUUGCUUGCAAAGCUGAACAGGAAAUAAAACGACGUGUUGGCCACGAGGAGAACAAGCGCACGGUGCACAUUCCAAGAGUUGAUAUGAUUGUUCCUUCAACUACUAGGCAUACUAUGACAACCACAUCCGUUGUUGUCAGGACUACAUCACCUCCACCAUGUGACACAUCGCCCCCGAGAAUGGCUACAUCAUCUGAGUUGAUCAUAAGAGGUAAUGACAAAGGUACUGAUCUUCCAUCUCUACAUGAGAAUGAAGAAUGCCUUGUCAAUUUGAAUGCACCAUCUGAUGAGCUACCCACUACUUUGAUCACACCACCUAUUUUAGAGGACUACGUUGAUAAUUUGACUUUGCCAUGUGAUCAAACAACUGAAAUACCAACAAUUUUGAGUGCACCCAUUGAAUUAACUAUUGAUGCAAAAGAACCAAUGUUUAAUCAUUUUGAUAUGACCUCUAAUCUUGGCGAUGAUUCUGUGUUGAAUGACUUAUUGCAUGUUUGCUUAUUUAAGCAUGUUGUAGCAUGUAAAUUUGAUGCAAGUAAGGUUUAUUCACCAAUGUUGGGAUGGUUUAAUGAUGAACAUUGUCAAUCUUUUGAAAUGAAUAAGAGCUUCACUUAUAUGUGCAAACUGAGUUGCAAUAUUUUCAUGCCUUCUACUUCUUGUGCUAAUUUUUUGGUUUUAGAUUUUAUGAACUGUGCAAGUUACUCAUCUAUUCAUGUGUCAUAUAUGCAAAAAUCAAGGGAAGUAAAAAUGGAUGACAUAUACAUAUACAACAUGUACACCUUGUCUCCUUUGUUAGCCACAUUUCAGAUUAAGCAACGCCGAGGACGGCUUUAUUUUCAAGAAGGGGAGGAUGAUGAGGACAUGACUACCUUGGAUAUGACCAAAAAUAUUGCAUAUAUGCAUAUUUGUCAGGUGAUUUCUAGUGCAAACUAUUCAAUAAUCUAUUUAUGUUAUCCAGAACAAAAAUACUCCACACACUUUUGUGUUUUGUCUAAUUGCAGGUGUAUGGGACAUUUGUACAAUCCACAUAUGAAGAUAAGGAAGAAAGAGAUGUUUAUUUGCUGUCCAAAAAGUUCUCUCACGUCACUUUUGGCCCAAGAGAAGAUAGAGUCCAAGUCUCUCACGUUCUGGAUUCAGAUUCGGACUGCACAGACAUACCUGACUCAAAACGCACACAAGUUUUUCAUACGGACUCCGAAUUGGGUGAUUCUUUUUUUGUUGGAAACUCGAUUUCGUGCACUUUCCAACCCAAUUGGAAUCACCUUCAAAUUCGUCCGGAGCGUUGAGUUGUGGACGAAACAAUCUGAUGCUGCAGCAGAAUCCGAGUCAAACUACAAGUCCAAAGGUGUUACAUCACCUUCACUUGGGCCCAUUGGCCUUGUACGACCUAGAUUUGGUUUUAGGCUGCCUUGGGACGUCCCCCCACCUCCUUGGCCGCCACCCCUUGCUCCUAUAUAAGUAGAUCCAUCUAGUAGCUUUUCCUUGGGUUUGUUUAGAUUAAAAGUUCGCCAUAGCUGCAACUUCGCGUACUUCGUUUGUGUUCAACGACCAGACAAAGGCGUCACAGAACCCCACCUUGAUCAAUAAAGCUUUCAUCUUAUAUUCGCAAUAUCCAGAUUGCAAUCUUAGUUUCUUGCUUGUUCUUCGUUUGCUCGCAGGAAACAAACCCUCGUGGUCAGGUUGAUCGUGCUCCGGCGUGGUCAAUAACCUCUCGGAGUUGGUUUAGCGAUUGCUAAGGCGCGACGUCCUCGCACGUUCGUAGUCGGAUCGUCAAAGUCGACUUCCACCAAAGCAAAAUCCACCAUCUCAUUGAAAGACGGGACACCUCCGCCUCUAUCACUCGUGGUCAGGUUGAUCGUGCUCCGGCGUGGUCAAUAACCUCUCGGAGUUGGUUUAGCGAUUGCUAAGGCGCGAUGUCCUCGCACGUUCGUAGUCGGAUCGUCAAAGUCGACUUCCACCAAAGCGAAAUCCACCAUCUCAUCGAAAGACGGGACACCUCGCCUCUAUCACUAUGCUUUUGUGUGCAAAGAGGCAUUAUUUUCAUUCGAGGACAUGCCUUCCUCUUUGCCUCCUGCUAUCACUAACAUUUUGCAGGAGUUCGCUGACUUUCCACAAGACGUGCCACCGGGAUUACCGCCUAUUCAAGGGAUUGAGCAUCAGAUUGACUUAAUUCCCGGUGCUUCACUGCCAAACCGUGCACCAUACCGUACCAAUCCAGAGGAGACAAAGGAGAUUAUGCGUCAAGUACAAGGGCUUCUCGACAAAGGUUAUAUACGCGAAUCCCUUAGUCCUUGUGCUGUUCCUAUUAUUCUAGUGCCGAAAAAGGAUGGUACAUCACGUAUGUGUGUUGAUUGUAGAGGCAUUAAUAAUAUUAAUAUUCGUUAUCGUCAUCCUAUUCCUAGGCUAGAUGAUAUGCUUGAUGAAUUGAGUGGCUCUACAAUAUUCUCCAAAGUUGAUUUGCGUAGUGGCUACCAUCAAAUUCGUAUGAAAUUGGGAGAUGAAUGGAAAACAGCAUUUAAAACUAAGUUUGGAUUAUAUGAGUGGUUAGUCAUGCCUUUUGGGUUAACUAAUGCACCUAGUACUUUCAUGAGAUUAAUGAACGAAGUUUUACGUGCUUUCAUUGGAUGAUUUGUGGUAGUUUACUUUGAUGACAUAUUGAUUUAUAGCAGAUCUUUGGAAGAACAUUUGGAACAUUUACGUCCUGUUUUUAUUGCUCUACGUGAUGCACGUUUGUUUGGUAACCUUGGGAAGUGCACCUUUUGCACCGACCGAGUAUCUUUUCUUGGCUAUGUUGUUACUCCACAGGGAAUUGAAGUUGAUAAAGCCAAGAUUGAAGCUAUUGAGAGUUGGCCGCAACCCAAAACGGUCACACAAGUGAGGAGUUUUCUUGGCCUCGCUGGAUUCUAUAGGCGUUUUGUGAGAGAUUUCAGCACCAUUGCUGCACCUCUCAAUGAGCUUACAAAGAAAGACGUGAUUUUUCUUUAGGGUACCGCACAGGAAGAAGCCUUCUCGGUAUUGAAAGAUAAGUUGACACAUGCUCCUUUACUCCAACUUCCUGAUUUUAAUAAGACUUUUGAGCUUGAAUGUGAUGCUAGUGGAAUUGGAUUAGGCGGUGUGUUAUUACAAGAUGGCAAACCUGUUGCAUACUUUUCUGAAAAAUUGAGUGGGCCUAGUCUGAAUUAUUCUACUUAUGAUAAAGAAUUAUAUGCUCUUGUUCGGACUUUAGAAACAUGGCAACAUUAUUUAUGGCCCAAAGAAUUUGUUAUACAUUCUGAUCAUGAAUCUUUGAAACAUAUUAAAAGACAAGCUAAACUGAAUCGUAGACAUGCUAAAUGGGUUGAAUUCAUUGAGACUUUUCCUUAUGUCAUUAAACACAAGAAGGGAAAAGAAAAUGUUAUUGCUGAUGCAUUGUCUCGCCGCUAUACUAUGCUUUCACAACUUGACUUCAAAAUAUUUGGUUUGGAGACCAUCAAAGAUCAAUAUGUGCAUGAUGCUGAUUUUAAAGAUGUAAUGCAGAAUUGUAAAGACGGAAGAAUGUGGAACAAGUUCGUUGUUAACGAUGGAUUUGUGUUUCGUGCUAACAAGCUAUGCAUUCCAGCUAGCUCCGUUCGUCUUUUGUUGUUGCAGGAGGCGCAUGGAGGAGGAUUAAUGGGACACUUUGGCGUGAAGAAGACGGAGGACGUACUUGCUACACAUUUCUUUUGUCCAAAGAUGAGACGGGAUGUUGAGCGUUUUAUUGCUCGAUGCACUACAUGUCAAAAAGCUAAGUCACGACUCAAUCCUCAUGGUUUAUAUAUGCCUUUGCCUGUACCUAGUGUUCCUUGGGAGGAUAUAUCUAUGGACUUUGUUUUAGGUUUACCUCGAACAAAGAAGGGGAGGGAUAGCAUAUUUGUUGUCGUGGAUAGAUUCUCGAAAAUGGCACACUUUAUACCAUGUCAUAAAAGCGAUGAUGCUGUUAAUGUUGCUGAUUUGUUCUUUCGUGAAAUUAUUCGCUUGCAUGGUGUGCCAAAUACUAUUGUUUCAGAUCGUGAUACUAAAUUUCUUAGCCACUUUUGGAGAUGUUUAUGGGCUAAGUUGGGGACUAAACUGCUUUUUAGUACUACUUGUCACCCCCAAACUGAUGGACAAACUGAAGUAGUCAAUAGAACGUUGUCUACUAUGCUUAGGGCUGUUUUGAAGAAUAAUAAGAAAAUGUGGGAGGAAUGCUUGCCUCAUAUUGAAUUUGCUUAUAAUCGUUCAUUGCAUUCUACUACUAAGAUGUGCCCUUUUGAAGUGGUGUAUGGUUUCCUACCUCGUGCACCUAUUGAUUUGUUGCCUCUUCCAUCUUCGGAGAAGGUUAAUUUUGAUGCUAAACAACGUGCUGAAUUGAUUUUAAAAAUGCAUGAGUUAACUAAGGAAAACAUUGAGCGUAUGAAUGCUAAAUAUAAACUUGCUGGAGAUAAGGGUAGAAAACAUGUUGUGUUUGCACCUGGAGAUCUUGUUUGGUUACAUUUGCGUAAGGAUAGAUUUCCUGAUUUGCGCAAAUCAAAGCUAAUGCCACGUGCUGAUGGUCCCUUUAAGGUGUUAGAGAAAAUAAAUGAUAAUGCAUAUAAACUUGAGCUGCCUGCAGAUUUUGGGGUUAGUCCUACUUGUCACCCCCAAACUGAUGGACAAACUGAAGUAGUCAAUAGAACGUUGUCUACUAUGCUUAGGGCUGUUUUGAAGAAUAAUAAGAAAAUGUGGGAGGAAUGCUUGCCUCAUAUUGAAUUUGCUUAUAAUCGUUCAUUGCAUUCUACUACUAAGAUGUGCCCUUUUGAAGUUGUGUAUGGUUUCCUACCUCGUGCACCUAUUGAUUUGUUGCCUCUUCCAUCUUCGGAGAAGGUUAAUUUUGAUGCUAAACAACGUGCUGAAUUGAUUUUAAAAAUGCAUGAGUUAACUAAGGAAAACAUUGAGCGUAUGAAUGCUAAAUAUAAACUUGCUGGAGAUAAGGGUAGAAAACAUGUUGUGUUUGCAACUGGAGAUCUUGUUUGGUUACAUUUGCGUAAGGAUAGAUUUCCUGAUUUGCGCAAAUCAAAGCUAAUGCCACGUGCUGAUGGUCCCUUUAAGGUGUUAGAGAAAAUAAAUGAUAAUGCAUAUAAACUUGAGCUGCCUGCAGAUUUUGGGGUUAGUCCCACUUUUAACAUUGCAGAUUUGAAGCCUUAUUUGGGUGAGGAAGAUGAACUUCCGUCGAGGACGACUUCAUUUCAAGAAGGGGAGGAUGAUGAGGGCAUCAAUACAAUUGUUACACCCACAGCCCCUGCUGCUAUACAUACUGGACCAAUUACUAGAGCUCGUGCACGCCAACUAAAUUACCAGGUACUUUCGUUUCUUGGUAAUGAUUCUAAUGUUCAUGAGAAUAUGAUGCUGCCUAAAUUGGAUACAUUUGUUUUGCUUACAAAUGAAGGGCCUAGCUUGGAGAAGGAUGAACAUUGGAGCAAGAACAAGCAUGGAGAUGAUGGCAUGCGCAAGGGGAACAAGAACGGAGUUACAAGUGAUGAUUUCAGGACUUUGAAGCCACCAUAAUGGGUGCAUGAAGCCUUGGACGAAAUAUACAAGAUGCCACUUCACAAAUUUCGUCCCGAGGCUAUUUUAGGUGCUGCGUCACCUUAUUAUUGGGCCAGGCCCAUGUAAUUUCGAAAUACAUAAGUAUAGGCUAUUUUUAGAGACCGUAUGUGUAGGGAAACAAGAGAUAGGGUUGAUUUCGGACCCCUCCACCAAGGGCCACGAAAUUCCCCCCUCUUCCUCCAUAUAUACAGCCCUUAGGGCAUCGUUUAGACUUUGGGUUUUGUUUAGAUUAAAAGUUCGCCAUAGCUGCAACUUCGCGUACUUCGUUUGUGUUCAACGACCAGACAAAGGCGUCACAGAACCCCACCUUGAUCAAUAAAGCUUUCAUCUUAUAUUCGCAAUAUCCAGAUUGCAAUCUCAGUUUCUUGCUUGUUCUUCGUUUGCUCGCAGGAAACAGACCCUCGUGGUCAGGUUGAUCGUGCUCCGGCGUGGUCAAUAACCUCUCGGAGUUGGUUUAGCGAUUGCUAAGGCGCGACGUCCUCGCACGUUCGUAGUCGGAUCGUCAAAGUCGACUUCCACCAAAGCGAAAUCCACCAUCUCAUCGAAAGACGGGACACCUUUGCCUCUAUCAACUUGUCACCCCCAAACUGAUGGACAAACUGAAGUAGUCAAUAGGACGUUGUCUACUAUGCUUAGGGCUGUUUUGAAGAAUAAUAAGAAAAUGUGGGAGGAAUGCUUGCCUCAUAUUGAAUUUGCUUAUAAUCGUUCAUUGCAUUCUACUACUAAGAUGUGCCCUUUUGAAGUUGUGUAUGGUUUCCUACCUCGUGCACCUAUUGAUUUGUUGCCUCUUCCAUCUUCGGAGAAGGUUAAUUUUGAUGCUAAACAACGUGCUGAAUUGAUUUUAAAAAUGCAUGAGUUAACUAAGGAAAACAUUGAGCGUAUGAAUGCUAAAUAUAAACUUGCUGGAGAUAAGGGUAGAAAACAUGUUGUGUUUGCACCUGGAGAUCUUGUUUGGUUACAUUUGCGUAAGGAUAGAUUUCCUGAUUUGCGCAAAUCAAAGCUAAUGCCACGUGCUGAUGGUCCCUUUAAGGUGUUAGAGAAAAUAAAUGAUAAUGCAUAUAAACUAGAGCUGCCUGCAGAUUUUGGGGUUAGUCCCACUUUUAACAUUGCAGAUUUGAAGCCUUAUUUGGGUGAGGAAGAUGAGUUUCCGUCGAGGACGACUUCAUUUCAAGAAGGGGAGGAUGAUGAGGACAUCAAUACCAUUGUUACACCCACAGCCCCUACUGCUACAUAUAUGGGACCAAUUACUAGAGCUCGCGCACGCCAAUUAAAUUAUCAGGUACUUUCGUUUCUUGGUAAUGAUUCUAAUGUUCAUGAGAAUAAGAUGCUGCCUAAAUUGGAUCCAUUUGUUUUGCUUACAAAUGAAGGGCCUAGCUUGGAGAAGGAUGAACAUUGGAGCAAGAACAAGCAUGGAGAUGAUGCCAUGCGCAAGGGGAACAAGAACGGUGUUACAAGUGAUGAUUUCAGGACUUUGAAGCCACCAUAAUGGGUGCAUGAAGCCUUGGACGAAAUAUACAAGAUGCCACUUCAUAAAUUUCGUCCCGAGGCUAUUUUAGGUGCUGCGUCACCUUAUUAUUGGGCCAGGCCCAUGUAAUUUCGAAAUACAUAAGUAUAGGCUAUUUUUAGAGUCCGUAUGUGUGGGGAAACAAGAGAUAGGGUUGAUUUCGGACCCCUCCACCAAGGGCCACGAAAUCCCCCCCUCUUCCUCCAUAUAUAUAGCCCUUAGGGCAUCGUUUAGACUUUGGGUUUUGUUUAGAUUAAAAGUUCGCCAUAGCUGCAACUUUGCGUACUUCGUUUGUGUUCAACGACCAGACAAAGGCGUCACAGAACCCCACCUUGAUCAAUAAAGCUUUCAUCUUAUAUUCGCAAUAUCCAGAUUGCAAUCUCAGUUUCUUGCUUGUUCUUCGUUUGCUCGCAGGAAACAGGCCCUCGUGGUCAGGUUGAUCGUGCUCCGGCGUGGUCAAUAACCUCUCGGAGUUGGUUUAGCGAUUGCUAAGGCGCGACGUCCUCGCACGUUCGUAGUCGGAUCGUCAAAGUCGACUUCCACCAAAGCGAUAUCCAUCAUCUCAUCGAAAGACGGGACACCUUUGCCUCUAUCAUCAUGUCAUCAUGCCAUCAUCUCAUAAAUCUUUUGCAUCUCAACUAAAUAAAUCGUAUGGAUCUUCGAUCCAUUUAAAUCGAGGGAAGGAUGACUUAUCUUUAUAAUAUAUCCUCCCGAUAUUAGUGGAGCUAUUAUAAAAUAAUACAUUCUUAUGGAAUCACCUAAAACACACUUGCAAAUUUCCCCAUGCCUUUGUUAUCUCGCUGCUUGACCUCGAACCUUGUCCGUAAAUUCUUUCAUCAUUUUCCGGAGCUCCACCAAAAAUCCAAAUAUUUUUGGACUCUUCAUUACCUUGAACUUAUUCAAACCAUUUGAAUUAAAUUCAAAUGGAUUUGAAUUUAGAUCUUUCAAUUUUGGCCUUCUCUAUUUUUCGCGGAACAAACACAUUUUUUUGCGAGUCCAGGAAAUUUAUCCCCAUGCCUAAUCCUUUCUCCACCCUUCCUUUCCUUUUUUAUCUUUCUUUCUUUCAUUUGCUGUUUUUUCUAGGCUUUAGAAGAGAGGGAGGGAGAGAGAGCCUGCAGCACAGCCAGCCUCUCAGCCUGCAGCCCAGUUGCACUGAGGCUAAGGCCCAGCGCCGGUGCCAGUUAACCCUAGUCGAUCCCCACUCGCUACCCUCUCCCGAUCCCACUCCUCGUUUCCUCGCGCCGCCAGAGAACCGCUGCCCGAUCCCAUCCUCCUCCAACGAUCCCAUCUCCUUCCCUCCAGUGUCACGCUCGACCCCGCUCACCUUCUCGAUCCCCAUCUUCCUCCUCCCGAUGGCGCCGGAUCGGCCUCCCGCGCACACGUAGAGGGACGGCACUAUUGCCUCGUCCCCAGCCGCCUCUCCCCUGCUUCUUCCACGUGCGUGCCGCCGCUGCCUUCUUCCAGCCGCCCCCGGCCUCUCCUCGAGCACCCGCGCCUGUAGCCGUCGUCCUCUGCGCCCGCAGAUGUCGCCCGUCGCCGGUGCCCCAAGUCUGCAUCACCGAGUCCCUCGUCCUGCCGGAGCUGCUCCUCCCGCCGCCCAAGUACCUCCUUGCCUUCGGCCAUGGUGCCCGCACCAGGACCGCCCUCCACCGCCGGCUCUAUCUCCGGCGAGCACCGCGCCGUCUCCCUGCCUCAUCUGCGGUGCCGGCGUCAACAACAGCAGUGGACCGGAGCCCCUACCUUUCUCCACCAUGUCGUCGACCUCCUACCGUGGCCUCCUCCUCGCUUCAAGUCCUUGAUGUCAAGCAUCACGUCGCCGCCCUGCUACGUUCGUCACCGAAGAUCGCCAGAUCCAGUCACGUUGGGUCGGAUCCUCCCGUCCCUGCCUUGUUGCUGCCCACAGAGGCCUUCCGUCUCGCAUGUGUUUUGGAUCAGCAAAGAUGAGACACCAAGAACCGUACCUGGACCGUCAAGCACCUUCUUCGAGGUUUUUGCCAAGUAGCAUGACAUGAACGACCCUCGAACGCGUCAAUUACCACUACCGUCAAGUACCUCUUCGCAAGACCAAGUUCCUCUACGAUACAUGUAUGACUACACGACGAACCGCCAAGACCCAAGUACCAUGAUGCCAAGUACCUCUUCGGAUCGUCAAGGUGGAUCUCGAACGUUGAUGAGGUUCCGAUAAGACCCUCGACGUGUACGGCUACAAUGUGAACGUGUACCCGACGACCCUGGAGACCUAUGUUACACCAAGUACCAUGACGACCUUCGACUUGUACCCCUACAUCGCACCGAAACGCCGAGUUCCUCGCCGAGACCCCGAACUUUCACGGAACCUUGUGCGACUAUGGAUGUGAACGACCACCGUCGAACCCAAGUUACUCGGAUUCCUCAAGUCCCUCUACGAAAACAUUGUACGACUACUUCCGUGGCCGAAGGCCUGUGUACAACUACCGUCGCCGUGGAUGACUACUUCCUUUACGAACCCGAACCGCUCAGAGAAUGCACCUAGAAGGUAUAACCGCCGAGACGAUGACCCGUGGACGAAAGCAUGUGUUGUAUGAGAUGCAUGUUUAGUUGUUGUUUUCGCCCGUGAAAGUUAGUCGUUCCUCCUUAGUUGCCAUGCCGUCGACCCAUGGGAAACCCGGUAUCCGGGAUCAUCCCACCAUCCUCACAUGAUCCGUUCAUCCACAUUUUCUCUUGCACCGACAUCUCAAUGAGUUGUCGGAUCACCCGGAAUGUUGCCGUGGCACCAUUUCCGUUGUAGCUGCCGUGACACCCCUUUUGUUCCGCCAUGGCGACCAAAUGCUUCUUAAUAUGCUCUUGUCAAAUUUUCUUAAAAUUGCAUAAAACCUUAGCAUGUCAUCCGCAUCAUGUUAACAACAUUAAGAUGGCUUAAAUUGUUGUUGCAACAAAUUACUAAUGCAUGUGGGGAUUUACCGAAUUCGUUGUUUGUUAUAUCCGGCCCCAUUUAAAUUGCUUAGAUUGUGUAGUUUACUCAUGUUUCACCUCUUGCCAUGUUAACCAAUAUUUAAUAUUGUUGAGUACCUAGCCGAGAGUGAACUAAAGAAUUGAUGUGGUGUUCCGUCAAUAUGCAACGGAGUUGCAUAUUGAGAUCCACUUAACUUGUAGUUUUGUUUGUGCCCUUUGCCAUGCCAUGCAUAUUUGAACCGGGCAUGCAUCAUACUUGUUUGUGCAUCAUGCCAUGUUCAUGUGUUGGUUGUUUACUAUGUUGUGUGCUUCUUUCCGGUGUUGCUUCUUCGGGUUAGUUCCGAUAACGUCGCGUUUGUGAGGACCCAUUUGACUACGUCCAUUUGUCUUCUUCAUGGACUCGUUCUUCUUCCUUGCGGGAUCUCAGGCAAGAUGACCAUACCCUCGAAAUCACUUCUAUCUUUGCUUGCUAGAUGCUCUCUCUUUUGCUAUGCCUAUGCUGCGAUACCUACCACUUGCUUAUCAUGCCUCCCAUAUUGUUAAGCCAAGCCUCUAACCCAUCUUAUCCUUGCAAACCGUUGUUUGGCUAUGUUACCGCUUUGCUCAGCCCCUCUUUAUAGCGUUGUUAGUUGCAGGUGAAGAUUGGAGCUUGUUCCAUGUUUGGAACAUGGAUAUUUUGUUGGGAUAUCACAAUAUCUCUUAUUUAAUUAAUGCAUCUAUAUACUUGGUAAAGGGUGGAAGGCUCGGUCUUAUGCCUGGUGUUUUGUUCCAGUCUUGCCGCCCUAGUUUCCGUCAUAUCGGUGUUAUGUUCCCGGAUUUUGCGUUCCUUACGCGGUUGGGUUAUAAUGGGAACCCCUUGAUAGUUCUCCUUGAAUAAAACUCCUCCAGCAUGGCCCAACAUUGGUUUUACCAUUCGUCACCUAGCCUUUUCUUUCCCUUGGCUUCUGCAGACUCAAGGGUCAUCUUUAUUUUAAACCCCCGGGCCAGUGCUCCUCUUAGUGUUGGUCCAAACUGAGCAAUGUCCGGAGGUACCAGGGGCAACUCUGGGCUGGCCCACCCGAUGUAUGGCUCAUCCGGUGUGCCCUGAGAACGAGAUAUGUGCAGCUCCUAUCGGGAUUUGUCGGCACAUCUGGGUGGCUUUGCUAGUCUUGUUUUAACAUUGUCGAAAUGUCUUGUAACCGGGAUUCCGAGUUUGAUCGGGUCUUCCCGCUAGAAGGAAUAUCCUUCGUUGACCAUGAGAGCUUGUGAUGGGCUAAGUUGGGACACCCCUGCAGGGAUUUGAACUUUCAAAAGUCGUGCCCGCGGUUAUGGGCAGAUGGGAAUUUGUUAAUGUCCGGUUGUAGAAAACCUGAAGUUGACCUUAAUUAAAAUACAUCAACCGCGUGUGUAACCGUGAUGGUCUCUUCUCGGCGGAGUCCGGGAAGUGAACACGGUGUUGGAGUAAUGCUUGACGUAGGUUGUUCUAGGAUCACUUCUUGAUCAUAGUUUCUCAACCGUGCUUUUGCCUUCUCUUCUCGCUCUCAUUUGUGUAUGUUUAGCCAUCAUAUAUGCUAGUCGCUUGCUGCAGCUCCACAUCAUACCUUUUACCUUACCCAUAAGCUUAAAUAGUCUUGGUCGCGAGGGUGUGAGAUUGCUGAGUCCCCGUGACUCACAGAUACUUCCAAAAACAGUUUGCAGGUGCCGAUGUUACCGUGCAGGUGACGCAACCAAGCUCAAGGAGAAGCUCUAUGAAGAUCAUGUUCUUUAUGUUGUUCUGUUUUCCAGUUGAUCAGUAGUGGAGCCCAGUUGGGACGAUCGGGGAUCUGUGUAGCAUUGGGGUAGUCUUCUUUUAUUUUGGCUCCGUAGUCGGGCCUUGAUUGUAUUUGGAUGAUGUAAUGCUUUAUUCAUGUAAUUGUGUGAAGUGGCGAGUGUAAGCCAACUAUGUAUCUCUUUCCCUUAUGUAUUACAUGGGUUGUCUGAAGAUUACCUCACUUGCGGCAUUGCUUUCAAUGCAGUUAUGCCUCUAAGUCAUGCUUCGACAUGUGGGAGAUAUAGCCGCAUCGAGGGCGUUACAAUUUAUGAGAAAAAGGGGAUACCCCCUGAUUUCCGUUAAUCGAAAUCAUUAGAUGUUCACAACACUACACCCAGCCUGUGACAUAGGUUUCAUUCAUUACUAGUUUCAGCAAAGUACUCAGCGACUGAAUACAUCACGAGUGCUACAUACACUGUAAAUAAACAGACAAUCAUCCUACAGAGCACAUCGAUUUUGCCCAUUAUCUUCACAAGCUCUUUGAUCUCCUCAUUGAUGUCAAGGCCGUUCAGCAGCUGUUGCUUGGCCAUGAUCAGAGGAACUGCAUCUUUAACCUUCUGCUCUGCAUCUUCCUCUUCUGCCGUUCCUUCAGUUACUUGUCCAACACCCCAACCUGCUGGUAUUGGGAUUCCUCGGCUAACCAAAUAAUCAGCGUAGUUGCACUCCCCCACAUCAGCAACUUCCCAGAAAUACAAAUCACACGAAUCUUCCCUUUUCUGCACGAAUCAAAUUGGAAGAUCAUCAACCAAACUAUUAAAAAAAUCAGCAAUUGAAAGCAGCAGAACAACACUUAAACAUAUUAUUACCCCAUGAUUCGGGCAUUUGUAGAAGACUCGGCCAGGGUUGAGGAUUGUGGUUGAGACGCGACGGAUGACUCUGCCUGAUUUGCAGCAGUGGCACCACACCAACGGCGGCGGGUUGCGAUGAGCAACCGGCUGCAGUGCACGUGCCGGCAGGGGUGUGAUGAGACCCACAGGCGAUGGUACGGGUGGCGACUUGGCGCAUAUUUGGUUGUUGCCUGCUGAAGAGCAAGUGGAUGAGCAGCCAGCGGACAUGGUUGAUGCGGCCAGAGCUUAUGAUGCUAGGCAGAGUAAGUAGAGAAGAGGAGAAGCGAACGUUGGAUAUGUCAGUUUCAUUACUUGCAGAGUAGAAUAGCACCAUAUAUAGUCAUAGUCUAGUUUUGUAUUCGAACCAACUACAGGAGCAUGUCUCUCUUCUUUUUAAAACUAAGCAAUGUCUCUUUACUGGUACACUAGCUUUGUUUUGUACGCCUUCUCAAGUCUUUGAUUCCUCCACUGACAUCUAGGACCCACCAAAAGGGCCUCUGUAUUUCGCGAACAAGCCCCCCGCUGAUAGGUCGGACCCACCAGCUAUCUUCGCACGCAAGGAAGUGCCUCCUUAUUACGCACAAAAAAAUGAAUACUCCCCCUACCAGCUGCAACCCAGCAUCGUGGGAGGCUGACUUGUGGGCCUACCAAGUUGACGGGGAUGGAGGCCUUUGUCAACUUAGUCAAUAUGAAUGAUUCUAGCUCCAGUUACCAUACAAUGUUCAUCCAACGGCAAUAGUGCUUCUUCAACUUCUGGUCCUCUUGCUCCAGCUGCCCAAACCAGCGCCGGUCGUGCCGCGCGCUCCUACCACCCAUGGCCGGCUGUGAUGCCGCGGAGGCCUCACCGCCCCUACUACUCCCACCGCUGGCCAGGCCAUCUCUCUACUUACCCACACCCCGUGUUAUUCUGCGGCGACGGCAGCCUCACACCGCAGCCGAACCAGUGAACCCUCGUACUCCUCUCCGCGUGGGCAUCCACUGCCGUGUCUUUCCUGGUGAUAGAGGCAAAGGUGUCCCGUCUUUCGAUGAGAUGGUGGAUUUCGCUUUGGUGGAAGUCGACUUUGACAAUCCGACUACGAACGUGCGAGGACGUCGCGCCUUAGCAAUCGCUAAACCAACUCCGAGAGGUUAUUGACCACGCCGGAGCACGAUCAACCUGACCACGAGGGUCUGUUUCCUGCGAGCAAACGAAGAACAAGCAAGAAACUGAGAUUGCAAUCUGGAUAUUGCGAAUAUAAGAUGAAAGCUUUAUUGAUCAAGGUGGGGUUCUGUGACGCCUUUGUCUGGUCGUUGAACACAAACGAAGUACGCGAAGUUGCAGCUAUGGCGAACUUUUAAUCUAAACAAAACCCAAAGUCUAAAUGGUGCCCUAAGGGCUGUAUAUAUGGAGGAAGAGAGGGGGAAUUUCGUGGCCCUUGGUGGAGGGGUCCGAAAUCAACCCUAUCUCUUGUUUCCCCACACAUACGGACUCUAAAAAUAGCCUAUACCUAUGUAUUUCGAAAUUACAUGGGCCUGGCCCAAUAAAAAGGUGACGCUGCACCUAUAAUAGCCUCGGGACGAAAUUUAUGAAGUGGCAUCUUGUAUAUUUUGUCCAAGGCUUCAUGCACCCAUUAUGGUGGCUUCAAAGUCCUGAAAUCAUCACUUGUAACUCCGUUCUUGUUCCCCUUGCACAUGGCAUCAUCUCCAUGCUUGUUCUUGCUCCAAUGUUCAUCCUUCUCCAAGCUAGGCCCUUUAUUUGUAAGCAAAACAAAUGUAUCCAAUUUAGGCAGCAUCAUAUUCUCAUGAACAUUAGAAUCAUUACCAAGAAACGAAAGUACCUGAUAAUUUAAUUGGCGUGCGCGAGCUCUAGUAAUUGGUCCCGUAUAUGUAGCAGUAGGGGCUGUGGGUGUAAUAAUGGUAUUGAUGUCCUCAUCACCUGGCUCCAUGUUGUCCCCUUCCUAGGCCUCGCCGUCGUACACCGCCUUGGUGCUCUCGGCGCGGCGUGGUCAAUAUGGUCAAUGACCAACUUCCAUCGGAAGAGUACUGUACGUGGAGAGGCUGACAACUGGGUCCACGGCCGCAGCUGGGUCCACGGUCACAGCCCAGUUUUUUUUUGAUUUGCCAAGUAAGUCGCUUUGUUAGGCCUGUUGGGCUACAAAUCUUUCAAGACGAGGAGAGCUUCAUUCGGCUGGCCGAGAAAAUGGCCUAUCAGCAAUGAGAAAUGGGUUGUACAUUUUUAAAACACAUCAAACCGGCAAUUUGUUUCGAAUUGCUUUUUUUCAUUUCAAGAUUUUAAAUUGCAUUGAUUUUUAUGCGUGGACAAUUUGUUGGAUUCUAUAUUGAUAUACAUUUAUUUUUAAAAUCAGUUUGAAUGUGACUCGAAAUUUCAGGAUUAAAAAUAGUUCGGACCGCACUGAAAUAUGCAAAAUUUCGUAUAAUUUUUUAACCGUGGCCACAAUAUGGGCUGUAAUGCUAACAAAAAGAAUAUGGGCUCCAAAAAAACAUAAGAAUUAGCAAAUGGGCUAUAAAUUAUUAGAAAUAAUGGCAGAUGGGUUGUAUGGUGUUUUCCAUGGAUUUGAGGCUUUCCUAAAAAAAGGUUGAUGUUGGAAAUAUGCCCUAGAGGCAAUAAUAAAUUGGUUAUUAUUAUAUUUCCUUGUUCAUGAUAAUCGUUUAUUAUCCAUGCUAGAAUUGUAUUGAUAGGAAACUCAGAUACAUGUGUGGAUACAUAGACAACACCAUGUCCCUGGUAAGCCUCUAGUUGACUAGCUCGUUGAUCAAUAGAUGGUUACGGAUUCCUGACCAUGGACAUUGGAUGUCGUUGAUAACGGGAUCACAUCAUUAGGAGAAUGAUGUGAUGGACAAGACCCAAUCCUAAGCCUAGCACAAGAUCAUGUAGUUCGUAUGCUAAAGCUUUUCUAAUGUCAAGUAUCAUUUCCUUAGACCAUGAGAUUGUGCAACUCCCGGAUACCGUAGGAGUGCUUUGGGUGUGCCAAACGUCACAACGUAACUGGGUGGCUAUAAAGGUAGAUUACAGGUAUCUCCGAAAGUGUCUGUUGGGUUGGCACAAAUCGAGACUGGGAGUUGUCACUCCGUGUAAACGGAGAGGUAUCUCUGGGCCCACUCGGUGGGACAUCAUCAUAAUGUGCACAAUGUGAUCAAGGAGUUGAUCACGGGAUGAUGUGUUACGGAACGAGUAAAAGAGACUUGCUAGUAACGAUAUUGAACAAGGUAUCGAGAUACCGAUGAUCGAAUCUCGGGCAAGUAUCGUACCGCUAGACAAAGGGAAUUGUAUACGGGAUUGAUUAAGUCCUUGACAUCGUGGUUCAUCCGAUGAGAUCAUCCUGGAACAUGUGGGAGCCAACAUGGGUAUCCAGAUCCCGCUGUUGGUUAUUGAUCGGAGAGUUAUCUCGGUCAUGUCUGCAUGGUUCCCGAACCCGUAGGGUCUACACACUUAAGGUUCGAUGACGCUAGGGUUAUAGGGAAUAGAUAUACGUGGUUACCGAAUGUUGUUCAGAGUCCCGGAUGAGAUCCCAAACGUCAUGAGGAGUUCCAGAAUGGUCCGGAGGUAAAGAUUGAUAUAUAGGAAGUAUGGUUUUGGCCACCGGAAGUGUUCCGGGCAUCACCGAUAGUGUACCAGGACCACCGGAGGGGUCCGGGGGUCCACCAGGUAGGGCCACCAGCCCAGGAGGCCUACAUGGGCCAAUAGUGGGAAGGGACCAGCCCCUAGGUGGGCUGGGGUGCCUCCCACCAAGGCCCAAGGCGCCUCCAAGAGGGGAAGGGGGCAAACCCUAGGGCAGAUGGGCCCUAAGGCCCACCCCAGGUGCGCCUUCCCCUCUCCCCCUUGUGGCCGCCACCCAGAUGGGAUCUGGGGGCUGCCGCCACCCCUAGGGAGGGAACCCUAGGUGGGGGCGCAGCCCCUCCCCUUCCCCUAUAUAUACUUGAGGUAUUGGAGGCUGCGAGACACACGAGUUCCUCUCCUUCUUGGCGCAGCCCUACCCCUCUCCCUCCUCGUCUCUUGCGGUGUUUGGCGAAGCCCUGCUGGAGUACCACGCUCCUCCACCACCACCACGCCGUUGUGCUGCUGCUGGAUGGAGUCUUCCUCAACCUCUCCCUCUCUCCUUGCUGGAUCAAGGCAUGGGAGACGUCACCGGGCUGUACGUGUGUUGAACACGGAGGUGCCGUCCAUUCGGCACUAGGAUCAUCGGUGAUUUGGAUCACGACGUGUACGACUCCUUCAACCCCGUUCUCUUGAACGCUUCCGCAUAGCGAUCUACAAGGGUAUGUAGAUUCACUCUCCUUCCCCUCGUUGCUGGUCUCUCCAUAGAUAGAUCUUGGUGACACGUAGGAAAAUUUUGAAUUUCUGCUACGUUCCCCAUCAGUGGUAUCAGAGCUAGGUCUAUGCGUAGUUACUAUGCACGAGUAGAACACAAAGUAGUUGUGGGCGUUGAUUUUGUUCAAUAUGCUUACCAUUACUAGUCCAAUCUUGAUUCGACGGCAUUGUGGGAUGAAGCGGCCCGGACCGACCUAACACGUACUCUUACGUGAGACUGGUUCCACCGACUGACAUGCACUAGUUGCAUAAGGUGGCUAGCGGGUGUCUGUCUCUCCCACUUUAGCCGGAUCGGAUUCGAUGAAAAGGGUCCUUAUGAAGGGUAAAUAGCAAUUGGCAUAUCACGUUGUGGUUUUUGCGUAGGUAAGAAAUGUUCUUGCUAGAAACCCAUAGCAGCCACGUAAAACAUGCAAACAACAAUUAGAGGAUGUCUAACUUGUUUUUGCGGGGUAUGAUAUGUGAUGUGAUAUGGCCAAGAAGAAUGUGAUGAAUGAUAUGUGAUGUAUGAGAUUGAUCAUGUUCUUGUAAUAGGAAUCACGACUUGCAUGUCGAUGAGUAUGACAACCGGCAGGAGCCAUAGGAGUUGUCUUUAUUUAUUGUAUGACCUGCGUGUCAUUGUACAACGCCAUGUAAUUACUUUACUUUAUUGCUAACCGGUAGCCAUAGUAGUAGAAGUAAUAAGUUGGCGAGACAACUUCAUGGAGACUGAUGAGGACAUCAAUACAAUUGUUACACCCACAGCCCCUGCUGCUAUACAUACUGGACCAAUUACUAGAGCUCGUGCACGCCAACUAAAUUACCAGGUACUUUCGUUUCUUGGUAAUGAUUCUAAUGUUCAUGAGAAUAUGAUGCUGGCUAAAUUGGAUACAUUUGUUUUGCUUACAAAUGAAGGGCCUAGCUUGGAGAAGGAUGAACAUUGGAGCAAGAACAAGCAUGGAGAUGAUGGCAUGCGCAAGGGAAACAAGAACGGAGUUACAAGUGAUGAUUUCAGGACUUUGAAGCCACCAUAAUGGGUGCAUGAAGCCUUGGACGAAAUAUACAAGAUGCCACUUCAUAAAUUUCGUCCCGAGGCUAUUUUAGGUGCUGCGUCACCUUAUUAUUGGGCCAGGCCCAUGUAAUUCCGAAAUACAUAAGUAUAGGCUAUUUUUAGAGUCCGUAUGUGUGGGGAAACAAGAGAUAGGGUUGAUUUCGGACCCCUCCACCAAGGGCCACGAAAUUCCCCCCUCUUCCUCCAUAUAUACAGCCCUUAGGGCAUCGUUUAGACUUUGGGUUUUGUUUAGAUUAAAAGUUCACCGUAGCUGCAACUUCGCGUACUUCGUUUGUGUUCAACGACCAGACAAAGGCGUCACAGAACCCCACCUUGAUCAAUAAAGCUUUCAUCUUAUAUUCGCAAUAUCCAGAUUGCAAUCUCAGUUUCUUGCUUGUUCUUCGUUUGCUCGCAGGAAACAGACCCUCGUGGUCAGGUUGAUCGUGCUCCGGCGUGGUCAAUAACCUCUCGGAGUUGGUUUAGCGAUUGCUAAGGCGCGACGUCCUUGCACGUUCGUAGUCGAAUCGUCAAAGUCGACUGCCACCAAAGCGAUAUCCAUCAUCUCAUCGAAAGACGGGACACCUUUGCCUCUAUCAAGUGGUAUCAGAUUUCCAGGUUGCUCGGUGAGAUUUUAUAGUUUUUCGUAGUUUAGAUCGAGUCUGUUCUUCAUACCUACAGUCCACGAAAAGCCACAAAAAAAAUUAGGGUUAGUUCAUCAUAUCCGAACCAAUCUGAGCCUUUGCAUAAUCUUUUUAGGGUUUUGCUUUGUUGAAUUUGCGGUUGCAUCGUCGUGUCUAGUUGCUGGUCUUAGAGUCUAGUCUUUUAGAGUUUCGAGUUCUGGUCAUAAGUUGUCACGCCGCCGCCGCACCAUCAUCAUCGCCCCUGCCAUCUACCACCGCCGCUUAUCCGCCACCGCUUCGAAUCCGUAUCCAUAUACCACCACCGCUGCCAUAUACCACCACCGCUGCCAUAUACCACCACCAUAUAUCCACCACCAAUCCGAGUUCCUUGCAUAUUAGGUGUGUUUUCGAGAUCCAUCUAGUUUCCGAUUCGUGUUUCCUUCCCGGAGUAGGUUUCGAAAAAAAAGAGUCGGGUAGCCACGCUCCGCUUAGGCCCAAAAUUUUUCGAAAACGCAUUUUUUGAAAAAAUUUCUGGCUAUCCUAUUUUUAGGUGUUUCUGAGUGUUUUGAGACAGGUGCCAUUAUAGGAAGUUUUUUUUGACCCGUUUCCAGUUUUUGGGUCCGGGCAGUCGAAAAAAAAAAUUGGUCGAAAAAAUUUCGUGCCCAUCCUGUCAGUUUCAGCUAGGAAGAGUUUUGAGACACUCGCCAUUACAGUGAUUUUUCGCAAAAAAAAAGCAGCGCAAAAAAAAAGAGCGCAAAAAAAAAGAGCGAAAAAAAAAUUCAGAGUGUGCUUUUCCCUUGUUUACGUGUCGCGCCGUGAUUUUGUUGGUGUUCUAGGCUCGCGUCUCUAGCACAGUCUAGCCUAGGACCAGCACAGUACCGCCGUUGAGCGUUUAUUCAACUUUGCAUCUCUGAAUUGAUUAUUGCUGACCCUUUUUGCUACCAUACUAUAAGCCUUCCCAGCUCCACAUACAUCUACGUCGUGUGUUUGACUCUCCCUGGUAAUUGCUCUAUCCAAGCUUUGAGAGUUUUUGACUACAACGGUUGCCGAUCACCGCCUGCUGCUGGGUAAGAACUGGUAAGAAUUUGAGAUUUGCUUGACGGAUUUGUGAUACACCACCACCACUUCUUAGUAGUCUGUAGGAUCAUAUUCUUGUGUGUUUCUAUUGCUGCUAACCAUGCCAGGAUCACAAGACGACGAGAUUGACUGGGAGAACUUAUCGAACAAGGAUCUUCAUGAUAAGUUUCAGCAAAUGAUGACUGAACAGGUGCAAGAUGUGCUGAACAAUUUUGAAGAGGCUAUGGAGAAGAUUACUGGCCUUGAGAAGACGUUCGAAACAAAGCUCGAUAACAGAUUUAAUGAACUACUUGCGCGUCUUCCACCACCGGCUGCACCUGUCGCACCUCUUCAACAACAACAACUACGCCCCCUUCCGAAUCAGUAUGGACGAGCACAGCGUGUUCCUAUUGAGCGAGGACAAAAUUCUGGUGCCGCUGCUACUGCUGUUGGUGCUUCUUUGGCUCCUGCUACUGCUGCUGCUGGUACCCAGGAGGAUGAUGAUUAUGUGGGAGAUUAUGAGGAUGAGGUUGAUCAAAAUCCAAACUACGUGCAGCCACCAGCACCACCACCACCAGGUCGACCUCACGUAUAUAUUCGUCAUGGUAGGCCUGCACCACCACCUCAGGUACGAGAUGAUGUCCAUAUUCCUAAACUGAAAUUGAAUAUUCCACCAUUUGAGGGUAGAUAUGUUCCUGAUAUAUAUCUUACUUGGGAGUUAGAAACUGAACAACGAUUUACAUGUUUACAAUAUCCUGAGGAGAGACGAGUUGCUGCUGCUGUUUGUGCUUUCACUAGUUUUGCAUGUGUAUGGUGGUCUGAACAUUGUAGAUUAUAUCCUAUUCCAACUACUUGGGCUGCUUUGAAAACUGCUAUGCGUACGCGUUGGGUUCCACCAUAUUAUCAACGUGAAUUGCUUCAAAAAUUGCAGCGUUUAAGACAAGGGAAAAAUUCUGUAGAAGAAUAUUAUCAGGAAUUACAAACUGGCAUGAUUAGAUGUGGUAUUGUUGAGGAGAAUGAAGCUAUGCUUGCACGUUUUCUGGGUGGAUUAAAUAGAGAGAUUCAGACCAUUCUAGACUAUAAGGAGUAUACUAAUAUCACUCGUUUAUUCCAUCUUGCUUGUAAAGCUGAACGUGAAGUGCAGGAUCGACAAGCAUUGGCGCGAACUAACUUUUCUGCAGGCCGACCUUCAUCAUGGACACCGUGUGCAUCUUCUACUUCAACUGCACCAACACCUCAAUUAGGUGCCUCCUCCAGUCGUGAUACAAGAAAACAGGGACAACCACCAUUAUCUGCCAAGAGCGCACCUGCUGGGCCUGCACGGAGUUCUUCUUCUUCCAUGGCAUCAACAGGGCACACAAGUGAUAUUAUUUGUCGUCGUUGUAAGGGAGGAGGUCAUUAUGCGAGAGAAUGCAAAUCUCCGCGUGUGAUGAUUGCUACCGCGGAUGGUGGAUAUGAGUCCGCUAGUGACUAUGAUGAGGAGACUUUGGCUCUUAUUACACAUGAAGAACAUGGUGGAGAUGAUUCUGAUCAUGAGACGCAAUACAUGGCUCCUGAAGACGCUGACAGGUAUGAAUGUUUAGUUGCUCAACGUGUUUUGAGUGUGCAGGUCACACAAGCUGAGCAAAAUCAGAGGCACAAUUUGUUCCAUACCAAGGGAGUUGUGAAGGAACGUUCUGUGCGCGUCAUAAUAGACGGAGGGAGCUGCAACAACUUGGCUAGCAUGGAGAUGGUGGAGAAGCUUUCUCUCAUGAUGAGGACAUCAAUACCAUUGUUACACCCACAGGCCCUGCUGCUAUACAUACUGGACCAAUUACUAGAGCUCGCGCACGCCAACUAAAUUACCAGGUACUUUCGUUUCUUGGUAAUGAUUCUAAUGUUCAUGAGAAUAUGAUGCUGCCUAAAUUGGAUACAUUUGUUUUGCUUACAAAUGAAGGGCCUAGCUUGGAGAAGGAUGAACAUUGGAGCAAGAACAAGCAUGGAGAUGAUGGCAUGCGCAAGGUGAACAAGAACGGAGUUACAAGUGAUGAUUUCAGGACUAUGAAGCCACCAUAAUGGGUGCAUGAAGCCUUGGGCGAAAUAUACAAGAUGCCACUUCAUAAAUUUCAUCCCGAGGCUAUUUUAGGUGCUGCGUCACCUUAUUAUUGGGCCAGGCCCAUGUAAUUUCGAAAUACAUAAGUAUAGGCUAUUUUUAGAGUCCGUAUGUGUGGGGAAACAAGAGAUAGGGUUGAUUUCGGACCCCUCCACCAAGGGCCACGAAAUUCCCCCCUCUUCCUCCAUAUAUACAGCCCUUAGGGCAUCGUUUAGACUUUGGGUUUUGUUUAGAUUAAAAGUUCGCCAUAGCUGCAACUUCGCGUACUUCGUUUGUGUUCAACGACCAGACAAAGGCGUCACAGAACCCCACCUUGAACAAUAAAGCUUUCAUCUUAUAUUUGCAAUAUCCAGAUUGCAAUCUCAGUUUCUUGCUUGUUCUUCGUUUGCUCGCAGGAAACAGACCCUCGUGGUCUGGUUGAUCGUGCUCCGGCGUGGUCAAUAACCUCUCGGAGUUGGUUUAGCGAUUGCUAAGGCGCGACGUCCUCGCACGUUCGUAGUCGGAUCGUCAAAGUCGACUUCCACCAAAGCGAAAUCCAUCAUCUCAUCGAAAGACGGGACACCUCCGCCUCUAUCAAGUGGUAUCAGAUUUCCAGGUUGCUCGGUGAGAUUUUACAGUUUUUCGUAGUUUAGACCGAGUCUGUUCUUCAUACCUACAGUCCACGAAAAAGCCACAAAAAAAUUAGGGUUAGUUCAUCAUAUCCGAACCAAUCUGAGCCUUUGCAUAAUCUUUUUAGGGUUUUGCUUUGUUGAAUUUGCGGUUGCAUCGUCGUGUCUAGUUGCUGGUCUUAGAGUCUAGUCUUUUAGAGUUUCGAGUUCUGGUCAUAAGUUGUCACGCCGCCGCCGCACCAUCAUCAUCGCCCCUACCAUCUACCACCACCGCUUAUCCGCCACCGCUCCGAAUCCGUAUCCAUAUACCACCACCAAUCCGUGUCCAUAUACCACCACCGAUCCAUAUCCAUAUACUACCACCGCUACCACCACCGCUGCCAUAUACCACCACCAUAUAUCCACCACCAAUCCGAGUUCCUUGCAUAUUAGGUUUGUUUUCGAGAUCCAUCUAGAUUCCGAUUCGUGUUUCCUUGCCGGAGUAGGUUUCGGAAAAAAAAAGAGUCGGGUAGCCACGCUCCGUUUAGGCCCAAAAAUUUUCGAAAACGCAUUUUUCGAAAAAAAAUCUGGCUAUCCUAUUUUUAGGUGUUUCUGAGUGUUUUUGAGACAGGUGCCAUUAUAGGAAGUUUUUUUGACCCGUUUCCAGUUUUUGGGUCCGGGCAGUCAAAAAAAAAAUUGGUCGAAAAAAUUCCGUGCCCAUCCUGUCCGUUUGAGCUAGGAAGAGUUUUGAGACACUCGCCAUUAUAGUGAUUUUUCGCAAAAAAAAAAGAGCGAAAAAAAAAUUCAGAGUGUGCUUUUCCCUUGUUUACGUGCCGCGCCGUGAUUUUGUUGGUGUUCUAGGCUCGCGUCUCUAGCACAGUCUAGCCUAGGACCAGCACAGUACCGUCGUUGAGCGUUUAUUCAACUUUGCAUCUCUGAAUUGAUUAUUGCUGACCCUUUUUGCUACCAUAUUAUAAGCCUUCCCAGCUCCACAUACAUCUACGUCGUGCGUUUGACUCUCCCUGGUAAUCGCUCUAUCCAAGCUUUGAGAGUUUUGACUACAACGGUUGCCGAUCACCACCUUCUGCUGGGUAAGAACUGGUAAGAAUUUGAGGUUUGCUUGACGGAUUUGUGACACCCACCUCCACCACUUGUUCGUAGUCUGUAGGAUCAUAUUCUUGUUUGUUUCUAUUGCUGCUAACCAUGCUAGGAUCACAAGCCGACGAGAUUGUCUGGGAGAAUUUAUCGAACAAGGAGCUUCAUGAUAAGUUUCAGCACAUGAUGACUGAACAGGUGCAAGAUGUGCUGAAUAAUUUUGAAGAGGCCAUGGAGAAGAUUACUGGCCUUGAGAAGACGUUCGAAACAAAGCUCGAUAACAGAUUUAAUGAACUGCUUGCGCGUCUUCCACCACCGGCUGCACCUGUCGCACCUCUGCAACAACAACAACUACGCCCCCUUCUGAAUCAGUAUGGACGAGCACAGCGUGUUCCUAUUGAGCCAGGACAACAUUCUGGUGCCGCUGCUACUGCUGUUGGUGCUUCUUUGGCUCCUGCUACUGCUGCUGCUGGUACCCAGGAGGAUGAUGAUUAUGUGGGAGAUUAUGAGGAUGAGGUUGAUCAAAAUCCGAACUACGUGCAGCCACCAGCACCACCACCACCAGGUCGACCUCAGGUAUAUAUUCGUAAUGGUAGGCCCGCACCACCACCUCAGGUACGAGAUGAUGUCCAUAUUCCUAAACUGAAAUUGAAUAUUCCACCAUUUGAGGGUAGAUAUGUUCCUGAUAUAUAUCUUACUUGGGAGUUAGAAACUGAACAACGAUUUACAUGUUUACAAUAUCCUGAGGAGAGACGAGUUGCUGCUGCUGUUUGUGCUUUCACUAGUUUUGCAUGUGUAUGGUGGUCUGAACAUUGUAGAUUAUAUCCUAUUCCAACUACUUGGGCUGCUUUGAAAACUGCUAUGCGUACGCGUUGGGUUCCACCAUAUUAUCAACGUGAAUUGCUUCAAAAAUUGCAGCGUUUAAGACAAGGAAAAAAUUCUGUAGAAGAAUAUUAUCAGGAAUUACAAACUGGCAUGAUUAGAUGUGGUAUUGUUGAGGAGAAUGAAGCUAUGCUAGCACGUUUUCUGGGUGGAUUAAAUAGAGAGAUUCAGACCAUUCUAGACUAUAAGGAGUAUACUAAUAUCACUCGUUUAUUCCAUCUUGCUUGUAAAGCUGAAUGUGAAGUGCAGGAUCGACAAGCAUUGGGGCGAACUAACUUUUCUGCAGGCCGACCUUCAUCAUGGACACCACGUGCAUCUUCUACUUCAACUGCACCAGCACCUCCAUCCGGUGCCACCUCCAGCCGUGAUACAAGAAAACAGGCACAACCGCCAUUAUCUGCCAAGAGCGCACCUGCGGGGCCUGCACAGCGUUCUUCUUCUUCCAUGGCAUCAACAGGGCACACAAGUGAUAUUAUUUGUCGUCGUUGUAAGGGAGGAGGUCAUUAUGCGAGGGAAUGCAAAUAUCCGCGUGUGAUGAUUGCUACCGCGGAUGGUGGAUAUGAGUCUGCUAGUGACUAUGAUGAGGAGACUUUGGCUCUUAUUACAUGUGAAGAACAUGGUGGAGAUGAUUCUGAUCUUGAGACGCAAUACAUGGCUCCUGAAGACGCUGACAGGUAUGAAUGUUUAGUUGCUCAACGUGUUUUGAGUGUGCAGGUCACACAAGCUGAGCAAAAUCAGAGGCACAAUUUGUUCCAUACCAAGGGAGUUGUGAAGGAACGUUCUGUGCGCGUCAUAAUAGACGGAGGGAGCUGCAACAACUUGGCUAGCAUGGAGAUGGUGGAGAAGCUUUCUCUCACCACAAGACCACAUCCACAUCCUUACUACAUCCAAUGGUUCAACAACAGCGGCAAGGUUAAGGUAACACGUAUUGUUCGUGUGCAUUUUAGUAUCUCUACAUAUGCUGAUUAUGUUGAUUGUGAUGUGGUACCUAUGCAAGCAUGUUCCUUAUUACUUGGUAGACCAUGGCAAUUUGAUAAAAAUUAUGUACACCAUGGUAGAAACAAUCACUAUACUCUUGUUCAUAAGGAUAAAAAUAUUACUUUGCUUCCUAUGACUCCUGAUUCCAUUUUGAAAGAUGAUAUUAAUAGAGCUAAUAAAGCAAAACAGGAGAAGAAUAAGAGUGAAAAUCAGAUUGUGGCAAAAGAAUUUGAGCAACAAAUGAAGCCUAAUAAUAAACCAUCUAGUGUUGUUUCUGAAAUUAAAUUGAAAAGUGCAUGUUUAUUUGCCACCAAAUCUGAUAUUGGUGAGCUAGAUUUCAGCAAAUCUGCUUUUGUGUGCAAAGAGGCAUUAUUUUCAUUCGAGGACGUGCCUUCCUCUUUGCCUCCUGCUGUCACUAACAUUUUGCAGGAGUUCGCUGACGUCUUUCCACAAGACGUGCCACCGGGAUUACCGCCUAUUCGAGGGAUUGAGCAUCAGAUUGACUUAAUUCCCGGUGCUUCACUGCCAAACCGUGCACCAUACCGUACCAAUCCAGAGGAGACGAAGGAGAUUAUGCGUCAAGUACAAGAGCUUCUCGACAAAGGUUAUAUACGCGAAUCUCUUAGUCCUUGUGCUGUUCCUAUUAUUCUAGUGCCGAAAAAGGAUGGUACAUCACGUAUGUGUGUUGAUUGUAGAGGCAUUAAUAAUAUUACUAUUCGUUAUCGUCAUCCUAUUCCUAGGCUAGAUGAUAUGCUUGAUGAAUUGAGUGGCUCUACAAUAUUCUCCAAAGUUGAUUUGCGUAGUGGAUACCAUCAAAUUCGUAUGAAAUUGGGAGAUGAAUGGAAAACAUCAUUUAAAACUAAGUUUGGAUUAUAUGAGUGGUUAGUCAUGCCUUUUGGGUUAACUAAUGCACCUAGUACUUUCAUGAGAUUAAUGAACGAAGUUUUACGUGCUUUCAUUGGACGAUUUGUGGUAGUUUACUUUGAUGACAUAUUGAUUUAUAGCAGAUCUUUGGAAGAACAUUUGGAACAUUUACGUGCUGUUUUUAUUGCUCUACGUGAUGCACGUUUGUUUGGUAACCUUGGGAAGUGCACCUUUUGCACCGACCGAGUAUCUUUUCUUGGCUAUGUUAUUACUCCACAGGGAAUUGAAGUUGAUAAAGCCAAGAUUGAAGCUAUUGAGAGUUGGCCGCAGCCCAAAACGGUCGCACAAGUGAGGAGUUUUCUUGGCCUCGCUGGAUUCUAUAGGCGUUUUGUGAGAGAUUUCAGCACCAUUGCUGCACCUCUCAAUGAGCUUACAAAGAAAGAUGUGCCUUUUCUUUGGGGUACCGCACAGGAAGAAGCCUUCACGGUAUUGAAAGAUAAGUUGACACAUGCUCCUUUACUCCAACUUCCUGAUUUUAAUAAGACUUUUGAGCUUGAAUGUGAUGCUAGUGGAAUUGGAUUAGGAGGUGUGUUAUUACAAGAUGGCAAACCUGUUGCAUACUUUUCUGAAAAAUUGAGUGGGCCUAGUCUGAAUUAUUCUACUUAUGAUAAAGAAUUAUAUGCUCUUGUUCGGACUUUAGAAACAUGGCAACAUUAUUUAUGGCCCAAAGAAUUUGUUAUACAUUCUGAUCAUGAAUCAUUGAAACAUAUUAAAAGUCAAGCUAAACUGAAUCGUAGACAUGCUAAAUGGGUUGAAUUCAUUGAGACUUUUCCUUAUGUCAUUAAACACAAGAAGGGAAAAGAAAAUGUUAUUGCUGAUUCUUUGUCUCGUCGCUAUACUAUGCUUUCACAACUUGACUUCAAAAUAUUUGGUUUGGAGACCAUCAAAGAUCAAUAUGUGCAUGAUGCUGAUUUUAAAGAUGUAAUGCAUAAUUGUAAAGAUGGAAGAAUGUGGAACAAGUUUGUUGUUAACGAUGGAUUUGUGUUUCGUGCUAACAAGCUAUGCAUUCCAGCUAGCUCCGUUCGUCUUUUGUUGUUGCAGGAGGCGCAUGGAGGAGGAUUAAUGGGACACUUUGGCGUGAAGAAGACGGAGGACGUACUUGCUACACAUUUCUUUUGGCCAAAGAUGAGACGGGAUGUUGAGCGUUUUAUUGCUCGCUGCACUACAUGUCAAAAAGCUAAGUCACGCCUCAAUCCUCAUGGUUUAUAUAUGCUUUUGCCUGUACCUAGUGUUCCUUGGGAGGAUAUAUCUAUGGACUUUGUUUUAGGUUUACCUCGAACAAAGAAGGGGAGGGAUAGCAUAUUUGUUGUCGUGGAUAGAUUCUCGAAAAUGGCACACUUUAUACCAUGUCAUAAAAGCGAUGAUGCUGUUAAUGUUGCUGAUUUGUUCUUUCGUGAAAUUAUUCGCUUGCAUGGUGUGCCAAAUACUAUUGUUUCAGAUCGUGAUACUAAAUUUCUUAGCCACUUUUGGAGAUGUUUAUGGGCUAAGUUGGGGACUAAACUGCUUUUUAGUACUACUUGUCACCCCCAAACUGAUGGACAAACUGAAGUAGUCAAUAGAACGUUGUCUACUAUGCUUAGGGCUAUUUUGAAGAAUAAUAAGAAAAUGUGGGAGGAAUGCUUGCCUCGUAUUGAAUUUGCUUAUAAUCGUUCAUUGCAUUCUACUACUAAGAUGUGCCCUUUUGAAGUUGUGUAUGGUUUCCUACCUCGUGCACCUAUUGAUUUGUUGCCUCUUCCAUCUUCGGAGAAGGUUAAUUUUGAUGCUAAACAACGUGCUGAAUUGAUUUUAAAAAUGCAUGAGUUAACUAAGGAAAACAUUGAGCGUAUGAAUGCUAAAUAUAAACUUGCUGGAGAUAAGGGUAGAAAACAUGUUGUGUUUGCACCUGGAGAUCUUGUUUGGUUACAUUUGCGUAAGGAUAGAUUUCCUGAUUUGCGCAAAUCAAAGCUAAUGCCACGUGCUGAUGGUCCCUUUAAGUUGUUAGAGAAAAUAAAUGAUAAUGCAUAUAAACUUGAGCUGCCUGCAGAUUUUGGGGUUAGUCCCACUUUUAACAUUGCAGAUUUGAAGCCUUAUUUGGGUGACGAAGAUGAGUUUCCGUCAAGGACGACUUCAUUUCAAGAAGGGGAGGAUGAUGAGGACAUCAAUACCAUUGUUACACCCACAGGCCCUGCUGCUAUACAUACUGGACCAAUUACUAGAGCUCGCGCACGCCAACUAAAUUACCAGGUACUUUCGUUUCUUGGUAAUGAUUCUAAUGUUCAUGAGAAUAUGAUGCUGCCUAAAUUGGAUACAUUUGUUUUGCUUACAAAUGAAGGGCCUAGCUUGGAGAAGGAUGAACAUUGGAGCAAGAACAAGCAUGGAGAUGAUGGCAUGCGCAAGGGGAACAAGAACGGAGUUACAAGUGAUGAUUUCAGGACUUUGAAGCCACCAUAAUGGGUGCAUGAAGCCUUGGACGAAAUAUACAAGAUGCCACUUCAUAAAUUUCGUCCCGAGGCUAUUUUAGGUGCUGCGUCACCUUAUUAUUGGGCCAGGCCCAUGUAAUUUCGAAAUACAUAAGUAUAGGCUAUUUUUAGAGUCCGUAUGUGUGGGGAAACAAGAGAUAGGGUUGAUUUCGGACCCCUCCACCAAGGGCCACGAAAUUCCCCCCUCUUCCUCCAUAUAUACAGCCCUUAGGGCAUCGUUUAGACUUUGGGUUUUGUUUAGAUUAAAAGUUCGCCAUAGCUGCAACUUCGCGUACUUCGGUUGUGUUCAACGACCAGACAAAGGUGUCACAGAACCCCACCUUGAACAAUAAAGCUUUCAUCUUAUAUUCGCAAUAUCCAGAUUGCAAUCUCAGUUUCUUGCUUGUUCUUCGUUUGCUCGCAGGAAACAGACCCUCGUGGUCAGGUUGAUCGUGAUCCGGCGUGGUCAAUAACCUCUCGGAGUUGGUUUAGCGAUUGCUAAGGCGCGACGUCCUCGCACGUUCGUAGUCGGAUCGUCAAAGUCGACUUCCACCAAAGCGAAAUCCAUCAUCUCAUCGAAAGACGGGACACCUCCGCCUCUAUCAUCUCACCACAAGACCACAUCCACAUCCUUACUACAUCCAAUGGUUCAACAACAGCGGCAAGGUUAAGGUAACACGUACUGUUCGUGUGCAUUUUAGUAUCUCUACAUAUGCUGAUUAUGUUGAUUGUGAUGUGGUACCUAUGCAAGCAUGUUCCUUAUUACUUGGUAGACCAUGGCAAUUUGAUAAAAAUUCUGUACACCAUGGUAGAAACAAUCACUAUACUCUUGUUCAUAAGGAUAAAAAUAUUACUUUGCUUCCUAUGACUCCUGAUUCCAUUUUGAAAGAUGAUAUUAAUAGAGCUAAUAAAGCACAACAGGAGAAGAAUAAGAGUGAAAAUCAGAUUGUGGCAAAAGAAUUUGAGCAACAAAUGAAGCCUAAUAAUAAACCAUCUAGUGUUGCUUCUGAAAUUAUAUUGAAAAGUGCAUGUUUAUUUGCCACCAAAUCUGAUAUUGAUGAGCUAGAUUUCAGCAAAUCUGUUUGCUAUGCUUUUGUGUGCAAAGAGGCAUUAUUUUCAUUCGAGGACGUGCCUUCCUCUUUGCCUCCUGCUGUCACUAACAUUUUGCAGGAGUUCGCUGACGUUUUUCCACAAGACGUGCCACCGGGAUUACCGCCUAUUCGAGGGAUUGAGCAUCAGAUUGACUUAUUCCCGGUGCUUCACUGCCAAACCGUGCACCAUACCGUACCAAUCCAGAGGAGACGAAGGAGAUUAUGCGUCAAGUACAAGAGCUUCUCGACAAACGUUAUAUACGUGAAUUCCUUAGUCCUUGUGCUGUUCCUAUUAUUCUAGUGCCGAAAAAGGAUGGUACAUCACGUAUGUGUGUUGAUUGUAGAGGCAUUAAUAAUAUUACUAUUCGUUAUCGUCAUCCUAUUCCUAGGCUAGAUGAUAUGCUUGAUGAAUUGAGUGGCUCUACAAUAUUCUCCAAAGUUGAUUUGCGUAGUGGCUACCAUCAAAUUCGUAUGAAAUUGGGAGAUGAAUGGAAAACAGCAUUUAAAACUAAGUUUGGAUUAUAUGAGUGGUUAGUCAUGCCUUUUGGGUUAACUAAUGCACCUAGUACUUUCAUGAGAUUAAUGAACGAAGUUUUACGUGCUUUCAUUGGACGAUUUGUGGUAGUUUACUUUGAUGACAUAUUGAUUUAUAGCAGAUCUUUGGAAGAACAUUUGGAACAUUUACGUGCUGUUUUUAUUGCUUUACGUGAUGCACGUUUGUUUGGUAACCUUGGGAAGUGCACCUUUUGCACCGACCGAGUAUCUUUUCUUGGCUAUGUUGUUACUCCACAGGGAAUUGAAGUUGAUAAAGCCAAGAUUGAAGCUAUUGAGAGUUGGCCACAACCCAAAACGGUCACACACGUGAGGAGUUUUCUUGGCCUCGCUGGAUUCUAUAGGCGUUUUGUGAGAGAUUUCAGCACCAUUGCUGCACCUCUCAAUGAGCUUACAAAGAAAGAUGUGCCUUUUCUUUGGGGUACCGCACAGGAAGAAGCCUUCUCUGUAUUGAAAGAUAAGUUGACACAUGCUCCUUUACUCCAACUUCCUGAUUUUAAUAAGACUUUUGAGCUUGAAUGUGAUGCUAGUGGAAUUGGAUUAGGAGGUGUGUUAUUACAAGAUGGCAAACCCGUUGCAUACUUUUCUGAAAAAUUGAGUGGGCCUAGUCUGAAUUAUUCUACUUAUGAUAAAGAAUUAUAUGCUCUUGUUCGGACUUUAGAAACAUGGCAACAUUAUUUAUGGCCCAAAGAAUUUGUUAUACAUUCUGAUCAUGAAUCUUUGAAACAUAUUAAAAGUCAAGCUAAACUGAAUCAUAGACAUGCUAAAUGGGUUGAAUUCAUUGAGACUUUCCCUUAUGUCAUUAAACACAAGAAGGGAAAAGAAAAUGUUAUUGCUGAUGCAUUGUCUCGUCGCUAUACUAUGCUUUCACAACUUGACUUCAAAAUAUUUGGUUUGGAGACCAUCAAAGAUCAAUAUGUGCAUGAUGCUGAUUUUAAAGAUGUAAUGCAGAAUUGUAAAGAAGGAAGAAUGUGGAACAAGUUUGUUGUUAACGAUGGAUUUGUAUUUCGUGCUAACAAGCUAUGCAUUCCAGCUAGCUCCGUUCGUCUUUUGUUGUAGCAGGAGGCGCAUGGAGGAGGAUUAAUGGGACACUUUGGCGUGAAGAAGACGGAGGACGUACUUGCUACACAUUUCUUUUGGCCAAAGAUGAGACGGGAUGUUGAGCGUUUUAUUGCUCGCUGCACUACAUGUCAAAAAGCUAAGUCACGACUCAAUCCUCAUGGUUUAUAUAUGCCUUUGCCUGUACCUAGUGUUCCUUGGGAGGAUAUAUCUAUGGACUUUGUUUUAGGUUUACCUCGAACAAAGAAGGGGAGGGAUAGCAUAUUUGUUGUCGUGGAUAGAUUCUCUAAAAUGGCACACUUUAUACCAUGUCAUAAAAGCGAUGAUGCUGUUAAUGUUGCUGAUUUGUUCUUUCGUGAAAUUAUUCGCUUGCAUGGUGUGCCAAAUACUAUUGUUUCAGAUCGUGAUACUAAAUUUCUUAGCCACUUUUGGAGAUGUUUAUGGGCUAAGUUGGGGACUAAACUGCUUUUUAGUACUACUUGUCACCCCCAAACUGAUGGACAAACUGAAGUAGUCAAUAGAACGUUGUCUACUAUGCUUAGGGCUGUUUUGAAGAAUAAUAAGAAAAUGUGGGAGGAAUGCUUGCCUCAUAUUGAAUUUGCUUAUAAUCGUCCAUUGCAUUCUACUACUAAGAUGUGCCCUUUUGAAGUUGUGUAUGGUUUCCUACCUCGUGCACCUAUUGAUUUGUUGCCUCUUCCAUCUUCGGAGAAGGUUAAUUUUGAUGCUAAACAACGUGCUGAAUUGAUUUUAAAAAUGUAUGAGUUAACUAAGGAAAACAUUGAGCGCAUGAAUGCUAAAUAUAAACUUGCUGGAGAUAAGGGUAGAAAACAUGUUGUGUUUGCACCUGGAGAUCUUGUUUGGUUACAUUUGCGUAAGGAUAGAUUUCCUGAUUUGCGAAAAUCGAAGUUAAUGCCACGUGCUGAUGGUCCCUUUAAGGUGUUAGAGAAAAUAAAUGAUAAUGCAUAUAAACUUCAGCCGACCUAACACGUACUCUUACGUGAGACUGGUUCCACCGACUGACAUGCACUAGUUGCAUAAGGUGGCUAGCGGGUGUCUGUCUCUCCCACUUUAGCCGGAUCGGAUUCGAUGAAAAGGGUCCUUAUGAAGGGUAAAUAGCAAUUGGCAUAUCACGUUGUGGUUUUUGCGUAGGUAAGAAACGUUCUUGCUAGAAACCCAUAGCAGCCACGUAAAACAUGCAAACAACAAUUAGAGGAUGUCUAACUUGUUUUUGCGGGGUAUGAUAUGUGAUGUGAUAUGGCCAAGAAGAAUGUGAUGAAUGAUAUGUGAUGUAUGAGAUUGAUCAUGUUCUUGUAAUAGGAAUCACGACUUGCAUGUCGAUGAGUAUGACAACCGGCAGGAGCCAUAGGAGUUGUCUUUAUUUAUUGUAUGACCUGCGUGUCAUUGUACAACGCCAUGUAAUUACUUUACUUUAUUGCUAACCGGUAGCCAUAGUAGUAGAAGUAAUAAGUUGGCGAGACAACUUCAUGGAGACUGAUGAGGACAUCAAUACAAUUGUUACACCCACAGCCCCUGCUGCUAUACAUACUGGACCAAUUACUAGAGCUCGUGCACGCCAACUAAAUUACCAGGUACUUUCGUUUCUUGGUAAUGAUUCUAAUGUUCAUGAGAAUAUGAUGCUGCCUAAAUUGGAUACAUUUGUUUUGCUUACAAAUGAAGGGCCUAGCUUGGAGAAGGAUGAACAUUGGAGCAAGAACAAGCAUGGAGAUGAUGGCAUGCGCAAGGGAAACAAGAACGGAGUUACAAGUGAUGAUUUCAGGACUUUGAAGCCACCAUAAUGGGUGCAUGAAGCCUUGGGCGAAAUAUACAAGAUGCCACUUCAUAAAUUUUGUCCCGAGGCUAUUUUAGGUGUUGCGUCACCUUAUUAUUGGGCCAGGCCCAUGUAAUUUCGAAAUACAUAAGUAUAGGCUAUUUUUAGAGUCCGUAUGUGUGGGGAAACAAGAGAUAGGGUUGAUUUCGGACCCCUCCACCAAGGGCCACGAAAUUCCCCCCUCUUCCUCCAUAUAUACAGCCCUUAGGGCUUCGUUUAGACUUUGGGUUUUGUUUAGAUUAAAAGUUCGCCAUAGCUGCAACUUCGCGUACUUCGUUUGUGUUCAACGACCAGACAAAGGCGUCACAGAACCCCACCUUGAUCAAUAAAGCUUUCAUCUUAUAUUCGCAAUAUCCAGAUUGCAAUCUCAGUUUCUUGCUUGUUCUUCGUUUGCUCGCAGGAAACAGACCCUCGUGGUCAGGUUGAUCGUGCUCCGGCGUGGUCAAUAACCUCUCGGAGUUGGUUUAGCGAUUGCUAAGGCGCGACGUCCUCGCACGUUCGUAGUCGAAUCGUCAAAGUCGACUGCCACCAAAGCGAUAUCCAUCAUCUCAUCGAAAGACGGGACACCUUUGCCUCUAUCAGAGACACAAUGAUGGGGAUCAUGAUGAUGGAGAUCAUGGUGUCAUGCCGACGACAAUGAUGAUCAUGGAGCCCCGAAGAUGGAGAUCAAAAGGAGCAAUAUGAUAUUGGCCAUAUCAUGUCACUAUUUGAUUGCAUGUGAUGUUUAUCAUGUUUAUACAUCUUAUUUGCUUAGAACGACGGUAGUAAAUAAGAUGAUCCCUCAUUAAAAUUUCAAGAAAGUGUUCCCCCUAACUGUGCGCCGUUGCGAAAGUUCGUCGUUUCGAAGCACCACGUGAUGAUCGGGUGUGAUAGAUUCUUACGUUCACAUACAACGGGUGUAAGCCAGAUUUACACACGCGAAACACUUAGGUUGACUUGACGAGCCUAGCAUGUACAGACAUGGCCUCGGAACACAAGAGACCGAAAGGUCGAGCAUGAGUCGUAUGGUAGACACGAUCAACAUGAAGAUGUUCACCAAUGAUGACUAGUCCGUCUCAAGUGAUGAUCGGACACGGCCUAGUUGACUCGGAUCAUGUAAUCACUUAGAUGACUAGAGGGAUGUCUAUCUGAGUGGGAGUUCAUAAGAUGAACUUAAUUAUCCUGAACAUAGUCAAAAGGUCUUCGCAAAUUAUGUCGUAGCUCGCGCUUCAGUUCUACUGUUUAGAUAUGUUCCUAGAGAAAAUUUAGUUGAAAGUUGAUAGUAGCAAUUAUGCAGACAGUAGAAGGCUUAUGUCCUUAAUGCACCGCUCAGUGUGCUGAACCUCGAACGUCGUCUGUGGAUGUUGCGAACAUCUGACAUACACGUUUUUGAUGACUACAUGAUAGUUCAGUGCGUAAUGCUAAAUGGUUUAGAAUUGAGGCACCAAAGACGUUUUUGAAACAUCGCAGAACAUAUGAGAUGUUCCAAGGACUGAAAUUGGGAUUUCAGGCUCGUGCCCACGUCAAUAGGUAUAAGACCUCCGACGAUUUUCUUAGCCUGCAUAAUAAGGGAGAAAAGCUCAAUCUUGAGCUUGUGCUCAGAUUGUCUGAGUACAACAAUCGCUUGAAUCGAGUGGGAGUUGAUCUUCCAGAUGAAAUAGUGAUGGUUCUCCAAAGUCACUGCCACCAAGCUACUAGAGCUUCAUGAUGAACUAUAACAUAUCAGGGAUAGAUAUGAUCCUUGAGCUAUUCGCGACACCGCGAAAGUAGAAAUCAAAAGGGAGCAUCAAUCAUUGAUGGUUAGUAAAACCACUAGUUUCAAGAAGGGCAAGGGCAAGAAAGGGAUACUUCAUGGAACAACAAUUCAGUUGCUAUUCUAGUGAAGAAACCCAAAGUUGAACCCAAGCCCGAGACUAAGUGCUUCUGUAAUAAGGGGAACAGUCACUGGAGCAGAAUUACCCUAGAUACUUGGUAGAUGAGAAGGCUGGCAAGGUCGAUAGAAGUAUAUUGGAUAUACAUUGUGUUAGUGUGUACUUUACUAGUACUCCUAGUAGCACCAUGGUAUUAGAUACCGGUUCGGUUGCUAAGUGUUAGUAAACUCGAAAUAAAAGGUUGCGGAGUAAACGGAGACUAGCUAAAGGUGAGCUGGCGAUAUGUGUUGGAAGUUUUUCCCAAGCUUGAUGUGAUCAAGCAUCGCACGCUCCCUCUACAAUUGAGAUUGGUGUUUGCGUUGAGCGUAGACAUGAUUGGAUUAUGUCUAUCACAAUAUGGUUAUUCAUUUAAGGAGAAUAAUGGUUACUCUGUUUAUUUGAAUAAUACCUUCAAUGGUCUUGCACCUAAAAUGAAUGGUUUAUUGAAUCUCGAUCGUAGUGAUACACAUGUUCAUGCCAAAAGAUAUAAGAUAGUAAUGAUAGUACCACCUACUUGUGGCACUGCCACGUAAGUCAUAUCGGUAUAAAACGCAUGAAGAAGCUCCAUGUUGAUGGAUCUUUGGGCUCACUCGUUUUUGAAAAGUUUGAGACAUGCGGACCAUGUCUAUUGGUGUAUAUGCAUGAAGAAACUCCAUGCAAAUGGACUGUUUGGACUCACUUGAUUUUGAAUCACUUGAGACAUGCAAAUCAUACCACAUGGGCAAGAUGACUGAAAGCCUCGUUUUCAGUAAAAUGGAACUAGAAAGCAACUUGUUGGAAGUAAUACAUUUUGAUGUGUGCAGUCCAAUGAGUGUUGAGGCGUGUAGUGGAUAUCGUUAUGUUCUUACUUCACAGAUGAUUUGAGUAGAUGUUGAGUAUAUUUACUUGAUGAAUCACGAGUCUGAAUUAUUGAAAGGUUCAAGUAAUUUCAGGGUGAAGUUGAAAGAUCGUCGUGACAAGAGGAUAAAAUAUCUAUGAUAUGAUCAUAGAGAUGAAUAUCUGAAUUACGAGUUUGGCACGAAAUUAAGACAUUGUGGAAAUUGUUUCACAACUAAUACAGCCUAGAACACCAUAGUGUGAUGGUGUGUCCGAACAUCAUAACUACACCCUAUUGGAUAUGAUGCAUACCAUGAUGUCUCUUAUCGAAUUACCACGAUAGUUUAUGGGUUAGGCAUUAGAGACAACCACAUUCACUUUAAAUAGGGUACCAUGUAAUUCCGAUGAGAUGACACCGUAUGAACUAUGGUUUAGGGAAACCUAACCUGUGAUAGAGGCGGGGUGUCCCGAUCUUUCGAUGAGAUGAUAACUAUCGAUUUGGUGGAGACGACUUUGACGAUCUGACUACAAACGUGAAACGACGUUGUGCCUUAGCUGAUAGAGGCGAGGGUGUCCCGAUCUUUCGAUGAGAUGAUAACUAUCGAUUUGGUGGAGACGACUUUGACGAUCCGACUACAAACGUGCACGACGUUGCGCCUUAGCAAUCGCUAAACCAAUCUCUUGAGGUUACUGACGAUGCCGGAAGCACGGUCAGCCUGACCACAAAGGUCUAUUCCUGCAAGCAAUCGAAGAACGAGCAAGAAUAUGAUAAAGCAAUCUGAAUAUUGCAAAUAUAUAUGAGGUAUUGAUAAUGGUGGGGAUCCGUAAGCGGUCUUGGUCUGGUCGUUGGACACAAACGAAGUACACGAAGUUGCAAUGGCUAACUUUUAACUAAACAAAUCCCAAGGAAAAAGCUUCUAAAUGGAUCUACUUAUAUAGGAGCAAGGGAUGGCGGCCAAGGAGGUGGGAGGACGUCCCAAGGCAGCCUAAAACUAAAUCUAGGUCGUACAAGGCCAAUGGGCCCAAGUGGAGGUGAUGUAACACCUUUGGACUUGUAGUUUGACUCGGAUUCUGCUGCAGCAUCAGAUUGUUUCGUCCACAACUCAACGCUCUGGACGAAUUUGAAGGUGAUUCCAAUUGGGUUGGAAAGUGCACGAAAUCUAGUUUCCAACAAAAAAAACCACCCAAUUCGGAGUCCGUAUGAAAAACUUGUGUGUGUUUUGAGUCAGGUAUGUCUGUGCAGUCCGAAUCUGAAUCCAGAACGUGAGAGACUUGGACUCUAUCUUCUCUUGGGCCAAAAGUGACGUGAGAGAACUUUUUGGACAGUAAAUAAGCAUCUCUUUCUUUCUUAUCUUCAUAUGUGGAUUGUAGAAAUGUCCCAUACACCUGCAAUUAGACAAAACACAAAAGUGUGUGAAGUAUUUUUGUUCUGGGUUAGAUUAUUGAAUAGUUUGCACUAGAAAUCACCUGACAAAUAUGCAUAUAUGCAAUAUUUUUGGUCAUAUCCAAGGUAGUCAUGUCCUCAUCAUCCUCCCCUUCUUGAAAAUAAAGCCAUCCUCGGCGUUGCUUAAUCUGAAAUGUGGCUAACAAAAGAGAAAAGGUGUACAUGUUGUAUAUGUAUAUGUCAUCCAUUUUUACUUCCCUUGAUUUUUGCAUAUAUGACACAUGAAUAGAUGAGUAACUUGCAUAAUUCAUAAAAUCUAAAGCCAAAAAAUUAGCACAAGAAGUAGAAGGCAUGAAAAUAUUGCAACUCAGUUUGCACAUAUAAGUGAAGCUCUUAUUCAUUUCAAAAGAUUGACAAUGUUCAUCAUUAAACCAUCCCAACAUUGGUGAAUAAACCUUACUUGCAUCAAAUUUACAUGCUACAACGUGCUUAAAUAAGCAAACAUGCAAUAAGUCAUUCAACACAGAAUCAUCACCAAGAUUAGAGGUCAUAUCAAAAUGAUUAAACAUUGGUUCUUUUGCAUCAAUAGUUAAUUCAAUGGGUGCACUCAAAAUUGUUGGUAUUUCAGUUGUUUGAUCACAUGGCAAAGUCAAAUUAUCAACGUAGUCCUCUAAAAUAGGUGGUGUGAUCAAAGUAGUGGGUAGCUCAUCAGAUGGUGCAUUCAAAUUGACAAGGCAGUCAUCAUUCUCAUGUAGAGAUGGAAGAUCAGUACCUUUGUCAUUACCUCUUAUGAUCAACUCAGAUGAUGUAGCCACUCUCGGGGGCGAUGUGUCACAUGGUGGAGGUGAUGUAGUCCUGACAACAACGGAUGUGGUUGUCAUAGUAUGCCUAGUAGUUGAAGGUACAAUCAUAUCAACUCUUGAAAUGUGCACCGUGCGCUUGUUCUCCUCGUGGCCAACACAUCGUUUUAUUUCCUGUUCAGCUUUGCAAGCAAGAUGAAACAAAUGGUCCAUAGGAUAACACUCUUCAUGAAUUAGUAUCUCUUGAAUAUCACGGUUUAAUCCUCCCCAAAAUCUAUCCAUAAAAUCAUCUUCACUUUCUUCUAAAGAGGAAUGCAACAAGGUAGUUUGUAAAUCAUCAUAAUAUUUUGUUACAGUUUCACUACCUUGUUUUAAGUGUUGCAACUUCUUAAUCAUGUCACGAGUAUAAUAAGCAGGGACGAAAGUAUGUCGCAUGGCAAGUUUCAAAUCAUCCCAAGUAGUAGGUAUAUAAUCAGGGUGUAACCGACAAUAUUCACUCCACCAAACCAAAGCAUAACCAGUGAAAGAACCAACCGCAACCUUAACCUUUUUAUGUUCAUCGAAAUUAUGGGAAGCAAAUAUAUUUUUUAUGUCGAACUCCCAUUCAAUAUAUAAAGCAGGUUUAAAACGGCCAUUAAAUGGUUGUAUAGAUACAUUAACCUGAUCGUGUGCAUUUGGAUGUUUGUGCACCUCUCGUGACGGUUGUGGUAUUUGCAAAGGUGGUGGCACGUCUCCCGCGAUCGACAAAGCCCAUGAAUUGACUCUGGAUCCUGUCAUGAUUAGUAGAACAAGAAACAAAACCCCAAAAUAAUGUUCCUAUAACUACUAGGAUGUGGUGGUAAAACGCUCACAGUAAAGCAAAUAUCAAUGUCUUACAAGUUCUUACCAUGCAGCAGGCGGUGAUCGGCAACCAGCGGUGUCAAGUAACCCCGAAUAUUGAGUAAAGCGAUUGCGAGGGGAGCGUACGUAUACACGGUGUAGAAAUAUGUGGAGCUAGGUUGGCUAUAUAUGGUAGCAAAAGAUUAGCAAUAAUCAAUUCAAAGAUGUAAUGUUGAAUAAACGCUCAACGACGGUACUGUGCUGGUCCUAGGCUAGACCGGACUAGAGACGCGAGCCUAGAACACUAAUGAGGUCACGGCGUAGCACAACUAGCAUCAAUGAAGGAUACUAAGUAGCUCUUGACAGCAAGAUAUAAGUGAAGAUCACAACGGCAGUGAAGAUAAUGAUGAAAAACAACUGCCAAGCAGGAUAUACAACAACUCUCUCUUCAACUUUCCUCUUGAAAAGUUUGAGACAAUUUUCUGAUAAAUUCUUUCAAUAAAUGCUACUAACUCAAGCUUUCCAAUGCAAAAAGAAUCACUCAAUUCCGAGUUGAUAUGAGGAGUCAAAGAAUUCUAAAACUGGCCUAAAAGAUUGGAACAAGCUGUGUUCACGAACUUCGGAGGGCAAAAAGACCUAUUUAGAAGCCGAUUUUAAGGUGUCAAAUAUUGAACAAGCUUCUGCAACUAUUUAGAUGCGGCUCGUCGCUAUCUUCAAUUUGAGUACUCACGGAGCCAAAACGGACUUCGUAUGAGGAAGAUACACCUGUUUUACUGAACACUGCGCAAAACAGAUUCCAAUCCGAAUUCAGGUACGAGAUUGAUUCUAGAUAGAUCCAAUUUUUUUUCUUCUCUCUUUUUUUUUCUCACGCUUUUUUUCUUUUUCUUCUCCCUCUUUUCUUUUUUUUCCUUUUUUCUCUCUUUUUUUUUCUUUAUCUUCUUUUUCUCCCUCUUUCCAAGACAAACUAGAUAAGAUGCAGAUUCGAUCAGGCGAAGAUGUGAGUGACCUCAACUAUGAUUAUGACAAUAAACAGUGCGUAGCACAUGGUGGAAAUUGAUGGAUGAGAUGAUGGACAGCGGAAGGGAUAAUGAUGCAGCGGCGACGUGACUAAUGUGAACAGAACUCGAAACUCUAAAGGACCUAGACACGAAUACCAGCAACUCGACACGACGAUGCAACCGAUAAUUCAACUAUGCAAGCAAUAAAAAGAAAAUUGCAAAGCCUCAGACUGGCUUGGACCAAGGAUGAAUAGAUCUAACUCUUUUUUGUGGCUUUUUCUUGGACAAUAGGUAAGAAAAUAAAUCUAAUCUAGGAAAACUGGAAAUUCUCACCGAGCAACCUGAAAACUGAUACCACUUGAUAGAGGCGAGGGUGUCCCGAUCUUUCGAUGAGAUGAUAACUAUCGAUUUGGUGGACACGACUUUGACGAUCCGACUACAAACGUGCACGACGUUGCGCCUUAGUGAUGGAGGCGAGGGUCCCGAUCUUUCGAUGAGAUGAUAACUAUCGAUUUGGUGGAGACGACUUUGACGAUCCGACUACAAACGUGCACGACGUUGUGCCUUAGCAAUCGCUAAACCAAUCUCCUGAGGUUACUGACGAUGCCGGAAGCACGGUCAGCCUGACCACGAAGGUCUAUUCCUGCAAGCAAUCGAAGAACGAGCAAGAAUAUGAUAAAGCAAUCUGAAUAUUGCAAAUAUAUAUGAGGUAUUGAUAAUGGUGGGGAUCCGUAAGCGGUCUUGGUCUGGUCGUUGGACACAAACGAAAUACACGAAGUUGCAAUGGCUAACUUUUAACUAAACAAAUCCCAAGGAAAAGCUACUAGAUGGAUCUACUUAUAUAGGAGCAAGGGGUGGCGGUCAAGGAGGUGGGAGGACGUCCCAAGGCAGCCUAAAACUAAAUCUAGGUCGUACAAGGCCAAUGGGCCCAAGUGGAGGUGAUGUAACACCUUUGGACUUGUAGUUUGACUCGGAUUCUGCUGCAGCAUCAGAUUGUUUCGUCCACAACUCAACGCUCCGGACGAAUUUAAAGGUGAUUCCAAUUGGGUUGGAAAGUGCACGAAAUCUAGUUUCCAACAAAAAAAAGAAUCACCCAAUUCGGAGUCCGUAUGAAAAACUUGUGUGCGUUUUGAGUCAGGUAUGUCUGUGCAGUCCGAAUCUGAAUCCAGAACGUGAGAGACUUGGACUCUAUCUUCUCUUGGGCCAAAAGUGACGUGAGAGAACUUUUUGGACAGCAAAUAAACAUCUCUUUCUUCCUUAUCUUCAUAUGUGGAUUGUACAAAUGUCCCAUACACCUGCAAUUAGACAAAACACAAAAGUGUGUGAAGUAUUUUUGUUCUGGAUAACAUAAAUAGAUUAUCGAAUAGUUUGCACUAGAAAUCACCUGACAAAUAUGCAUAUAUGCAAUAUUUUUGGUCAUAUCCAAGGUAGUCAUGUCCUCAUCACUUAGCAAUCGCUAAACCAAUCUCCUGAGGUUACUGACGAUGCCGGAAGCACGGUCAGCCUGACCACGAAGGUCUAUUCCUGCAAGCAAUCGAAGAACGAGCAAGAAUAUGAUAAAGCAAUCUGAAUAUUGCAAAUAUAUAUGAGGUAUUGAUAAUGGUGGGGAUCCGUAAGCAGUCUUGGUCUGGUCGUUGGACACAAACGAAGUACACGAAGUUGCAAUGGCUAACUUUUAACUAAACAAAUCCCAAGGAAAAAGCUUCUAGAUGGAUCUACUUAUAUAGGAGCAAGGGGUGGCGGCCAAGGAGGUGGGAGGACGUCCCAAGGCAGCCUAAAACUAAAUCUAGGUCGUACAAGGCCAAUGGGCCCAAGUGGAGGUGAUGUAACACCUUUGGACUUGUAGUUUGACUCGGAUUCUGCUGCAGCAUCAGAUUGUUUCGUCCACAACUCAACGCUCCGGACGAAUUUGAAGGUGAUUCCAAUUGGGUUGGAAAGUGCACGAAAUCUAGUUUCCAACAAAAAAAAUCACCCAAUUCGGAGUCCGUAUGAAAAACUUGUGUGUGUUUUGAGUCAGGUAUGUCUGUGCAGUCCGAAUCUGAAUCCAGAACGUGAGAGACUUGGACUCUAUCUUCUCUUGGGCCAAAAGUGACGUGAGAGAACUUUUUGGACAGCAAAUAAGCAUCUCUUUCUUCCUUAUCUUCAUAUGUGGAUUGUACAAAUGUCCCGUACACCUGCAAUUAGGCAAAACACAAAAGUGUGUGAAGUAUUUUUGUUCUGGAUAACAUAAAUAGAUUAUUGAAUAGUUUGCACUAGAAAUCACCUGACAAAUAUGCAUAUAUGCAAUAUUUUUGGUCAUAUCCAAGGUAGUAAUGCCUCAUCAUUAGCAAUCGCUAAACCAACUCCAAGAGGUUAUUGACCACGCCGGAGCACGAUCAACCUGACCACGAAGGUCUAUUCCUCCAAGCAAUCGAAGAACAAGCAAGAAUAUGAUAAAAGCAAUCUGAAUAUGGCGAAUAUGUAUGAAGUAUUGAUAAUGGUGGGGAUCUGAAAAGUGGUCUUGGUCUGGUCGUUGGACACAAACGAAGCACACGAAGUUGCAAUGGCUAACUUUUAACUAAACAAAUCCCAAGGAAAAGCUACUAGAUGGAUCUACUUAUAUAGGAGCAAGGGGUGGCGGCCAAGGAGGUGGGAGGACGUCCCAAGGCAGCCUAAAACUAAAUCUAGGUCGUACAAGGCCAAUGGGCCCAAGUGGAGGUGAUGUAACACCUUUGGACUUAUAGUUUGACUCGGAUUCUGCUGCAGCAUCAGAUUGUUUCGUCCACAACUCAACGCUCCGGAUGAAUUUGAAGGGGAUUCCAAUUGGGUUGGAAAGUGCACAAAAUCUAGUUUCUAACAAAAAAAGAAUCACCCAAUUCGGAGUCCGUAUGAAAAACUUGUGUGCGUUUUGAGUCAGGUGUGUCUGUGCAGUCCGAAUCUGAAUCCGGAAUGUGAAAGACUUGGACUCUAUCUUCUCUUGGGCCAAAAGUGACGUGAGAGAACUUUUUGGAAAGCAAAUAAACAUCUCUUUCUUCCUUAUCUUCAUAUGUGGAUUGUACAAAUGUCCCAUACACCUGCAAUUAGACAAAACACAGAAGUGUGUGAAGUAUUUUUGUUCUGGAUAACAUAAAUAGAUUAUUGAAUAGUUUGCACUAGAAAUCACCUGACAAAUAUGCAUAUAUGCAAUAUUUUUGGUCAUAUCCAAGGUAGUCAUGUCCUCAUCAUCCUCCCCUUCUUGAAAAUAAAGCCGUCCUCGGCGUUGCUUAAUCUGAAAUGUGGCUAACAAAAGAGACAAGGUGUACAUGUUGUAUAUGUAUAUGUCAUCCAUUUUUACUUCCCUUGAUUUUUGCAUAUAUGACACAUGAAUAGAUGACUAACUUGCAUAGUUCAUAAAAUCUAAAGCCAAAAAAUUAGCACAAGAAGUAAAAGGCAUGAAAAUAUUGCAACUCAGUUUGCACAUAUAAGUGAAGCUCUUAUUCAUUUCAAAAGAUUGACAAUGUUCAUCAUUAAACCAUCCCAACAUUGGUGAAUAAACCUUACUUGCAUCAAAUUUACAUGCUACAACAUGCUUAAAUAAGCAAACAUGCAAUAAGUCAUUUAACGCAGAAUCAUCACCAAGAUUAGAGGUCAUAUCAAAAUGAUUAAACAUUGGUUCUUUUGCAUCAAUAGUUAAUUCAAUGGGUGCACUCAAAAUUGUUGGUAUUUCAGUUGUUUGAUCACAUGGCAAAGUCAAAUUAUCAACGUAGUCCUCUAAAAUAGGUGGUGUGAUCAAAGUAGUGGGUAGCUCAUCAGAUGGUGCAUUCAAAUUGACAAGGCAUUCAUCAUUCUCAUGUAGAGAUGGAAGAUCAGUACCUUUGUCAUUACCUCUUAUGAUCAACUCAGAUGAUGUAGCCACUCUCGGGGGCGAUGUGUCACAUGGUGGAGGUGAUGUAGUCCUGACAACAACGAAUGUGGUUGUCAUAGUAUGCCUAGUAGUUGAAGGAACAAUCAUAUCAACUCUUGGAAUGUGCACCGUGCGCUUGUUCUCCUCGUGGCCAACGCGUCGUUUUAUUUCCUGUUCAGCUUUGCAAGCAAGAUGAAACAAAUGGUCCAUAGGAUAACACUCUUCAUGAAUUAGUAUCUCUUGAAUAUCACGGUUUAAUCCUCCCCAAAAUCUAUCCAUAAAAUCAUCUUCACUUUCUUCUAAAGAGGAAUGCAACAAGGUAGUUUGUAAAUCAUCAUAAUAUUUUGUUACAGUUUCACUACCUUGUUUUAAGUGUUGCAACUUCUUAAUAAUGUCACGAGUAUAAUAAGCAGGGACGAAAGUAUGUCGCAUGGCAAGUUUCAAAUCAUCCCAAGUAGUAGGUAUAUAAUCAGGGUGUAACCGACAAUAUUCACUCCACCAAACCAAAGCAUAACCAGUGAAAGAACCAACCGCAACCUUAACCUUUUUAUGUUCAUUGAAAUUAUGGGAAGCAAAUAUAUUUUUUAUGUCGAACUCCCAUUCAAUAUAUAAAGCAGGUUUAAAACGGCCAUUAAAUGGUGGUAUAGAUACAUUAACCUGAUCAUGUGCAUUUGGAUGUUUGUGCACCUCUCGUGACGGUUGUGGUAUUUGCAAAGGUGGUGGCACGUCUCCCGCGAUCGACAAAGCCCAUGAAUUGACUCUGGAUCCUGUCAUGAUUAGUAGAACAAGAAACAAAACCCAAAAAUAAUGUUCCUAUAACUACUAGGAUGUGGUGGUAAAACGCUCACAGUAAAGCAAAUAUCAAUGUCUUACAAGUUCUUACCAUGCAGCAGGCGAUGAUCGGCAACCAGCGGUGUCAAGUAACUCCGAAUAUUGAGUAAAGCGAUUGCCAGGGGAGCGUACGUAUACACGGUGUAGAAAUAUGUGGAGCUGGGUUGGCUAUAUAUGGUAGCAAAAGAUUAGCAAUAAUCAAUUCAAAGAUGCAAUGUUGAAUAAACGCUCAACGACGGUACUGUGCUGGUCCUAGGCUAGACCUGAUAGAGGCGGGGGUGUCCCGAUCUUUCGAUGAGAUGAUAACUAUCGAUUUGGUGGAGACGACUUUGACGAUCCGACUACAAACGUGCACGACGUUGCGCCUUAGCAAUCGCUAAACCAAUCUCCUGAGGUUACUGAUGAUGCCGGAAGCACGAUCAGCCUGACCACGAAGGUCUAUUCCUGCAAGCAAUCGAAGAACGAGCAAGAAUAUGAUAAAGCAAUCUGAAUAUUGCAAAUAUAUAUGAGGUAUUGAUAAUGGUGGGGAUCCGUAAGCGGUCUUGGUCUGGUCGUUGGACACAAACGAAGUACACGAAGUUGCAAUGGCUAACUUUUAACUAAACAAAUCCCAAGGAAAAGCUACUAGAUGGAUCUACUUAUAUAGGAGCAAGGGGUGGCGGCCAAGGAGGUGGGAGGACGUCCCAAGGCAGCCUAAAACUAAAUCUAGGUCGUACAAGGCCAAUGGGCCCAAGUGGAGGUGAUGUAACACCUUUGGACUUGUAGUUUGACUCGGAUUCUGCUGCAGCAUCAGAUUGUUUCGUCCACAACUCAACGCUCUGGACGAAUUUGAAGGUGAUUCCAAUUGGGUUGGAAAGUGCACGAAAUCUAGUUUCCAAAAAAAAAAGAAUCACCCAAUUCGGAGUCCGUAUGAAAAACUUGUGUGCGUUUUGAGUCAGGUAUGUCUGUGCAGUCCGAAUCUGAAUCCAGAACGUGAGAGACUUGGACUCUAUCUUCUCUUGGGCCAAAAGUGACGUGAGAGAACUUUUUGGACAGCAAAUAAACAUCUCUUUCUUCCUUAUCUUCAUAUGUGCAUUGUACAAAUGUCCCAUACACCUGCAAUUAGACAAAACACAAAAGUGUGUGAAGUAUUUUUGUUCUGGAUAACAUAAAUAGAUUGUUGAAUAGUUUGCACUAGAAAUCACCUGACAAAUACGCAUAUAUGCAAUAUUUUUGGUCAUAUCCAAGGUAGUCAUGUCCUCAUCAUCCUCCCCUUCUUGAAAAUAAAGCCGUCCUCGGCGUUGCUUAAUCUGAAAUGUGGCUAACAAAAGAGACAAGGUGUACAUGUUGUAUAUGUAUAUGUCAUCCAUUUUUACUUCCCUUGAUUUUUACAUAUAUGACACAGGAAUAGAUGAGUAACUUGCAUAGUUCAUAAAAUCUAAAGCCAAAAAAUUAGCACAAGAAGUAGAAGGCAUGAAAAUAUUGCAACUCAGUUUGCACAUAUAAGUGAAGCUCUUAUUCAUUUCAAAAGAUUGACAAUGUUCAUCAUUAAACCAUCCCAACAUUGGUGAAUAAACCUUACUUGCAUCAAAUUUACAUGCUACAACAUGCUUAAAUAAGCAAACAUGCAAUAAGUCAUUCAACACAGAAUCAUCACCAAGAUUAGAGGUCAUAUCAAAAUGAUUAAACAUUGGUUCUUUUGCAUCAAUAGUUAAUUCAAUGGGUGCACUCAAAAUUGUUGGUAUUUCAGUUGUUUGAUCACAUGGCAAAGUCAAAUUAUCAACAUAGUCCUCUAAAAUAGGUGGUGUGAUCAAAGUAGUGGGUAGCUCAUCAGAUGGUGCAUUCAAAUUGACAAGGCAUUCAUCAUUCUCAUGUAGAGAUGGAAGAUCAGUACCUUUGUCAUUACCUCUUAUGAUCAACUCAGAUGAUGUAGCCACUCUCGGGGGCGAUGUGUCACAUGGUGGAGGUGAUGUAGUCCUGACAACAACAGAUGAGGUUGUCAUAGUAUGCCUAGUAGUUGAAGGAACAAUCAUAUCAACUCUUGGAAUGUGCACUGUGCGCUUGUUCUCCUCGUGGCCAACACGUCGUUUUAUUUCCUGUUCAGCUUUGCAAGCAAGAUGAAACAAAUGGUCCAUAGGAUAACACUCUUCAUGAAUUAGUAUCUCUUGAAUAUCACGGUUUAAUCCUCCCCAAAAUCUAUCCAUAAAAUCAUCUUCACUUUCUUCUAAAGAGGAAUGCAACAAGGUAGUUUGUAAAUCAUCAUAAUAUUUUGUUACAGUUUCACUACCUUGUUUUAAGUGUUGCAACUUCUUAAUCAUGUCACGAGUAUAAUAAGCAGGGACGAAAGUAUGUCGCAUGGCAAGUUUCAAAUCAUCCCAAGUAGUAGGUAUAUAAUCAGGGUGUAACCGACAAUAUUCACUCCACCAAACCAAAGCAUAACCAGUGAAAGAACCAACCGCAACCUUAACCUUUUUAUGUUCAUCGAAAUUAUGGGAAGCAAAUAUAUUUUUUAUGUCGAACUCCCAUUCAAUAUAUAAAGCAGGUUUAAAACGGCCAUUAAAUGGUGGUAUAGAUACAUUAACCUGAUCAUGUGCAUUUGGAUGUUUGUGCACCUCUUGUGACGGUUGUGGUAUUUGCAAAGGUGAUGGCACGUCUCCCGCGAUCGACAAAGCCCAUGAAUUGACUCUGGAUCCUGUCAUGAUUAGUAGAACAAGAAACAAAACCCAAAAAUAAUGUUCCUAUAACUACUAGGAUGUGGUGGUAAAACGCUCACAGUAAAGCAAAUAUCAAUGUCUUACAAGUUCUUACCAUGCAGCAGGCGGUGAUCGGCAACCAGCAGUGUCAAGUAACUCCGAAUAUUGAGUAAAGCGAUUGCCAGGGGAGCGUACGUAUACACGGUGUAGAAAUAUGUGGAGCUGGGUUGGCUAUAUAUGGUAGCAAAAGAUUAGCAAUAAUCAAUUCAAAGAUGCAAUGUUGAAUAAACGCUCAACGACGGUACUGUGCUGGUCCUAGGCUAGACCGGACUAGAGACGCGAGCCUAGAACACUAAUAAGGUCACGGCGUAGCACAACUAGCAUCAAUGAAGGAUACUAAGUAGCUCUUGACAGCAAGAUAUAAGUGAAGAUCACAACGACAGUGAAGAUAAUGAUGAAAAACAACUGCCAAGCAGGAUAUACAACAACUCUCUCUCCAACUUUCCUUUUGAAAAGUUUCAGACAAUUUUCUGAUAAAUUCUUUCAAAGAAUGCUACUAACUCAAGCUUUCCAAUGCAAAAAGAAUCACUCAAUUCCGAGUUGAUAUGAGGAGUUAAAGAAUUCUAAAACUGGCCUGAAAAAUUGGAACAAGCUGUGUUCAUGAACUUUGGAGGGCAAAAAGACCUAUUUAGAAGCCGAUUUUGAGGUGUCAAAUAUUGAACUAGCUUAUAUAACUAUAUAGAUGCGGCUCGUCGCUAGCUUCAAUUUGAGUAUUCACGGAGCCAAAACGGACUUCGUAUGAGGAAGAUACACCUGUUUUACUGAACAGUGCGCAAAACAGAUUCCAAUCUGAAUUCAGGUACGAGAUUGAUUCUAGAUAGAUCCAAUUUUUUUUCUUCUCUCUUUUUUUUCUCACGCUUUUUUUUCUUUUUCUUCUCUCUCUUUUUCUUUUUUUUUCCUUUUUUCUCUUUUUUUCUCGUUUUUUUCUCUCUCUUUUUUUCUCCCUCUUUCCAAAACAAACUAGAUAAGAUGCAGAUUGGAUCAAGUGAAGAUGUGAACGAUCUCAACUAUUAUUAUGACAAUAAACAGUGCGUAGCACGUGGAGGAAAUUGGUGGAUGGGAUUGUGGACAGCGGAUGGGAUAAUGAUGCAAUGGCUGCGUGACUAAUGUGAACAGAACUCAAAACUCUAAAGGAACUAGACACUAAGACCAGCAACUCGACACGGCGAUGCAACCGGUAAUUCAAUAAUGCAAACAAUGAAAAGAAAAUUGCAAAGGCUCAGUCUGGCUAGGACAAAGGAUGAAUAGAUCUAACUCUUUUUUGUGGCUUUUUCUUGGACAAUAGGUAAGAAAAUAAAUCUAAUCUAGGAAAACUGGAAAUUCUCACCGAGCAACCUGAAAACUGAUACCACUUGAUAGAGGCGGGGUGUCCCGAUCUUUCGAUGAGAUGAUAACUAUCGAUUUGGUGGAGACGACUUUGACGAUCCGACUACAAACGUGCAACGACGUUGUGCCUUAGCAAUCGCUAAACCAACUCCAAGAGGUUAUUGACCACGCCGGAGCACGAUCAACCUGACCACGAAGGUCUAUUCCUGCAAGCAAUCGAAAAACAAGCAAGAAUAUGAUAAAAGCAAUCUGAAUAUCGCGAAUAUGUAUGAAGUAUUGAUAAUGAUGGGGAUCUGAAAAGUGGUCUUGGUCUGGUCGUUGGACACAAACGAAGCACACGAAGUUGCAAUGGCUAACUUUUAACUAAACAAAUCCCAAGGAAAAGCUACUAGAUGGAUCUACUUAUAUAGGAGCAAGGGGUGGCGGCCAAGGAGGUGGGAGGACGUCCCAAGGCAGCCUAAAACUAAAUCUAGGUCGUACAAGGCCAAUGGGCCCAAGUGGAGGUGAUGUAACACCUUUGGACUUGUAGUUUGACUCGGAUUCUGCUGCAGCAUCAGAUUGUUUCGUCCACAACUCAACGCUCCGGACGAAUUUGAAGGUGAUUCCAAUUGGGUUGGAAAGUGCACAAAAUCUAGUUUCCAACAAAAAAAGAAUCACCCAAUUCGGAGUCUGUAUGAAAAACUUGUGUGCGUUUUGAGUCAGGUGUGUCUGUGCAGUCCGAAUCUGAAUCCAGAACGUGAGAGACUUGGACUCUAUCUUCUCUUGGGCCAAAAGUGACGUGAGAGAACUUUUUGGAAAGCAAAUAAACAUCUCUUUCUUACUUAUCUUCAUAUGUGGAUAGUACAAAUGUCCCAUACACCUGCAAUUAGACAAAACACAAAAGUGUGUGAAGUAUUUUUGUUCUGGAUAACAUAAAUAGAUUAUUGAAUAGUUUGCACUAGAAAUCACCUGACAAAUAUGCAUAUAUGCAAUAUUUUUGGUCAUAUCCAAGGUAGUCAUGUCCUCAUCAAGCUGUCAUUUCUUAAAAGUUUGGGGCUGCAACGCUUAUGUGAAAAAUUUUCUGGCAGAUAAGCUCGAACCCAAAGCGGAUAAAUGCAUCUUCAUAGGACACCCAAAACAGUUGGGUAUACCUCCUGUCUCAGAUCCGAAAGCAAUAAGGGAUUGUUUCUAGAAUCGGGUCCUUUCUCGAGGAAAAGUUUCUCUCGAAAGAAUUGAGUGGGAGGAUGGUGAAGACUUGAUGAGGUUAUCGAACCAUCUCUUCAACUAGUGUGUGGCAGGGCACAUGAAGUUGUUCCUGUGGCACCUACACCAAUUGAAGUGGAAGCUUAUGAUAGUGAUCAUGAAACUUUAAAUCAAGUCACUACCAAACCUCGUGGGAUGACAAGGAUGCGUACUACUUCAGAGUGGUACGUAAUCCUGUCUCGGAAGUCAUGUUGCUAGACAACAAUGAACCUACGAACUAUGGAGAAGCGAUGGUGGGCCUGGAUUCCAAAAUGGCUCAAGGCCAUAUAAUCCGAGAGAGGAUCCAUAUAUGAAAACAAAGUGUAGACUUUGGAAGAACUACUUGAUGGUCGUAAGGCUGUUAGGUACAUAUGGAUUUUAAAAGGAAGACGGACAAUGAUGGUAAGUAUCACCAUUGAGAAAGCUCGACUUGUCGUUAAGAUGUUUCCCGACAAGUUCAAGGAGUUGACUACGAUGAGACUUUCUCACACGUAGCGAUGCUAAAAGUCUGUUGGAAUUAUGUUAGCAGUUACUGCAUUAUUUAUGAAAUCUUGCAGACAGGAUGCCAAAACAUUGUUUCCUCAACGAUUUUCUUGAGGAAAGGUUGUAUGUGAUACAACCAGAAGGUUUUGUCAAUCCUGAAAGAUGCUAACAAGUAUGCAAAGCUCCAGCAAUCCUUCUAAGGACUGGAGUAAGCAUCUCGGAGUUGGAAUGUAUGCUUUGAUGAGAUGAUCAAAGUUUUGGGUGUAUACAAAGUUUAUGAGAAACUUGUAAUUCCAAAGAAGUGAGUGGGAGCACUAUAGAAUUUCUGAUGAGUAUAUGUUGUUGACAUAUUGUUGAUCAGAAAUGACGUAGAAUUUCUGGAAAGCAUAUAGGGUUAUUUGGAAAGUGUUUUUCAAUGGAAAGCCCGGAUUAAGCUACUUGAACAUUGAGCAUCAAGAUCCAUAAGGAUAGAUCAAAACGCUUAAUGGUACUUUCAAAUGAGCACAUACCUUGACAUGAUCUUGAAGGUGUUCAAGAUAGAUUAGUCAAAGAAGGAGUCCUUGCCUGAGUUGCAAGGUAUGAAGUUAAGACUUAAAGCUCGACCACGGCAGAAGAAAGAGGAAGGACGAAGGUCGUCCCCUAUGCUUUUGUCAUAGGCUCUAUACGGUAUGCCAUGCUGAGUACUGCACCUGAUGUGUGCCUUGACACAUAUCUGGCAAGAGGGUACAAAGGUAAUCUAGGAGUAGAUCACCAGAUAGCGGUCUAAAUUAUACUUAGAGGAAUAAGGAUAUGUUUCUCGGUUUUGGAGGUGAUAAAGAAUUCGACGUAAAGAGUUACGUCGAUGCAAGCUUAACACCUAUCCGGAUAGCUCUGAGUAGAGAUACCGGAUACGUAUAAUGGAGCAACAAUUUAGAACAGCUCCAAGUAGAACAGUUAUUUGAAAUGGCUCCAAAUGUAGCGUAGUAGUUGCAUCCACAAGAUGACAUAGAAAUUUGCGAAGUACAUACGGAUCUGAAUGUUGCAGACCCGUUGACUGAAACCUCUCUCACAAGCAUAACAUGAUCAAACCCAGAACUCUUUGGGUGUUAGUCACAUGGGGAUGUGACUUUGAGUGUUAAUCACAUAGCGAUGUGAACUGGAUUAUUGACUCUAGUGAAAGUGGGAGACUGUUGGAAAUAUGCCCUAGAGGCAAUAAUAAAUUGGUUAUUAUUAUAUUUCCUUGUUCAUGAUAAUCGUUUAUUAUCCAUGCUAGAAUUGUAUUGAUAGGAAACUCAGAUACAUGUAUGGAUAGAUAGACAACACCAUGUCCCCGGUAAGCCUCUAGUUGACUAGCUCGUUGAUCAAUAGAUGGUUACAGUUUCCUGACCAUGGACAUUGGAUGUCGUUAAUAACGGGAUCACAUCAUUAGGAGAAUGAUGUGAUGGACAAGACCCAAUCCUAAGCCUAGCACAAGAUCAUGUAGUUCGUAUGCUAAAGCUUUUCUAAUGUCAAGUAUCAUUUCCUUAGACCAUGAGAUUGUGCAACUCCCGGAUACCGUAGGAGUGCUUUGGGUGUGCCAAAGGUCACAACAUAACUGGGUGGCUAUAAAGGUACAUUACAGGUAUCUUUGAAAGUGUCUGUUGGGUUGGCAUGAAUGGAGACUGGGAUUUGUCACUCCGUGUAAAUGGGGAGGUAUCUCUGGGCCCACUCAGUAGGACAUCAUCAUAAUGUGCACAAUGUGAUCAAGGAGUUGAUCACGGGAUGAUGUGUUACGGAACGAGUAAAAGAGACUUGCCAGUAACGAGAUUGAACAAGGUAUCGGGAUACCGACGAUCGAAUAUCGGGCAAGUAUCGUACCGCUAGACAAAGGGAAUUGUAUACGGGAUUGAUUAAGUCCUUGACAUCGUGGUUCAUCCGAUGAGAUCAUCGUGGAACAUGUGGGAGCCAACAUGGGUAUCUAGAUCCCGCUGUUGGUUAUUGACCGAAGAGUUAUCUCGGUCAUGUCUGCAUGGUUCCCGAACCCGUAGGGUCUACACACUUAAGGUUCGAUGACGCUAGGGUUAUAGGGAAUAAAUAUACGUGGUUACCGAAUGUUGUUCGGAGUCCCGGAUGAGAUCCCGGACGUCACGAGGAGUUCCGGAAUGGUCCGGAGGUAAAGAUUGAUAUAUAGGAAGUAUGGUUUUGGCCACCGGAAGUGUUCCGGGCAUCACCAGUGGUGUACCGGGACCACCGGAGGGGUCCGGGGGUCCACCAGGUGGGGCCACCAGCCCCGGCGGCCUACAUGGGCCAAUAGUGGGAAGGGACCAGCCCCUAGGUGGGUUGGGGCACCUCCCACCAAGGCCCAAGGCGCCUCCAAGAGGGGAAGGGGGCAAACCCUAGGGCAGAUGGGCAAGGCCCACCCCAGGUGCGCCUUCCCCUCUCCCCCUUGUGGCCGCCACCCAGAUGGGAUCUGGGGGCUGCCGCCACCCCUAGGGAGGGAACCCUAGGUGGGGGCGCAGCCCCUCCCCUUCCCCUAUAUAUACUUGAGGUAUUGGAGAGUGCAUGACACACGAGUUCCUCUCCUUCUUGACGCAGCCCUACCCCUCUCCCUCCUCGUCUCUUGCGGUGCUUGGCGAAGCCCUGCUGGAGUACCAUGCUCCUCCAUCACCACCACGUCGUUGUGCUGCUGCUGGAUGGAGUCUUCCUCAAUCUCUCCCUCUCUCCUUGCUGGAUCAAGGCAUGGGAGACGUCACCGGGCUGUACGUGUGUUGAACACGGAGGUGCCGUCCGUUUGGCACUAGGAUCAUCGGUGAUUUGGAUCACGACGAGUACGACUCCUUCAACCCCGUUCUCUUGAACGCUUCCGCGUAGCGAUCUACAAGGGUAUGUAGAUUCACUAUCCUUCCCCUCAUUGCUGGUCUCUCCAUAGAUAGAUCUUGGUGACACGUAGAAAAAUUUUGAAUUUCUGCUACGUUGCCCAUCAGUUGAUGCACAAGCAGUGAUUGUUGGAUGUCCAUCCAACGCCCGUCGUGCUUCUUCAAUCUCUGAUCUUCCUGCUCCAGCCGCUCAAGCAAGCGCCGGCGAGACUGCCUGCUCUCUCCUACCCGCGGUCGGCUGUGCUGCCGCGCAGGCCUCACCACCCCACCAUACUCCCAUCGCUGGCCUAGCCAUCCCUCUACUAAACCACACCUGCUGUUAUUCUCCGGUGACGGCAAACGAAUCAGUAAACCCUCGUACAGUCAUACUCCCCUCCGCGUGGGAAACAACUGCCGAGUCUUCCCUGCCUCCGUGUCAUUCCCUUCCUAGGCCUCACCGUCGUCCACCGCCCUAGUGCUCUCAGCACGGCCUGGUCAACGUGGUCAACGACCGACAUGCAUCUGAAGUGGACUAUACGUGGAGAGGCUGACAGCUGGGUCCAUGGCCGCAUACAAGGAAAUGCCUCCUUAUUAUGUGCAAAAUAAUGAUUCAUCCACCUGACAUCUGGGAUCCACCGAAACGGCCUCUGUAUUUCACGAAAAAAACGUUACCGCCGCUAAUAGCUUGGACCCACCAGCUAUAUCUUCGCAUGCAAGGAAGUGCCUCCUUAUUACGCAUAAAAAAUGAAUACUCCCCCUGCUAGCUGGGACCCAGUAUAGUGGCAGGCUGACUUGUCGGCCUACUAAGUUGAUGGGGACGGAGGGCUUUGUCAACUUAGUCAAUAUGCAUGAUUCUAGCUCCAGUGACCGUACGAUGUCCAUCCAACGGACCUAGUGCUUCUUCAAUGAUGAGGACAUGCCUACCUUGGAUAUGACGAAAAAUAUUGCAUAUAUGCAUAUUUGUCAGGUGAUUUCUAGUGCAAACUAUUCAAUAAUCUAUUUACGUUAUCCAGAACAAAAGUACUUCACACACUUUUGUGUUUUGUCUAAUUGCAGGUGUAUGGGACAUUUGUACAAUCCACAUAUGAAGAUAAGGAAGAAAGAGAUGUUUAUUUGCUGUCCAAAAAGUUCUCUCACGUCACUUUUGGCCCAAGAGAAGAUAGAGUCCAAGUCUCUCACAUUCUGGAUUCAGAUUCGGACUGCACAGACAUACCUGACUCAAAACGCACACAAGUUUUUCAUACAGACUCCGAAUUGGGUGAUUCUUUUUUUGUUGGAAACUAGAUUUCGUGCACUUUCCAACCCAAUUGGAAUCAUCUUCAAAUUCGUCCGGAGCGUUAAGUUGUGGACGAAACAAUCUGAUGCUGCAGCAGAAUCCGAGUCAAACUACAAGUCCAAAGGUGUUACAUCACCUCCACUUGGGCCCAUUGGCCUUGUACGACCUAGAUUUAGUUUUAGGCUGCCUUGGGACGUCCUCCCACCUCCUUGGCCGCCACCCCUUGCUCCUAUAUAAGUAGAUCCAUCUAGUAGCUUUUUCCUUGGGAUUUGUUUAGUUAAAAGUUAGCCAGUGCAACUUCGUGUACUUCGUUUGUGUCCAACGACCAGACCAAGACCGCUUACGGAUCCCCACCAUUAUCUAUACUUCAUAUAUAUUUGCAAUAUUCAGAUUGCUUUAUCAUAUUCUUGCUCGUUCUUCGAUUGCUUGCAGGAAUAGACCUUCGUGGUCAGGUUGAUCGUGCUCCAGCGUGGUCAAUAACCUCUCGGAGUUGGUUUAGCGAUUGCUAAGGCGCAACGUCGUGCACGUUUGUAGUCAGAUCGUGAAAGUCGUCUCCACCAAAUCGAUAGUUAUCAUCUCAUCGAAAGAUCGGGACACCCUCGCCUUUAUCAAGUGGUAUCAGUUUUCAGGUUGCUCGGUGAGAAUUUCCAGUUUUUCCUAGAUUAGAUUUAUUUUCUUACCUAUUGUCCAAGAAAAAGCCACAAAACAAAAGUUAGAUCUAUUCAUCCUUUGUCCUAGCCAGACUGAGCCUUUGCAAUUUUCUUUUCAUUGUUUGCAUUAUUGAAUUAUCGGUUGCAUCGCCGUGUCGAGUUGCUGGUCUUAGUGUCUAGUUCCUUUAGAGUUUCCAGUUCUGUUCACAUUAGUCACGCCGCCGCUGCAUCAUUAUCCGUUCCGUUGUCCACCAUCCCAUCUAUUAAUUUCCACCACGUGCUAUGCACUGUUCAUUGUCAUAAUCAUAGUUGAGGUCAUUCACAUCUUCGCCUGAUCCAAUCUGCAUCUUAUCUAGUUUGUCUUGGAAAGAGGGAGAAAAAAAAGAUAGAGAAAAAAAAAGAGAAAAAAAAGGAAAGAAAAAGAGAGAGAAGAAAAAAAAGCGUGAGAAAAAAAGAGAGAAGAAAAAAAAAUUGGAUCUAUCUAGAAUCAAUCUCGUACCUGAAUUCGGAUUGGAAUCUGUUUUGCGCACUGUUCAGUAAAACAGGUGUAUCUUCCUCAUACGAAGUCCGUUUUGACUCCGUGAGUACUCAAAUUGAAGCUAGCAACGAGCCGCAUCUAAAUAGUUGCAGAAGCUAGUUCAAUAUUUGACACCUCAAAGUCGACUUCCACCAAAGCGAAAUCCACCAUCUCAUCGAAAGACGGGACACCUCCGCCUCUAUCAUUCAACCUCUGGUCUUCUUGCUCCAGCCGCCCAAACCAGCGCCGAUCGUGCCUCGUGCUCCUGCCUCCCGUGGUCGGCUGCGAUGCGGUGGAGGCAUCAACGCCCCCUACUACUCCCACCACUGGCCAGGCCAUCCCUUUACUCACCCACACCCCCUGUUAUUCUGCGGCGACGGCAGCCUCACACCGCAGCGAACCAGUGAACCCUCGUACUCCUCUCCGCUUGGGCAUCCACUGCCGCGUCUUCCCUGGCUCCGCGUCGUCCCCUUCCUAGGCCUCACUAUCGUCCACCGCCCUGGUGCUCUCGGCGCGGCGUGGUCAACGUGGUCAAGGAACAACUUCCAUCGGAAGAGUACUGUACGUGGAGAAGCUAACAGCUGGGUCCACGGAAGCCGCAAGGAAGUGCCUCCUUAUUACGCGAAAAAUAAUUAUUCCUCCACCUGACAGCAGGGACCCACCGGACGGGCCACCGUAUUUGGCGAAAAAAUGUUUCCCCCUGACUGCUGGGACCCACCGGACGGUCCAACGUAUUUCGCGAAAAACGUUCCCCCCGCUGUCAGCUCGGACCCACCGGAGGUGCCUCCUUAUUACGCACAAAAAAAUGAAUACCCCCCUGCUAGUUGGGACCCACCUUGGUGGGAGGCUGACUUGUGGGCCUACUAAGUUGACGGGGACGGAGUGCUUUGUCAACUUAGUCAAUAUGAACGAUUCUAGCUCCAGUGACCGUACGAUGUCCAUCCAACGGCCGUAGUGCUUCUUCAACCUCUGGUCUUCUCGCUCCAGCCUCCCAAACCAGCGCCGAUCAUGCCUAGUGCUCCUGCCUUCCGUGGCCGGCUGCGAUGCGGCGGAGGCCUCACCGCACCCUACUACUCCCACUGCUAGCCAGGCCAUCCCUCUACUCACCCACACCCCCUGUUAUUCUACGGCGACGGCAGCCUCACACCGCAGCGAACCAGUGAACCAUCAUACUCCUCUACGCGUAGGCAUCCACUGUCGCGUCUUCCCCGGCUCCGCGUCGUCCCCUUCCUAGGCCUCGUCGUUGUCCACCGCCCUGGUGCUCUCGGCGCGGCGUGGUCAACGUGGUCAAGGAACGGCUUCCAUCGGACGUGGAUUGUACGUGGAGAGGCUAACAGUUGGGUCCAUGGCCGCAGCAAGGAAGUGCCUCCUUAUUACGCGCAAAAUAAUUAUUCCUCCACCUGACAGCAGGGACCAAGAAACGAAAGUACCUGAUAAUUUAAUUGGCGUGCGCGAGCUCUAGUAAUUGGUCCCAUAUAUGUAGCAGUAGGGGCUGUGGGUGUAACAAUGGUAUUGAUGUCCUAAUCAUCCUCCCCUUCUUGAAAUGAAGUCGUCCUCGACGGAAACUCAUCUUCCUCACCCAAAUAAGGCUUCAAAUCUGCAAUGUUAAAAGUGGGACUAACCCCAAAAUCUGCAGGCAGCUCAAGUUUAUAUGCAUUAUCAUUUAUUUUCUCUAACACCUUAAAGGGACCAUCAGCACGUGGCAUUAGUUUUGAUUUGCGCAAAUCAGGAAAUCUAUCCUUAUGCAAAUGUAACCAAACAAGAUCUCCAGGUGCAAACACAACAUGUUUUCUACCCUUAUCUCCAGCAAGUUUAUAUUUAGCAUUCAUACGCUCAAUGUUUUCCUUAGUUAACUCAUGCAUUUUUAAAAUCAAUUCAGCACGUUGUUUAGCAUCAAAAUUAACCUUCUCCGAAGAUGGAAGAGGCAACAAAUCAAUAGGUGCACAAGGUAGGAAACCAUACACAACUUCAAAAGGCACAUCUUAGUAGUAGAAUGCAAUGAACGAUUAUAAGCAAAUUCAGUAUGAGGCAAGCAUUCCUCCCACAUUUUCUUAUUAUUCUUCAAAACAGCCCUAAGCAUAGUAGACAACGUUCUAUUGACUACUUCAGUUUGUCCAUCAGUUUGGGGGUGACAAGUAGUACUAAAAAGCAGUUUAGUCCCCAACUUAGCCCAUAAACAUCUCCAAAAGUGGCUAAGAAAUUUAGUAUCACGAUCUGAAACAAUAGUAUUUGGCACACCAUGCAAGCGAAUAAUUUCACGAAAGAACAAAUCAGCAACAUUAACAGCAUCAUCGCUUUUAUGACAUGGUAUAAAGUGUGCCAUUUUCGAGAAUCUAUCCACAACAACAAAUAUGCUAUCCCUCCCCUUCUUUGUUCGAGGUAAACCUAAAACAAAGUCCAUAGAUAUAUCCUCCCAAGGAACACUAGGUACAGGCAAAGGCAUAUAUAAACCAUGAGGAUUGAGUCGUGACUUAGCUUUUUGACAUGUAGUGCAGCGAGCAAUAAAACGCUCAACAUCCCGUCUCAUCUUUGGCCAAAAGAAAUGUGUAGCAAGUACGUCCUCCGUCUUCUUCACGCCAAAGUGUCCCAUUAAUCCUUCUCCAUGCGCCUCCUGCAACAACAAAAGACGAAUGGAGCUAGCUGGAAUGCAUAGCUUGUUAGCACGAAACACAAAUCCAUCGUUAACAACAAACUUGUUCCACAUUCUUCCUUCUUUACAAUUCUGCAUUACAUCUUUAAAGUCAGCAUCAUGCACAUAUUGAUCUUUGAUGGUCUCCAAACCAAAUAUUUUGAAGUCAAGUUGUGAAAGCAUAGUAUAGCGACGAGACAAUGCAUCAGCAAUAACAUUUUCUUUUCCCUUCUUGUGUUUAAUGACAUAAGGGAAAGUCUCAAUGAAUUCCACCCAUUUAGCAUGUCUACGAUUCAGUUUAGCUUGACUUUUAAUAUGUUUCAAAGAUUCAUGAUCAGAAUGUAUAACAAAUUCUUUGGGCCAUAAAUAAUGUUGCCAUGUUUCUAAAGUCCGAACAAGAGCAUAUAAUUCUUUAUCAUAAGUAGAAUAAUUCAGACUAGGCCCACUCAAUUUUUCAGAAAAGUAUGCAACAAGUUUGCCAUCUUGUAAUAACACACCGCCUAAUCCAAUUCCACUAGCAUCACAUUCAAGCUCAAAAGUCUUAUUAAAAUCAGGAAGUUGGAGUAAAGGAGCAUGUGUCAACUUAUCUUUCAAUACCGAGAAGGCUUCUUCCUGUGCGGUACCCCAAAGAAAAGGCACAUCUUUCUUUGUAAGCUCAUUGAGAGGUGCAGCAAUGGUGCUGAAAUCUCUCACAAAACGCCUAUAGAAUCCAGCGAGGCCAAGAAAACUCCUCACUUGUGUGACCGUUUUGGGCUGCGGCCAACUCUCAAUAGCUUCAAUCUUGGCUUUAUCAACUUCAAUUCCCUAUGGAGUAACAACAUAGCCAAGAAAAGAUACUCGGUCGGUGCAAAAGGUGCACUUCCCAAGGUUACCAAACAAACGUGCAUCACGUAGAGCAAUAAAAACAGCACGUAAAUGUUCCAAAUGUUCUUCCAAAGAUCCGCUAUAAAUCAAUAUGUCAUCAAAGUAAACUACCACAAAUCGUCCAAUGAAAGCACGUAAAACUUCGUUCAUUAAUCUCAUGAAAGUACUAGGUGCAUUAGUUAACCCAAAAGGCAUGACUAACCACUCAUAUAAUCCAAACUUAGUUUUGAAUGCUGUUUUCCAUUCAUCUCCCAAUUUCAUACGAAUUUGAUGGUAUCCACUACGCAAAUCAACUUUGGAGAAUAUUGUAGAGCCACUCAAUUCAUCAAGCAUAUCAUCUAGCCUAGGAAUAGGAUGACGAUAAUGAAUAGUAAUAUCAUUAAUGCCUCUACAAUCAACACACAUACGUGAUGUACCAUCCUUUUUCGGCACUAGAAUAAUAGGAACAGCACAAGGACUAAGGGAUUCGCGUAUAUAACCUUUGUCGAGAAGCUCUUGUACUUGACGCAUAAUCUCCUUCGUCUCCUCUGGAUUGGUACGGUAUGGUGCACGGUUUGGCAGUGAAACACCGGGAAUUAAGUCAAUCUGAUGCUCAAUCCCUCGAAUAGGCGGUAAUCCCGGUGGCACCUCUUGUGGAAAGACGUCAGCGAACUCCUGCAAAAUGUUAGUGACAGCAGGAGGCAAAGAGGAAGGCACGUCCUCGAAUGAAAAUAAUGCCUCUUUGCACACAAAAGCAUAGCAAACAGAUUUGCUGAAAUCUAGCUCAUCAAUAUCAGAUUUGGUGGCAAAUAAACAUGCACUUUUCAAUUUAAUUUCAGAAGCAACACUAGAUGGUUUAUUAUUAGGCUUCAUUUGUUGCUCAAAUUCUUUUGCCACAAUCUGAUUUUCAUUCUUAUUCGUCUCCUGUUUUGCUUUAUUAGCUCUAUUAAUAUCAUCUUUCAAAAUGGAAUCAGGAGUCAUAGGAAGCAAAGUAAUAUUUUUAUCCUUAUGAACAAGAGUAUAGUGAUUGUUUCUACCAUGGUGUACAGAAUUUUUAUCAAAUUGCCAUGGUCUACCAAGUAAUAAGGAACAUGCUUGCAUAGGUACCACAUCACAAUCAACAUAAUCAGCAUAUGUAGAGAUACUAAAAUGCACACGAACAGUACGUGUUACCUUAACCUUGCCGCUGUUGUUGAACCAUUGGAUGUAGUAAGGAUGUGGAUGUGGUCUUGUGGUGAGAGAAAGCUUCUCCACCAUCUCCAUGCUAGCCAAGUUGUUGCAGCUCCCUCUGAUAGAGGCAAAGGUGUCCCGUCUUUCGAUGAGAUGGUGGAUUUCGCUUUGGUGGAAGUCGACUUUGACGAUCCGACUACGAACGUGCGAGGACGUCGCGCCUUAGCAAUCGCUAAACCAACUCCGAGAGGUUAUUGACCACGCCGGAGCACGAUCAACCUGACCACGAGGGUCUGUUUCCUGCGAGCAAACGAAGAACAAGCAAGAAACUAAGAUUGCAAUCUGGAUAUUGCGAAUAUAAGAUGAAAGCUUUAUUGAUCAAGGUGGGGUUCUGUGACGCCUUUGUCUGGUCGUUGAACACAAACGAAGUACGCGAAGUUGCAGCUAUGGCGAACUUUUAAUCUAAACAAAACCCAAAGUCUAAACGAUGCCCUAAGGGCUGUAUAUAUGGAGGAAGAGGGGGGAAUUUCGUGGCCCUUGGUGGAGGGGUCUGAAAUCAACCCUAUCCCUUGUUUCCCCACACAUACGGACUCUAAAAAUAGCCUAUACUUAUGUAUUUCGAAAUUACAUGGGCCUGGCCCAAUAAUAAGGUGACGCAGCACCUAAAAUAGCCUCGGGACGAAAUUUAUGAAGUGGCAUCUUGUAUAUUUCAUCCAAGGCUUCAUGCACCCAUUAUGGUGGCUUCAAAGUCCUGAAAUCAUCACUUGUAACUCCGUUCUUGUUCCCCUUGCGCAUGCCAUCAUCUCCAUGCUUGUUCUUGCUCCAAUAUUCAUCCUUCUCCAAGCUAGACCCUUCAUUUGUAAGCAAAACAAAUGUAUCCAAUUUAGGCAGCAUCAUAUUCUCAUGAACAUUAGAAUCAUUACCAAGAAACGAAAGUACCUGGUAAUUUAGUUGGCGUGCACGAGCUCUAGUAAUUAGUCCAGUAUGUAUAGCAGCAGGGGCUGUGGGUGUAACAAUUGUAUUGAUGUCCUCAUCAUCCUCCCCUUCUUGAAAUGAAGUCGUCCUCGACGGAAGUUCAUCUUCCUCACCCAAAUAAGGCUUCAAAUCUGCAAUGUUAAAAGUGGGACUAACCCCAAAAUCUGCAGGCAGCUCAAGUUUAUAUGCAUUAUCAUUUAUUUUCUCUAACACCUUAAAGGGACCAUCAGCACGUGGCAUUAGCUUUGAUUUGCGCAAAUCAGGAAAUCUAUCCUUACGCAAAUGUAACCAAACAAGAUCUCCAGGUGCAAACACAACAUGUUUUCUACCCUUAUCUCCAGCAAGUUUAUAUUUAGCAUUCAUACGCUCAAUGUUUUCCUUAGUUAACUCAUGCAUUUUUAAAAUCAAUUCAACAUGUUGUUUAGCAUCAAAAUUAACCUUCUCCGAAGAUGGAAGAGGCAACAAAUCAAUAGGUGCACGAGGUAGGAAACCAUACACAACUUCAAAAGGGCACAUCUUAGUAGUAGAAUGCAAUGAACGAUUAUAAGCAAAUUCAAUAUGAGGCAAGCAUUCCUCCCACAUUUUCUUAUUAUUCUUCAAAACAGCCCUGAGCAUAGUAGACAACGUUCUAUUGACUACUUCAGUUUGUCCAUCAGUUUGGGGUUGGCAAGUAGUACUAAAAAGCAGUUUAGUCCCCAACUUAGCCCAUAAACAUCUCCAAAAGUGGCUAAGAAAUUUAGUAUCACGAUCUGAAACAAUAGUAUUUGGCACACCAUGCAAGCGAAUAAUUUCACGAAAGAACAAAUCAGCAACAUUAACAGCAUCAUCGCUUUUAUGACAUGGUAUAAAGUGUGCCAUUUUCGAGAAUCUAUCCACGACAACAAAUAUGCUAUCCCUCCCCUUCUUUGUUCGAGGUAAACCUAAAACAAAGUCCAUAGAUAUAUCCUCCCAAGGAACACUAGGUACAGGCAAAGGCAUAUAUAAACCAUGAGGAUUGAGUAAUGACUUAGCUUUUUGACAUGUAGUGCAUCGAGCAAUAAAACGCUCAACAUCCCGUCUCAUCUUUGGCCAAAAGAAAUGUGUAGCAAGUACGUCCUCCGUCUUCUUCACGCCAAAGUGUCCCAUUAAUCCUCCUCCAUGCGCCUCCUGCAACAACAAAAGACGAACGGAGCUAGCUGGAAUGCAUAGCUUGUUAGCACGAAACACAAAUCCAUCGUUAACGACGAACUUGUUCCACAUUCUUCCUUCUUUACAAUUCUGCAUUACAUCUUUAAAAUCAGCAUCAUGCACAUAUUGAUCUUUGAUGGUCUCCAAACCAAAUAUUUUGAAGUCAAGUUGUGAAAGCAUAGUAUAGCGGCGAGACAAUGCAUCAGCAAUAACAUUUUCUUUUCCCUUCUUGUGUUUAAUGACAUAAGGGAAAGUCUCAAUGAAUUCAACCCAUUUAGCAUGUCUACGAUUCAGUUUAGCUUGACUUUUAAUAUGUUUCAAAGAUUCAUGAUGAGAAUGUAUAACAAAUUCUUUGGGCCAUAAAUAAUGUUGCCAUGUUUCUAAAGUCCGAACAAGAGCAUAUAAUUCUUUAUCAUAAGUAGAAUAAUUCAGACUAGGCCCACUCAAUUUUUCAGAAAAGUAUGCAACAGGUUUGCCAUCUUGUAAUAACACACCUCCUAAUCCAAUUCCACUAGCAUCACAUUCAAGCUCAAAAGUCUUAUUAAAAUCAGGAAGUUGGAGUAAAGGAGCAUGUGUCAACUUAUCUUUCAAUACCGUGAAGGCUUCUUCCUGUGCGGUACCCCACAGAAAAGGCACAUCUUUCUUUGUAAGCUCAUUGAGAGGUGCAGCAAUGGUGCUGAAAUCUCUCACAAAACGCCUAUAGAAUCCAGCGAGGCCAAGAAAACUCCUCACUUGUGUGACCGUUUUGGGUUGCGGCCAACUCUCAAUAGCUUCAAUCUUGGCUUUAUCAACUUCAAUUCCCUGUGGAGUAACAACAUAGCCAAGAAAAGAUACUCGGUCAGUGCAAAAGGUGCACUUCCCAAGGUUACCAAACAAACGUGCAUCACGUAGAGCAAUAAAAACAGCACGUAAAUGUUCCAAAUGUUCUUCCAAAGAUCUGCUAUAAAUCAAUAUGUCAUCAAAGUAAACUACCACAAAUCAUCCAAUGAAAGCACGUAAAACUUCGUUCAUUAAUCUCAUGAAAGUACUAGGUGCAUUAGUUAACCCAAAAGGCAUGACUAACCACUCAUAUAAUCCAAACUGAUAGAGGCGAGGAUGUCCCGAUCUUUCGAUGAGAUGAUAACUAUUGAUUUGGUGGAGACGACUUUGACGAUCCGACUACAAACGUGCACGACGUUGUGCCUUAGCAAUCGCUAAACCAACUCCGAGAGGUUAUUGACCACGCUGGAGCACGAUCAACCUGACCACGAAGGUCUAUUCCUGCAAGCAAUCGAAGAACGAGCAAGAAUAUGAUAAAGCAAUCUGAAUAUUGCGAAUAUAUAUGAAGUAUAGAUAAUGGUGGGGAUCCGAAAAGUGGUCUUGGUCUGGUCGUUGGACACAAAUGAAGCACGCGAAGUUGCAAUGGCUAACUUUUAACUAAACAAAUCCCAAGGAAAAGCUACUAGAUGGAUCUACUCUAUCUUGUCUUGGGCCAAAAGUGACGUGAGAGAACUUUUUGGACAGCAAAUAAACAUCUCUUUCUUCCUUAUCUUCAUAUGUGGAUUGUACAAAUGUCCCAUACACCUGCAAUUAGACAAAACACAAAAGUGUGUGAAGUAUUUUUGUUCUGGAUAACAUAAAUAGAUUAUUGAAUAGUUUGCACUAGAAAUCACCUGACAAAUAUGCAUAUAUGCAAUAUUUUUGGUCAUAUACAAGGUAGUCAUGUCCUGAUCAUCCUCCCCUUCUUGAAAAUAAAGCCGUCCUCGGCGUUGCUUAAUCUGAAAUGUGGCUAACAAAAGAGACAAGGUGUACAUGUUGUAUAUGUAUAUGUCAUCCAUUUUUACUUCCCUUGAUUUUUGCAUAUAUGACACAUGAAUAGAUGAGUAACUUGCAUAGUUCAUAAAAUCUAAAGCCAAAAAAUUAGCACAAGAAGUAGAAGGCAUGAAAAUAUUGCAACUCAGUUUGCACAUAUAAGUGAAGCUCUUAUUCAUUUCAAAAGAUUGACAAUGUUCAUCAUUAAACCAUCCCAACAUUGGUGAAUAAACCUUACUUGCAUCAAAUUUACAUGCUACAACAUGCUUAAAUAAGCAAACAUGCAAUAAGUCAUUUAACACAGAAUCAUCACCAAGAUUAGAGGUCAUAUCAAAAUGAUUAAACAUUGGUUCUUUUGCAUCAAUAGUUAAUUCAAUGGGUGCAUUCAAAAUUGUUGGUAUUUCAGUUGUUUGAUCACAUGGCAAAGUCAAAUUAUCAACGUAGUCCUCUAAAAUAGGUGGUGUGAUCAAAGUAGUGGGUAGCUCAUCAGAUGGUGCAUUCAAAUUGACAAGGCAUUCAUCAUUCUCAUGUAGAGAUGGAAGAUCAGUACCUUUGUCAUUACCUCUUAUGAUCAACUCAGAUGAUGUAGCCACUCUCGGGGGCGAUGUGUCACAUGGUGGAGGUGAUGUAGUCCUGACAACAACGGAUGUGGUUGUCAUAGUAUGCCUAGUAGUUGAAGGUACAAUCAUAUCAACUCUUGAAAUGUGCAUCGUGCGCUUGUUCUCCUCGUGGCCAACACGUCGUUUUAUUUCCUGUUCAGCUUUGCAAGCAAGAUGAAACAAAUGGUCCAUAGGAUAACACUCUUCAUGAAUUAGUAUCUCUUGAAUAUCACGGUUUAAUCCUCCCCAAAAUCUAUCCAUAAAAUCAUCUUCACUUUCUUCUAAAGAGGAAUGCAACAAGGUAGUUUGUAAAUCAUCAUAAUAUUUUGUUACAGUUUCACUACCUUGUUUUAAGUGUUGCAACUUCUUAAUCAUGUCACGAGUAUAAUAAGCAGGGACGAAAGUAUGUCGCAUGGCAAGUUUCAAAUCAUCCCAAGUAGUAGGUAUAUAAUCAGGGUGUAACCGACAAUAUUCACUCCACCAAACCAAAGCAUAACCAGUGAAAGAACCAACCGCAACCUUAACCUUUUUAUGUUCAUCGAAAUUAUGGGAAGCAAAUAUAUUUUUUAUGUCGAACUCCCAUUCAAUAUAUAAAGCAGGUUUAAAACGGCCAUUAAAUGGUGGUAUAGAUACAUUAACCUGAUCAUGUGCAUUUGGAUGUUUGUGCACCUCUCGUGACGGUUGUGGUAUUUGCAAAGGUGGUGGCACGUCUCCCGCGAUCGACAAAGCCCAUGAAUUGACUCUGGAUCCUAUCAUGAUUAGUAGAACAAGAAACAAAACCCAAAAUGGAUCAAGUGAAGAUGUGAACGAUCUCAACUAUUAUUAUGACAAUGAAUGGUGGGUAGCACGUGGUGGAAAUUGAUGGAUGGGUGGUGGACAGCGGAAGAGAUAAUGAUGCAGCGGUGGCGUGACUAAUGUGAACAGAACUCGAAACUCUAAACGAACUAGACACUAAGACCAGCAACUCGACACGACGAUGCAACCGAUAAUUCAACUAUGCAAGAAAUGAAAAGAAAAUUGCAAAGGCUCAGACUGGCUUGGACCAAGGAUGAAUAGAUCUAACAUCUUUUUUUUGUGGCUUUUUCUUGGACAAUAGGUAAGAAAAUAAAUCUAAUCUAGGAAAACUGGAAAUUCUCACCGAGCAACCUGAAAACUGAUACCACUUGAUAGAGGCGAGGAUGUCCCGAUCUUUCGAUGAGAUGAUAACUAUCGAUUUGGUGGAGACGACUUUGACGAUCCGACUACAAACGUGCACGACGUUGCGCCUUAGCAAUCGCUAAACCAACUCCGAGAGGUUAUUGACCACGCUGGAGCACUAUCAACCAGACCACGAAGGUCUAUUCCUGCAAGCAAUCGAAGAACGAGCAAGAAUAUGAUAAAGCAAUCUGAAUAUUGCGAAUAUAUAUGAAGUAUAGAUAAUGGUGGGGAUCCGAAAAGUGGUCUUGGUCUGGUCGUUGGACACAAACGAAGCACGCGAAGUUGCAAUGGCUAACUUUUAACUAAACAAAUCCCAAGGAAAAGCUACUAGAUGGAUCUACUUAUAUAGGAGCAAGGGGUGGCGGCCAAGGAGGUGGGAAGACGUCCCAAGGCAGCCUAAAACUAAAUCUAGGUCGUACAAGGCCAAUGGGCCCAAGUGGAGGUGAUGUAACACCUUUGGACUUGUAGUUUGACUCGGAUUCUGCUGCAGCAUCAGAUUGUUUCGUCCACAACUCAACGCUCCGGACGAAUUUGAAGGUGAUUCCAAUUGGGUUGGAAAGUGCACGAAAUCUAGUUUCCAACAAAAAAAAGAAUCACCCAAUUCGGAGUCCGUAUGAAAAACUUGUGUGCGUUUUGAGUCAGGUAUGUCUGUGCAGUCCGAAUCUGAAUCCAGAACGUGAGAGACUUGGACUCUAUCUUGUCUUGGGCCAAAAGUGACGUGAGAGAAUUUUUUGGACAGCAAAUAAACAUCUCUUUCUUCCUUAUCUUCAUAUGUGGAUUGUACAAAUGUCCCAUACACCUGCAAUUAGACAAAACACAAAAGUGUGUGAAGUAUUUUUGUUCUGGAUAACAUAAAUAGAUUAUUGAAUAGUUUGCACUAGAAAUCACCUGACAAAUAUGCAUAUAUGCAAUAUUUUUGGUCAUAUACAAGGUAGUCAUGUCCUCAUCACAAACUUAGUUUUGAAUGCUGUUUUCCAUUCAUCUCCCAAUUUUAUACGAAUUUGAUGGUAUCCACUACGCAAAUCAACUUUAGAGAAUAUUGUAGAGCCACUCAAUUCAUCAAGCAUAUCAUCCAGCCUAGGAAUAGGAUGAUGAUAAUGAAUAGUAAUAUUAUUAAUGCCUCUACAAUCAACACACAUACGUGAUGUACCAUCCUUUUUCGGCACUAGAAUAAUAGGAACAACACAAGGACUAAGGGAUUCACGUAUAUAACCUUUAUCGAGAAGCUCUUGUACUUGACGCAUAAUCUCCUUCGUCUCCUCUGGAUUGGUACGGUAUGGUGCACGGUUUGGCAGUGAAGCACCGGGAAUUAAGUCAAUCUGAUGCUCAAUCCCUCGAAUAGGCGGUAAUCCCGGUGGCACGUCUUAUGGAAAAACGUCAGCGAACUCCUGCAAAAUGUUAGUGACAGCAGGAGGCAAAGAGGAAGGCACGUCCUCGAAUGAAAAUAAUGCCUCUUUGCACACAAAAGCAUAGCAAACAGAUUUGUUGAAAUCUAGCUCAUCAAUAUCAGAUUUGGUGGCAAAUAAACAUGCACUUUUCAAUUUAAUUUCAGAAGCAACACUAGAUGAUUUAUUAUUAGGCUUCAUUUGUUGCUCAAAUUCUUUUGCCACAAUCUGAUUUUCACUCUUAUUCUUCUCCUGUUUUGCUUUAUUAGCUCUAUUAAUAUCAUCUUUCAAAAUGGAAUCAGGAGUCAUAGGAAGCAAAGUAAUAUUUUUAUCCUUAUGAACAAGAGUAUAGUGAUUGUUUCUACCAUGGUGUACAGAAUUUUUAUCAAAUUGCCAUGGUCUACCAAUUAAUAAGGAACAUGCUUGCAUAGGUACCACAUCACAAUCAACAUAAUCAGCAUAUGUAGAGAUACUAAAAUGCACACGAACAGUACGUGUUACCUUAACCUUGCCGCUGUUGUUGAACCAUUGGAUGUAAUAAGGAUGUGGAUGUGGUCUUGUGGUGAGAGAAAGCUUCUCCACCAUCUCCAUGCUAGCCAAGUUGUUGCAGCUCCCUCCGUCUAUUAUGACGCGCACAGAACGUUCCUUCACAACUCCCUUGGUAUGGAACAAAUUGUGCCUCUGAUUUUGCUCAGCUUGUGUGACCUGCACACUCAAAACACAUUGAGCAACUAAACAUUCAUACCUGUCAGCGUCUUCAGGAGCCAUGUAUUGCGUCUCAUGAUCAGAAUCAUAUCCACCAUGUUCUUCACGUGUAAUAAGAGCCAAAGUCUCCUCAUCAUAGUCACUAGCAGACUCAUAUCCACCAUCCGCGGUAGCAAUCAUCACACGCGGAGUGAUAGAGGCGAGGGUCCCGAUCUUUCGAUGAGAUGAUAACUAUCGAUUUGGUGGAGACGACCUUGACGAUCCGACUACAAACGUGCACGACGUUGCGCCUUAGCAAUCGCUAAACCAAUCUCCUGAGGUUACUGACGAUGCCGGAAGCACGGUCAGCCUGACCACGAAGGUCUAUUCCUGCAAGCAAUCGAAGAACGAGCAAGAAUAUGAUAAAGCAAUCUGAAUAUUGCAAAUAUAUAUGAGGUAUUGAUAAUGGUGGGGAUCCGUAAGCGGUCUUGGUCUGGUCGUUGGACACAAACGAAGUACACGAAGUUGCAAUGGCUAACUUUUAACUAAACAAAUCCCAAGGAAAAGCUACUAGAUGGAUCUACUUAUAUAGGAGCAAGGGGUGGCGGCCAAGGAGGUGGGAGGACGUCCCAAGGCAACCUAAAACUAAAUCUAGGUCGUACAAGGCCAAUGGGCCCAAGUGGAGGUGAUGUAACACCUUUGGACUUGUAGUUUGACUCGGAUUCUGCUGCAGCAUCAGAUUGUUUCGUCCACAACUCAACGCUCCGGACGAAUUUGAUGGUGAUUCCAAUUGGGUUGGAAAGUGCACGAAAUCUAGUUUCCAACAAAAAAAGAAUCACCCAAUUCGGAGUCCGUAUGAAAAACUUGUGUGCGUUUUGAGUCAGGUAUGUCUGUGCAGUCCGAAUCUGAAUCCAGAACGUGAGAGACUUGGACUCUAUCUUCUCUUGGGCCAAAAGUGACGUGAGAGAACUUUUUGGACAGCAAAUAAACAUAUCUUUCUUCCUUAUCUUCAUAUGUCGAUUGUACAAAUGUCCCAUACACCUGCAAUUAGACAAAACAUAAAAGUGUGUGAAGUAUUUUUGUUCUCGAUAACAUAAAUAGAUUAUUGAAUAGUUUGCACUAGAAAACACCUGACAAAUAUGCAUAUAUGGAAUAUUUUUGGUCAUAUCCAAGGUAGUCAUGUCCUCAUCAUCCUCCCCUUCUUGAAAAUAAAGCCGUCCUCGGCGUUGCUUAAUCUGAAAUGUGGCUAAUAAAAGAGACAAGGUGUACAUGUUGUAUAUGUAUAUGUCAUCCAUUUUUACUUCCCUUGAUUUUUGCAUAUAUGACACAUGAAUAGAUGAGUAACUUGCAUAGUUCAUAAAAUCUAAAGCCAAAAAAUUAGCAAAAAGAAGUAGAAGGCAUGAAAAUAUUGCAACUCAGUUUGUACAUAUAAGUGAAGCUCUUAUUCAUUUCAAAAGAUUGACAAUGUUCAUCAUUAAAGCAUCCCAACAUUGGUGAAUAAACCUUACUUGCAUCAAAUUUACAUGCUACAACAUGCUUAAAUAAGCAAACAUGCAAUAAGUCAUUCAACACAGAAUCAUCACCAAGAUUAGAGGUCAUAUCAAAAUGAUUAAACAUUGGUUCUUUUGCAUCAAUAGUUAAUUCAAUGGGUGCACUCAAAAUUGUUGGUAUUUUAGUUGUUUGAUCACAUGGCAAAGUCAAAUUAUCAACGUAGUCCUCUAAAAUAGGUGGUGUGAUCAAAGUAGUGGGUAGCUCAUCAGAUGGUGCAUUCAAAUUGACAAGGCAUUCAUCAUUCUCAUGUAGAGAUGGAAGGUCAGUACCUUUGUCAUUACCUCUUAUGAUCAACUCAGAUGAUGUAGCCACUCUCGGGGGCGAUGUGUUACAUGGUGGAGGUGAUGUAGUCCUGACAACAACGGAUGUGGUUGUCAUAGUAUGCCUAGUAGUUGAAGGAACAAUCAUAUCAACUCUUGGAAUGUGCACCGUGCGCUUGUUCUCCUCGUGGCCAACACGUCGUUUUAUUUGCUGUUCAGCUUUGCAAGCAAGAUGGAACAAAAGGUCCAUAGGAUAACACUCUUCAUGAAUUAGUAUCUCUUGAAUAUCACGGUUUAAUCCUCCCCAAAAUCUAUCCAUAAAAUCAUCUUCACUUUCUUCUAAAGAGAAAUGCAACAAGGUAGUUUGUAAAUCAUCAUAAUAUUUUGUUACAGUUUCACUACCUUGUUUUAAGUGUUGCAACUUCUUAAUCAUGUCACGAGUAUAAUAAGCAGGGACGAAAGUAUGUCGCAUGGCAAGUUUCAAAUCAUCCCAAGUAGUAGGUAUAUAAUCAGGGUGUAACCGACAAUAUUCACUCCACCAAACCAAAGCAUAACCAGCGAAAGAACCAACCGCAACCUUAACCUUUUUAUGUUCAUCGAAAUUAUGGGAAGCAAAUAUAUUUUUUAUGUCGAACUCCCAUUCAAUAUAUAAAGCAGGUUUAAAACGGCCAUUAAAUGGUGGUAUAGAUACAUUAACCUGAUCAUGUGCAUUUGGAUGUUUGUGCACCUCUCGUGACGGUUGUGGUAUUUGCAAAGGUGGUGGCACGUCUCCCGCGAUCGACAAAGCCCAUGAAUUGACUCUGGAUCCUGUCAUGAUUAGUAGAACAAGAAACAAAACCCAAAAAUAAUGUUCCUAUAACUACUAGGAUGUGGUGGUAAAACGCUCACAGUAAAGCAAAUAUCAAUGUCUUACAAGUUCUUACCAUGCAGCAGGCGGUGAUCAGCAAUCAACAGUGUCAAGUAACUCCGAAUAUUGAGUAAAGCGAUUGCCAGGGGAGCGUACGUAUACAGGAUGUAGAAAUAUGUGGAGCUGGGUUGGCUAUAUAUGGCAGCAAAAGAUUAGCAAUAAUCAAUUCAAAGAUGCAAUGUUGAAUAAACGCUCAACAACGGUACUGUGCUGGUCCUAGGCUAGACCGGACUAGAGACGCGAGCCUAGAACACUAAUGAGGUCACGGCGUAGCACAACUAGCAUCAAUAAAGGAUACUAAGUAGCUCUUGACAGCAAGAUAUAAGUGAAGAUCACAACGGCAGUGAAGAUAAUGAUGAAAAACAACUGUCAAGCAGGAUAUACAACAACUCUCUCUCCAACUUCCCUCUUGAAAAGUUUGAGACAAUUUUCUGAUAAAUUCUUUCAAAGAAUGCUACUAACUCAAGCUUUCCAAUGCAAAAAGAAUCACUCAAUUCCGAGUUUAUAUGAGGAGUCAAAGAAUUCUAAAACUGGCCUGAAAAAUUGGAACAAGCUGUGUUCAUGAACUUCGGAGGGCAAAAAGACCUAUUUAGAAGCCGAUUUUGAGGUGUCAAAUAUUGAACUAGCUUCUGCAACUAUUUAGAUGCGGCUCGUCGCUAGCUUCAAUUUGAGUACUCACGGAGCGAAAACGGACUUCGUAUGAGGAAGAUACACCUGUUUUACUGAACAGUGCGCAAAACAGAUUCCAAUCCGAAUUCAGGUACGAGAUUGAUUCUAGAUAGAUCCAAAUUUUUUUUCUUCUCUCUUUUUUUUCUCACGCUUUUUUUUCUUUUUCUUCUCUCUCUUUUUCUUUUUUUCCUUUUUUCUCUUUUUUUUCUCUAUCUUCUUUUUUUUCUUUCCAAGACAAACUAGAUAAGAUGCAGAUUGGAUCAGGCGAAGAUGUGAAUGACCUCAACUAUGAUUAUGACAAUGAACAGUGCGUAGCACGUGGUGGAAAUUAAUAGAUGGGAUGGUGGACAGCGGAAGGGAUAAUGAUGCAGCGGCGGCGUGACUAAUGUGAACAGAACUCGAAACUCUAAAGGAACUAGACACUAAGACCAGCAACUCGACAUGGCGAUGCAACCGAUAAUUCAAUAAUGCAAACAAUGAAAAGAAAAUUGCAAAGGCUCAGUCUGGCUAGGACAAAGGAUGAAUAGAUCUAACUCUUUUUUGUGGCUUUUUCUUGGACAAUAGGUAAGAAAAUAAAUCUAAUCUAGGAAAACUGGAAAUUCUCACCGAGCAACCUGAAAACUGAUACCACUUGAUAGAGGCGAGGGUCCCGAUCUUUCGAUGAGAUGAUAACAAUCGAUUUGGUGGAAACGACCUUGACAAUCCGACUACAAAUGUGCACGACGUUGCGCCUUAGCAAUCGCUAAACCAAUCUCCUGAGGUUACUGACGAUGCCGGAAGCACGGUCAGCCUGACCACGAAGGUCUAUUCCUGCAAGCAAUCGAAGAACGAGCAAGAAUAUGAUAAAGCAAUCUGAAUAUUGCAAAUAUAUAUGAGGUAUUGAUAAUGGUGGGGAUCCGUAAGCGGUCUUGGUCUGGUCGUUGGACACAAACGAAGUACACGAAGUUGCAAUGGCUAACUUUUAACUAAACAAAUCCCAAGGAAAAGCUACUAGAUGGAUCUACUUAUAUAGGAGCAAGGGGUGGCGGCCAAGGAGGUGGGAGGACGUCCCAAGGCAACCUAAAACUAAAUCUAGGUCGUACAAGGCCAAUGGGCCCAAGUGGAGGUGAUGUAACACCUUUGGACUUGUAGUUUGACUCGGAUUCUGCUGCAGCAUCAGAUUGUUUUGUCCACAACUCAACGCUCCGGAAGAAUUUGAAGGUGAUUCCAAUUGGGUUGGAAAGUGCACGAAAUCUAGUUUCCAACAAAAAAAGAAUCACCCAAUUCGGAGUCCGUAUGAAAAACUUGUGUGCGUUUUGAGUCAGGUAUGUCUGUGCAGUCCAAAUCUGAAUCCAGAACGUGAGAGACUUGGACUCUAUCUUCUCUUGGGCCAAAAGUGACGUGAGAGAACUUUUUGGACAGCAAAUAAACAUAUCUUUCUUCCUUAUCUUCAUAUGUGGAUUGUACAAAUGUCCCAUACACCUGCAAUUAGACAAAACACAAAAGUGUGUGAAGUAUUUUUGUUCUCGAUAACAUAAAUAGAUUAUUGAAUAGUUUGCACUAGAAAUCACCUGACAAAUAUGCAUAUAUGGAAUAUUUUUGGUCAUAUCCAAGGUAGUCAUGUCCUCAUCACGGAGAUUUGCAUUCUCUCGCAUAAUGACCUCCUCCCUUACAACGACGACAAAUAAUAUCACUUGUGUGCCCUAUUGAUGCCAUGGAAGAAGAAGAACGCUGUGCAGGCCCCGCAGGUGCGCUCUUGGCAGAUAAUGGUGGUUGUGCCUGUUUUCUUGUAUCACGGCUGGAGGUGGCACCGGAUGGAGGUGCUGGUGCAGUUGAAGUAGAAGAUGCACGUGGUGUCCAUGAUGAAGGUCGGCCUGCAGAAAAGUUAGUUCGCCCCAAUGCUUGUCGAUCCUGCACUUCACGUUCAGCUUUACAAGCAAGAUGGAAUAAACGAGUGAUAUUAGUAUACUCCUUAUAGUCUAGAAUGGUCUGAAUCUCUCUAUUUAAUCCACCCAGAAAACGUGCAAGCAUAGCUUCAUUCUCCUCAACAAUACCACAUCUAAUCAUGCCAGUUUGUAAUUCCUGAUAAUAUUAUUCUACAGAAUUUUCCCCUUGUCUUAAACGCUGCAAUUUUUGAAGCAAUUCACGUUGAUAAUAUGGUGGAACCCAACGCGUACGCAUAGCAGUUUUCAAAGCAGCCCAAAUAGUUGGAAUAUGAUAUAAUCUACAAUGUUCAGACCACCAUACACAUGCAAAAUUAGUGAAAGCACAAACAACAGCAGCACCUCGUCUCUCCUCAGGAUAUUGUAAACAUGUAAAUCGUUGUUCAGUUUCUUACGCCCAAGUAAGAUAUAUAUCAGGAACAUAUCUACCCUCAAAUGGUGGAAUAUUCAAUUUCAGUUUAGGAAUAUGGACAUCAUCUCGUACCUGAGGUGGUGGUGCAGGCCUACCAUUAAGAAUAUAUACCUGAGGUCGACCUGCUGGUGGUGGUACAGGUGGCUGCACGUAGUGCUGAUUUUGAUCAACCUCAUCCUCAUAAUCUCCCACAUAAUCAUCCUCCUCCGCAUCAGCAACAGGAGCCACAGAAGUAUCAACAGCAGCACCAACAGUUUGGCCAAACGCAAGAGGAACACGGCUUGCUCGGCGGAGGUCUAUUUCGUGACGUGGAGGUAGUCGUUGUUGUUGUUGUUGGAGAGGUGCGUUAGGUGCAGCGGGUGGUGGUGGUGGUGGAAGACGCGCGAGCAAUUCAUUAAACUUGUUAUCGAGCUUUGUUUCGAACGUCUUCUCAAGGCCAGUGAUCUUCUCCAUGGCCUCUUCAAAAUUGUUCAGCACAUCUUGCACCUGUUUAGUCAUCAUUUGCUGAAACUUAUCAUGAAGCUCCUUGUUCGAUAAAUUCUCCCAGUCAAUCUCGUCGGCUUGUGAUCCUGGCAUGGUUAGCAGUAAUAGAAACACACAAGAAUAUGAUCCUACAGACUACGAACAAGUGGUGGUGGUGGGUGUCACAAAUCCGUCAAGCAAAACUCAAAUUCUUACCAGUUCUUACCCAGCAGCAGGCGGUGAUCGGCAACCGUUGUAGUCAAAACUCUCAAAGCUUGGAUAGAGCGAUUACCAGGGAGAGUCAAACGCACGACGUAGAUGUAUGUGGAGCUGGGAAGGCUUAUAAUAAUCAAUUCAGAGAUGCAAAGUUGAAUAAACGCUCAACGACGGUACUGUGCUGGUCCUAGGCUAGACUGUGCUAGAGACGCGCCUAGAACACCAACAAAAUCACGGCGCGGCACGUAAACAAGGGAGGAGCACACUCUGAAUUUUUUUUUCUCUUUUUUUUUGCACUUUUUUUCCUCUCUUUUUAUUUUGCUCCGCAACAAAUUUUUUUCGAAAAAGUCUACAAAUGGUCUAAAAACUACCUAGCCAGAAUUUUCCAGACUUAGUUUUUUUUUGAAAUUGGAACUAUUUUUCUUCUGCGGAUGGCUCGGAAGUUGGGGAGUCCGUCUCUGUCAUGACUCGGAGUAUCGCGUGAUCUGGAAAUCGAGAACAAUGCAACAAUUACUGGACUCGGACUAGGACUGGUGGCGGAGAUGAAUCUGGUGGAACUCGGACUGGUGGCGGAGAUGAAUCUGGUGGAACACGGACAGGUGGCGGAUAUAUGUUGCGGGUGAACUCGGAUUGGUGUGAUGGCGGCGGAUAUGUGGUGGCGUAUAUGGAUUCGGAUUGGCGGUGAAUAUGUGGUGGCGGUAUAUGGCAACAGCGACGAUGAUGAUGCGAUGGUGAUAUAUGGCAGCGGCGACGUGACAACCUGUGAACAGAACUCGAAACUCUAAAAGACUAGACGCUAAGACCAGCAACUGGACACGACGAUGCAACCACAAAUUCAACAAAGCAAAUACAGAAAAGAUUAUGCAAGGCUCAGAUUGGUUUGGAUGGGAUGAACUAACCCUAAUUUUUUUUGGCUUUUUCGUGGACUAUAGGUAUGAAGAACAGACUCGAUCUAAACUACGAAAAACUGUAAAAUCUCACCGAGCAACCUGGAAAUCUGAUACCACUUGAUAGAGGCAAAGGUGUCCCGUCUUUCGAUGAGAUGAUGGAUAUCGCUUUGGUGGAAGUCGACUUUGACGAUCCGACUACGAACGUGCGAGGACGUCGCGCCUUAGCAAUCGCUAAACCAACUCCGAGAGGUUAUUGACCACGCCGAAGCACGAUCAACCUGACCACGAGGGUAUGUUUCCUGCGAGCAAACGAAGAACAAGCAAGAAACUGAGAUUGCAAUCUGGAUAUUGCGAAUAUAAGAUGAAAGCUUUAUUGAUCAAGGUGGGGUUCUGUGACGCCUUUGUCUGGUCGUUGAACACAAACGAAGUACGCCAAGUUGCAGCUAUGGCGAACUUUUAAUCUAAACAAAACCCAAAGUCUAAACGGUGCCCUAAGGGCUGUAUAUACGGAGGAAGAGAGGGGGAAUUUCGUGGCCCUUGGUGGAGGGGUCCGAAAUCAACCCUAUCUCUUGUUUCCCCACACAUACAGACUCGAAAAAUAGCAUAUACUUAUGUAUUUCGAAAUUACAUGGGCCUGGCCCAAUAAAAAGGUGACGCAACACCUAUAAUAGCCUCGGGACGAAAUUUAUGAAGUGGCAUCUUGUAUAUUUCGUCCAAGGCUUCAUGCACCCAUUAUGGUGGCUUCAAAGUCCUGAAAUCAUCACUUGUAACUCCGUUCUUGUUCCCCUUGCGCAUGGCAUCAUCUCCAUGCUUGUUCUUGCUCCAAUCUUCAUCCUUCUCCAAGCUAGGCCCUUCAUUUGUAAGCAAAACAAAUGUAUCCAAUUUAGGCAGCAUCAUAUUCUCAUGAACAUUAGAAUCAUUACCAAGAAACGAAAGUACCUGAUAAUUUAAUUGGCGUGCGCGAGCUCUAGUAAUUGGUCCCGUAUAUGUAGCAGUAGGGGCUGUGGGUGUAACAAUGGUAUUGAUGUCCUUAUCAGCUACUGUUCAACCAGCCCUCCCCACGGGCUCCUGUUCAACCACCCCUCCACGGGCUACUGUUCAUCCUGCCCUCCACCGUCUACUGUUCAUCCUGCCCUCCACGGGGUGGUCCUGUUCAUCCUGCCCUCCACGGGGUCCUUUUCAUCAUGCCCCAGCCGGCUCGAUCGAUCGGGGUACUCUUCAUCUAGAGGCAACACCACGGGGUCNNNNNNNNNNNNNNNNNNNNNNNNNNNNNNNNNNNNNNNNNNNNNNNNNNNNNNNNNNNNNNNNNNNNNNNNNNNNNNNNNNNNNNNNNNNNNNNNNNNNNNNNNNNNNNNNNNNNNNNNNNNNNNNNNNNNNNNNNNNNNNNNNNNNNNNNNNNNNNNNNNNNNNNNNNNNNNNNNNNNNNNNNNNNNNNNNNNNNNNNNNNNAGGAAUCGCUCGAUCGGGUUCAGUUAACAGCCAUCGAUCGAUUGCUCGGGUUCAGUAACGCGUAGCCUGCAAUGCAAUCGCUCGGAUUCAGUUAGAGCCCAACGUCUCGCUCGGGUUCAGUUAGAGCUCAACGCCUCGCACACACGCGCGUACGUAUGAGAGAAAUGCGCAUCGCUCGGCCCCUGACCACCCACCGUAACCGGGGGCUCCCCGAUAUUUUCUGCGCCCUCGCUUCUACCAUGGUUUUUUCUGUCAUGGACGGCUCAAAGAAUGUCAUGCAGCUGCGUCUCCGGCCCACCCAGGACGAAAAACCCAUUUUCUGUCAUGAUUUUUUGUCAUAGAAGUAAGACCCCACCACAUCUAUGAUGAUACCGGGUUUUGUCACAAUUAUCGUCAUAGAAGUGUCAUAAGUAUGACAGAAAAAAAUCGUUCGGCCCAAAAUGUCACGGGUAUGUCUUUUUUUUGUAGUGUAGCCCAACAGUGCGUUGCGCUUAUGUGUGGCCCAGGCUCGGGGGCUCCUGUUGGUGUACAAAAGUAGGGGCUAUCCUUUUGCACCCCUUUACUUGUGCACGGGCAGUCAGAGCCGCGCCCACGGCCACACUAAGCAGGGCAGGGGAUGGAUGCCGGAGCACAAAACGACCGGAGCAACGCCAAAACCAGAGACGCAAAGAGAGCAAGAGCGAGGUGGACUCCCCCAGCAAGACCCUUGCCGGGGUGGCUUCCGUAGCCUCGGCAAGAUCCUUGCCGGGGCAGCUUGCCUGACGCCAGCAGAGUGUGCCACCCUUGAGCCCAAGGGGUUCCCACGCCAUAGUGGAACCAAGGAUCUGGAGGCACCUCCGUGGUGGCAUGCAGAUCUUUGUAGAGAUCAUAGACACACAAGAUUAGAUGGAAACCAGAAGACGACGAUCCUUGGCGAGAUCCUUGCCAUGGAGAUCCAUGAGUCCCUCGGCAAGAUCCUUGCUAGGGACGACCGCGGUGCCACGGCAAGACCCUUGUCGGGCCUUCGGCAAGACCCUUGCCGAGGACGUCUGCGAGGCCGCAGCUAGGCCAGCGUCCGCGAAGGCUCCACCGCCGCUCCCAUACAGCUGCUAGCUCGACCAGCUGAGCAGGCAUCUGCGUGGCAGCGCAUGGCCUCUACACCAACUCAGCAAGCACCUGUGUGGUGGCAUGCAGAUCUUCGUGAAGGCUCCACCACCGCGCUAGCCCAGCAGCCAGCCAACGUGGCGCUACAACGCCUCGUCAGCUUGGACGUGCGUCGAAGCCAGGCGAGGCAACGACAGCUAGGACGAGCUUCUUUGCCGUCCCCAAUAAAGCAAGAGGGGCACGUCGGCAGCGCAUUAAAUGCGUUUGUCUGACGGUGCUAGGGGAUAGACUCAGCCCCUGUACACCUUUCCACCUCCCGUGUGCCACUGUGGCGACCCCUUUUUUGUCUAUAAAAGGAGGCCCGAUGCGUACUAGAGAGGGAUUCAGAUCUUUUGGACUAGAGAGCCACUGCAGCUAGUUCAAGAACACAAGAACACCUAAAUAGACAUCAAAGCAGGACUAGGGUUUUACGCGUCUCCACGGCCUGAACCUGGGUAAACGAUUAGUGUGCUGACCGCCAGACCCGCUCUUUGCACAACCCCACGCUCGCCAAUCGUAGAAGGGAUCCCAGUGACCCCAUAGGUGUCGUUUCCCACCGACAUCUCGCUGCCGCUCAACCGUGCCCCUGCCUCCAUCUCGUGAUCCAGCCACCUACCGCUUUGCCCAUGGUGAUAAUCCGGCCGCCAGUAGCCUCACUACAACCGGAUCCUCUGUCUGAGGCCAUGACCUUCUCGGCUGCGGAGAAGAGGAGCAGGGAGAGGUCGCCAUCGAGGAGAGACGUCGAGUGUCCACCUGUGAUCUCCAACGCCCACCCAGGCCGCAUCGUCCCUCAUCUGCCAGGCUGCGACAUCCACGGGCUAGUCCUGGCCGCCAUGAGGGUGAGGAAGAGAUCGAUCUGGAGAGAAGGUCACGAUCUGGGUUAGACAAGGAUAUUGUAGACUAUUUCGUGGUUUAGGAAUACGUGGCCCUAGGCAAGGAAAUUAAGAUUUUUGUAAGGAAAAUUUAGGAAAGGGAUGGGAAGGACCUUUUAUCGGGUGGUGGGUUUACUAAAGGAAACCAUGACAUAAGGUGGGGCUCGCGAAUUCAUCCUGAUGGAUGUGAAGGCAAACCAAACCAAACGACAACAUACUUGUCCAUUAGGUGUAGAGAAAUUAGAAACAAAAGGCAAAGAUCAAUGCAUUAGGAAAGUUAGGAUUUAGGAUUGAUUGUCAUGAAAUUGAAUUUUAUUUAUUGGUAACGUGCUAUCAUUUCUUACCCGUUUGUAACAUGUCUAGUUAGGAAAUUUUGAAAAGGUUAGGAAAGUUUUCAUUGUGAGGAUAAAAAAACCAAUGUGAGGAGAUAUGGUGGUGGGAUGUGAGACGAAAAUAAACCAGACGAAAUAUAACCAGGCGAAAAAAAGUCGUGGACGCAAUCCUACCAACUCAGACAUUAGGCUCAGACAUUAGGAGUAGAGAUAUAGAUAGAAUAAUUGAAUGAAAAAUAAUUUUCCAUGCAUGAUUAAAUGUUGUGGUGGGUCUUUUCUCAUACAUAAUGGGAAACACUUCCUAUUUGUAGUAUGAUACAAACGUGUCAUCAUCAGACCACUCCUGCUUCGUUGAUUCUGCAUUCAUCCCACGGCCGAGAUACCCUGCAAAAUCAUCAUUCUAACCUAUCAUUUUUAUGUAGUCACGUUCAACGUAAUCCCACUAAUCCCUCACCUGCUUCCUCUCCACCAGAGGCACCCAGGUUCGGUCACCCGCUUCUAAUCCACCUCAUGGUCCACCUGUAUCCACCGCGCCACACAGAUUCGAUCCCCUCCACCUCACCACUCCUUGACAUAAUAGAAGAUGACGGCCUGGACGUCAACAACGGUGACUCGCCGUAGCGCCAUGAAUAAGAAGGCAUGAAUCUUGAAUUCUUUAUGUGCUAAAGUGAGUUCCGACUGGCCAUGUCGUACUCCUCUAGAAGUUUUCCGAUGUUCUUGUUGCAGAUGGGUGCAUUCAGGCGCUUCGUCGUCAGCCACCAUAGACAACCGGCUGACUCCCUUUGCUGCUUCCGCGUCGAUGCACCAUGCAUGGAGCUCGGCGUGAUCGGCAAACUCCAGUAGCCACACAACACAGUUUUGGGCGUUGAUGCUAGUGCUCGCUGACCUCACCUUAAGGAAACUUCACCGAGGGCCAUGCAGGAAGCAAGUAGCCCAAGCAAUGGACGAUCUGUGAUUAACCAUAUUAUUAUUUGUACAAUAAACAAUAACAGAAGCAUCACCAAUAGUGGAUUCAUGGUGAAGCAAUUUUUAUUUCUUCGGAUACUCAUCCCAACUUGUUAGAAGCAUGUGUCAAGCUGAAGCUAAUUUGCUUAACCAGGGAAGCUCAUUCUUGGGUCGAUGGAAGCAUCAAUUCGUUCCACUGAGAACAAACACUGAAGCAAAUUUCAUUAAUCAUGGAAGCUUCUUUUUUCAACAAACUAACCAUGGAAGGUCAAUCUCCAAUGAGGGGAAGCACAAGUUUAAUGUGUUCGAACCAAACCAUCUAAAAAAUAUAUUUGUUUUUUAGAUAGAAGCAAAUUCUGUUUCAUGGGAGAAGCCAACUUGAAUAUCACUAGAAGCAAAAUAUCUUUCAUAAGAAAGCAAAGUAUAUGUCUGGGAAACUCAUUUGUUAUUAGUUUCCUCCUUUAACAACCGAAAUUUGUUUCCUAGAAGUCUGGAAGAGUAAAUUGGGGAGCUAGCAGUUAAUAGUAGAUCCCACAGAAUUAGCUUUAAUUAUUUUUUAUUUAGUAAUAACUCCCUUGGAUGGUGCAUGCUGUCCACAAUCCUUCAUCCAACGAUCCUGUGGUCUUUCAUCCAAGGGCAUUGGACUAGUCCGACGCGACCUAGUGAUUUCCAUACAUAAUUGAAUGUUCAUGUGGGUAUUAUCCCACUCAUAAUUGUAUGAUGAGGUGUCAUCUUGUAUGUUGAGAGAAAUAAGUUAAUGAGGAUAACUCUCUUAGGUAUAAUUUAGGAUUACUCCCUCCGUUUGAAGAAAUUAAGUGAAUUUCUAGCUUUGUCUUAGGUCAAUAAUUUUUAAGCUUGGUCAAGUUUACAGAAAAGUACAUUGACACCGACAACACCAAAUUAGUUCUGUUAGAUUUUUCAUAAAAUAUAUUUCCAUGUCUUAGGUUAGCACACACUCACGUGCGACACCAUGUUCCUCUUUUUUUCCCCGAGUCAUCUCCUUUCACCCAAAUCCAUGAUGCAUCCAAAAUCUCAAGUCAGACCCCGAAGCUUGAUGGACAAGGACAAGUCAAGGUUAAAGGUGCGUUCAUGAACGAAACUACUGUCAAAACUCAUAUGCAACAUUUAACAACAAACGGAAUUAAACAAACCCAAACAAAAUAUGCUAAUUUAUGAAAAAAAUUCAACACACUGCCACAUCUACAUCACAUCAGGAGUACUCAUACCAAAAUAUUUCUUUUUGACUAUGUACUGCAAGGCAACCGCCUCACAACUCUUUAUUAGAAAUAAAACAGUCCCAAGAGAAUAUUUACAGAGUGUAGGAAAGUAAGGAUGACUACUUACAAAAACCCUACCUAUGGAAGAGAGGAGAUCUAGGAAAGAAUAUUAUCUUUAUAUUUACAUUUGACCCUAUGUGCUAGCAAUGAAAGAUCAUGAAUGAAAUUCCACCUCCAAGCCCUAAAGCUUGGUCUCUCAUUUCUGAAAAUCUUGCCAUUUCUUUGCAUCCAUAUGUUCCAAGUGGCAGUAAAGACCACUUCAGUAAAGAAUGGUUUGCCAAAAAUCCUUCCUAGUUGCUGAUGAGGACAUGACUACCUUGGAUAUGACCAAAAAUAUUGCAUAUAUGCAUAUUUGUCAGGUGAUUUCUAGUGCAAACUAUUCAAUAAUCUAUUUAUGUUAUCCAGAACAAAAAUACUUCACACACUUUUGUGUUUUGUCUAAUUGCAGGUGUAUGGGACAUUUGUACAAUCCACAUAUGAAGAUAAGGAAGAAAGAGAUGUUUAUUUGCUGUCCAAAAAGUUCUCUCACGUCACUUUUGGCCCAAGAGAAGAUAGAGUCCAAGUCUCUCACGUUCUGGAUUCAGAUUCGGACUGCACAGACACACCUGCCUCAAAACGCACACAAGUUUUUCAUAUGGACUCCGAAUUGGGUGAUUCUUUUUUUUUGGAAACUAGAUUUCGUGCACUUUCAACCCAAUUGGAAUCACCUUCAAAUUCGUCCGGAGCGUUGAGUUGUGGACGAAACAAUCUGAUGCUGCAGCAGAAUCCGAGUCAAACUACAAGUUCAAAGGUGUUACAUCACCUCCACUUGGGCCCAUUGGCCUUGUACGACCUAGAUUUAGUUUUAGGCUGCCUUGGGACGUCCUCCCACCUCCUUGGCCGCCACCCCUUGCUCCUAUAUAAGUAGAUCCAUCUAGUAGCUUUUCCUUGGGAUUUGUUUAGUUAAAAGUUAGCCAUUGCAACUUCGUGUACUUCGUUUGUGUCCAACGACGAGACCAAGACCGCUUCCGGAUCCCCACCAUUAUCAAUACUUCAUAUAUAUUUGCAAUAUUCAGAUUGUUUUAUCAUAUUCUUGCUCGUUCUUCGAUUGCUUGCAGGAAUAGACCUUCGUGGUCAGGCUGACCGUGCUUCCAGCAUCGUCAGUAACCUCAGGAGAUUGGUUUAGCGAUUGCUAAGGCGCAACGUCGUGCACGUUUGUAGUCGGAUCGUGAAAGUCGUCUCCACCAAAUCGAUAGUUAUCAUCUCAUCGAAAGAUCGGGACCCUCGUCUCUAUCAAGUGGUAUCAGUUUUCAGGUUGCUCGGUGAGAAUUUCCAGUUUUCCUAGAUUAGAUUUAUUUUCUUACCUAUUGUGCAAGAAAAAGCCACAAAAAAGAGUUAGAUCUAUUCAUCCUUGGUCCAAGCCAGUCUGAGCCUUUGCAAUUUUCUUUUCAUUGCUUGCAUAGUUGAAUUAUCGGUUGCAUCGUCGUGUCGAGUUGCUGGUCUUAGUGUCUAGUUCCUUUAGAGUUUCGAGUUCUGUUCACAUUAGUCACGCAGCCACUGCAUCAUUAUCCCAUCCGCUGUCCACCAUCCAAUCCACCAAUUUCCACCACGUGCUACGCACUGUUUAUUGUCAUAAUCAUAGUUGAGGUCACUCACAUCUUCGCCUGAUCGAAUGUGCAUCUUAUCUAGUUUGUCUUGGAAAGAGGGAGAAAAAGAAGAUAAAGAAAAAAAAGAGAGAAAAAAGGAAAGAAAAAAAAAGAAAAAGAGGGAGAAGAAAAAGAAAAAAAAAGCAUGAGAAAAAAAAGAGAGAAGAAACAAAAUUGGAUCUAUCUAGAAUCAAUCUCGUACCUGAAUUCGGAUUGGAAUCUGUUUUGUGCACUGUUCAGUAAACAGCUUGGCUAUUGUUUCACAUCAUUAUCUUUACUGCCGUUGUGAUCUUCACUUAUAUCUUGCUGUCCAGAGCUACUUUGUAUCCUUCAUUGAUGCUGGUUGUGCUACGACGUGACCUCAUUAGUGUUCUAGGCUCGCGUCUCUAGUUCGGUCUAGCCUAGGACCAGCACAGUACCGUCGUUGAGCGUUUAUUCAACAUUGCAUCUUUGAAUUGAUUAUUGCUAAUCUUUUGCUACCAUAUAUAGCCAACCCAGCUCCACAUAUUUCUACACCGUGUAUACGUACGCUCCCCUGGCAAUCGCUUUACUCAAUAUUCGAGUUACUUGACACCGCUGGUUGCCGAUCACCGCCUGCUGCAUGGUAAGAAUGUGUAAGACAUUGAUAUUUGCUUUACUGUGAGCGUUUUACCACCACAUCCUAGUAGUUAUAGGAACAUUAUUUUUGGGUUUUGUUUCUUGUUCUACUAAUCAUGACAGGAUCCAGAGUCAAUUCAUGGGCUUCGUCGAUCGCGGGAGACGUGCCACCACCUUUGCAAAUACCACAACCGUCACGAGAGGUGCACAAACAUCCGAAUGCACAUGAUCAGGUUAAUGUAUCUAUACCACCAUUUAAUGGCCGUUUUAAACCUGCUUUAUAUAUUGAAUGGGAGUUCGACAUAAAAAAUAUAUUUGCUUCCCAUAAUUUCGAUGAACAUAAAAAGGUUAAGGUUGCGGUUGGUUCUUUCACUGGUUAUGCUUUGGUUUGGUGGAGUGAAUAUUGUCGGUUACACCCUGAUUAUAUACCUACUACUUGGAAUGAUUUGAAACUUGCCAUGCAACAUACUUUCGUCCCUGCUUAUUAUACUCGUGACAUGAUUAAGAAGUUGCAACACUUAAAACAAGGUAGUGAAACUGUAACAAAAUAUUAUGAUGAUUUACAAACUACCUUGUUGCAUUCCUCUUUAGAAGAAAGUGAAGAUGAUUUUAUGGAUAGAUUUUGGGGAGGAUUAAACCGUGAUAUUCAAGAGAUACUAAUUCAUGAAGAGUGUUAUCCUAUGGACCAUUUGUUUCAUCUUGCUUGCAAAGCUGAACAGGCAAUAAAACGACGUGUUGGCCACGAGGAGAACAAGCGCACGGUGCACAUUCCAAGAGUUGAUAUGAUUGUUCCUUCAACUACUAGGCAUACUAUGACAACCACAUCCGUUGUUGUCAGGACUACAUCACCUCCACCAUGUGACACAUCGCCCCCGAGAGUGGCUACAUCAUCUGAGUUGAUCAUAAGAGGUAAUGACAAAGGUACUGAUCUUCCAUCUCUACAUGAGAAUGAUGAAUGCCUUGUCAAUUUGAAUGCACCAUCUGAUGAGCAACACACUACUUUGAUCACACCACCUAUUUUAGAGGACUACGUUGAUAAUUUAACUUUGCCAUGUGAUCAAACAACUGAAAUACCAACAAUUUUGAGUGCACCCAUUGAAUUAACUAUUGCUGCAAAAGAACCAAUGUUUAAUCAUUUUGAUAUGACCUCUAAUCUUGGUGAUGAUUCUGUGUUGAAUGACUUAUUGCAUGUUUGCUUAUUUAAGCAUGUUGUAGCAUGUAAAUUUGAUGCAAGUAAGGUUUAUUCACCAAUGUUGGGAUGGUUUAAUGAUGAACAUUGUCAAUCUUUUGAAAUGAAUAAGAGCUUCACUUAUAUGUGCAAACUGAGUUGCAAUAUUUUCAUGCCUUCCACUUCUUGUGCUAAUUUUUUGGCUUUAGAUUUUAUGAACUAUGCAAGUUACUCAUCUAUUCAUGUGUCAUAUAUGCAAAAAUUAAGGGAAGUAAAAAUGGAUGACAUAUACAUAUACAACAUGUACACCUUGUCUCUUUUGUUAGCCACAUUUCAGAUUAAGCAACGCCGAGGACGGCUUUAUUUUCAAGAAGGGGAGGAUGAUGAGGACAUGACUACCUUGGAUAUGACCAAAAAUAUUGCAUAUAUGCAUAUUUGUCAGGUGAUUUCUAGUGCAAACUAUUCAAUAAUCUAUUUAUGUUAUGCAGAACAAAAAUACUUCACACACUUUUGUGUUUUGUCUAAUUGCAGGUGUAUGGGACAUUUGUACAAUCCACAUAUGAAGAUAAGGAAGAAAGAGAUGUUUAUUUGCUGUCCAAAAAGUUCUCUCACGUCACUUUUGGCCCAAGAGAAGAUAGAGUCCAAGUCUCUCACGUUCUGGAUUCAGAUUCGGACUGCACAGACACACCUGCCUCAAAAUGCACACAAGUUUUUCAUACGGACUCCGAAUUGGGUGAUUCUUUUUUUGUUGGAAACUAGAUUUCGUGCACUUUCCAACCCAAUUGGAAUCACCUUCAAAUUCGUCCGGAGCGUUGAGUUGUGGACGAAACAAUCUGAUGCUGCAGCAGAAUCCGAGUCAAACUACAAGUUCAAAGGUGUUACAUCACCUCCACUUGGGCCCAUUGGCCUUGUACGACCUAGAUUUAGUUUUAGGCUACCUUGGGACGUCCUCCCACCUCCUUGGCCGCCACCCCUUGCUCCUAUAUAAGUAGAUCCAUCUAGUAGCUUUUCCUUGGGAUUUGUUUAGUUAAAAGUUAGCCAUUGCAACUUCGUGUACUUCGUUUGUGUCCAACGACCAGACUAAGACCGCUUCCGGAUCCCCACCAUUAUCAAUACUUCAUAUAUAUUUGCAAUAUUCAGAUUGCUUUAUCAUAUUCUUGCUCGUUCUUCGAUUGUUUGCAGGAAUAGACCUUCGUGGUCAGGCUGACCGUGCUUCCAGCAUCGUCAGUAACCUCAGGAGAUUGGUUUAGCGAUUGCUAAGGCGCAACGUCGUGCACGUUUGUAGUCGGAUCGUGAAAGUCGUCUCCACCAAAUCGAUAGUUAUCAUCUCAUCGAAAGAUCGGGACCCUCGUCUCUAUCAGUUGCUGCAGCCAUCAAGAAUGUUGAUUGAUUGGACUGUGCUGACUAGUUGAUCCCAAGAUAACUCCAAAUCCUCUGGCUGAAAUUUGAUGAGUGGUAUUUUUACACUCAUUUCACCUUUGUUUAGAUCGAGAUAUUUCAAUUAAAAAGAGAUAUUCGCUCUGAUAUUUGUACUAAUGACUAAUGAAUGCAAAUGAUUCCACAAAUCCUCUCAUUGAUGUGUUUCCACGGGAAAUGGGCUAAAAAGAAAGAAAUCACGUGUGGAAAUUGAAUGGAAGGAGAAUGGAGGAGGAAGGAAUCACCAGGACACGUCUGUGCGAAAAUAACACAAAAGACGGUGUCCCGUAUUGUUGGGAAACCUAGCAUGCAAUUUUAAAAACUUUCCUACGCUCACACAAGAUUUAUCUAGGAGAUGCAUAGCAACGAGAGGGGGAGAGUGUUUCCACGUACCCUCGUAGACCAAAAGCGGAAGCGUUUGACAACGCGGUUGAUGUAGUCAAACUUCUUCUAGCUCCAACCGAUCAAGCACCGAACGUACGACACCUCCGAGUUUUGCACACGUUCAGCGCGAUGACAUCCCUUGCCUUCUUGAUGUAGCAAGGUGUCGAGGAAGUAGAUGCAUUCCGUCAGCACGACGGCGUGGUGACGGUGAUGGUGAAGUGAUCCGCGCAGGGCUUCACCUAAGCACCACGAGAAUAUGACCGGAGGUGUAAAUUGUGGAGGGGGGCACCGCACAUGACUAACAGUUGAUGUUGUGUUGUGCUAGCCCCCCCCACACAUAUAUAUAUAGGUGGGGGAGAGGGGAGGCAGCCAAGGAGGCGCUCAAGUAGGCCGAAUCCUACUUGGAGCCUUCCUAUGCCCCCCCCUUCCUUAUCUGCGAGAGGGGGAAGGAAAGAGAGGAGGAGAGGGAAGGAAGGGGGGAUCCUAUUCCCUCUUUUUCCUUUCCCUUCCCCUCUUUCCUACUCCUUCUUAGCCGGACCAUAUGGGGGGCGCACCAUCCCCUUGUGGCUGGUGCAUUUCCCCCCUUGGCCCGUAAGGCUCAUAUCUUUUGCCAGGGGUGCCCAAAACCCCUUUCGGUGACCCGAUAUGUACCCGGUACCCUCCGAAACACUUCCGGUGUCCGAAUACUAUCGUCCUAUAUAUAAAUCUUUACCUCUCGGCCAUUUCGAGACUCCUCAUCAAGCCUGUGAUCUCAUCUGGGACUCCGAACGACAUUCGGUCACCAAAUCACAUAACUCAUACAAUACUAAAUCGUCAUCGAACGUUAAGCAUGCGGACCCUACGGGUUCGAGACACCUCUCUGGUCAAUAACCAAUAGAGGAACCUGGAUGCUCAUGUUGGCUCCUACAUAUUCUACGAAGAUCUUUAUCGGUCAAACCGUUAUGACAACAUACAUAAUUCCCUUUGUCCAUCGGUAUGUUACUUGCCCGAGAUUCAAUCGUCAGUAUCUUCAUACCUAGUUUAAUAUCAUUACCGGCAAGUCUCUUUACUCGUUUUGUAAUACAUCAUCCUGCAACUAACUCAUUAGUCACUUUUCUUGCGAGGCUUCUUAUGAUGUGCAUUACCGAGAGGGCCCAGAGAUACCUCUCCGAUACUGGGAGUGACAAAUCCUCAUCUCGAUCUAUGCCAACCCAACAAACACCUUCAGAGAUACCUGUAGAGCAUCUUUAUAAUCACCCAGUUACAUUGUGAUGUUUGAUAGCACAUAAGGCAUUCCUCCGGUAUCCGGGAGUUGGAUAAUCUCAUAGUCGAAGGAAUAUGUAUUUGACAUGAAGAAAGCAAUAGCAAUAAAACUGAACGGUCAAUAUGCUAUGCUAACGGAUGGAUCUUGUCCACCACAUCAUUCUCCUAAUGAUGUGAUCACAUUCAUCAAAUGAUAACACAUGUCUAUGGUUAGGAAACUUAACCAUCUUCGAUGAACGAGCUAGUCUAGUAGAGGCUUACUAGGGACAUGGUGUUUUAUCUAUGUAUCCACACAUGUAUCAAGUUUCCGGUCAAUACAAUUCUAGCAUGAAUAAUAAACAUUUAUCAUGAUAUAAGGAAAUAUAAAAUAACAACUUUAUUAUUGCCUCUAGGGCAUAUUUCCUUCAGUCUCCCAAUUGCACUAGAGUCAAUAAUCUAGUUCACAUCGCCAUGUGAUUUAAUACCAAUAGUUCACAUCGCCAUGUGAUUAACACCCAUAGUUCACAUCGCCAUGUGACCAACACCCAAAGGGUUUACUAGAGUCAAUAAUCUAGUUCACAUCGCUAUGUGAUUUAACACCCAAAAGAGUACUUAAGGUGUGAUCAUGUUUUGCAUGUGAGAGAGGUUUAGUCAACGGGUCUGUCACAUUCAGAUCCGUAUGUAUAUUGCAAAUUUCUGUGUCUACAAUACUCUGCAUGGAGCUGAUCUAGUUAAUUGCUCCCACUUUCAAUAUGUAUCUAGAUUGAGACUCUAAGUCAUCUGGAUCAGUGUUAAAGCUUGAAUCGAUGUAAACUUUUACGAGUAACUCUUUAUCACCUCCAUAACCGAGAAACAUUUCCUUAGUCCUCUUAGGUAACUAAGGAUAAAUUUUGACCACUGUCUAGUGAUCUACUCCUGGAUCACUAUUGUACCCCUUUGCCAAACUCAUGGCAAGGUACACAAUAGGUCUGGUACACAACAUGGCAUACUUUAUAGAACCUAUGGCUGAGGCAUAGGGAAUGACUUUCAUUCUCUCUCUAUCUUCUGCAGUGGUCGGGCAUUGAGUCUGACUCAACUUCACACCUUGUAAUACAGGCAAGAACCCUUUCUUUGACCGAUCCGUUUUGAACUUCUUCAAAACUUUAUCAAGUUAAGUGUUUUGUGAAAGUCCUAUUAAGCGUCUUGAUCUAUCUCUAUAGAUCUUGAUGCCCAAUAUAUAAGCAGAUUCACCGAGGUCUUCAAUUGAAAAACUUUUAUUCAAGUAUCCUUUUAUGCUACCCAGAAAUUUUACAUCAUUUCCAAUCAACAAUAUUUCAUCCACAUAUAAUAGUAUAAAUACUACAGAGCUCCCACUCACUUUCUUGUAAAUAUAGGCUUCAUCGUAAAUCUCUAUAAAACCAUAUGCUUUGAUCACCUCAUCAAAGCGUAUAUUCCAACUCUGAGAUGCUUGCAUGAGUCCAUAGAUGGAUCGCUGGAGCUUGCACACUUUGUUAGCACCUUUAGGAUCGACAAAACCUUCUGGUUGCAUCAUAUACAACUCUUCUUGAGAUAUCCAUUAAGGAAUGCAGUUUUGACAUUCAUUUGCUAGAUUUCAUAAUCAUAACAUGUGGCAAUUGCUAACAUGAUUCGGACGGACUUAAGCAUCGCUACGGGUGAGAAAGUCUCAUCGUAGUCAACUCCUUAAAUUUGUCGAAAACCUUUCGCGACAAGUCGAUCUUUGUAGAUAGUAACAUUACCAUCAGCGUCAGUGUCAGUGUCAAAACCGGCGGAUCUCGGGUAGGGGGUCCCGAACUGUGCGUCUAAGGCGGAUGGUAACAGGAGGCAGGGGACACGAUGUUUUACCCAGGUUCGGGCCCUCUUGAUGGAGGUAAAACCCUAUGUCCUGCUUGAUUAAUAUUGAUGAUAUGGGUAGUACAAGAGUAGAUCUACCAUGAGAUCAGAGAGGCUAAACCCUAGAAGCUUGCCUAUGGUAUGAUUGUAUGUUGUCCUACGGACUAAAACCCUCCGGUUUAUAUAGACACCGGAAAGGGCUAGGGUUACACAAGGUCGGUUACAAAGGAGGAGAUAUACAUAUCCGUAUUGCCUAGCUUGCCUUCCACGCCAAGUAGAGUCCCAUCCGGACACGAGACGAAGUCUUCAAUCUUGUAUCUUCAUAGUCUAACAGUCCGGCCAAAGGAUAUAGUCCGGCUGUCCGGAGACCCCCUAAUCCAGGACUCCCUUAGUAGCCUCUGAACCAGGCUUCAAUGACGAUGAGUCCGGCGUGCAGUAUUGUCUUCAGCAUUGCAAGGCGGGUUCCUCCUCCGAAUACAUUAAGGAAGAAUUUGAAUACAAGGAUAGUGUCCGACCCUGCAAAAUAAGUUCCACAUACCACCUAGAGAAAAUAAUAUUUCCACAAAUCUAAUCUGCUGACAGGUUUUGGCAACAUGACAUUAUGCCAUGGCCCGGUAAUUAUUCGAACCGUUUCCUUUAACUAGCCCCGCACAUAACGCGAGGUCGUUUCUUGACACGGCUUGUCAAAGAAGAGAUCGUGUUCCCCUUAUUACGGGAUUCUCAUCAAUACGGGCGUGGGUAACCCAACCGCGCCAUCGAUUACGGCGCUUGGGGGAUAGGCGAGUUUUACCAGGCUAGUGGGGGCACAUAGUUUCGGCCGCCCAUAUAAAGGGAUAAGGAUUCACCUUUUCAUCCACGCCUUCUUCCUCCCUUGCUCAUCCAUUUCCGCACACUCAAGCUCCAGCGCCCAAGUCCGCAUUUCCCGCCUCAACCUUCUCCAACCAUGUCCGGAGCGGGAGGCAGGUGGAUGGUCUCCUCCGUCACGGAGGGACACAUCAAGAAGCUGAGGAGAGCCGGAUACCUACCCGACGACAUCGCACACCGGCUCCCAGAUGAGGGGCAACUCAUCCCCACCCCCAGGCCCCAUGAGAGGGUAGUGUUCCUUACCCAUUUCCUCCGUGGACUGGGAUUCCCUCUCCACCCAUUCGUCCGGGGGUUCAUGUUCUACUACGGCCUGGAUUUCCACGACCUGGCCCCGAACUCUAUCCUCAACAUCUCGGCGUUUAUCGUCGUGUGCGAGGCCUUCCUCCGCAUCAAGCCCCACUUUGGCUUAUGGCUGAAGACCUUCAAUGUCAAGCCGAAGGUAGUGAGCGGCCGCCAGGCAGAGUGUGGAGGCGCCAUGGUGGGCAAGAUGCCCAAUGUCACAUGGCUCGAGGGCUCCUUCAUGGAGACCAUAAAGGGGUGGCAAUCUGGGUGGUUCUACAUCACCGAGCCGCGUGACUCUAAAUGGGCAACGGCCCCCAAGUUCCGAUCUGGCAUCCCCACGCGGCUCACCUCCUGGCAAGAGAAGGGCCUGUCCUGGGGUAGUUCGGGAGAGCUGACCGGACUCCAAACUUGUAUUCAAUACAUGGUGAACAAGAAGCUCAAACUCGUCAACGUAGUCCAGGUCAUGCUCAUCCGUCGGAUCCUCCCGUGCCAACAACGGGCUUUCAACUUGUGGGAGUUCGACCCGGCCCAGCACCGAACUCUGAACAGGCUCUUCGACACAACACACGAGGAUGCCUGGAAGGUGCUAUUCAAGGGUGCCGAGGUUCCCCCUCCCACUACUGAGGAUCACGGAUUCAGCGCGAAGCACCAAGCCAGCGCGGUAAGCUGUUUUACCUCUUACAGGAUACUUGUUUUUCAUAGUUUGACUCUAUGCGAGAUCUAAGCUCUCGUACCUUUGACAGGACUGGCAGGAGACGGCCGGACAGAUCGACUGUCCGGCUCCUUUACCCAAAGGCCCAGCAGACGCUCUUUUGAUGAGGAUGAUGACUCCGGCUCCUUANNNNNNNNNNNNNNNNNNNNNNNNNNNNNNNNNNNNNNNNNNNNNNNNNNNNNNNNNNNNNNNNNNNNNNNNNNNNNNNNNNNNNNNNNNNNNNNNNNNNNNNNNNNNNNNNNNNNNNNNNNNNNNNNNNNNNNNNNNNNNNNNNNNNNNNNNNNNNNNNNNNNNNNNNNNNNNNNNNNNNNNNNNNNNNNNNNNNNNNNNNNNNNNNNNNNNNNNNNNNNNNNNNNNNNNNNNNNNNNNNNGGGGGAGAAAACAAAAGAAGGCCGCCCCAACUGGGGAGGCCGAAGGGUCCAAGAAGGUAAGGACUCUCCUUCCGGACUACUCCACCACCGCCGCUGAAGGCGAAAACGAGUGGCUGCUCAGGGACAAGCCCCUGGCGAAGUCGUAAGUAUUCGAAUACCAGAGUAACUCAUAGCAUCCCUUUGUCGCAGUGCUUCUCCUAACGUCGAACUAUGACUAUGCAGACCGCCACGAGCCCGUAUCGACGCAUCGUCGGACGGCUCCCUGGGCUCGUCGGAUAUGGAUAGCGAUCCACUUCCGACCGCCACCUCCCCUGGCCCUACGGACAACGCCGAGGUAUUGUCUCAAGAGGCACCGGGUCAAGGGGAGACAGUCCUGGAGGCGCCCAAAGGCGACCUUCCGGACUCCGGGAGCAGAGGGAGCAAGGCUCCCAAGGGCUCCGAGUUCGGCCCUCAGCCGAACACCGCGCCGGAACCCCCAGUGGUUCCGGACUCGGGCAGGCGGCCUCCUUCCAAAAGGGGCAAGGCGCCUGUGCCGGUGCCUCUGUCCAUCCAGAGGCACCGGACAAUCUGCUGGGAGCGCUUCGCAGCGCUUCCAUCAACGAAGAGCACCGCAGUAUUAUGAGUGCGGUGGUACAUAAGGUUCAGUCCGCCAAGAGCGGACUGACUGAAGACUGUGCUAGCCUUCUAACAGGCUUUGAGGUAAGUUUUUGAAAUAUAGGAAAAAUAUUAGCGCAUAGACAGUAGCCCCUGAUGCUCUGUUCGGUGUUCACAAAGAAAAGCCGAACAGAGGAUCAAACAAUAUCGUAGGAGUCUAAUAUAAGUAUGUCUAUAUGCGUAUACAGGCUUCGCUGCUGGCCUCUGCCGCACUGACUGCAGAGGUCGUCGUACUGAAGCAGGACCUGAAAGGGUCCAAGGAAGAGCUCGGCCUUGCCAAGAGGCAGCUCGAGGAGCACAAAGGUAAGUAAUACCCAGUCUAUAGAUAUAUAUAUAAGAAAGAUGCGAUUGCAAAAUGACAGGAUCAUCAUGAAUUUGCCAGGGGCCACGGCCGAAGUGGCAGCCCUGAAGCCAGCGUUGUCUGAGGCCGAAAACAAAGCAGCCCGGGAGCGUGCCGAGCGGGAAAAACAAGAGGCGCGGGUGGGCGAGGUGCAGCAAGAGCUCCAAGCUCUCAUGACGAAGCACGAGGCGUUAGAGCUUGACUCGAAGACGCGAGAGUCCGAGCUUGCCAUGGCCCUUGAGAGCGCAAAGAAUGCCAAGGCCGAAGCCCAAAAGGCCCUCCAGGAGAUUGAUGCGAUGAAGAAGAUAGCGGCGGGUAAGGCAUUCUAUAUGCAAAGCAAGCAUGUGAAAGUAAAUUACCUGUUACUUACCCAGAUCCGGAGCUCUCCAGGAGCAUUCGCAGAUUUGCCCCGCGGCGUGUUGGAUGCCGCAAAAUUUUACUGGGCCGAGGAAGGAAGCUCGAUGGAGAAGUUGUUCUGGGCCCAGUAUACUGGGACCGAACACCCAGUACCUAUGAGCGACCAGCUAAAGCAGCUGGUCGAGCUACACAAGGCGGCCGAACAGGCCAUGAAGGGCUUGAUAGUACAGAUGUGGCCUGGCGACUCCCUUCCCAACAGCUACUUUGGCCUGGUGAGGUGGCUUGUGGAUGCCUACCCACGGCUGGAAGUUAUCAAGCGGUCCGUCUGCAUCGAAGGUGCACGCCGGGCUUUCGCCCGUGUGAAGGUGCAAUGGGCCAAGCUGGACGCCGCUGAUCAAGGAAGGGCCACUGGAGGGCAAGGAGCAUCGCCACCCCGAGAUGUAUUAUGAGGGUGUCCUGAAGGGUGCCGUCUUGUAGUAGACGAGUGCACGAAAGAUGUAAUAUUUGAAUGAACUUGCUCGUGUGAUCCUGUAGUAUGAAAACUUGUUCAUAUGCGCUAUGCAAUGCUUGUUUGAAUUUAAAAUAUUACCUUCUGUGCGGCUGUUUAUCAAAUCUGAGAGAUGGCUAGUCGUCGGCUUCUGCCCCCAUGCCACGAGUGCUGGGGUGUUCGGGAUAAACCUGAGCACUCUUGUUCCCAUUUUUGGGUCCUUUGAGGGAGGUGCUUAGCACAACGAACAAGGCAAUCCGACUGUAAUGCUUUAUCACUCUCACUUAGCCAUAGAAUUCUAUAAUUUUAAAUUUCGGCGAAGCCCCUAGUAUUCGGAAGGCUGAAUCUGAGGCGCGAUACACGCCUUAAGCCGGACAGGGCCGACUCCUCGCUCUAAGCGCCAUAAGUCUUUAAGGACUCGAAAACCUCUUGAACAGCGACCAGUCUCUCGCCUUAUCAUGACAGUCAGUUUUAGCUUUCUCUACUGAGGUGCUUAGCCCAGCAGAACCGGGGCACAAUCGCAGUAGUUCUCCUAGUGCUACCUUAGCCGAUAUAACGGAACGUAAGGCACCAAAACAUGGGAGCCAGGCAAACCCAACUAUUGACCAAAGACAUGAUUCGGAGCUGAUGCAUAUAAUGCUAUAAGUUCGGAGUGCCGCACUUGUGAAAGUGUUCGGACUUCUCACGCCGUGUUAUGGGUAUGCUUAAGCCCCUGGCGUAUUGGUCGUACCAUAGCGUAUGGGUGCUGGAUGUCAUAAAUGAACAUAUAUAUAUAUAUAUAAGAAGAAUGCAAUAAUAGUCUUAAUGCUAUGCAUUGUUUAUUCAAAAAGGUGCGUUAAAGCAGAAUGAUACAGGUAGUGCGAUAAGCAAAAAGUAGGACUAUGUCCCCUCCAAGGGCAAGCUGAGGAAUAAUAUUAAAGCAAGUAUUUCACUCGUUAUCGUAAUCCACCUGGGAGUUCCGUGGUGUGGUGUAGCUUUCUGCCUCCUUGGUUGCUGCAUCAUGUGUUCGGCAAUCAUGCUGCCAGACAGGGUUUCCAGAGAUUAAAGUCCUGAAAGAGAAAAAGAACAAAGCGGGAAGCCCCUAGUGCGGUUUAAGCCGCGUCUUGGAGCGUGCCAUAGUCGUGCCCCCUCCCCACCUGUGCCCAUGGUAUUUUUAAUGCGUAAUUAUGUACGCGUGGCACGGAUUUCGUCGUUUGGCUGGGACUGGGGUGGGGGCCACAUUGCUACACGAGCUCAGAUCGUGCCAGGCGGUCUAGUUGCCGAUUACUCCGAGCGCGCUUGAAGGUGUCCGGGUCUUGAAACGCCGAACUGGUGGAUUGCCUUGGGAGGCUGCUUUGCGCUUCUGCUACGAGGGCCGCAGUGUGCUCCUCCGUGCGGAGAGAGCGCUCGGUGUUCCCAUUAACUAUGAUGACCCCCUGAGGUCCUGGCAUCUUGAGCUUGAGGUAUGCAUAAUGCGGUACCGCAUUGAAUCUCGCAAAUGCGGUUCGCCCGAGCAGUGCAUGAUAACCACUACGGAACGGGACUAUAUCGAAGAUUAACUCUUUGCUUCGGAAGUUAUCCGGGGAUCCGAAGACCACUUCCAGUGUGACUGAGCCCGUGCAAUGGGCCUCUACACCUGGUAUGACGCCUUUAAAGGUCGUUUUUGUGGGUUUGAUCCUUGAGGGGACUAUACCCAUUUUGUGCAUUGUGUCUUGGUAAAGCAGGUUCAGGCUGCUGCUGCCAUCCAUAAGGACUCGAGUGAGGUGAAAUCCAUCAAUGAUUGGGUCUAGGACUAGUGCGGCAAAUCCGCCAUGACGGAUACUAGUGGGGUGGUCCCUGCGAUCGAAGGUGAUCGGACAGGAGGACCAUGGGUUGAACUUUGGGGCAACUGGCUCCAACGCAUAUACGUCCUUGAGCACACGCUUCCGCUCCCUCUUGGGGAUGUGGGUUGCGUAUAUCAUGUUCACCGUCCACACUUGUGGGGGGAACCUCUUCUGUCCUCCGGUAUUCGGCUGCUGGGGCUCCUCCUCGUCAUCGCUAUGCGGCCCCUUAUCUUUGUUUUCGGCAAUUAACUUGUCGGCCUGCUUGAACACCCAAUAAUCCCUAUUGGUGUGGUUGGCUGGCUUGUCGGGGGUGCCGUGUAUUUGACACGAGCGAUCGAGUAUACGGUCCAAACUGGACGGGCCCGGAGCGCUUUGUUUGAAUGGCUUUUUCCGCUGACCGGGUUUAGAGCCUCUGAAUCCGGCAUUGACUGUCAUAUCCUCGGUAUUAUCGCUGUUAAUGCGGCGCUUAUGUUUGUUGCGACGUGACCUUCUAUUGCCGUCCUUGGUAUCUGAAGUACCAUGGUUCUUUGAUAUGGUAUUACUGCGAGCCAGCCAGCUGUCUUCUCCUGCGCAAAAGUGGGUCAUGAGUGUCGUGAGGGCUGCCAUAGAUUUCGGCUUUUCCUGACCAAGGUGCCGGGCUAGCCACUCGUCGCGGAUGUUGUGCUUGAAAGCUGCUAGGGCCUCUACAUCUGGACAGUCGACGAUGUGAUUUUUCUAUGUUAGGAACCGUGUCCAGAAUUGUCUGGCCGAUUCCUCUAGCUGCUGAAUUAUGUGGCUCAAGUCAUUGGCAUCUCGUGGUCGCACAUAAGUGCCCUACAAGUUGUUGAGGAAUGCGGCUUCCAGAUCUUCCCAACAGCCAAUGGACUCUGCGGGCAAGCUAUUGAGCCAAUGCCGAGCUGGUCCUUUGAGUUUGAGUGGGAGGUAUUUAAUGGCGUGUAGAUCAUCACUGCGUGCCAUGUGGAUAUGCAGGAGCAAAUCCUCGAUCCAUACCGCAGGAUCUGUUGUGCCGUCGUAUGAUUCUAUAUUUACGGGUUUAAAACCCUCUGGGAUUUGAUGAUCCAUUACUUCGUCUGUGAACCAUAAGGGGUAUGUGGCGCCUCUGUACUGGGCAAUGUCGCGACGUAGCUCCAAUGAGUCUUGUCCGCUGUGCUCGGCCCCGCCGGAUUUACUUUUACUGUAUCCGGCGUGACGAUUAUCGUCUCGCGUAGUGGCGUGCCCUCGUGAUCCGUAGAUCGAUCUUGCAUGUUUUGCUUUGUCCUCCAAUACGUCUCGCGGGUCUGGCGUAUUUCCCCAUGCCUUUUUAUUUGAAUGGCGUCGGGGUGCGGGAUGAGCUUUUGGCUGGAAUGCCUCUCUGUCGCGGCCACGGGGUGGCCGAUCAGCCGCAUCAUACGCUUCUUCCUCCAGUCGGGGUAGCAACCUACAUUUUGGGUAACUCUUGGAGGGGUGAUGAGGACAUCAAUACCAUUGUUACACCCACAACCCCUACUGCUACAUAUAUGGGACCAAUUACUAGAGCUCGCGCACGCCAAUUAAAUUAUCAGGUACUUUCGUUUCUUGGUAAUGAUUCUAAUGUUCAUGAGAAUAUGAUGCUGCCUAAAUUGGAUACAUUUGUUUUGCUUACAAAUGAAGGGCCUAGCUUGGAGUAGGAUGAACAUUGGAGCAAGAACAAGCAUGGAGAUGAUGCCAUGCGCAAGGGGAACAAGAACGGAGUUACAAGUGAUGAUUUCAGGACUUUGAAGCCACCAUAAUGGGUGCAUGAAGCCAUGGACGAAAUAUACAAGAUGCCACUUCAUAAAUUUCGUCCCGAGGCUAUUAUAGGUGCUGCGUCACCUUUUUAUUGGGCCAGGCCCAUGUAAUUUCGAAAUACAUAAGUAUAGGCUAUUUUUAGAGUCCGUAUGUGUGGGGAAACAAGAGAUAGGGUUGAUUUCGGACCCCUCCACCAAGGGCCACGAAAUUCCCCCUCUCUUCCUCCAUAUAUACAGCCCUUAGGGCACCGUUUAGACUUUGGGUUUUGUUUAGAUUAAAAGUUCGCCAUAGCUGCAACUUCGCGUACUUCGUUUGUGUUCAACGACCAGACAAAGGCGUCACAGAACCCCACCUUGAUCAAUAAAGCUUUCAUCUUAUAUUCGCAAUAUCCAGAUUGCAAUCUUAGUUUCUUGCUUGUUCUUCGUUUGCUCGCAGGAAACAGACCCUCGUGGUCAGGUUGAUCGUGCUCCGGCGUGGUCAAUAACCUCUCGGAGUUGGUUUAGCGAUUGCUAAGGCGCGACGUCCUCGCACGUUCAUAGUCGGAUCGUCAAAGUCGACUUCCACCAAAGUGAUAUCCAUCAUCUCAUCGAAAGACAGGACACCUUUGCCUCUAUCAAGGGGUGUUCGAGUUUAUAUUCCUCGGCCGCCAGGACUUCAGCCCAUCUAUCAGCUAGCAGAUCUUGAUCAGCUUGAAGCUGCUGCUGCUUUUUCUUAAGGCUAUUUGUCGUGGCUAUAAGUCGGUGCUUGAAGCGCUCUUGUUCGACGGGAUCCUCUGGCACAAUAAAUUCAUCAUCGUUGAGGCUUGCCUCGUCUUCGGAGGGAGGCGUGUAAUUAUCACCCUCCUUGUCUGCCGCUCUCUCAGGAGGGCUGGCCUCUUUGAGCAGAAGAUAAUCAACUACACCAAGUUAUCAUUUCUCAUUCAAAAAACAAUGCACUUGUGGACAUAUGAUGGCUCUAGUUGAAUUUAUUAGUAGCACUAGUCGUCAAAAAUGUUGACUUUAAUUGAAUUUCAUCUAAUAACUAUUUUAAGUUCUUCUUCCUUUCCCUUUCCCUCUUCUUCUUCUUCCUUUCCCUUUCCCCUUCUUCUUCUCCCCCUCUCCUCUUUUCUUCUUCUUCUUUUUUCUUCUCCUCCUCCUCUUCUUCUUUUUCUUAUUCUUGUUCUUAUUUAUUCUUCUUUUCCUUUUUCCUUUUUCCUUUUUUUCCUUCUUCUUUUCUAAUAUGUAAACUAUCUAAAACUAUUUAUUAUCUAAAAUGAUAUCUAAUAUCUAAAACAGGGCCAGGGGAGGUUUUCNNNNNNNNNNNNNNNNNNNNNNNNNNNNNNNNNNNNNNNNNNNNNNNNNNNNNNNNNNNNNNNNNNNNNNNNNNNNNNNNNNNNNNNNNNNNNNNNNNNNNNNNNNNNNNNNNNNNNNNNNNNNNNNNNNNNNNNNNNNNNNUGGGUCCGGGGGGCGGGGCUGGCGGGCGGUGACGGCGGCAGAGCGGCAGGGGAGGAGAGAGGCGGGCACGUGGGAGGGAGACAGAGAAAGAGAGAGGGGGGAGAUGGCUCGGCCCGUUAAGUGGGCCUUCUUUGCCGUCUGCUAGCAGAUGGUAAAGAGGGCGGCCGUUUAGGGCUGGCCCACGUCUCCUCUUUGCCGUCCGCCGGCGGACGGCAAAGAACUUAACCUAGCCACGCCGUGUCCUGUGGGGCCCACCUGGCCCUUUGCCGUCUGCCUUCUAGCUCUUUGUCGUCAGCUGGCUGACGGCAAAGAAGCAGCGGACGGCAAAUAGACUUUUUGCCAUCCGCACUUUCUUUGCCGUCAGCCGGCAGACGGCAAAGAGAUUGCAGAUGGCAAAUUGCCAGAUUCCAGUAGUGAUGCGCUAUUAGACAACGGACCAUGCACAUGCACAAAUAAACCAAACAUUAACUGAGGACGACAUUGCACAAUACAACAUACUCCUAAUAGAAGAUCAGACAAUUAACCAAACCAAGCAUGCUUAACAACUUGGAAAUAUAGCAAUUGUAUUUGUUUCUCAUGUAUUUAGUACAUCCAAAUUUGAUUUAUUUCUCACAUGGUAUACAAUAACAGAAUGUACCCACAACAAUUGAAUAUCGCAUUGCAGAAUUGAACCAAGCAGUUAACUAAACACGACAACAAAUGAACCAAACAUUAACCGAGCACCACAUUGCACAAUAUAACAUACUCAAUAGGAGACCAGAGAGUUAACCAAACCAAGCAUGCUUAACAACUUGGAAAUAUAGUAAUUGUAUUUGUUUCUCAUGUAUUUAGUAUAGCCAAAUUCGAUUUAUUUCUCACAUGGUAUACAAUAACAGAAUGCACCCACAACAAUUGAACAUCGCAUUGCAGAAUUGAACCAAGCAGUAAACUAAACACCACAACAAAUGAACCAAAUGUUAACUGAGCACCACAUUGCACAAUAUAACAUACUCCUAGUAGAAGAUCACAGAGUUAAACAAACCAAGCAUGCUUAACAACUUGGAAAUAUAGCAAUUGUAUUUGUUUCUCAUGUAUUUAGUACAGCACAUGGUAUACAAUAACAGAAUGCACCCACAAUAAUUGAACAUCGCAUUGCAGAAUUGAACCAAACAGUUAACUAAAAACCACAACAAAUGAACCAAACAUUAACUGAGCACCACAUUGCACAAUAUAACAUACUCCUAAUAGAAGAUCAGAUAGUUAACCAGACCAAACAUGCUUGACAACUUGGAAAAUUGCACCCUAAAGAAUUGAACAUCACAUUUGCAAAAUUGAACCAAACAGUUAACUGAACACCACAUUGCACGAAAUAUAGAACAUAUACACUAGAGUACAAGAUUGCAUGGUAAAAGUAGAUAGCACAAUUCACUAGAAUUUGUUAAGGAAAGGCAGUAGCUAGCAAACUGAACAUGGGUCCUUAUAGUGAGGUAAUAAGACAAGCCACUCCUCAUUGUCGGAGAUAUCGAUGACAAUUGGUUCCUUGGACAUGGAAGAGGGCGUGUAGCGACCCGACCCGAAAUCGUUCAAGUCUCUGUGUAUCAGUACCAUCCCAAGAUCAUGCUGGCACACGCAGUACAUUGAUGAAAAAAAUCAAAGUUCAACCACACCUGAUUUAUUACACGAUUCUCAUAUCAAGUCUUUAUUACAAUAUAAUAAAUUCGUUCGAAGGCCAACUCAUGAGAAAAACUAAAUGCUGCGUGAUGAGGACAUGACUACCUUGGAUAUGACCAAAAAUAUUGCAUAUAUGCAUAUUUGUCAGGUGAUUUCUAGUGCAAACUAUUCAAUAAUCUAUUUAUGUUAUCCAGAACAAAAAUACUUCACACACUUUUGUGUUUUGUCUAAUUGCAGGUGUAUGGGACAUUUGUACAAUCCACAUAUGAAGAUAAGGAAGAAAGAGAUGUUUAUUUGCUGUCCAAAAAGUUCUCUCACGUCACUUUUGGUCCAAGAGAAGAUAGAGUCCAAGUCUCUCACGUUCUGGAUUCAGAUUCGGACUGCACAGACACACCUGACUCAAAACGCACACAAGUUUUUCAUACGGACUCCGAAUUGGGUGAUUUUUUUUGUUGGAAACUAGAUUUCGUGCACUUUCCAACCCAAUUGGAAUCACCUUCAAAUUCGUCCGGAGCGUUGAGUUGUGGACGAAACAAUCUGAUGCUGCAGUAGAAUCCGAGUCAAACUACAAGUCCAAAGGUGUUACAUCACCUCCACUUGGGCCCAUUGGCCUUGUACGACCUAGAUUUAGUUUUAGGCUGCCUUGGGACGUCCUCCCACCUCCUUGGCCGCCACCCCUUGCUCCUAUAUAAGUAGAUCCAUCUAGUAGCUUUUCCUUGGGAUUUGUUUAGUUAAAAGUUAGCCAUUGCAACUUCGUGUACUUCGUUUGUGUCCAACGACCAGACCAAGACCGCUUCCGGAUCCCCACCAUUAUCAAUACUUUGUAUAUAUUUGCAAUAUUCAGAUUGCUUUAUCAUAUUCUUGCUCGUUCUUCGAUUGCUUGCAGGAAUAGACCUUCGUGGUCAGGCUGACCGUGCUUCCAGCAUCAUCAGUAACCUCAGGAGAUUGGUUUAGCGAUUGCUAAGGCGCAACGUCGUGCACGUUCGUAGUCGGAUCGUCAAAGUCGUCUCCACCAAAUCGAUUGUUAUCAUCUCAUCGAAAGAUCGGGACCGUCGCCUCUAUCAAGUGGUAUCAGUUUUCAGGUUGCUCGGUGAGAAUUUCCAGUUUUCCUAGAUUAGAUUUAUUUUCUUACCUAUUGUCCAAGAAAAAGCCACAAAAAAGAGUUAGAUCUAUUCAUCCUUGGUCCAAGCCAGUCUGAGCCUUUGCAAUUUUCUUUUCAUUGCUUGCAUAGUUGAAUUAUCGGUUGCAUCGUCGUGUCGAGUUGCUGGUCUUAGUGUCUAGUUCCUUUAGAGUUUCGAGUUCUGUUCACAUUAGUCACGCAGCCGCUGCAUCAUUAUCCCAUCCGCUGUCGACCAUCCAAUCCACCAAUUUCCACCACGUGCUACGCACUGUUUAUUGUCAUAAUCAUAGUUGAGGUCACUCACAUCUUCGCCUGAUCGAAUCUGCAUCUUAUCUAGUUUGUCUUGGAAAGAGGGAGAAAAAGAAGAUAAAGAAAAAAAGAGAGAAAAAAGGAAAGAAAAAAAAAAGAAAAAGAGGGAGAAGAAAAAGAAAAAAAAGCGUGAGAAAAAAAAGAGAGAAGAAAAAAAAUUGGAUCUAUCUAGAAUCAAUCUCGUACCUGAAUUCGGAUUGGAAUCUGUUUUGUGCACUGUUCAGUAAAACAGCUUGGCUAUUGUUUCACAUCAUUAUCUUUACUUCCGUUGUGAUCUUCACUUAUAUCUUGCUGUCCAGAGCUACUUUGUAUGCUUCAUUGAUGCUGGUUGUGCUACGACGUGACCUCAUUAGUGUUCUAGGCUCGCGUCUCUAGUUCGGUCUAGCCUAGGACCAGCACAGUACCGUCGUUGAGCGUUUAUUCAACAUUGCAUCUUUGAAUUGAUUAUUGCUAAUCUUUUGCUACCAUAUAUAGCCAACCCAGCUCCACAUAUUUCUACACCGUGUAUACGUACGCUCCCCUGGCAAUCGCUUUACUCAAUAUUCGGAGUUACUUGACAUCGCUGGUUGCCGAUCACCGCCUGCUGCAUGGUAAGAACGUGUAAGACAUUGAUAUUUGCUUUACUGUGAGCGUUUUACCACCACAUCCUAGUAGUUAUAGGAACAUUAUUUUUGGGUUUUGUUUCUUGUUCUACUAAUCAUGACAGGAUCCAGAGUCAAUUCAUGGGCUUUGUCGAUCGCGGGAGACGUGCCACCACCUUUGCAAAUACCACAACCGUCACGAGAGGUGCACAAACAUCCAAAUGCACAUGAUCAGGUUAAUGUAUCUAUACCACCAUUUAAUGGCCGUUUUAAACCUGCUUUAUAUAUUGAAUGGGAGUUCAACAUAAAAAAUAUAUUUGCUUCCCACAAUUUCAAUGAACAUAAAAAGGUUAAGGUUGCGGUUGGUUCUUUCACUGGUUAUGCUUUGGUUUGGUGGAGUGAAUAUUGUCGGUUACACCCUGAUUAUAUAGCUACUACUUGGGAUGAUUUGAAACUUGCCAUGCGACAUACUUUCGUCCCUGCUUAUUAUACUCGUGACAUGAUUAAGAAGUUGCAACACUUAAAACAAGGUAGUGAAACUGUAACAAAAUAUUAUGAUGAUUUACAAACUACCUUGUUGCAUUCCUCUUUAGAAGAAAGUGAAGAUGAUUUUAUGGAUAGAUUUUGGGGAGGAUUAAACCGUGAUAUUCAAGAGAUACUAAUUCAUGAAGAAUGUUAUCCUAUGGACCAUUUGUUUCAUCUUGCUUGCAAAGCUGAAUAGGAAAUAAAACGACGUGUUGGCCACGAGGAGAACAAGCGCACGGUGCACAUUCCAAGAGUUGAUAUGAUUGUUCCUUCAACUACUAGGCAUACUAUGACAACCACAUCCGUUGUUGUCAGGACUACAUCACCUCCACCAUGUGACACAUCGCCCCCGAGAGUGGCUACAUCAUCUGAGUUGAUCAUAAGAGGUAAUGACAUAGGUACUGAUCUUCCAUCUCUACAUGAGAAUGAUGAAUGCCUUGUCAAUUUGAAUGCACCAUCUGAUGAGCUACCCACUACUUUGAUCACACCCCCUAUUUUAGAGGACUACGUUGAUAAUUUGACUUUGCCAUGUGAUCAAACAACUGAAAUACCAACAAUAUUGAGUGCACCCAUUGAAUUAACUAUUGAUGCAAAAGAACCAAUGUUUAAUCAUUUUGAUAUGACCUCUAAUCUUGGUGAUGAUUCUGUGUUGAAUGACUUAUUGCAUGUUUGCUUAUUUAAGCAUGUUGUAGCAUGUAAAUUUGAUGCAAGUAAGGUUUAUUCACCAAUGUUGGGAUGGUUUAAUGAUGAACAUUGUCAAUCUUUUGAAAUGAAUAAGAGCUUCACUUAUAUGUGCAAACUGAGUUGCAAUAUUUUCAUGCCUUCUACUUCUUGUGCUAAUUUUUUGGCUUUAGAUUUUAUGAACUAUGCAAGUUACUCAUCUAUUCAUGUGUCAUAUAUGCAAAAAUUAAGGGAAGUAAAAAUGGAUGACAUAUACAUAUACAACAUGUACACCUUGUCUCUUUUGUUAGCCACAUUUCAGAUUAAGCAACGCCGAGGACGGCUUUAUUUUCAAGAAGGGGAGGAUGAUGAGGACAUGAUGAUAGAGGCGAGGGUCCCGAUCUUUCGAUGAGAUGAUAACUAUCGAUUUGGUGGAGACGACUUUGACAAUCCGACUACAAACGUGCACGACGUUGCGCCUUAGCAAUCGCUAAACCAAUCUCCUGAGGUUACUGACGAUGCCGGAAGCACGGUCAGCCUGACCACGAAGGUCUAUUCCUGCAAGCAAUCGAAGAACGAGCAAGAAUAUGAUAAAGCAAUCUGAAUAUUGCAAAUAUAUAUGAGGUAUUGAUAAUGGUGGGGAUCCGUAAGCGGUCUUGGUCUGGUCGUUGGACACAAACGAAGUACACGAAGUUGCAAUGGCUAACUUUUAACUAAACAAAUCCCAAGGAAAAGCUACUAGAUGGAUCUACUUAUAUAGGAGCAAGGGGUGGCGGCCAAGGAGGUGGGAGGACGUCCCAAGGCAGCCUAAAACUAAAUCUAGGUCGUACAAGGCCAAUGGGCCCAAGUGGAGGUGAUGUAACACCUUUGGACUUGUAGUUUGACUUGGAUUCUGCUGCAGCAUCAAAUUGUUUCGUCCACAACUCAACGCUCCGGACGAAUUUGAAGGUGAUUUCAAUUGGGUUGGAAAGUGCACGAAAUCUAGUUUCCAACGCAAAAAGAAUCACCCAAUUCGGAGUCCGUAUGAAAAACUUGUGUGCGUUUUGAGUCAGGUAUGUCUGUGCAGUCCGAAUCUGAAUCCAGAACGUGAGAGACUUGGACUCUAUCUUCUCUUGGGCCAAAAGUGACGUGAGAGAACUUUUUGGACAGCAAAUAAACAUCUCUUUCUUCCUUAUCUUCAUAUGUGAAUUGUACAAAUGUCCCAUACACCUGCAAUUAGACAAAACACAAAAGUGUGUGAAGUAUUUUUGUUCUGGAUAACAUAAAUAGAUUAUUGAAUAGUUUGCACUAGAAAUCACCUGACAAAUAUGCAUAUAUGCAAUAUUUUUGGUCAUAUCCAAGGUAGUCAUGUCCUCAUCAUCCUCCCCUUCUUGAAAAUAAAGCCGUCCUCGGCGUUGCUUAAUCUGAAAUGUGGCUAACAAAAGAGACAAGGUGUACAUGUUGUAUAUGUAUAUGUCAUCCAUUUUUACUUACCUUGAUUUUUGCAUAUAUGACACAUGAAUAGAUGAGUAACUUGCAUAGUUCAUAAAAUCUAAAGCCAAAAAAUUAGCACAAGAAGUAGAAGGCAUGAAAAUAUUGCAACUCAGUUUGCACAUAUAAGUGAAGCUCUUAUUCAUUUCAAAAGAUUGACAAUGUUCAUCAUUAAACCAUCCCAACAUUGGUGAAUAAACCUUACUUGCAUCAAAUUUACAUGCUACAACAUGCUUAAAUAAGCAAAUAUGCAAUAAGUCAUUCAACACAGAAUCAUCACCAAGAUCAGAGGUCAUAUCAAAAUGAUUAAACAUUGGUUCUUUUGCAUCAAUAGUUAAUUCAAUGGGUACACUCAACAUUGUUGGUAUUUCAGUUGUUUGAUCACAUGGCAAAGUCAAAUUAUCAACGUAGUCCUCUAAAAUAGGUGGUGUGAUCAAAGUAGUGGGUAGCUCAUCAGAUGGUGCAUUCAAAUUGACAAGGCAUUCAUCAUUCUCAUGUAGAGAUGGAAGAUCAGUACCUUUGUCAUUACCUCUUAUGAUCAACUCAGAUGAUGUAGCCACUCUCGGGGGCGAUGUGUCACAUGGUGGAGGUGAUGUAGUCCUGACAACAACGGAUGUGGUUGUCAUAGUAUGCCUAGUAGUUGAAGGAACAAUCAUAUCAACUCUUGGAAUGUGCAUCGUGCGCUUGUUCUCCUCAUGGCCAACACGUCGUUUUAUUUCCUGUUCAGCUUUGCAAGCAAGAUGAAACAAAUGGUCCAUAGGAUAACACUCUUCAUGAAUUAGUAUCUCUUGAAUAUCACGGUUUAAUCCUCCCCAAAAUCUAUCCAUAAAAUCAUCUUCACUUUCUUCUAAAGAGGAAUGCAACAAGGUAGUUUGUAAAUCAUCAUAAUAUUUUGUUACAGUUUCACUACCUUGCUUUAAGUGUUGCAACUUCUUAAUCAUGUCACGAGUAUAAUAAGCAGGGACGAAAGUAUGUCGCAUGGCAAGUUUCAAAUCAUCCCAAGUAGUAGGUAUAUAAUCAGGGUGUAACCGACAAUAUUCACUCCACCAAACCAAAGCAUAACCAGUGAAAGAACCAACCGCAACCUUAACCUUUUUAUGUUCAUCGAAAUUAUGGGAAGCAAAUAUAUUUUUUAUGUCGAACUCCCAUUCAAUAUAUAAAGCAGGUUUAAAACGGCCAUUAAAUGGUGGUAUAGAUACAUUAACCUGAUCAUGUGCAUUUGGAUGUUUGUGCACCUCUCGUGACGGUUGUGGUAUUUGCAAAGGUGGUGGCACGUCUCCCGCGAUCGACAAAGCCCAUGAAUUGACUGUGGAUCCUGUCAUGAUUAGUAGAACAAGAAACAAAACCCAAAAAUAUUGUUCCUUCAACUACUAGGCAUACUAUGACAACCACAUCCGUUGUUGUCAGGACUACAUCACCUCCACCAUGUGACACAUCGCCCCCGAGAGUGGCUACAUCAUCUGAGUUGAUCAUAAGAGGUAAUGACAAAGGUACUGAUCUUCCAUCUCUACAUGAGAAUGAUGAAUGCCUUGUCAAUUUGAAUGCACCAUCUGAUGAGCUACCCACUACUUUGAUCACACCACCUAUUUUAGAGGACUACGUUGAUAAUUUGACUUUGCCAUGUGAUCAAACAACUGAAAUACCAACAAUUUUGAGUGCACCCAUUGAAUUAACUAUUGAUGCAAAAGAACCAAUGUUUAAUCAUUUUGAUAUGACCUCUAAUCUUGGUGAUGAUUCUGUGUUGAAUGACUUAUUGCAUGUUUGCUUAUUUAAGCAUGUUGUAGCAUGUAAAUUUGAUGCAAGUAAGGUUUAUUCACUAAUGUUGGGAUGGUUUAAUGAUGAACAUUGUCAAUCUUUUGAAAUGAAUAAGAGCUUCACUUAUAUGUGCAAACUGAGUUGCAAUAUUUUCAUGCCUUCUACUUCUUGUGCUAAUUUUUUGGCUUUAGAUUUUAUGAACUAUGCAAGUUACUCAUCUAUUCAUGUGUCAUAUAUGCAAAAAUCAAGGGAAGUAAAAAUGGAUGACAUAUACAUAUACAAUAUGUACACCUUGUCUCUUUUGUUAGCCACAUUUCAGAUUAAGCAACGCCGAGGACGGCUUUAUUUUCAAGAAGGGGAGGAUGAUGAGGACAUGACUACCUUGGAUAUGACCAAAAAUAUUGCAUAUAUGCAUAUUUGUCAGGUGAUUUCUAGUGCAAACUAUUCAAUAAUCUAUUUAUGUUAUCCAGAACAAAAAUACUUCACACACUUUUGUGUUUUGUCUAAUUGCAGGUGUAUGGGACAUUUGUACAAUCCACAUAUGAAGAUAAGGAAGAAAGAGAUGUUUAUUUGCUGUCCAAAAAGUUCUCUCACGUCACUUUUGGCCCAAGAGAAGAUAUUGUCCAAGUCUCUCACGUUCUGGAUUCAGAUUCGGACUGCACAGACACACCUGACUCAAAACGCACACAAGUUUUUCAUACGGACUCCGAAUUGGGUGAUUUUUUUUGUUGGAAACUAGAUUUUGUGCACUUUCCAACCCAAUUGGAAUCACCUUCAAAUUCGUCCGGAGCGUUGAGUUGUGGACGAAACAAUCUGAUGCUGCAGUAGAAUCCGAGUCAAACUACAAGUCCAAAGGUGUUACAUCACCUCCACUUGGGCCCAUUGGCCUUGUACGACCUAGAUUUAGUUUUAGGCUGCCUUGGGACGUCCUCCCACCUCCUUGGCCGCCACCCCUUGCUCCUAUAUAAGUAGAUCCAUCUAGUAGGUUUUCCUUGGGAUUUGUUUAGUUAAAAGUUAGCCAUUGCAACUUCGUGUACUUCGUUUGUGUCCAACGACCAGACCAAGACCGCUUCCGGAUCCCCACCAUUAUCAAUACUUUGUAUAUAUUUGCAAUAUUCAGAUUGCUUUAUCAUAUUCUUGCUCGUUCUUCGAUUGCUUGCAGGAAUAGACCUUCGUGGUCAGGCUGACCGUGCUUCCAGCAUCAUCAGUAACCUCAGGAGAUUGGUUUAGCGAUUGCUAAGGCGUCGUGCACGUUCGUAUUCGGAUCGUCAAAGUCAUCUCCACCAAAUCGAUUGUUAUCAUCUCAUCGAAAGAUCGGGACCCUCGCCUCUAUCACUGCGGAUGCAUAGACGAUAAGCGAGUCCAUUCGACUCCAUGUGGCAAUCACCGAGCGUAGAUCGUAGCCUCACUCCUGGUGGGAAAACUCAUCUACAACAUGAAACGUUGCAGCCAUGUAGGUCAGCAUUUUGAAUAUGCCGACAAGUCAUAGAGAGAACAACAAUAAUAAUGCUAACACUAUAUGCAAUUUGGUUGUUGGGGCUCUAAGUAUUAUGUUUUUGUGAAAAAGCCAAAUUUUCCCUACAACAAAGGACUUGCUUGCAAUUACUACAAAAUGUUGGUUGUUAACGAGAUGGUUCCGCCAACCAGUGUCUCAUACCCGAAAUCAUUAAUAACCCAUCAAUCAAUUAAUUAUGUUUGGUGUUGAGAUUUCUGAAAUAAUCAUAUUCCAGAGGCUCAUUUGUCCGUAACUGGGGACACGGCUAAUCGUUUAGGUUUCUACUCUACAGAGUCUUGUGCACUUUACCCGCAAGAAUCGUUUCCUCCUUUAUGUCCUCGCACUGCCUAGUGUUUGAAGGUGGGACGGGUGAAACAGGGCCUUCCGUAGAGUUCCUCUGGGCCACUACCGGUGCCCAUCCAAUCCUACCAUUCUUCUACAUCUUGUAGCACCAUCCGGCCAGAGUCACACAUAGGGUCAACCUAGCCAGAGCCCAUAAUGGCUUGCGGCUGCACAGGUAAGCUUCCGGUCAAGGUGUAUCCAUCCGUCUCUUCAUGGAUGGGUGAAGCUUUCCGCAAGAUGGCAUGGCGCUUCUCCAUGCAUCCCGGCCAUCCGCUGGUUGCUCCAGGGUGCCCAUCAAAUCCGGCCUCCACCCAGUAGUGAGUUUGAAAACCAUCUUGAGCAUCUUGAAAUCAUGGGUUUGUCAUCAUCUUGUCUCUCACAUCUCCCGUAUGAAUCACUCAACCAACCCCAUCUACAAGCAUACCAAAAUAAACUACAUCUUCCCGGGCAAUGGUAACAAAGGGAUUUUGGGUCAACCUACCACAUGAUACUACUCAAGACCUAUGCAAUUUCUCCUACUGCAUGCAUGGUGGGGAGGAAAUACUACUAAUGCAAUAGAACAUAGGUAAAUAAUUUCAUGAUCAAGACUUGCCUGGCUGGCGGUCUUCGAACGCUAGUGACUCGUGAUAGCAAGCUUCGCACUCCGAAAAUUCUAUCGAGUCAAACAUAGCACAAAUAAGUAUACCAUCAUAAAAUUUCGACUACAACAACAAGUAAAUUAUAAUAACACACAAUCAUACACACAAAGAAAUCCAACAAUAAAACCAACGAAGUCAUAGAAUCAAAGUAAGAUUUUUACUAAAAGUAAGACAACUCAAAAAUAAUUUUCUCCUACAAAUUUUUUCUUAAACAGAGCCAAAACAAAAGCUUUGUUAACUAAUAGAAGGGGAAACAUUAUAAAAACCUGUAGCGACCCGAUCCCAAUGGAUCGAAGUCUCUGUGCUUAAGUGUCAUCCCUGGAUCGGUAUGCUGACACACACAGUACUCGAGGAAUUAUAACAAAGUUCAAUCACACACUUAUUACAUCGAGGUCCUCAUAAAGAGUGUUUAUUAUAAUAAUAUGGCUGAAGGCCAUCUAAUAAAAAUAACUGCGGAAGCUUCGAAGGUAAAUGAGUCCAUCCAACUCCACGGCAAAACUGAGUGCAAGACAAUGACCUAUCGCACCUUAAUCCUCGUCUGAAAAUUCUGCAACAUGAGACGUUGCAGCCGUGUAGGUCAGCACAUGGAAUAUGCUGGCAAGAUCACACUAUAGAGCAAUGAUACUAUCACUACAUGCAUAUUUGGCUUGCGGAGGCUCUAUGUUUAACAUUUGCAUAAAGCUAAUUUUUCCCUACAACAAAGGAAUACAUUUUUAUUUACUACCAAGUUUAUGCCAUAAUUGAGAAGGUAUCCCCAACUCAAUCCCAAAAUUACCAAGUAAUAAUAAUAUUAAUAACAAUUACCCCACAAAUUCAUUAAGUAAAGUGAUGAGAUCAACCAAUAACUCAAAUACCAGAUACUCAAAAUGUCCAUAGCCGGGGACACGACUAAUCAUGAUUAGUUUGUACACUCUGCAGAGGUUUGCGCACUUUUCCCCACAAGACUCGACCGCAUCCAUGAUCGGAAGAUCGAGACAUAGUCUUUCUGAAGAGGUCCCCUUAACCGAUAGAUAGGCCGGUACACCUACAAUUCCCCUACAUCUGCUAGCCCAUCAUGGAAAGGUUUCCCACAACUUACUUCACUAUGCCAGAGCCCAUAAUGGCUUGUGGCUGCACACGGAAGUUUCUGAGCAUGAAUAAUUUUAUGAUCCCUUUGAGCCUGGGUGGCAUUCCAUAGGAUGAUCACAUGGGUACCCCGGGAUCUCCUAGGACAACACUGGAUUCCCCAGGUGCCCGCAACCAACCCGCCCAUAUGUGUAUUAAAGUAGCCACCUUAAGUUUCCCUUAGUUAUUAUCUCUCACAACUUGCAUGAUUCUCACAUACCAAUCCUCGUCUACGAGCAUGGCUAAGCAAAAUGAACAUAAUGUAUAUUCCCGGGGUGAUCAAAGGUAUUAGGUUCCUACGUCAUCAACUACAUAGCAAUAAUCACAUGUUCCCAAUCCUACUCAUGCAAUGUUUGAGGGUGUAACUAAUGCAUAAAAAAUGGUUAAUAAAGGGUAUGAUCAAAGUAACUUGCCUUGCUAACGAUCGGUAAACCCUAGAGAUUCGUAGUAGCAAGAUUCGUAGUAGCAAGCUUCGCAGUACGGAAAAUCUAUCAUAGUCAAACAAUAGCAUACAUAACCACUCAAGCAUGAAGAUGCAAAGAAAACCAAAGAAAAAGAUCUUAACAGAAAGUUUAGGUCGAGAACUUUGAUAUGCAAAAAGAUCAACUAAAUCGGAGUUACGAAACUCAAAUUAUAAUCAAAAGAAGUUCAAAUUCAAAUCUGUUUGAAAUCAAAUUUUAAACUUUCAAAAACAUGUUUCUGUUGGUUAUCUGGAUAGAGGGGAUCAUAAUGAAGAAUUUGGCGUUGGUUUCAUUGGAUUUGGCUAAGCGAGCAAAAAGUUACGAGGGUUUAAAGAUAAGGGGCUAAUCUGCGAAGAAACUAUUCACGGAUGGGUCCCUGGCCGAAAAUAAAACAGAAAAAGAAAAAUCUAUCGAACGAACGUCCGCUACGAAAACCUAACGAAUGAAAAUGUUCGCUAAAACUAACUAAACAAAAAACGUUCGUUACUUAACUAAACUAAAUAAAAUAAAGUCGGGUUUAAACGAAAAACCAAAAACUAAAAGAAAACCGGACCGGUCCGGGUGGUGGUUUUUUACCGGUUCAGGCGGUUCGAUGUCGGCGGUGGGGGCGGCUUUCCGGCGACGCGGGGCGGUGGUUGCGGCUUGCGGCGGCGGCGGCGGCUGCGGCUAAGUGCGGCGGCGGCCGCUGCGGUUUGUGGAGGAGAGGGGGUCCGGGGCGGCGUAUUUGUAGGAGGGAGGAGUGCGGCGGGCUUGGAGGAGGUGGCAAGGCGGCGGCGGUGGAGUCCGGGGCAGACUCGGCUCCCAUGGCGGCGCGGUGGCGUGCGGCGGGCGGAGUCCCGCCCGGGAUCGGGGCGAGCGUUACUAGAUGGGCCGUGGCCUGGCCCGGUUGGCUGGGCCGGCCCAGUUCGGCAGAGAAGUUUUUUUCCAGAAAGACAAAAAUACGAAAAACAUAACAAAAACUAUUCUUAAAAAAUUCCAGAAAAAUUCACAUGAUUCCCUCCUAAUAUUUGGACUAAUGUGAACAUUUUUCUCGACCUAAAUGCCUAAAAUAAAAUAAACUUUUUAGUACUAAUAAAAAUAAUUAAACAUGCCAAUAAAAUCAAAUAAAAUAUAUAUUUAUUCAAAAAUUAAUUUCCAAUAUUUCGUUACUAUUUUUGAAGAAGUCAUAUUAUCUUCUCUCAUUAUUUUAUUUAUUUGAAAUUUUUGGAAAAAUAUUUUGAAUAAAUCUCUUUGAUCCAAUUUGCCAAUUUUGAAAAUUCAAAAAUGGAUUUUUUGAGAAAACCUCCAACUCUCUCAAUUGGUCAUUGACUUGCUUAAGGUUUCUAGGCUCAAAAUUCAAAUGAAACAAAUUUCAAAAAAUGCACAAAUGAUGAAUGCAUAUGAAUGAUCUAAAUAACAUCCAAAUUGAAAAUUGGGAUGUUACAAACCUACCCCCCUUAAGAUGAAUCUCGCCCUCGAGAUUCGGGUUGGCUAGCAAAAAGGUGUCGGUGGUCCUUUCAAAGGUCUUCUUCUCUUCCCAGGUGGCUUCCUCCUCGGUAUGGUGACUCCACUGAACCUUGCAAAACUUGAUAACCUUGCUGCUAGUAACUUGGUUGGCGAGUUUGAGAAUCUUGAUGGGUUUCUCCUCAUAAGUCAGGUCACUCUCCAACUGAAUUGCUUCUAGGGGCACAGUAUCUCUCAGAGGAAUAUUGGUCAUCUCUGCAUGGCACUUCUUCAACUGGGAAACGUGAAACACAUCAUGAACUCCUGACAAACCUUCGGGUAAUUCUAACUUGUAGGCAACUUCACCCAUACGUUCCAAGACUCUGUAUGGUCCCACAAAUUGUGGCGCCAACUUUCCUUUGACUCCAAACCGUUUAACUCCUGGAAGUGGCGACACACGAAGAUAUGCUCUGUCUCCGACUUCAUAGGUCACCUCCUUGCGUUUAGUAUCGGCAUAACUCUUCCGCCUGGACUGGGCUAUCUUGAGUCUAUCACGAAUCAACUUGACCUUCUCGUCUGACUCUUUGAUUUAAUCUGGUCCGAAUAGUUGUCAGUCUCCAAAUUCAUCACUCAUCAAUGGUGUCCUGCACCUCCUUCCAUACAAAGCUUCAAAAGGGGCCAUCUUCAGACUAGCUUGGUAGUUGUUGUUAUACGAGAACUCUGCAUAAGGCAAAUUAUCAUCCCAACUAGAUCCAUAAUCUAGCGCACAAGCUCUCAACAUGUCCUCCAGAAUCUGAUUGACUCUCUCGGUCUACCCAUCUGUCUGCGGAUGAUAGGUUGUACUGAACUGUAGCCUAGUACCCAAAGUUUGGUGUGACUGAUUCCAAAACUUCAAAGUAAACUACGUUCCUCUAUUUUACACUAUGGUCCUCGAAACUCCAUGCAAACAUACAAUCCUGGUCAUAUACAUCUUGGCCAACUUAGUGCUAGUAUAAGUGGUUUUCACGGGAUUAAGUGAGCCACCUUGGUCAAGCGAUCUACUACAACCCAAAUGGAGUCAUAUCCUGAACGAGUCAUCGGUAAUCCGGUGAUGAAAUCCAUGCCAAGCUUAUCCCACUUCCAUUCGGGUAUCAGCAAAGGCUGAAGUAAUCUGGCUGGUUUCUGAUGUUCUGCCUUAACUCUCUUACAUACGUCGCAUACUUCUACAUACUCGGUGAUUGAUGAGGACAUGACUACCUUGGAUAUGACCAAAAAUAUUGCAUAUAUGCAUAUUUGUCAGGUGAUUUCUAGUGCAAACUAUUCAAUAAUCUAUUUAUGUUAUCCAGAACAAAAAUACUUCACACACUUUUGUGUUUUGUCUAAUUGCAGGUGUAUGGGACAUUUGUACAAUCCACAUAUGUAGAUAAGGAAGAAAGAGAUGUUUAUUUGCUGUCCAAAAAGUUCUCUCACGUCACUUUUGGCCCAAGAGAAGAUAGAGUCCAAGUCUCUCAUGUUCUGGAUUCAGAUUCGGACUGCACAGACACACCUGACUCAAAACGCACACACGUUUUUCAUACGGACUCCGAAUUGGGUGAUUCGUUUUUUGUUGGAAACUAGAUUUCGUGCACUUUCCAACCCAAUUGGAAUCACCUUCAAAUUCAUCCGGAGCGUUGAGUUGUGGACGAAACAAUCUGAUGCUGCAGCAGAAUCCGAGUCAAACUACAAGUCCAAAGGUGUUACAUCACCUCCACUUGGGCCCAUUGGCCUUGUACGACCUAGAUUUAGUUUUAGGCUGCCUUGGGACGUCCUCCCACCUCCUUGGCCGCCACCCCUUGCUCCUAUAUAAGUAGAUUCAUCUAGUAGCUUUUCCUUGGGAUUUGUUUAGUUAAAAGUUAGCCAUUGCAACUUCGUGUACUUCGUUUGUGUCCAACGACCAGACCAAGACCACUUUUCGGAUCCCCACCAUUAUCAAUACUUCAUACAUAUUCGCGAUAUUCAGAUUGCUUUUAUCAUAUUCUUGCUUGUUCUUCGAUUGCUUGCAGGAAUAGACCUUCGUGGUCAGGUUGAUCGUGCUCCGGCGUGGUCAAUAACCUCUCGGAGUUGGUUUAGCGAUUGCUAAGGCACAACGUCGUUGCACGUUUGUAGUUGGAUCGUCAAAGUUGUCUCCACCAAAUCGAUAGUUAUCAUCUCAUCGAAAGAUCGGGACACCCCGCCUCUAUCAAGUGGUAUCAGUUUUCAGGUUGCUCGGUGAGAAUUUCCAGUUUUCCUAGAUUAGAUUUAUUUUCUUACCUAUUGUCAAAGAAAAAGCCACAAAAAAAAGUUAGAUCUAUUCAUCCUUUCUCCAAGCCAGUCUGAGCCUUUGCAAUUUUCUUUUCAUUGUAUGCAUUAUUGAAUUAUCGGUUGCAUCGUCGUGUCGACUUGCUGGUCUUAGUGUCUAGUUCGUUUAGAGUUUCGAGUUCUUUUCACAUUAGUCACGCCGCCGCUGCAUCAUUAUCCCUUCCGCUGUCCACCAUCCCAUCUAUUAAUUUCCACCACGUGCUACGCACUGUUCAUUGUCAUAAUCCUAGUUGAGGUCAUUCACAUCUUCGCCUGAUCCAAUCUGUAUCUUAUCUAGUUUGUCUUGGAAAGAUAAAAAAAGAUAGAGAAAAAAAAGAGAAAAAAGGAAAGAAAAAAAAAGAAAAAGAGAGAGAAGAAAAAGAAAAAAAAGCGUGAGAAAAAAAAGAGAGAAGAAAAAAAAAUUGGAUCUAUCUAGAAUCAAUCUCGUACCUGAAUUCGGAUUGGAAUCUGUUUUGCGCACUGUUCAGUAAAACAGGUGUAUCUUCCUCAUACGAAGUCCGUUUUGGCUCCGUGAGUACUCAAAUUGAAGCUAGCAACGAGCCGCAUCUAAAUAGUUGCAGAAGGUAGUUCAAUAUUUGACACCUCAAAAUCGGCUUCUAAAUAGGUCUUUUUGCCCUCCGAAGUUUGUGAACACAACUUGUUCCAAUUUUUCAGGCCAGUUUUAGAAUUAUUUGACUCCUCAUAUCAACUCGGAAUUGAGUGAUUCUUUUUGCAUUGGAAAGCUUGAGUUAGUAGCAUUCUUUGAAAGAAUUUAUCAGAAAAUUGUCUCAAACUUUUCAAGAGGAAAGUUGGAGAGAGAGUUGUUGUAUAUCCUGCUUGGCAGUUGUUUUUCAUCAUUAUCUUCACUGCCGUUGUGAUCUUCACUUAUAUCUUGCUGUCAAGAGCUACUUAGUAUCCUUCAUUGAUGCUAGUUGUGCUACGCCGUGACCUCAUUAGUGUUCUAGGCUCGCGUCUCUAGUCCGGUCUAGCCUAGGACCAGCACGGUACCGUCGUUGAGCGUUUAUUCAACAUUGCAUCUUUGAAUUGAUUAUUGCUAAUCUUUUGCUACCAUAUAUAGCGAACCCAGCUCCACAUAUUUCUACACCGUGUAUACGUACGCUCCCCUGGCAAUCGCUUUACUCAAUAUUCGGAGUUACUUGACACCGCUGGUUGCCGAUCACCGCCUGCUGCAUGGUAAGAACUUGUAAGACAUUGAUAUUUGCUUUAUUGUGAGCGUUUUACCACCACAUCCUAGUAGUUAUAGGAACAUUAUUUUUGGGUUUUGUUUCUUGUUCUACUAAUCAUGAUAGGAUCCAGAGUCAAUUCAUGGGCUUUGUCGAUCGCGGGAGACGUGCCACCACCUUUGCAAAUACCACAACCGUCACGAGAGGUGCACAAACAUCCAAAUGCACAUGAUCAGGUUAAUGUAUCUAUACCACCAUUUAAUGGCCGUUUUAAACCUGCUUUAUAUAUUGAAUGGGAGUUCGACAUAAAAAAUAUAUUUGCUUCCCAUAAUUUCAAUGAACAUAAAAAGGUUAAGGUUGCGGUUGGUUCUUUCACUGGUUAUGCUUUGGUUUGGUGGAGUGAAUAUUGUCGGUUACACCCUGAUUAUAUACCUACUACUUGGGAUGAUUUGAAACUUGCCAUGCGACAUACUUUCGUCCAUGCUUAUUAUACUCGUGACAUGAUUAAGAAGUUGCAACACUUAAAACAAGGUAGUGAAACUGUAACAAAAUAUUAUGAUGAUUUACAAACUACCUUGUUGCAUUCCUCUUUAGAAGAAAGUGAAGAUGAUUUUAUGGAUAGAUUUUGGGGAGGAUUAAACCGUGAUAUUCAAGAGAUACUAAUUCAUGAAGAAUGUUAUCCUAUGGACCAUUUGUUUCAUCUUGCUUGCAAAGCUGAAUAGGAAAUAAAACGACGUGUUGGCCACGAGGAGAACAAGCGCACGAUGCACAUUCCAAGAGUUGAUAUGAUUGUUCCUUCAACUACUAGGCAUACUAUGACAACCACAUCCGUUGUUGUCAGGACUACAUCACCUCCACCAUGUGACACAUCGCCCCCGAGAGUGGCUACAUCAUCUGAGUUGAUCAUAAGAGGUAAUGACAUAGGUACUGAUCUUCCAUCUCUACAUGAGAAUGAUGAAUGCCUUGUCAAUUUGAAUGCACCAUCUGAUGAGCUACCCACUACUUUGAUCACACCACCUAUUUUAGAGGACUACGUUGAUAAUUUGACUUUGCCAUGUGAUCAAACAACUGAAAUACCAACAAUUUUGAGUGCACCCAUUGAAUUAACUAUUGAUGUAAAAGAACCAAUGUUUAAUCAUUUUGAUAUGACCUCUAAUCUUGGUGAUGAUUCUGUGUUGAAUGACUUAUUGCAUGUUUGCUUAUUUAAGCAUGUUGUAGCAUGUAAAUUUGAUGCAAGUAAGGUUUAUUCACCAAUGUUGGGAUGGUUUAAUGAUGAAUAUUGUCAAUCUUUUGAAAUGAAUAAGAGCUUCACUUAUAUGUGCAAACUGAGUUGCAAUAUUUUCAUGCCUUCUACUUCUUGUGCUAAUUUUUUGGCUUUAGAUUUUAUGAACUAUGCAAGUUACUCAUCUAUUCAUGUGUCAUAUAUGCAAAAAUCAAGGGAAGUAAAAAUGGAUGACAUAUACAUAUACAACAUGUACACCUUGUCUCUUUUGUUAGCCACAUUUCAGAUUAAGCAACGCCGAGGAUGGCUUUAUUUUCAAGAAGGGGAGGAUGAUGAGGACAUGACUACCUUGGAUAUGACCAAAAAUAUUGCAUAUAUGCAUAUUUGUCAGGUGAUUUCUAGUGCAAACUAUUCAAUAAUCUAUUUAUGUUAUCCAGAACAAAAAUACUUCACACACUUUUGUGUUUUGUCUAAUUGCAGGUGUAUGGGACAUUUGUACAAUUCACAUAUGAAGAUAAGGAAGAAAGAGAUGUUUAUUUGCUGUCCAAAAAGUUCUCUCACGUCACUUUUGGCCCAAGAGAAGAUAGAGUCCAAGUCUCUCACGUUCUGGAUUCAGAUUCGGACUGCACAGACAUACCUGACUCAAAACGCACACAAGUUUUUCAUACGGACUCCGAAUUGGGUGAUUCUUUUUUUUGUUGGAAACUAGAUUUCGUGCACUUUCCAACCCAAUUGGAAUCACCUUCAAAUUCGUCCGGAGCGUUGAGUUGUGGACGAAACAAUCUGAUGCUGCAGCAGAAUCCGAGUCAAACUACAAGUCCAAAGGUGUUACAUCACCUCCACUUGGGCCCAUUGGCCUUGUACGACCUAGAUUUAGUUUUAGGCUGCCUUGGGACGUCCUCCCACCUCCUUGGCCGCCACCCCUUGCUCCUAUAUAAGUAGAUCCAUCUAGUAGCUUUUCCUUGGGAUUUGUUUAGUUAAAAGUUAGCCAUUGCAACUUCGUGUACUUCGUUUGUGUCCAACGACCAGACCAAAACCGCUUACGGAUCUCCACCAUUAUCAAUACCUCAUAUAUAUUUGCAAUAUUCAGAUUGCUUUAUCAUAUUCUUGCUCGUUCUUCGAUUGCUUGCAGGAAUAGACCUUCGUGGUCAGGCUGACCGUGCUUCCGGCAUCGUCAGUAACCUCAGGAGAUUGGUUUAGCGAUUGCUAAGGCGCAACAUCGUGCACGUUUGUAGUCGGAUCGUCAAAGUCGUCUCCACCAAAUCGAUAGUUAUCAUCUCAUCGAAAGAUCGGGACACCCUCGCCUCUAUCAUAGGACCAGCACAGUACCGUCGUUGAGCGUUUAUUCAACAUUGCAUCUUUGAAUUGAUUAUUGCUAAUCUUUUGCUACCAUAUAUAGCCAACCCAGCUCCACAUAUUUUUACACCGUGUAUACGUACGCUCCCCUGGCAAUCGCUUUACUCAAUAUUCGGAGUUACUUGACACCGCUGGUUGCCGAUCACCGCCUGCUGCAUGGUAAGAACUUGUAAGACAUUGAUAUUUGCUUUACUGUGAGCGUUUUACCACCACAUCCUAGUAGUUAUAGGAACAUUAUUUUUGCGUUUUGUUUCUUGUUCUACUAAUCAUGACAGGAUCCAGAGUCAAUUUAUGGGCUUUGUCGAUCGCGGGAGACGUGCCACCACCUUUGCAAAUACCACAACCGUCACGAGAGGUGCACAAACAUCCAAAUGCACAUGAUCAGGUUAAUGUAUCUAUAUCACCAUUUAAUGGCCAUUUUAAACCUGCUUUAUAUAUUGAAUGGGAGUACGACAUAAAAAAUAUAUUUGCUUCCCAUAAUUUCAAUGAACAUAAAAAGGUUAAGGUUGCGGUUGGUUCUUUCACUAGUUAUGCUUUGGUUUGGUGGAGUGAACAUUGUCGGUUACACCCUGAUUAUAUACCUACUACUUGGGAUGAUUUGAAACUUGCCAUGCGACAUACUUUCGUCCCUGCUUAUUAUACUCGUGACAUGAUUAAGAAGUUGCAACACUUAAAACAAGGUAGUGAAACUGUAACAAAAUAUUAUGAUGAUUUACAAACUACCUUGUUGCAUUCCUCUUUAGAAGAAAGUGAAGAUGAUUUUAUGGAUAGAUUUUGGGGAGGAUUAAACCGUGAUAUUCAAGAGAUACUAAUUCAUGAAGAGUGUUAUCCUAUGGACCAUUUGUUUCAUCUUGCUUGCCAAGCUGAACAGGAAAUAAAACGACGUGUUGGCCACGAGGAGAAUAAGCGCACGGUGCACAUUCCAAGAGUUGAUAUGAUUGUUCCUUCAACUACUAGGCAUACUAUGACAACCACAUCCGUUGUUGUCAGGACUACAUCACCUCCACCAUGUGACACAUCGCCCCCGAGAGUGGCUACAUCAUCUGAGUUGAUCAUAAGAGGUAAUGACAAAGGUACUGAUCUUCCAUCUCUACAUGAGAAUGAUGAUUGCCUUGUCAAUUUGAAUGCACCAUCUGAUGAGCUACCCACUACUUUGAUCGCACCACCUAUUUUCGAGGACUAUGUUGAUAAUUUGACUUUGCCAUGUGAUCAAACAACUGAAAUACCAACAAUUUUGAGUGCACCCAUUGAAUUAACUAUUGAUGCAAAAGAACCAAUGUUUAAUCAUUUUGAUAUGACCUCUAAUCUUGGUGAUGAUUCUGUGUUGAAUGACUUAUUGCAUGUUUGCUUAUUUAAGCAUGUUGUAGCAUGUAAAUUUGAUGCAAGUAAGGUUUAUUCACCAAUGUUGGGAUGGUUUAAUGAUGAACAUUGUCAAUCUUUUGAAAUGAAUAAGAGCUUCACUUAUAUGUGCAAACUGAGUUGCAAUAUCUUCAUGCCUUCUACUUCUUGUGCUAAUUUUUUGGCUUUAGAUUUUAUGAACUAUGCAAGUUACUCAUCUAUUCAUGUGUCAUAUAUGCAAAAAUCAAGGGAAGUAAAAAUGGAUGACAUAUACAUAUACAACAUGUACACCUUGUCUCUUUUGUUAGCCACAUUUCAGAUUAAGCAACGCCGAGGACGGCUUUAUUUUCAAGAAGGGGAGGAUGAUGAGGACAUGACUACCUUGGAUAUGACCAAAAAUAUUGCAUAUAUGCAUAUUUGUCAGGUGAUUUCUAGUGCAAACUAUUAAAUAAUCUAUUUAUGUUAUCCAGAACAAAAAUACUUCACACACUUUUGUGUUUUGUCUAAUUGCAGGUGUAUGGGACAUUUGUACAAUCCACAUAUGAAGAUAAGGAAGAAAGAGAUGUUUAUUUGCUGUCCAAAAAGUUCUCUCACGUCACUUUUGGCCCAAGAGAAGAUAGAGUCCAAGUCUCUCACGUUCUGGAUUCAGAUUCGGACUGCACAGACAUACCUGACUCAAAACGCACACAAGUUUUUCAUACGGACUCCGAAUUGGGUGAUUCUUUUUUUGUUGGAAACUAGAUUUCGUGCACUUUCCAACCCAAUUGGAAUCACCUUCAAAUUCGUCCGGAGCGUUGAGUUGUGGAUGAAACAAUCUGAUGCUGCAGCAGAAUCCGAGUCAAACUACAAGUCCAAAGGUGUUACAUCAACUCCACUUGGGCCCAUUGGCCUUGUACGACCUAGAUUUAGUUUUAGGCUGCCUUGGGACGUCCUCCCACCUCCUUGGCCGCCACCCCUUGCUCCUAUAUAAGUAGAUCCAUCUAGUAGCUUUUCCUUGGGAUUUGUUUAGUUAAAAGUUAGCCAUUGCAACUUCGUGUACUUCGUUUGUGUCCAACGACCAGACCAAGACCGCUUCUGGAUCACCACCAUUAUCAAUACCUCAUAUAUAUUUACGAUAUUCAGAUUGCUUUAUCAUAUUCUUGCUCGUUCUUCGAUUGCUUGCAGGAAUAGACCUUCGUGGUCAGGCUGACCGUGCUUCCGGCAUCGUCAGUAACCUCAGGAGAUUGGUUUAGCGAUUGCUAAGGCGCAACAUCGUGCACGUUUGUAGUCGGAUCGUCAAAGUCGUCUCCACCAAAUCGAUAGUUAUCAUCUCAUCGAAAGAUCGGGACACCCUCGCCUCUAUCACACGACUCAAUCCUCAUGGUUUAUAUAUGCCUUUGCCUGUACCUAGUGUUCCUUGGGAGGAUAUAUCUAUGGACUUUGUUUUAGGUUUACCUCGAACAAAGAAGGGGAGGGAUAGCAUAUUUGUUGUCGUGGAUAGAUUCUCGAAAAUGGCACACUUUAUACCAUGUCAUAAAAGCGAUGAUGCUGUUAAUGUUGCUGAUUUGUUCUUUCGUGAAAUUAUUCGCUUGCAUGGUGUGCCAAAUACUAUUGUUUCAGAUCGUGAUACUAAAUUUCUUAGCCACUUUUGGAGAUGUUUAUGGGCUAAGUUGGGGACUAAACUGCUUUUUAGUACUACUUGUCACCCCCAAACUGAUGGACAAACUGAAGUAGUCAAUAGAACGUUGUCUACUAUGCUUAGGGCUGUUUUGAAGAAUAAUAAGAAAAUGUGGGAGGAAUGCUUGCCUCAUAUUGAAUUUGCUUAUAAUCGUGAUGAGGACAUGACUACCUUGGAUAUGACCAAAAAUAUUGCAUAUAUGCAUAUUUGUCAGGUGAUUUCUAGUGCAAACUAUUCAAUAAUCUAUUUAUGUUAUCCAGAACAAAAAUACUUCACACACUUUUGUGUUUUGUCUAAUUGCAGGUGUAUGGGACAUUUGUACAAUCCACAUAUGAAGAUAAGGAAGAAAGAGAUGUUUAUUUGCUGUCCAAAAAGUUCUCUCACGUCACUUUUGGCCCAAGAGAAGAUAGAGUCCAAGUCUCUCACGUUCUGGAUUCAGAUUCGGACUGCACAGACACACCUGACUCAAAACGCACACAAGUUUUUCAUACGGACUCCGAAUUGGGUGAUUCUUUUUUUGUUGGAAACUAGAUUUCGUGCACUUUCCAACCCAAUUGGAAUCACCUUCAAAUUUGAUAAAGGCGGGGUGUCCCGAUCUUUCGAUGAGAUGAUAACUAUCGAUUUGGUGGAGACGACUUUGACGAUCCGACUACAAACGUGCACGACGUUGCGCCUUAGCAAUCGCUAAACCAACUCCGAGAGGUUAUUGACCACGCCGGAGCAUAAUCAACCUGACCACGAAGGUCUAUUCCUGCAAGCAAUCGAAGAACAAGCAAGAAUAUGAUAAAAGCAAUCUGAAUAUCGCGAAUAUGUAUGAAGUAUUGAUAAUGGUGGGGAUCCGUAAGCGGUCUUGGUCUGGUUGUUGGACACAAACGAAGUACACGAAGUUGCAAUGGCUAACUUUUAACUAAACAAAUCCCAAGGAAAAGCUACUAGAUGGAUCUACUUAUAUAGGAGCAAGGGGUGGCAGCCAAGGAGGUGGGAGGACGUCCCAAGGCAGCCUAAAACUAAAUCUAGGUCGUACAAGGCCAAUGGGCCCAAGUGGAGGUGAUGUAACACCUUUGGACUUGUAGUUUGACUCGGAUUCUGCUGCAGCAUCAGAUUGUUUCAUUCACAACUCAACGCUCCGGACGAAUUUGAAGGUGAUUCCAAUUGGGUUGGAAAGUGCACGAAAUCUAGUUUCCAACAAAAAAAGAAUCACCCAAUUCGGAGUCCGUAUGAAAAACUUGUGUGCGUUUUGAGUCAGGUAUGUCUGUGCAGUCCGAAUCUGAAUCCAGAACGUGAGAGACGUGGACUCUAUCUUCUCUUGGGCUAAAAGUGACGUGAGAGAACUUUUUGAACAGCAAAUAAACAUCUCUUUCUUCCUUAUCUUCAUAUGUGGAUUGUACAAAUGUCCCAUACACCUGCAAUUAGACAAAACACAAAAGUGUGUGAAGUAUUUUUGUUCUGGAUAACAUAAAUAGAUUAUUGAAUAGUUUGUACUAGAAAUCACCUGAAAAAUAUGCAUAUAUGCAAUAUUUUUGGUCAUAUCCAAGGUAGUCAUGUCCUCAUCCAAAUUCAUCCGGAGCGUUGAGUUGUGGACGAAACAAUCUGAUGCUGCAGCAGAAUCCGAGUCAAACUACAAGUCCAAAGGUGUUACAUCACCUUCACUUGGGCUCAUUGGCCUUGUACGACCUAGAUUUAGUUUUAGGCUGCCUUGGGACGUCCUCCCACCUCCUUGGCCGCCACCCCUUGCUCCUAUAUAAGUAGAUCCAUCUAGUAGCUUUUCCUUGGGAUUUGUUUAGUUAAAAGUUAGCCAUUGCAACUUCGUGUACUUCGUUUGUGUCCAACGACCAGACCAAGACCACUUUUCGGAUCCCCACCAUUAUCACUACUUCAUACAUAUUCGCGAUAUUCAGAUUGCUUUUAUCAUAUUCUUGCUUGUUCUUCGAUUGCUUGCAGGAAUAGACCUUCGUGGUCAGGUUGAUCGUGCUCCGGCAUGGUCAAUAACCUCUCGGAGUUGGUUUAGCGAUUGCUAAGGCACAACGUCGUUGCACGUUUGUAGUCGGAUCGUCAAAGUCGUCUCCACCAAAUCGAUAGUUAUCAUCUCAUCGAAAGAUCGGGACACCCCGCCUCUAUCAGUGAUAUCCUUCUUCAUACCUGUCCACCAGAAACGUUCCUUCAAAUGCAAAUACAUUUUGGUGUUUCCUGGGUGAAUCGAGUAAGGUGAAUCAUGAGCCUCCUGAAGAAUUAACUUCCUGAUCUCUAGGUCAUUGGGCACAUAGAUGCGAUCUUCAAACCAUAAAGUUCCGUGUUCAUCCUCACGAAAACCUUUGGCCUUUGCUUUACUCAUCUUUUCUUUUAUCUCUGCAACUUCCUUAUCAAUAUUCUGGGCUUCACUGAUCUUUCCCAACAAAGUGGACUGAAUUUCCAACGCUGCAACAAAACCUCUCAGAACUAUAUCCAAGCAAAGUUUUCUGAGAUCAUUGGCUAACUCCUGAGGUAAUCCUCCGGUUAUGAGAAUAUUGACAUAACUGUUGUGGCUCAAAGCAUUGGCCACAAUAUUGGCCUUUCCUGGGUGAUACUGCAGUUUCAUGUCAUAUUCCUUUAUGAGCUCCAACCAUCUCCUCUGCUUGAGGUUCAACUCCUUCUGCGUGAAGAUAUACUUCAAACUCUUAUGAUUCAUGUAAACAUCACAAUGAUUUUCAAUAAGAAAAUGUCUCUAGGUCUUAAGCGCAUGCACUACGGCGGCUAACUCCAAAUCAUGCGUGGCAUAAUUCAACUCAUGAGGCCGAAGCUGACGUGAGUCAUAUGAAACAAAUCUUCCUUCUUGCAUAAGAACGCCUCCAAGUCCCUGUCGUGAAGCGUUGCAAUAUACUUGGAAAUCCUUGCAUAUAUUCGGAAGAAUUAGCACUGGAGCUGUAACCAAAUGUUUCUUCAAUAACUCCGUCAUGGGCUUCACGAUCUUGGAAAAAUUCUCAAUAAAUCUCCGAUAAAACCCAUGAGUCCAAGGAAACUGUGUAUCUCUCCCACUGAUGUGGGGGGCAUCCAUUCGGUGACGGAUUGAACCUUGGAGGGGUCUACUGCUAUACCUUCUCCUGAUAUAACAUGUUCGAGGAAUCCGACUUCCUUCAACCAAAACUCACAUUUGCUAAACUUAGCAUAUAGCUGAUGUUCCCUGAGCUUCUCAAGAACCAAGCGCAAAUGUUCCUUGUGUUCUUCUUCAUUCUUCGAGCACACCAAUAUAUCAUCAAUGAACACCACAACAAACUUAUCCAAGAUCUCCAUGAACACCUUAUUCAUCAUACUCAUAAAGUAGGCAGGGGCGUUAGUCAAUCCAAAAGACAUGACCGUGCACUCAUAUAGCCCAUACCUUGUGCUAAACGUAGUCUAGGUAUAUCAUGUUCUCGGAUCUUCAGCUGGUGAUAUCCUGAUCGGAGAUCAAUCUUGGAGAAAACUUUAGCUCCAUGCAGCUGGUCAAACAAAUCAUUGAUCAUCGAUAGAGGAUAUUUGUUCUUGAUGGUCACCUCAUUUAAUGCUCGAUAAUCAACAACCAUUCUCAAGGAUCCAUCCUUCUUCUCAACUAGAAGCACCGGGGCUCCCCACGGUGAUGAACUUGGUCGAAUAUAACCUUUCUCCAACAACUCCUUAAUCUGCUUCUUAAUUUCCUCCAGAUCAUUUGCGGGCAUCCGAUACGGUCUCUUGGAUAUUGGUCCGGUGCCUGGCAAUAACUCAAUCAAAAAGUCAAUGUCCCGGUCUGGUGGCAUGCCUGGUAAUUCCUUCGGGAAUACAUCGGGAUAAUCCUUCACAACUGGCACUUCCUCCUGAACAACUCCCGAGAGUGAAUUUACUUGAGUCCUCCUUGGCACAUGCCUAGACACAUACUUGAUCCGUCUUCCCUCUAGGGUGGUGAGAAGAAUAGACUUACUAACACAAUCGAUGUUUCCCCAUACUUGGAUAGCCAAUCCAUGCCUAGUGAUGGGACAUCAAUACAAUUGUUACACCCACAGCCCCUGCUGCUAUACAUACUGGACCAAUUACUAGAGCUCGUGCACGCCAACUAAAUUACCAGGUACUUUCGUUUCUUGGUAAUGAUUCUAAUGUUCAUGAGAAUAUGAUGCUGCCUAAAUUGGAUACAUUUGUUUUGCUUACAAAUGAAGGGCCUAGCUUGGAGAAGGAUGAACAUUGGAGCAAGAACAAGCAUGGAGAUGAUGGCAUGCGCAAGGGGAACAAGAACGGAGUUACAAGUGAUGAUUUCAGGACUUUGAAGCCACCAUAAUGGGUGCAUGAAGCCUUGGACGAAAUAUACAAGAUGCCACUUCAUAAAUUCCGUCCCGAGGCUAUUUUAGGUGUUGCGUCACCUUAUUAUUGGGCCAGGCCCAUGUAAUUUCGAAAUACAUAAGUAUAGGCUAUUUUUAGAGUCUGUAUGUGUGGGGAAACAAGAGAUAGGGUUGAUUUCGGACCCCUCCACCAAGGGCCACGAAAUUCCCCCCUCUUCCUCCAUAUAUACAGCCCUUAGGGCAUCGUUUAGACUUUGGGUUUUGUUUAGAUUAAAAGUUCGCCAUAGCUGCAACUUCGCGUACUUCGUUUGUGUUCAACGACCAGGCAAAGGCGUCACAGAACCCCACCUUGAUCAAUAAAGCUUUCAUCUUAUAUUCGCAAUAUCCAGAUUGCAAUCUCAGUUUCUUGCUUGUUCUUCGUUUGCUCGCAGGAAACAGACCCUCGUGGUCAGGUUGAUCGUGCUCCGGCGUGGUCAAUAACCUCUCGGAGUUGGUUUAGCGAUUGCUAAGGCGCGACGUCCUCGCACGUUCGUAGUCGGAUCGUCAAAGUCGACUUCCACCAAAGCGAUAUCCAUCAUCUCAUCGAAAGACGGGACACCUUUGCCUCUAUCAAGUGGUAUCAGAUUUCCAGGUUGCUCGGUGAGAUUUUACAGUUUUUCGUAGUUUAGAUCGAGUCUGUUCUUCAUACCUACAGUCCACGAAAAAGCCACACAAAAAAAAUUAGGGUUAGUUCAUCAUAUCCGAACCAAUCUGAGCCUUUGCAUAAUCUUUUUAGGGUUUUGCUUUGUUGAAUUUGCGGUUGCAUCGUCGGUCUAGUUGCUGGUCUUAGAGUCUAGUCUUUUAGAGUUUCGAGUUCUGGUCAUAUGUUGUCACGCCGCCGCCGCACCAUCAUCAUCGCCCCUGCCAUCUACCACCACCGCUCCGAAUCCAUAUCCAUAUACAACCACCGCUACCACCACCGCUGCCAUAUACCACCACCAUAUAUCCACCACCAAUCCGAGUUCCUUGCUUAUUAGGUUUGUUUUCGGGAUCCAUCUAGAUUCCGAUUCGUGUUUCCUUGCCGGAGUAGGUUUCGGAAAAAAAAGACUCGGGUAGCCACACUCCGUUUAGGCCCAAAAUUUUUCGAAAACGCAUUUUUCGAAAAAAAAUUCUGGCUAUCCUAUUUUUAGGUGUUUCUGAGUGUUUUGAGACAGGUGCCAUUAUAGGAAGUUUUUUUUGACGCGUUUCCAGUUUUUGGGUCCGGGCAGUCGAAAAAAAAAAGUUGGUCGAAAAAUUUCGUCCCAUCCUGUCAGUUUGAGCUAGGAAGAGUUUUGAGACACUCGCCAUUAUAGUGAUUUUUUGCAAAAAAAAAAGCAGCGCAAAAAAAAGAGCGCAAAAAAAAGAGCGAAAAAAAAAUUCGGAGUGUGCUUUUCCCUUGUUUACGUGCCGCGCCGUGAUUUUGUUGGUGUUCUAGGCUCGCGUCUCUAGCACAGUCUAGCCUAGGACCAGCACAGUACCGUCGUUGAGCGUUUAUUCUACUUUGCAUCUCUGAAUUGAUUAUUGCUGACCCUUUUUGCUACCAUAGUAUAAGCCUUCCCAGCUCCACAUACAUCUACGUCGUGCGUUUGACUCUCCCUGGUAAUCGCUCUAUCCAAGCUUUGAGAGUUUUGACUACAACGGUUGCCGAUCACCGCCUGUUGCUGGGUAAGAACUGGUAAGAAUUUGAGUUUUGCUUGACGGAUUUGUGACACCCACCACCACCACUUGUUCGUAGUCUGUAGGAUCAUAUUCUUGUGUGUUUCUAUUGCUGCUAACCAUGCCAGGAUCACAAGCCAACGAGAUUGACUGGGAGAAUUUAUCGAAUAAGGAGCUUCAUGAUAAGUUUUAGCAAAUGAUGACUGAACAGGUGCAAGAUUGUGACGCCCGGAUAAUCAAGCUACAGUAAACCUCUGCUAACGGGGCCACGUCACCACGAUUACUGUUGCUAAUCUCAUGAUGAUUCAAAUCUCGUUCAAAGUCAAAUUCAAAAUCAAGUCAAACAAAUAAAGUUUUCAAAAGUUAAAACUAAAAUGUUCAAGAUGGGUCAAAUAAAUCAUGAGUAAUUAUGGUGGAGAAACCACAUUUUGAUAAAAUAGUUAGAUGCUCAAAAAUAAACAAAACAAUAACAAAGACAAAUAAAUAAAUGCCUUUUUCAAUUAAUAAAAUAUUAACUAAGUUAUUUCAUUUCCCAAAACUAUUGGGGCAGUGGAAUAUUUAUUAAAACUAAAUUAGGUACAACUUUGGUAUUUUACAAAACUAUAAUAAAAUAAAAAACUAAAAGAAAACAGAAAAGAAAUAAAAGGAAAAUAGAAACCAAAGAAAAGAAAGGCAAAGCCCCCCUCCCCCUGGGCCAUUCGGCCCAACUGGGCAUCCAGGCCUCUAGGAGGCCCACCCCAUGCCCCCUGUAUAACCCCUCCCGGAACCCUAGCUACCCACCCGAUCUCCCACUUCCCCCCCCCGCACGAUCCCCUCUUCCCCACCCCACGAUCCGAUGUGGAUCGGGGGNNNNNNNNNNNNNNNNNNNNNNNNNNNNNNNNNNNNNNNNNNNNNNNNNNNNNNNNNNNNNNNNNNNNNNNNNNNNNNNNNNNNNNNNNNNNNNNNNNNNNNNNNNNNNNNNNNNNNNNNNNNNNNNNNNNNNNNNNNNNNNNNNNNNNNNNNNNNNNNNNNNNNNNNNNNNNNNNNNNNNNNNNNNNNNNNNNNNNNNNNNNNNNNNNNNNNNNNNNNNNNNNNNNNNNNNNNNNNNNNNNNNNNNNNNNNNNNNNNNNNNNNNNNNNNNNNNNNNNNNNNNNNNNNNNNNNNNNNNNNNNNNNNNNNNNNNNNNNNNNNNNNNNNNNNNNNNNNNNNNNNNNNNNNNNNNNNNNNNNNNNNNNNNNNNNNNNNNNNNNNNNNNNNNNNNNNNNNNNNNNNNNNNNNNNNNNNNNNNNNNNGCUUGGAACGCCCCUCGCCGGAAGCGUCCUCGCCGGAUCUCCUCCUUGUCUCCGUCGGUCGUCCCCGUCCUCCUCCACAACGGCUACCUCGAGCCUCGCCGCCCCCUGGUCUCUACUCGAACGUGAGGCCCGCCUCCCCCCUCUCUUCCCCCUUUGACCGGCGCCGCCUCCCGCUCGUCCCCGCGCACUAGCACGAGCCGCUCCGCCCCUGACCUUCUCCCCCUCGUGCCCGUGCCGUGCGCGCGACGCGCCCGCGUGCCCGUCGCAUCAGCGACGUCUGGCCGCGCCUCGCUGCUCGUCGGAGGCCGCCAGCCCGCGCCUCCUGCCAUCCGCGCCACCCCUGUGUCUGCCUUCGCUCGCCGCGGUCGGCCGGCGAGCCUUGCCGAGGCCACGACCUACGCCCCGGGUUCACCCACUCGGGUGCUCGCGCCCAUGCCCGGGGCCAGCCACCGAACGUCCGCGCCCGCACCUGCGGCGCCCGCAGCACCCAAACCCACUAUGGCCCCUAGGGCCUACGACAGCCGGGCCCCACGCCCCCUGAACGUUUAAAAAAAUAAUAAUAAAAGUAAAUAAAUAAAAUAUUAAUUAGUUAAUUAAUUAAAGAUUUAAUUAACUUAAUUAAUCCUGAUUAGAUUAACCUAAUCAUCUGGUUUAGUUAAUUAACCUGUUAGGUUUAGUUAACAGUCAAUGACAUGCGGGACCCACAUGUCAGCUUGACCAGUCAACACCUCUGUUAACUGAUAAUGUCAUGCUGACGUCAUGCUGAUGCAAUAAUACUAUUUUCGAAUUUAAUUAAUAAUUAAUAAGUUAGAAAAUGAUUUAAAAACUUUAAAAAUUAAUAUAAAAUAAACCGUAGCUCGGAUGGAAAAACUUUGUACAUGAAAGUUGCUCAGAACGACGAGACGAAUCUGGAUACGCGACCCGUUCGUCUGCCACACAACCCUAGCAUAGUGGACCUGUAACAUUUCACCUCCGGUUCAUCUGUCCAAAAACGCGAAACGCCGGGGAUACUUUCCCGGAUGUUUCCCCCCUUCACCGGUAUCACCUACUACCGCGUUAGGGCACACCGAACACCGCGUAUUGUCUUGUUACGCUUUGUGAUACUUUGAUUGCUCUAUUAUUUAUUGUGUUCCCUCUCCGUUACUUCUUUCCGAUAGACCCCGAGACUGCCGGCGACCCCCAGUUCGACUACGGAGUUGACGACCCUCUCUCUUGCCAGAGCAACCAGGCAAGCCCCCCCCUUGAUCACCAGAUAUCGCCUAUUCUACUCUAUACUGCUUGCAUUAGAGUAGUGUAGCAUGUUACUGCUUUCCGUUAAUCCUAUUCUGAUGCAUAGCCUGACAUUGUUGCUACCUCUGUUGAUACCUUACCUGCAAUCCUAAAUGCUUAGUAUAGGAUGCUAGUUUAUCAUCAUUGGCCCUACAUUCUUGUCAGUCUGCCUUGCUAUACUAUCGGGCCGUGAUCACUUGGGAGGUGAUCACGGGUAUAUACUAUACAUACAUACAUACUAUACAGAUGGUGACUAAAGUCGGGUCAGCUCAUUGAGUACCCGCAAGUGAUUCUGACGAGGGGGCUGAAAGGGCAGGUGGCUCCAUCCAGGUAGUGGUGGGCCUGAGUUCCCGACGGCCCCCGACUGUUACUUUGUGGCGGAGCGACAGGGCAGGUUGAGACCACCUAGGAGACAGGUGGGCCUAGCCCUGUUCGGCGUUCGCGGAUACUUAACACGCUUAACGAGAUCUUGGUAUUUCAUCUGAGUCGGCUACGAGCCUAUACGCACUAACCAUCUACGUGGGAGUAGUUAUGGGUAUCCCGACGUCGUGGUAUCAGCCGAAGCCCUUCAGACGUCAGUGACGGAGCGGCGCGCGCCGGAUUGGAACGUAAGCCUGCUCUUGUAUUAAGGGGGCUAGUUCUGCUUUCGGCCGCGUACGCAAUGUGCAGGUGUGCUAUGGGCGAUGGGCCCAGACCCCUGUGCGCUUAGGUUUAGACCCGCGUGCUGGCCUCUCUGUUGAGCCUAGGUGGGGCUGCGACGUGUUGAUCUUCCGCAGCCGGGCAUGACCCAGGAAAGUGUGUCCGGCCAAAUGGGAUCGAGCGUGUUGGGGAAUGUGGUGCACCCCUGCAGGGAAGUUAAUCUAUUCGAAUAGCCGUGAUCUUCGGUAACAGGACGACUUGGAGUUGUACCUUGACCUUAUGACAACUAGAACCGGAUACUUAAUAAAACACACCCUUCCAAGUGCCAGAUAUAACCGGUGGUCACUCUUCCUCAGGGAUAUGAGGAGGGGAUCGCCGGGUAGGAUUAUGCUAUGAGGUGCUAUUUGGAGAUGCUACUUGGAGAUGCUACUUGGAGGACUUCAAUCUACCCUCUUCUACAUGCUGUAAGACGGUGGCUGCGAGAAGCGUAGUCUUCGACAGGAUUAGUUAUCCCCCUCUUAUUCUGGCAUUCUCCAGUUCAGUCCACUGAUAUGGCCUCCUUACACAUAUACCCAUGCAUAUGUAGUGUAGUUCCUUGCUUGCGAGUACUUUGGAUGAGUACUCACGGUUGCUUUCUCCCCCCCUUUUCCCCUUUCCUUUCUUUCUGGUUGUCGCAACCAGAUGCUGGAGUCCAGGAGCCAGGAGCCAGCGUCGACGACGACUACUACAUUGGAGGUGCCUACUACUACGUGCAGGCUGACGACGACGACCAGGAGUAGUUAGGAGGAUCCCAGGCAGGAGGCCCGCGCCUCUUUCGAUCUGUAUCCCAGUUUGUGCUAGCCUUCUUAAGGCAAACUUGUUUAACUUAUGUCUGUACUCAGAUAUUGUUGCUUCCGCUGACUCGUCUAUGAUCGAGCACUUGUAUUCGAGCCCUCGAGGCCCCUGGCUUGUAUUAUGAUGCUUGUAUGACUUAUUUUUAUUUGUAGAGUUGUGUUGUGAUAUCUUCCCGUGAGUCCCUGAUCUUGAUCGUACACAUUUGCGUGCAUGAUUAGUGUACGAUUGAAUCGGGGGCGUCACAAGUUGGUAUCAGAGCCGACUGCCUGUAGGAAUCCCCUUUCCAACUCCUUGGCCGAAGUCGAGUCUAGUCGUUGAAAAACUUUUACUAACAUGGCUGUGUGGCCCAUGGGCCCACGUCGCCAUCGGGAGGUAUUAGGAUCUUUUAUUCCUCGACCUUUACUCUGGGAUUCUGAACCCUCUUCUAUUCGGGUUAAACGAUUUUUACUAAAAACUAACUUUAGGUUCUCGAAAAUACUUUCUCCCGGAGAGCCCCUUCAGUCCAGAUGGUCACCGACUGCACCAGAAGAUUUUAGAGAUACUCUUUGAUAUUCUCUCGAGACUUUGUGCCCAUCACUUUUGCUAUUCCCGACCACCGAUAAAUCCUUAUGGAUAACUACUUACACUUGCCAUUCUUACGAUCAUUCCCCAUUGUUCUUGUUAUUACAAGAUACCUGAAGUUUUCUCUAUUGUUCCGAGAAUACUUCGUGCCUACUGCCUAGCAGUUCUUUGCCACAUGAAUACCCCUUCAAAUAAAUCCCCGCACUUGUCAAGUAUCCGCUCAUCCCCAGUUGUUCAUGAGUUUCACAAAAGUCUUCAAAAUACUAUUCGAUCUUCCGAAAAUCCUCUAGAGCCUUUGGCUCUUGAAAUUCUUGCUUGCUCGCAUUAUGGUUAAUCCCAUAAGUCUCGUAGUCUUAAUGACAUUCCUUGUCAUUAUCAUUUUGAGUCUGUUGACUCAAUAUGUUUGCGAAUGCCUGCAAUCAUCAUUGAUCCUUAUAAAUUACUUCUCUGGCUAAGCUGCCAUUCUUUUAACUGGAAUUGGUUCUCGACCAAUCCAAUUGUCAUUGAUUGUACCGUAAGGCUAUUCAACUUAUCCAUCCCUACUCAGAGCACUACUUCUGAUCCUUUGUUUUGGAAAUCGAAAUUCCUUUAUUAUCUAAGCAUCGAAUCAUUCCGAUGUUCAAUAAUAUGAUGCCCGUGCAUUCUUCUUCCUCUGGUUGAGUACCGGUGCUCACCUCAGAUCCCUUGUGGACCAUCAGCUCCUUUGUUGGAUUUUAUCUGACAACGCCCUUCAUAUUCAAUAAACUUGUGAGCCUUAUUCUCGGAUACAUAAUGCCUUUGGUAAAUUGUAUCGUCUGCUUUCUCAACCAUGCUCUGCCUUCGAGCUUGAGUUAAUUACUUAAAAAAAAUCUGGUAUAGGAUUCUAAGAUGCCCCGAUGGGUUGAACCUAUGCCUUCCUUAAUAUGUGUGAACUCGAAAGUUUUCACGAGUCGUACUCUUCUAGUAUUUUGCCAGAUAAAAAUUCAAAACUACAACUUCAUUGAGCGCGAGAAGUGAAUGAAAGGUUGUGCAUUGGAGAAGUGGGAGUCGACCUUGAACUUUGCGUUCAUGCCCAUGGACACGAUGUACAUCUUCUCAUCGAAGCUUCUUUUAAAAUCAAUUAUUCCCUUGGUAUAAGUUCAUCUUAUAUCUGAGAUCUGGCCUUUUUGCAAUCGUGGUUCUGACCAUGUUCUCCUUUAAAUAUCAUGUCCUGUGCAAGUUUAAGCACUUGUCUUCUAUAGAGCAAUACCCCAGUUCAACUUCUAGUUUGAUCUAUCGUCGAGUAUUACCACCUGGUAUCUCGAGAUUAUCAUGGAACUGCAUAACUUCUUAUGAGUUCUUCAUCAAGUGCUACGUUCCCACUGAUUACAAUUUUUCAUGGGCUCUGAGUUAUUAAACACUCAAAGACACCGAUAACUGAACCGAGUCCGCUCUACGGUUCAACAACUCUUCAGUAAGCUUCUAUAAGUACAAGUUUGUACCCGACCACACCAUUCCUAGCCUGUUUGGCUAUAUCUUUGUCAUGAUGAUUUUAACUGUGCUACCCGGUCCUUCUUCUCGGAGCACAAUUUCCGACGAUGAACUAACCUUACGUCGAUCCUCAUCGUCAUAUCAUUUCGCCUUGAACAACAAGCUUGGUUUCGAGUUUGUGUCGUACCCUUGGUUCCAAUAACCUUUCACUUCAUCAUUACUUAGACUUGAUGUCGUCGCUGAUCGAUUACAUCUUCAUGAACUCUCGCGACAAAUGUGUCGUGAUCCUCAUCAACCUUAUGAGUUCUUCCAGGAUAUCAAUUGAGUUCAUGAUGAGAAAUACCAUCCUUGUCCCUCGAUGAUUUGAGUUAUCAUCGGCAACAUUCUUGUCUCCCCCCCCCCAACACAAACUUGUUCACAAUUUGUGUUGUACCUUGGUUUCCUUGCUAUCUAGCAAUUGUUCUUCUUUACCUUGGAGUAUUACCAUCCUUUAUGUCAAGAAUGUUCUGAGAUUUGUUCCACCUCUUGAGAAUUCUUGACAUAGAAAUACUUCUCACCAUCACCAUUCUUUCUUGGUCCCUGUGUUAAUUCCAACAAGUGAACGGUGUUGUUUGGAUUCUUUCCUUCUAGCAGCCCUAUCUCUUUGAAGUUAAUGGUCGAAAGUUCAUUCUUAGGCUAUUGAUUAUUGCAUCACCAUUCUAACAUUGGUCGUGCAACCCAACCCGUACUUCGGGCGCACCCUUCAACCAGUGUUUAAUUGUGUAUGUUUUCCUCGAGCAUACUUCCUUAUAUCAUUUGAUCUAACAAAUGUUAUCCCAUUGUUCACUUAAUGGUGGAAAUCCAUCUUUUGGGAAUCUCGGUGAAUUGCCGUUGAGUUCACCAGACACCUCCUUGUCCUCUCCUUGGUUUAAUGGUGAACUAUUGCUUCAGAAACCCGCUCCCAUAGUUCAUUUCCCGAGAAGCUUGCAAUGCCAUUUCAACGAUUUGUGUUGCGCCUUUUCUUCUCGGACAUCCUGAAUCUCAGGUAUCCUGACACCAAUCGGAUCUGAAUCUCGGUCAGAUAUGAUGGUUGGGACAACUUUCCAAGAGUUAUGACAUUGAUCCUUUGAUGACCCGGUAACAUGAUGUCAUGCCUAGCACCCCCCCCCCCCGGCUGGAGGACCUAUCAUUAUAGAUUCCUUUUCAGCAAGGUUAUCCAUUCAUCCAUGAGGAAAUUGUAAGACUUAUUCUACAAGUUAUUCUUGAUGGAUCCUUCGUGUUUCCAAAGUCUGAUCUUCACCUGAAGACCAUGUCACUGCUAUCUCGAAGCAUGUCAAUGGUACUCCGAUUUUCAACAGGCACGUUUGAAGCACGAUGCUAUAUUUUAAUUAUCAAUUAUCCUAACACCGUUGUAUGAGUAAUAUCAUGAGAUUCCUCCCCCCUUACCUAAAUGGUUUUCUACUUUAUAUCCUGUCAUGGAUAUCUUGCUCUGCUUGUCCUUGGGAAGGAUAUACCCUCGAAAUAUGUGUUUAAACAUAUUUUCCAUUCCAUGGUUCUAUUUGAUCUGAUGAUCACCUUUUCCUUUCCAUUGUUUUGUUUAACCUUUCUUGUGAUCUAUAUGAUCUAAGCAGUAAUGUUCUCCUGCUUAUGUAAACACCUCGGUGUACAACUCUGUCAGCAAGACCCUGUUACUAUUGUUGAAAACAUUCCGGUAACCACCGAUGGACGAGAACUUUGCCUAUUGGCCCGCCUCGUUCAACGAGCAGGAAAAUGGUUCUCUUCGUCCCUCGCCCUUGGUAUCGAUGUUGUUGCCGACAUAACUGAUAGACUACCCUCUAACACGCCUUACUAUCGUGACCGUGCAAGGUGUCGGCCCCCUUCCUACUUUCAACCACAUGGUGGGCCCAUAACCCACAGUUCCACAGGAUCGAAAGCUGACUCUCCUGUACACCCCCUGUUUCCCAAAGUUAUUCCUCGCGCGUGGACUCGUAUGUAAAUCACGAACCACCGUCCCAAGUGAUCUAUUUUGGUAUCAGACGCAGUACUUAUUCUCGUUGCCUUGAACCCCUUUCACCUUCUGAUUAGGCAUCGAACGCUUGCCUAUCCGUUUGAAAAUUCUCGUGGUACCUCCUUACUUUGCUCUCGAUAUUUUCUUAAGAUUCAAUUCGAGAGUAACUUCCACCACCUUCCUCGAUGUUAUCGACCAGAUAGUCAACCUUGUAGAGGUCUGUCCUUUUGAAGCUACCCCUUAUCCUUUCCUUAAGUACGAUGAAGAUCCCCAAGUAAGGACGACAACUUCAUCAUGAUGACCCGAAGCAGAGAAAUGAAGACAUCAAUGUAAUGGAUCGACCACUUCGAGAAGAGCAACCAAGACCGAGAAGAUUCGUUAGAAUUUCGUAACCCGAACCUUCCCCCUUUACUUCCCACUUAAAUCUCGGGACGAGAUUUCUUGUAGUGGAGGAGAAUUGUGACGCCCGGAUAAUCAAGCUACAGUAAACCUCUGCUAACGGGGCCACGUCACCAUGAUUACUGUUGCUAAUCUCACGAUGAUUCAAAUCUCGUUCAAAGUCAAAUUCAAAAUCAAGUCAAACAAAUAAAGUUUUCAAAAGUUAAAACUAAAAUGUUCAAGAUGGGUCAAAUAAAUCAUGAGUAAUUAUGGUGGAGAAACCACAUUUUGAUAAAAUAGUUAGAUGCUCAAAAAUAAACAAAACAAUAACAAAGACAAAUAAAUAAAUGCCUUUUUCAAUUAAUAAAAUAUUAACUAAGUUAUUUCAUUUCCCAAAACUAUUGGGGCAGUGGAAUAUUUAUUAAAACUAAAUUAGGUACAACUUUGGUAUUUUACAAAACUAUAAUAAAAUAAAAAACUAAAAGAAAACAGAAAAGAAAUAAAAGGAAAAUAGAAACCAAAGAAAAGAAAGGCAAAGCCCCCCUCCCCCUGGGCCAUUCGGCCCAACUGGGCAUCCAGGCCUCUAGGAGGCCCACCCCAUGCCCCCUGUAUAACCCCUCCCGGAACCCUAGCUACCCACCCGAUCUCCCACUUCCCCCCCCCGCACGAUCCCCUCUUCCCCACCCCACGAUCCGAUGUGGAUCGGGGGNNNNNNNNNNNNNNNNNNNNNNNNNNNNNNNNNNNNNNNNNNNNNNNNNNNNNNNNNNNNNNNNNNNNNNNNNNNNNNNNNNNNNNNNNNNNNNNNNNNNNNNNNNNNNNNNNNNNNNNNNNNNNNNNNNNNNNNNNNNNNNNNNNNNNNNNNNNNNNNNNNNNNNNNNNNNNNNNNNNNNNNNNNNNNNNNNNNNNNNNNNNNNNNNNNNNNNNNNNNNNNNNNNNNNNNNNNNNNNNNNNNNNNNNNNNNNNNNNNNNNNNNNNNNNNNNNNNNNNNNNNNNNNNNNNNNNNNNNNNNNNNNNNNNNNNNNNNNNNNNNNNNNNNNNNNNCGCAUCAGCGACGUCUGGCCGUGCCCCGCUGCUCGUCGGAGGCCGCCAGCCCGCGCCUCCUGCCAUCCGCGCCGCCCCUGUGUCUGCCUUCGCUCGCCGCGGUCGGCCGACGAGCCUUGCCGAGGCCACGACCUCGCCCCACCGCGCCCUGGUGACCUCCACCUACGCCCCGGGUUCACCCACUCGGGUGCUCGCGCCCAUGCCCGGGGCCAGCCACCGAACGUCCGCGCCCGCACCUGCGGCGCCCGCAGCACCCAAACCCACUAUGGCCCCUAGGGCCUACGACAGCCGGGCCCCACGCCCCCUGAACGUUUAAAAUAAUAAUAAUAAAAGUAAAUAAAUAAAAUAUUAAUUAGUUAAUUAAUUAAAGAUUUAAUUAACUUAAUUAAUCCUGAUUAGAUUAACCUAAUCAUCUGGUUUAGUUAAUUAACCUGUUAGGUUUAGUUAACAGUCAAUGACAUGCGGGACCCACAUGUCAGCUUGACCAGUCAACACCUCUAUUGACUGAUAAUGUCAUGCUGACGUCAUGCUGAUGCAAUAAUACUAUUUUCGAAUUUAAUUAAUAAUUAAUAAGUUAGAAAAUGAUUUAAAAACUUUAAAAAUUAAUAUAAAAUAAACCGUAGCUCGGAUGGAAAAACUUUGUACAUGAAAGUUGCUCAGAACGACGAGACGAAUCCGGAUACGCGACCCGUUCGUCUGCCACACAACCCUAGCAUAGUGGACCUGCAACAUUUCACCUCCGGUUCAUCUGUCCAAAAACGCGAAACGCCGCGGAUACUUUCCCGGAUGUUUCCCCCCUUCACCGGUAUCACCUACUACCGCGUUAGGGCACACCGAACACUGCGUAUUGUCUUGUUACGCUUUGUGAUACUUUGAUUGCUCUGUUAUUUAUUGUGUUCCCUCUCCGUUACUUCUUUCCGAUAGACCCCGAGACUGCCGGCGACCCCCAGUUCGACUACGGAGUUGACGACCCUCUCUCUUGCCAGAGCAACCAGGCAAGCCCCCCCCUUGAUCACCAGAUAUCACCUAUUCUACUCUAUACUGCUUGCAUUAGAGUAGUGUAGCAUGUUACUGCUUUCCGUUAAUCCUAUUCUGAUGCAUAGCCUGACAUUGUUGCUACCUCUGUUGAUACCUUACCUGCAAUCCUAAAUGCUUAGUAUAGGAUGCUAGUUUAUCAUCAUUGGCCCUACAUUCUUGUCAGUCUGCCUUGCUAUACUAUCGGGCCGUGAUCACUUGGGAGGUGAUCACGGGUAUAUACUAUACAUACAUACAUACUAUACAGAUGGUGACUAAAGUCGGGUCAGCUCAUUGAGUACCCGCAAGUGAUUCUGACGAGGGGGCUGAAAGGACAGGUGGCUCCAUCCAGGUAGUGGUGGGCCUGAGUUCCCGACGGCCCCCGACUGUUACUUUGUGGCGGAGCGACAGGGCAGGUUGAGACCACCUAGGAGACAGGUGGGCCUAGCCCUGUUCGGCGUUCGCGGAUACUUAACACGCUUAACGAGAUCUUGGUAUUUGAUCUGAGUCGGCUACGAGCCUAUACGCACUAACCAUCUACGUGGGAGUAGUUAUGGGUAUCCCGACGUCGUGGUAUCAGCCGAAGCCCUUCAGACGUCAGCGACGGAGCGGCGCGCGCCGGAUUGGAACGUAAGCCUGCUCUUGUAUUAAGGGGGCUAGUUCUGCUUUCGGCCGCGUACGCAACGUGCAGGUGUGCUAUGGGCGAUGGGCCCAGACCCCUGUGCGCUUAGGUUUAGACCGGCGUGCUGGCCUCUCUGUUGAGCCUAGGUGGGGCUGCGACGUGUUGAUCUUCCGCGGCCGGGCAUGACCCAGGAAAGUGUGUCCGGCCAAAUGGGAUCGAACGUGUUGGGGAAUGUGGUGCACCCCUGCAGGGAAGUUAAUCUAUUCGAAUAGCCGUGAUCUUCGGUAACAGGACGACUUGGAGUUGUACCUUGACCUUAUGACAACUAGAACCGGAUACUUAAUAAAACACACCCUUCCAAGUGCCAGAUAUAACCGGUGGUCGCUCUUCCUCAGGGAUAUGAGGAGGGGAUCGCCGGGUAGGAUUAUGCUAUGAGGUGCUAUUUGGAGAUGCUACUUGGAGAUGCUACUUGGAGGACUUCAAUCUACCCUCUUCUACAUGCUGUAAGACGGUGGCUGCAAGAAGCGUAGUCUUCGACAGGAUUAGUUAUCCCCCUCUUAUUCUGGCAUUCUGCAGUUCAGUCCACUGAUAUGGCCUCCUUACACAUAUACCCAUGCAUAUGUAGUGUAGUUCCUUGCUUGCGAGUACUUUGGAUGAGUACUCACGGUUGCUUUCUCCCCCCCUUUUCCCCUUUCCUUUCUUUCUGGUUGUCGCAACCAGAUGCUGGAGUCUAGGAGCCAGGAGCCAGCGUCGACGACGACUACUACAUUGGAGGUGCCUACUACUACGUGCAGGCUGACGACGACGACCAGGAGUAGUUAGGAGGAUCCCAUGCAGGAGGCCCGCGCCUCUUUCGAUCUGUAUCCCAGUUUGUGCUAGCCUUCUUAAGGCAAACUUGUUUAACUUAUGUCUGUACUCAGAUAUUGUUGCUUCCGCUGACUCGUCUAUGAUCGAGCACUUGUAUUCGAGCCCUCGAGGCCCCUGGCUUGUAUUAUGAUGCUUGUAUGACUUAUUUUUAUUUGUAGAGUUGUGUUGUGAUAUCUUCCCGUGAGUCCCUGAUCUUGAUCGUACACAUUUGCGUGCAUGAUUAGUGUACGAUUGAAUCGGGGGCGUCACAAGUUGGUAUCAGAGCCGACUGCCUGUAGGAAUCCCCUUUCCAACUCCUUGGCCGAAGUCGAGUCUAGUCGUUGAAAAACUUUUACUAACAUGGCUGUGUGGCCCAUGGGCCCACGUCGCCAUCGGGAGGUAUUAGGAUCUUUUAUUCCUCGACCUUUACUCUGGGAUUCUGAACCCUCUUCUAUUCGGGUUAAACGAUUUUUACUAAAAACUAACUUUAGGUUCUCAAAAAUACUUUCUCCCGGAGAGCCCCUUCAGUCCAGAUGGUCACCGACUGCACCAGAAGAUUUUAGAGAUACUCUUUGAUAUUCUCUCGAGACUUUGUGCCCAUCACUUUUGCUAUUCCCGACCACCGAUAAAUCCUUAUGGAUAACUACUUACACUUGCCAUUCUUACGAUCAUUCCCCAUUGUUCUUGUUAUUACAAGAUACCUGAAGUUUUCUCUAUUGUUCCGAGAAUACUUCGUGCCUACUGCCUAGCAGUUCUUUGCCACAUGAAUACCCCUUCAAAUAAAUCCCCGCACUUGUCAAGUAUCCGCUCAUCCCCAGUUGUUCAUGAGUUUCACAAAAGUCUUCAAAAUACUAUUCGAUCUUCCGAAAAUCCUCUAGAGCCUUUGGCUCUUGAAAUUCUUGCUUGCUCGCAUUAUGGUUAAUCCCAUAAGUCUCGUAGUCUUAAUGACAUUCCUUGUCAUUAUCAUUUUGAGUCUGUUGACUCAAUAUGUUUGCGAAUGCCUGCAAUCAUCAUUGAUCCUUAUAAAUCACUUCUCUGGCUAAGCUGCCAUUCUUUUAACUGGAAUUGGUUCUCGACCAAUCCAAUUGUCAUUGAUUGUACCGUAAGGCUAUUCAACUUAUCCAUCCCUACUCAGAGCACUACUUCUGAUCCUUUGUUUUGGAAAUCGAAAUUCCUUUAUUAUCUAAGCAUCGAAUCAUUCCGAUGUUCAAUAAUAUGAUGCCCGUGCAUUCUUCUUCCUCUGGUUGAGUACCGGUGCUCACCUCAGAUCCCUUGUGGACCAUCAGCUCCUUUGUUGGAUUUUAUCUGACAACGCCCUUCAUAUUCAAUAAACUUGUGAGCCUUAUUCUCGGAUACAUAAUGCCUUUGGUAAAUUGUAUCGUCUGCUUUCUCAACCAUGCUCUUCCUUCGAGCUUGAGUUAAUUACUUAAAAAAAAUCUGGUAUAGGAUUCUAAGAUGCCCCGAUGGGUUGAACCUAUGCCUUCCUUAAUAUGUGUGAACUCGAAAGUUUUCACGAGUCGUACUCUUCUAGUAUUUUGCCAGAUAAAAAUUCAAAACUACAACUUCAUUGAGCGCGAGAAGUGAAUGAAAGGUUGUGCAUUGGAGAAGUGGGAGUCGACCUUGAACUUUGCGUUCAUGCCCAUGGACACGAUGUACAUCUUCUCAUCGAAGCUUCUUUUAAAAUCAAUUAUUCCCUUGGUAUAAGUUCAUCUUAUAUCUGAGAUCUGGCCUUUUUGCAAUCGUGGUUCUGACCAUGUUCUCCUUUAAAUAUCAUGUCCUGUGCAAGUUUAAGCACUUGUCUUCUAUAGAGCAAUACCCCAGUUCAACUUCUAGUUUGAUCUAUCGUCGAGUAUUACCACCUGGUAUCUCGAGAUUAUCAUGGAACUGCAUAACUUCUUAUGAGUUCUUCAUCAAGUGCUACGUUCCCACUGAUUACAAUUUUUCAUGGGCUCUGAGUUAUUAAACACUCAAAGACACCGAUAACUGAACCGAGUCCGCUCUACGGUUCAACAACUCUUCAGUAAGCUUCUAUAAGUACAAGUUUGUACCCGACCACACCAUUCCUAGCCUGUUUGGCUAUAUCUUUGUCAUGAUGAUUUUAACUGUGCUACCCGGUCCUUCUUCUCCGAGCACAAUUUCCGACGAUGAACUAACCUUACGUCGAUCCUCAUCGUCAUAUCAUUUCGCCUUGAACAACAAGCUUGGUUUCGAGUUUGUGUCGUACCCUUGGUUCCAAUAACCUUUCACUUCAUCAUUACUUAGACUUGAUGUCGUCGCUGAUCGAUUACAUCUUCAUGAACUCUCGCGACAAAUGUGUCGUGAUCCUCAUCAACCUUAUGAGUUCUUCCAGGAUAUCAAUUGAGUUCAUGAUGAGAAAUACCAUCCUUGUCCCGUCUUUCGAUGAGAUGAUGGAUAUCGCUUUGGUGGAAGUCGACUUUGACGAUCCGACUACGAACGUGCGAGGACGUCGCGCCUUAGCAAUCGCUAAACCAACUCCGAGAGGUUAUUGACCACGCCGGAGCACGAUCAACCUGACCACGAGGGUCUGUUUCCUGCGAGCAAAUGAAGAACAAGCAAGAAACUGAGAUUGCAAUCUGGAUAUUGCGAAUAUAAGAUGAAAGCUUUAUUGAUCAAGGUGGGGUUCUGUGACGCCUUUGUCUGGUCGUUGAACACAAACGAAGUACGCGAAGUUGCAGCUAUGGCGAACUUUUAAUCUAAACAAAACCCAAAGUCUAAACGGUGCCCUAAGGGCUGUAUAUAUGGAGGAAGAGAGGGGGAAUUUCGUGGCCCUUGGUGGAGGGGUCCGAAAUCAACCCUAUCUCUUGUUUCCCCACACAUACGGACUCUAAAAAUAGCCUAUACCUAUGUAUUUCGAAAUUACAUGGGCCUGGCCCAAUAAAAAGGUGACGCAGCACCUAUAAUAGCCUCGGGACGAAAUUUAUGAAGUGGCAUCUUGUAUAUUUCGUCCAAGGCUUCAUGCACCCAUUAUGGUGGCUUCAAAGUCCUGAAAUCAUCACUUGUAACUCCGUUCUUGUUCUUGCUCCAAUGUUCAUCCUUCUUGAUGAGGACAUCAAUACAAUUGUUACACCCACAGCCCCUGCUGCUAUACAUACUGGACCAAUUACUAGAGCUCGUGCACGCCAACUAAAUUACCAGGUACUUUCGUUUCUUGGUAAUGAUUCUAAUGUUCAUGAGAAUAUGAUGCUGCCUAAAUUGGAUACAUUUGUUUUGCUUACAAAUGAAGGGCCUAGCUUGGAGAAGGAUGAACAUUGGAGCAAGAACAAGCAUGGAGAUGAUGGCAUGCGCAAGGGGAACAAGAACGGAGUUACAAGUGAUGAUUUCAGGACUUUGAAGCCACCAUAAUGGGUGCAUGAAGCCUUGGACGAAAUAUACAAGAUGCCACUUCAUAAAUUUCGUCCCGAGGCUAUUUUAGGUGCUGCGUCACCUUAUUAUUGGGCCAGGCCCAUGUAAUUUCGAAAUACAUAACUAUAGGCUAUUUUUAGAGUCCGUAUGUGUGGGGAAACAAGAGAUAGGGUUGAUUUCGGACCCCUCCACCAAGGGCCACGAAAUUCCCCCCUCUUCCUCCAUAUAUACAGCCCUUAGGGCAUCGUUUAGACUUUGGGUUUUGUUUAGAUUAAAAGUUCGCCAUAGCUGCAACUUCGCGUACUUCGUUUGUGUUCAACGACCAGACAAAGGCGUCACAGAACCCCACCUUGAUCAAUAAAGCUUUCAUCUUAUAUUCGCAAUAUCCAGAUUGCAAUCUUAGUUUCUUGCUUGUUCUUUCGUUUGCUCGCAGGAAACAGACCCUCGUGGUCAGGUUGAUCGUGCUCUGGCGUGGUCAAUAACCUCUCGGAGUUGGUUUAGCGAUUGCUAAGGCGCGACGUCCUCGCACGUUCGUAGUCGGAUCGUCAAAGUCGACUUCCACCAAAGCGAAAUCCACCAUCUCAUCGAAAGACGGGACACCUUUGCCUCUAUCACUGCUAGUGACUAUGAUGAGGAGACUUUGGCUCUUAUUACACGUGAAGAACAUGGUGGAGAUGAUUCUGAUCAUGAGACGCAAUACAUGGCUCCUGAAGACGCUGACAGGUAUGAAUGUUUAGUUGCUCAACGUGUUUUGAGUGUGCAGGUCACACAAGCUGAGCAAAAUCAGAGGCACAAUUUGUUCCAUACCAAGGGAGUUGUGAAGGAACGUUCUGUGCGCGUCAUCAUAGACGGAGGGAGCUGCAACAACUUGGCUAGCAUGGAGAUGGUGGAGAAGCUUUCUCUCACCACAAGACCACAUCCACAUCCUUACUACAUCCAAUGGUUCAACAACAGCGGCAAGGUUAAGGUAACACGUACUGUUCGUGUGCAUUUUAGUAUCUCUACAUAUGCUGAUUAUGUUGAUUGUGAUGUGGUACCUAUGCAAGCAUGUUCCUUAUUACUAGGUAGACCAUGGCAAUUUGAUAAAAAUUCUGUACACCAUGGUAGAAACAAUCACUAUACUCUUGUUCAUAAGGAUAAAAAUAUUACUUUGCUUCCUAUGACUCCUGAUUCCAUUUUGAAAGAUGAUAUUAAUAGAGCUAAUAAAGCAAAACAGGAGACGAAUAAGAGUGAAAAUCAGAUUGUGGCAAAAGAAUUUGAGCAACAAAUGAAGCCUAAUAAUAAACCAUCUAGUGUUGCUUCUGAAAUUAAAUUGAAAAGUGCAUGUUUAUUUGCCACCAAAUCUGAUAUUGAUGAGCUAGAUUUCAGCAAAUCUGUUUGCUAUGCUUUUGUGUGCAAAGAGGCAUUAUUUUCAUUCGAGGACGUGCCUUCCUCUUUGCCUCCUGCUGUCACUAACAUUUUGCAGGAGUUCGCUGACGUCUUUCCACAAGACGUGCCACCGGGAUUACCGCAUAUUCGAGGGAUUGAGCAUCAGAUUGACUUAAUUCCCGGUGCUUCACUGCCAAACCGUGCACCAUACCGUACCAAUCCAGAGGAGACAAAGGAGAUUAUGCGUCAAGUACAAGAGCUUCUCGACAAAGGUUAUAUACGCGAAUCCCUUAGUCCUUGUGCUGUUCCUAUUAUUCUAGUGCCGAAAAAGGAUGGUACAUCACGUAUGUGUGUUGAUUGUAGAGGCAUUAAUAAUAUUACUAUUCGUUAUCGUCAUCCUAUUCCUAGGCUAGAUGAUAUGCUUGAUGAAUUGAGUGGCUCUACAAUAUUCUCCAAAGUUGAUUUACGUAGUGGAUACCAUCAAAUUCGUAUGAAAUUGGGAGAUGAAUGGAAAACAGCAUUCAAAACUAAGUUUGGAUUAUAUGAGUGGUUAGUCAUGCCUUUUGGGUUAACUAAUGCACCUAGUACUUUCAUGAGAUUAAUGAACGAAGUUUUAUGUGCUUUCAUUGGACGAUUUGUGGUAGUUUACUUUGAUGACAUAUUGAUUUAUAGCAGAUCUUUGGAAGAACAUUUGGAACAUUUACGUGCUGUUUUUAUUGCUCUACGUGAUGCACGUUUGUUUGGUAACCUUGGGAAGUGCACCUUUUGCACCGACCGAGUAUCUUUUCUUGGCUAUGUUGUUACUCCACAGGGAAUUGAAGUUGAUAAAGCCAAGAUUGAAGCUAUUGAGAGUUGGCCGCAGCCCAAAACUGAUAGAGGCGAGGGUCCCGAUCUUUCGAUGAGAUGAUGGAUAUCGCUUUGGUGGAAGUCGACUUUGACGAUCCGACUACGAACGUGCGAGGACGUCGCGCCUUAGCAAUCGCUAAACCAACUCCGAGAGGUUAUUGACCACGCCGGAGCACGAUCAACCUGACCACGAGGGUCUGUUUCCUGCGAGCAAACGAAGAACAAGCAAGAAACUAAGAUUGCAAUCUGGAUAUUGCGAAUAUAAGAUGAAAGCUUUAUUGAUCAAGGUGGGGUUCUGUGACGCCUUUGUCUGGUCGUUGAACACAAACGAAGUACGCGAAGUUGCAGCUAUGGCGAACUUUUAAUCUAACAAAACCCAAAGUCUAAACGGUGCCCUAAGGGCUGUAUAUAUGGAGGAAGAGAGGGGGAAUUUCGUGGCCCUUGGUGGAGGGGUCCGAAAUCAACCCUAUCUCUUGUUUCCCCACACAUACGGACUCUAAAAAUAGCCUAUACUUAUGUAUUUCGAAAUUACAUGGGCCUGGCCCAAUAAAAAGGUGACGCAGCACCUAUAAUAGCCUCGGGACGAAAUUUAUGAAGUGGCAUCUUGUAUAUUUCGUCCAAGGCUUCAUGCACCCAUUAUGGUGGCUUCAAAGUCCUGAAAUCAUCACUUGUAACUCCGUUCUUGUUCCCCUUGCGCAUGGCAUCAUCUCCAUGCUUGUUCUUGCUCCAAUGUUCAUCCUUCUCCAAGCUAGGCCCUUCAUUUGUAAGCAAAACAAAUGUAUCCAAUUUAGGCAGCAUCAUAUUCUCAUGAACAUUAGAAUCAUUACCAAGAAACGAAAGUACCUGAUAAUUCAGUUAGCGUGCGCGAGCUCUAGUAAUUGGUCCCGUAUAUGUAGCAGUAGGGGCUGUGGGUGUAACAAUGGUAUUGAUGUCCUCAUCAUCCUCCCCUUCUUGAAAUGAAGUCGUCCUCGACGGAAACUCAUCUUCCUCACCCAAAUAAGGCUUCAAAUCUGCAAUGUUAAAAGUGGGACUAACCCCAAAAUCUGCAGGCAGCUCAAGUUUAUAUGCAUUAUCAUUUAUUUUCUCUAACACCUUAAAGGGACCAUCAGCACGUGGCAUUAGCUUUGAUUUGCACAAAUCAGGAAAUCUAUCCUUACGCAAAUGUAACCAAACAAGAUCUCUAGGUGCAAACACAACAUGUUUUCUACCCUUAUCUCCAGCAAGUUUAUAUUUAGCAUUCAUACGCUCAAUGUUUUCCUUAGUUAACUCAUGCAUUUUUAAAAUCAAUUCAGCACGUUGUUUAGCAUCAAAAUUAACCUUCUCCGAAGAUGGAAGAGGCAACAAAUCAAUAGGUGCACGAGGUAGGAAACCAUACACAACUUCAAAAGGGCACAUCUUAGUAGUAGAAUGCAAUGAACGAUUAUAAGCAAAUUCAAUAUGAGGCAAGCAUUCCUCCCACAUUUUCUUAUUAUUCUUCAAAACAGCCCUAAGCAAAGUAGACAACGUUCUAUUGACUACUUCAGUUUGUCCAUCAGUUUGGGGGUGACAAGUAGUACUAAAAAGCAGUUUAGUCCCCAACUUAGCCCAUAAACAUCUCCAAAAGUGGCUAAGAAAUUUAGUAUCACGAUCUGAAACAAUAGUAUUUGGCACACCAUGCAAGUGAAUAAUUUCACGAAAGAACAAAUCAGCAACAUUAACAGCAUCAUCGCUUUUAUGACAUGGUAUAAAGUGUGCCAUUUUCGAGAAUCUAUCCACGACAGCAAAUAUGCUAUCCCUCCCCUUCUUUGUUCGAGGUAAACCUAAAACUAAGUCCAUAGAUAUAUCCUCCCAAGGAACACUAGGUACAUGCAAAGGCAUAUAUAAACCAUGAGGAUUGAGUCGUGACUUAGCUUUUUGACAUGUAGUGCAUCGAGCAAUAAAACGCUCAACAUCCCGUCUCAUCUUUGGCCAAAAGAAAUGUGUAGCAAGUACGUCCUCCGUCUUCUUCACGCCAAAGUGUCCCAUUAAUCCUCCUCCAUGCGCCUCCUGCAACAACAAAAGACGAACGGAGCUAGCUGGAAUGCAUAGCUUGUUAGCACGAAACACAAAUGUUAGUGAUAGCAGGAGGCAAAGAGGAAGGCACGUCCUCGAAUGAAAAUAAUGCCUCUUUGCACAAAAAAGCAUAGCAAACAGAUUUGCUGAAAUCUAGCUCAUCAAUAUCAGAUUUGGUGGCAAAUAAACAUACACUUUUCAAUUUAAUUUCAGAAGCAACACUAGAUGGUUUAUUAUUAGGCUUCAUUUGUUGCUCAAAUUCUUUUGCCACAAUCUGAUUUUCACUCUUAUUCGUCUCCUGUUUUGCUUUAUUAGCUCUAUUAAUAUCAUCUUUCAAAAUGGAAUCAGGAGUCAUAGGAAGCAAAGUAAUAUUUUUAUCCUUAUGAACAAGAGUAUAGUGAUUGUUUCUACCAUGGUGUACAGAAUUUUUAUCAAAUUGCCAUGGUCUACCAAGUAAUAAGGAACAUGCUUGCAUAGGUACCACAUCACAAUCAACAUAAUCAGCAUAUGUAGAGAUACUAAAAUGCACACGAACAGUACGUGUUACCUUAACCUUGCCGCUGUUGUUGAACCAUUGGAUGUAGUAAGGAUGUGGAUGUGGUCUUGUGGUGAGAGAAAGCUUCUCCACCAUCUCCAUGCUAGCCAAGUUGUUGCAGCUCCCUCCGUCUAUCAUGACGCGCACAGAACGUUCCUUCACAACUCCCUUGGUAUGGAACAAAUUGUGCCUCUGAUUUUGCUCAGCUUGUGUGACCUGCACACUCAAAACACGUUGAGCAACUAAACAUUCAUACCUGUCAGCGUCUUCAGGAGCCAUGUAUUGCGUCUCAUGAUCAGAAUCAUCUCCACCAUGUUCUUCACGUGUAAUAAGAGCCAAUGUCUCCUCAUCAUAGUCACUAGCGGACUCAUAUCCACCAUCCGCAGUAGCAAUCAUCACACGCGGAGAUUUGCAUUCCCUCGCAUAAUGACCUCCUCCCUUACAACGACGACAAAUAAUAUCACUUGUGUGCCCUGUUGAUGCCAUGGAAGAAGAAGAACGCUGUGCAGGCCCCGCAGGUGUGCUCUUGGCAUAUAAUGGUGGUUGUGCCUGUUUUCUUGUAUCACGGCUGGAGGUGGCACCGGAUGGAGGUGCUGGUGCAGUUGAAGUAGAAGAUGCACGUGGUGUCCAUGAUGAAGGUCGGCCUGCAGAAAAGUUAGUUCGCCCCAAUGCUUGUCGAUCCUGCACUUCACGUUCAGCUUUACAAGCAAGAUGGAAUAAACGAGUGAUAUUAGUAUACUCCUUAUAGUCUAGAAUGGUCUGAAUCUCUCUAUUUAAUCCACCCAGAAAACGUGCAAGCAUAGCUUCAUUCUCCUCAACAAUACCACAUCUAAUCAUGCCAGUUUGUAAUUCCUGAUAAUAUUCUUCUACAGAAUUUUUUCCUUGUCUUAAACGCUGCAAUUUUUGAAGCAAUUCACGUUGAUAAUAUGGUGGAACCCAACGCGUACGCAUAGCAGUUUUCAAAGCAUCCCAAGUAGUUGGAAUAGGAUAUAAUCUACAAUGUUCAGACCACCAUACACAUGCAAAACUAGUGAUGAGGACAUCAAUACAACUGUUACACCCACAGCCCCUGCUGCUAUACAUACUGGACCAAUUACUAGAGCUCGUGCACGCCAACUAAAUUACCAGGUACUUUCGUUUCUUGGUAAUGAUUCUAAUGUUCAUGAGAAUAUGAUGCUGCCUAAAUUGGAUACAUUUGUUUUGCUUACAAAUGAAGGGCCUAGCUUGGAGAAGGAUGAACAUUGGAGCAAGAACAAGCAUGCAGAUGAUGGCAUGCGCAAGGGGAACAAGAACGGAGUUACAAGUGAUGAUUUCAGGACUUUGAAGCCACCAUAAUGGGUGCAUGAAGCCUUGGACGAAAUAUACAAGAUGCCACUUCAUAAAUUUCAUCCCGAGGCUAUUUUAGGUGCUGCGUCACCUUAUUAUUGGGCCAGGCCCAUGUAAUUUCGAAAUACAUAAGUAUAGGCUAUUUUUAGAGUCCGUAUGUGUGGGGAAACAAGAGAUAGGGUUGAUUUCGGACCCCUCCACCAAGGGCCACGAAAUUCCCCCCUCUUCCUCCAUAUAUACAGCCCUUAGGGCAUCGUUUAGACUUUGGGUUUUGUUUAGAUUAAAAGUUCGCCAUAGCUGCAACUUCGCGUACUUCGUUUGUGUUCAACGACCAGACAAAGGCGUCACAGAACCCCACCUUGAUCAAUAAAGCUUUCAUCUUAUAUUCGCAAUAUCCAGAUUGCAAUCUCAGUUUCUUGCUUGUUCUUCGUUUGCUCGCAGGAAACAGACCCUCGUGGUCAGGUUGAUCGUGCUCCGGCGUGGUCAAUAACCUCUCGGAGUUGGUUUAGCGAUUGCUAAGGCGCGACGUCCUCGCACGUUCGUAGUCGGAUCGUCAAAGUCGACUUCCACCAAAGCGAUAUCCAUCAUCUCAUCGAAAGACGGGACACCUUUGCCUCUAUCACUCUACAAUCAACACACAUACGUGAUGUACCAUCCUUUUUCGGCACUAGAAUAAUAGGAACAGCACAAGGACUAAGGGAUUCGCGUAUAUAACCUUUGUCGAGAAGCUCUUGUACUUGACCCAUAAUCUCCUUCGUCUCCUCUGGAUUGGUACGGUAUGGUGCACGGUUUGGCAGUGAAGCACCGGGAAUUAAGUCAAUCUGAUGCUCAAUCCCUCGAAUAGGCAGUAAUCCCGGUGGCACGUCUUGUGGAAAGACGUCAGCGAACUCCUGCAAAAUGUUAGUGACAGCAGGAGGCAAAGAGGAAGGCACGUCCUCGAAUGAAAAUAAUGCCUCUUUGCACACAAAAGCAUAGCAAACAGAUUUGCUGAAAUCUAGCUCAUCAAUAUCAGAUUUGGUGGCAAAUAAACAUGCACUUUUCAAUUUAAUUUCAGAAGCAACACUAGAUGGUUUAUUAUUAGGCUUCAUUUGUUGCUCAAAUUCUUUUGCCACAAUCUGAUUUUCACUCUUAUUCGUCUCCUGUUUUGCUUUAUUAGCUCUAUUAAUAUCAUCUUUCAAAAUGGAAUCAGGAGUCAUAGGAAGCAAAGUAAUAUUUUUAUCCUUAUGAACAAGAGUAUAGUGAUUGUUUCUACCAUGGUGUACAGAAUUUUUAUCAAAUUGCCAUGGUCUACCUAGUAAUAAGGAACAUGCUUGCAUAGGUACCACAUCACAAUCAACAUAAUCAGCAUAUGUAGAGAUACUAAAAUGCACACGAACAGUACGUGUUACCUUAACCUUGCCGCUGUUGUUGAACCAUUGGAUGUAGUAAGGAUGUGGAUGUGGUCUUGUGGUGAGAGAAAGCUUCUCCACCAUCUCCAUGCUAGCCAAGUUGUUGCAGCUCCCUCCGUCUAUGAUGACGCGCACAGAACGUUCCUUCACAACUCCCUUGGUAUGGAACAAAUUGUGCCUCUGAUUUUGCUCAGCUUGUGUGAUCUGCACACUCAAAACACGUUGAGCAACUAAACAUUCAUACCUGUCAGCGUCUUCAGGAGCCAUGUAUUGCGUCUCAUGAUCAGAAUCAUCUCCACCAUGUUCUUCACGUGUAAUGAGAGCCAAAGUCUCCUCAUCAUAGUCAAUAGCGGACUCAUAUCCACCAUCCCCGGUAGCAAUCAUCACACGCGGAGAUUUGCAUUCCCUCGCAUAAUGACCUCCUCCCUUACAACGACGACAAAUAAUAUCACUUGUGUGCCCUGUUGAUGCCAUGGAAGAAGAAGAACGCUGUGCAGGCCCCGCAGGUGCGCUCUUGGCAGAUAAUGGUGGUUGUGCCUGUUUUCUUGUAUCACGGGUGGAGGUGGCACCGGAUGGAGGUGCUGGUCCAGUUGAAGUAGAAGAUGCACGUGGUGUCCAUGAUGAAAGUCGGCCUGCAGAAAAGUUAGUUCGCCCCAAUGCUUGUCGAUCCUGCACUUCACGUUCAGCUUUACAAGCAAGAUGGAAUAAACGAGUGAUAUUAGUAUACUCCUUAUAGUCUAGAAUGGUCUGAAUCUCUCUAUUUAAUCCACCCAGAAAACGUGCAAGCAUAGCUUCAUUCUCCUCAACAAUACCACAUCUAAUCAUGCCAGUUUGUAAUUCCUGAUAAUAUUCUUCUACAGAAUUUUUCCCUUGUCUUAAACGCUGCAAUUUUUGAAGCAAUUCACGUUGAUAAUAUGGUGGAACCCAACGCGUACGCAUAGCAGUUUUCAAAGCAGCCCAAGUAGUUGGAAUAGGAUAUAAUCUACAAUGUUCAGACCACCAUACACAUGCAAAACUAGUGAAAGCUCAAACAGCAGCAGCAACUCGUCUCUCCUCAGGAUAUUGUAAACAUGUAAAUCGCUGUUCAGUUUCUAACUCCCAAGUAAGAUAUAUAUCAGGAACAUAUCUACCCUCAAAUGGUGGAAUAUUCAAUUUCAGUUUAGGAAUAUGGACAUCAUCUCGUACCUGAGGUGGUGGUGCAGGCCUACCAUUACGAAUAUAUACCUGAGGUCGACCUGCUGGUGGUGGUACAGGUGGCUGCACGUAGUGCUGAUUUUGAUCAACCUCAUCCUCAUAAUCUCCCACAUAAUCAUCCUCCUCCGCAUUAGCAGCAGGAGCCACAGAAGUAUCAACAGCAGCACCAACAGUUUGGCCAAACGCAAGAGGAUCACGGCUUGCUCGGCGGAGGUCUGUUUCGCGACGUGGAGGUAGUCGUUGUUGUUGUUGUUGGAGAGGUGCGUUAGGUGCAGCGGGUGGUGGUGGUGGAAGACGCGCGAGCAAUUCAUUAAACUAGUUAUCGAGCUUUGUUUCGAACGUCUUCUCAAGGCCAGUGAUCUUCUCCAUGGCCUCUUCAAAAUUGUUCAGCACAUCUUGCACCUGUUCAGUCAUCAUUUGCUGAAACUUAUCAUGAAGCUCCUUGUUCGAUAAAUUCUCCCAGUCAAUCUCGUCGGCUUGUGAUCCUGGCAUGGUUAGCAGCAAUAGAAAUACACAAGAAUAAGAUCCUACAGACUACAAACAAGUGGUGGUGGUGGGUCUCACAAAUCCGUCAAGCAAAACUCAAAUUCUUACCAGUUCUUACCUGAUAGAGGCAAAGGUGUCCCGUCUUUCGAUGAGAUGCUGGAUAUCGCUUUGGUGGCAGUCGACUUUGACGAUCCGACUACGAACGUGCGAGGACGUCGCGCCUUAGCAAUCGCUAAACCAACUCCGAGAGGUUAUUGACCACGCCGGAGCACGAUCAACCUGACCAUGAGGGUCUGUUUCCUGCGAGCAAACGAAGAACAAGCAAGAAACUGAGAUUGCAAUCUGGAUAUUGCGAAUAUAAGAUGAAAGCUUUAUUGAUCAAGGUGGGGUUCUGUGACGCCUUUGUCUGGUCGUUGAACACAAACGAAGUACGCGAAGUUGCAGCUAUGGCGAACUUUUAAUCUAAACAAAACCCAAAGUCUAAACGGUGCCCUAAGGGCUGUAUAUAUGGAGGAAGAGAGGGGGAAUUUCGUGGCCCUUGGUGGAGGGGUCCGAAAUCAACCCUAUCUCUUGUUUCCCCACACAUACGGACUCUAAAAAUAGCUUAUACCUAUGUAUUUCGAAAUUACAUGGGCCUGGCCCAAUAAAAAGGUGACGCAGCACCUAUAAUAGCCUCGGGACGAAAUUUAUGAAGUGGCAUCUUGUAUAUUUCGUCCAAGGCUUCAUGCACCCAUUAUGGUGGCUUCAAAGUCCUGAAAUCAUCACUUGUAACUCCGUUCUUGUUCCCCUUGCGCAUGCCAUCAUCUCCAUGCUUGUUCUUGCUCCAAUGUUCAUCCUUCUCCAAGCUAGGCCCUUCAUUUGUAAGCAAAACAAAUGUAUCCAAUUUAGGCAGCAUCAUAUUCUCAUGAACAUUAGAAUCAUUACCAAGAAACGAAAGUACCUGGUAAUUUAGUUGGCGUGCACGAGCUCUAGUAAUUGGUCCAGUAUGUAUAGCAGCAGGGGCUGUGGGUGUAACAAUUGUAUUGAUGUCCUCAUCAUUACCCAGCAGCAGGCGGUGAUCGGCAACAGUUGUAGUCAAAACUCUCAAAGCUUGGAUAGAGCGAUUACUAGGGAGAGUCAAACGCACGACGUAGAUGUAUGUGGAGCUGGGAAGGCUUAUAAUAUGGUAGCAAAAAGGGUCAGCAAUAAUCAAUUCAGAGAUGCAAAGUUGAAUAAACGCUCAACAACGGUACUGUGCUAGUCCUAGGCUAGACUGUGCUAGAGACGCGAGCCUAGAACACCAACAAAAUCACGGCGCGGCACGUAAACAAGGGAGGAGCACACUCUGAAUUUUUUUUCUCUUUUUUUUGCACUUUUUUUUCCUCUUUUUUUUUGCUCCGCAACAAAUUUUUUUCGAAAAAGUCUACAAAUGGUCUAAAAACUGCCUAGCCAGAAUUUUCCAGACUUAGUUUUUUUUUGAAAUUGGAACUAUUUUUCUUCUGCGGAUGGCUCGGAAGUUGGGGAGUCCGUCUCUGUCAUGACUCGGAGUAUCGCGUGAUCUGGAAAUCGAGAACAAUGCAACAAUUACUGGACUCGGACUAGGACUGGUGGCGGAGAUGAAUCUGGUGGAACUCGGACUGGUGGCGGAGAUGAAUCUGGUGGAACACGGACAGGUGGCGGAUAUAUGUUGCGGGUGAACUCGGAUUGGUGUGAUGGCGGCGGAUAUGUGGUGGCGUAUAUGGAUUCGGAUUGGCGGUGAAUAUGUGGUGGCGGUAUAUGGCAACAGCGACGAUGAUGAUGCGAUGGUGAUAUAUGGCAGCGGCGACGUGACAACCUGUGAACAGAACUCGAAACUCUAAAAGACUAGACGCUAAGACCAGCAACUGGACACGACGAUGCAACCACAAAUUCAACAAAGCAAAUACAGAAAAGAUUAUGCAAGGCUCAGAUUGGUUUGGAUGGGAUGAACUAACCCUAAUUUUUUUUGGCUUUUUCGUGGACUAUAGGUAUGAAGAACAGACUCGAUCUAAACUACGAAAAACUGUAAAAUCUCACCGAGCAACCUGGAAAUCUGAUACCACUUGAUAGAGGCAAAGGUGUCCCGUCUUUCGAUGAGAUGAUGGAUAUCGCUUUGGUGGAAGUCGACUUUGACGAUCCGACUAAGAACGUGCAAGGACGUCGCGCCUUAGCAAUCGCUAAACCAACUCCGAGAGGUUAUUGACCACGCCGGAGCACGAUCAACCUGACCACGAGGGUAUGUUUCCUGCGAGCAAACAAAGAACAAGCAAGAAACUGAGAUUGCAAUCUGGAUAUUGCGAAUAUAAGAUGAAAGCUUUAUUGAUCAAGGUGGGGUUCUGUGACGCCUUUGUCUGGUCGUUGAACACAAACGAAGUACGCGAAGUUGCAGCUAUGGCGAACUUUUAAUCUAAACAAAACCCAAAGUCUAAACGGUGCCCUAAGGGCUGUAUAUAUGGAGGAAGAGAGGGGGAAUUUCGUGGCCCUUGGUGGAGGGGUCUGAAAUCAACCCUAUCUCUUGUUUCCCCACACAUACAGACUCUAAAAAUAGCCUAUACUUAUGUAUUUCGAAAUUACAUGGGCCUGGCCCAAUAAAAAGGUGACGCAGCACCUAUAAUAGCCUCGGGACGAAAUUUAUGAAGUGGCAUCUUGUAUAUUUCGUCCAAGGCUUCAUGCACCCAUUAUGGUGGCUUCAAAGUCCUGAAAUCAUCACUUGUAACUCCGUUCUUGUUCCCCUUGCGCAUGGCAUCAUCUCCAUGCUUGUUCUUGCUCCAAUGUUCAUCCUUCUCCAAGCUAGGCCCUUCAUUUGUAAGCAAAACAAAUGUAUCCAAUUUAGGCAGCAUCUUAUUCUCAUGAACAUUAGAAUCAUUACCAAGAAACGAAAGUACCUGAUAAUUUAAUUGGCGUGCGCGAGCUCUAGUAAUUGGUCCCGUAUAUGUAGCAGUAGGGGCUGUGGGUGUAACAAUGAUAUUGAUGUCCUCAUCACAGUCAUUGGCGUAGUGUUCGGUCUUCCCGCACUUGUAACAAGUAAUGUGACUCAGAUCCUUCUUGGCGGGGGUUGCUGGGUUGGAACGGCUCUGACUGUUGUUUCCUCCACUCCCAUUACCAUCCUUUGGGACACUAUGGUUGUGUGAAUUUACUCCAUUGUGAGAAUGGCCUCCAUGGUUAUGUCCUCCAUGGGUAUGAGUGUGUCCUCCCGAGUACGAGGAAUAGUGGGGCUUCUGCUGAGCUCCAGAGUUGUACUUUCCCUGUCCAUACUUCCGCUUGCGGUUCUCUAUCUGCUGCUGCUUGCCUUCAAUCAUGAGGGGCCUGUCUACUAGCUCCUGAUAGUUGGUGGAUGUUGCCACCAUCAACUACAUACUGAGCUCAUCAUUCAGUCCUUCAAGAAACUUCUCCUGCUUCGCGGCAUCUGUGGCCACAUCAUCUGGGGCAUAGCGUGAUAACUUGCUGAACUCAUCCGCUUACUGCGCCAUAGUAUGAUUCCCUUGGUGUAAGUUGUGGAACUCACACUUGUUCAUACUCAUGGCUCCAGCUGAGACAUGUGCGGUGUGGAAGGCCUGCUGAAACUGAUCCUAAGUAACAUUGGCCACGGGAAAGGUGGUGGUGUAGUCCUCCCACCAUGAGGUUGCGGGUCCAUCAAGCUGAUGUGCGGCAAAGCGCACCUUCUCCGCAUCCGUGCAUCCAGCAGUUGUUAGCUCUCUUCCGAUCUUGCGGAGCCAAUCAUCAGCAACAAUCGGCUCAUUGCUGCUAGAGAACAUCGGCGGAUUCAACCUUAGGAAACGGGCUAGGUUGUCAACUGGGGGUGGUGGCAGUGGGUUGUUGUUGUUGUUGUUGUUGUCUUGGUUCCGGACGAGCAACUGCAUCAAGGCAUUCUGCUGUUGGAUCAACUGGGUGAGCUCCAACGGGAAAACGAAUACAGGGCCACGUCUCGGAGGCAUCUGAUAGGUUAGAGGGGUGAGAACAGAGUAGAAUAGGUCUAAAGAGAUAUUUCACUACCCAUAUGCACAUGUGACAAACAUAUUCAAUCCACAUCACUCAAUUCAAAACAAGAUUCAUACAAUCGAUCUAAGCUACUAUUACAAAAUCUCGUGAACGAUUUGUAACUACUUGGAAGGAUUCUAAUAGUAAUGUGGUGGUAGACUAGAAAUUUUGAUCGGUGGAAGACUCCAUAAUAUCAGCUCCAGCUUCUUCAAAAUCAUCAUUGUCCUCAUCAUCUCUAACAUUUUCAUCAUCACUGUCAGUGUCGAUGUCAUCUAGUAUGAUGUAGUCUUCAGAACGAAUGUCCACUUCAGGUUCCGGUUUCAUCAGGUCUUCAUUCUGCCCCUGAUAGAGGCAAAGGUGUCCCAAUAUUUCGAUGAGAUAGAUAUCGUUUUCUAUGGGAGUCGACUUUGACGAUCCGACUACGAACGUGCGAAGACGUCACGCCUUAGCAAUCGCUAAACCAACUUCCGAGGGUUAUUGACCACGCCGGAGCACGAUCAACCUGACCACGAGGGUCUAUUUCCCGCAAGCAAACGGAGAACAAGCAAGAAACUGAGAUUGCAAUCUGGAUAUUGCGAAUAAAAGAGGAAAGCUUUAUUAAUGAAGGUGGGGUUCUGUGGCGUCUUGGUCUGGUCGUUGGACACAGACGAAGUACGCGAAGUUGCAGCUAUGGCGAACUUUUAGUCUAAACAAAACCCAAAGUCUAAACGAUGCCCUAAGGGUUGUAUAUAUGGAGGAGAGGGGGAAUUUCGUGGCCUUUGGAGGAGGGGUCCGAAACCAACCCUAACUCUUGUUUAUCCACACAUACGGACUCUAAAAACAUCCUAUACUUAAGUAUUUCGAAAAUACAUGGGCCUGGCCCAAUAAUAAGGUGACGCGGCACCUAGAAUAGCCUCUAGACGACAUUUAUGAAGUGACAUCUUGUAUAUUUCGUCCAAGGCUUCAUGCACUCCUUAUGGUGGCUUCAAAGUCCUGAAAUCAUCACUUGUAACUCCGUUCUUGAUCCCCUUGCGCAUGCCAUCAUCUCCAUGCUUGAACUUGCUCCAAGGUUCAUCUUUCUUGUCCAAGCUAGGCCCUUCAUUUGUAAGCAAAACAAAUGUAUCUAAUUUAGGCAGCAUCAUAUUCUCAUGAGCAUUAGAAUCGUUACCAAGAAACGAAAGUACCUGAUAAUUCAAUUGGCGUGCGCGAGCUCUAGUAAUUGGUCCAGUAUGUGUAGCAGUAGGGGCUGUGGGUGUAACAAUGGUAUUGAUGUCCUCAUCAUCCUCCCCUUCUUGAAAUGAAGUCGUCCUCGACGAAAGCUCAUCUUCCUCACCAAAAUAAGGCUUCAAAUCUGCAAUAUUAAAAGUGAGACUAACCCCAAAAUCUGCAGGUAGCUCAAGUUUAUAUGCAUUAUCAUUUAUUUUCUCUAACACCUUAAAAGGACCAUCAGCAUGUGGCAUUAGCUUUGAUUUGCACAAAUUAGGAAAUUUAUCCUUGCGCAAAUGUAACCAAACAAGAUCUCCAGCUGCAAACACAACAUGUUUUCUACCCUUAUCUCCAACAAGUUUAUAUUUAGCAUUCAUACGCGCAAUGUUUUCCUUAGUUAACUCAUGCAUUUUUAAAAUCAAUUCAGCAUGUUCUUUAGCAUCAAAAUUAACCUUCUCCGAAGAUGGAAGAGGCAACAAAUCAAUAGGUGCACGAGGUAGGAAACCAUACACAAUUUCAAAAGGGCACAUCUUAGUAGUAGAAUGCAAUGUACGAUUAUAAGCAAAUUCAAUAUGAGGCAAGCAUUCAUCCCACAUUUUCUUAUUAUUCUUCAAAACAGCCCUAAGCAUAGUAGACAAUGUUCUAUUGACUACUUCGGUUUGUCCAUCAGUUUGGGGGUGACAUGUAGUACUAAAAAGCAGUUUAGUCCCCAACUUAGCCCAUAAACAUCUCCAAAAGUGGCUCAGAAAUUUAGAAUCACGAUCUGAAACAAUAGUAUUUGGCACACCAUGCAAGCGAAUAAUUUCACGAAAGAACAAAUCAGCAACAUUAACAACAUCAUCGCUUUUAUGACAUGGUAUAAAGUGUGCCAUUUUCGAGAACCUAUCCAUGAUAACAAAUAUGCUAUCCCUCCCCUUCUUUGUUCGAGGUAAACCUAAAACAAAGUCCAUAGAUAUAUCCUCCCAAGGAACACUAGGUACAGGCAAAGGCAUAUAUAAACCACGAGGAUUGAGUCGGGACUUGGAUUUUUGACAUGUAGUGCAGCGAGCAACAAAACGCUCAACAUCCCAUCUCAUCUUUGGCCAAAAGAAAUGUGUAGCAAGUAUAUCCUCCGUCUUCUUGACACAAAAGUGUCCCAUUAAUCCUCCUCCAUGCGCCUCCUGCAACAACAAAAGACGAACGGAGCUAGCUGGAAUGCAUAGCUUGUUAGCACGAAACACAAAUCCAUCGUUAAGAACGAACUUGUUCCAAGUUCUCCCUUCCUUACAAUUCUGCAAUACAUCUUUAAAUUCAUCAUCAUGCAUAUAUUGAUCUUUGAUGGUCUCCAAACCAAAUAUUUUAAAGUCAAGUUGUGAAAGCAUAGUAUAACGACGAGACAAAGCAUCAGCAAUAAUAUUUUCUUUACCCUUCUUGUGUUUAAUGACAUAAGGGAAAGUAUCAAUGAAUUCAACCCAUUUAGCAUGUCUACGGUUCAGUUUUGCUUGACUUUUAAUGUGUUUCAAAGAUUCAUGAUCAUAAUGUAUAACAAAUUCCUUGGGGCAUAAAUAAUGUUGCCAUGUUUCUAAGGUCCGAACAAGAGCAUAUAAUUCUUUAUCAUAAGUAGAAUAGUUCAGACUAGACCCACUCAAUUUUUCAGAAAAGUAUGCAACAGGUUGAUGAGGACAUCAAUACAAUUGUUACACCCACAGCCCCUACUGCUAUACAUACUGGACCAAUAACUAGAGCUCGUGCACGCCAACUAAAUUACCAGGUACUUUUGUUUCUUGGUAAUGAUUCUAAUGUUCAUGAGAAUAUGAUGCUGCCUAAAUUGGAUACAUUUGUUUUGCUUACAAAUGAAGGGCCUAGCUUGGAGAAGGAUGAACAUUGGAGCAAGAACAAGAACGGAGUUACAAGUGAUGAUUUCAGGACUUUGAAGCCACCAUAAUGGGUGCAUGAAGCCUUGGACGAAAUAUACAAGAUGCCACUUCAUAAAUUUCGUCCCGAGGCUAUUUUAGGUGCUGCGUCACCUUAUUAUUGGGCCAGGCCCAUGUAAUUUCGAAAUACAUAAGUAUAGGCUAUUUUUAGAGUCCGUAUGUGUGGGGAAACAAGAGAUAGGGUUGAUUUCGGACCCCUCCACCAAGGGCCACGAAAUUCCCCCCUCUUCCUCCAUAUAUACAGCCCUUAGGGCAUCGUUUAGACUUUGGGGAUUUGUUUAGUUAAAAGUUAGCCAGUGCAACUUCGUGUACUUCGUUUGUGUCCAACGACCAGACCAAGACCGCUUACGGAUCCCCACCAUUAUCAAUACUUCAUAUAUAUUCGCAAUAUUCAGAUUGCUUUAUCAUAUUCUUGCUUGUUCUUCGAUUGCUUGCAGGAAUAGACCUUCGUGGUCAGGUUGAUCGUGCUCCAGCGUGGUCAAUAACCUCUCGGAGUUGGUUUAGCGAUUGCUAAGGCGCAACGUCGUGCACGUUUGUAGUCGGAUCGUCAAAGUCGUCUCCACCAAAUCGAUAGUUAUCAUCUCAUCCAAAGAUUGGGACACCCUCGCCUCUAUCAAGUGGUAUCAGAUUUCCAGGUUGCUCAGUGAGAUUUUACAGUUUUUCGUAGUUUAGAUCGAGUCUGUUCUUCAUACCUAUAGUCCACGAAAAAGCCACAAAAAAAAUUAGGGUUAGUUCAUCAUAUCCGAACCAAUCUGAGCCUUCGCAUAAUCUUUUUAGGGUUUUGCUUUGUUGAAUUUGCGGUUGCAUCGUCGUGUCUAGUUGCUGGUCUUAGAGUCUAGUCUUUUAGAGUUUCGAGUUCUGGUCAUAAGUUGUCACGCCGCCGCCGCACCAUCAUCAUCACCCCUGCCAUCUACCACCACCGCUUAUCCACCAUCGCUUCGAAUCCGUAUCCAUAUACCACCACAGCUGUCAUAUACCACCACCGCUGCCAUCUACCACCAUAUAUCCACCACCAAUCCGAGUUCUUGUCAUAUUAGGUUUGUUUUCGAGAUCCAUCUAGAUUCCGAUUCGUGUUUCCUUGCCGGAGUAGGUUUCGGAAAAAAAAAUGGUCGAAAAAAUUUCGUGCCCAUCCUGUCAGUUUGAGCUAGGAAGAGUUUUGAGACACUCGCCAUUAUAGUGAUUUUUCGCAAAAAAAAAGAGUCGGGAAACCACGCUCCGUUUAGGCCCAAAAUUUUUCGAAAACGCAUUUUGCGAAAAAAAAUUCUGGCUAUCCUAUUUUUAGGUGUUUCUGAGUGUUUUGAGACAGGUGCCAUUAUAGGAAGUUUUUUUUGACCCGUUUCCAGUUUUUGGGUCCGGGCAGUCAAAAAAAAAGCAGCAAAAAAAAAGAGCGAAAAAAAAUUUCCAGAGUGUGCUUUUCCCAUGUUUACGUGCCGCGCCGUGAUUUUGUUGGUGUUCUAGGCUCGCGUCUCUAGCACAGUCUAGCCUAGGACCAGCACAGUACAGUCGUUGAGCGUUUAUUCAACUUUGCAUCUCUGAAUUGAUUAUUGCUGACCCUUUUUGCUACCAUAUUAUAAGCCUUCCCAGCUCCACAUACAUCUACGUCGUGCGUUUGACUCUCCCUGGUAAUCGCUCUAUCCAAGCUUUGAGAGUUUUUGACUACAACGGUUGCCGAUCACCGCCUGCUGCUAGGUAAGAACUGGUAAGAAUUUGAGAUUUGCUUGACGGAUUUGUGACACCAACCACCACCUCUUGUUAGUAGUCUGUAGGAUCAUAUUCUUGUGUGUUUCUAUUGCUGCUAACCAUGCCAGGAUCACAAGCCGACGAGACUGACUGGGAGAACAUGACGAAUAAGGAUUUGCAUGAUAAAUUUCAGCAAAUGAUGAGUGAACAGGUGCAAGACGUGCUAAACAGAUUUGAAGAGGCCAUGGAGAAGAUAGAUGGCAUGGAGAAGACGUUCGAAACAAAGCUCGAUAACAAGUUUAAUGAAUUGCUCGCGCGUCUUCCACCACCACCACCCGCUGCACCUAACGCACCUCUCCAACAACAACAACAGCGACUACCUCCACGUCGCGAAAUAGACCUCCGCCGAGCGAGCCGUGUUCCUCUUGCGUUUGGCCAAACUGUUGGUGCUGCUGUUGAUACUUCUGUGGCUCCUGCUGCUGAUGCGGAGGAGGAUGAUUAUGUGGGAGAUUAUGAGGAUGAGGUUGAUCAAAAUCAGCACUACGUGCAGCCACCUGCACCACCACUAGCAGGUCGACCUCAGGUAUAUAUUCGUAAUGGUAGGCCUGCACCACCACCUCAGGUACGAGAUGAUGUCCAUAUUCCUAAACUGAAAUUGAAUAUUCCACCAUUUGAGGGUAGAUAUGUUCCUGAUAUAUAUCUUACUUGGGAGUUAGAAACUGAACAACGAUUUACAUGUUUACAAUAUCCUGAGGAGAGACGAGUUGUUGCUGCUGUUUGUGCUUUCACUAGUUUUGCAUGUGUAUGGUGGUCUGAAAAUUGUAGAUUAUAUCCUAUUCCAACUACUUGGGCUGCUUUGAAAAUUGCUAUGCGUACUCGUUGGGUUCCACCAUAUUAUCAACGUGAAUUGCUUCAAAAAUUACAGCGUUUAAGACAAGGGAAAAAUUCUGUAGAAGAAUAUUAUCAGGAAUUACAAACUGGCAUGAUUAGAUGUGGUAUUGUUGAGGAGAAUGAAGCUAUGCUUGCACGUUUUCUGGGUGGAUUAAAUAGAGAGAUUCAGACCAUUCUAGACUAUAAGGAGUAUACUAAUAUCACUCGUUUAUUCCAUCUUGCUUGUAAAGCUGAACGUGAAGUGCAGUAUCGACAAGCAUUGGGGCGAACUAACUUUUCUGCAGGCCGACCUUCAUCAUGGACACCACGUGCAUCUUCUACUUCAACUGCACCAGCACCUCCAUCCGGUGCCACCUCCAGCCGUGAUACAAGAAAACAGGCACAACCACCAUUAUCUGCCAAGAGCGCACCUGCGGGGCCUGCACAGCGUUCUUCUUCUUCCAUGGCAUCAACAGGGCACACAAGUGAUAUUAUUUGUCGUCGUUGUAAGGGAGGAGGUCAUUAUGCGAGAGAAUGCAAAUCUCCGCGUGUGAUGAUUGCUACCACGGAUGGUGGAUAUGAGUCUGCUAGUGACUAUGAUGAGGAGACUUUGGCUCUUAUUACACGUGAAGAACAUGGUGGAGAUGAUUAUGAUCAUGAGACGCAAUACAUGGCUCCUGAAGACGCUGACAGGUAUGAAUGUUUAGUUGCUCAACGUGUUUUGAGUGUGCAGAUCACACAAGCUGAGCAAAAUCAGAGGCACAAUUUGUUCCAUACCAAGGGAGUUGUGAAGGAACGUUCUGUGCGCGUCAUCAUAGACGGAGGGAGCUGCAACAACUUGGCUAGCAUGGAGAUGGUGGAGAAGCUUUCUCUCACCACAAGACCACAUCCACAUCCUUACUACAUCCAAUGGUUCAACAACAGCGGCAAGGUUAAGGUAACAUGUACUGUUUGUGUGCAUUUUAGUAUAUCUACAUAUGCUGAUUAUGUUGAUUGUGAUGUGGUACCUAUGCAAGCAUGUUCCUUAUUACUUGGUAGACCAUGGCAAUUUGAUAAAAAUUCUGUACACCAUGGUAGAAACAAUCACUAUGCUCUUGUUCAUAAGGAUAAAAAUAUUACUUUGCUUCCUAUGACUCCUGAUUCUAUUUUGAAAGAUGAUAUUAAUAGAGCUAAUAAAGCAAAACAAGAGAAGAAUAAGAGUGAAAAUCAGAUUGUGGCAAAAGAAUUUGAGCAACAAAUCAAGCCUAAUAAUAAACCAUCUAGUGUUGCUCCUGAAAUUAAAUUGAAAAGUGCAUGUUUAUUUGCCACCAAAUCUGAUAUUGAUGAGCUAGAUUUCAGCAAAUCUGUUUGCUAUGCCUUUGUGUGCAAAGAGGCAUUAUUUUCAUUCGAGGACGUGCCUUCCUCUUUGCCUCCUGCUGUCACUAACAUUUUGCAGGAGUUCGCUGACGUCUUUCCACAAGACGUGCCACCGGGAUUACCGCCUAUUCGAGGGAUUGAGCAUCAGAUUGACUUAAUUCCCGGUGCUUCACUGCCAAACCGUGCACCAUACCGUACCAAUCCAGAGGAGACGAAGGAGAUUAUGCGUCAAGUACAAGAGCUUCUCGACAAAGGUUAUAUACGCGAAUCCCUUAGUCCUUGUGCUGUUCCUAUUAUUCUAGUGCCGAAAAAGGAUGGUACAUCACGUAUGUGUGUUGAUUGUAGAGGUAUUAAUAAUAUUACUAUUCGUUAUCGUCAUCCUAUUCCUAGGCUAGAUGAUAUGCUUGAUGAAUUGAGUGGCUCUACAAUAUUCUCCAAAGUUGAUUUGCGUAGUGGCUACCAUCAAAUUCGUAUGAAAUUGGGAGAUGAAUGGAAAACAGCAUUUAAAACUAAGUAUGGAUUAUAUGAGUGGUUAGUCAUGCCUUUUGGGUUAACUAAUGCACCUAGUACUUUCAUGAGAUUAAUGAACGAAGUUUUACGUGCUUUCAUUUGACGAUUUGUGGUAGUUUACUUUGAUGACAUAUUGAUUUAUAGCAGAUCUUUGGAAGAACAUGUGGAACAUUUACGUGUUGUUUUUAUUGCUCUACGUGAUGCACGUUUGUUUGGUAACCUUGGGAAGUGCACCUUUUGCACCGACCGAGUAUCUUUUCUUGGCUAUGUUGUUACUCCACAGGGAAUUGAAGUUGAUAAAGCCAAGAUUGAAGCUAUUGAGAGUUGGCCGCAACCCAAAACGGUCACACAAGUGAGGAGUUUUCUUGGCCUCGCUGGAUUCUAUAGGCGUUUUGUGAGAGAUUUCAGCACCAUUGCUGCACCUCUUAAUGAGCUUACAAAGAAAGAUGUGCCUUUUCUUUGGGGUACCGCACAGGAAGAAGCCUUCACGGUAUUGAAAGAUAAGUUGACACAUGCUCCUUUACUCCAACUUCCUGAUUUUAAUAAGACUUUUGAGCUUGAAUGUGAUGCUAGUGGAAUUGGAUUAGGAGGUGUGUUAUUACAAGAUGGCAAACCUGUUGCUUACUUUUCUGAAAAAUUGAGUGGGCCUAGUCUGAAUUAUUCUACUUAUGAUAAAGAAUUAUAUGCUCUUGUUCGGACUUUAGAAACAUGGCAACAUUAUUUAUGGCCCAAAGAAUUUGUUAUACAUUCUGAUCAUGAAUCUUUGAAACAUAUUAAAAGUCAAGCUAAACUGAAUCGUAGACAUGCUAAAUGGGUGGAAUUCAUUGAGACUUUCCCUUAUGUCAUUAAACACAAGAAGGGAAAAGAAAAUGUUAUUGCUGAUGCUUUGUCUCGUCGCUAUACUAUGCUUUCACAACUUGACUUCAAAAUAUUUGGUUUGGAGACCAUCAAAGAUCAAUAUGUGCAUGAUGCUGAUUUUAAAGAUGUAAUGCAUAAUUGUAAAGAAGGAAGAAUGUGGAACAAGUUUGUUGUUAACGAUGGAUUUGUGUUUCGUGCUAACAAGCUAUGCAUUCCAGCUAGCUCCGUUCGUCUUUUGUUGUUGCAGGAGGCGCAUGGAGGAGGAUUAAUGGGACACUUUGGCGUGAAGAAGACGGAGGACGUACUUGCUACACAUUUCUUUUGGCCAAAGAUGAGACGGGAUGUUGAGCGUUUUAUUGCUCGCUGCACUACAUGUCAAAAAGCUAAGUCACGCCUCAAUCCUCAUGGUUUAUGAUGAGGACAUGACUACCUUGGAUAUGACCAAAAAUAUUGCAUAUAUGCAUAUUUGUCAGGUGAUUUCUAGUGCAAACUAUUCAAUAAUCUAUUUAUGUUAUCCAGAACAAAAAUACUUCACACACUUUUGUGUUUUGUCUAAUUGCAGGUGUAUGGGACAUUUGUACAAUCCACAUAUGAAGAUAAGGAAGAAAGAGAUGUUUAUUUGCUGUCCAAAAAGUUCUCUCACGUCACUUUUGGCCCAAGAGAAGAUAGAGUCCAAGUCUCUCACGUUCUGGAUUCAGAUUCGGACUGCACAGACACACCUGACUCAAAACGCACACAAGUUUUUCAUACGGACUCCGAAUUGGGUGAUUCUUUUUUUGUUGGAAACUAGAUUUCGUGCACUUUCCAACCCAAUUGGAAUCACCUUCAAAUUCGUCCGGAGCGUUGAGUUGUGGACGAAAUAAUCUGAUGCUGCAGCAGAAUCCGAGUCAAACUACAAGUCCAAAGGUGUUACAUCACCUCCACUUGGGCCCAUUGGCCUUGUACGACCUAGAUUUAGUUUUAGGCUGCCUUGGGACGUCCUCCCACCUCCUUGGCCGCCACCCCUUGCUCCUAUAUAAGUAGAUCCAUCUAGUAGCUUUUCCUUGGGAUUUGUUUAGUUAAAAGUUAGCCAUUGCAACUUCGUGUACUUCGUUUGUGUCCAACGACCAGACCAAGACCGCUUACGGAUCCCCACCAUUAUCAAUACUUCAUAUAUAUUCGCAAUAUUCAGAUUGCUUUAUCAUAUUCUUGCUCGUUCUUCGAUUGCUUGCAGGAAUAGACCUUCGUGGUCAGGUUGAUCGUGCUCCAGCGUGGUCAAUAACCUCUCGGAGUUGGUUUAACGAUUGCUAAGGCGCAACGUCGUGCACGUUUGUAGUCGGAUCGUCAAAGUCGUCUCCACGAAAUCGAUAGUUAUCAUCUCAUCGAAAGAUCGGGACACCCCGCCUCUAUCACUUUGGCUCUUAUUACACGUGAAGAACAUGGUGGAGAUGAUUCUGAUCAUGAGACGCAAUACAUGGCUCCUGAAGACGCUGACAGGUAUGAAUGUUUAGUUGCUCAACGUGUUUUGAGUGUGCAGGUCACACAAGCUGAGCAAAAUCAGAGGCACAAUUUGUUCCAUACCAAGGGAGUUGUGAAGGAACGUUCUGUGCGCGUCAUCAUAGACGGAGGGAGCUGCAACAACUUGGCUAGCAUGGAGAUGGUGGAGAAGCUUUCUCUCACCACAAGACCACAUCCCCAUCCUUACUACAUCCAAUGGUUCAACAACAGCGGCAAGGUUAAGGUAACACGUACUGUUCGUGUGCAUUUUAGUAUCUCUACAUAUGCUGAUUAUGUUGAUUGUGAUGUGGUACCUAUGCAAGCAUGUUCCUUAUUACUUGGUAGACCAUGGCAAUUUGAUAAAAAUUCUGUACACCAUGGUAGAAACAAUCACUAUACUCUUGUUCAUAAGGAUAAAAAUAUUACUUUACUUCCUAUGACUCCUGAUUCCAUUUUGAAAGAUGAUAUUAAUAGAGCUAAUAAAGCACAACAGGAGAAGAAUAAGAGUGAAAAUCAGAUUGUGGCAAAAGAAUUUGAGCAACAAAUGAAGCCUAAUAAUAAACCAUCUAGUGUUGCUUCUGAAAUUAAAUUGAAAAGUGCAUGUUUAUUUGCCACCAAAUCUGAUAUUGAUGAGCUAGAUUUCAGCAAAUCUGUUUGCUAUGCUUUUGUGUGCAAAGAGGCAUUAUUUUCAUUCGAGGACGUGCCUUCCUCUUUGCCUCCUGCUGUCACUAACAUUUUGCAGGAGUUCGCUGACGUGUUUCCACAAGACGUGCCACCGGGAUUACCGCCUAUUCGAGGGAUUGAGCAUCAGAUUGACUUAAUUCCCGGUGCUUCACUGCCAAACCGUGCACCAUACCGUACCAAUCCAGAGGAGACGAAGGAGAUUAUGCGUCAAGUCCAAGAGCUUCUCGACAAAGGUUAUAUACGCGAAUCCCUUAGUCCUUGUGCUGUUCCUAUUAUUCUAGUGCCGAAAAAGGAUGGUACAUCACGUAUGUGUGUUGAUUGUAGAGGCAUUAAUAAUAUUACUAUUCGUUAUCGUCAUCCUAUUCCUAGGCUAGAUGAUAUGCUUGAUGAAUUGAGUGGCUCUACAAUAUUCUCCAAAGUUGAUUUGCGUAGUGGCUACCAUCAAAUUCGUAUGAAAUUGGGAGAUGAAUGGAAAACAGCAUUUAAAACUAAGUUUGGAUUAUAUGAGUGGUUAGUCAUGCCUUUUGGGUUAACUAAUGCACCUAGUACUUUCAUGAGAUUAAUGAACGAAGUUUUACGUGCUUUCAUUGGACGAUUUGUGGUAGUUUACUUUGAUGACAUACUGAUUUAUAGCAGAUCUUUGGAAGAACAUUUGGAACAUUUACGUGCUGUUUUUAUUGCUCUACGUGAUGCACGUUUGUUUGGUAACCUUGGGAAGUGCAUCUUUUGCACCGACCGAGUAUCUUUUCUUGGCUAUGUUGUUACUCCACAGGGAAUUGAAGUUGACAAAGCCAAGAUUGAAGCUAUUGAGAGUUGGCCGCAGCCCAAAACGGUCACACAAGUGAGGAGUUUUCUUGGCCUCGCUGGAUUCUAUAGGCGUUUUGUGAGAGAUUUCAGCACCAUUGCUGCACCUCUCAACGAGCUUACAAAGAAGGAUGUGCCUUUUGUUUGGGGUACCGCACAGGAAGAAGCCUUCACGGUAUUGAAAGAUAAGUUGACACAUGCUCCUUUACUCCAACUUCCUGAUUUUAAUAAGACUUUUGAGCUUGAAUGUGAUGCUAGUGGAAUUGGAUUAGGAGGUGUGUUAUUACAAGAUGGCAAACCUGUUGCAUACUUUUCUGAAAAAUUGAGUGGGCCUAGUCUGAAUUACUCUACUUAUGAUAAAGAAUUAUAUGCUCUUGUUCGGACUUUAGAAACAUGGCAACAUUAUUUAUGGCCCAAAGAAUUUGUUAUACAUUCUGAUCAUGAAUCUUUGAAACAUAUUAAAAGUCAAGCUAAACUGAAUCGUAGACAUGCUAAAUGGGUUGAAUUCAUUGAGACUUUCCCUUAUGUCAUUAAACACAAGAAGGGAAAAGAAAAUGUUAUUGCUGAUGCAUUGUCUCGUUGCUAUACUAUGCUUUCACAACUUGACUUCAAAAUAUUUGGUUUGGAGACCAUCAAAGAUCAAUAUGUGCAUGAUGCUGAUUUUAAAGAUGUAAUGCAGAAUUGUAAAGAAGGAAGAAUGUGGAACAAGUUCGUCAUUAACGAUGGAUUUGUGUUUCGUGCUAACAAGCUAUGCAUUCCAGCUAGCUCCGUUCGUCUUUUGUUGUUGCAGGAGGCGCAUGGAGGAGGAUUAAUGGGACACUUUGGCGUGAAUAAGACGGAGGACGUACUUGCUACACAUUUCUUUUGGCCAAAGAUGAGACGGGAUGUUGAGCGUUUUAUUGCUCGCUGCACUACAUGUCAAAAAGCUAAGUCACGACUCAAUCCUCAUGGUUUAUAUAUGCCUUUGCCUGUACCUAGUGUUCCUUGGGAGGAUAUAUCUAUGGACUUUGUUUUAGGUUUACCUCGAACAAAGAAGGGGAGGGAUAGCAUAUUUGUUGUCGUGGAUAGAUUCUCGAAAAUGGCAUACUUUAUACCAUGUCAUAAAAGCGAUGAUGCUGUUAAUGUUGCUGAUUUGUUCUUUCGUGAAAUUAUUCGCUUGCAUGGUGUGCCAAAUACUAUUUUUUCAGAUCGUGAUACUAAAUUUCUUAGCCACUUUUGGAGAUGUUUAUGGGCUAAGUUGGGGACUAAACUGCUUUUUAGUACUACUUGUCACCCCCAAACUGAUGGACAAACUGAAGUAGUCAAUAGAACGUUGUCUACUUGAUGAGGACAUCAAUACAAUUGUUACACCCACAGCCCCUGCUGCUAUACAUACUGGACCAAUUACUAGAGCUCGUGCACGCCAACUAAAUUACUAGGUACUUUCGUUUCUUGGUAAUGAUUCUAAUGUUCAUGAGAAUAUGAUGUUGCCUAAAUUGGAUACAUUUGUUUUGCUUACAAAUGAAGGGCCUAGCUUGGAGAAGGAUGAACAUUGGAGCAAGAACAAGCAUGGAGAUGAUGGCAUGCGCAAGGGGAACAAGAACGGAGUUACAAGUGAUGAUUUCAGGACUUUGAAGCCACCAUAAUGGGUGCAUGAAGCCUUGGACGAAAUAUACAAGAUGCCACUUCAUAAAUUUCGUCCCGAGGCUAUUUUAGGUGCUGCGUCACCUUAUUAUUGGGCCAGGCCCAUGUAAUUUCGAAAUACAUAAGUAUAGGCUAUUUUUAGAGUCCGUAUGUGUGGGGAAACAAGAGAUAGGGUUGAUUUCGGACCCCUCCACCAAGGGCCACGAAAUUCCCCCCUCUUCCUCCAUAUAUACAGCCCUUAGGGCAUCGUUUAGACUUUGGGUUUUGUUUAGAUUAAAAGUUCGCCAUAGCUGCAACUUCGCAUACUUCGUUUGUGUUCAACGACCACACAAAGGCGUCACAGAACUCCACCUUGAUCAAUAAAGCUUUCAUCUUAUAUUUGCAAUAUCCAGAUUGCAAUCUUAGUUUCUUGCUUGUUCUUCGUUUGCUCGCAGGAAACAGACCCUCGUGGUCAGGUUGAUCAUGCUCCGGCGUGGUCAAUAACCUCUCGGAGUUGGUUUAGCGAUUGCUAAGGCGCGACGUCCUCGCACGUUCGUAGUCGGAUCGUCAAAGUCGACUUCCACCAAAGCGAUAUCCAUCAUCUCAUCGAAAGACGGGACACCUUUGCCUCUAUCAAGUGGUAUCAGAUUUCCAGGUUGCUCGGUGAGAUUUUACAGUUUUUCGUAGUUUAGAUCGAGUCUGUUCUUCAUACCUACAGUCCACGAAAAAGCCACAAAAAAAAAUUUAGGGUUAGUUCAUCAUAUCCGAACCAAUCUGAGCCUUUGCAUAAUCUUUUUAGGGUUUUGCUUUGUUGAAUUUGCGGUUGCAUCAUCGGUCUAGUUGCUGGUCUUAGAGUCUAGUCUUUUAGAGUUUCGAGUUCUGGUCAUAAGUUGUCACGCCGCCGCCGCACCAUCAUCAUCGCCCCUGCCAUCUCCUAUGCUCUUGUUCAUAAGGAUAAAAAUAUUACUUUGCUUCCUAUGACUCCUGAUUCCAUUUUGAAAGAUGAUAUUAAUAGAGCUAAUAAAGCACAACAGGAGAAGAAUAAGAGUGAAAAUCAGAUUGUGGCAAAAGAAUUUGAGCAACAAAUGAAGUCUAAUAAUAAACCAUCUAGUGUUGCUUCUGAAAUUAAAUUGAAAAGUGCAUGUUUAUUUGCCACCAAAUCUGAUAUUGAUGAGCUAGAUUUCAGCAAAUCUGUUUGCUAUGCUUUUGUGUGCAAAGAGGCAUUAUUUUCAUUCGAGAUGCUUAGGGCUGUUUUGAAGAAUAAUAAGAAAAUGUGGGAGGAAUGCUUGCCUCAUAUUGAAUUUGCUUAUAAUCGUUCAUUGCAUUCUACUACUAAGAUGUGCCCUUUUGAAGUUGUGUAUGGUUUCCUACCUCGUGCACCUAUUGUUUUGUUGCCUCUUCCAUCUUUGGAGAAGGUUAAUUUUGAUGCUAAACAACGUGCUGAAUUGAUUUUAAAAAUGCAUGAGUUAACUAAGGAAAACAUUGAGCGUAUGAAUGCUAAAUAUAAACUUGCUGGAGAUAAGGGUAGAAAACAUGUUGUGUUUGCACCUGGAGAUCUUGUUUGGUUACAUUUGCGUAAGGAUAGAUUUCCUGAUUUGCGCAAAUCAAAGUUAAUGCUACGUGCUGAUGGUCCCUUUAAGGUGUUAGAGAAAAUAAAUGAUAAUGCAUAUAAACUUGAGCUGCCUGUAGAUUUUGGGGUUAGUCCCACUUUUAACAUUGCAGAUUGAAGCCUUAUUUGGGUGAGGAAGAUGAACUUCCGUCGAGGACGACUUCAUUUCAAGAAGGGGAGGAUGAUGAGGACAUCAAUACAAUUGUUACACCCACAGCCCCUGCUGCUAUACAUACUCGACCAAUUACUAGAGCUCGUGCACGCCAACUAAAUUACCAGGUACUUUCGUUUCUUGGUAAUGAUUCUAAUGUUCAUGAGAAUAUGAUGCUGCCUAAAUUGGAUACAUUUGUUUUGCUUACAAAUGAAGGGCCUAGCUUGGAGAAGGAUGAACAUUGGAGCAAGAACAAGAACGGAGUUAUAAGUGAUGAUUUCAGGACUUUGAAGCCACCAUAAUGGGUGCAUGAAGCCUUGGACGAAAUAUACAAGAUGCCACUUCAUAAAUUUCGUCCCGAGGCUAUUUUAGGUGCUGCGUCACCUUAUUAUUGGGCCAGGCCCAUGUAAUUUCGAAAUACAUAAGUAUAGGCUAUUUUUAGAGUCCGUAUGUGUGGGGAAACAAGAGAUAGGGUUGAUUUCGGACCCCUCCACCAAGGGCCACGAAAUUCCCCCCUCUUCCUCCAUAUAUACAGCCCUUAGGGCAUCGUUUAGACUUUGGGGAUUUGUUUAGUUAAAAGUUAGCCAGUGCAACUUCGUGUACUUCUUUUGUGUCCAACGACCAGACCAAGACCGGUUACGGAUCCCCACCACUAUCAAUACUUCAUAUAUAUUCGCAAUAUUCAGAUUGCUUUAUCAUAUUCUUGCUCGUUCUUCGAUUGCUUGCAGGAAUAGAACUUCGUGGUCAGGUUGAUCGUGCUCCAGCGUGGUCAAUAACCUCUCGGAGUUGGUUUAGCGAUUGCUAAGGCGCAAUGUCGUGCACGUUUGUAGUCGGAUCGUCAAAGUCGUCUCCACCAAACCGAUAGUUAUCAUCUCAUCGAAAGAUCGGGACACCCUCGCCUCUAUCACAGGUUUACCAUCUUGUAAUUACACACCUCCUAAUCCAAUUCCCCUAGCAUCACAUUCAAGCUUAAAAGUCUUAUUAAAAUCAGGAAGUUAGAGUAAAGGAGCAUGCGUCAACUUAUCUUUCAAUACUGUGAAGGCUUCUUUCUGUGAGGUACCCCAAACAAAAGGCACAUCCUUCUUUGUAAGCUCGGUGAGAGGUGCAGCAAUGGUGCUGAAAUCUCUCACAAAACGCCUAUAGAAACCAGCGAGGCCAAGGAAACUCCUCACUUGUGUGGCCGUUUUGGGCUGCGGCCAACUCUUAAUAGCUUCAAUCUUGGCUUUAUCAACUUCAAUUCCCUGUGGAGUAACAACAUAGCCAAGAAAAGAUACUCGGUCGGUGCAAAAGGUGCACUUUCCAAGGUUACCAAACAAACGUGCAACACGUAGAGCAAUAAAAACAGCAAGUAAAUGUUCCAAAUGUUCCUCCAAAGAUUUACUAUAAAUCAGUAUAUCAUCAAAAUAGACUACCACAAAUCGUCCAAUGAAAGCACGUAAAACUUCGUUCAUUAACCUCACGAAAGUACUAGGCGCAUUAGUUAACCCAAAAGGCAUGACUAACCACUCAUAUAAUCCAAACUUAGUUUUAAAUGCUGUUUUCCAUUCAUCUCCCAAUUUCAUACGAAUUUGACGGUAUCCACUACGCAAAUCAACUUUGGAGAAUAUUGUAGAGCCACUCAAUUCAUCAAGCAUGUCGUCUAGCCUAGGAAUAGGAUCACGAUAACGAAUAGUAAUAUUAUUAAUGCCUCUACAAUCAACACACAUACGCGACGUACCAUCCUUUUUCGGCACUAAAAUGAUAGGAACAACACAAGGACUAAGGGAUUCACGUAUAUAACCUUUGUCGAGCAGCUCCUGUACUUGACGCAUAAUCUCCUUCGUCUCCUUUGGAUUGGUAUGGUAUGGCGCAUGGUUGGGUAAUGAUGCACCGGGAAUUAAGUCAAUUUGAUGCUCAAUCCCUCGAAUAGGUGGUUAUCCCGGUGGCACGUCUUGUGGAAAGACGUCAGCGAACUCCUGCAAAAUGUUAGUGACAGCAGGAGGCAAAGAGGAAGGCACAUCCUCGAAUGAAAAAUCAUGCCUCUUUGCACACAAAAGCAUAGCAAACAGAUUUGCUAAAAUCUAGAUCAUCAAUAUCAGAUUUGGUGGCAAGUAAACAUGCACUUUUCAAUUUAAUUUCAGAAGCAACACUAGAUGGUUUAUUAUUAUGCUUCAUUUGUUGCUCAGAUUCUUUUGCCAAAAUCUGAUUUUCACUCUUAUGUUUCUCCUGUUUUGCUUUAUUAGCUCUAUUAAUAUCAUCUUUCAAAAUGGAAUCAGGAGUCAUAGGAAUCAAAGUAAUAUUUUUAUCCUUAUGAACAAGAGUAUACUGAUUGUUUCUACCAUGGUGUAUAGAUUUUUUAUCAAAUUUCCAUGGUCUACCAAGUAAUAAGGAACAUGCUUGCAUAGGUACCACAUCACAAUCAACAUAAUCAGCAUAUGUAGAGAUACUAAAAUGCACACGAACAGUACGUGUUACCUUAACCUUGUCGCUGUUGUUGAACCAUUGGAUGUAGUAAGGAUGUGGAUGUGGUCUUGUGGUGAGAUAUAGCUUCUGCACCAUCUCCAUGCUAGCCAAGUUGUUGCAGCUCCCUCCAGCAAUGAUGACGCGAACAGAACGUUCCUUCACAACUCCCUUUGUAUGGAACAAAUUGUGCCUCUGAUUUUUCUCAGCUUAUGUAACCUGCACACUCAAAACACGUUGAGCAACUAAAUAUUCAUACCGGUCAGCAUCUUCAGCAGCCAUGUAUUGCGUCUCAUGAUCAGAAUCAUCUCCACCGUGUUCUUCAUGUGUAAUAAGAGCCAAAGUCUCCUCAUCAUAGUCACUAGCGGACUCAUACCCACCAUCCUCAGUAGCAAUCAUCACACGCUGAGAUUUGCAUUCUCUCGCAAAAUGCCCUCUUCCCUUACAACGACGACAAAUAAUAUCACUUGUGUGCCCUGUUGAUGCCAUGGAAGAAGAAGAGCUCUGCGCAGGCCCGGCAGGUGUGCUCUUGGCAGAUAGUGGUGGUUGUGCCUGCUUUCUUGUAUCACGGCUAGAGGUGGCACCUGAUGGAGGUGCUGGUGUAGUGGAAGUAGAGGAUGCACGUGGUGUCCAUGAUGAAGAUCGACCUGCGGAAAAGUUAGUUCGCGCCAAUGCAUGUCGAUCCUGCACUUCACGUUCAGCUUUACAAGCAAGAUGGAAUAAACGAGUGAUAUUAGUAUACUCCUUAUACUCUAGAAUGGUCUGAAUCUCUCUAUUUAAUCCACCCAUAAAACGUGCAAGCAUAGCUUCAUUCUCCUCAACAAUACCACAUCUAAUCAUGCCAGUUUGUAAUUCCUGAUAAUAUUCUUCUACAGAAUUUUUUCCUUGUCUUAAACGCUAUAAUUUUUGAAGUAAUUCACGUUGAUAAUAUGGUGGAAACCAACGAGUACGCAUAGCAGUUUUCAAAGCAUCCGAAGUAGCUGGAAUAGGAUAUAAUCUACAAUGUUCAGACCACCAAACACAUGCAAAGCUAGUGAAAGCACAAACAGCAGCAGGAACACGUCUCUCCUCGGGAUAUUGUAAACAUGUAAAUCGUUGUUCAGUUUCUAACUCCCAAGUAAGAUAUAUAUCAGGAACAUAUCUACCCUUAAAUGGUGGAAUGUUCAAUUUCAGUUUAGGGAGAUGGUCAUGAUCACGUUCCUGAGGUGGUCGUGCAGCCCUACCAUUGCGAUGAUAUGCAUGAGGACGACCUGGUGGCGGUGGUGCUGGUGGUUGCACAUAGUUCUGAUUUUGGUCAACCUCAUCCUCGUAAUGGUCCUCCAUCUCUGCAGUAGCAGCAGGAACUACAGAAGCAUCAACAGCGGCACCAGAAUUUUGACCAGGCUCAAGGGGAAUGCGCAGUGCCCGUCUGAUAGAGGCGGGGGUGUCCCGAUCUUUCGAUGAGAUGGUAACUAUCGAUUUGGUGGAGACGACUUUAACGAUCCGACUACAAACGUGCAUGACGUUGCGCCUUAGCAAUCACUAAACCAAUCUCCAGAGGUUAUUGACCACGCCGGUGCACGAUCAACCUGACCACGAAGGUCUAUUCCUGCAAGCAAUCGAAGAACGAGCAAGAAUAUGAUAAAAGCAAUCUGAAUAUUGCAAAUAUGUAUGAAGUAUUGAUAAAGGUGGGGAUCGAAAGCGGUCUUGGUCUAGUCGUUGGACACAAACGAAGUACACGAAGUUGCGUUGGCUAACUUUUAACUAAACAAAUCCCCACGAAAAAGCUACUAGAUGGAUCUACUUAUAUAGGAGCAAGGGGUGGCAGCCAAGGAGGUGGGAGGACGUCCCAAGGCAGCCUAAAACUAACCCUAGGUCGUACAAGGCUCAUGGGCCCAAGUGGAGGUGAUGCAACACCUUUGGGCUUGUAGUUUGACUCGGAUUCUGCUGCAACGUCAGAUUGUUUUGUCCGUAACUCAACGCUCCGGACGAAUUUGAAGGUGAAUCCAAUUGGGUUGGAAAGAGCACGAAAUCUAGUUUCCAACAAAAAAAGAAUCACCCAAUUCGGAGUCCGUAUGAAAAAGUUGUUGGCGUUUUGAGUCAGGUAUGUCUGUGCAGUCCGAAUCUGAAUCCAGAACGUGAGAGACUUGGACUCUAUCUUCUCUUGGCCCAAAAGUGACGUGAGAGGACUUUUUAAACACAACCUAAACUUCUCCUUUUCCCUUAUCUUCAUAUGUGGAUUGUACAAAUGUCCCAUACACUUGCAAUUAGACAAAACACAAAAGUGUGUGAAGUAUUUUUGUUCUGGAUAACAUAAAUAGAUUAUUGAAUAGUUUGCAUUAGAAAUCACCUGACAAAUAUGCAUGUAUGCAAUAUUUUUGGUCGUAUCCAAGGUAUUCAUGUCCUCAUCAACCUCCCCUUUUUGAAAACAAAGCCGUCCUCGGCGUUGCUUAAUCUGAAAUGUGGCGAACAAAAGAGACAAGGUGUACAUGUUGUAUAUGUAUAUGUCAUCCAGUUUAACUUCCCUUGAUUUUUGCACGUAUGACACAUGUAUACAUGAGUAACUUUCAUAGUUCAUAAAAACUAAACCCAAAAAAUUAUCACAAGAAGUAGAAGGCAUGAAAAUAUUAGAACUCAGUUUGCACAUAUAAGUGAAGCUCUUAUUCAUUUCAAAAGAUUCGCAAUGUUCAUCCUUAAACCAUCCCAACUUUGGUGAAUAAACCUUAUUUGCAUCAAAUUUACAUGCUACAACAUGCUUAAAUAAGCAAACAUGUAAUAAGUCAUUGGACACAGAAUCAUCACCAAGAUUGGAGGCCAUAUCAAAAUGAUUAAACAUUAGUUCUUUUGCAUCAACAGUUAAUUCAAUGGGUGCACUCAAAAUUGUUGAUAUUUCAGUUGUUUGAUCACUCUCUAAAAUAGGUGGUGUGCUCAAAUCAACAGGUAACUCAAUACAUGACGCAUUCAAGUUAACUAGGCAUGCAUCUUUCUCAUGUGAAGUUAUAUCAUCAAUAUCUUUACUGUUACCUUGUGGCAAAGAUGUAGCUGAUGUAGGUACGGACGUUGACAAUGUACCAUACCCUUGAGAUGAUGCCGCGCUCAUAAUCCGAGGUGCAAUGAUGGAGGAACCCACCGGCGGUGGUGAGCAUAAACUGGAAUAGUAGUUGUUGUAGUCACCUAAUGCAUCCUCCUGUAUCUGUCUCUCAAAGGUACAAGCACGGACAUACAUACCAGUAAUGCAACGAGGAAUAUACUGAAAUCUUGCCUGAAUAUCAUGGUUCAAACCACCAAAAAAUCUAUUCAUUGUAUCAUUCUCAGAUUCUUCUAUGUCACAAUGAUGCAUAUAAGAUUUGAACUCUUGGUAGUAAGCAUGAAUAGUGUUGUUGCCUUGUUUAAAUUGUUCAAAUUUGCGAAGCAAUUCACGACGAUAAUAAGGAGGGAAAAAUUGUUGUCUCAUUACAGCUUUCAAAACUUUCCAAGUUGUGGGUUGGUUAUCAAUGUUUUUCUUACAAUGUACACUCCACCAAACAGAAGCAAAAUCAGUAAAUGCUCUAGUGGCUGCUCGCACUCGCUCAAGUUCAGAAAAGUCAUGGUGACUAAAAACUUGUUCUACUUCAAGCUCCCAAGCUAGAUAAGUAGUAGGAUUAAAUCUACCCUCAAAUGACGGUAAAAAGAUAACCUGACCAUGUGCUUGUGUGUGUUGUCCCAACUCUCGUGAUGGUGAAGAUGUGUCCGUCGUCCAAGAACUUCUAUCUUCGGAACCUGUCAUGAUUAGUAGAAACAAGAAACAAAAUUCAAGAAUAAUGUUCCUAUGAACUACUAGGGUGUGGUGGUAAAGCACUCACAGUAAAGCAAAUAUCAAUAUCUUACAAGUUCUUACCAAGCAGCAGGUGGUGACAGGCAACCAGCGGUGUCAAAUAACUCUGAAGAUUGUGUAAAGCGAUUGCCAGGGGAACGUACGUAUACACGGUGUAGAAAUAUGUGGAGCUGGGUUGGCUAUAUAUGGUAGCAAAAGAUUAGCAAUAAUCAAUUCAGAGAUGUGAUGUUGAAUAAACGCUCAACGACGGUACUGUGCUGGUCCUAGGCUAGACCGAACUAGAGACGCGAGCCUAGAACACUAAUGAGGUCACGUCGUAGCACAACUAGCAUCAAUGAAGGACACUAAGUAGCUCUGGACAGCAAGAUAUAAGUGAAGAUCACAACGGCAGUAAAGAUAAUGAGGUGAAACAACAGCCAAGCAGGAUAUAUCAACAACUUUGUCUCCAACUUUCCUCUGAAAAAGUUUGUGCCGAUUUUUUUGUUUUUUUUUCUUCUCUCUUUUUUUCCUCGCACUUUUUUUUCUUUCUCUCCUUUUUUUUCUCUGACUUUUUUUUCCUCCUUUUUUUUCUCUCGUUUUUUUUCUCUCUUUUUUUCUCCCUCUUUCCAAAACAAACUAGAUAAGAUGCAGAUUGGAUCAAGUGAAGAUGUGAACGAUCUCAACUAUUAUUAUGACAAUGAAUGAUGGGUAGCACGUGGUGGAAAUUGAUGGAUGGGUGGUGGACAGCGAAAGAGAUAAUGAUGCAGCGGUGGCGUGACUAAUGUGAACAGAACUCGAAACUCUAAACGAACUAGACACUAUGAUGAGGACAUGACUACCUUGGAUAUGACCAAAAAUAUUGCAUAUAUGCAUAUUUGUCAGGUGAUUUCUAGUGCAAACUAUUCAAUAAUCUAUUUAUGUUAUCCAGAACAAAAAUACUUCACACACUUUUGUGUUUUGUCUAAUUGCAGGUGUAUGGGAUAUUUGUACAAUCCACAUAUAAAGAUAAGGAAGAAAGAGAUGUUUAUUUGCUGUCCAAAAAGUUCUCUCACGUCACUUUUGGCCCAAGAGAAGAUAGAGUCCAGGUCUCUCACGUUCUGGAUUCAGAUUCGGACUGCACAGACACACCUGACUCAAAACGCACACAAGUUUUUAAUACGGACUCCGAAUUGGGUGAUUCUUUUUUUGUUGGAAACUAGAUUUCGUGCACUUUCCAACCCAAUUGGAAUCACCUUCAAAUUCGUCCGGAGCAUUGAGUUGUGGACGAAACAAUCUGAUGCUGCAGCAGAAUCCGAGUCAAACUACAAGUCCAAAGGUGUUACAUCACCUCCACUUGGGCUCAUUGGCCUUGUACGACCUAGAUUUAGUUUUAGGCUGCCUUGGGACAUCCUCCCACCUCCUUGGCCGCCACCCCUUGCUCCUAUAUAAGUAGAUCCAUCUAGUAGCUUUUUCCUGGGGAUUUGUUUAGUUAAAAGUUAGCCAUUGCAACUUCGUGUACUUCGUUUGUGUCCAACGACCAGACCAAGACCGCUUCCGGAUCCCCACCUUUAUCAAUACUUCAUCUAUAUUCGCAAUAUUCAGAUUUCUUUAUCAUAUUCUUGCUUGUUCUUCGAUUGCUUGCAGGAAUAGACCUUCGUGGUCAGGUUGAUUGUGCUCUGGCGUGGUCAAUAACCUCUCGGAGUUGGUUUAGCGAUUGCUAAGGCGCAACGUCGUGCACGUUUGUAGUCGAAUCGUCAAAGUCGUCUCCACCAAAUCGAUAGUUAUCAUCUCAUCGAAAGAUUGGGACACCCCCGCCUCUAUCAAGUGGUAUCAGUUUUCAGGUUGCUCGGUGAGAAUUUCCAGUUUUUCCUAGAUUAGAUUUAUUUUGUUACCUAUUGUCCAAGAAAAAGCCACAAAACAAAAGUUAGAUCUAUUCAUCCUUUGUCCUAGCCAGACUGAGCCUUUGCAAUUUUCUUUUCAUUGUUUGCAUUAUUGAAUUAUCGGUUGCAUCGCCGUGUCGAGUUGCUGGUCUUAGUGUCUAGUUCCUUUAGAGUUUCGAGUUCUGUUCACAUUAGUCACGCAGCCGCUGCAUCAUUAUCCCAUCCGCUGUCCACCAUCCCAUCCACCAAUUUCCACCAUGUGCUACGCACUGUUUACUGUCAUAAUCAUAGUUGAGGUCACUCACAUCUUCGCCUGAUCGAAUCUGCAUCUUAUCUAGUUUGUCAUGGAAAGAGGGAGAAAAAGAAUAUAAAGAAAAAAAAAGAGAGAAAAAAAGGAAAGAAAAAAAAAUAAAAAGAGGGAGAAGAAAAAGAAAAAAAAAGCGUGAGAAAAAAAAGAGAGAAGAAAAAAAAUUGGAUCUAUCUAGAAUCAAUCUCGUACCUGAAUUCGGAUUGGAAUCUGUUUUGCGCACUGUUCAGUAAAACAGGUGUAUCUUCCUCAUACGAAGUCCGUUUUGGCUCCGUGAGUACUCAAAUUGAAGAUAGCGACGAGCCGCAUCUAAAUAGUUGCAGAAGCUAGUUCAAUAUUUGACACCUCAAAAUCGGCUCCUAAAUAGGUCUUUUUGCCCUCCGAAGUUCGUGAACACAUGAUGAGGACAUCAAUACAAUUGUUACACCCACAACCCCUGCUGCUAUACAUACUGGACCAAUUACUAGAGCUCGUGCACGCCAACUAAAUUACCAGGUACUUUCGUUUCUUGGUAAUGAUUCUAAUGUUCAUGAGAAUAUGAUGCUUCCUAAAUUGGAUACAUUUGUUUUGCUUACAAAUGAAGGGCCUAGCUUGGAGAAGGAUGAACAUUGGAGCAAGAACAAGCAUGGAGAUGAUGGCGUGCGCAAGGGGAGCAAGAACGGAGUUACAAGUGAUGAUUUCAGGACUUUGAAGCCACCAUAAUGGGUGCAUGAAGCCUUGGACGAAAUAUACAAGAUGCCACUUCCUAAAUUUCGUCCCGAGGCUAUUUUAGGUGCUGCGUCACCUUAUUAUUGGGCCAGGCCCAUGUAAUUUCGAAAUACAUAAGUAUAGGCUAUUUUUAGAGUCCGUAUGUGUGGGGAAACAAGAGAUAGGGUUGAUUUCGGACCCCUCCACCAAGGGCCACGAAAUUCCCCCCUCUUCCUCCAUAUAUACAGCCCUUAGGGCAUCGUUUAGACUUUGGGUUUUGUUUAGAUUAAAAGUUCGCCAUAGCUGCAACUUCGCGUACUUUGUUUGUGUUCAACGACCAGACAAAGGCGUCACAGAACCCCAUCUUGAUCAAUAAAGCUUUCAUCUUAUAUUCGCAAUAUCCAGAUUGCAAUCUUAGUUUCUUGCUUGUUCUUCGUUUGCUCGCAGGAAACAGACCCUCAUGGUCAGGUUGAUCGUGCUCCGGCGUGGUCAAUAACCUCUCGGAGUUGGUUUAGCGAUUGCUAAGGCGCGACGUCCUCGCACGUUCGUAGUCGGAUCGUCAAAGUCGACUUCCACCAAAGCGAAAUCCACCAUCUCAUCGAAAGACGGGACACCUUUGCCUCUAUCAAGUGGUAUCAGAUUUCCAGGUUGCUCGGUGAGAUUUUACAGUUUUUCGUAGUUUAGAUCGAGUCUGUUCUUCAUACCUAUAGUCCACGAAAAAGCCAAAAAAAAUUAGGGUUAGUUCAUCCCAUCCGAACCAAUCUGAGCCUUGCAUAAUCUUUUCUGUAUUUGCUUUGUUGAAUUUGCGGUUGCAUCGUCGUGUUCAGUUGCUGGUCUUAGCGUCUAGUCUUUUAGAGUUUCGAGUUCUGUUCACAAGUUGUCACGCCGUCGCCGCACCAUCAUCAUCGCCCCUGCCAUCUACCACCACCGCUCCGAAUCCGUAUCCAUAUACCACCACCAAUCCGUGCCCAUAUACCACCACCGAUCCAUAUCCAUAUACUACCACCGCUGCCAUAUACCACCACCAUAUAUCCACCACCAAUCCGAGUUCCUUGCUUAUUAGGUUUGUUUUCGGGAUCAAUCUAGAUUCCGAUUCGUGUUUCCUUGCCGGAGUAGGUUUCGGAAAAAAAAACGCAUUUAGGCCCAAAAUUUUUCGAAAACGCAUUUUUCGAAAAAAAUUCUGGCUAUCCUAUUUUUAGGUGUUUCUGAGUGUUUUGAGACAGGUGCCAUUAUAGGAAGUUUUUUUUGACCCGUUUCCAGUUUUUGGGUCCGGGCAGUCGAAAAAAAAAAAUUUGGUCGAAAAAUUUCGUGCCCAUCCUGUCAGUUUGAGCUAGGAAGAGUUUUGAGACACUCGCCAUUAUAGUGAUUUUUCGCAAAAAAAAAGCAGCGCAAAAAAAAGAGAGCGCAAAAAAAAAAGAGCGAAAAAAAAAUUCAGAGUGUGCUUUUCCCUUGUUUACGUGCCGCGCCGUGAUUUUGUUGGUGUUCUAGGCUCGCGUCUCUAGCACAGUCUAGCCUAGGACCAGCACAGUACCGUCGUUGAGCGGUUAUUCAACUUUGCAUCUCUGAAUUGAUUAUUGCUGACCCUUUUUGCUACCAUACUAUAAGCCUUCCCAGCUCCACAUACAUCUACGUCGUGUGUUCGACUCUCCCUGGUAAUCGCUCUAUCCAAGCUUUGAGAGUUUUUGACUACAACGGUUGCCGAUCACCGCCUGCUGCUGGGUAAGAACUGGUAAGAAUUUGAGAUUUGCUUGACGGAUUUGUGAUACACCACCACCACUUCUUAGUAGUCUGUAGGAUCAUAUUCUUGUGUGUUUCUAUUGCUGCUAACCAUGCCAGGAUCACAAGCCGACGAGAUUGACUGGGAGAAUUUAUCGAACAAGGAGCUUCAUGAUAAGUUUCAGCAAAUGAUGACUGAACAGGUGCAAGAUGUGCUGAACAAUUUUGAAGAGGCCAUGGAGAAGAUCACUGGCUUUGAGAAGACGUUCGAAACAAAGCUCGAUAACAAGUUUAAUGAAUUGCUCGCGCGUCUUCCACCAUCACCACCCGCUGCACCUAACGCACCUCUCCAACAACAACAACAACGACUACCUCCACGUCGCGAAGCAGACCUCCGCCGAGCAAGCCGUGUUCCUCUUGCGUUUGGCCAAACUGUUGGUGCUGCUGUUGAUACUUCUGUGGCUCCUGCUGCUGAUGCGGAGGAGGAUGAUUAUGUGGGAGAUUAUGAGGAUGAGGUUGAUCAAAAUCAACACUACAUGCAGCCACCUGUACCACCACCAGCAGGUCGACCUCAGGUAUAUAUUCGUAAUGGUAGGCCUGCACCACCACCUCAGGUACGAGAUGAUGUCCAUAUUCCUAAACUGAAAUUGAAUAUUCCACCAUUUGAGGGUAGAUAUGUUCCUGAUAUAUAUCUUACUUGGGAGUUAGAAACUGAACAACGAUUUACAUGUUUACAAUAUCCUGAGGAGAGACGAGUUGCUGCUGUCGUUUGUGCUUUCACUAGUUUUGCAUGUGUAUGGUGGUCUGAACAUUGUAGAUUAUAUCCUAUUCCAACUACUUGGGCUGCUUUGAAAACUGCUAUGCGUACGCGUUGGGUUCCACCAUAUUAUCAACGUGAAUUGCUUCAAAAAUUGCAGCGUUUAAGACAAGGGAAAAAUUUUGUAGAAGAAUAUUAUCGGGAAUUACAAACUGGCAUGAUUAGAUGUGGUAUUGUUGAGGAGAAUGAAGCUAUGCUUGCACGUUUUCUGGGUGGAUUAAAUAGAGAGAUUCAGACCAUUCUAGACUCUAAGGAGUAUACUAAUAUCACUCGUUUAUUCCAUCUUGCUUGUAAAGCUGAACGUGAAGUGCAGGAUCGACAAGCAUUGGGGCAAACUAACUUUUCUGCAGGCCGACCUUCAUCAUGGACACCACGUGCAUCUUCUACUUCAACUGCACCAGCACCUCCAUCCGGUGCCACCUCCAGCCGUGAUAUAAGAAAACAGGCACAACCACCAUUAUCUGCCAAGAGCGCACCUGCGGGGCCUGCACAGCGUUCUUCUUCUUCCAUGGCAUCAACAGGGCGCACAAGUGAUAUUAUUUGUCGUCGUUGUAAGGGAGGAGGUCAUUAUGCGAGAGAAUGCAAAUCUCCGCGUGUGAUGAUUGCUACCGCGGAUGGUGGAUAUGAGUCCGCUAGUGACUAUGAUGAGGAGACUUUGGCUCUUAUUACACGUGAAGAACAUGGUGGAGAUGAUUCUGAUCAUGAGACGCAAUACAUGGCUCCUGAAGACGCUGACAGGUAUGAAUGUUUAGUUGCUCAACGUGUUUUGAGUGUGCAGGUCACACAAGCUGAGCAAAAUCAGAGGCACAAUUUGUUCCAUACCAAGGGAGUUGUGAAGGAACGUUCUGUGCGCGUCAUCAUAGACGGAGGGAGCUGCAACAACUUGGCUAGCAUGGAGAUGGCGGAGAAGCUUUCUCUCACCACAAGACCACAUCCACAUCCUUACUACAUCCAAUGGUUCAACAACAGCGGCAAGGUUAAGGUAACACGUACUGUUCGUGUGCAUUUUAGUAUCUCUACAUAUGCUGAUUAUGUUGAUUGUGAUGUGGUACCUAUGCAAGCAUGUUCCUUAUUACUUGGUAGACCAUGGCAAUUUGAUAAAAAUUCUGUACACCAUGGUAGAAACAAUCACUAUACUCUUGUUCAUAAGGAUAAAAAUAUUACUUUGCUUCCUAUGACUCCUGAUUCCAUUUUGAAAGAUGAUAUUAAUAGAGCUAAUAAAGCAAAACAGGAGACGAAUAAGAGUGAAAAUAAGAUUGUGGCAAAAGAAUUUGAGCAACAAAUGAAACCUAAUAAUAAACCAUCUAGUGUGAUGAGGACAUCAAUACAAUUGUUACACCCACAGCCCCUGCUGCUAUACAUACUGGACCAAUUACUAGAGCUCGUGCACGCCAACUAAAUUACCAGGUACUUUCGUUUCUUGGUAAUGAUUCUAAUGUUCAUGAGAAUAUGAUGCUGCCUAAAUUGGAUACAUUUGUUUUGCUUACAAAUGAAGGGCCUAGCUUGGAGAAGGAUGAACAUUGGAGCAAGAACAAGCAUGGAGAUGAUGGCAUGCGCAAGGGAAACAAGAACGGAGUUACAAGUGAUGAUUUCAGGACUUUGAAGCCACCAUAAUGGGUGCAUGAAGCCUUGGACGAAAUAUACAAGACGCCACUUCAUAAAUCUCGUCCCGAGGCUAUUUUAGGUGCUGCGUCACCUUAUUAUUGGGCCAGGCCCAUGUAAUUUCGAAAUACAUAAGUAUAGGCUAUUUUUAGAGUCCGUAUGUGUGGGGAAACAAGAGAUAGGGUUGAUUUCGGACCCCUCCACCAAGGGCCACGAAAUUCUCCCCCUCUUCCUCCAUAUAUACAGCCCUUAGGGCAUCGUUUAGACUUUGGGUUUUGUUUAGAUUAAAAGUUCGCCAUAGCUGCAACUUCGCGUACUUCGUUUGUGUUCAACGACCAGACAAAGGCGUCACAGAACCCCACCUUGAUCAAUAAAGCUUUCAUCUUAUAUUCGCAAUAUCCAGAUUGCAAUCUUAGUUUCUUGCUUGUUCUUCGUUUGCUCGCAGGAAACAGACCCUCGUGGUCAGGUUGAUCGUGCUCUGGCAUGGUCAAUAACCUCUCGGAGUUGGUUUAGCGAUUGCUAAGGCGCGACGUCCUCGCACGUUCGUAGUCGGAUCGUCAAAGUCGACUUCCACCAAAGCGAAAUGCACCAUCUCAUCGAAAGACGGGACACCUUAGCCUCUAUCACAACGGUUGCCGAUCACCGCCUGUUGCUGGGUAAGAACUGGUAAGAAUUUGAGUUUUGCUUAACGUAUUUGUGACACCCACCACCACCACUUGUUCGUAGUCUGUAGGAUCAUAUUCUUGUGUGUUUCUAUUGCUGCUAAGCAUGCCAGGAUCACAAGCCGACGAGAUUGACUGGGAGAAUUUAUCGAACAAGGAGCUUCAUGAUAAGUUUCAGCAAAUGAUGACUGAACAGGUGCAAGAUGUGCUGAACAAUUUUGAGGAGGCCAUGGAGAAGAUCACUGGCCUUGAGAAGACGUUCGAAACAAAGCUCGAUAACAGAUUUAAUGAAUUGCUCGCGCGUCUUCCACCACCACCACCCGCUGCACCUAACGCACCUCUCCAACAACAACAACAACAACGACUACCUCCACGUCGCGAAAUAGACCUUCGCCGAGCGAGCCGUGUUCCUCUUGCGUUUGGCCAAACUGUUGGUGCUACUGUUGAUACUUCUGUGGCUCCUGCUACUGCUGUUGCUGGUACCCAGGAGGAUGAUGAGUAUGCGGGCGAUUAUGAGGAUGAGGUUGAUCAAAAUCAGAUCUACGAGCAGCCACCAGCACCACCACCAGCAGGUCGACCUCAGGUAUAUAUUCGUAAUGGUAGGCCUGCACCACCACCUCAGGUACGCGAUGAUGUCCAUAUUCCUAAACUGAAAUUGAAUAUUCCACCAUUUGAGGGUAGAUAUGUUCCUGAUAUAUAUCUUACUUGGGAGUUAGAAACUGAACAACGAUUUACAUGUUUACAAUAUCCUGAGGAGAGACGAGUUGCUGCUGCUGUUUGUGCUUUCACUAGUUUUGCAUGUGUAUGGUGGUCUGAACAUUGUAGAUUAUAUCCUAUUCCAACUACUUGGGCUGCUUUGAAAACUGCUAUGCGUACACGUUGGGUUCCACCAUAUUAUCAACGUGAAUUGCUUCAAAAAUUGCAGUGUUUAAGACAAGGAAAAAAUUCUGUAGAAGAAUAUUAUCAGGAAUUACAAACUGGCAUGAUUAGAUGUGGUAUUGUUGAGGAGAAUGAAGCUAUGCUUGCACGUUUUCUGGGUGGAUUAAAUAGAGAGAUUCAGACCAUUCUAGACUAUAAGGAGUAUACUAAUAUCACUCGUUUAUUCCAUCUUGCUUGUAAAGCUGAACGUGAAGUGCAGGAUCGACAAGCAUUGGGGCGAACUAACUUUUCUGCAGGCCGACCUUCAUCAUGGACACCACGUGCAUUUUCUACUUUAACUGCACCAGCACCUCCAUCAGGUGCCACCUCCAGCCGUGAUACAAGAAAACAGGCACAACCACCAUUAUCUGCCAAGAGCGCACCUGCGGGGCCUGCACAGCGUUCUUCUUCUUCCAUGGCAUCAACAGGGAACACACGUGAUAUUAUUUGUCGUCGUUGUAAGGGAGGAGGUCAUUAUGCGAGAGAAUGCAAAUCUCCGCGUGUGAUGAUUGCUACCGCGGAUGGUGGAUAUGAGUCCGCUAGUGACUAUGAUGAGGAGACUUUGGCUCUUAUUACACGUGAAGAACAUGGUGGAGAUGAUUCUGAUCAUGAGACGCAAUACAUGGCUCCUGAAGACACUGACAGGUAUGAAUGUUUAGUUGCUCAACGUGUUUUGAGUGUGCAGGUCACACAAGCUGAGCAAAAUCAGAGGCACAAUUUGUUCCAUACCAAGGGAGUUGUGAAGGAACGUUCUGUGCGCGUCAUCAUAGACGGAGGGAGCUGCAACAACUUGGCUAGCAUGGAGAUGGUGGAGAAGCUUUCUCUCACCACAAGACCACAUCCACAUCCUUACUACAUCCAAUGGUUCAACAACAGCGGCAAGGUUAAGGUAACACGUACUGUUCGUGUGCAUUUUAGUAUCUCUACAUAUGCUGAUUAUGUUGAUUGUGAUGUGGUACCUAUGCAAGCAUGUUCCUUAUUACUUGGUAGACCAUGGCAAUUUGAUAAAAAUUCUGUACACCAUGGUAGAAACAAUCAAUAUACUCUUGUUCAUAAGGAUAAAAAUAUUACUUUGCUUCCUAUGACUCCUGAUUCCAUUUUGAAAGAUGAUAUUAAUAGAGCUAAUAAAGCAAAAUAGGAGACCAAUAAGAGUGAAAAUCAGAUUGUGGCAAAAGAAUUUGAGCAACAAAUGAAGCCUAAUAAUAAACCAUCUAGUGUUGCUUCUGAAAUUAAAUUGAAAAGUGCAUGUUUAUUUGCCACCAAAUCUGAUAUUGAUGAGCUAGAUUUCAGCAAAUCUGUUUGCUAUGCUUUUGUGUGCAAAGAGGCAUUAUUUUCAUUCGAGGACGUGCCUUCCUCUUUGCCUCCUGCUGUCACUAACAUUUUGCAGGAGUUCGCUGACGUCUUUCCACAAGACGUGCCACCGGGAUUACCGCCUAUUCGAGGGAUUGAGCAUCAAAUUGACUUAAUUCCCGGUGCUUCACUGCCAAACCGUGCUCCAUACCGUACCAAUCCAGAGGAGACAAAGGAGAUUAUGCGUCAAGUACAAGAGCUUCUCGACAAAGGUUAUAUACGCGAAUCCCUUAGUCCUUGUGCUGUUCCUAUUAUUCUAGUGCCGAAAAAGGAUGGUACAUCACGUAUGUGUGUUGAUUGUAGAGGCAUUAAUAAUAUUACUAUUCGUUAUCGUCAUCCUAUUCCUAGGCUAGAUGAUAUGCUUGAUGAAUUGAGUGGCUCUACAAUAUUCUCCAAAGUUGAUUUACGUAGUGGAUACCAUCAAAUUCGUAUGAAAUUGGGAGAUGAAUGGAAAACAGCAUUCAAAACUAAGUUUGGAUUAUAUGAGUGGUUAGUCAUGCCUUUUGGGUUAACUAAUGCACCUAGUACUUUCAUGAGAUUAAUGAACGAAGUUUUACGUGCUUUCAUUGGACGAUUUGUGGUAGUUUACUUUGAUGACAUAUUGAUUUAUAGCAGAUCUUUGGAAGAACAUUUGGAACAUUUACGUGCUGUUUUUAUUACUCUACGUGAUGCACGUUUGUUUGGUAACCUUGGGAAGUGCACCUUUUGCACCUACCGAGUAUCUUUUCUUGGCUAUGUUGUUACUCCACAGGGAAUUUGAUACCACUUGAUAGAGGCGGGGUGUCCCGAUCUUUCGAUGAGAUGAUAACUAUCGAUUUGGUGGAGACGACUUUGACGAUCCGACUACAAACGUGCACGACGUUGCGCCUUAGCAAUCGCUAAACCAACUCCGAGAGGUUAUUGAUCACGCCGGAGCACAAUCAACCUGACCACGAAGGUCUAUUCCUGCAAGCAAUCGAAGAACAAGCAAGAAUAUGAUAAAAGCAAUCUGAAUAUUGCGAGUAUAUAUGAAGUAUUGAUAAAGGUGGGGAUCCGUAAGCGGUCUUGGUCUGGUCGUUGGACACAAACGAAGUACACGAAGUUGCAAUGGCUAACUUUUAACUAAACAAAUCCCAAGGAAAAGCUACUAGAUGGAUCUACUUAUAUAGGAGCAAGGGGUGGCGGCCAAGGAGGUGGGAGGACAUCCCAAGGCAGCCUAAAACUAAAUCUAGGUCGUACAAGGCCAAUGGGCCCAAGUGGAGGUGAUGUAACACCUUUGGACUUGUAGUUUGACUCAGAUUCUGCUGCAGCAUCAGAUUGUUUCGUCCACAACUCAACGCUCCGGACGAAUUUGAAGGUGAUUCCAAUUGGGUUGGAAAGUGCACGAAAUUUAGUUUCCAACAAAAAACGAAUCACCCAAUUCGGAGUCCGUAUGAAAAACUUGUGUGCGUUUUGAGUCAGGUGUGUCUGUGCAGUCCGAAUCUGAAUCCAGAACGUGAGAGACUUGGACUCUAUCUUCUCUUGGGCCAAAAGUGACGUGAGAGAACUUUUUGGACAGCAAAUAAUCAUCUCUUUCUUCCUUAUCUUCAUAUGUGGAUUGUACAAAUGUCCCAUACACCUGCAAUUAGACAAAACACAAAAGUGUGUGAAGUAUUUUUGUUCUGGAUAACAUAAAUAGAUUAUUGAAUAGUUUGCACUAGAAAUCACCUGACAAAUAUGCAUAUAUGCAAUAUUUUUGGUCAUAUCCAAGGUAGUCAUGUCCUCAUCAUCCUCCCCUUCUUGAAAAUAAAGCCGUCCUCCGCGUUGCUUAAUCUGAAAUGUGGCUAACAAAAGAGACAAGGUGUACAUGUUGUAUAUGUAUAUGUCAUUCAUUUUUACUUCCCUUGAUUUUUGCAUAUAUGACACAUGAAUAGAUGAGUAACUUGCAUAGUUCAUAAAAUCUAAAGCCAAAAAAUUAGCACAAGAAGUAGAAGGCAUGAAAAUAUUGCAACUCAGUUUGGACAUAUAAGUGAAGCUCUUAUUCAUUUCAAAAGAUUGACAAUGUUCAUCAUUAAACCAUCCCAACAUUGGUGAAUAAACCUUACUUGCAUCAAAUUUACAUGCUACAACAUGCUUAAAUAAGCAAACAUGCAAUAAGUCAUUCAACACAGAAUCAUCACCAAGAUUAGAGGUCAUAUCAAAAUGAUUAAACAUUGGUUAUUUUGCAUCAAUAGUUAAUUUAAUGGGUGCACUCAAAAUUGUUGGUAUUUCAGUUGUUUGAUCACAUGGCAAAGUCAAAUUAUCAACGUAGUCCUCUAAAAUAGGUGGUGUGAUCAAAGUAGUGGGUAGCUCAUCAGAUGGUGUAUUCAAAUUGAUAAGGCAUUCAUCAUUCUCAUGUAGAGAUGGAAGAUCAGUACCUUUGUCAUUACCUCUUAUGAUCAACUCAGAUGAUGUAGCCACUCUCGGGGGCGAUGUGUCACAUGGUGGAGGUGAUGUAGUCCUGACAACAACGGAUGUGGUUGUCAUAGUAUGCCUAGUAGUUGAAUGAACAAUCAUAUCAACUCUUGGAAUGUGCACCGUGCGCUUGUUCUCCUCGUGGCCAACACGUCGUUUUAUUUCCUGUUCAUCUUUGCAAGCAAGAUGAAACAAAUGGUCCAUAGGAUAACACUCUUCAUGAAUUAGUAUCUCUUGAAUAUCACAGUUUAAUCCUCCCCAAAAUCUAUCCAUAAAAUCAUCUUCACUUUCUUCUAAAGAGGAAUGCAACAAGGUAGUUUGUAAAUCAUCAUAAUAUUUUGUUACAGUUUCACUACCUUGUUUUAAGUGUUGCAACUUCUUAAUCAUGUCACGAGUAUAAUAAGCAGGGACGAAAGUAUGUCGCAUGGCAAGUUUCAAAUCAUCCCAAGUAGUAGGUAUAUAAUCAGGGUGUAACCGACAAUAUUCACUCCACCAAACCAAAGCAUAACCAGUGAAAGAACCAACUGCAACCUUAACCUUUUUAUGUUCAUCGAAAUUAUGGGAAGCAAAUAUAUUUUUUAUGUCGAACUCCCAUUCAAUAUAUAAAGCAGGUUUAAAACGGCCAUUAAAUGGUGGUAUAGAUACAUUAACUUGAUCAUGUGCAUUUGGAUGUUUGUGCACCUCUCGUGGCGGUUGUGGUAUUUGCAAAGGUGGUGGCACGUCUCCCGCGAUCGACAAAGCCCAUGAAUUGACUCUGGAUCCUGUCAUGAUUAGUAGAACAAGAAACAAAACCCAAAAAUAAUGUUCCUAUAACUACUAGGAUGUGGUGGUAAAACGCUCACAGUAAAGCAAAUAUCAAUGUCUUACAAGUUCUUACCAUGCAGCAGGCGGUGAUCGGCAACCAGCGGUGUCAAGUAACUCCGAAUAUUGAGUAAAGCGAUUGCCAGGGGAGCGUACGUAUAAACGGUGUAGAAAUAUGUGGAGCUGGGUUGGCUAUAUAUGGUAGCAAAAGAUUAGCAAUAAUCAAUUCAAAGAUGCAAUGUUGAAUAAACGCUCAACGACGGUACUGUGCUGGUCCUAGGCUGGACCGGACUAGAGACGCGAGCGUAGAAUACUAAUGAGGUCACGGCGUAGCACAACUAGCAUCAAUGAAGGAUACUAAGUAGCUCUUGACAGCAAGAUAUAAGUGAAGAUCACAACGGCAGUGAAGAUAAUGAUGAAAAACAACUGCCAAGCAGGAUAUACAACAACUCUCUCUCCAACUUUCCUCUUGAAAAGUUUGAGACAAUUUUCUGAUAAAUUCUUUCAAAGAAUGCUACUAACUCAAGCUUUCCAAUGCAAAAAGAAUCACUCAAUUCCGAGUUGAUAUGAGGAGUCAAAGAAUUCUAAAACUGGCCUAAAAAUUGGAACAAGCUGUGUUCACGAACUUCGGAGGGCAAAAAGACCUAUUUAGGAUCCGAUUUUGAGGUGUCAAAUAUUGAACUAGCUUCUGCAGCUAUUUAGAUGCGGCUCGUCGCUAUCUUCAAUUUGAGUACUCACGGAGCCAAAACGGACUUCGUAUGAGGAAGAUACACCUAUUUUACUGAACAGUGCGCAAAACAGAUUCCAAUCCGAAUUCAGGUACGAGAUUGAUUCUAGAUAGAUCCAAUUUUUUUUCUUCUCUCUUUUUUUUCUCACGCUUUUUUUUCUUUUUCUUCUCCCUCUUUUUCUUUUUUUUCUUUCCUUUUUUCUCUCUUUUUUUUCUUUAUAUUCUUUUUCUCCCUCUUUCCAAGACAAACUAGAUAAGAUGCAGAUUCGAUCAGGCGAAGAUGUGAGUGACCUCAACUAUGAUUAUGACAAUAAACAGUGCGUAGCACAUGGUGGAAAUUGGUGGAUGGGAUGGUGGACAGCGGAUGGGAUAAUGAUGCAGCGGCUGCGUGACUAAUGUGAACAGAACUCGAAACUCUAAAGGAACUAGACACUAAGACCAGCAACUCGACACGGCGAUGCAACCGAUAAUUCAAUAAUGCAAACAAUGAAAAGAAAAUUGCAAAGGCUCAGUCUGGCUAGGACAAAGGAUGAAUAGAUCUAACUUUUGUUUUGUGGCUUUUUCUUGGACAAUAGGUAAGAAAAUAAAUCUAAUCUAGGAAAAACUGGAAAUUCUCACCGAGCAACCUGAAAACUGAUACCACUUGAUAGAGGCGAGGGUGUCCCGAUCUUUCGAUGAGAUGAUAACUAUCGAUUUGGUGGAGACGACUUUGAUGAUCCGACUACAAACGUGCACGACGUUGCGCCUUAGCAAUCGCUAAACCAAUCUCCUGAGGUUACUGACGAUGCCGGAAGCACAGUCAGCCUGACCACGAAGGUGUAUUCCUGCAAGCAAUCGAAGAACGAGCAAGAAUAUGAUAAAGCAAUCUGAAUAUUGCAAAUAUAUAUGAGGUAUUGAUAAUGGUGGGGAUCCGUAAGCGGUCUUGGUCUGGUCGUUGGACACAAACGAAGUACACGAAGUUGUAAUGGCUAACUUUUAACUAAACAAAUCCCCAGGAAAAGCUACUAGAUGGAUCUACUUAUAUAGGAGCAAGGGGUGGCGGCCAAGGAGGUGGGAGGACGUCCCAAGGCAGCCUAAAACUAAAUCUAGGUCGUACAAGGCCAUGGGCCCAAGUGGAGGUGAUGUAACACCUUUGGACUUGUAGUUUGACUCGGAUUCUGCUGCAGCAUCAGAUUGUUUUGUCCACAACUCAACGCUCCGGACGAAUUUGAAGGUGAUUCCAAUUGGGUUGGAAAGUGCACGAAAUCUAGUUUCCAAUGCAAAAAGAAUCACCCAAUUCGGAGUCCGUAUGGAAAACUUGUGUGCAUUUUGAGUCAGGUAUGUCUGUGCAGUCCGAAUCUGAAUCCAGAACGUGAGAGACUUGGACUCUAUCUUUUCUUGGGCCAAAAGUGACGUGAGAGAACUUUUUGGACAGCAAAUAAACAUCUCUUUCUUCCUUAUCUUCAUAUGUGGAUUGUACAAAUGUCCCAUACACCUGCAAUUAGACAAAACACAAAAGUGUGUGAAGUAUUUUUGUUCUGGAUAACAUAAAUAGAUUAUUGAAUAGUUUGCACUAGAAAUCACCUGACAAAUAUGCAUAUAUGCAAUAUUUUUGGUCAUAUCCAAGGUAGUCAUGUCCUCAUCAGAUGGCAAACCUGUUGCAUACUUUUCUGAAAAAUUGAGUGGGCCUAGUCUGAAUUAUUCUACUUAUGAUAAAGAAUUAUAUGCUCUUGUUCGGACUUUAGAAACAUGGCAACAUUAUUUAUGGCCCAAAGAAUUUGUUAUACAUUCUGAUCAUGAAUCUUUGAAACAUAUUAAAAGUCAAGCUAAACUGAAUCGUAGACAUGCUAAAUGGGUUGAAUUCAUUGAGACUUUCCCUUAUGUCAUUAAACACAAGAAGGGAAAAGAAAAUGUUAUUGCUGAUGCAUUGUCUCGUCGCUAUACUAUGCUUUCACAACUUGACUUCAAAAUAUUUGGUUUGGAGACCAUCAAAGAUCAAUAUGUGCAUGAUGCUGAUUUUAAAGAUGUAAUGCAGAAUUGUAAAGAAGGAAGAAUGUGGAACAAGUUUGUCGUUAACGAUGGAUUUGUGUUUCGUGCUAACAAGCUAUGCAUUCCAGCUAGCUCCGUUCGUCUUUUGUUGUUGCAGGAAGCGCAUGGAGGAGGAUUAAUGGGACAUUUUGGCCUGAAGAAGACGGAGGACGUACUUGCUACACAUUUCUUUUGGCCAAAGAUGAGACGGGAUGUUGAGCGUUUUAUUGCUCGAUGCACUACAUGUCAAAAAGCUAAGUCACGACUCAAUCCUCAUGGUUUAUAUAUGCCUUUGCCUGUACCUAGUGUUCCUUGGGAGGAUAUAUCUAUGGACUUUGUUUUAGGUUUACCUCGAACAAAGAAGGGGAGGGAUAGCAUAUUUGUUGUCGUGGAUAGAUUCUCGAAAAUGGCACACUUUAUACCAUGUCAUAAAAGCGAUGAUGCUGUUAAUGUUGCUGAUUUGUUCUUUCGUGAAAUUAUUCGCUUGCAUGGUGUGCCAAAUACUAUUGUUUCAGAUCGUGAUACUAAAUUUCUUAGCCACUUUUGGAGAUGUUUAUGGGCUAAGUUGGGGACUAAACUGCUUUUUAGUACUACUUGUCACCCCCAAACUGAUGGACAAACUGUAGUAGUCAAUAGAACGUUGUCUACUAUGCUUAGGGCUGUUUUGAAGAAUAAUAAGAAAAUGUGGGAGGAAUGCUUGCCUCAUAUUGAAUUUGCUUAUAAUCGUUCAUUGCAUUCUACUACUAAGAUGUGCCCUUUUGAAGUUGUGUAUGGUUUCCUACCUCGUGCACCUAUUGAUUUGUUGCCUCUUCCAUCUUCGGAGAAGGUUAAUUUUGAUGCUAAACAACGUGCUGAAUUGAUUUUAAAAAUGCAUGAGUUAACUAAGGAAAACAUUGAGCGUAUGAAUGCUAAAUAUAAACUUGCUGGAGAUAAGGGUAGAAAACAUGUUGUGUUUGCACCUGGAGAUCUUGUUUGGUUACAUUUGCGUCAGGAUAGAUUUCCUGAUUUGCGCAAAUCAAAGCUAAUGCCACGUGCUGAUGGUCCCUUUAAGGUGUUAGAGAAAAUAAAUGAUAAUGCAUAUAAACUUGAGUUGCCUGCAGAUUUUGGGGUUAGUCCCACUUUUAACAUUGCAGAUUUGAAGCCUUAUUUGGGUGAGCAAGAUGAACUUCCGUCGAGGACGACUUCAUUUCAAGAAGGGGAGGAUGAUGAGGACAUCAAUAAAUUUGUUACACCCACAACCCCUACUGCUAUACAUACUGGACCAAUUACUAGAGCUCGUGCAUGCCAACUAAAUUACCAGGUACUUUCGUUUCUUGGUAAUGAUUCUAAUGUUCAUGAGAAUAUGAUGCUUCCUAAAUUGGAUACAUUUGUUUUGCUUACAAAUGAAGGGCCUAGCUUGGAGAAGGAUGAACAUUGGAGCAAGAACAAGCAUGGAGAUGAUGGCGUGCGCAAGGGGAGCAAGAACGGAGUUACAAGUGAUGAUUUCAGGACUUUGAAGCCACCAUAAUGGGUGCAUGAAGCCUUGGACGAAAUAUACAAGAUGCCACUUCCUAAAUUUCGUCCCGAGGCUAUUUUAGGUGCUGCGUCACCUUAUUAUUGGGCCAGGCCCAUGUAAUUUCGAAAUACAUAAGUAUAGGCUAUUUUUAGAGUCCGUAUGUGUGGGGAAACAAGAGAUAGGGUUGAUUUCGGACCCCUCCACCAAGGGCCACGAAAUUCCCCCCUCUUCCUCCAUAUAUACAGCCCUUAGGGCAUCGUUUAGACUUUGGGUUUUGUUUAGAUUAAAAGUUCGCCAUAGCUGCAACUUCGCGUACUUCGUUUGUGUUCAACGACCAGACAAAGGCGUCACAGAACCCCAUCUUGAUCAAUAAAGCUUUCAUCUUAUAUUCGCAAUAUCCAGAUUGCAAUCUUAGUUUCUUGCUUGUUCUUCAUUUGCUCGCAGGAAACAGACCCUCGUGGUCAGGUUGAUCGUGCUCCGGCGUGGUCAAUAACCUCUCGGAGUUGGUUUAGCGAUUGCUAAGGCGCGACGUCCUCGCACAUUCGUAGUCGGAUCGUCAAAGUCGACUUCCACCAAAGCGAAAUCCACCAUCUCAUCGAAAGACGGGACACCUUUGCCUCUAUCAACACAGCUUGUUUCAAUUUUUUAGGCCAGUUUUAGAAUUCUUUGACUCCUCAUAUCAACUCGGAAUUGAGUGAUUCUUUUUGCAUUGGAAAGCUUGAGUUAGUAGCAUUCUUUGAAAGAAUUUAUCAAAAAAUUGUCUCAAACUUUUCAUGAUGAGGACAUGACUACCUUGGAUAUGACCAAAAAUAUUGCAUAUAUGCAUAUUUGGCAGGUGAUUUCUAGUGCAAACUAUUCAAUAAUCUAUUUAUGUUAUCCAGAACAAAAAUACUUCACACACUUUUGUGUUUUGUCUAAUUGCAGGUGUAUAAGACAUUUGUACAAUCCACAUAUGAAGAUAAGGAAGAAAGAGAUGUUUAUUUGCUGUCCAAAAAGUUCUCUCACGUCACUUUUGGCCCAAGAGAAGAUAGAGUCCAGGUCUCUCACGUUCUGGAUUCAGAUUCGGACUGCACAGACACACCUGACUCAAAACGCACACAAGUUUUUAAUACGGACUCCGAAUUGGGUCAUUCUUUUUUUUGUUGGAAACUAGAUUUCGUGCACUUUCCAACCCAAUUGGAAUCACCUUCAAAUUCUUCCGGAGCGUUGAGUUGUGGACGAAACAAUCUGAUGCUGCAGCAGAAUCCGAGUCAAACUACAAGUCCAAAGGUGUUACAUCACCUCCACUUGGGCCCGUUGGCCUUGUACGACCUAGAUUUAGUUUUAGGCUGCCUUGGGACGUCCUCCCACCUCCUUGGCCGCCACCCCUUGCUCCUAUAUAAGUAGAUCCAUCUAGUAGCUUUUUCCUGGGGAUUUGUUUAGUUAAAAGUUAGCCAUUGCAACUUCGUGUACUUCGUUUGUGUCCAACGACCAGACCAAGACCGCUUCCGGAUCCCCACCUUUAUCAAUACUUCAUCUAUAUUCGCAAUAUUCAGAUUGCUUUAUCAUAUUCUUGCUUGUUCUUCGAUUGCUUGCAGGAAUAGACCUUCGUGGUCAGGUUGAUUGUGCUUCGGCGUGGUCAAUAACCUCUCGGAGUUGGUUUAGCGAUUGCUAAGGCGCAACGUCGUGCACGUUUGUAGUCGGAUCGUCAAAGUCAUCUUCACCAAAUCGAUAGUUAUCAUCUCAUCGAAAGAUCGGGACACCCCCGCCUCUAUCAAGUGGUAUCAGUUUUCAGGUUGCUCGGUGAGAAUUUCCAGUUUUUCCUAGAUUAGAUUUAUUUUCUUACCUAUUGUCCAAGAAAAAGCCACAAAACAAAAGUUAGAUCUAUUCAUCCUUUGUCCUAGCCAGACUGAGCCUUUGCAAUUUUCUUUUCAUUGUUUGCAUUAUUGAAUUAUCGGUUGCAUCGCCGUGUCGAGUUGCUGGUCUUAGUGUCUAGUUCCUUUAGAGUUUCGAGUUCUGUUCACAUUAGUCACGCAGCCGCUGCAUCAUUAUCCCAUCCGCUGUCCACCAUCCCAUCCACCAAUUUNNNNNNNNNNNNNNNNNNNNNNNNNNNNNNNNNNNNNNNNNNNNNNNNNNNNNNNNNNNNNNNNNNNNNNNNNNNNNNNNNNNNNNNNNNNNNNNNNNNNNNNNNNNNNNNNNNNNNNNNNNNNNNNNNNNNNNNNNNNNNNNNNNNNNNNNNNNNNNNNNNNNNNNNNNNNNNNNNNNNNNNNNNNNNNNNNNNNNNNNNNNNNNNNNNNNNNNNNNNNNNNNNNNNNNNNNNNNNNNNNNNNNNNNNNNNNNNNNNNNNNNNNNNNNNNNNNNNNNNNNNNNNNNNNNNNNNNNNNNNNNNNNNNNNNNNNNNNNNNNNNNNNNNNNNNNNNNNNNNNNNNNNNNNNNNNNNNNNNNNNNNNNNNNNNNNNNNNNNNNNNNNNNNNNNNNNNNNNNNNNNNNNNNNNNNNNNNNNNNNNNNNNNNNNNNNNNNNNNNNNNNNNNNNNNNNNNNNNNNNNNNNNNNNNNNNNNNNNNNNNNNNNNNNNNNNNNNNNNNNNNNNNNNNNNNNNNNNNNNNNNNNNNNNNNNNNNNNNNNNNNNNNNNNNNNNNNNNNNNNNNNNNNNNNNNNNNNNNNNNNNNNNNNNNNNNNNNNNNNNNNNNNNNNNNNNNNNNNNNNNNNNNNNNNNNNNNNNNNNNNNNNNNNNNNNNNNNNNNNNNNNNNNNNNNNNNNNNNNNNNNNNNNNNNNNNNNNNNNNNNNNNNNNAAAAAAAAUUGGAUCUAUCUAGAAUCAAUCUCGUACCUGAAUUCGGAUUGGAAUCUGUUUUGCGCACUGUUCAGUAAAAUAGGUGUAUCUUCCUCAUACGAAGUCCGUUUUGGCUCCGUGAGUACUCAAAUUGAAGAUAGCGACGAGCCGCAUCUAAAUAGCUGCAGAAGCUAGUUCAAUAUUUGACACCUCAAAAUCGGAUCCUAAAUAGGUCUUUUUGCCCUCCGAAGUUCGUGAACACAGCUUGUUCCAAUUUUUAGGCCAGUUUUAGAAUUCUUUGACUCCUCAUAUCAACUCGGAAUUGAGUGAUUCUUUUUGCAUUGGAAAGCUUGAGUUAGUAGCAUUCUUUGAAAGAAUUUAUCAGAAAAUUGUCUCAAACUUUUCAAGAGGAAAGUUGGAGAGAGAGUUGUUGUAUAUCCUGCUUGGCAGUUGUUUUUCAUCAUUAUCUUCACUGCCGUUGUGAUCUUCACUUAUAUCUUGCUGUCAAGAGCUACUUAGUAUCCUUCAUUGAUGCUAGUUGUGCUACGCCGUGACCUCAUUAGUAUUCUACGCUCGCGUCUCUAGUCCGGUCCAGCCUAGGACCAGCACAGUACCGUCGUUGAGCGUUUAUUCAACAUUGCAUCUUUGAAUUGAUUAUUGCUAAUCUUUUGCUACCAUAUAUAGCCAACCCAGCUCCACAUAUUUCUACACCGUUUAUACGUACGCUCCCCUGGCAAUCGCUUUACUCAAUAUUCGGAGUUACUUGACACCGCUGGUUGCCGAUCACCGCCUGCUGCAUGGUAAGAACUUGUAAGACAUUGAUAUUUGCUUUACUGUGAGCGUUUUACCACCACAUCCUAGUAGUUAUAGGAACAUUAUUUUUGGGUUUUGUUUCUUGUUCUACUAAUCAUGACAGGAUCCAGAGUCAAUUCAUGGGCUUUGUCGAUCGCGGGAGACGUGCCACCACCUUUGCAAAUACCACAACCGCCACGAGAGGUGCACAAACAUCCAAAUGCACAUGAUCAAGUUAAUGUAUCUAUACCACCAUUUAAUGGCCGUUUUAAACCUGCUUUAUAUAUUGAAUGGGAGUUCGACAUAAAAAAUAUAUUUGCUUCCCAUAAUUUCGAUGAACAUAAAAAGGUUAAGGUUGCAGUUGGUUCUUUCACUGGUUAUGCUUUGGUUUGGUGGAGUGAAUAUUGUCGGUUACACCCUGAUUAUAUACCUACUACUUGGGAUGAUUUGAAACUUGCCAUGCGACAUACUUUCGUCCCUGCUUAUUAUACUCGUGACAUGAUUAAGAAGUUGCAACACUUAAAACAAGGUAGUGAAACUGUAACAAAAUAUUAUGAUGAUUUACAAACUACCUUGUUGCAUUCCUCUUUAGAAGAAAGUGAAGAUGAUUUUAUGGAUAGAUUUUGGGGAGGAUUAAACUGUGAUAUUCAAGAGAUACUAAUUCAUGAAGAGUGUUAUCCUAUGGACCAUUUGUUUCAUCUUGCUUGCAAAGAUGAACAGGAAAUAAAACGACGUGUUGGCCACGAGGAGAACAAGCGCACGGUGCACAUUCCAAGAGUUGAUAUGAUUGUUCAUUCAACUACUAGGCAUACUAUGACAACCACAUCCGUUGUUGUCAGGACUACAUCACCUCCACCAUGUGACACAUCGCCCCCGAGAGUGGCUACAUCAUCUGAGUUGAUCAUAAGAGGUAAUGACAAAGGUACUGAUCUUCCAUCUCUACAUGAGAAUGAUGAAUGCCUUAUCAAUUUGAAUACACCAUCUGAUGAGCUACCCACUACUUUGAUCACACCACCUAUUUUAGAGGACUACGUUGAUAAUUUGACUUUGCCAUGUGAUCAAACAACUGAAAUACCAACAAUUUUGAGUGCACCCAUUAAAUUAACUAUUGAUGCAAAAUAACCAAUGUUUAAUCAUUUUGAUAUGACCUCUAAUCUUGGUGAUGAUUCUGUGUUGAAUGACUUAUUGCAUGUUUGCUUAUUUAAGCAUGUUGUAGCAUGUAAAUUUGAUGCAAGUAAGGUUUAUUCACCAAUGUUGGGAUGGUUUAAUGAUGAACAUUGUCAAUCUUUUGAAAUGAAUAAGAGCUUCACUUAUAUGUCCAAACUGAGUUGCAAUAUUUUCAUGCCUUCUACUUCUUGUGCUAAUUUUUUGGCUUUAGAUUUUAUGAACUAUGCAAGUUACUCAUCUAUUCAUGUGUCAUAUAUGCAAAAAUCAAGGGAAGUAAAAAUGAAUGACAUAUACAUAUACAACAUGUACACCUUGUCUCUUUUGUUAGCCACAUUUCAGAUUAAGCAACGCGGAGGACGGCUUUAUUUUCAAGAAGGGGAGGAUGAUGAGGACAUGACUACCUUGGAUAUGACCAAAAAUAUUGCAUAUAUGCAUAUUUGUCAGGUGAUUUCUAGUGCAAACUAUUCAAUAAUCUAUUUAUGUUAUCCAGAACAAAAAUACUUCACACACUUUUGUGUUUUGUCUAAUUGCAGGUGUAUGGGACAUUUGUACAAUCCACAUAUGAAGAUAAGGAAUAAAGAGAUGUUUAUUUGCUGUCCAAAAAGUUCUCUCACGUCACUUUUGGCCCAAGAGAAGAUAGAGUCCAGGUCUCUCACGUUCUGGAUUCAGAUUCGGACUACACAGACACACCUGACUCAAAACACACACAAGUUUUUAAUACAGACUCCGAAUUGGGUGAUUCUUUUUUGUUUGGAAACUAGAUUUCGUGCACUUUCCAACCCAAUUGGAAUCACCUUCAAAUUCGUCCGGAGCGUUGAGUUGUGGACGAAACAAUCUGAUGCUGCAGCAGAAUCCGAGUCAAACUACAAGUCCAAAGGUGUUACAUCACCUCCACUUGGGCCCAUUGGCCUUGUACGACCUAGAUUUAGUUUUAGGCUGCCUUGGGACGUCCUCCCACCUCCUUGGCCGCCACCCCUUGCUCCUAUAUAAGUAGAUCCAUCUAGUAGCUUUUCCUUGGGAUUUGUUUAGUUAAAAGUUAGCCAUUGCAACUUCGUGUACUUUGUUUGUGUCCAACGACCAGACCAAGACCGUUUACGGAUCCCCACCUUUAUCAAUACUUCAUCUAUAUUCGCAAUAUUCAGAUUGCUUUAUCAUAUUCUUGCUUGUUCUUCGAUUGCUUGCAGGAAUAGACCUUCGUGGUCAGGUUGAUUGUGCUCUGGCGUGGUCAAUAACCUCUCGGAGUUGGUUUAGCGAUUGCUAAGGCGCAACGUCGUGCACGUUUGUAGUCGAAUCGUCAAAGUCGUCUCCACCAAAUCGAUAGUUAUCAUCUCAUCGAAAGAUCGGGACACCCCCGCCUCUAUCAAGUGGUAUCAGUUUUCAGGUUGCUCGGUGAGAAUUUCCAGUUUUUCCUAGAUUAGAUUUAUUUUCUUACCUAUUGUCCAAGAAAAAGCCACAAAACAAAAGUUAGAUCUAUUCAUCCUUUGUCCUAGCCAGACUGAGCCUUUGCAAUUUUCUUUUCAUUGUUUGCAUUAUUGAAUUAUCGGUUGCAUCGCCGUGUCGAGUUGCUGGUCUUAGUGUCUAGUUCCUUUAGAGUUUCGAGUUCUGUUCACAUUAGUCACGCAGCCGCUGCAUCAUUAUCCCAUCCGCUGUCCACCAUCCCAUCCACCAAUUUCCACCAUGUGCUACGCACUGUUUAUUGUCAUAAUCAUAGUUGAGGUCACUCACAUCUUCGCCUGAUCGAAUCUGCAUCUUAUCUAGUUUGUCUUGGAAAGAGGGAGAAAAAGAAUAUAAAGAAAAAAAAGAGAGAAAAAAGGAAAGAAAAAAAAGAAAAAGAGGGAGAAGAAAAAGAAAAAAAAGCGUGAGAAAAAAAAGAGAGAAGAAAAAAAAUUGGAUCUAUCUAGAAUCAAUCUCGUACCUGAAUUCGGAUUGGAAUCUGUUUUGCGCACUGUUCAGUAAAAUAGGUGUAUCUUCCUCAUACGAAGUCCGUUUUGGCUCCGUGAGUACUCAAAUUGAAGAUAGCGACGAGCCGCAUCUAAAUAGCUGCAGAAGCUAGUUCAAUAUUUGACACCUCAAAAUCGGAUCCUAAAUAGGUCUUUUUGCCCUCCGAAGUUCGUGAACACAGCUUGUUCCAAUUUUUAGGCCAGUUUUAGAAUUCUUUGACUCCUCAUAUCAACUCGGAAUUGAGUGAUUCUUUUUGCAUUGGAAAGCUUGAGUUAGUAGCAUUCUUUGAAAGAAUUUAUCAGAAAAUUGUCUCAAACUUUUCAAGAGGAAAGUUGGAGAGAGAGUUGUUGUAUAUCCUGCUUGGCAGUUGUUUUUCAUCAUUAUCUUCACUGCCGUUGUGAUCUUCACUUAUAUCUUGCUGUCAAGAGCUACUUAGUAUCCUUCAUUGAUGCUAGUUGUGCUACGCCGUGACCUCAUUAGUAUUCUACGCUCGCGUCUCUAGUCCGGUCCAGCCUAGGACCAGCACAGUACCGUCGUUGAGCGUUUAUUCAACAUUGCAUCUUUGAAUUGAUUAUUGCUAAUCUUUUGCUACCAUAUAUAGCCAACCCAGCUCCACAUAUUUCUACACCGUUUAUACGUACGCUCCCCUGGCAAUCGCUUUACUCAAUAUUCGGAGUUACUUGACACCGCUGGUUGCCGAUCACCGCCUGCUGCAUGGUAAGAACUUGUAAGACAUUGAUAUUUGCUUUACUGUGAGCGUUUUACCACCACAUCCUAGUAGUUAUAGGAACAUUAUUUUUGGGUUUUGUUUCUUGUUCUACUAAUCAUGACAGGAUCCAGAGUCAAUUCAUGGGCUUUGUCGAUCGCGGGAGACGUGCCACCACCUUUGCAAAUACCACAACCGCCACGAGAGGUGCACAAACAUCCAAAUGCACAUGAUCAAGUUAAUGUAUCUAUACCACCAUUUAAUGGCCGUUUUAAACCUGCUUUAUAUAUUGAAUGGGAGUUCGACAUAAAAAAUAUAUUUGCUUCCCAUAAUUUCGAUGAACAUAAAAAGGUUAAGGUUGCAGUUGGUUCUUUCACUGGUUAUGCUUUGGUUUGGUGGAGUGAAUAUUGUCGGUUACACCCUGAUUAUAUACCUACUACUUGGGAUGAUUUGAAACUUGCCAUGCGACAUACUUUCGUCCCUGCUUAUUAUACUCGUGACAUGAUUAAGAAGUUGCAACACUUAAAACAAGGUAGUGAAACUGUAACAAAAUAUUAUGAUGAUUUACAAACUACCUUGUUGCAUUCCUCUUUAGAAGAAAGUGAAGAUGAUUUUAUGGAUAGAUUUUGGGGAGGAUUAAACUGUGAUAUUCAAGAGAUACUAAUUCAUGAAGAGUGUUAUCCUAUGGACCAUUUGUUUCAUCUUGCUUGCAAAGAUGAACAGGAAAUAAAACGACGUGUUGGCCACGAGGAGAACAAGCGCACGGUGCACAUUCCAAGAGUUGAUAUGAUUGUUCAUUCAACUACUAGGCAUACUAUGACAACCACAUCCGUUGUUGUCAGGACUACAUCACCUCCACCAUGUGACACAUCGCCCCCGAGAGUGGCUACAUCAUCUGAGUUGAUCAUAAGAGGUAAUGACAAAGGUACUGAUCUUCCAUCUCUACAUGAGAAUGAUGAAUGCCUUAUCAAUUUGAAUACACCAUCUGAUGAGCUACCCACUACUUUGAUCACACCACCUAUUUUAGAGGACUACGUUGAUAAUUUGACUUUGCCAUGUGAUCAAACAACUGAAAUACCAACAAUUUUGAGUGCACCCAUUAAAUUAACUAUUGAUGCAAAAUAACCAAUGUUUAAUCAUUUUGAUAUGACCUCUAAUCUUGGUGAUGAUUCUGUGUUGAAUGACUUAUUGCAUGUUUGCUUAUUUAAGCAUGUUGUAGCAUGUAAAUUUGAUGCAAGUAAGGUUUAUUCACCAAUGUUGGGAUGGUUUAAUGAUGAACAUUGUCAAUCUUUUGAAAUGAAUAAGAGCUUCACUUAUAUGUCCAAACUGAGUUGCAAUAUUUUCAUGCCUUCUACUUCUUGUGCUAAUUUUUUGGCUUUAGAUUUUAUGAACUAUGCAAGUUACUCAUCUAUUCAUGUGUCAUAUAUGCAAAAAUCAAGGGAAGUAAAAAUGAAUGACAUAUACAUAUACAACAUGUACACCUUGUCUCUUUUGUUAGCCACAUUUCAGAUUAAGCAACGCGGAGGACGGCUUUAUUUUCAAGAAGGGGAGGAUGAUGAGGACAUGACUACCUUGGAUAUGACCAAAAAUAUUGCAUAUAUGCAUAUUUGUCAGGUGAUUUCUAGUGCAAACUAUUCAAUAAUCUAUUUAUGUUAUCCAGAACAAAAAUACUUCACACACUUUUGUGUUUUGUCUAAUUGCAGGUGUAUGGGACAUUUGUACAAUCCACAUAUGAAGAUAAGGAAUAAAGAGAUGUUUAUUUGCUGUCCAAAAAGUUCUCUCACGUCACUUUUGGCCCAAGAGAAGAUAGAGUCCAGGUCUCUCACGUUCUGGAUUCAGAUUCGGACUACACAGACACACCUGACUCAAAACACACACAAGUUUUUAAUACGGACUCCGAAUUGGGUGAUUCUUUUUUGUUUGGAAACUAGAUUUCGUGCACUUUCCAACCCAAUUGGAAUCACCUUCAAAUUCGUCCGGAGCGUUGAGUUGUGGACGAAACAAUCUGAUGCUGCAGCAGAAUCCGAGUCAAACUACAAGUCCAAAGGUGUUACAUCACCUCCACUUGGGCCCAUUGGCCUUGUACGACCUAGAUUUAGUUUUAGGCUGCCUUGGGACAUCCUCCCACCUCCUUGGCCGCCACCCCUUGCUCCUAUAUAAGUAGAUCUAUCUAGUAGCUUUUCCUUGGGAUUUGUUUAGUUAAAAGUUAGCCAUUGCAACUUCGUGUACUUUGUUUGUGUCCAACGACCAGACCAAGACCGUUUACGGAUCCCCACCUUUAUCAAUACUUCAUCUAUAUUCGUAAUAUUCAGAUUGCUUUAUGAUAUUCUUGCUUGUUCUUCGAUUGCUUGCAGGAAUAGACCUUCGUGGUCAGGUUGAUUGUGCUCUGGCGUGGUCAAUAACCUCUCGGAGUUGGUUUAGCGAUUGCUAAGGCGCAACGUCGUGCAUGUUUGUAGUCGAAUCGUCAAAGUCGUCUCCACCAAAUCGAUAGUUAUCAUCUUAUCGAAAGAUCGGAACACCCCCGCCUCUAUCAAGUGGUAUCAGUUUUCAGGUUGCUCGGUGAGAAUUUCCUGUUUUUCCUAGAUUAGAUUUAUUUUCUUACCUAUUGUCCAAGAAAAAGCCACAAAACAAAAGUUAGAUCUAUUCAUCCUUUGUCCUAGCCAGACUGAGCCUUUGCAAUUUUCUUUUCAUUGUUUGCAUUAUUGAAUUAUCGGUUGCAUCGCCGUGUCGAGUUGCUGGUCUUAGUGUCUAGUUCCUUUAGAGUUUCGAGUUCUGUUCACAUUAGUCACGCAGCCGCUGCAUCAUUAUCCCAUCCGCUGUCCACCAUCCCAUCCACCAAUUUCCACCAUGUGCUACGCACUGUUUAUUGUCAUAAUCAUAGUUGAGGUCACUCACAUCUUCGCCUCAUCGAAUCUGCAUCUUAUCUAGUUUGUCUUGGAAAGAGGGAGAAAAAGAAUAUAAAGAAAAAAAAAGAGAGAAAAAAGGAAAGAAAAAAAAAGAAAAAGAGGGAGAAGAAAAAGAAAAAAAGCGUGAGAAAAAAAAGAGAGAAGAAAAAAAAAUUGGAUCUAUCUAGAAUCAAUCUCGUACCUGAAUUCGGAUUGGAAUCUGUUUUGCGCACUGUUCAGUAAAAUAGGUGUAUCUUCCUCAUACGAAGUCCGUUUUGGCUCCGUGAGUACUCAAAUUGAAGAUAGCGACGAGCCGCAUCUAAAUAGCUGCAGAAGCUAGUUCAAUAUUUGACACCUCAAAAUCGGCUCCUAAAUAGGUCUUUUUGCCCUCCGAAGUUCGUGAACACAGCUUGUUCCAAUUUUUAGGCCAGUUUUAGAAUUCUUUGACUCCUCAUAUCAACUCGGAAUUGAGUGAUUCUUUUUGCAUUGGAAAGCUUGAGUUAGUAGCAUUCUUUGAAAGAAUUUAUCAGAAAAUUGUCUCAAACUUUUCAAGAGGAAAGUUGGAGAGAGAGUUGUUGUAUAUCCUGCUUGGCAGUUGUUUUUCAUCAUUAUCUUCACUGCCGUUGUGAUCUUCACUUAUAUCUUGCUGUCAAGAGCUACUUAGUAUCCUUCAUUGAUGCUAGUUGUGCUACGCCGUGACCUCAUUAGUGUUCUACGCUCGCGUCUCUAGUCCGGUCUAGCCUAGGACCAGCACAGUACCGUCGUUGAGCGUUUAUUCAACAUUGCAUCUUUGAAUUGAUUAUUGCUAAUCUUUUGCUACCAUAUAUAGCCAACCCAGCUCCACAUAUUUCUACACCGUGUAUACGUACGCUCCCCUGGCAAUCGCUUUACUCAAUAUUCGGAGUUACUUGACACCGCUGGUUGCCGAUCACCGCCUGCUGCAUGGUAAGAACUUGUAAGACAUUGAUAUUUGCUUUACUGUGAGCGUUUUACCACCACAUCCUAGUAGUUAUAGGAACAUUAUUUUUGGGUUUUGUUUCUUGUUCUACUAAUCAUGACAGGAUCCAGAGUCAAUUCAUGGGCUUUGUCGAUCGCGGGAGACGUGCCACCACCUUUGCAAAUACCACAACCGUCACGAGAGGUGCACAAACAUCCAAAUGCACAUGAUCAAGUUAAUGUAUCUAUACCAUCAUUUAAUGGCCAUUUUAAACCUGCUUUAUAUAUUGAAUGGGAGUUCGACAUAAAAAAUAUAUUUGCUUCCCAUAAUUUCGAUGAACAUAAAAAGGUUAAGGUUGCAGUUGGUUCUUUCACUGGUUAUGCUUUGGUUUGGUGGAGUGAAUAUUGUCGGUUACACCCUGAUUAUAUACCUACUACUUGGGAUGAUUUGAAACUUGCCAUGCGACAUACUUUCGUCCCUGCUUAUUAUACUCGUGACAUGAUUAAGAAGUUGCAACACUUAAAACAAGGUAGUGAAACUGUAACAAAAUAUUAUGAUGAUUUACAAACUACCUUGUUGCAUUCCUCUUUAGAAGAAAGUGAAGAUGAUUUUAUGGAUAGAUUUUGGGGAGGAUUAAACUGUGAUAUUCAAGAGAUACUAAUUCAUGAAGAGUGUUAUCCUAUGGACCAUUUGUUUCAUCUUGCUUGCAAAGAUGAACAGGAAAUAAAACGACGUGUUGGCCACGAGGAGAACAAGCGCACGGUGCACAUUCCAAGAGUUGAUAUGAUUGUUCAUUCAACUACUAGGCAUACUAUGACAACCACAUCCGUUGUUGUCAGGACUACAUCACCUCCACCAUGUGACACAUCGCCCCCGAGAGUGGCUACAUCAUCUGAGUUGAUCAUAAGAGGUAAUGACAAAGGUACUGAUCUUCCAUCUCUACAUGAGAAUGAUGAAUGCCUUAUCAAUUUGAAUACACCAUCUGAUGAGCUACCCACUACUUUGAUCACACCACCUAUUUUAGAGGACUACGUUGAUAAUUUGACUUUGCCAUGUGAUCAAACAACUGAAAUACCAACAAUUUUGAGUGCACCCAUUAAAUUAACUAUUGAUGCAAAAUAACCAAUGUUUAAUCAUUUUGAUAUGACCUCUAAUCUUGGUGAUGAUUCUGUGUUGAAUGACUUAUUGCAUGUUUGCUUAUUUAAGCAUGUUGUAGCAUGUAAAUUUGAUGCAAGUAAGGUUUAUUCACCAAUGUUGGGAUGGUUUAAUGAUGAACAUUGUCAAUCUUUUGAAAUGAAUAAGAGCUUCACUUAUAUGUCCAAACUGAGUUGCAAUAUUUUCAUGCCUUCUACUUCUUGUGCUAAUUUUUUGGCUUUAGAUUUUAUGAACUAUGCAAGUUACUCAUCUAUUCAUGUGUCAUAUAUGCAAAAAUCAAGGGAAGUAAAAAUGAAUGACAUAUACAUAUACAACAUGUACACCUUGUCUCUUUUGUUAGCCACAUUUCAGAUUAAGCAACGCGGAGGACGGCUUUAUUUUCAAGAAGGGGAGGAUGAUGAGGACAUGACUACCUUGGAUAUGACCAAAAAUAUUGCAUAUAUGCAUAUUUGUCAGGUGAUUUCUAGUGCAAACUAUUCAAUAAUCUAUUUAUGUUAUCCAGAACAAAAAUACUUCACACACUUUUGUGUUUUGUCUAAUUGCAGGUGUAUGGGACAUUUGUACAAUCCACAUAUGAAGAUAAGGAAUAAAGAGAUGUUUAUUUGCUGUCCAAAAAGUUCUCUCACGUCACUUUUGGCCCAAGAGAAGAUAGAGUCCAGGUCUCUCACGUUCUGGAUUCAGAUUCGGACUACACAGACACACCUGACUCAAAACACACACAAGUUUUUAAUACAGACUCCGAAUUGGGUGAUUCUUUUUUGUUUGGAAACUAGAUUUCGUGCACUUUCCAACCCAAUUGGAAUCACCUUCAAAUUCGUCCGGAGCGUUGAGUUGUGGACGAAACAAUCUGAUGCUGCAGCAGAAUCCGAGUCAAACUACAAGUCCAAAGGUGUUACAUCACCUCCACUUGGGCCCAUUGGCCUUGUACGACCUAGAUUUAGUUUUAGGCUGCCUUGGGACGUCCUCCCACCUCCUUGGCCGCCACCCCUUGCUCCUAUAUAAGUAGAUCCAUCUAGUAGCUUUUCCUUGGGAUUUGUUUAGUUAAAAGUUAGCCAUUGCAACUUCGUGUACUUUGUUUGUGUCCAACGACCAGACCAAGACCGUUUACGGAUCCCCACCUUUAUCAAUACUUCAUCUAUAUUCGCAAUAUUUAGAUUGCUUUAUCAUAUUCUUGCUUGUUCUUCGAUUGCUUGCAGGAAUAGACCUUCGUGGUCAGGUUGAUUGUGCUCUGGCGUGGUCAAUAACCUCUCGGAGUUGGUUUAGCGAUUGCUAAGGCGCAACGUCGUGCACGUUUGUAGUCGAAUCGUCAAAGUCGUCUCCACCAAAUCGAUAGUUAUCAUCUCAUCGAAAGAUCGGGACACCCCCGCCUCUAUCACACUAAGACCAGCAACUCGACACGAUGAUGCAACCGACAAUUCAACUAUGCAAGCAAUGAAAAGAAAAUUGCAAAGGUUCAGACUGGCUUGGACCAAGGAUGAAUAGAUAUAACUCUUUUUUGUGGCUUUUUCUUGGACAAUAGGUAAGAAAAUAAAUCUAAUCUAGGAAAACUGGAAAUUCUCACCGAGCAACCUGAAAACUGAUACCACUUGAUAGAAGGCGGGGGUGUCCCGAUCUUUCGAUGAGAUGGUAACUAUCGAUUUGGUGGAGACGACUUUGACGAUCCGACUACAAACGUGCACGACGUUGCGCCUUAGCAAUCACUAAACCAAUCUCCAGAGGUUAUUGACCACGCCGGUGCACGAUCAACCUGACCACGAAGGUCUAUUCCUGCAAGCAAUCAAAGAACGAGUAAGAAUAUGAUAAAAGGAAUCUGAAUAUUGCAAAUAUGUAUGAAGUAUUGAUAAAGGUGGGGAUCCGAAAGCGGUCUUGGUCUGGUCGUUGGACACAAACGAAGUACACGAAGUUGCGUUGGCUAACUUUUAACUAAACAAAUCCUCACGAAAAAGCUACUAGAUGGAUCUACUUAUAUAGGAGCAAGGGGUGGCGGCCAAGGAGGUGGGAGGACGUCCCAAGGCAGCCUAAAACUAACCCUAGGUCGUACAAGGCUCAUGGGCCCAAGUGGAGGUGAUGCAGCACCUUUGGGCUUGUAGUUUGACUCGGAUUCUGCUGCAACGUUAGAUUGUUUUGUCCGUAACUCAACGCUCCGGACGAAUUUGAAGGUGAAUCCAAUUGGGUUGGAAAGAGCACGAAAUCUAGUUUCCAACAAAAAAAGAAUCACCCAAUUCGGAGUCUAUAUGAAAAAGUUGUUGGCGUUUUGAGUCAGGUAUGUCUGUGCAGUCCGAAUCUGAAUCCAGAACGUGAGAGACUUGGACUCUAUCUUCUCUUGGCCCAAAAGUGAUGUGAGAGGACUUUUUGAACACAACCUAAACUUCUCCUUUUCCCUUAUCUUCAUAUGUGGAUUGUACAAAUGUCCCAUACACCUGCAAUUAGACAAAACACAAAAGUGUGUGAAGUAUUUUUGUUCUGGAUAACAUAAAUAGAUUAUUGAAUAGUUUGCAUUAGAAAUCACCUGACAAAUAUGCAUGUAUGCAAUAUUUUUGGUCGUAUCCAAGGUAUUCAUGUCCUCAUCACCGUCCCACUUGAUUUGGAAGGCGAUGUUGUUGUUGUUGUAGAGGUGCGUUGGUGGUGGUGGUGGAAGACACGCAAGCAAUUCAUUAAACUUGUUAUCAAGCUUUGUUUCGAACAUCUUCUCCAUGCCAUCUAUCUUCUCCAUGGCCUCUUCAAAUCUGUUUAGCACAUCUUGCACCUGUCCACUAAACAUUAGCUGAAAUUUAUUAUGUAGCUCUUUGUUCGUCAUGUUCUCCCAAUCUGUCUCAUCGGCUUGUGAUCCUGCCAUGGUUAGCAGCAAUAGAAAACACACAAGAAUAUGAUCCUACAGACUACUAGGAAGUGGUGGUGGUGGUGGUGGUGGUGGUGGUGGUGUAUCACAAAUCUGGCAAGCAAAUCUCAAAUUCUUACCAGUUCUUACCCAGCAACAGGUGGUGAUCGGCAACCGUGGUAGUCAAAACUCUCCAAGAUUGGAUAGAGCGAUUGCUAGGUGGUGUCAAACGCAUGAUGUAGAUGUAUGUGUAGCUGGGAAGGCUUAUGAUAUGGUAGCAAAAAUGUCAGCAAUAAUCAAUUCAGAGAUGCAAAGUUGAGUAAACGCUCAACGACGGUACUGUGUUGGUCCUAGGCUAGAUCGUACUAGAGACGCGAGCUUAGAACACGAACAAAAUCACGGCGCGGCACGUAAACAAGGGAGGAGCACUCUUUGAAUCUUUUUUCCUUUUUUCAAUUUUUUUGCACUUGUUUUUUCCUCUCUUUUUUGCUCCGCAACAAAUUUUUUUCGAAAAAGUCUAUAAAUGGUCUAAAAGCUGCCUAGCCAGAAUUUUCCAGACUUAGUUUUUUUUGAGUUUGGAACUAUUUUUCUACUGCGGGUAGCACGGAAUCUCGGGAGUCCUACUCUGUCAUGACUCAGAGUAUGGCGUGAUCUGAAACUCGAAAACAAAGCAACAAAUACUGGACUCGGACUAGUGGCGGAGAUGAAUCUGGUGGAACUCGGACUGGUGGUAUAUCUGGACUCGGAAUGGUGGUGGUAUAUGGCGAUGGUAUAUGUGGACUCGUAUUGGUGGUGGUAUAUGGCGAUGGUAUAUGUGGACUCGGAUUGGUGGUUGUAUAUGGCAGCGGCGAUGUAUAUGGUGGGGUGGUGGUAUAUGGUAAUGCUAAUGACGAUGGUGUGGCGGCAGCGUGACAACCUGUGAACAGAACUCGAAACUCAAAGGGACUAGACGCUAAGACCAGCAACUCGACAUGACGAUGCAACCGCAAAUUCAACAAAGCAAAACUCUAAAAAGACUAUGCAAAGGCUCAGAUUGGUUCGGAUAUGAUGACCUAACCCUAAUUUUUUUGGCUUUUUCGUGGACUAUAGGUAUGAAGAACAGACUCGACCUAAACUACGAAAACUGUAAAAUCUCACCGAGCAACCUGGAAAUCUGAUACCGCUUGAUAGAGGCAAAGGUGUACCGAUGUUUCAGUGAGAUAGAUAUCAUUUUCUGUGGGAGUCGACUUUGACGAUCUGACUACAAACAUGCGAAGACGUCGCGCCUUAGCAAUCGCUAAACCAACUUCCGAGGGUUAUUGACCACGCCGGAGCACGAUCAACCUGACCACGAGAGUCUAUUUCCUGCGAGCAAACAAAGAACAAGAAAGAAACUGAUAUUGCAAUCUGGAUAUUGUGAAUAAAAGAGGAAAGUUGUAUUAAUGAAGGUGGGGUUCUGUGACAUCUUGGUCUGGUCGUUGGACACAGACGAAGUACGCGAAGUUACAGCUAUGGCGAACUUUUAGUCUAAACAAAACCCAAAGUCUAAACGAUGCCCUGAGGGUUGUAUAUAUGGAGGAGAGAGGGGGAAUUUCGUGGCCCUUGGAGGAGGGGUCCGAAACCAACCCUAACUCUUGUUUCCCCACACAUACGGACUAUAAAAACAGCCUAUACUUAAGUAUUUCGAAAAUACAUGGGACUGGCCCAAUAAUAAGGUGAUGCAGCACCUAGAAUAGCCUCUGGACGAAAUUUAUGAAGUGGCAUCUUGUAUAUUUCGUCCAAGGCUUCAUGCAUUCCUUAUGGUGGCUUCAAAGUCCUGAAAUCAUCACUUGUAACUCCGUUCAUGAUCCCCUUGCGCAUGCCAUCAUCUCCAUGCUUGAACUUGCUCCAAGGUUCAUCUUUCUUGUCCAAGCUAGGCCCUUCAUUUGUAAGCAAAACAAAUGUAUCCAAUUUAGGCCGCAUCAUAUUCUCAUGAGCAUUAGAAUCGUUACCAAGAAACGAAAGUACCUGAUAAUUCAAUUGGCGUGCGCGAGCUCUAGUAAUUGGUCCGGUGUGUAUAGCAGCAGGGGUUGUGGGUGUAACAAUGGUAUUGAUGUCCUCAUCAGCCCAGUAGCAUAGCAAUUUCCUCUUCGUAUCCAUCGCGAGUUGCUUUGAGUUCCUCUUCUAGCUCCAUAUUCCGGGUCAUCACCUUCUUCGUAUCUAUCAUGUUAGCGCACAUCUGAUUCUCAUAUCGACGAAUGUGCUGGUUCAUCUCAUGUAUGUAGGCUGUAAUAGAUCCAUCCUUCCUGGUGCAAAUCAUCUCCCAUUGCUCAUCCUAGCAUCCACAUAUCUGAUAGACGGUGUCUUUAAGAUCCUUGUUGUACACCUCGCCUAUGCAUCCAAUGGUGAUGUGGGUGGCCAUGCUCUUUCCUAAGCUCCAGGUUGGUGCAUCAAAGGAAAACUCGAUGGGCUGGGUAAUUUGUGCAAAAGCCCUCCCAGGAACACAAACUUGAAUCGUCCAGCGCUCCUUUUCUGGUAAAGUUGCAAUGAAAGUUCUGGUGAGCUUGGUAUGCCGAUGUUCAAUUGACUUCCUUCAAGUGUCGUCCGAAAGGGGUGUCGUCAUCCGGCUGAAUGAACUUGUUCCUGGGGUCCGACAUCUAUAGAGUAGAAAUAGAGAAGAAUUAGAAAUGAGUAGAGAAGAGUAUCAUGUGGCUUCUCCUAGUGGUCGCGUCCUACAGUCAGCGUGUGCUCUGAUACCAUCUUUUAGCGACCCGAUCCCAAUGGAUCAAAUUCUCUAUACUUAAUUGUCAUCCAUGGAUCCAUGCUGACACACACAGUACUCGAGGAAAUAUAACAGAGUCCAAUCACACACUUACAUUGAGGUCCUCAUAAAGAGUAUUUAUUACAAUAAUAUGGCUGAAGGCCAUUUAAUAAAAAUAACUGCGGAAGCUUCAAAGGUAAAUGAGUCCAUCCAACUCCACGUCAAAACUGAGUGCAAGACAACGACCUAUCGCACCUUAAUCCUCGUCUGAAAAUUCUGCAACAUGAGACGUUGCAGCCAUGUAGGUCAGCACAUGGAAUAUGCUGGCAAGAUCACACUAUAGAGCAAUGAUGAACAAUAACUAUCACUACAUGCAUAUUUGGCUUGUGGAGGCUCUAUGUUUAACAUUUGCAUAAAGCUAAUUUUUCCCUACAACAAAGGAAUACAUUUUUAUUUACUAGCAAGUUUAUGCCAUAAUUGAGAAGGCAUCCCCAACUCAAUCCCAAAAUUACCAAGUAAUAAUAAUAUUAAUAACAAUUACCCCACAAAUUCAUUAAGUAAAGUGAUGAGAUCAACCAAUAACUCAAAUACUAGAUACUCAAAAUGUCCAUAACCUGGGACACGGCUAAUCAUGAUUAGUUUGUACACUCUGCAGAGGUUUGCGCACUUUUCCCCACAAGACUCAACCGCAUCCAUGAUCGGAAGAUGAUGAGGACAUCAAUACAAUUGUUACACCCACAGCCCCUACUGCUAUACAUACUGGACCAAUUACUAGAGCUCGUGCACGCCAACUAAAUUACCAGGUACUUUCGUUUCUUGGUAAUGAUUCUAAUGUUCAUGAGAAUAUGAUGCUGCCUAAAUUGGAUACAUUUGUUUUGCUUACAAAUGAAGGGCCUAGCUUGGAGAAGGAUGAACAUUGGAGCAAGAACAAGCAUGGAGAUGAUGACAUGCGCAAGGGGAACAAGAACGGAGUUACAAGUGAUGAUUUCAGGACUUUGAAGCCACCAUAAUGGGUGCAUGAAGCCUUGGACGAAAUAUACAAGAUGCCACUUCAUAAAUUUCGUCCCGAGGCUAUUUUAGGUGCUGCGUCACCUUUUUAUUGGGCCAGGCCCAUGUAAUUUCGAAAUACAUAAGUAUAGGCUAUUUUUAGAGUCCGUAUGUGUGGGGAAACAAGAGAUAGGGUUGAUUUCGGACCCCUCCACCAAGGGCCACGAAAUUCCCCCCUCUUCCUCCAUAUAUACAGCCCUUAGGGCAUCGUUUAGACUUUGGGUUUUGUUUAGAUUAAAAGUUCGCCAUAGCUGCAACUUCGCGUACUUCGUUUGUGUUCAACGACCAGACAAAGGCGUCACAGAACCCCACCUUGAUCAAUAAAGCUUUCAUCUUAUAUUCGCAAUAUCCAGAUUGCAACCUCAGCUUCUUGCUUGUUCUUCGUUUGCUCGCAGGAAACAGACCCUCGUACAGGUUGAUCGUGCUCCAGCGUGGUCAAUAACCUCUCGGAGUUGGUUUAGCGAUUGCUAAGGCGCGAUGUCCUUACACGUUCGUAGUCGGAUCGUCAAAGUCGACUUCCACCAAAGCGAUAUCCAUCAUCUCAUCGAAAGACGGGACACCUUUGCCUCUAUCAAGAAGGCAUGAAAAUAUUGCAACUCAGUUUGCACAUAUAAGUGAAGCUCUUAUUCAUUUCAAAAGAUUGACAAUGUUCAUCAUUAAACCAUCCCAACAUUGGUGAAUAAACCUUACUUGCAUCAAAUUUACAUGCUACAACAUGCUUAAAUAAGCAAACAUGCAAUAAGUCAUUCAACACAGAAUCAUCACCAAGAUUAGAGGUCAUAUCAAAAUGAUUAAACAUUGGUUCUUUUGCAUCAAUAGUUAAUUCAAUGGGUGCACUCAAAAUUGUUGGUAUUUCAGUUGUUUGAUCACAUGGCAAAGUCAAAUUAUCAACGUAGUCCUCUAAAAUAGGUGGUGUGAUCAAAGUAGUGGGUAGCUCAUCAGAUGGUGCAUUCAAAUUGACAAGGCAUUCAUCAUUCUCAUGUAGAGAUGGAAGAUCAGUACCUUUGUCAUUACCUCUUAUGAUCAACUCAGAUGAUGUAGCCACUCUCGGGGGCGAUGUGUCACAUGGUGGAGGUGAUGUAGUCCUGACAACAACGGAUGUGGUUGUCAUAGUAUGCCUAGUAGUUGAAGUAACAAUCAUAUCAACUCUUGGAAUGUGCACCAUGCGCUUGUUCUCCUCGUGGCCAACACGUCGUUUUAUUUCCUGUUCAGCUUUGCAAGCAAGAUGAAACAAAUGGUCCAUAGGAUAACACUCUUCAUGAAUUAGUAUCUCUUGAAUAUCACGGUUUAAUCCUCCCCAAAAUCUAUCCAUAAAAUCAUCUUCACUUUCUUCUAAAGAGGAAUGCAACAAGGUAGUUUGUAAAUCAUCAUAAUAUUUUGUUACAGUUUCACUACCUUGUUUUAACUGUUGCAACUUCUUAAUCAUGUCACGAGUAUAAUAAGCAGGGACGAAAGUAUGUCGCAUGGCAAGUUUCAAAUCAUCCCAAGUAGUAGGUAUAUAAUCAGGGUGUAACCAACAAUAUUCACUCCACCAAACCAAAGCAUAACCAGUGAAAGAACCAACCGCAACCUUAACCUUUUUAUGUUCAUUGAAAUUAUGGGAAGCAAAUAUAUUUUUUAUGUCGAACUCCCAUUCAAUAUAUAAAGCAGGUUUAAAACGGCCAUUAAAUGGUGGUAUAGAUACAUUAACCUGAUGAUGUGCAUUUGGAUGUUUGUGCACCUCUCGUGACGGUUGUGGUAUUUGCAAAGGUGGUGGCACGUCUCCCGCGAUCGACAAAGCCCAUGAAUUGACUCUAGAUCCUGUCAUGAUUAGUAGAACAAGAAACAAAACCCAAAAAUAAUGUUCCUAUAACUACUAGGAUGUGGUGGUAAAACGCUCACAGUAAAGCAAAUAUCAAUGUCUUACAAGUUCUUACCAUGCAGCAGGCGGUGAUCGGCAACCAGCGGUGUCAAGUAACUCCGAAUAUUGAGUAAAGCGAUUGCCAGGGGAGCGUACGUAUACACGGUGUAGAAAUAUGUGGAGCUGGGUUGGCUAUAUAUGGUAGCAAAAGAUUAGCAAUAAUCAAUUCAAAGAUGCAAUGUUGAAUAAACGCUCAACGACGGUACUGUGCUGGUCCUAGGCUAGACCGGACUAGAGACGCGAGCCUAGAACACUAAUAAGGUCACGGCGUAGCACAACUAGCACCAAUGAAGGAUACUAAGUAGCUCUUGACAGCAAGAUAUAAGUGAAGAUCACAACGGCAGUGAAGAUAAUGAUGAAAAACAACUGCCAAGCAGGAUAUAUAACAACUCUCUCUUCAACUUUCCUCUUGAAAAGUUUGCUACUAACUCAAGCUUUCCAAUGCAAAAAGAAUCACCCAAUUCUGAAUUGAUAUGAGGAGUCAAAGAAUUUUAAAACUGGCCUGAAAAAUUGGAACAAGUUGUGUUCACGAACUUCGGAGAGCAAAAAGACAUAUUUGGAAGACGAUUUUGAGGUGUCAAAUAUUGAACUAGCUUCUGCAACUAUUUACAUGCAUCUCGUCGCUAGCUUCAAUUUGAGUACUCACGGAGCCAAAACGGACUUCAUAUGAGGAAGAUACACCUGUUUUACUGAACAGUGCGCAAAAUAGAUUCUAAUCCAAAUUCAGGUACGAGAUUGAUUCUAGAUAGAUCUGAUUUUUUUCUUCUUCUCUCUUUUUUUCCUCACGCUUUUUUUUUCUUUUUCUUCUCUCUCUUUUUCUUUUUUUUUUCUUUCCUUUUUUUCUCUCUUUUUUCUCUCUUUUUUUUCUCCCUCUUUCCAAGACAAACUAGAUAAGAUGCAGAUUGGAUCAGGCAAAGAUGUGAAUGACCUCAACUAUGAUUAUGACAAUGAACAACGCGUAGCACGUGGUGGAAAUUAAUAGAUGGGAUGGUGGACAGCGGAAGGGAUAAUGAUGCAGCGGCGGCGUGACUAAUGUGAACAGAACUCGAAACUCUAAAGGAACUAGACACUAAGACCAGCAACUGACACGACGAUGCAACCGAUAAUUCAACUAUGCAAGCAACGAAUAGAAAAUUGCAAAGGCUCAGACUGGCUUGGAUAAAGGAUGAACAGAUCUAACUUUUUUUUGUGGCUUUUUCAUGAACUAUAGGUAUGAAUGACAGAUGCGAUGUAAACUAUGAAAAACUGUAAAAUCUCACCGAGCAACCUGAAAACUGAUACCACUUGAUAGAGGC